UAGCUAGGCAGGCAGGGCAGGACACCAUGCAUACAUUAGAUUUAGCUUUUCCCUUAGGCCACCAUGCAUACUCCAUUUUUACUUUUCCUUCGCCAGCAUGAAUUACCUUUUCGCUUUCGAUUCGUUGUAAUCAGCAGUAGCAGUGGAGCAAUAACCUGUAAGAUGUCUAUGGUCUCUUGAGUUGAGAAGUUUCAGAAUUCAGAUGCCUAUGGUCUCUUGUUGAUUUGCCUGGAAUAAUCGUUGUGUCAUGGAGCCUGUACUUUGUCACCAUUGAGAGCAUUGGAGUAUCUUACCUAGAUCGUGGAUGUCCAUGGGCAUCUCCGAGGUCUCCGAGGUGUAUGCACUCUGCACCAGCCCCAUGGUCGGGGCGGUGCUGAUCCCGAGCCACACGGGGGCACGCCGAGGUCCACUGCGCACGCGGUGUGCCUUGGCCUUUUGCAGUGGCUCUACCUAGGAAUCGUCGAUCGUCGCCGUACCUUUCUCCUCCCCUUUCGCUGGUCAAAUGCGUAUCCUCACCUUUUGCAGUGGCCGCCUUAAAGCAACUCCAACGCGCGCGGACCCAAAUGAAUGACGAUUUUAUUCGUUUUUUUCUGUUUGGGUCGGUCAUGUUAGAACUGGUGAAAGCGUUUCUACUUUCCUCGAGGGAGAGCCACAGACGUCUAUUUAUUGAGGCAGAACCUUGCUGUGAAGUACAAGAGAUGGAUUAGGAAUCCAGCUAUCACAAGGAGAUAGAAGCCACUUUAGCUAGAUUUUAGUCAGUUGACUUUUAGUUAUUUGGUUAGUCGAUUUUUUGGCUCUUGAAUUGUGUUUUAAGAUUUGUGUGGUUCUUCUUUUUUCUGUCACGUUUUGCUGGUGUACUGGGCUGGGCUGUUUGAAUUUGACUGACUCCUAUUUUGGGCGAGUCAAUUUUGUUCUUCGGCUGGAUUUUGGUGCGUGCAUGCUUUUUUCCAUGGGUUCGCUUUUGUUUUCUGCACGUGUACGCUUUUAUUUUCUAUUUACCAGUUGAAUUUUGUUUUUUUUUUCUUUGUGUGUAUUCCGGAUGUUGAGUAUGUGUAAAUGUAUACAUGUACNNNNNNNNNNNNNNNNNNNNNNNNNNNNNNNNNNNNNNNNNNNNNNNNNNNNNNNNNNNNNNNNNNNNNNNNNNNNNNNNNNNNNNNNNNNNNNNNNNNNNNNNNNNNNNNNNNNNNNNNNNNNNNNNNNNNNNNNNNNNNNNNNNNNNNNNNNNNNNNNNNNNNNNNNNNNNNNNNNNNNNNNUAUAUUAUAAGAAGUGCAUUUUUUGUGCUAAUUGUGUGGAAAUUUUUGUUUUUUUCAUUUUCUUUAUUCCUAAGGGUAAUAGCAAUUCUAAUUGUUUUGUGCUAUUUUUUUCUAAUUAAAUACAUUUUUAUUAUUAUGUGUAUGAAUGCAUGAGAGUACUAUACAAUAUUUGUGUAAAUUAUACUAGACUGCUAAAGUUGCAUUAUUAUAUGUGUAUUCGCUGCAUAUUAUAAAAAGUUCAUUUUCAUUGCAAUGUUGUGUGCAAGUUUUUUUUAUUUUCUUUCUUCUUAAGAGUAAUACCAAUGUCACUAAUUUACUAUAUCUUAGAAAACUUUAUUUGUUUUAUUAAGUUUAGUUUUUAAUUCAUAUCCUAUUUUUAAGGACGAUACCAAUGCCACUAAUUCCUUCCUUGUUUAAAAACUUUGUUUUUAUGUAAAAUUCACUAUUAUAUGUUUAUUCUUGCAUCACUAAAAAAUUGCAAUUUAUGUGUAAGUUCUGUGAAAAUUGUAUCAUUAUUAUCUUUACUUUAUUUCUUCCUAAAGGGUGGUACCAAUGCCACUAUACUUGAUUUCUUCUUAGAAAAAUCUAUUUUUAAUUUUGUGUUUGUAAGUAAGUAUACACGCAAGUAUGAUACACCAUGUGUGUAAAUUAUAGUGGAGAGCAAAAAUUGCACUGUAUAUGCUUAUUUUUUGCAUAUUACAAAAGUGUAAUUUUAGGUUAUACUUGUGUGCAAGUUAUUUUUUAAUUUUCUAUCUUCUUAAAGGGUUUCAUUUUCCCCUAGAAGACUCCAUUAUUUUGUUUUAGUUUUAGUUUUAGUAUUUUUUUCUUAAAGGGAUUCAUUAUUCCUUAGAACAAUUCAUUAUUUUGUUUUAUUUUUAUUUUUUGUUUUCUUUCUUCUUAAAGGGUUUCAUUCUUCCCUAGGAAACAUUAUUAAUAUUUUUUGGGUUUUUUAUUUUCUUUCUUCUUAAAGGGUUUCAAUCUUCCCUAGAAAAUUUAUUAUUUUGUUAUUGAUUUUUAUUUUCUUUCUUCUUAAAGGGUUUCAAUCUUCCCUAGAAAAAUCAUCAUUUUGUUUUCAUUUUCAUUUUUAUUUUUAUUUUAUUUCUUUAACGGUAAUUCCAAUAUUUUUCCUCUAUUAUGUGGUUAUCCUUUUGUAUUAUAAAAAGCGCAAUUUUUGUGUAAAAUGUGUGCACUAAAUUAUUCCUUCUUAGGAAACUUAUUUUUUGCGAAACUUAUUUUUGAUUCCACUAAAUAAUUCCUUCUUAGGAAACUUAUUUUUUGCGAAACUUUCACCAUUAUAUACUUAUUCUUGCAUAUUAUAAAAAUGCAAUUUCUGUAUAAAUUGUAUACAAAUUUUGCCAUUAUUUGAAAUAUAUAUUCAUUUUCUCUAGAAAACUUCAUUAUUUUUACUUUGUUUCAGUUUUUAUUUCAUUAUUUUCUUCCUUAAGGAAAUACUAAUGCCACAAAUUCAUUCCUUACUAGAAAACUUUUUUUUGCGAAAAAUCCACUAUUAUAUGCUUAUUCUUGCAUAUUAUAAAAAGCCCAAUUCGUGCGUAAAUUGUGUGCAUUUUUUAAUUUUCUUUCUUUCACUUUUAAGGGCGAUACGAAUGCAUAUUAUAAAAAGACGCAAAUUCUAUGUAAAUUAUGUGCAAAUUCGGUUAUUAUUUCUAUGAGUUUCUUUUUCAUUUCCUUUCUUCUGGAGGGUAAUACCAAUGCCACUAAUUCAUUCUUACUUAGAAUACUUCAUUAGUUUGAUUUUGUUUGAUUUUUCUUCAUUUUCUUUCUUCAUUAUGGGUAAUACCAAUGCUAGUAAUUCAUUACUUGUUUGCAACCUUUUUUUUUUGAGAAAAUUCCACUAUUAUAUGCUUAUUCUUCUAUAUUAUAAAAGAGUGCAAUUUUCUGUGUAAAUUGUGUGCAAAAUUCAUCAUUAUUUUUUUGAUUGUUUGCAUUUCCAUUUUUCUUUAAGGGUAAUACCAAUGAUACCUUCCAAAAAUGCCUUAUAAAAAGGUAGUACUAAUGGCACUUAUUCAUUUCAUUUUUAAAAAGUUUUCUUUGCGAAAAAAUCCACUAUUACAUGCUUAUUUUUGCAUUUAUGAAAAUGCGCAAUUUCAUUGUAAAUGGUUUGCAGUUUUUGUCAUUAUUUGUUUUCGUUAUCUCUUUCUGUCAUCUUUAAGGUUAGUACCAAUGCCACUAAUUCAUUCUUAGAUACCCUUUUUUCACAAAAUUCCACUAGUAUAUAAUUAUUCCUGGAUAUUUUUUUAAAAAAGUGCAUUUUCUAUGUAAAUUGUGUGCAAAUGUUGUCAUUUUUUUUUAAUUUUGUCUUCCUAAAGUGUAAUACUAAUGGCAUGAAUGUAUUAUUAAAAAAAAAUAAACUUCUUUAUGGGUAAUACUAAUGGCAUCAAUUCGUUCCGUCUUAGAGAACUUUCAUUUUGCAAUAAUUCCUCUAUUAUAUGCUUAUUCUUACAUAUUGUAAACAAUCGUACUAGCAAUCUUCCUGUACAUACACAUUAUCAGCUCAUACCGUGCACCAAACGGUGCUAGAUCGAAUCAUGUCUUGUCCAAUCGGGCUCAGCUCAUCUCAUUAUACACACACGUAGGACAACUCGUCAUAGCACCGCUUGGUUAUGAAACAGUACCAGAUUAAAGAUUUUUUAUUACGGAAACCAAAUUAAAGAUUCCACGAGUCAGCUUUACUACUAUUAGUUAGCCUGCAUGGCCGCCACUAGGCUGGUUCACUACCACCGCUAACCACACCACAGCUAGCAGCCUAGCGGUGCAUGUCGUUACAGUUUUGUCAAUAUUAAGGCAUGCACCAGCCGGUCCACUACUACCAAGGAAAGCGUCGCUAGUACACACAUUGACUGAAACAAAAUGUGGUCGACUAAUAUUGUUUUCAGUGGACUGUCAUCUAGUCGCUCCCGAUAGAAGUAGAUACAGGAUAGAAGAGAUUGAGAUAGUUAAAAUUACAUGGAGAACAUUUCUCAAACUCUAAUACCCUCCCAUAAUCUAAACUAUCAUAUGUUAAGAUUUCUCUUGAAUUCUUCAAAAGGUUUAACUGGCAAGGCUUUAGUGAACCCAUCUGCUAUUUGAUCCUUGGAUGGAAUGAAUCUUAUGUCCAACUUCUUCUCUGCCACUCUUUCUCGCACAAAAUGAAAACCAAUUUCAAUAUGCUUAGUUCUGCCAUGAAAGACUGGAUUAGCAGAGAGAUAGGUGGCUCCCAAAUUGUCACACCAUAAACAUGACACAUGUUGCUUAAUUCCCAACUCAUUAAGCAAUGAUUCCACCCAAAUAAUUUCAGCAGUGGCAUUUGCAAGUGAUUUGUACUCAGCCUCUGUACUUGACCUUGAUACUGUAGCAAUACAUCCUGCCCAGUCAGCAUUAGAGAAAGCAUUAACAAGGAAGAACUAGAACGUCUGAACUGAAGUCCAAACUCACAGUGUGCUUAAUGUAUCGUACAAUGCUUUUGACAGCUGUCCAAUGAGUGGUGGUAGGAGCAUGCAGAUAUUAAAAAACCUUGUUUACAACAAAUGAUAUAUCUGGUUGCGUCAAAGCCAAGUACGGUAGAGCUCCAACAGUGCUUCUAUACUUUGUACUCUCUUCCUCCUUAAGUAAUUCACCUUCAUGUGCUGAAAGCUAUUCUGAAGAAGACAAUGGUGUGGGAGGUGACUUGCAGUCUUUCAUUCCCAUACGAGCCAAAAAUUCAGUGGCAUAUUUUUCUUGACUCAACACAAUGCCAUCUUGAAUCUUUUUAACUUCAAUACCUAGGAAGAAGUGUAAAUCAUCGAGAUCCUUCAAAGCAAAUUCUGAACUUAAGUUAUGCAAAAGAGCAUUAGUGGCAUUUUGUGAGGAGCUUGCAACUAUGAUGUCAUCAACAUAAAUGAGCACGAACAUGACAGUAUUUGCCUUGUUAUAAAUGAAGAGAGAAGUAUCUGCUUUGGAUGCCACAAAAUCAAGAUGUUUCAAUUGUGAGCUCAGCUUUGAGAACCAUGCACGAGGGGACAGUUUCAGACCAUAAAGAGCCUUCUCAAGUUUGCAAACUGUCGGGGUUUUGGUGCGACAUAUGCCAAAGGAUGGCUUAUCAUGGUGGGGGAGAGUAAGAUGUCGCCGGUGCCUGGAAACGGGAUGAGGCGUAAACACGAACACCGACGCACUUUACCCAGGUUCGGGGCUCUCCUAGGAGAUAACACCCCUAGUCCUGCUCAGUGGGGUCUCCGCAUGAUCACUAUCUCAACAAGUAGCUACAAGUUGCUCCUUGAGCUGUUUUGCUAGAGGAGGAAGAAGGGCAGGGCUAUCUCUACUCCUCUCUCUAUGUGUGUGUGUGGUCUAAGAGGCUGAACCCUUUGCAUGGGUGCCCUGGGGGGUUUAUAUAGGCCUACCCCCCAGGGGUACAACGGUAAUCUGGUCGGAUGUGGGACCCGGCCAUCAGUGUCUCUGGUGGCCGGCUUCUCCGCCGGCUGCUGGGGCCCGCCGCCUGGUGGGUCCCGCCGACUGUCUUGUACUUGGCCGACAGGUCGCGCCCGCCGAUUGCUUAGCACUGUGGCAGUGCCUUUGAUGAUGUGUGCUUUGUCGGGGAGAGCGUGGCUACAGUCCCGCCGCCUGGUGGGCGUUCACUGUAGCCACUCUCCAUCUCUUCUGGUUAAUGGCGCACAAACUCCAAGGAAGGGGGAGGGCCGCCUAGUCAGGAGCCGGCCUCCCCCUGAGCCGACUGGUCAGGGCCCGCCGCCUGUGGGCCGUACCGACAACCCGUUGUGGGAGCAUGGCCUUCUCUGCCAUGGGUGAUGUCAUGGGCGAUGUGGCAACAGUGUUGCGCCGGGCGAGGAAUGUCCGCCCAGUACGCUGCACUGUGGCCAUGGUCCGCCCUGGAUUCGGGGGUGGCAAGCUGCACUGUAGCCACGGCCCGUCUCGUCGUGAUUACGAGGGUGCUAACUUUCAGGGCACGAGGGGCCGCCUGCUAGAAGCCGGCCUAUCUGGAGGCCGCCUGCUAGGGGUCGGCCCACUCGGUGGCCGUCUUCUGGAAUCCGCCGCCUUCUAGCAGCCGGCCCCAAGAAGGCGGUCUUUUCCUUGAUGCUUGACGGGCGCAGCCGGCCCCGAUGUCUUGAAAUACCAAGGGAGCCUGAUGAGGCUACCGGUGGUCAUUUACUCCGACAGUAGUCCCCGAAGCUGGUGGGGCGCCGCGGCUGAGAAGGCGAGGAGCCCCAGCAGCUUCCUACUCCGAGUGGUCAGGUCGCUUUGGUUCCGUCUUCCAAAGUGCCGGCUGGCAGGAGUCGGACGUGACCAGGCAGGCCGCUUGGUGAUUUUGAAACGUCGUGGCUGGAGCCAGGUGGCACGCCAGCCGGGCGCCAGGCUUGCCGCCCGCUGUUCGCACACCAUGCGGCGCCAGCCAGCCGGGCCGGCCUGCCAGCCCACGCGUGCGACGGGACGUCGCCGCAGGCAGGGGCCCGCCACUACCGGGCCUCGGCACGCGCGCGGAUCUGCUGUGGCCGAGGUGGACGGUUGAAAUUCCGAGGUGCAGUCAUUAUCCGCUGUUAUGGCGCGGUAAUCAUGGGGUCGUGGGCGCAGUUAUCCCACGACCCCCACGUUCUCGCCCCCUCGGCUCCGCUGCCUGGGGCUAUAAGUAGGGGGGAGGAGGGGGGCAGCAGACGCACGCGCGCCCUCCUCUCCCUUUUCGUUCGCCGUUUUUUCUUCUUCUUCUCCGCUGCCGCAGCGCCUCUUCCUCUCGCCGAAGCGCUGCCGCAACUCUCCGUCAUUGGGAUUCUUCUUGCCGCGGCCUUCUCGCUCCGCCGCGGUUCCGCCCGCUCGCCACCGCACCGUGCCUCCGACGAGCUCCAUCGUCCAUGGCGCGCUUACGGUCCGGCGAUUGGGACGGCUCCAACGUCCAUGAGGAUCACCUCAUGUUUCUUCAUCAGACGUGGCGGCUGCCCCAGGAGGCGAACGUGAAGGUACGCGUCCCCCCCCAUGACUGAAAUCUCGUCGGUGCCGGAGGAGGACGAGCGCGUCGUCUUCCGGUCACAUUUCCUCCUUUGCUUCGGCCUUCCGGCGAGCGGCUUCUUUUGCACUUUCCUCAAUUUCUACCAAGUCCAGCCGCACCACCUCACACCAAACACGGUGGUGCUGCUGGCCGCCUUCGUCACCAUGUGUGAAGGUUACCUCGGCACUCUCCCCACGCUCGAGCUCUGGGCCGAGUGCUUCUACAUCAAGCUCGGCACCGCCGCCAAGGGCACGCCGGCUCAGUGCGGAGCCUGCGUAGCGGUGCGGCGUCCGGGUGCCGAGAACCGCUUCCCGGCCAUCACUGUGCUGCAGUCGGCCAAGCUGUGGCAGAAGUCCUACUUCUACGUCAAAAAUCUCCACCCGACGAUGGACUACAUCAACAUGCCGGCUUACGUAGCCGGCCCGCCUGCUGAGCCGCGUGCCAGCUGGCGGUACAAGCCGGCCACUCUGCCGGCCACCUCCAACGCCGCCCUCGCCCGAAUGCAGGUGAUGAUGGAGUCGGAGGGCCUCAAGGGCUCGGACCUGCUGGCCGCCUACGUGGCGCGCCGAGUGCUUCCCCUUCAGGCCCGACCGCACAUCAUCAGUAGCAUGAGCGGGCACCAGGACCCAUGCCGGAUGUGCACGCGGGACCUGCUAGACGUGGAGGUGGUCCGACUGGUCAAUUACUUCUCCAACUUCAAGCUGUCGGAGAAGGACUGGCAGUUCGGCAAGCAGCCGUACGACCGCGCGCACCUGCCGCCUGCGGUGAGUCUUGUUGUUCUUUUCUUUCCUUUGCUUGCUCGAAUUCUUUUUUGCCGUCUGGUCAGUCGGCAAUGGAACGGGUCUUCUAGACCCAGUCAGCCGCCGAUGCUCUAGAGCCGGGCUACGUGUUCAUGCCGGACCGGACGCGAAGCGAUGUGGAUGACCCCGACUUGGGGGCGGCCGCCAUGGAGGAUGACGACGCCACGGGUGGCGGUGGCGGAGCAGGCGGCUCCAGAGGAGGAGGCGGCCUCGAGGACUGGCCAGAUGACGACGAGGAGGAGAACGAGCCACGCCACCCACCGGUCGCCAACAAGGCGGGCGCGAGCUCUUCAGCUGCGCCGACUACACCAGGCGGCACACCAAAGCACCGAGCCGGCUCGCUGCUGUUCGGCAGCCGGCCGAAGAAGCUCAAAAGCUUGUCCGCCACGACCAAGCGGUAGGAGGCCGCCGCGAGGGCGGCCCAGUUCCAGAAGGCCCCAAAGCAGCCCCCGAUGGUCUCCGCGUAAGUGCUCGAUUUUCUUGCGUUUCCCUUUCUUGUUUCUUGCAAACUCUUUCUGAGUUUCUUCUUUUUCUUGUUUGAACAGGGCUCCGCUCUCUCUUGAGCGGUCGGCCUCUGCUUCCGUGAUCGGGGCGGCGGAAGGUUCCGCCAACACCCGCCGCAUAAACCCGCUCGCUGACCUCUAGGAGGUGACAGAAAAGAAUGCGCGGGAGGCGCGCGAGGAGCGGGAGGAGGCGGAACGACAGAGGGCGGAGACGGCCAAGGCGGCACAGGAGAGGGCGGACGCAGCGGCCAAGGCCCAAGCCGAUGCCGCGGCUAAGGCUUAGCCGGACGUCGCGACCAAGGCAAAGGCGGACGCGACCGCCAGGGCGCAAGCGGAAGAGGCCGCACACGGCCAGACUCCGCAGCUCGUCAUCCCCAUGCAUUCCGCGCCGCCGGUGCCAGAGAUCCCGGUGCCGACUGGAGGAGUCGGCGAUGACCAGCCGGUCAUGGAGAGGGAGGAGGGCAACGCCGUCAUCUUGAGGGCGGAGGUGCCCCUGCAAGGGCCGACUGCCGAGGCCCACGGCAGUCGGCCUGACGUGCUGUUGGCACCGCCAGUCGGCGGCGAGCUGGUGGUGGGGGUGACCCCCGUGGUCCGCACUCUGGCAUGCUGGAGUGCGGCAAAGGCGACUUCGGCGCCGCGGCCGCAGGAGAUCGGGGACGCAAGCUCGUCGGCCCCUGAAGCGGAGGCCACCAGUGCCGCCCCGCGAGAGUGUAUGUCUGGGGAUGGGAUGAGUGUCCUGAACAAGGCUGCGCAUGAGGUUCAGACCCAGCUUCAAGCCCAAGGCACCACCCUCCAGAACUACACGAAGGCGUUCUUGCCGACGCGAGCAGCCGUCCGGGUAUGCCUCUUGUACUUUGUUUUGAUUCUUGUACUCUUCCGUGGGGGCGCGCCAGCGCACCCACUGGGUGUAGUCCUCGAGUUCCGGGCCGGCUGCUGAGCAGGCGGCUCGGAACUUAAAGGUAAGUUCCGAGUGCCGACCCUUUCUUUCCUUCUGUUGUCUUUGUUGCAGGAUUACCACAACAUCUGUGUGGCCGCCUUCAACUCCCAGGUCCAGGAACUGGCCAAGCGGACCACUGAAUUGUUCGACAGCCGAAGUAAGCCUUCAUCUUUUCUCUCUUGCGGGGGCGCGUUAGCGCACCCGCUGGGUGUAGCCCCCGAGAUUCGGGCCGACUGCUGAGCAGUCGGGCCGGAUCUCCCGGCAACCACUUUUCUUAUUUGUCGAUUUGUUGAUUUUCUUGUCUUUGUAGAAGCCAACACCGCCUUGCAGCAGCAACUGGGCGAAGCCCAAACCGCACUGCACGCCAAGGAGGAGGAGUGCAACAAGGUGGCCCAGGAGCGCAACCGCCUGGUCAAGGAGCUGGCGGACCAGGUGGACCGUCACAAGGCGGCCCUCCAGAAGGCGAAGGACAGCGAGGCCAGGCUCCUGGCCGAGUUCGAGACCGAGCGCUCAUCCUGGGCUGAGACAGAGAAGGCGCUGAAUGACGGCUUCGGCGAGAUCGAAGACAUGAUCGACGGUGAGUUAUCUUUCUUCUCUUUCUGCCGCCGACAAUUAUAUGAGCCGGCUUCUGAUUUAAGACUUCUUCUUUUUGCCUGCACCAAUUUCUUCCCUGGCUAUGCCGUUGCCGCCAGCCAGGCCAUCGAGGCUUGCCGCGACGAGCGAAGGCAAGCUGGUACGGAGAUCGCGCCCAACGCCCCUCAGACUCUCGCCGAGCAGCUUCUUGCCAUCCAGGCUCAUCUCCAUCCGGCUCAUCGGAUGCUCCACCGCCUGCAACGUGUCAGAGCCCAAGUGAUCUCCGCCCUCUGGCCAGGUGUCCAGGCUCCGCGCACCCCCAGUCGGACCGCUGACUGGUUAGAUGUGGCUUUCGGACGCUUUGAGGCGUGGAAGGGCUCCUCAGCCCGGGCAAGCGCAUGGCGGGCCUUGGAAUUCGUCAAGGCGUGGUAUCCUGGGCUAAGCCUAGCCCAAUUGGCCACAUUCGGGCAGGAAGCCAAUGCGGAGUUGGUGGCGGUGAGGCGUGAGCUCACUCAACGCGCGGCGGCGAUCGCCGAGUACACCGUGACCGGCGUUUUCCUCCCCGAGCUGGACGAGGAGGGUGCUGAGGUGCCGCCGAACUGGUUCGGGCUGAACCCGGACGACGGUGAAGACUCGAUGGAGGAGAUCGCCUCCAGUGACGAAGGCAAGGACGAGGAGGGCAAGGAUGGUGGAGACGACGCGCCGGAUGUCGGAGCGGACAGCCAGCCUCAGCUCGACCGUGCCUCGAGCAACGAGCCGCGUGCGAGUGCGUCGACUUCUGCUGAUGGCGACCAAGCCGAGACUUGCCAGACGGCCACUCCACUAGCCAGCGUCGCCGACUCCACCAGCCUGCCGGACCCGCCUGCUGCUCCUUUGGCCUAGGCGGCCAAUUUUAUCUUAACUUUUCAUGCUUUGUAGUCUCGCGAACAAACUUGUUAAAUGUGCGCAGUUCCACCCGCUGGGGGUGUAUUCAAACUUCGUUGAAUGCUGGCCAAGGGCCUUUUGAUAUGUAAAUUAAAUUCCGCAUGAGUUGUGCUUUGCCGAGUUCCGACUUGUCUUGCUUCCUGUUCUUUUGGAUUUUUUCCUUUGUUGCCUUCCCUUGGAUGCCGCCUUGCCAGCCAGACAGCCGCUUUGCGGUCUGUGGCCUGGUCAAGUACUUAGCCAUUUGGGAGGGCAAGUACUUUGGCCGUUUUAGAACAUAGCAAGUAAGUAAGAAGCCGACCGGCCGGCUGCUCAGCAUCCGGUCGGUGAGGCAAGGAGCCGGCUUGGCCUAUGUGAGUGCUUUUUGUCCUUAGCCAUUUUUCAUGUGGGCACCGUUUCUUGCCUUUAACUCUUGCCAGCCGGACAGUCGUUCUGCGAACUGCGGCUUAUGGCAAGAAAGGGCUUAGAUGCCAGCACAUUACUUGUCCGACUGCAGGUAGCACCGAGAUAGUACAAGGCGGCAAGCCCCCGGGCCGACUGGUCGAACCCGGUGCCAGGCGAAAGAAUGAAAUAACACAUUCAUAGGCAUAAAAACUUAUCAUAUAGAUAAAAAGAGUAGCCCCCGAGUGCUCCUCGAGGGACCCGAUGUCUUUGCGCUUAAUACAAAAGGUAGCAUGGUACGUACUGCAUGAACUGUAAAAUCUUCGAAGCAGAUUUGCAUUCCAUGGGCGCUUGGUCUCCUUGCCGGAGUCGUCCCUCUUGUGUGCCCUGGGCUUCUGUGCAUCGAUCAGGUAGUAGGAGUCGUUGCCCAAUGCUUUGCUGAUGAUGAAGGGGCCUUCCCAAGGGCCGAGAGCUUGUGCUGGCCGGCUGUUCGCUGGAUCAGCCGGAGCACAAGGUCCCCCUCUUGGAAGGAUCUUGGCUUGACCUUCUGACUGUGGUAGCGGCGCAAACUCUGCUGGUUGAUGGCGGACCGCCUGAGUGCCAACAGCCGGCCCUCUUCCAGCAGAUCGACGCCAUCUUCUCAUGCUUCCUUCGCAUCUGCCUCCGUGUACAUGGUGACCCGAGGUGAGUCGAACUCAAUGUCAGUUGGGAUGACAGCCUCGGCCCCGUACACGAGGAAGAAAGGAGUGAAGCCGGUUGACUUGUUCGGAGUGGUGCGCAGGCUCCAAAGGACGGCCGGCAGCUCGUCAAUCCAGCAGCCGGCCGAACACUCGAGUGGCUCGACCAGUCGGGGCUUGAUGCCGGAGAGGAUGAGGCCGUUUGCUCGCUCGACUUUGCCAUUUGACUGCAGAUGGGCAAUAGACGCUAAGUCCAGUCGGAUGCCCUGCGUCAUGCAGAAACGAGCCAAAGCGCCUUUGGCAAAGUUUGUGCCAUUGUUGGUGAUGAUGCUGUGUGGUACACCAUACCGGACGGUGAUAUCGGCAAUGAAGGUCACAGUAGCCGGACCGUUUAGCUUUUUGAUUGGCUUCGCCUCAAUCCACUUGGUGAAUUUGUCUAAGGCGACAAGUAAAUGAGUCAUGCCGCCGCAUGCUGUUUUGAAUGGGCCCACCAUGUCCAGCCCCCAUACGGCAAAGGGCCAAGUCAGGGGGAUGGUCCUGAGUGCAGAAGCCGGCAGAUGUUGCUUGGAGCUGAAUUUCUGGCACCCUUUGCAUUUCUUGACCAGAUCCUUGGCAUCUUUUAGAGCAGUCGGCUAGAAGAAACCGUGGCGGAAGGCCUUGGCCACAAGGGAUCUGGAGGCCUCGUGGUGGCUGCACUCGCCUUGGUGGAUGUCUUUGAGGAUUGCUUGGCCCUUCUCUAGCUCUACGCACCGCUGGAACACGCCAGUGACGCUGUGCCUCACAAGUUCUCUGUUGACGAUGGUGUAUGCUGCUGCCCAACGUUGCACCUGUCGGGCCAAAAUCUUGUCGGCUGGUAGCUCUCUACUCACCAGAAAGUUGAGGAUGGGCUGCGCCCAUGAUGGUGCUUCGAUUUCAUCAACUGUCAUCACGGCCACUGAUACUAGGGCGGCUGGGUUGGGUGGCGGUGGGGUGGAGUCGGCUGCCGCUUGCUGCGUCAUUGAAGUCCCCGGGCCGACUGCUGCAGCCCCCUGAUACGUCUCCAUCGUAUCUACUUUUCCAAACACUUUUGCCCUUGCUUUGGACUCUAACUUGCAUGAUUUGAAUGGAACUAACCCGGACUGACGCUGUUUUCAGCAGAAUUGCCAUGGUGUUAUUUUUGUGCAGAAAUAAAAGUUCUUGGAAUGACCUGAAAAUCAACGGAGAAUAUUUUUGGAAUAUAUAAAAAUACUGGCGAAAGAAUCAAGGCCAGGGGGCCCACAUCCUGUCCACGAGGGUGGGAGGCGCGCCUACCCCCCUGGGCGUGCCCCCUGCCUCGUGGGCCCCUGGUGCUCCACCGACCUCAACUCCAACUCCAUAUAUUCACGUUCGGGGAGAAAAAAAUGGGAGAGAAGGAUUCAUCACGUUUUACAAUACGGAGCCGCCGCAAAGCCCUAAACUCUCUCGGGAGGGCUGAUCUGGAGUCCGUUCGGGGCUCCGGAGAGGGGAAUCCGUCGCCGUCAUCAUCAUCAACCUUCCUCCAUCACCAAUUUGGUGAUGCUCACCGCCAUGCGUGAGUAAUUCCAUUGUAGGCUUGCUGGACGGUGAUGGGUUGGAUGAGAUUUAUCAUGUAAUCGAGUUAGUUUUGUUAGGGUUUGAUCCGUAGUAUCCACAAUGUUCUGAGAUUGAUGUUGCUAUGACUUUGCUAUGCUUAAUGCUUGUCACUAGGGCCCGAGUGCCAUGAAUUCAGAUCUGAACCUAUUAUGUUUUCAUGAAUAUAUGUGAGUUCUUGAUCCUAUCUUGCAAGUCAUUAGUCACCUACUAUGUGUUAUGAUCCGGCAACCCCGAAGUGACAAUAAUCGGGACCACUCCCGCUGAUGACCGUAGUUUGAGGAGUUCAUGUAUUCAAUAAGUGUUAAUGCUUUGGUCCGGUACUCUAUUAAAAGGAGGCCUUAAUAUCCCUUAGUUUCCAAUAGGACCCCGCUGCCACGGGAGGGUAGGACAAAAGAUGUCAUGCAAGUUCUUUUCCAUAAGCACGUAUGACUAUAUUCAGAAUACAUGCCUACAUUACAUUGAUGAACUGGAGCUAGUUCUGUGUCACCCUAUGUUAUAACUGUUGCAUGAAUGAUCGCAUCCGACAUAAUUAUCCAUCAUUGAUCCAAUACCUACGAGCUUUUCACAUAUUGAUCUCUGCUUAGUUACUUUACCGUUGCCACUGUUACAAUCACUACAAUACUGCUACUGUUACUUUUGCCACUAUUACCAUUACUUCCAUAUUACGUUGCUACUAAAUACUUUGCUGUAGAUAUUAAGUUAUCCAGGUGUGGUUGAAUUGACAACUCUGUUGCUAAUACUUGAGAAUAUUCUUUGGCUCCCCUUGUGUCGAAUCAAUAAAUCUGUGUUGAAUACUCUACCCUCGAAAACUGUUGCGAUCCCCUACACUUGUGGGUUAUCAAGACUAUUUUCUGGCGCCGUUGCCGGGGAGCAUAGCUCUAUUCUUUGAGUCACUUGGGAUUUAUAUCUGCUGGUCACUAUGAGGAACUUGAAAGACAAGAAAACCAAAAUUUAUCCCUCAACUACGAGGGGAGGUAAGGAACUGCCAUCUAGCUCUGCACUUGAUUCACCUUCUGUUUGAGUAAGCUUGCGACACCUAAACCUGCUUCUGCUAUUAAUUCUGAUAUGUCGCAUGUUAUUGAUGAUGCCACUUCUGCUUUGCAUGAUACUUAUGAUGAAACUACUUCUAUGCUUGAUAAUACUGUGCCACUAGGUGAAUUUCUUGAUGAACAACUUGCUAGGGCUAGAGAGAAUGAAAUUAUUGAAAUUGAUAAUAUUGAUGAAAGUGAUGAUGAAGAUUCUCCCCCUAGAUAUGAAUUGCCUGUUGUGCCUGAGGGUUAUGUUAUGGAUGAAGAAACUGCUAGAGAUUUUCUUGCUUGCAAUGAUAGGAAUGAUCUUAAGAAAUUAUUAGCUAAGCUGAAAGAAAAAUCUCUAAGAGGUUGUUUGGAUAAGUAGAAUAUAUAGAAUCCAUUCUCUAUAAAGCUGGAAAACAGUCUAAUCGAAUAAAAUCCCGUUUGGCUACUUCAACUAAUCCCUGGAUAUAGGAAACUUGGUUUUCUAAAACCUGGAAUUCUGCGUUUAUAGAAAAACGACUAUGAGUCGUUUUUCUAAAAACUCGAUUUGCGUAUACCUAGUCUCGUUGCCUCCUACUCCACGCCGUCUGUCCGCGCGGCAGUCAUGCCUCCGCCUCCUCGGUGUCGUCUGUGGUGGUCACGACGCCUUCUCCUCCAUGCCGCCCGCCAUGGUCCCGCCUCCUCCUCCUCCAUGCCGUCCGUCAUGGUUGCACUGUCGACCAUGGUUGUGCAUCGUCUCUUCCUCCACACCGUCCAUCUUUGCAGGGCUGUCGGUCGUGGUCCUGCGGUGAUCACGUUGUUCGCCAUGGUCGAGUCUCCAUCGAGGCCAGCUCCUCGACGGUCUAUUUGCAGCAUGGACGUACAUCCACUCUGUUUGCAGUCUGGACGACCGGCGUCGAGGGGCGGCGGGUGUACGUCCGAUAGCAGCUUCCUAUUGCUGGUCAUUGCCCUGAACUUGCGCUCUCUGGACGUGUACGUGAUGGCCACGAACAUCAUGCUCGCGGAUGCCCUGCGUACCGGUGUGGACAAAGCAGCCUGCUUACUUACCGUCGAGGCGCUCGUGGAGGCAGAGCGGCACGGUGAAGUAGAAGAAGGCAUGCAUCUGUGUGGCCUUGCCGCUAUACGCAAAGAGAAGUCGAAGAGGAAGCGGCGUCCAGGGACGCUCGAGAUGGCAUCAGGAAGUGUCAAAUAUCAGGAACUGCGGAGAAACUCCGUCGGUGCUCAAUCUGGGUAAAAGUUCAUGGUUGUAGUUCACAAGAGAAUAAGGCUGAAUCGUUGUACAAGCAGGAAACAAGACGUACUAGUUUCAUCGUUUUCUAACCCAAACAAGAUUUUUUAUAAACUGAUUUUUCACAAAACAGUUGGUAAAACGGGUUUUGCUAAAAUCUGCUAAAAACCUGUUUUAUAUAAAUCCAUCGCUAAUAUUCCUUAUACAAACAACCCCUAAAUGCUAGAAUGAAAUAUGACCCUGCUUUUGCUACUUCACCUAUCUGUGUUACUGAUAAGGAUUAUGAUUUCUCUGUUGAUCCCGAGAUAAUUACUUUGGUUGAAUCUGAUCCUUUCUAUGGCUAUGAAUCUGAAACUAUUGUGGCACAUCUUACUAAAUUAAAUGAUAUAGCCACCCUGUUCACUAAUGAUGAGAAAACUCGCUACUAUUAUAUCCUUAAUUUAUUUUCGUUCUCAUUAAAGGGUGAUGCUAAGACAUGGUUUAAUUCUCUUGAUCCUGGUUGUGUGCGUAGUCCCCAGGAUAUGAUUUAUUACUUCUCUGCUAAAUAUUUCCCCGCUCAUAAGAAACAAGCCGCUUUAAGGGAAAUAUAUAAUUUUGUGCAAAUUGAAGAAGAGAGUCUCCCACAAGCUUGGGGGAGGCUUCUCCAAUUACUUAAUGCUUUGCCUGAUCAUCCUCUCAAGAAAAAUGAAAUACUUGAUAUCUUUUAUAAUGGACUAACCGAUGCUUCCAGAGACCACCUGGAUAGUUGUGCUGGUUGUGUUUUCAAGGAAAGAACUGUCGAUCAAGCUGAAUUGCUAUUGAAUAAUAUGUUGACUAAUGAAAAUAAUUGGACACUUCCUGAACCAACUCCUAAGCCAACUCCGAAGAAAAGGGGUAUUCUAUUUCUCAGUCCUGAAGAUAUGCAAGAGGCAAAGAAAUCUAUGAAAGAAAAAGGUAUAAAAGCUAAAGAUGUUAAGAAUUUACCUCAUAUUGAAGAAAUACAUGGUCUUAAUUUACCACCAAUUGAAGAAAUACAUGGUCUUGAUAACCUGACACAGGUAGUAAAGGUAAAUUCUCUCUAUAGAUAUGAUAAAGCUGAAAUCCCUUCUACUAAGUUUGCUAGCCAAUGCUUGGAUGAGUUUGAUGACUUUAUGGCUAAACAAGAAAACUUCAAUGCUUAUGUUGGUAGACAAUUGAAACGCAAUGCUUAUAUGAUUGAACACUUGAGUGAUUAUAUGUCUGGAGUUAAAGGUGAACUUAAACUCAUUAGUAAACAUACUUCUAUGGUUACCACUCAAGUAGAACAAGUGCUUAAAGCUCAGAAUGAUUUGCUCAAUGAAUUAAAUAAUAAGAAAAAUGAUAACACUGUUAGAGUUAUGACUAGAGGGGGUAAAAUGACUCAGGAACCUUUGUAUCCUGAGGGCCACCCUAAAAGAGAAUUGAGCAGGAUUCUUAGAGAACUAAUGUUGAUGCACCUAGUCCUUCUAAGAGGAAGAAAAAGAAAAAUGAUAGGACUUUGCAUGCUUCUAGUGAACCUGUUGUUGACACACCUGAGAAUCCCAAUGAUAUUUCUGUUUCUGAUGCUGAAACACAAUCUGGUAAUGAACAUGAACCUAGUGAUAAUAUUAAUGAUGAUGUUCAUGUUGAUGCUCAACCUAGCAAUGACAAUGAUGUAGAGAUUGAACCUGCUGUUGAUCUUGAUAACCCACAAUCAAAGAAUCAACGUUAUGAUAUGAGAGACUUUGUUGCUAGGAAGCACGGUAAAGAAAGAGAGCCAUGGGUAAACCCAUGCCUUUUCCUCCUAAACCAUCCAAGAAAAAGGAUGAUGAGGAUUUUGAGCGCUUUGCUGAAAUGAUUAGACCUAUCUUUUUGCGUAUGCGUUUGACUGAUAUGCUUAAAAUGAAUCCUUAUGCUAGUAUAUGAAAGAUAUUGUUACUAAUAAAAGAAAGAUAGCGGAAGCUGAAAUUUCCACCAUGCUUGCUAAUUAUACUUUUAAGGGUGGAAUACCAAAGAAACUUGGAGAUCCAGGAGUACCCACUAUACCAUGCUCAUUAAAAGAAACUAUGUUAAAACUGCUUUAUGUGAUCUUGGAGCCGAUGUUAGUGUUAUGCCUCUCUCUUUAUAUCGUAGACUUGAUUUGAAUAAGUUGAUACCUACUGAAAUAUCUUUGCAAAUGGUCGAUAAAUCAACUGCUAUACCUGUCGGUAUUUGUGAGGAUGUGCCUGUUGUGGUUGCAAACGUUACUAUUUUAACGGACUUUGUUAUUCUUGAUAUUCCCGAGGACGAUAGUAUGUCUAUUAUUCCUGGUAGACCCUUUUUGAAUACUGCAGGGUUGUAAUUGAUUGCAACAAAGGCAAUGUCACUUUUCAUGUUAAUGAUAAUGAGCAUACGGUACACUUUCCGAGGAAACAACCUCAAGUCCACAGUAUAAACUCUAUUUGAAAAAUUCCAUCGAUUAUUUUUGAAGGUUUUGAAUUUCCUCUCCCUACUGUCAAGAAGAAAUAUGAUAUUCUUAUUGUUGAGGUAACUUAGUGUUAUUCGAAACUUCUCCGGUUUCAUGUGAUUCGAAACGAGUUUGUUAACAAGACUUGAUCAACCUUGUUAGUGGAUUCCUUUUGAUGAGCAUCAGAUGGAUGAAGCUAGAAAGCACAACCUUCUGUACCCUCCUUUUACUUUCUGUUAUUUAGAUUAAAUAAAGAAAAAAAAAAUAGUAUUUUCUGUCUGUUUUCUGAAUUAUCCGUGCAAUAAAAAUACCCCAAAAAUAAAAGUUCUCCAAAUGUCCCGAAAUUGAAAUAUGAUUUUUUCUAGAAUAUUUGAGAAUAUCUGGCACUUAGAACUCAGUAGGGGGAGCAAGCACCUGGCCACGAGGGUCCAGGGUGCGCCCCCUGCCUCAUGGGCCCCUGUUGGCCCCCCUCUACUUAUUCCUGCACCCACACACUCCUUCCUCCCAAAAAAAUCACCAACCCUCUCAAGCACGAGUUCUAGCUCAUCUUGCUGCCAUUUUCGAUCUCCUUGCUCAAAGCUCCACUCACAAAACUGCUUUGGGGGAUUGUUCUUCGGUAUGUGACUCCUCCAAUGGUCCAAUUAGUUUUUGUUCUAGUGCUUUAUUCAUUGCAAAUUUUUGCUGCUUAGGUGACCCUGUUCUUGAGCUUGCAUGUCAAAUUUAUAUGGUCCCAAGUAGUUCUAAUGCAUGAUAUAGUCUCUAGGCACUUGUGGGAGUAGUUGCUAUCAAUUUUUUUGAGUUUGUUCACUUUUAUUUUGAGUUACUAAAAAUUUCAGAAUUUUUCAGAGGAAGAAAUUGUUUAGGAAAAUGUAUCGAGGUGGUUCUUCAAGGAAGCAAGGAACCAGGCCCACAAUAUGUGAGCUGGACCUUGAACCACCAAGAGAAGCUCAAGUGCGGCCUUGUGAAUGGCUGCCAGAAGAUUUCAUGGUCUGAGCAGGAAUUAAGGAGGAAUUUGACGCAUAUGUGCGUAAUGCCGAACUCGAGGGCUUCAUGCUAGAUAAGUGCCUCCAAUACUACUACCUUACUGAUUCCUUUGUGAGAAGGUUUAGAUUUUCAUCAUCACGCAACUCUCACAUGGUCCUGUUUGAUCUUUAUGAUAAAUCUUAUACCAUGGACUUAGAAGAUUUUAAUACUGCUUGUAAACUCCCACAAUGGGGUAGUGCUAGUGAACCUCGCAAAUCUGAGUUUAAAGAUUUUCUUGCUAGUAUCACUGUGCGGGAAUCUAGAGAAAUAACACAAGCUACCAUAGGGAGCAUUCAUUUUCCAGCUAUACGUUAUUUUGCUCUCUUUAUAGGUAGAUGCAUAAAUGGUAAGGAUGAGGCAUGCCACAUGUGUGUUCCUGAUCUCAGUGUUCUCAAGAGUGCUGUAUUAGGAGAUAAACAAUAUAACUUGGGAGCUAUUGUUGCGCGUAGGUUGCAUAAUAACAGUAUAAGUGGAGAUUUGUUUGGUGGAAUUUAUGCAACCCAUUUAGCUAAUUAUCUUGAGGUACCCAUUCGUGAAUAUGAUAUGGAGUUGCCUCCCGCUUAUUUAGAUUUUAAUGCUAUGGUUCGCCAUCAGUUUAUUGAGAGGAAUGAACAGCCUCUCCAGUACCGACUAAUCUUUGACAGACAUCGCGCUGUCUAUAUUGCUCUCCCUGCUCCUGCUUUCUUUGAUUUUCAGGCAAAAGGGAGAUACAUUAUAACCAGGGAGGAGGCGAACGAGUAUAAGAGGGAGACGGAGGCAGCUCGCCUCCAAGCCGCAACCCACGAUGCAAUAGCUGCUGCAUCUCAGUACGACCCCAGCUACAACUUUGAUCCAUGGGCAUAAACCAACUUAGGCCAAAAGCCUAAGCUUGGGGGAGUACGUAUUUCUCACCGACAUUACAUUCAUGUUCACACACUCAUGCUAGUUGUCGGUGUUCAUACUUUUUCAUUGUACUAUCCAGUUUAUUUUCUUUUUCCUGUCUUCUUCUUGUGUGCUUGAAAAAAAACUUUAAGAAAAACAAAAAAACAUUAGUUGUAGCUUUUAGCUAGUUUACUUUUCAUGCCUGUAGUAGUAGCAAUUAAAAGAAAACCCAAAAUUAUUUCUCGUUCUUCUUUUUGCUUGUUGGGAGCUUGCCCGUGUAAAUAGUUUUAUUUCCUUUCUUUUCUUUGGGGUCGAGAGGAGAAGACCAUGAUGAAAAUGUUAAAGUGGCUCUUAUAUGCAUUGUUGUUGAUUUAACCAGGAGCCCAUAUUAUCUUGUCUUCUCCUUUGUAUUAAAUGCUUGCAGAUUCCAGCUUAGUUCAAUGCACGUGUACUAUUAUUAUUAUCCACACCGUUCGGUCAUGCAAGUGAAAGGCGAUAAUGACGAUAUAUGAUGGACUGAUUGAGAUGAGAUAAGCUGGUAUGAACUCGACCUCUCAUGUUUUUGUAAAUAUGAUUAGUUCAUCAUUCCUGAUUCAGCCUAUUAUGAAUAAACAUGUUUCCAAUAACAAUUAGAGAUUAUAGUUGCUUAUGCCUGAAAGUGCGUUAUAUCGACUAGAGGGGGCGGGGUGAAUAGGCGAUUUUUAUGAAUUCUUCAUUGAGGAAUUUGCGGGUGAGGAAAUUCCUUAGUUAAGAACUACUAGCAGCGGAAUAAGUACUCAAAAGUAAACAUAACAGAACACAAGCAUGGUCAUCAUGAUGAAAUGAAGACAAGCACAGAGUACAGAAAGCGUAAUCACAGGAUAACACACGAUGAAGACAAACAGACUGAAGAAAUUGAACUGAGGAAAUUGAGAAAGUCUUCAGUCAAAGUCUUCAAGCAGAUAUGAACAAGUGCACAACACAGUUAUGAGGAAAUGAAAGAGUUGAGGAAAUAGAACCAGUAAGCUCGGUGAAGACAAUGAUUUGGUAGACCAGUUCCAACUGAUGUCUCAGUUGUACAUCUGGUUGGAGCGGCUAGGUAUUUAAACCUGAGGACACACAGUCCCGGACACACAGUCCUCACCGUAUUCUCCUUGAGCUAAGGUGACACACACCUCGCCCAAUCACUCGUGGUAAGUCUUCAGGUGACUUCCGAACCUUCACAAACUCGGUCACUCGGCGAUCCACAAUUCCUCUUGGAUGCUCUAGACCAUGACACCUAACCGUCUGGAAGAAGCACAGUCUUCAAAGGUAACAACCGUCGGAUCCACACAGGAUCAAUCUCUUCAGUGAUGCUCAAUCACUUUGGGUUUGUAGGUGUUUUGGUUGGGUUUUCCUCACUCGAUGAUUUUCGCUCAAAGUCCUCGGAGGAUGGGAUGCUCUCAAAUGACAAGUGUCAGUUUCUCUCGGAGCAGCCAACCAGCUAGUGGUUGUAGGGGGCGGCUAUUUAUAGCCUAGGGAGCAGCCCGACAUGAUAAGACAUAAAUGCCCUUCAAUGAUAUGACCGUUAGGUGGGUAGAUAUUUUGGGACAGCUGGCACAAGGCACAACAACGGUCGGAAAUUUGAGUAUCAAAUUCCUCAGGGCUAUCAUGUUCCUCACUGUGUAGGCAAUCCGCACUGGCGAAUUCCUAACUCCUCAGUCAGAACAAAUUCCUCAGAGACGAGAAGAACUUCGUCUCUGUCACUGAAGAAUAUGACUGAACUGUAUGAGAUUUCCAAUGGCUUCACUCGAAGGGAUUGGUAGGUGUAGGAUUUUGAGUUGAGCAUCACAUGGAAAUUUUUCCUUAGUAUUUCCUCGACCCCCUUUAACAGUACGGUGUUUCCUAUGACUCAAGAAAGAGAAAAUGAAACUACGAAAACAAAAGUCUUCAUGCUUCAUGUUCCUCGAAUGAAUACCAAGUCUUCAAGGUCACACCAAUUUCUUCACUUUCAAAGUCUUCAGUCGAAGAACUUCAUUUUUAGGGGUCGACUUUUUCUGUAAAUAUCAAACUCCUCAUAGACUUAUAGUCCUGUGUACACUCAUAAACACAUUAGGCCCUUAACCUAUAAGUCUUCAAUACACCAAAAUCACUAAGGGGCACUAGAUGCACUUACAAUCUCCCCCUUUUUGGUGAUUGAUGACAAUAUAGGUUAAGUUUUCAACGGGGAUAAACAUAUGAAGUGUAAAUACUGAUAUUGAGGAAUUUGAUUGCAAGAUAUAGAAGAACUCCCCCUGAAGAUGUGCAUAGUGAGGAAUUUGCUUUUGAAGCAAUGCACACUUGAAGAGUUGAAUCAUGGAGAUCUCCCCCUAUAUCUUGUAAUUCAUACACGCAUUUAACAUAUGAUAUGAAGAAUUUGAAAUGCAUGAUGAAAUAUGGUGACUGAUGUAAUUCAGCAUGCGUGCAUAAACAUUAAUGAGGAAUAAGCAUGCAGAAAACCACAACAAAAGUAUCAGGCCACCAUAGAGUUUAAGUUUACAACUCGAUCCAGCAAAGUCAUCAGAAGAACGAGAGUUGUAACUUUUCAACAAAAAACGCCCAUAUAGGAUAGACCCGCUUGAAGACUAACUCAAAUUUCUCCCCCUUUUUCAUCGAAUGACCAGAGGAUCGAAACUGAGGACUAACGCCCCUGAAGAAUAUCAAGUUGAUGAAGGAGCGUCAGCGCUGUUGGGGUCGAUUGUUGAUGUUGGGCCUGCCACAGUGUCGUCCAAGUCUUCAUGCUCGUCGGUGUCGCGCGAUGAAGAAUAUGAGCUGGCCACCAAGGAAGGAACCUUGACCUUCUUGUAUUUCUUCGGUGGAGGAGCAGACCAGUCAAAGUAUUCCUUGAGACCCAUUUUCUUCAGAUCUUCUUUACUAUAAACAUGAGACAGAACAUCCCAGGUACGGUUGAAGGUUUCAUGGAGGUAGUAAUGGGUUUUCUUCACUGCAUUGUGGGUAGCAGUCAUGUUGUGAAGAAUUGAACCAAACUGACGCUUGACCCAUUUGUGAUUGCGAUCAACCUUCUGGUGAAGACUGAGGAGAAGCUCACGAUCAGUCAUCACCCUGGGAGCUGUGCCUUGAGGAUUUUGCAUGGUAGCGUUGGCGGCAGAGUCAUGGGUGGCAGAGUCGUCAUUGGUGGAGUAGGAUGCAGCUUUGCGAAAUUUACCAUCCAAUGGACGAAUGCCUUCAUCAAUAACAGCAGAAGCCUUGCCCUUGUCAUCAGCUGAGGAAAAUGUCCGUUUGAGGACUUCAAUCGGGGGCAAGUAGCUGUAGUGAUUCAGAGUAUCAGCUUUGUAGUUGAGUGAAGACCUUGUUCUGAUGAAUCUCAUAAUCCACGGAGCAUAAGGCUUCAGCUCAAACGAUGACAUUGUGACAUUGGCCAGAUUCCUCAUGAAGAAAUCAUGGAAGUUGACGGGAACGCUAUGCAUGAUAUUGAAAAGCAGAUUCUUCAUGAUGCCAACAACUUCUUCUUCAUUCGAGUCGUGGCCCUUGAUAGGAUUAAAUGUCUUCAUCAGAAUGCGAUAGACAGUCCGAGGCACAUAUAGUAAUUCCUUCACGAGGAAUUUUGUUCUUGGGGCCUGACCUGGCUUCAAUGGCUUCAUCAGCACUUGCAUAUAGUGGUAUGUAAGCUCAGGCUCUUGGUACAUGCAACGAGCAGCUUCAAGGGGAGGACUGAGAGGCAAGGCACGAAGCAAUUCAGUAGCUGGUGCCUUAUAGUGAGUAUUUUCAGACAUCUAGUCCAGCACCCAGGAGUUCACAUCUUCAGAGUCUCUGGUGAUGUGCAGCGUUGCAUAAAAUUGAAGAAUGAGUUCUUCAUUCCAAUCACAGAUAUCAGUGCAGAAAUUUAACAGUCCAGCAUUGUGAAGAACACUAAGGACUGGCACGAAGCAUGGCAGAGAUUCCAUAUCCACGUGAGGAAUGUGCUCAUGAUCGAAGACUUUGUCUUUGUUAAACAGCACUGAGGAAUAGAAAUUUGCCUGGCUAGCAGUCCAGAAAUGCCUCUUCCUAAUGCGAGCAGAGUCAUAGGGGUUGUAAUCUGUGAAGAAUACAUGCUCGCCGAAGAAAUCAUCAGUCUUGAAUUUUUGCUUCCUUGAGAAUGGAUUCUUUGGCUUGGGUUGAGGAGUGUCGGUCAGUUGCAUCACAACAUCAGGAAUCGCAAUCUCAGGUUCUUCAGGCUGAGGAAUUUCUGGUUCCUCUUCAAUGGCAGUCUGCGUCUUCAAUGAUUCAGCAGCAGCAGUUUCUUCAGCACUAGUGGUUGGAAUUUCUUCAUGUACAGACGGAGUGGGGUGAGUUUCUUCAGAGCCCAAUGGAACAAUAUGUGCUGGGGACUGAGGGAUUUGUUGCAAUGGCGUGAAUAGAGGAGAGUUGGGAUGCUGACUAUCCCAAAAAUCAUCAUUCAUCAAUGGAGUAGUACUCCCAAUGUCCACGUCAGAAUUUUGUUCAUCCAAUUCCUCAACGCUGGCCUCUUCUGCAGUGAACUGAGGCGGCGAGGAGACAAUUGGAGUUGAAGGGAUUGCGUCCGCUUCAAUUUCUUCAUCCAUCUGCUCUGAGGAAGCAGCAGAGGGAAUGUCUUCAUCAGAUUCACUUGAAAUCACAUAGUCUUCAUCAAAAGGAACAAGGUCCUUUGAUGGCAUGGUUGAGAUAGGAACAACAUCAAUUGGGUUGUCAAAUGAGCUGGUCAAUUUCUUCAUCUUCUUCGGAGCUGAAGAAUCUGAUGAAGCUGAUGCUUUCCUUUUCCUCACCGCUGCACGCUCUGUAGCCUUGGUCUUCUUCACAUCUGAUGCAGAUGGAAGGAUCGGAGUUGGGGUAGGCGCAGGAGGAGCAGAGAAAUUUGGUUGAAUUUCUUCAGGCACAACUGAUGCAGUUGCCCUGACUUCUUCAUUUUCUUCAGGCGCACCACUAGUGGAUGCCCUGGUAAUUUCUUCAGUAGCUGGAAUGCAGUCAUCAGCCCUGGAACUCACAUUUUCUUCAGCAGCCUGAUUUUCAUCAGCGGUGCUGGCGUGCUCUUCUGUUGGUUGAGCAGAUGCUUCGGCUUGAGGAAUUUCUGGUUGCGAUGGAGCUGCAACCUUUGAAGUGAAUUUCUCGGUCAGUUUUACAAACCUAACCUUGGCUCCUUGCCAAUUAGCAUAGUAAGCAUUGAAGUCAUCGUUGAGGCCUUUGAUUUCAGCCUGGAUCUUCACUAGUUCUUCAGUUGUCAUAGAGACAACAUUUUUCUUCAGGAAGCGCUCCUUCCUGUACUGAGCUUUCUUCAGCUGCCUGGCCUUCUCAAAUUUCCAUUUUUCUUCUUCAAUGAAGGCAGUCAGAACAUGACUUUGACCAGGAGUGAGGUUCAUCUCCGGCAAAGGAGUGUUGGGAUCCUUGUGCCAGAGAUCGAUGUAUUCUAGGAUCAACUUCAGAUCCAAAAGCAGUGGCACAUUGCUUCCUUUGGCUCUAGUGGCCUUGAGUUGUCUUUCUCUGAUGAUUUCGGCUAGUUCAUCAUCAUCAGCCUCAUCAUCAUCAGAGGGCACUUGGAAAGCAACCUGCUUCUUGUGAGGACUUGGUCGAGGACCUCGUCCAGCAGCAGACUUUUUCUUCAGCAGAGAGGGGCCAGCUGAGGAACUUGGAGCAACUGAGGAACUUGCAGAGGCUCCUGAGGCAAUAGAUAUGCCUGCAGUCCUUUGGCACAUGGCGAGAUGCAUAGGUGCUGAGGAUUUAGUCGGAGCAGCCGAAGACUUUAGCGGAGGAGCUAAGGACUUUGGAGGAGCAGGAGCAAUUUGAGGAGUUGGCCAUGAGGGCUUUGAGAAAUCUGGCCGUGAGGGCAAUGCUGAGGAACUUGGCCGUGAGGGCAUUGAAGGUGAAGCACUUGGCUUAUGUGCAGGCUUCUUUGCCAUGGCCUUUUUCGGCUUGACAGUAGAGGCCUCAGCAGAGGCAGCAGUAGCAGCAGAGUCCUUGACAGCAGGAAGUAGGGUAUUACCUCCAUCGAGAGGGCCCGAACCUGGGUAAACAUCGUGUCCCCCGCCUCCUGUUACCAUCCGCCUUAGACGCACAGUUCGGGACCCCCUACCCGAGAUCCGCUGGUUUUGACACCGACAUUGGUGCUUCCAUUGAGAGUUCCACUGUGCUGUCACCAUAAGGCUUGAUGGCUCGUCUCGUUGUUAAGGAGAACAUCAGCUCUAGGGGAGCCCUGGCUGUAGGCCAAACUCUCCGACUAGGCGGCUUCGUCAUGACCGCCCGCUUGGCCGUUGCGCCGACGAUGACUUCUCGGGUCAUCGAAAGCAGCCUCCGCGUCGGCUCGGAAUUCGCCGAGGAGAUGGAUCCAAUGGAGCUUUCUUCCUUGAACGAGCUCGUGGAUCACAUCGCCGCCUUGGGAGUCGCUACAGACUAUGAUCGGAUCGGGCUUAAAACCGACCAAAGGGAGAUUAACUCUCCGCCGGUCACCCAUCAGAUAGCGGUGGUGGAGGAGCAAUGUAGCGAUUCUUCCUCUAUUUUGAGGACAAACUAUGUCCGGAUUCCCGAGCUCUCCAAGACGGAUACCCGUCUACGGGAGGACAUGGCCAAGCUUUGAACCUAGAAUCAGACAGCGGGCCAGACCUAUUGGGCAACAUCCCGGAGCCCGAACUUCUAAGAUCGGAAACUCCCCCACCCCUGGGUCUCAGAUCGGGUCAGGGUUCGGACUUAAAUCUACCCACCCACCCAGAUAUAAGUGAUAUUUCCCACAUUAGACAAGAGCCCCAAGAGACAGUACAUCACUAUUGGGCCAGAUUCCUCCUUGUAAUGAACAAGGUCAAGGACUGUCGCGAGGAAGACGCAAUUUCGUUCUUUUGCAAAAAUUGCGCGGACAAGGGAAUCCUCAACGCCAUAAGUCGCCGUGACAUAGCACACUUUGCUGACUUGGCGGCCAUAGUACAAAAGUACUGUGCGAUGGAAAGCGCCUGGAAAACCCAAACAAAAUUCUGGGAUCCUCCGGCUCUCACUAAACCCCCCGUCCAAACUAAAAGGGUGUACUCUCGUAAGUCACCCGAUCUAAUUAGAAAGAAACAAAAGCCCACGGCAGGGCGUGGAACUAUAUUGGAGGGAUGGCUCAAGAGGCCAUGCAAAAUUCACAGUACACAUGAUACCACGCCAACUCAUAGCCUUAGUGCAUGUUGGAUACUUUGGCAGGUGGCCAAGAGCGGUGAGGAUCUCCUCAUCAACAAUACCGCAGAGCACCAUCCCAUGGACAAUAAGUAUACAUUAUUGACAGUCUUCGAGACCUUCGCCUCAAAUAAUAGGCGUAAGCGAGCACUCCGCAGCCUUGCCGAAGUCUGCCAUGUGGCAGCAAUAAAUCCAUGAGCAAUACGGCUAUAACCUUCAAUGCCAGUGACGAACCUAAAUUCCGAACAGCCCGAGCACCAGCCGCCUUGGUCCUUAGUCCAAUUGUAGAUGGAUUCUGGCUUACUAAAGUGCUCAUGGACGGUGGCAGCAGAUUAAACCUCAUCUAUGAGGAGACUCUUCAAAAAAUGGAAAUAGACAGGAACCGCAUUGAGCAAAGCAGCACGACCUUCAGAGGGAUCAUCCCUAGUCGGGAGGCACGAUGUGCAGGAAAAAUCACACUAGAUGUGGUAUUCGGCACGCCGGAGAAUUAUAGGUCCGAAGAAAUCACAUUCCAAGUGGCCCCGUUCAGUAGCGGAUACCACGCCCUUUUAGGGCGGGAGGCAUUCACGAUCUUCCAAGCUAUACCCCAUUACGGGUACAUGAAGCUCAAAAUGCCCGGGCCCAACGGAAUCAUCACUCUAGCUAGUGAUCCGGACAUAGCACUCCGCGCCAAAAAUAAAACCGCCGCACUAGCCCUUGAAGCGUUAUCCGAAGCCCUCGCGGCCGAAGAACUAACUGCGCUGCGCUCCACAGUGGACAGGGACGACGUGAUUCUCGAUAGAAGACCCAAGUCCACCUCUUUUAAACCAGCGGACGAAAUAGUCAAAUUCCAGGUCCACCGAACGGACCCCACAAAAACAGCAUCCAUCGGGGCACAGCUGGACCCCACAACCGACACCGCAUCACGGGAGUUCUUGUGCAAAAAUUGGGACAUAUUCACCUGGCAUCAUUUAGACAUGCCAGGAAUCCCACGCAGGCUGGCCGAGCACAGCCUUAAUAUUAUAAAGGGGUUCAAGCCGGUCAAGCAGACUCUCCGGCGUUUCUCCGAACCUAAGCGACAAGCCAUGGGAGAAGAGCUAGCCAAGUUACUUGAGGCCGGAUUCAUCAGAGAAAUAAAACAUACGGACUGGCUAGCAAACCUGGUGAUGGUACCAAAGAAGGACAAAUCCUUGCGCCUAUGUGUCGAUUUCAAGGACCUUAACAAGGCUUGCCCCAAGGAUCCCUUCCCCCUCCCCCGCACCGACCAAAUUAUCGACACUACUGCAGGACACGAUUCAUUGUGUUUCCUCGACGCAUACUCCGGGUACCAUCAAAUUAAGAUGGCGGAAUCCGAUCAGGCCGCAACGGCAUUUAUCACCCCAUACAUCCCCUUCUGUUUUAAUACCAUGCCUUUCGGGCUCAAAAACGCCGGUGCAACCUAUGAACGCAUGAUUCAGACAUGCUUAGAAACACAGAUAGGCAAACCAAUGGAGGCAUACAUAGACAAUGUGGUCAUUAAACCAGACACGUCGAAUCCUUAAUAGACGACUUGAGGCUCACGUUCGACAAUCUCCGAACAUACGACAUCAAGCUCAAUCCGGAAAAAUGGGUCUUCGGCGUGCCCACCGGAAAGCUCUUAGGCUUCAUUGUCUCCAAUAGAGGAAUUGAAGCAAAUCCGGCUAAAAUCAGAGCUCUGUCACAGUUGGCUAUCCCAACAGACCUCAAGCAAAUCCAGAAACUAACGGGAUGUGUGGCUGCCUUAAGCCGCUUUAUCUCCCGAUUAGGAGAAAAGGCACUACCUCUUUAUUGCCUUCUUCGACGCACCGAACACUUCGAGUGGACGGAUGCUGCCACGGCCGGAUUGGAAGAAAUAAAAGCCAUCCUGGCCACCAACCCAAUCUUGGCCGCGCCAAAUGUCGGUGAACCAAUGCUGUUAUGUAUAGCGGCAACACACCAAGUUGUAAGCGCAGUGCUCGUCGUCGAACGAGAAAUGGAAGGACAUAAGUUCCCGCUUCAAAAGCCGGUAUACUACGUAUCCACUGUCCUCACUCCAUGCAAAUCAGGGUACCCACAUUAUCAAAAGAUAGCAUACGGGGUCUUCAUGGCAACCCGGAAACUACGGCACUACUUUCAAGAGUGUUCAAUUACGGUGGCCUCUGAAGUACCACUCAACGACAUAAUAAACAACCGCGAUGCCACGGGCCAGAUUGCCAAAUGGGCUAUUGAGCUCCUCCCGUUCGACAUAAUAUACAAACCACGGCGAGCCAUUAAGUCACAAGUACUGGCUGAUUUCGUCGCUGAAUGGACAGAAGCCGAACCCCCUAAAGAGUACGGCGCAUACUCCAAUUGGAUCAUGCAUUUUGACGGCUCUAAAAUGCUGGCUGGUCUGGGGGCUGGUGUCGUCCUGACAUCCCCCACUGGAGAUACAGUCCAAUACGUACUCCAAAUACUAUACACAGAGUCCAACAACGCAGCAGAAUAUGAGGCCCUGUUACAUGGUCUCCGGAUGGCAGUCUCCAUGGGCAUUCAACGCCUAGAGGUGCGUGGGGAUUCGAACUUCGCAAUAUCUCAAAUAAAUGGAGACUUUGACGCCAAGGAUCCGAAAAUGGUGGCUUACCGCAAUGCCAUCCUCAAGAUGUCAACUCGGUUCGAGGGGCUUGAAUUCCACCAUGUGGUCCGGGAAAACAAUCAGGCGGCGGAUAUCCUCCCCCGCAUCGGCACUAAGCGCGACCCUGUCCCACCUAAUAUCUUCUUGGAAAGGCUGUUUAAGCCAUCCGUGGUAUGGGAAGGAGAGACCGGCAACAAUAGUCCGGACCCGGCCACAACGUCAGAUCCCGAACACCCUGACAUAAUCGGAGGCUCAGCCACCGAAAUAACACCUUUGGCCCACGUGAUUAUGGCCGUCGUCGCCCUAUGGACAGAAGCCUUCUUGGCUUACCUAACUAGGCAAGAACUCCCCGAGGACCCAAAUGAGGCACGUUGCAUUGUGCGGCGGUCUAAAGCCUACAAGGUCCACGAGGGAGAGCUUUAUAAGAAAAGCGCUACCGGAGUACUUCAAAGGUGCAUCUCCGAAGAGGAAGGACGACAACUAUUGGCAGAAAUUCAUGCUAGACUUGGCGGCCAUCACGCCGCAGCCCGGGCCCUUGUAAGCAAGGACUUCCGAACAUGUUUUUACUGGCCGACGGCCCGAGCAGACGCACAAGACCUCGUUCAACGUUGCAUCGGUUGCCAGCUUUUUGCAAACCAAAGCCAUAUGCCACCUACCACUCUCCAAACAAUCCCCAUUACUUGGCCUUUUGUGGUCUGGGGGCUUGAUAUGGUCGGACCCCUUAAAGGGGGAAGCCAUAAGAAAAAAUACCUAUUGGUCAUGGUGGAUAAAUUCACCAAAUGGGUAGAAGCCAAACCAGUUAAAACGGCCGAAUCCGGACCAGUGAUAGACUUCAUAUUCGUGGUUGUACACCGUUACGGCGUCCCCCAUAGCAUCAUCACCGAUAACGGCUCGAACUUUACAGCCGACGAGGUAAAGACUUGGUGCAGCAACAUGGGCAUUAAGCUUGAUUAUGCCUCCAUUUAUCACCCCCAAACAAACGGUCAGGUCGAAUGGGCAAAUGGUCUUAUCAUGAGGGGCAUUAAACCUAGAUUAGUGCAAUCCUUAAAGGAAUCAGAUACGCACUGGGUAGAGGAGCUCGACUCUGUACUGUGGGGGCUGCGGACCAUGCCGAAUCGCACUACUGGAUGCACACUGUUUUUCAUGGUGUACGGCGCAGAGGCGGUACUGCCCUGCGACAUCAUUCAUGACUCACCUCGAGUGCGCAUGUACGAAGAGAAAGAAGCCGAGCUUGAUCGGCAGGACAGUUUGGACGCCCUGGAGGAGGAGCGUGACAUGGCAAAAGCCCGCUCCGCAUUCUAUCAGCAACAGGCUCGACGGUAUCAAAGCAGAGAAGUACGGGCCAAAACUUAUAAUGUUGGCGAACUAGUUCUACGCCUACCAGAGAAGAAAAAGAACAAACUCAAGCCCAAAUGGGAAGGUCCCUUCGUUAUCGACCAAGUUCUGACAGGUGGAGCGUACCGUCUGCGGGAUGCAUCGGACAAUCGACUCGAGCCAAACCCAUGGAACGCAGCCAGACUCCGAAGGUUCUACGCCUAGUUCCGGACUAUGUGUUCGUCUCCUUACCUCCGUCAAUUUUUUUACAUAUAAGCUAUCUGCCUUUUCUUUCUUUCUUUCUCCCCUUUUUCCUUCACAGCCUUACAAGGUUAAAAUGUGUCUUGACUACACAAUCUUGACGCGCUAGGCGUGCUCAUUAUACCUGGGGGCUUCUUAUACAGAAGCUUAAUAUAAUUAUGUUCCGGGCUUUAUGCCCCCCGCACAUGUGUUACUUUUCCACAUGUACCUUUUCUUCGCCAUUAUAUGCAUCGAUAUGACUUAAGUUUUGGCCAAGCUGGUUUGCCUGGCUCUUGUGUUUAUGCCAUACGUUCCCGUUAAUUCGGCCAGGGCAUAAGGGGAGCACCUCUGCGAUUGUUACUGUCGGGUCAGCCGGAUGUGUACCUCAGACUGGGUGAAGCCGAAAGCUAGCGUUCUUAAGGGAAUAUUCGGUCGGUGAACAAAAGAUGGCUUUUAUUUAUUGUAAUACAUGCCCCCAGAUGUUUAUAUCCCGCGUCUCCUUUCGCAGUUCGGACAUGCACAUUAAUGCAUGCGUACCCAGGGAAAGGAACCCUUAACGGAACUAUUCUCCCUGGAAGAUGUUUCUUAGUAUCCAUGUAAUAUAACAUAGCUAGUUGGGUACUUGUCUGUUCAAGCACUUAUGACCCCUACGUCUGGUUUCCACGCGUACCCUGGUUUUUUACAUAACUGAGCGGGUAUUCAGAUACACUCCGGACUGCCGGGUCCAGAGGUCGAAGCGAAAAGGUCCGCCAUGACAAAUGAUUUACAAUCCGGCUAGGGACAAUAUAUGUCAAGUGAAGUACACAGUCACUUAGACUGACUAAAUUCUUCUUCUAUACCAUCCAACAAGCUGUCUAGCCUACAGUCCUGUUGGGAAUACUUUGCGGCUAAUUUCACCUGGUCAUACACCAAACUGACGGGGAUUUCUUUCCCGUCAGACCCCACAGGUCCGACUUCGGCCAUAUGGUUCGGGUCAGCCUUGGUAUAUCGAGUCUUCAGCAUGGCCCAGGCUUCCCUCGCACCUUGUCAGCAGGCAGAUAUCUUCCAUAAUCGGAAGCGCCGCCGCGCUCCCUUGAGCAUCUCUGCGAGCUCCCCCAUGCCUCUUGGCAGGGAGGCGGAUGGCCACAAGGCCUGGGCAAUGCCCUGCAUCACCUGCCGAACUUGUUCGUGCAAUUGUGAGAGCUCGGGCAGAAGGUCACCUGCAGACCCGGGCAUCUCUUCUGCGGGACGACCCGUCAGCAUACCUACAGAUAUAACUAUGUUAGUCAGUUUCUUCGCCGAACUCUAUAAAAGUUCGUUCGAGCAAUUACUAAAAAUGCCGCGUCGAAGCCUCUUAUUCUCCCUUACGGAGUCAGCAAGCUGGGCCCGAACAUCUUUCAGUUCAACACUCAGCCGGAUAUUGGCAUCUUGGAGAUCGUUUUUCUCCUGCCUAACCUUCUUAAGCACGUGCUCGCCAGCCUUUAGCUAUUGUUGAGCAUGUUGCUCAUCGCCUCGCACGACCUCUGGAUUCACUCCGGGGUCAUCUGCGGAAUCUAUUGUUAGAUUUGCAGGCAUGCCGCAUACUACCUGGUACAUGUCAUUCUUUGCAAUAGAAACAAGGGUUACCAGAUGGGGCCUUCUCGGAUUCCUUCACUGCAGCAACUGCGGCCUGAAGCUGGGCUUUACACUCCUCCAGCUCUUGAGACAACUGGGUAUUCUUCUCCGUAAGAAUCUAAACAAAUAAUGAUCCUUAAAUCAGUUGUGUCAACUGUUUCAAGUCUCAGGGGCUACUAAUAUACAUAAUUAUUAGAUUUUCUUACCCGUAUAUCCUUUACAUACUGGUCCGUGGCUCUGGCAAGACCAUUUUGAGCAGCUCGGAUGUACGUGUCUCCUGAGUUGAAGGCAUCGAAUGCCUCUUGGGAGAAACAAGCGUCGCGGAGUACGGCCCGACGACGCCUGUGAUUCGUGGCGCUCUCCACUUCGGAAUUCGUAGCGGACAGCCUAUCUGCAUCCUCUAUAGGAGGAACAUCCGGUGUUGGCCCCAUGUUAGCGUCUGCCUCUAAGUCCGGCUCUGGAGCCCGACUGGUGGAGGUGUGGCCGGCAACCUCUCCGGAUAUAGUCCGGCGAGCGUUUUUCCUACUAGGAAACAUGGGUGUUAUUAUAUUUUAAAAGACGACAACCAUGAAGCGGGGUUCUUUUUCAUACCUCUGCGAUGGCGUCUCAGUCCUGACCGCCUUCCUUUUGAGCCUACCCGGCUUCGGUGCCCCUUGUUGGUGAGUCACUGCGGGUUCGGCAUGGCGUCCCGAGGGCCUUCCCUGUAAGACACCAUAUGUGUGCGGUAGGGGAAGUGCUGAAAAAGGGAUCCUUCUCGGAAGUUGGGACUCUAGUUUUACUUACAUGCGAUGCAGGGAGUAGUCCAGGAUAAUCGGCUAUGAUGGCCACCAUGACACCGUCGCAGCUUAAUUGAUAGAACGUCAUGUCAAUAAGCUCCACAAAUGUGUCCGGAUCUUCUUCGAAUCCGGGGUCGAGGGCCCGGUCAGGGUCCUCUGGUUGUGGAGGUGGGCUGUGGACCUCCCUCACAGCUUUUCGCAGUUCCUGCUAUGAAAUGGCAAGGUAAAUACUUAUGACGAGGAAUGCGGGAAGGUUUGGAGUAAAAAGUAGCAGCUCACCCAGCUUGGGGGGUUGUACACGGAGAAUCCAUCCCGUGGCUUAAUGUGGAUGAACUCCUCUUCCUCUCCUUUGUACAAAUCAGACAUAAUUUUCGCUAGAGCAGCGACUGAGUCCGGUCCCUUACGACCGCAGCGGGUGGCAUCGUCUUCUCCAUUGAAGUUCCACAUGGGUUGUCCCCGAUAUUGAAGUGGCUGCACCCCCCGCAUUAUACAUAUUGACAUAACCUCGAUUUUUGUCAAUCCUGAUUUGGCCAGCGUCUUUAUCCGGCCCAUCACGUAAAGGACUUCUCCGUUAUCUUCCUCCUGGGGGCUCCGAGGGCGCCAGCUGCGGUGUUUCUUCAAGGGAGCUUUGUCGAACUCAGGAAGGCCCAUCCGAAUAGGGUCCGGAAGGGGGACGUCCUCCAUAUAAAACCACUCCGAAGGCCAGUCUUCGGAUGUCUUCUUCGGAGUACCGGACAGGUAUCCGGUCUGGUGAUGUGCCAUAUCUCGGCUCCGCCCACUUGAUAUAUUGACCCCUCCUGUGUACGGGGUACGAGGCAGAAUAGCCUCUUCCAUAGCUUGAAAUGAGCUUCGCAGCCCAAAAAACAGCUCGCAAAGGGCGACGUAGCCAGCGAUGUGUAAUAUGGAGGCGGGAGUAAAGUUAUGCAGCUGGAGGCCGUAGAACCCCAGGAGCCCGCGGAGGAACGGGUGGAUUGGAAAUCCGAGCCCCCUUAAUAAGUAAGGGACAAGGCAUACCCGCUCCCCCAUGGAUGGGUUGGGAAAGCUCUCCGCUUGCUCCCUGCCGUUGUAGGUGGCAAGUCCGGCUCGAACGGGGACCAUAUACGCUGGAGGGAGGAAUCCCUGGGUCUGUAACUCUACUAACUGGCUGUGAGGGACGGAACACUUCUUCCAAUUGCCUGGCUUAGAGCUACGGGAGCGAGAGGAGGAGCUGCGAUGGCUGGCCAUGAUGGGAUGGACUUUUUCGGGCACGCUCCGAUGGAUACUCGCUGUGGGAGGACGGUGUGAUCUGGAUCUGAGGAUCCCCGCCUCUUUAAAUAGACGAUUUACUUGCAUGGUUAGGGUGGCAAGUGUAAAAAUGCCCCGACUUCUCGCAUUCGCUCGACACAUGGAGAAUAGCCAUUAUUAGGCGCAGAAGCCAAGGAGUGCAACAUUCAUGGGAAGCCGGACACUACUCGACAGGUACUCAGAAUUUGGAGAAGAACCCGCCUUGUAAUGCCGAAGACAAUCUGCGCGCCAGACUCAUCGUCAUUGAAGCCUGGUUCGGGGGCUACUGAGGGAGUCCUGGAUUAGGGGGUCCUCGGACAGCCGGACUAUAUACUUCUGCCGGACUGUUGGACUAUGAAGAUACAAGAUUGAAGACUUCGUCCCGUGUCUGGGUGGGACUCUCCUUUGCGUGGAAGGCAAGCUUGGCGAUUCGGAUAUGUAGAUCUCCUCCCUUGUAACCGACUCUGUGUAACCCUAGCCCCCUCUGGUGUCUAUAUAAACCGGAGGGUUUAGCCCAUAGGACAACAACAAUCAUAACCAUAGGCUAGCUUCUAGGGUUUAACCUCUAUGAUCUCGUGGUAGAUCAACUCUUGUAAUACUCAUAUCAUCAAGAUCAAUCAAGCAGGAAGUAGGGUAUUACCUCCAACGAGAGGGCCCGAACCUGGGUAAACAUCGUGUCCCCCGCCUCCUGUUACCAUCCGCCUUAGACGCACAGUUCGGGACCCCCUACCUGAGAUCCGCCGGUUUUGACACCGACACUUGCCAAACUUGGCCUCAUCAGGAGUGCAAUAGUCUUUGUAUAUGUCAUGAGGGAUUUCAAAGGCAGUGUUGACCUCAGGCCUCUUUCCUCCCUUCUGUGGCUUCUUUCCAUCACAUUCACUUAGCAGAAAAAGCAACUUCAAGAAAUAGCAAUAAGUGAAUGCUGUAGAGGACAUAUACUCAUAUAUAUAUAUAUAUAUAUAUAUAUAUAUAUAUAUAUAUAUAUAUAUAUAUAGCCAAUGAAGAAAAAAUGACGGAAACAGUGAAGACAAUGCAAAGUUGAAGAAAAUGAACAACUGAGGAAUUUCAAAACUGAGGAAAAACUCAAAUUGAAGAUUUUCAACUUUGGUGGUGGCGUGACCCACCGUAUAAGAAUGAUGAUUUCAGACACCGCGUACAAUUGUCAUAGGGUUCUAGGAAUCAAAUUCGUUGUUAAUUUCUUCACACUUAGAGUGUUAUUCUUCAUUGAUUGAAGAAAAACUUUACUUCAUGUGUUGCACAUCUAAGUCAUCAAUUUUUGCAUAAGUGUUAGGAUGAGUGUCCUGUUCAAAGAACAUUCGAAGAUUCUAAGAUAUUUAGCUCACACCGCAACUUGCUAAAUCUCUUCUCAUCCAAGGGCUUUGUGAAGAUAUCGUCUAGUUGUUCUUCAGUCUUCACAUGCUCAAUAGAAAUGUCACCCUUCAACACAUGAUCAUGAAGAAAGUGAUGACGAAUCUGAAUGUGCUUUGUCUUCGAGUGCUGAACUGGGUUGUGAGCAAUCUUGAUGGCACUCUCAUUGUCACAGAAGAGAGGCACAUUCUUCACGUUGACGCCACAGUCCUUGAGAGUUUGCUUCAUCCAUAGCAAUUGAGCACAGCAAGAACCAGCAGCAAUGUACUCAGCUUCAGCAGUAGACAGAGAUAUGCAGUUCUGUUUCUUCGAGGACCAACAGACCAAAGAUCGUCCGAGGAAAUGACAUGUACCAAUGUUGACUUGCGGUCCACACGAUCACCAGCAUAGUCAGACUCAGAAUAUCCAAUGAGAUCAAAAGCCGAGCCCUUGGGGUACCAUAAUCCAAGUGUUGGUGUGUGAGCUAGAUAUCGAAGAAUAUGUUUCACCGCCUUAUGGUGUGAUUCCUUCGGUGUAUCUUGAAAUCGUGAACACAUGCAAACACUAAGCAUAAUAUCUGGCCUAGAUGCACAUAAGUACAAUAAGGAACCAAUCAUGGAGCGGUAUACCUUUUGAUCGAAGUCAAUACCAUUUUCAUCAGUGCAUAGAUGGCCAUUUGUGGGCAUAGGAAUUUUGACGCCUUUGCAAUCUUGCAUGCCGAAUUUCCUCAGUACAUCCUUGAGGUAUUUCUCCUGAGAUAUGAAUAUGCCAUUGCGUUGUUGACAAAUUUGAAGACCUAAGAAGAAUUUCAAUUCUCCCAUCAUAGACAUUUCAUAUUCCUCUCUCAUCAUAUAACCAAAUUCGUCAGUGUAACGUUGGUCAGUACAGCCAAAGAUAAUAUCAUCAACAUAUAUUUGGCACACAAAUAAUUCACCAUCAUAAGACUUAGUGAAAAGAGUAGGAUCAAGUGAACCAGGUUUGAAGCCUUUCUUCAUGAGUAAUUCCUUCAAAGUAUCAUACCACGCCCGAGGGGCCUGCUUGAGGCCAUAGAGGGCCUUAUUGAGUCUGAAGACUUUGUCAGGAUGCUUUGGAUCUUCAAAACCUGGCGGUUGAGCAACAUAACUUCUUCCUCAAGCUUACCAUUAAGGAAUGCACCUUUCACAUCCAUUUGAUAUAAAGUGAUAUAGUGAUGGUUAGCAUAAGCAAGUAAUAUGCGAAUAGCCUCAAGUCUAGCAACAGGUGCAAAAGUUUCAUCGAAAUCAAUUCCUUCAACCUGUGUGUAGCCUUGAGCUACAAGUCGUGCCUUAUUCCUCACCACAAGGCCAUUUUCAUCUUGCUUGUUGCGGUAGAUCCACUUUGUGCCAAUGAUAUUGUGCUUACGAGGAUCUGGGCGUUUGACCAGUUCCCAGACGUUGUUGAGCUCGAAUUGAUGUAAUUCUUCUUGCAUGGCCUGAAUCCACUCAGGCUCCAGAAAUGCUUCAUCUACCUUAGCCGGCUCUGUGAUAGAGACAAAAGCAAAGUGCCCACAAAAGUUAGAUAAAUGUGAAGCUCUUGAGCGUGUGAGAGGACCUGGUGCUUCAAUGUCAUCGAUGAUCUUCUCAUUUUGCACUUCUUUUGCAACACGAGGAUGAGCUGGUUGUGGUCGAGGAAUUUGAUUAGCAUUUUCUUCAGCACCAUUUUCUUCAGGUGCCUCAGCUCGACGUUCUUCACGUUCUGGAAUGAAUUCUUCAGCAGAUUCUUCGGUAGGAAUGACAUCCUCAGUAGCCUUGAACUUGAUAGAUUCCUCAGGUGCUGGUUCAUCUAUCACAGAAGGUAGGUGCUCUCUUUGCGAGCCAUUAGUUUCAUCGAACCGCACAUCUACAAUUUCAACAACCUUGUGAAGAACAUUGUUGAAGACUCUUUAGGUGUGCGAGUCCUUUCCUUAACCAAGCAUAAAACCUUCAUGUGCUUUCGGUGCAAAUUUAGAGUUGUGAUGAGGAUCUCUAAUCCAGCAUUUAGCACCGAAGACUUUGAAAUAACUCACAUUUGGUUUCUUGUCAGUGAGGAGUUCAUAGGCAGUCUUCUUGAAGAAUUUGUGAAGAUAUACUCUGUUGAUGAUGUGGCACGUAGUAUCAAUUCCAUAAAUCUAGAAACGACGAGGAAUUUUGUAUUCAUCAAGCAUAGUGCGAGCCAUCUCAGCAAGAGUCAUGUUCUUGCGCUCCACGACGCCAUUCUGCUGAGGAGUAUAAGGAGCAGAUAGCUCAUGAGUAAUACCAAGUUCAUCAAGAUAGUCAUCAAGACCAGAAUUCUUGAACUCUGUUCCAUUGUCACUUCUGAUGUGCUUGAUCUUCACACCAAAGUUGGUUGAAGCCCUCGAGGAAAAUCGUUUGAAGACUUCCUGGACUUCAUGUUUGUAAGUAACAAUGUGUACCCAUGUGUAACGAGAGUAAUGAUCAACAAUAACAAAGCCAUAUUGAGAUGCAUCAUUUGAAACUGCGAAAUAAUGGUUAGGACCGAAGAGAUCCAUGUGAAGCAAUUCAAAUGGUCAAGUAGUGGUCAUGAUAGUCUUUGCUGGAUGCUUGGCCUUGGUCAUCUUUCCAGCUUCACAGGCUCCGCAUAAGUGAUCCUUGAGGAAUUUGACAUUCUCAAUGCCAAUGACAUGCUUCUUCUUUGCAAGCGUGUGCAAAUUCCUCAUGCCUGCAUGACCAAGUUGUCGAUGCCAUAGCCAGCCUUCUGAAGCUUUUGCAAGUAGGCACACGGCUGGUUGUGGUCCUGUAGAGAAAUCAACAAUAUACAAGUCUCCUCUCCUAAAGCCUUCAAAGACUUUGGAAUUGUCAGCUUCCAUGAUCACAACAACAACGAUACUUGCCAAAGACAACAACCAUAUCAAGAUCACGAAGCAUUGAGACAGACAUGAGGUUGUAUCCUAAGGACUCGACAAGCUGACUUUGUCCAUGUGUCGAUCCUUUGAGAUCGCAACCUUACCUAGACCCAAUACCUGACUUUUGCCUUUGUCAGUGAAGAUGAUAUGCUUCUGAUGCGAUGGAGAUAAGGGAGCAUCCAUCAAUAGAUUCUUGUCACCAGUCAUGUGAUUCGUACAUCCACUAUCGAGUACCCACUCAGUGGCUUUGGGUUGAUCAUCCUGCAGAUGAAUUAGUGCAACUUACGAACUCAUAUACUUCAUCAGUGAAGAAUAUGACAUCAAUUCAUUAGAUCAAUUUCAUCAAGCAAUAGAACAGAUAAAGCAGUAUGAGGAUGUGAGAAAUGAAAGUUCAUUUCUUCAUUGAUUAGCCUGCGUCCUUUCAGGCACUUUUCAGGUCUCCAGCAAAUUCUUCAGACGUUUGAGCACGUCUAAAGACCUGACCCUGCAGAAGAGAUUAGUUCUUUUUCUUCACCACCCACAUCUAAAGGGGUGGCAAAGAGUUCAUCACUCUGUGAGCUCCAUACGAGAAAGGUGGCAUAGAAGCUAGCCCAUUUUGUUUCACAUAAGAGGAGUUAGGAUAAGCAUAUGAAUAAGCAGAGAAAUUCUUCGAGGACUUAUGAACAUAAUGGUUAGAAGAAUAAUGCUCAUAUUCAUAGCCCUUAGCUCUUCCCUACGAAACCUAAUUGUUAGCACGAUGAUAUUCAUAUGAGGACUUUGAUCCUUUUGAGGAAUUUGAUCCACGUGAGGAAUUUGGUCCGUAAGAGGACUUAGAUCCAUAUGAAGAAUUUGGUCCAUAUGAAGAAUUUGAUUUGGGGUUCCUAUUCUUCACAGGUGGUGUCAUGAGGGCAUUCACCUGAAGAAUUUCAAGGCAUCUUUUGGGAACCCAGAUUUUCUUCAUAGGGGAACCGUUCCUGCAGUUAGUGCCAACAUAUCUAGCAAAUACUUCACCAUUCUGAUUCUUGAAAAAUUUAUAGUUGGAGUGAAAUGACUCAUCAGAAGAAUGAGGAGAUUCACAUGUAAAGCCAGAUAAAUUGGAUGGAUCAACUGGAGGUCCCUUUGCAGCAACCCAUGAGGUUUUGGGGUACUGCUCAGGCUUCCAAUAUGUACCAUCAGCAUUGAGUUUCCUCUCAAAGGAAAUACCCUCUUUCCUAGGGUUCUUGUUGAGGAUCUGCUUUUUAAGCACAUCACAAAGAGUCUGAUGCCCUUUGAGGCUUUUGUACAUGCCUGUCAUGUACAAUUCCUUCAGCCCUGCAUCAUCAGUGAUACUAGCAAUGUCCUCAGAUGAGGAAUUAGUGAUAGCAGAGACAGUUGAAGAAUUUGUAACAUUAGAAGCAUUUGAGCAUUCAGGUGAUGAAUUAACAGAUUCACAUUCAAUGCAUUUCAAACAUGGAGGAACAAAUUCUUCCUGAGCAGUGCUGAUUUGUUGAGCAAGUAAUGAAUCACGCUCCUUCUGAAGAUCUUCAUAACUCACUCUUAGCUUCUCAAGAUCUUGCUUUCUUUGAAGAAAUUCAUAAGAAAGCUUCUCAUGAUGAGAUAAGAGAGUGUUAUGAUGACCUUGAAGGGUGUCAAACUUAGACUGAAAUCUCUGAAGACUCUCAGCCAAAGCUUUCGACUGAUCCAUUUCUUCACCCAACAUAUCAUCACUCUUAUUUAGCAUGUAUUGAACUUUUUCCAAAGCUCUUUGUUGUUUAGUGGCAACGGAAGCUAGUUUGACAUAGCUGGGUCCAAACUCAUCACCAGAUUCAUCAUCACUGGAUUCAGAUAGAUAGCAUUCAGUUACCUUUGCAUCUUCUGCCAUGAGGCAUGGUGUAGAAGAUGAUGAUUCUGGUUCGAAAGGCAUCACUUUGAGAGAUUCCUUUAAGUCCUCAAACCAAGGAUCAUGACGGGUUCGAUGACCUUCAUAGACCUCAGAGAGACGGUCCCAGAUAAGCUUCGCAUGAUCGAGAUGCAUGAUGUUCCUGAACUGAUUUUGAGACAGACAGGAGCAGAUGACGUCCGUCGUCGUGAGGUUGAGAAGAGUGUACUUGCGAAUGUCAUCAGCUUCUGCCAUCUUGCACAGAUCGGUCAGACCAAUCUCAGUGAUGGUCCAUAGCUCGCUGUUCAUCGCCAUGAGGCGCUUCUUCAUCAUGGCCUUCCACUUGGGAUACUCGUGACUGUCAAAGAUGGGGCAUGGCACAGUCUUCAUUCCUGUGGUUGACAUAACUAAAACUCCAGGCGGUUAAACCAAAAUCACACAGAACAAGGGAGUACCUUGCUCUGAUACCAAUUGAAAGUGUGUUACAUUGACUAGAGGGGGGUGAAUAGGCGAUUUUUAUGAAUUCUUCACUAAGGAAUUUGUGGGUGAGGAAAUUCCUUAGUGAAGAACUACUAGCAGAGGAAUAAGUACUCAAAAGUAAACAUAACAGAACACAAGCAUGGUCAUCAUGAUGAAAUGAAGACAAGCACAGAGUACAGAAAUCGUAAUCACAGGAUAACACAGGUUGAAGACAAACAGACUGAAGAAAUUGAACUGAGGAAAUUGAGAAAGUCUUCAGUCAAAGUCUUCAAACAGAUAUGAACAAGUGCACAACAGAGUUAUGAGGAACUGAAAGAGUUGAGGAAACAGAACCAGUAAGCUCGGUGAAGACAAUGAUUUGGUAGACCAGUUCCAACUGCUGUCUCAGUUGUACAUCUGGUUGGAGCGGCUAGGUAUUUAAACCUGAGGACACACAGUCCCGGACACACAGUCCUCACCGUAUUCUCCUUGAGCUAAGGUCACACAGACCUCGCCCAAUCACUCGUGGUAAGUCUUCAGGUGACUUCCGAACCUUCACAAACUCGGUCACUCGGUGAUCCACAAUUCCUCUUGGAUGCUCUAGACCAUGACGCCUAACCGUCUGGAAGAAGCACAGUCUUCAAAGGUAACAAGUGUCGGAUACACACAUGAUCAAUCUCUUAGGUGAUGCUCAAUCACUUUGGGUUUGUAGGUGUUUGGGUUGUGUCGUGGAAUUGUCACGGCAGAUGUCCUAGUGUGAGGACUUAGUCGUGAGGCCAGCACAUAUAUGUGGUAGCUUGAGAGGGGUUGAUCGGGACGAGAGAUGCGAGGCGGAUCAUCACACAAGACGAGGAUUUAGACAGCUUCGGGCCUGGGAAACAUCAUCCGGAAUAGCCCUACAUGCUGUUUGUGGCUUGGUCUCAUUAUGCUCAUGAGGGAGUCGCCGCAUAAGCCGGCUCCCCCUUAGUGUCUAGCCCUAGAUAUUGUUUCUUGUUUUGGGGAGCCCUGCCCCUCCUUAGAUAAGUUGAAGGGGCGGGUUACAUGACUAGUCCUAGUAGGAUUAGGAUUACUCUAUUACAAGUGGAGUCCUAGUCUUGCUUCCUUUGUAGGAGAAUAUUCCUUACGUCUUCCUCUUAAGCCGGCCCACCAUAGCAUGAGCCGGCCUUCUGGGCCUUGGGCCUUGUCAUCCAUCUGAAACACCCGCCGGGUCACCAAUGAGUCUUCAGGCUCAUGAGUCGUCACACUAGUGAACCGCCAGACACAUGAAUCGCCAAUCUUCUGGGGGUUGCCAAUGAAACGCCAAGUUCGGCCGGGUCAUAUAUCCGGCCGGGUCAUACCGCGGGGUAUAUCCCCGACAUUAGCCCCAUUUUAAUUUGGAUUUAUCCAUGUUAAACUAAUCUGCAAUAUAAACACAAGAACAAAUUUGACAGGUUGUGCUCCGGGUUAAAUAUUCUUGUAAGCCGGCACCUGAUCAUCCUUAAGUCCUUGACAUUUUCUCCUGGAAAAUCUGGGUCAAUAGGCCAGCUUCAUAAUCCAUUUUCUGACAUUGGCUCUUGUAAAGAAAUAUUAUAAGAAAUAAUCCAUUUGAGUCGGCCUUCAAUGCUCUGAUUUGAAAAAAUAUUGGUCUUGAAAUAUUCAAAUGAUAUUCAACCGGCUUAAAGAUGUAGAUCUUGCCGAUUUAUGAUUGCCAAAAUUGUCGGGUUAUAAACAAAUGAUGCCGGGUCAUGUAAUUGUUGCUGAUGCCAGGUUAAUCUUAUGAUGACGCCGGGUCAUAAACUUUGCAGAUUUCUCCGAUAAUAAUAUAAUACCUGAUUUGCUCAAAACUGAGAAUUUGAAGUUAUUCCUCCCUUAUAUGCAUAUCAGUAGCCCCCAAGUGUCGGGUUGUCAUGCUUGCAGCAACCUGGGACUUGUAAUUGCCAUAUGCUCAUAAAAAUUUCAACCAGUGUAGCCCCCAAGGGCCGGUUCAUUAUGCAAUAAUGAGCAGGGACUUUGUAAAUAUUAUCAUGUAAACUUGAGCAGCAACGUGUAGCCCCCAAGGGCCGGCUUAGUAAGAUAUUACUGAGCUGGGACUUUGUAUAUGAUUGAUUGAUACUAACAUCGUAUGAUGUAAUCUCCACCAUGGGGCUUGAACCCACGUCCACAAGGUUAAGAGCUUUGUACUCUACCAACUGAGUAGUGGAUCUUUCAAUAUAAUGGAUUAAGGCUUGUGUACCUUGAAUUUUCGACAGGAGAAAUUGGUAGCCCCCAAGGGCCGGCUCAUUUAAAAUGUGAUGAGUCGGGUCUUCAAUAAGUUGAGCAAAAAAUGACUUUGCAUUAGCCCCCAAGUGCCAUGGUGCAUGCUGGCAGUGACAUGGGACUUGCAUAUUCGAUGUAAUCUCAAUUUGAAUAAUGUAGCCCCCAAGUGCCGGGUCGUAAGCCUGCAGCGACUCGGGACUAUUCCUUUCAUUGUAGAAUAAAUCAUAUCCAUUGAUAAAAUAAUAGCCAUUGCGCUGAAGCGACUUUGAAAACCUCAAUCAUAAUAUUAGUUACUGAUAAAAAUCCAGCCAUGUUGGCUAUUAAAGAUUUGAAUAACCCGGUUUGAAAACGUCAAUCAUUCAAUAUCAUAAUGAAAAUCCAGCCAAGUUUGGCUAUUUAAAGAUUCAAAUACCUUAUCUGUUGACAAGUAAAUCCGGAGUUUAAAAUACCCGUCGGCUCUUGUCCGAGGGCGACUUAAUGCACAUUCAUUGUAAGCUGGAAUCUUUAUAACCCGGCGGCUUAUAGCCUUUGAGAAAAUCCAGAACGGAUAAUCAUUUUGAAGCAUCAAUUUUGAUAAUGAGCUUGAACUUAAUCAUUUAUAUAAGUCAUAUUUCUGCAAAUCCUGCACAGGGUUAAACAACAUAUGCCCUGGCGACUUAACGUCAAAACCAGGGCGGGUACCAACCCAAACAUAAUAUAGUCUUUAUGCAAUUAUGGAAAAGACUAGGAUUAAGGCCAUUCAGGCGUAAACAUACUGGCGACUUAACGUCAAAGGCCAGGGCGGGUUAUCCAACCUCGCAUAUUUAUAUAAUCAGGAAAACAUACCUGUAGAAUUGGCUCAUACUGCCGGUGUACAUCGCCGUAUCCGAUAAGGGCAAUAAUCCAAUGAUUGAUAAGCGCAUGAUUCGAAUGGCGCAACCCAAAAUAGACCGGCUACUUAAAGUCCAAAGCUAGGCCGGUUUAAACAUAAUCAUGUAUAAACAAUAUCAUAUCUGUGACAUUGAAUCGUACUGCCGGUUUAUGAUACCUGUGAAGUAAGGGUGAUAACCCAAUCUUUAGAAGCCAAGACCUCCAAAUGUUUGAUGAUUGUCAUAUGCUGGCGACUUAUCGUCAAAAGCCAAGCCGGGUUAAAUUUAAACCACACUUAUACUUAGAUCUGAACAAAAAAGUCUCAAGACAAAACCAAAGAUUGUUUGCAAAAACUUAAACCAAAUAGAAAGAAAAAAUCGAGGCUUCUGAUUCGAAUACGAUAAUGUAGCCCCCAGUGGCUUUGGCGUUGUGCCGAUCUAGAGGGUACCGACAGCUAUUUUCUCUUUGGUUCGAAUACGACAUAUGUUUGAACAGGAAGCACCCAAAUGACCUUGAGAGUUUUUAACGACUCUGAUUCAAAUACGAUCAAAGUCAGACCCAGAAGGGGUUAAGCUAUGAUUCGAAUACGAUCAAGAAGCCCCCUAGUGAGUUUGGCAUUGUGCCGAUCAAGAGGGUACCGACAGCUAUGUUCUGUUUGGUUUGAAUACGACCUAUGUUUGAACAGGAAGCCCCCAAGUGACCAUAUAAGUUUUGGCAUUGCACCGAUCAAGAGGGUACCGACAGCUAUGCUCGAUGAGCAGGAAGGCCCCAAGUGACCAUAAUAAGAUAAGCCGUAAGGAAGGAUACCCAUGUUUGAACCGCGCAUCAUGGCAACAAGUUCUUUUUGGCAACCUUCAAUUUUUCUGAGAACUGGAACUUGCGAGAGAUUAAUUCUUUUUGAACCAGAAAUUUAAACCAGAUUUGAAAGCUUCAAAACUUUGUGGGAGACAGAUUGUCCUUGAACUGGAUUUUGAACCAGAAUCCUUAUUUUGAGCCGGAAAUCUUCUAACGGCCUUUAAAUUUUCAUCGAUCUAGCAGUAAUCUCCGGGGCCGGGUUAUUUUUCCCUUCAAUGACCCGGAAUUCUUGAAUUCAUUGAAACCGGCUAAUUUGCCGAGUCAUAUCAUUGUAGCCCCCGAGUCUCAAGACGACUCGAGGAGUUGGCUUGAGAUUCUCCAUAUUUGACCAUAGCAGAAGGUGUAUAUCAUUGGCGUUGAUAGCGCGAUGUGAAUCCACAGAAGGUUGAGGUGACUGCGGCGGGUUAUAAAUGAUCCUGUUUAAGCCGUGUCAGCAACUCGGCCAAUGGUUCCUUCCAAUUGGCUGUUUGAAGUUAACCAAACCGUAGUGGCGGUGACUUGUGCACCUAUCCAUUGAGCCAUCUAGUGCGGACGGCGGCUGAUAAGACAUGAUAACUUGCCUCCAAUUUGUUGGAAGAAAAACCGGCUACCCAAGCAGUGACUUGCUCAUACUCAAUAAACAGCUCAUGCAGACAGGUGCAGCCCGGUGUGUUGAUGUAGACUAGACCGCGAGAGUCGGACGGUAAAGACGACCGCAACAUCUGAGGCAGCACAGAAAGAUGAACCGGCCGUGGCGUUGUAAGCCGGUGCGGACGGGCAAGUUGUCCUCCUUGUUGUAAGCCGGCGUGGUAGCGAGAGACGGCCACGGCGUUGUAAGCCGGCGCGGUCAUGAGAGACGGCCACAACGUUGUAAGCCGGUGCGGGAGUCCGUUGAGUAACGACGACCACCUGUGCAAAAAGAUGUUGGCGUGCCUCCAUCUCCACGGUAUAAUAUCACUUCUUGUCAUAAAUAAUUGCCCUGCAUAAACAAUAUUGCAGACCAAGGCAAAGAUACACUUGUUCUUUGACAAAAACAACAUGUGCUAAUAAAACAAAAUUGGAUGGAUAUCACCUGAUUUGUUUGGACGAUGGAUGAUCCAUUUAUCGCGACAGAGGUGGCUCAGGUAGACCAGCGACUCAAUAUAGUUCUGGCGGCUCAGGCAGACCGGCGACUUAACAUAACCCCGGCGGCUCAAAGCGGCAAGGGCGGCUCAACGCGGCUCCGGCGGGUUGAUGUAGAUUAAGCUGCAUGGGUGGCGACUUGCGCACACCUGUUCCAUCGGUAAGCUGGCGCAGACGCCAGUGCGUGAUGGUGCCGACGUACACUUGAUAGGCAUAACAUGGCACCACCUUUGUUGCACAUAAAAAUAUACAGACCAAAUUAAUUGUUCUUUGAUGAAAACAAUAUGUUUAAUAAAAUUAUCCACCGCGGAGUUGAUGAUCACCAUGGUGAACUUGAAAUUUAAUCACGGCCGAAUCGGCCGCGGGAGCACACAGAUGAGUCGGCCACGAUGUUGUAAGCCGGCGCGGACGGGUGAGUCAAUCGCAGGCGGAUAAAUGUAAACCCAGCAACGGGGGCGGCGACUUGCUCUCGUAUCCGAGAGUGGGUGCGGCACCGGCGUGCUGAUGUAGACCGGACCGCAGGAGCGGUGGCGUGCAUGCGUCCAUUGGCGAGGGAGUUGGCCGCGGUGUUGGAGACCAGCGCACGCGGGCGCGGACUGACGAGUCGGCCGCGACAGUGGUAGCCGGUGCAUGCGCGAGAGUUUGCCACGACAUUUAAGCUGGUGCAGGCGCGAGAGUUGACCACGACAUUUAAGCCGGUGCAGGCGCGAGAGUUGGCCACAACGUUUAAACCGGUGCGAGCCUCAUGUCUAUGGCAUGACGUCACUUUUGUAGUGAACUUUGUCCUGCAUAAAAUAUAUUGAAAGACAGAAUAAUUGUUCUCAGAAGAAUUAAUAUGUGCUAAAAAUACUGAGAACAUAUAGCACCUGAUUUAUUUUCUGGAUGAACGCAGAUGCAAGCAUUUAGAUAAUGCUGGUUAGACGUCAGACAAAAAAUCCAUAGCCCGUCUCACUUUAAAUGUUCUGAUGUAGCACUUCCCCACACCCCCUUUUCUUCAUACAGCAAUUAGCAAAGGACAGCACACAAGGGCGUGGUUUAGACAGAGGUGAAGCCAUGGUAGAGGCCGGCAGACAACUCGCCAGCAAGGCAAAGGCGAACCGCGGCAAAGGUAAGCCGUGGGGACGGCGACUUGAAGGCCGAAGCAGACUCGGUGCUGAGGCCAAGGUUGUUGAAUCAUGGGUAAUCCAACAGCAGCAGCGAAACCCACAAGGUAGGAGCAGAGGCGCCUCGAGGCCGGGCGGCUCACAGACUUGAAGCGGGCCGUCCGUAGCAGCGGUCGGCACACCGGCAAGGGUGACUCGGAGGCCGCAAGGGUUGCAGCGGCUCACAAUCCGGCCACAGCGGAGGCGGACUCGGUCUGACGGCGACAACGGCUCAGAGGCGGGUCAGCUUGGCGAGGUCGCGGCCGGAGCUAACCACAGCGGAGGAGGCGGGCGACGGCUCGUGGCCGAGCGACGAGAGGCGUAGCGCAGAGGCGGAGGCGACCCAAACUGUUUUGAUUGGGUUGACAAGUCCACGCCUACAUCCUCCAGGUCGUGGCCCCCUUUUUUUACUUUUCCUUUGACAUGUUGAUUAACCGGCUUUGGCCAGUUUUCUGUCCCUCCUGAGUAUUCAUGUGUUUAAACUCACAUAGUAGCUUUUCCUUCCUGGUAGAUUCCUUGUAGGCAUGUAGUAACCAGAGUUGACAAAAGGAAAAAAACGAUUUGGCUUCAGGCGACGGUCUCGGCGACCCCUCAUAGAUUAUAAACUUGAAGUUGAUGCAGAUCUUUGUUCGGAAAAUCAUGAACUUCCCGAUCCCUGGAAGAGAUCCCUCCAAGAACUCAACACCACCGUGCGCAGCCCCACGGUGGGCACCAACUGUCGUGGAAUUGUCACGGGAGAUGUCCUAGUGUGAGGACUUAGUCGUGAGGCCAGCGCAUCUAUGUGGUAGCUUGAGAGGGGUUGAUCGGGACGAGAGACGCGAGGCGGAUCAUCACACAAGAUGAGGAUUUAGACAGCUUCGGGCCCCGGGAAACAUCAUCUAGAAUAGCCCUACACGCUGUUUGUGGCUAGGUCUCAUUAUGCUCAUGAGGGAGUCGCCGCAUAAGCCGGCUCCCCCUUUGUGUCUAGCCCUAGAUAUUGUUUCUUGUUUCGGGGAGCCCUGCCCCUCCUUAUAUAAGUUGAAGGGGCGGGUUACAUGACUAGUCCUAGUAGGAUUAGGAUUACUCUAUUACAAGUGGAGUCCUAGUCUUGCUUCCUUUGUAGGAGAAUAUUCCUUAUGUCUUCCUCUUAAGCCGGCCCACCAUAGCAUGAGCUAGUCCUUCUGGGCCUUGGGCCUUGUCAUCCAUCUGAAACACCCGCCGGGUCACCAGUGAGUAUUCAGGCUCGUGAGUCGUCACACUAGUGAACUGCCAGACACAUGAAUCGCCAAUCUUCUGGGGGUUGCCAAUGAAACGCCAAGUCCGGCUGGGUCAUAUAUCCGGCCGGGUCAUACCGCGGGGUAUAUCCUCGACAGGUUGGGUUUUCCUCACACGAUGAUUUUCGCUCAAAGUCCUCGGAGGAUGGGAUGCUCUCAAAUGACAAGUGUCAGUUUCUCUCAGAGCAGCCAACCAGCUAGUGGUUGUAGGGGGCGGCUAUUUAUAGCCUAGGGAGCAGCCCGACAUGAUAAGACAUAAAUGCCCUUCAAUGAUAUGACCGUUAGGUGGGUAGAUAUUUUGGGACAGCUGGCACAAGGCACAACAAUGGUCGGAAAUUUGAGUAUCAAAUUCCUCAGGGCUAUCACGUUCCUCACUGUGUAGGCAAUCCGCACUGGCGAAUUCCUAACUCCUCAGUCAGAACAAAUUCCUCAGAGACCAUAAGAACUUCGUCUCUGUCACUGAAGAAUAUGACUGAACUGAAUGAGAUUUCCAAUGGCUUCACUCGAAGGGAUUGGUAGGUGUAGGAUUUUGAGUUGAGCAUCACAUGGAAAUUUUUCCUUAGUAUUUCCUCGACCCCCUUUAACAGUCCGGUGUUUCCUAUGACUCAAGAAAGAGAAAAUGAAACUACGAAAACAAAAGUCUUCACGCUUCAUGUUCCUCGAAUGAAUACCAAGUCUUCAAGGUCACACAUAUUUCUUCAUUUUCAAAGUCUUCAGAAAGUCUUCAGAAAUCCAAAGUCUUCAGUCGAAGAACUUCAUUUUUAGGGGUCGACUUUCUCUGUAAAUAUCAAACACCUCAUAGACUUAUAGUCCUGUGUACACUCAUAAACACAUUAGAACCUUAACCUAUAAGUGUUCAAUACACCAAAAUCACUAAGGGGCACUAGAUGCACUUACAAUGCCAUGCAUAAUUAGCUAGGAGUUUAUAAUGGUUUACCUUGCGUGCCAACAUGCUAUUAAAAUGGUUGUGAUGUGGUAUGAUAGGGUGGUAUCCUCCUUUGAACGAUUCGAGUGGCUUGACUUGGCACAUGUUCACACAUGUAGUUGAAACAAAAUCAACAUAGCCUCUACGAUAUUUAUGUUCAUGGUGAAUUAUAUCCUACUCAUGCUUGCACUCAGUGUUGAUUAAUUUUAAUGCAUGUUCAUGACUGUUGUCGCUCUCUAGUUGGUUGCUUCCCAGUAUUUUUCUAGCCUUCACUUGUACUAAGCGGGAAUACUGCUUGUGCAUCCACUUCCAUAAACCCCAAAGUUAUUCCAUAUUAGUCCACCAUACCUUCCUAUAUGCGGUAUCUACCUGCCGUUCCAAGUAAAUUUGUAUGUGCCAAACUCUAAACCUUCAAAUGAAAUUCUGUUUUGUAUGCUCGAAUAGCUCAUGUAUCAACUAGGGCUGUCUGUAUCUUCCAUGUUAGGCGGGUUAUUCUCAAGAGGAGUGGACUCCACUCCUCACUCACGAGAAAAUGGCUGGUCACCGGGAUGCCCAGUCCCAUGCUCUAAGCAAAUCAAAUCAAAAUAAUUGCAAACAAAACUCCCCCAGGGCUGUUGCUAGUUGGAGGCACUUGUUGUUUCAAGCAAGCCAUGGAUUGAUGCUUGUUGGUGGUGGGGGAGUAUAAACUUUACCAUUCUGCUUGGGAACCGCCUAUAAUGUGUGUAGCAUGGAAGAUAUCGACAUCUCUCAGUUGUUAUGAUGACAAUGAAAGUAUACCACUCAAAAUAUUAUUUAUCUCUAUUUCAAAAUCGAGCUCUGGCACCUCUACAAAUCCCUGCUUCCCUCUGCGAAGGGCCUAUCUAUUUAAUUUUAUGUUGAGUCAUCAUCCUCUUAUUAAAAAAACACUAGUUGGAGAGCACCGCUGUCAUUUGCAUCCAUUACUAUUAAUUUAUAUUGAGUAUGACUAUGAAUGGAUCUCUUUUACCAUGAAUUACAAUGUUUAGUCAGUCUUUGAUCUUCAGAUGGUGCUCUGCAUUUAUGGUUUGCGGUCUCAGAAAGGGCUAGCGAGAUACCAUCUUGUUAUAUCAUAUUAUGAUUGUUUUGAGAAAGUGUUGUCAUCUGAGAUUUAUUAUUAUUGCUCGCUAGUUGAUUAUGCCAUUGAUAUGAGUAAACAUGAGACCUAAGUGUUAUCGUGAAUAUUGUUAGUUCAUAAUCUUUGCUGAAAACUUGAAUGCUGGCUUUACAUAUUUGCAACAACAAGAGCAAACAGAGUUUGUAAAAGUUUUUCUUUAUCACUUUCAGUUUGUCAACUGAAUUACUUGAGGACAAGCAAAGGUUUAAGCUUGGGGGAGUUGAUACGUCUCCAUCAUAUCUACUUUUCCAAACACUUUUACCCUUGCUUUGGACUCUAACUUACAUGAUUUGAAUGGAACUAACCCGGACUGACGCUGUUUUCAGCAGAAUUGCCAUGGUGUUAUUUUUGUGCAGAAAUAAAAGUUCUCGGAAUGACCUGGAAAUCAACGGAGAAUAUUUUUGGAAUAUAUAAAAAAUACUGGCAAAAGAAUCAAGGCCAGGGGGCCCACACCCUGUCCACGAGGGUGGGAGGCACGCCUACCCCCUGCGCGCGCCCCCUGCCUCGUGGGCCCCCUGGUGCUCCACCGACCUCAACUCCAACUCCAUAUAUUCACGUUCGGGGAGAGAAGGAUUCAUCGCGUUUUCGAUACGGAGCCGCCGCCAAGCCCUAAACUCUCUCCGGAGGGCUGAUCUGGAGUCCGUUCGGGGCUCCGGAGAGGGGAAUCCGUCGCCGUCGUCAUCAUCAACCUUCCUCCAUCACCAAUUUCAUGAUGCUCACCGCCGUGCGUGAGUAAUUCCAUCGUAGGCUUGCUGGACGGUGAUGGGUUGGAUGAUAUUUAUCAUGUAAUCGAGUUAGUUUUGUUAGGGUUUGAUCCCUAGUAUCCACUAUGUUCUGAGAUUGAUGUUGCUAUGACUUUGCUAUGCUUAAUGCUUGUCACUAGGGCCCGAGUGCCAUGAAUUCAGAUCUGAACCUAUUAUGUUUUCAUGAAUAUAUGUGAGUUCUUGAUCCUAUCUUGCAAGUCAUUAGUCACCUACUAUGUGUUAUGAUCCGGCAACCCGGAAGUGACAAUAAUCGGGACCACUCCCGGUGAUGACCGUAGUUUGAGUUCAUGUAUUCACUAAGUGUUAAUGCUUUGGUCCGGUACUCUAUUAAAAGGAGGUCUUAAUAUCCCUUACUUUCCAAUAGGACCCCGCUGCCAUGGGAGGGUAGGACAAAAGAUGUCAUGCAAGUUCUUUUCCAUAAGCACGUAUGACUAUAUUCGGAAUACAUGCCUACAUUACAUUGAUGAACUGGAGCUAGUUCUGUGUCACCCUAUGUUAUAACUGUUGCAUGAAUGAUCGCAUCCGACAUAAUUAUCCAUCAUUGAUCCAAUGCCUACGAGCUUUUCACAUAUUGAUCUCUCCUUAGUAACUUUACCAUUGCCACUGUUACAAUCACUACAAUACUGCUACUGUUACUUUUGCCACUGUUACCGUUACUUCCAUAUUACGUUGCUACUAAAUACUUUGCUGCAGAUAUUAAGUUAUCCAAGUGUGGUUGAAUUGACAACUCAACUGCUAAUACUUGAGAAUAUUCUUUGGCUCCCGUUGUGUCGAAUCAAUAAAUUUGUGUUGAAUACUCUACCCUCGAAAACUGUUGUGACCCCCUAUACUUGUGGGUUAUCACCCCCGGGCCGGGUGCGACUGCUGCGGUCGCCGAGCCGCCUGCCGAAGUCCCCAGGCCGACUGCCGCAGCCCCCGGGCCGGGUUCUGAAGUCCUCAGGCCGGGUGCGACUGCUGCAGCCCCCGAGCCACCUGCCGAAGUCCCCGGGACGGCUGCUGCAGCCCCCGAGUCGGAUCCGACUGUUCCGGGAGCAGCCGUCACGAAGAUGGACUCAGAUUCUGGCGAAGGCUUGAUGGACGGCUUGGGGAAGCGCUGAAGGGAGACGCCGGCUGGUAUGGCUUGCUGGGUGGAGCCGAUCCAUGCCAGGGCAUCUGCUUGCUCGUUGUCGUUCCGUGGUAUGUGAAGGAACUCACACCCUUCAAAAUACCCGCAGAUCUGCUGGAUGAGGAAGCGGUAGCUCGCCAUAUUUGCAUCCUUGGCGUCCCAGUCACCAGACGACUGUUGGACCACCAAGUCUGAGUCGCCGUAGUACAGGAUCCGGCGGAUGCUGAGCUCUUUGGCCAGCCGGAGCCCGUGUACAAGCGCCUCAUACUCGGCCACGUUGUUGGAGGCGGCGAAGUGGAUUUCCAAUGCGUAUCUGAGCUUGUUGCCUUUGGGAGAGGUAAGGACGAUGCCGGAGCCCAAGCCAGUGCGCAUAUUCGAGCCGUCGAAGUGCAUCCGCCAAUGGGUGGAAUCCGGCGCUGGCGGCAGGUACUGGAUCUCGGCCCAGUCGACAAGGAAGUCGGCCAGUGCUUGGGACUUGAUGGCGGUGCGAGGCUGGUAGAAGAUGGUGUAGGGGGGCAGCUCGAUGGCCCAUUUGGCCACCUGGCCCGAUGCAUCUCUGCUGCCUAUGAUCUCGGCCAGCGGGGCGGUGCAGACAACCGUGAUGGGGUGCUCUUGAAAGUAUGGCUUGAGCUUCUUGGCGGCAAAGUGCAUGCCGUAGCACAUCUUCUGGUAAUGAGGGUAAUUCUGCUUCGAGGCUCACAACACCUCGCUCAAGUAAUACACAGGCCUCUGGACCGGCAGUGCUUUUCCGUCUUCUUGGCGUUCUGCCACUAUGACUGUGCUGACCACCCGGCUGGCGGCGGCGAUGUAGAGAAGCAUGGGCUCCUUAGCAGCCGGAGCGGCCAGAACAUGCGGCGUGGGCAACAUCUUCUUGAGUUGGAGAAAAGCUUCGUCUGCCUUGUUGUUCCACUUGAAGUGAGUGGUUUUCUUCAUGAGCUGGUACAGGGGAAGAGCCUUCUCGCCCAGCCGACUGAUGAAGCAGCUGAUGGAUGCCAAGCAGCCGGUAAACUUCUGGACGUCUGACAGUCGGGUCGGUCUCUCCAUCCUCUCAAUGGCCUUGAUCUUGACAGGGUUACACUCGAUGCCACGCUCUGAGACCAGGAAGCCAAGGAGCUGGCUGGCUCGUACUCCGAAGACACAUUUCUCUGGGUUGACCUUGAUCUAAAAACGGCGCAGAUUUUCAAAAGUUUCCUUGAGAUCUUCCAAAAGGGUAUUGCGCUUCUCCGUCUUCACCACAAUAUCAUCUAGAUAGACGUGGGCAUUUCUACCGAGUUGCUUGAGGAGGCACUUCUACAUGCAACGCUGGAAGGUGGCACCGGCAUUUCUUAAGCCGAAUGUCAUGGUCAGGUAGCAGAAGGCUCCGAAUGGUGUGAUGAAGGCGGUCUUCAGGCGGUUGGCAGGGUUCAACUUGAUCUGGUGGUACCCUGAGUAGGCAUCCAAAAAACUCAACAGCUCGCAUCCUGCUGUGGAGUCUAUCACUUGGUCGAUCCGAGGCAAGGCAAACGGAUCUUUGGGGCAAGCUUUGUUGAGGCUGGUAUAGUCAAUACACAUGCGCCAUUUGUUCUUCUUCUUCAGUACAAGGACCGGGUUGGCAAGCCAAUCUGGAAAGAACACUUCCGUAAUGAAGCCAGCUGCUAGAAGCCGGGCUAUCUCUUCACCAACAAUUCUUCUCUUCUCUUUUGAGAGGCGGCGGAGGGGUUGCUUGCUGGUUUGACAUCUGCCUGGACAUGUAGCUUGUGCUCGGCGAAAUCCGUCGGAACACCCGGCAUGUCCUUUGGAGACCAUGCAAAGAUGUCCCGAUUCUCAUGGAGGAAACCGACGAGCUUGCUUUCCUAUUUGCUAUCAAGGUUGGUUCCUACGAUAGCGUGCCUCUUCGGGUGGUUCGGGUCCAAGGGGAUCUUCUUGGUUUCUUUGGCCGGCUGGAAGGAGCCAUGAGUUUCUGACUCCUUGGGGUCUGGCGACAGGUCCGGCUGCUUGCCGGCCAUGGCCACAACCUGUUCAAGGAGAUUCCUCUUGGCAGCAAUCACAAGGGACUCGGCCAGCCAGCUGCUGGCAGCGGCACAGGCGGCCCACUUCUUGUAAUCUCCAGACACGGUGAUAAUGCCCUUGGUUCCUGGCAUCUUCAUCUUGAGGUAGGCGUAGUGCGGUACCGCCAUGAACUUGGCCAGGGCAGGUCGGCCAAGCAGUGCAUGGUAAGGACUUUCUAGAUCCACCAUGUCAAACCAAAUUUCUUCGCGGCGGAAGUGAUCUUUUUCUCCGAAGAGGACAUCUAUCUUGAUCUUGCUGAUUUGUGAACAGGAAAGGCCAGGCACAAUGCCGUGGAAGACAGUCCGACUGGGCUGGAGCUGCUUCCCUUUGAUGCACAACUUCUCCAUAGUGUCGCGGUAGAGGAUGUUGAUGCUGCUACCGCCGUCUAUUAGAAUCCGGGAGAAACGAGCAGCUCGCCUCUCUGUUGUAAAGGUGGCAUCCAACACCAGGGCAUAGGAACCCGGAGAAGGCAUCACCUGCGGGUGGUCUGCUCGGCUCCAACUGAUUGGCUUCUCGGACCAGUGCAUGAACUCCAGGGCUUCGGAAGCAACAACAUUCACCUCUCGGUGCUGCUAACAUCGGCUGUGCUUGUCGUCGGCUAGGCUGGUGAAGACGACAUAGGCUCCGUGUUCUUCAGGGAAUUCGUCCUGGAUGGCGGCGACUGGCCGGGCUGGCUGCUGCUGAGCAGGAGGCGGCGGCGGCUGGCCAGCAGGCGGAGGAGGCAGCAGUCCUUCGCCCUUGGAGAUUCGGGUGAGCCAAUGACACUUCCGGGUGGUGUGGUUGGACGGCUUCGCGCCGCUGUGGAACUUGCAAGGUGCAUCUAGGGCUUGCUCAUAGGAGAAGGCGGGCAACCAAGCAGAUUUGCUGCCCUUUUGGCGCUUGGGGCCGGGUUGUCCCUCCGGCUGCUGGUCCUCAACUGUAGCCACUUGCCGACUGGUAGAAGGCGGCUGCGGGGCUUUGCGCUUGUUGUCGUUUGGCUGCUGGCGCCGACUGUUGUCUCCAGCUGGCGUUCGAGGAGCCGAAGGGAGCACUUUCCCGGUGGCAUCCACUUGGAGCUCCGACUUCAUGGAGGAGUUGGCAGUGGCGUACUUGUCUGCUACGAUCAGCAGUUCGUCGAGUGUAGCUGGCUCGUCGCAGAGGAGUUGGUGCUUGAGCAAGGUGCCCUCUCAGCACCCGGCUAUGAAGUACUCUAUGGCUUGCACCUCGUGCACCCCUUCGCAGGAGUUGCGCAGCUCGGCCCAUCGCGUCAGGUAGUCGUGGGUGGACUCGGUGGAGCCUUGGAUGCACAGAGAGAGCUGGCGAGGCUUGGGCGGCCGCUUGUAGGUGCCGGUGAAGUUGCGGAUGAAGACUUUAGUGAAGUCUAUCCAGCUGUUGACGAUGCGCGGCUUGAGGCUGUUCAGCCAAGUCCGGGCCGUGCCCUGGAGCAUGAGCGGGACGUACUUCACGGCAACGCGCUUGUUGCCGUUUGCUAUGUUGAGUGCGGUGGAAUAGUCAACCAGCCAAUCUUCCGGCUUCAUGGAGCCGUUGUACUUGGGCGUGUCUCUUGGGAGUAAGAACCCUUUGGGAAAGGGCUCAUCACGAAUGCGGGGGCCAAAACUAGGCAGGCCGAUCGCAUCUUCUUCUUCUAGUGCCAGGGAUCGCGCCAGGCGGUCGAUCCGACGGUGGGCAUCGUUCUCCCCGACUUCUUCACGGGGGCCAAGCCGGCCACCGAGAGUCGGGUGCUCAACAAGCGGCGGGGAGACGCGCCUCUCCCUGCGCGGGGGAGGCGGACGGUCGUCCCGUCGUUCCACUGCUCGUGGGCGGCCGUCUUGGUCGCGCUCGAUGGUGAUACGUACGUGUCUGGCUGCGGCUAGCAGUCGGCUCUGGAUCUCUCGGGCCGCGGGCGCCGCUAGUCGGCGUCCGGGAGGUCGCGCCAUGCUCUUGGCGAGGGGGAGGUUCUCGGCAUGCUGGCUGGGUUCCACCACGCGGCGGCUGGCUUCUUGCUGCACGGCAGCUGCGUCGGUGAGCUACUGAAGGCGCUCCGUCAUGCAGUGAUGCUCGUCACCUUCCAGGUGGUCCAGCUCGUCUGCUGCCACCUGGGCAGCAUGUAUGUUCUCUACGGGCGUGGCGUGAACCGGGCGGUCUACUCCAAACAUGCUGGCGAUGGCGGCUCCACAUUGCCGGACCGUGCCCACGCGGCUGGGCUCACCAGCAGCCGGCGUGCUGCCAAUGGCGCGGUCGACCUCGCGCUGAUAAGCCUCGGAGAGGCGUCUCAUGGUAGCCAACUUCUUGGCGCUCUUGACGAGUGCAACGCGGUGGGCUUCUAAGGUCUCGGUGUUGGCGUCUGCCGCGAUGGGUGUAGAUAGUUCUCGCAACGCCGCUUGCAGUGGAUCCUUGGCGGUCCCGUCGAAAGCCGCGUCGUGGCUGAUGACGAGUACCUCUGUGACGGUGCUGCCGUCGCUGUCUGCACGAGGGAGCGGGUCGUCGAUGAGCACCACGUUGGUGGGGAAGGCGUCGAGGGAUGCCAUGUCGGAGUCGAUAAGCAUCGGGUCGGUGGAGCCGAUCGACUCUAGGUCGGAGGCCGGCUCAUUGGCGAUGUGGCUCUUGCCAAGGAGGUCGAUGAGGCAGCUCUCGGAGCUGGCUGCUCUUGCGUCAGGCGCGGGCUCGUUGGUGAGGAGGAUCUCGCCGACAAGAUCAGCGAGGCAGCUCACCGCGCAGGCGACUUCUGCGCCAUGCAGCGCGUCAGCGCAGACGCCAUCGGGUGUGUCGGGCUGGCUGCGCUCGCCAGGGAGGAAGAGGGUUCCCGGCCAGAACAGAUCUCCGGACGAUGGUGCACCUAGCCCCACGAUGGGCGCCAAAUGUCGGGGUUUUGGUGCGACAUAUGCCAAAGGAUGGCUUAUCAUGGUGGGUGAGAGUAAGAUUUCGCCGGUGCCUGGAAACGGGAUGAGGCGUAAACACGAACGCCGACGCACUUUACCCAGGUUCGGUGCUCUCCUAGGAGAUAACACCCCUAGUCCUGCUCUGCGGGGUCUCUGCAUGAUCACUAUCUCAACAAGUAGCUACAAGUUGCUCCUUGAGCUGUUUUGCUAGAGGAGGAAGAAGGGCAGGGCUAGCUCUACUCCUCUCUCUAUGUGUGUGUGUGGUCUAAGAGGCUGAACCCUUUGCAUGGGUGCCCUGGGGGUUUAUAUAGGCCUACCCCCCAUGGGUACAACGGUAAUCUGGCCGGGUGUGGGACCCGGCCGUCAGUGUCUCUGGUGGUCGGCUUCUCCGCCGGCUGCUGGGGCCCGCCGACUGUCUUGUACUUGACCGAUAGGCCGCGCCCACCGCUUGCAGGUCCUGCCGGCUGCUUAGUACAGUGGCACUGCCUCUGAUGAUGCGUGCUUUGUUGGGGAGAGCGUGGCUACAGUCCCGCCGCCUGGUGGGCGUUCACUGUAGCCACUCCCCAUCUCUUCUGGUUAAUGGCGCACAAUUUCCAAGGAAGGGGGAGGACCGCCUGGUCAGGAGCCGGCCUCCCCCUGAGCCGACUGAUCAGGGCUCGCCACCUUCUGGCUUCUCACGGACAGGUAGGGCCUGCCGCCUGUGGGCUGUACCAACAACCCGUCAUGGGAGCAUGGCCUUCUUUGCCAUGGGUGAUAUCAUGGGCAGCGUGACAACAGUGUUGCGCCGAGCGAGGGAUGUCCGCCUAGUACGCUGCACUGUGGCCACGCUCUGCCCUGGAUUCGGGGGUGGCAGGCUGCACUGUAGCCACGCCCCGUCUCAUCGUGAUUACGAGGGUGCUAACUUUGAGGGCACGAGGGCCGCCUGCUAGGAGCCGGCUUCUCUGGAGGCCGCCUGCUAGGAGUCAGCCCACUCAGUGGCUGUCUUCUGGAAUCUGCCGCCUUCUAGCGGCCGGCUGCUUGGACUAGCCGGCCCUAAGAAGGCGGUCCUUUGUCCUUGAUGCUUGAGGGGCGCAGCGGGCCCUGAUGUCUUGAAAUACCAAGGGAGCCUGAUGAGGCUACCCGUGGUCAUUUACUCUGACACAAACAUAGUUAUGCGCUUGUUUGUUUUCAUACCCUGGUGUUUUCCUCAUAUAGACCUCCUCUUCCAGAACACCAUGCAAAAAUGCGUUCUGAACAUCUAGCUGCCUAUGGCUCCAUCCCCUGGAAACAACAAUGGCUAGCACAAGUCUUAUGGUAGCAGUUUUAACAACAGGACUAAAAGUGUCCUCAUAAUCAAUACCAUAGCGUUGCUUGAAUCCUUUAGCAACUAGACGUGCCUUGUACCUAUCAAUGGAGCCAUCUGCUUUUCUUUUGAUUCUAUACACCCAUUUGCAGUCAAUAAUAUUUUUACCUCUUUGACUUGGUCCCAAGCGCCAUGUUUUAUUCCUCAUGAGUGCACCAUAUUCUUCAUCCAUAGACUUUUUCCAUUUAGGAUCUCCAACUGCAUCACUUAAUUUUGUUGGUUGACUUGAAAUACACAACAUGCCAGAUGGUAUAGUACCAUCCGUUCUUAUUUUUGGAUUUCUUAUACCUUUUUGUAGUCGGGUUAUUGCCCUUGGAGUAGCAACAUGUUGCCGUUGUGAUCGCACAGGAGAUUGAACAGUUUGACUGUCCGCAGAUGAUACAGAGGACCUGUCCAAACGUGCAGGAUGGGUGGAUGUAGACGAUCCUAUGAUCACUUGUGUGGCUGAUCAUGAGCUGGCUUUAUCUUCGGCCACAACAUUUUUGCCCGCCGUAGAUCCCGCAGAAGACCGUGUGGUCGUUGUCGACUGCAUGUGCGCAGGUGCGUGAUACGUCCAUUUUGCAUCAUGCUUUCCUACUAUUAUUUAUGAUGUUUUAUCCAUAAUAAUGCCUUUCGAGUAAUUCUAAUGCCUUUUCUCUCAUAAUAUGCAAGGUAUACACAAAGAGGGAGAAUUCCGGCAGCUGGAAAUCUGGACCUGGAAAAGCUACGUCACGCUACCUAUUCUGCACAACUCCAAACAAGCUGAAACUUCACGGAGAAUGUUUAUGGAAUAUAUGAAGAAUAUUGGAGCAAAUAAGUACCAAAGGAGACCCACCAGGUGGGCACAACCCACCUGGGUGCGCCAGGGAGCCCAGGCGCGCCCUGGUGGGUUGUGCUCACCCAGGCCCACCUUCGGGGCCCACCUUCUGGUAUAUAAGUCAUUUUGACCUAGAAAAAAUAAGGAGAGGACUUUCGGGAUGGAGCGCUGCCAUCUCGAGGCGGAACUUGGGCAGGAGCACUUUUGCCCUCCCGCGGCGCGAUUCCGCCGGGUGAACUUCUCUCCCGGAGGGGGAAAUCAUCGUCAUCAUCAUCACCAACAACUCUCCCAUCUUGGGGAGGGCAAUCCCCAUCAACAUCUUCAACAUCACCAUUUCAUCUCAAAUCCUAGUUCAUCUCUUGUGUUCAAUCUUGUUACCGGAACUAUAGAUUGGUGCUUGUGGGUGACUAGUAGUGUUGAUUACAUCUUGUAGUUGAUUACUAUAUGGUUUAUUUGGUGGAAGAUUAUAUGUUCAGAUCCAAUAUGCUAUUUUAUACCCCUCUGAUCUUGAGCAUGAUUAUCAUUUGUGAGUAGUUACUUUUGUUCUUGAGGUCACGAGAGAAAUCAUGUUGCAAGUAAUCAUGUGAACUUGAUAUGUGUUCGAUAUUUUGAUAGUAUGUAUGUUGUGAUUCCCUUAGUGGUGUCAUGUGAACAUCGACUACAUUACACUUCACCAUAUUUGGGCCUAAGGAAAUGCAUUGUGGAGUAGCAAUUAGAUGUUGGGUUGCGAGAGUGAUGGAAGCUUAAACCCCAGUUUAUGCGCUAUUCCGUAUGGGACCGAUUGGAUCCAAAAGUUCAAUGCUAUGGUUAGAAUUUAUUAUUAUACUUUUCUCGUAGUUGUGGAUUCUUGCGGGAGGGUUAAUCAUAAGUAGGAGGUUUGUUCAAGUAAGAACAGCACCUAAGCACCGGUCCACCCACAUAUCAAAUUAUCAAAGUACCGAACAGAAAUCAAACCAACAUGGUGAAAGUGACUAGAUGAAAUUCCCGUGCACCCUCAAGAACACUUUGCUUAUCAUAAGAGACCGUUUUGCCCUGUCCUUUGACUCAAAAGGAUUGGUCUACCUUGCUGCACCUUUUUUACUACUAUCGUUACUUGCUAGUUACAAAUUAUCUUGCUAUCAAACUACUCUGCUACUUACAAUUUCAGCACUUGCAGACCUUACCUUGUUGAAAACCACUUGUCAUUCCUUCUGCUCCUCAUUGGGUUCGACACUCUUACAUAUCGAAAAGAGAUACAAUUGAUCCCCUAUACUUGUGGGUUAUCAAGUCUAUUUCUGGCGCCGUUGCCGGGGAGUGAAGCGCCUUUGGUAAGGAAACAUUUAUAUAGUGUGCUAAAAUUUACUGUCACUUGAUACUAUGGAAAACAAUCCUUUGAGGGGUUUGUUCGGGGUAUCUUCACCUCGACCGGAACGACAAUUAGCUACCCCUCAACCUACUGCACCUACUGAAAAUAUUGAAUAUGAAAUUCCUUCGGGUAUGAUAGAACAACUGCUAGCUAAUCCUUAUGCAGGAGAUGGAACCGAACAUCCUGAUAUGCACUUGAUAUAUGUAGAACAAAUUUGUGGAUUGUUCCAGCUUGCAGGUUUACCCGGAGAUGAACUUAUGAAGAAGGUUUUCCCUUUAUCUUUGAAGGGAAAAGCAUUGGCAUGGCAUAGGCUAUGCGAUGAUAUUGGAUCGUGGAAUUGGAAUCGAUUGAAAUUGGAGUUCCAUCAAAAAAAAUUAUCCUAUGCAUCUAGUUCAUCGUGAUCGGAAUUAUAUAUAUAAUUUUUGGCCUCAUGAAGGAGAAAGUAUCGCUCUAGCUUGGGGGAGGCUUAAGUCAAUGUUAUAUACAUGCCCCAAUCAUGAGCUCUCAAGAGAAAUUAUUAUCCAGAAUUUUUAUGCUCGGCUUUCUCAUGAUGAUAUUCCAUGCUUGAUACUUCUUGUGCUGGUUCCUUCUUGAAGAAGACUAUUGAAUUCUGGUGGGAUCUUUUGGAAAGAAUUAAACACAACUCUGAAGAUUGGGAACUCGACGAAGGUAAAGAGUUAGGUAUUAAACUUUAGUAUGAUUGUGUUAAAUCUAUUAUGAAUACCGAUGCUUUUCAAAAGUUUAGCACUAAAUAUGAACUUGACUCUGAGAUAGUAGCCUCCUUUUGUGAAUCAUUUUCUACUCAUGUUGAUAUCCCUAAAGAGAAGUGGUUUAAAUAUCACCCACCUAUUAAAGAAGAAGUUAAAGAACUGGUACCAGUUAAGGAAGAAACUAUACUUUACAAUGUUGAUCCAGUUGUUCCUACUGCUUACAUUGAGAACCCACCUUUCCCUAUUAGGAUAAAGGAACAUGCGAAAGUUUCAACUGUGGUCAACAAAAGUUAUAUUAGAACACCUAAACCUUAUGAACAAAUUAAAGUAGAACCUAGUAUUGUUAUGGAUAAAGAUCUCUUGGAAGAAAAUGUAGACGGGCAUGUUACUUACUUCUGUGAAUAAGCUGCUAGAAUUGCCAAACAUGAGAAAAAGGAUAAACAUAGACCUGUGUUGGCUUGUCCGUUGUCUCAGUUAAAAUAGGAGAUCACCGUUAUCAUGGUUUAUGUGGCAUAGGUGCUAGCAUGAGUGCUAUUCCUUAUUCCUUAUAUCAAGAAAUUAUGAAUGACAUAGCACCCGGAGAAAUAGAAGACAUAUAUGUUACUAUUAAACUUGCUAAUAGAGAUACCAUAUCACCAAUUGGGAUUGUUAGAGAUGUUGAAGUCUUGUGUGGGAAAAUAAAAUAUCCUACUGAUUUUCUUGUUCUUGGUUCCCCACAAGAUGACUUUUGUCCCAUUAUCUUUGGUAGACCUUUCUUAAACAUCGUUAAUGCUAGAAUAGACUGUGAGAAACAAACUGUCGGUGUUAGUUUUGGUGAUGAGUCUCAUGAGUUUAUUUUUUCCAAGUUUAGUAGAAAGCUUCAUGAAAAAGAAUUUCCUAGUGAGGAUGAAAUAAUUGUUCUUGCUUCUAUUGCUGUACCACCUACUGAUCCUUUACAACAAUAUUUGCUAGACCAUGAAAAUGAUUUACAUAUGCAUGAAAGAAAUGAGAUAGAUAAGAUUUUCUUUAAACAAUGUCCUCUGCUUAAACACAAUUUGCCUAUUGAAACUCUAGGAGGUCCUCCUCCACCUAAAGGUGAUCCUAUGUUUGAAUUAAAAUAAUUGCCAGACACUUUGAAAUAUUCUUAUCUUGAUGAAGAGAAGAUAUAUCCUGUUAUUAUUAGUGUUAACCUUUUAGAACAUGAAGAAGAAAGACUACUGAAAGUUCUAAGGAAACACCGAGCUGCUAUUGGAUAUACUCUUGAUGACUUAAAGGGCAUUAGUCCCAGUCUAUAUCAGCACAAAAUUAAUAUGGAACCUGAUGCUAAACCUGUUGUUGAUCACCAACGUAGGUUAAAUCAAAAAAUGAAGUGGUAUAAUCUAUCCUAUAGCUGAUAGUAGAUGGGUAAGUCCUGAUCAUCGUAUUCCUAAGAAAGGAGGUAUUACUGUUGUUCCUAAUGAUAAGAAUGAACUUAUACCACAAAGAAUUAUUACAGGCUAUAAUCUAUCCUUCAGCUGAUAGUAAGAACGGAAAUCUUAAAACUUCUGGAAGCAGGUAUAAUCUAUCCUAUAGCUGAUAGUAAGAACGGAAAUCUUAAAACUUCUGGAAGCAGGUAUAAUCUAUCCUAUAGCUCAUAGUAGAUGGGUAAGUCCUGUUCAUCGUAUUCCUAAGAAAGGAGGUAUUACUGUUGUUCCUAAUGAUAAGAAUGAACUUAUUCCACAAAGAAUUGUUAUAGGCUAUAGAAUGGUAAUUGAUUUUAGAAAACUAAACAAAGCAACUAGAAAAGAUCAUUACCCUCUGCCUUUUAUUGAUCAAAUGCUAGAAAGAUUAUCUAAGCACACUCAUUUUUUGCUUCCUUGAUGGAUAUUCUGGUUUCUCACAAAUACCUGUUUCUCAACCUGAUCAAGAAAAGACCACUUUUACUUGUCCCUUCGAAACUUAUGCUUACAGAGGUAUGCCUUUCGGUUUAUGCAAUGCACCUGCUACCUUUCAAAGAUGUAUGACUGCUAUAUUCUCUGACUUUUGUGAAAAGGUUGUUGAGGUUUUCAUGGAUGAUUUCUCUAUUUAUGGGAAGUCUUUUGAUGAUUGUUUAAGCAAUCUUGACCGAGUUUUGCAGAGAUGUGAACAAACAAAUCUUGUCUUGAUUGGGAGAAGUGCCACUUCAUGGUUAAUGAAGGCAUUGUCUUGGGCCAUAAAAUUUCUGAAAGAGGUAUUGAAGUGGACGAAGCUAAGGUUGAUGCAAUUGAGAAAAUGCCAUGUCCUAAAGAUAUCAAAGGUAUUCGUAGAUUCUUAGGUCAUGCUGGUUUCUAUAGGAGAUUUAUCAAAGACUUUUCUAAAAUUUCUAGGCCUCUUAUGAAUCUUUUGCAAAAGGAUGUUCCUUUUGUUUUUGAUGAUGAUUGUUUAGAAGCCUUUGAAAUACUCAAGAAAGCCUUAAUUUCUGCACCUAUUAUUCAACCACCUGAUUGGAACUUGCCUUUUGAAAUUAUGUGUGAUGCUAGUGAUUAUGCUGCUGGUGAUGUUCUAGGACAAAGAGUUAAUAAGAAACUAAAUGUUAUUCAUCAUGCUAGUAAAACUCUAGACAGUGCUCAACGAAACUAUGCUACAACUGAAAAAGGAUUCUUAGUAGUGGUGUUUCCUUGUGAUAAAUUUAGAUCUUAUAUUGUUGAUUCAAAAGAAAUUGUUCACACUGAUCAUGCUGCUAUUAAAUAUCUUAUGGAAAAGAAAGAUGGUAAACGUAGACUUAUUCGAUGGGUUCUCUUGCUACAAGAAUUUGAUAUACAUAUCACUGAUAGAAAAGGAGCUGAGAACCCCGUAGUUGAUAACUUGUCUAGGCUUGAAAAUGUGCUUGAUGACCCACUUCCUAUUGAUGAUAGUUUUCCUGAUGAUCAGUUAGCUCCAAUAAAUGUUGCUCACAACACUCCUUGGUAUGUUGACUAUGCUAAUUACAUUGUUGCUAAAUAUUUACCACCUAGCUUUACAUACCAACAAAAUAAAAAAUUCUUCUAUGAUUGAAGACAUUACUUUUGGGAUGACCCACAUCUUUAUAAAGAAGGAGUAGCUGGUAUUAUUACACGUUGUGUACCUGAGCAUGAACAGGGACAAAUCCUACGGAAAUGUCACUCCAAAGCUUAUGGAGGGCAUCAAGCUGGAGUGUAGCGACCCGACCUCAGGCGGUCAAGUCUCUGUGCUUAGUGUCAUCCCUGGAUCGGUAAUGCUGACACACACAGUACUCGAAGGAUUUAUAACAGAGUAGCAAUCACACACUUAUUACAUUGGAUGUCUCAAAAGAGAACUUAUUACAAUAAAUAUGGCUUAAGGCCAUCUAAAUAAGAUAACAGCGAAAGACUUGGAAGAUAAAGUGAGUCCAUCAACUCCAAUGGCAUAGCUGAGUGCAUGACAAACGACCUAUCGCACCUUACUCCUCGUCUGAAAAGUCUGCAACAUAAUACGUUGCAACCCCAAAAAGGGUCAGCACAUGGAAUAUGCUGGCAAUAUAACACAGUAGAGCAAUGAACAGAUAAAUGCUAUCACUACAUGCAUAUAUGGCUGGUGGAGGCUAUAUGGUUAUAUGGUUUUUGCGAAAAGCCAAUUUUUCCCUACAACAAAGGAAUUAAACUUUAUUUAACUAUCAUGGUGGUUGAAACAUUGAGAAUGGUACCCCCAUCUCAAUCCCAAUUAAAAGUAAUCAUUAACAACCCAACAAAUUAAUUUAGUGUGAUGAGAUCAAAUCAAUAAUUCAAGUACCAGAUACUCAAGAUGUCCAUAACCGGGGACACGACUAACAAAGAUUAGUUCAUACACUCGGCAGAGUUUUGCGCACUUUUCCCCACAAGACUCGAUCUCCUCCAUUUGAAUUCUCGCACUACAUGGUGUUUGAGAAACGAAUGACCGAGACACAGUCUUUCAUAAGCAUUAACUCUUUACUCUGGGUGGACAGUUACACCUACUUUCCCUCUACAUCUGCUAGCCCACCACUGAAAGAGGUCACACAACAUACUCAACUAUGCGAGAGCCCAUAAUGGCUUGUGGCUGCACACAGAAGUUUCUAGCAUGAAUAAUCUUAUGAUCCCUUUGAGCCUGGAUGGCGGACCGUAGGAUGAUCACACGGUAUAACCUCGGGAUAUCCUAGGACAACACUGGAUUCCCCAGGUGCCCAAAACAAACAAUCCACCCAGAUGCGUAUUAAAUUUGCCAACUUAAGUUGAACCAUUAAUUAACAACUCACAUCUGUCAUGGAUACACUCAAACCCAAUCCACGUCUACGAGCAUAGCAUGACAAUAUAAGCAUAACGUAGAAGUAACUCCCAGGGUUUGAUAAUAAAAUAGGGCAAUAUGUUCUACCUCAUCAACUACUUCCCAAUACCCACAAGUUAAUCACAUCCUAAUCAUGCAGUGUUUGAGGAUUGUACUAAUGCAUAAAAACCGGGUAUGAAAAGAGUAUGAUCAAUGUGUUACUUGCCUUGCUGACGAUCCGCAAAACCUAGAGACUCGUAGUAGCACGCUUCGCACUCCGGGAAUUCUAUCGCAAACAAACAAUAGCAUACAUAAGCAAUCAAGCAAAGAUGCACGAGUAAAACUCAAAUAAGAAUAUCUAACCAGAAAGUUAAACUGAAGAACUUCGGUUUACAAAAAGAAUCAAAUCAAACGGAGCAACGAAACUCAAACUGCGAAAGAAACAAGAUCCGAUUACCAAUCUGAACUAAAGUCAAAUUUUACAGUACCAAAAUCUUGUUCAAGUUGGUUAAACAGAAAGAGGGUUUCGAGACGAAGAACUAGGCGCUUGAAUCGCCGGAUUCCUAUAAACGAGCGAAAAGAUAAACUAAAAUGAAAAUCAGGGCAGAAACCGCGAUCGAAAAUAAUCGCGGAAAAACCCUGGAAAAAGAAAAACUGACGAACAGGCUGACGAACGAACGUUCACGGUCUGCGGCUAACGGGUGAACGGCGUCCGUUAAAACGAACGUACGGACGAACGUCCGCUAAAUAACUAAACCGGGAAAAAAUAAAACUGAUCUAAAAUAAAAUAACCGCGGGUUUACUAAAAAAACCAAACGGUUUUCUCGCAAAAACUGGCGGCUAUCUCGGGACGGGCGGCGGCGGCGGAAUUCCGGCGGGCGGCGGGGUCGGCGGCGAGGCGGCGGGCGGCGACGACNNNNNNNNNNNNNNNNNNNNNNNNNNNNNNNNNNNNNNNNNNNNNNNNNNNNNNNNNNNNNNNNNNNNNNNNNNNNNNNNNNNNNNNNNNNNNNNNNNNNNNNNNNNNNNNNNNNNNNNNNNNNNNNNNNNNNNNNNNNNNNNNNNNNNNNNNNNNNNNNNNNNNNNNNNNNNNNNNNNNNNNNNNNNNNNNNNNNNNNNNNNNNNNNNNNNNNNNNNNNNNNNNNNNNNNNNNNNNNNNNNNNNNNNNNNNNNNNNNNNNNNNNNNNNNNNNNNNNNNNNNNNNNNNNNNNNNNNNNNNNNNNNNNNNNNNNNNNNNNNNNNNNNNNNNNNNNNNNNNNNNNNNNNNNNNNNNNNNNNNNNNNNNNNNNNNNNNNNNNNNNNNNNNNNNNNGCGGCAGCGAGGCGGCGACGACGGCUUUCGGCGGCAGCGAGGCGGCGAUGACGAUGGCCGGCGGCGGCGACGGCGGCUAGCGUAGGCGGCUGGCGGCGACGGCGGAUCGGGCGUGGCAGCGGAUCAGGCGGGGCGGGGCUAGGGUUUGGGAGCGGCUCGGGCCUUCGCUUAAAAAGGCCUGCCGGGCGAAGUCCUAGUCGGGCACGGCCCGGCUAGGUCGGUUGACAUUUUCUUUUAAAAAAUUAAUUCCGCGCAGAAAAACAAAGAAACGAAACAAUAAACGGACUCCAAAAAUCCUGAAAUAAAUUUUCCCCAUCCUCUAAAAAUAUGUCGGACAAGGUGAACAUUUAUUUAGGACUCUAAUGCAAUUUUGAAAAACGCGUAUUUUCCUAAUUCAAAUAAAAUUGCAAUAAAAUCCAAAUAAAAUUAUUUAUUUGAUUUUAAUAAUUUCCUCCAAUAUUUCAUCUAUUUUGGAGAAGUCAUUUUAUCUACUCUCAUAUAUUUUAAAUUCGAAAUAUUUUCGGAGAGAAAAAUCAUUAAAACCAAAAUGAUCCUUGUUUCAAUAUUUGAUAAAAUUCAAAUAUGAAAAUUGUGAAAUCCCCAACUCUCUCCGAGGGUCCUUGAGUUGCUUAGAAUUUCGAGGAUCGCAAACGAAAAUGCAAAAAAAAUAUGAUAUGCAUGAAUGACCUAUGUAUAACAUUCCAAAUUAAAAAUUUGGGAUGUUACAAACCUACCCCCCUUAAGAUGAAUCUCGUCCUCGAGAUUCGGGUUGGCUAGAAAAUAGGUGCGGGUGGUCUUUGCGUAGAUCAUCCUCUCGUUCCCAGGUGGCUUCAUCCUUGGUAUGGUGGCUCCACUGAACUUUGCAAAACUUGAUAACCUUGCUGCAAGUAACUCGGCUGGCAAACUCAAGAAUCUUGACAGGUUUCUCCUCAUGUGUCAAAUCACUAUCCAACUGUAUUGCUUCCAGGGGCACUGUAUCUCUUAGAGGAAUAUCGGCCAUCUCUGCAUGGCACUUCUUCAACUGGGAAACGUGAAACACAUCAUGUACUCCCGACAGUCCUUCGGGUAACUUCAACUUGUAUGCGACCUCUCGCAUGCGUUCCAAAACACGGUAUGGUCCCACAAAUCUCGGGGCUAACUUUCCCUUAACUCCAAAACGUCUAACUCCUCGAAGAGGCAACACUCGCAGAUACGCUCUGCCUUUGAUUUCAUAGACUACCUCCUUGCGGUUUGAGUCCGCAUAACUCUUCUGCCUUGACUGAGCUACCUUAAGUCUGUCUCGAAUCAACUUACCCUUCUCUUCAGACUCCUUGAUCAAAUCUGGUCCAAACAACUGUCGGUCUCCGACUUCAUCCCACAUCAACGGUGUUCUGCACCUUCGGCCAUACAGUGCUUCGAACGGUGCCAUCUUCAAACUGUCCUAGUAGCUAUUGUCGUACGAGAACUCCGCAUAGGGCAAAUUGUCAACCCAACUAGAUCCAUAAUCUAGUGCAGAAGCUCUCAACAUGUCCUCCAGACUCUGAUUGACUCUCUCGGUCUGUCCAUCUGUCUGCGGGUGAAAAGCGGUACUGAACUCCAGCCUGGUACCCAAGGUCUGGUGCAGCUGGUGCCCAAACUUUGAAGUAAAUGGUGUUCCUCUAUCUGAUACGAUGGUCCUCGGAACUCCGUGCAGACAUACGAUCCUGGUCAUGUAUAUCUUGGCCAACUUCGCACUGGUAUAGGUGGUUUUCACUGGGAUAAAGUGAGCUACUUUGGUCAAGCGAUCCACUACUACCCAGGUAGAAUCAUAUCCUGAUCGGGUCCUGGGCAAUCCGGUGAUGAAAUCCAUGCCAAGCUUAUCCCACUUCCAUUCGGGUAUCGGCAUAGGCUGCAGUAAUCCUGCUGGCUUCUGAUGUUCUGCCUUCACUACAUACAUCACAUACGGCUACAUACUCGGCAAUAUCCUUCUUCAUACCAGUCCACCAGAAAUGCUCCUUCAAAUCCAAAUACAUCUUGGUGUUUCUGGGGUGAAUUGAGUAUGGUGAGUCAUGAGCCUCCUGAAGUAUCAACUUCCUGAUCUCUGCAUUAUUGGGCACAUAAACGCGGUCCUCAAACCAUAAGGUGUCGUGCUCAUCCUCACGAAAAUCUUUGGCUUUUCCUUCGCUCAUUCUCUCCUUUAUCUCGGCAAUCUCCUUAUCAUCCUUCUGAGCUUCCCGAAUCUUUCCCAACAAUGUAGACUGCACUUCCAUAGCUGCAACAAAUCCUCUAGGGACUAUCUCCAAACGUAACUCCCUGAGAUCUUCUACCAACUCCUUUGGCAUUCCUCCGCUUACGAGGGUAUUGACAUAACUUUUCCGGCUCAAAGCGUCUGCUACAACAUUGGCCUUGCCUGGAUGAUAGUGCAACUUCAUAUCAUAAUUAUUUAUGAGCUCCAACCAUCUCCUCUACCGGAGGUUAAGCUCCUUCUGUGUGAAGAUGUACUUCAAACUCUUGUGAUCCGUGUACACAUCGCAACGAUUCCCAAUGAGAAAAUGCCUCCAGGUCUUGAGCGCAUGUACCACAGCUGCUAACUCCAAGUCGUGUGUGGCAUAGUUCAAUUCAUGCGGUCAAAGUUGUCGUGAGGCAUAUGAAACAACUCUUCUGUCUUGCAUAAGUACUCCUCCAAGUCCUAAGCGAGAGGCGUUGCAGUACACUUGGAAAUCCUUGCGUAUAUCCGGCAGAAUUAGCACUGGGGCUGUAGUCAAACAUUUCUUCUAUUCCUGGAAACCUGCUUCACACUCUUCAGUCCAAUGGAACUUGGUGUCCUUCUUCAACAAUGCCGUCAUAGGCUUCACAAUCUUAGAAAAAUUCUCAAUAAAUCUCUGAUAAUAUCCCGCGAGUCCAAGGAAACUACGGAUCUCUCCAACUGAAGUGGGUACCAACCACUCAGUGACUGACCGAACCUUGGUAGGAUCCACUUCUAUACCUUCUCCUGAUAUAACAUGUCCAAGAAGUCCAACUUCCUUCAUCCAAAACUCACACUUGCUGAACUUGGCAUAUAACUGAUGUUGCCCGAGCUUCUCGAGAACUAAACGCAAAUUCUCCUUGUGUUCCUCUUCAUUCUUCGAGUAUACCAAGAUAUCAUCAAUGAACACCACGACAAAAUUAUCCAAGAACUCCAUGAACACCUUGUUCAUCAUACUCAUGAAAUAGGCACGGGCGUUAGUUAGUCCAAAUGACAUAACAGUAUACUCGUAUAACCCGUACCUUGUGGUGAAAGUUGUUUUAGGUAUAUCUUUUUCCCUAAUCUUCAGCUGGUGAUAUCCUGAUCGCAGAUCGAUCUUCGAAAACACUUUAGCUCCUUGCAACUAGUCAAACAAAUCAUUGAUCAUUGGCAGUGGGUACUUAUUCAUGAUUGUUACUUCAUUCAACGCACGAUAAUCAACCACCAUCCUUAAUGAUCCAUCCUUCUUCUCGACCAAAAGUACUAGGGUUCCCCAUGGUGAUGAACUUCGUCGAAUGUAACUUUUUUCCAACAACUCCUUAAUCCGCGUUUUGAUCUCCUCUAGAUCAUUUGCGGGCAUCCGGUAUGGUCUCUUAGAUAUUGGUCCGGUGCCUGCCAAUAGUUCUAUCAAAAACUCGAUAUCUCAUCUGGUGGCAUGCCUGGUAAGUCCUCUGGAAAACAUCCGGGUAGUCCUUUACUACCGGCACUUCCUGCUGAACAACUCCCGUGAGAGAAUUUACUUGAGUCUUCCUCGGCGCAUGCCGGAUACACACGUAAUCCUUUUUCCCUCCGCGGUAGUGAGCAAAAUCAACUUACUGGCGCAAUCGAUGUUUCCCCCAUACAUCGAUAGCCAAUCCAUUCCUAGUAUCACAUCCAAUCCCCGUGACUCCAAAAUUUUCAGGUCUGAGGGGAAAACAUGGCUUCCAAUGGUCAAUGGCAUCUAAAAACAUCCUUGUCUUGCCAUAUAUUCCGCUCCUGGCGAACUUGCUAACAUAGGUGUCCUAAGUACCUUAGUGGGCAACUUAUACUUAUCCACGAAUCCCCUUGAUAUGUAUGAAUGCGAUGCACCAGUAUGAAAAAGAACGAUUGCAGUAAAAGGCUUAACCAAAAAUUACCGAUAACUGCAUCUGGCUGCUCCUCAACUUCCUCCACGUUCACGUGGUUCACUUGUCCCCUGUUGAAAGGGUUGGGCUUCUUCCCAGCGCUUCCAUUGCCAUUGCCAUUCUUCAAUUCCGGACAAUCGUUGGCGUAGUGCCCAGUCUUCCCGCACUUGAAACAGGUAAUGUGACUUUGACCCUUCUUGGCGGGUGUGGCUGGGUUAGAGCGGUUCUGAUUGCUGCCUGCUCAUUCCCGUUUCCAUUCUUGGGGCCAUUAUGGUUGUGAGAACUCCCUCCAUUGUGGGUGUGGCCUCCAUGGUUAUGGAUAAGUCCUCCCGAGUUCUGGGAGAAACGAGGCUUCUGCUGAGCUCCAGAAUUGUACUUUCCUUGUCCAUACUUCCUCUUGCGGCUCUCAAUCUGCUGCUGCUUCCCUUCCAUCAUAAGAGCCUUGUCUACCAACUCCUGGUAGUUGUUAAAUGCUGCCACCAUCAAGUGCAUGCUCAUCUCAUCAUUCAGCCCUUCCAUAAACUUCUCCUGCUUUGCGGCAUCUGUGGCCACAUCAUCAGGGGCAUAACGAGACAGCUUACUAAACUCAUCUACGUACUGAGCCACAGUAUGAUUCCCCUGGCGUAAGUUGUGAAACUCUCGCUUAUUCAUGCUCAUAGCUCCAGUUGAGACAUGGGUUGUGCGAAAAGCUUGCUAAAACUGAUCCCAAGUGAUAUUGGCUAUAGGAAAAGUGGAUGUGUAAUUCCCCCACCAUGAUGCUGCUGGUCCAUCCAAUUGGUGUGCAGCAAAACGCACCUUCUCAGCAUCAGUGCAACCUACGGUGGUCAACUCCCUUCCAAUCUUGUGUAACCAGUCAUCCGCAACUAUGGGCUCGGUGCUACUGGAAAACACCGGCGGCUAUAACCUCAAAAAAUGGGCUAAGUUGUCAACUGGAGGAGGGUUGUUGUUGUUUUUGUUGUUGUUGUUGCCUUGGUUAUAGACUAAUAUCUGCAUCAAGGCAUUCUGCUGCUGGAUCAACUAGGUGAUCUCCGAUGGGAAGACAAAUCCGGUGUCAUGUCUCGGAGGCAUCUGAUGGGUUUAGAGGGGAGAGAUUAGAAUAGAAAGAGGUCUAGUGAGAAAGCACUACCCAUAUGCACAUGAGACAAACACAAUCAUAUCACUCAAUCAAUCAAGCAAGGGCAUACAAUCAGUCUAGAACUAUCGUUUAAAAGUGAUCAGACUACUACUAUAUACAGGGGAAAUACUACUAGUCAUAUGGUGGUCAUCUAGAAAUUUUGAUCGGUGGAAGACUCCAUGAUAUCCGCUCCAGCUUCGUCUUCAUAAUCAUCAUCACUAUCGUCAGGGUCGGAGUCUGUGUCGUAGAUGAUGAUGUAGUCUUCGGAACAAAUCUCCUUGGGCUCAUCGUCUUCUCCUCCUGGAGCGGGAUCUCCCAUGAAUACUCCGAUCUUCUUUAUCAGGUCGUCAUUCUUCUCCAAUAGUAUUGCGAUUUCCUCCUCAUAUCUAUCGCGUGUAGACUUGAGUUCCUCUUCUAGCUCGGUGAUCCUUGUCAUCGCCUUCUUCAAAUCUAUCAUGCUUGCGCACAUCUGAUUCUCCUGGCGUCGAAUGUGCUGGUUUAGCUCCUGGAUGAAUGCGGCAAUGGACCUGUCUCUCCUCGUGCUGACUAUCUCCUAUUGCUCGUCUCGGCGCCCACAUAUCUGGUAGAUAGUAUCCUUGAGAUCCUUGCUGUAGACUUCGCUGAUGCGUCCCAGGGCGAUGUGAGCUGCCAUGCUCUUUCCUAGACUCCAAGUUGGUGCAACAAAGGAAAAUUCUAUGGGCUCCAUGACUGGCGUGAAUGUCCUUCCUGGAACUUGAACUCGAAUCAUCUAGCGCUCCUCUUCUGGGAAAGUGGCAUUGUAGGCCCCGGUGAAGCUUGGUAUUCCAAUGUUCAGGUAUCUAGUGACUUCCUUCAAGUGUCGUCCAAAGGCGGUGUCAUCAUCCGGUUGUGCAAACUUGUUCCUCGAGUUCGCCAUCCUAAAGAGUAGAAAAUGGAGAGGAGUCAGAAAUGAGUAGAGAAGAGUGACCUAUGGCUCUUCUUAGUGGUCGUGUCCUACAUUCAGCGUGUGCUCUGAUACCAUCUUGUAGCGACCCGACCUCAGGCGGUCAAGUCUCUGUGCUCAGUGUCAUCCCUGGAUCGGUAAUGCUGACACACACAGUACUCGAAGGAUUUAUAACAGAGUAGCAAUCACACACUUAUUACAUUGGAUGUCUCAAAAGAGAACUUAUUACAAUAAAUAUGGCUUAAGGCCAUCUAAAUAAGAUAACAGCGGAAGACAUGGAAGAUAAAGUGAGUCCAUCAACUCCAACGGCAUAGCUGAGUGCAUGACAAACGACCUAUCGCACCUUACUCCUCGUCUGAAAAGUCUGCAACAUGAUACGUUGCAGCCCGAAAAUGGGUCAGCACAUGGAAUAUGCUGGCAAUAUAACACAGUAGAGCAAUGAACAGAUAAAUGCUAUCACUACACUACGCCAACCACGGUUGCUCUACACAAGAAGCAUAACAACUCGAAGCAGCGGAACAACUACUGGCAGCGGAACAACGAACGACGAUGAUGGACUCCAAUCCGCAGGGACUCUGGCUGGAACGUUUAUCCUAGCUCGCGAACAGAGGAACCACACCAAACAAGCAAGCAAUCCAGGCACGACCUGCAAACUAGCAUGACACGCCAGGUCAGUACAUUGAAUGUACUUGCAAGCUCACAAUAGCCAGAAGCAUUCAAGACAAACAACAUCAUGGCAAUUACAGGUUAAGCAUGAAUUAUCGUGAGAUCAUCAGGAUAACAUGGCAUGAAUAACAUGAACAUGAUACAGGUAGAACAAUAUGAGCAUGGCAUAAACAUAUAAACAUGACGAAACUAUCAUGCAACAUGAUGACAUUAUAUGCACCAUUUAUUCUAUUCGGGUUACCUCGUAACCAAACGGUGAUCCUUCCGGCAAUCACAACCAUGACCAACACUUGGUCUCAAACAGUGAUCCUUCCGGCGAUCACAACCACGACCAACACCUGGCCUCAAACGGUGAUCCUUCCGGCGAUCACAACCAACUUAUCUCCUCAUCGAACCAUGGUCGUUAUUAAGCACCUUAUUAUUAUUAUUAUUAUUACUGUUGACUCAUAGUGUGACCAACUACGAACUGGGCCCUUAUCCGCGGGCGCGGCUAUCGAUAGAUUUAGUAUACACUCUGCAGAGGUUAGUACACUGUACCCACACUACGGAACCCAUGGCCUCGUACUCCCAUUCGAGUGGACUAACGGCGUUCCGACAAAACCGAUCUACUGCCAUGAUACUCUCCCGGCCACUCCGACUCACUCCCCACUAGGCUAGUCCUGGGUGGCCCCGUGUCUACCAAAGACACAACGACCACCGUCGUGGCCAAACAUAAACGGUCCCAAACGGGGACCCGGAUCAAUAACAACAACAACGGGCACACAAGGUUAUGUCUGCUUACCGGGCCAGGGUACCGCACGCCCAUAACCUUCCCUCGUUAGAGGCACCGGCGAGAGGCACGACAAUAGACCCAGUUAGGACCUUCCCAUAAAGGUAAGCGUGGUUGCACUGGUCAGUUCGAUAUGGUGGCACCAUGACUCAGCCAACAUUAGUUCAAGUUCAAUUUAAUCUGGUUAAAUUUGAAUGCAAAUAUGUUGAGCCAUGAUAAAGUACAUGAUGCAGUUACAAUGCAUGAGCAUGAUAUCAACAUAAUCAUGAGAGAACCACAUAACUAUCCACCAUAUCAACAAUGAAUCAUAUCCAAAUGAGCAUGGCUUACUGACUAGCAUAAACAUCACAGGUACAUACUUCUCUGAAACAUAGCAUGACCACUAGCAUCGACAAUAAAUAUCAUGCAAGAACAUAACAACAAUGCCAUCAUGCAAGCAUUUAACCAACUGGAUGCAAUGGAACAAGCAUAACAACGGUACUCGGGACAGACGGCAGUAGAGCACCGAAGAACAUUACCAACAUCAACAUGUACUACUAGCAAGCAUAAGCAUAUAAAGGAAUACUAGCAACUAGCAGGGCAUGACAACCAGGUGCAUAACAACAUAGCAAGAAAGUAAGCACUAACAAAGAAUCAUUACCGAAACAUCGAUAACCAUAUUUUAAACAAACAAACAUUUAAUAAAUAUUCAAGUUGAAAACCAUGGCUACUGCAUGACUGUCAUGCAAGUGGGUAUUGUGGCUUGCCUGGGGUGACGGAGACUCCGGGAGGAAGUGCGGUGAAGCCGCGGAACGAAACGCCGGACGGUUUUCUCUCGAAGGGGGCUGAUUAGAGGCAAGGGCAAAAUGGUCAUUUUCACUGUGAGAACACCUAGUUAAAAUGUUACAAAAAUAUAGACCUCGACGAGACGAAGAAGUGAGCGCUGGUUUCACCUCAAUCGGAGUUACGGUUGAAAAGUUGUGAAGGUUGGAAGAAGAGGGACUAAUCUGUGAAUAAACUUCAGCAAACAGGCCCCUGGUGGAAAAGCAGAAAGCGCCUUCGGUCAUUUUACGUUUUCUAUAAAGGAAAACGUAACCAAAGCCGCAGUAGAGAGAAAUACAUUUUCUUUUUAACAGAAAACACACUACAGCCAAAGAAGGACCGAAAAACGCUUUCACGCAAAUGAAAACGGACAGAGGUAAAUCCGCUUUCUCGCAAAUGAAAGUGAACUCACCGGGAGCGUUUCCACUUCCCACGUCAGCGGAGCGUCUGGGCCACUGACGGGCCGGGCCCAGCGGCAGGGGAGGGGGCCAGGCGCGGGCGUCGUCUUCCUCCUCCCCUCGCUUCUGUCCGUUCCCGAGCGGAACAGAACAGAAGCAGAGGAGGGAAACGGCCAAGGGGCCGGCCAGCUCCGGUGGCCUCUGGCCACGGCGCGGCCACCGGUGGGACCGCAGUGACCAACCUCACCCAUCCAGAGGGAGUACAGCCACCGGGGAGGCGCGUGGAGGAGGGGAGGGGCGGCGCCAUGGGGAGCACAGGAAGCUUCGGGAGGCGGGGUUCUCCGGUGAUGCGGGCACUCUGGCGACGAACGGAGGAGAUGGGGAGGCUGGCGGAGGUGUGGGGAGUGCCGUGGUGGAGACGGGAGAGGGGGAGGAGCUCCGGAUGGCCGGGACGACGAGGUGACCGAGAGGCAGAGGCGACGGCCAAACGUGGAGACCACGGCCAGAAGGCUUUCCGCCGAGGGGAAAAGGGUGGGGCGAAUUGCGAUGACGAGGGGAACGCGGUGGACAGCUCUGGAGGAGAGGAGAGGGGCUAGGUUCGCCGGAAACGAGAAGACCGGCGAUGGCCGAGGCGAACUCCGGUGAAAAGAAGAGGGGGCCGAGGACUCCAGUGGACUAUAGAGGCGAGGGAGGGAUGAAUGAGCUGCGGAGGGGUUCGGGGGUCCUUAAAUAGGCGAGGGGAGAGCUCUAGAGCUCACGACCGGGCUCCGGACCGAGCUUUAAUGGCGGGCAGAGGCUGGACGCGGCACGGGCAUGGCGCUAGCGGCUCAUUUAUGGCGAACCAUGACGAGGCACCAAUGCAGGGCGACGCAGUCGAGCACGGGCGAGCUCCAGGACAUGAAUGGAGGUCGAGAGGAGGAGGGAGGAGACGAGCACAGUGGCCGGACUGAGACAGAGCUUGCAUUGUGCGUGACGCCAGCGUGAUCACCACGGGCACUGGUGCAAGCGGCGUGUUCUGGCCGGGCCGACCAUGUAAAGUAGAUAGACCGUCGUGCCCUUAGUCAAAAUGAGGAAAUAAAUCGGUCCAGGGGCAAAGAAGAGAUUUGCACUUAGCUCCAAAGUAAAUCAAUAUGAAGGUGUUUGUAACUCUCUGUGGUUAAACUAACUAGGUAACAUGAUAAAGAGUUUGUCUGGCAAUGAUCACACACUAAGGUGAUUUUGUUAACCAAAAAUCAGACUAAGAGGAGGAGUUUAGAUGAGGGUUGCUGUAGAAAGUGCAAAACUGGCCAGAAUUAGGGAUUUGGAUGAUACACUCACAUACUUGAUUGUCAUGAGCUAAAAUUUGGCAGGGAGGGGUUAUAUGAUGGUAUGAAGCUGUUGUAAAGAUUUCAUGCCAUUUGGAAAUACCAAAGUGGCACUUGCUUCACAAAGCUUCAGUCUGGACAGAAACUUGGAAAAAUUGCACAGGGCAAUUGGAUUAACUAAUUGAGCAAAAUUUGGUGGAGGGAGUUUAUAUGGAUUGAAGAAUGCCCUGGAAAAUUUUCAGCUUAAAUGAAGCAAUAUAAAAUAUAGUUGCUUCACAAACUGAAAAUCUGACCAGAAACUAAGAUUUGGAGCUGGGCUCACAUAGAUGAGUUACACGAGCUCAUAUUUGGUGGAGAGUCAUGAUUUGAUCAUAUGAAGGACCUUGCAAAAUUUCAACUCUUUGGAUAUGCCUAGAAUAUAGCUCCUCCACAUAGUUCCUUCUUGGACAGAAACUUUGGAAAAUUGCUGAAAAAUAUUUACUAGGCAAAUUGAGUUGAAUUUUGGCAUUAGCCAAUGAUAUGGACAGGAAAAGCUGUCCAAGAAGUUUGGGGUCAAUCAAGCAAAUAUAAAUAGCACUUCCUUUGCAAAGUGCCAUUUAGGACAGAAUAGGAAAAGAAUUAUUGGAGGAUUAUUUUUGAACAUGGCAAUGAAAUAUUUUGCCAUAUUUGAGCAAGAUAGGACCCAAACAAUUUAUGAGCAUUUUUUGGGAAUUUUAGGAGUGACAGAAAUAUAGGUUGCUUCACAACCUAGGGUUUUAAAGGGUUAUUCCUUUAUCAAAAAAGGAAUAUUCCCAAUAAAAGAAUUUUGGGUUAGGUCAAGGAUGGAAAUGACAUGAUCUUGGGAUGAUGAUGAGGGUGACAGGCCACUAUAAAACCUAGGAAGACAUGAUCUCCCCAAGUUUCAGAACCACAUAGCCACGGAAAAGCAAAUCAAAUCAGAAAAUCCAAGAAAAUCAAAGGAAAAAGAAAAGGGCAAAAAUCCAGGCUGUUACACCCAUAAUGGCUUGUGGCUGCACACGGAAGUUUCUAGCAUGAAUAAUCUUAUGAUCCCUUUGAGCCUGGGUGGCGGACCAUAGGAUGAUCACACGGUAUAACCUCGGGAUAUCCUAGGACAACACUGGAUUCCCCAGGUGCCCAAAACAAACAAUCCACCAGAUGCGUAUUAAAGUCGCCACCUUAAGUUGAACCAUUAAUUAACAACUCACAUCUCUCAUGGAUACACUCAAACCCAAUCCACGUCUACGAGCAUAGCAUGGCAAUAUAAGCAUAACGUAGAAGUAACUCCCAGGGUUUGAUAAUAAAAUAGGGAAAUAGGUUCUACCUCAUCAACUACUUCCCAAUACCCACUAGUUAAUCACAUCCUAAUCAUGAAGUGUUUGAGGAUUGUACUAAUGCAUAAAAACUGGGUAUUAAAAGAGUAUGAUCAAUGUGUUACUUGCCUUGCUGACGAUCCGCAAAACCUAGAGACUCGUAGUAGCACGCUUCGCACUCCGGGAAUUCUAUCGCAAACAAACAAUAGCAUACAUAAGCAAUCAAGCAAAGAUGCACGAGUAAAACUCAAAUAAGAAGAUCUAACCAGAAAGUUCAAUUGAAGAACUCCGGUUUGCAAAAAGAAUCAAAUCAAACAGAGCAACGAAACUCAAACUGUGAAAGAAACAAGAUCCGAUUACUAAUUUGGACUAAAGUCAAAUUUUACAGUACCAAAAUCUUGUUCAAGUUGGUUAAACAGAAAGAGGGUUUUGAGACGAAGAACUAGGCGCUUAAAUCGCCUGAUUCCGAUAAACGAGCGAAAAGAUAAACUAAAACGAAAAUCAGGGCAGAAAUCACGAUCGAAAAUAAUCGCGGAAAAACCCUGGAAAAAGAAAAACUGACGAACAAGCUGACGAACGAACGUUCGCUGUCUGCGGCUAACGGGUGAACGACGUCCGUUAAAACGAACGUACAGACGAACGUCCGCUAAAUAACUAAACCGGGAAAAAAUAAAACUGAUCUAAAAUAAAAUAACCGCGUGUCUACUAAAAAACCGAACGGUUUUCUGGCGAAAACCGGCGGCUAUCUCGGGAUGGGCGGCGGCGGCGGAAUUCCGGCGGGCCGCGGGGUCGGCGGCGAGGUGGCGGGCGGCGACAACGGUGUCCGGCGGCAGCGAGGCGGCGACGACGACGGCCGGCCGGGCGAAGUCCUAGGCGGGCACGGCCCGGCUAGGUCGGUUGAUAUUUUCUUUUAAAAAGAUAAUUCCGCGUAGAAAAACAAAGAAAAGAAAUACUAAACAGACUCCUAAAAUCCUGAAAUAAAUUUUUCCCGUCCUCUAAAAAUAUGCCGGACAAGGUGAACAUUUAUUUAGGACUCUAAUGCAAUUUUGAAAAAUGCGUAUUUUUCCUUAUUCAAAUAAAAUUGCAAUAAAAUUAUUUAUUUGAUUUUAAUAAUUCCCUCCAAUAUUUCAUCUAUUUUGGAGAAGUCAUUUUAUCUCCUCUCUUAUAUUUUAAAUUCAAAAUAUUUUCAGAGAGAAAAGUCAUUAAAACCAAAAUGACCCUUGUUUCAAUAUUUGAUAAAAUUCAAAUAUGAAAAUCGUGAAAUCCCCAACUCUCUCCGAGGGUCCUUGAGUUGCUUAGAAUUUCGAGGAUUGCAAAUGAAAAUGCAAUAAAAUAUGAUAUGCAUGAAUGACCUAUGUAUAACAUUCCAAAUUGAAAAUUUGGGAUGUUACAUGGAGAUAGAACUACUCACAAGGUAUUGCAAUCUGGAUUUUAUUGGCCCACUCUCUUCAAGGAUGCCUGUAAGUUUGUCUUAUCUUGUAAUGAAUGUCAAAGAAUAGGUAACAUCGGUAAGCGUCAAGAAAUGCCUAUGAAUUAUUCACUUGCUGUCAAACCAUUUGAUGUUGGAGGAUUUGAUUACAUGGGACCUUUUCCUUUCCUCUAAUGGGUAUACACACAUUCUGGUUGCUGUUGAUUAUGUCAGUAAAUGGGUAGAAGCUAUUCCAACCAGUAGUGUUGAUCACAACACCUCCAUUAAAAUGCUUAAGGAAGUUAUUUUCCCAAGGUUUGGAGUCCCUAGAUAUUUAAUGACUGAUGGGGGUUCACACUUUAUUCAUGGUGCUUUCCGCAAAAUGCUUGCCAAGUAUGAUGUUAACCAUAGAAUUGCAUCACCCUAUCAUCCUCAGUCUAGUGGUCAAGUUGAACUUAGCAAUAGAGAAAUAAAGUUAAUUUUGCAAAAGACUGUCAAUAGGUCCCGGAAGAAUUGGUCUAAGAAAUUAGAUGAUGCACUUUGGGCUUAUAGAACAACAUAUAAAAAUCCUAUGGGUAAGUCUCCCUAUAAAAUGGUUUAUGAAAAAGGUUGUCAUUUGCUUAAAGAGUUAGAACAUAAAGCAUAUUGGGCAAUCAAAGAACUCAACUAUGAUUUCAAACUUGCCGAUGAAAAGAGGUUAUCUGAUAUUAGCUCUUUAGAUGAAUGGAGAACCCAAGCUUACGAAAAUGCUAAGUUGUUUAAAGAAAAAGUUAAAAGAUGGAAUGAUAAAAGAAUUCAAAAACAUGAGUUUAAAGUUGGAGAAUAUGUUCUUUCGUACAACUCUCGUUUCAGAUUCUUUGCAGGAAAACUCCUCUCAAAAUGGGAAGGACCCUAUGUUAUCGAGGAGGUUUAUCGUUCUGGAGCUAUCAAAAUAAAUAAUGCCGAAGGUACUAACCCGAAGGUUGUUAACAGGAAAAAAAAUAAAACAUUAUAUCUUAGGUACGCCCCGGAAGAACACAUAAAAGAGUCCUUCCGGAACACUCCAGAAUCAUGAAAAUAAGGAGGUACGUGAUACAGUAAGUAAACAGACUCCGAAAAAUCCUCAAAAAUAUUUUUUGUCAGUUUUGGAAUAUUUAGAAAAAUAGGAAAAUAAGAAACUUCCAGGAAGCGUGGACUUCGUUUUUCUACAAAUUGCUUGUUUCCCAAGAUAAAAAAAUCUUUAUAUACCCCCCGAACCUAUUGACCACCGUAUCGCGGAUAAAUCUUCUGUUCUCUUUUCUCGCUAUUUCCAGUCAGAUCUGUUAAGCCAUGCAUCAUGUCUUCUUCUUCCUCCAACAACAUGGAAGAGGAUGCUUGGUUGAUGAAGAUCGAGCUGAAGAGAGAAGAGCCCGCAGAAGCCGUCAAGGGAGACGAGAGCAGGGAGGUUACCGUAGAUCAACCCCCGGUCUUCGAACAAGCACUUCCAAUUGAGGAAGAAGAGGAAGGUAUCAUUAAAACUUACUAUGCUCAUCUUACACCAUCUUCUUCAUCACCAAAAGAGAAUUGAGUAUUGGGUAUGGGCACUCCCCUUGGCUUCCACCAAGCUUGGGGGAGGUGCCCCGGUAUCGUAUCAUCCCCACCAUCUUUUGCUUUUACUUAUCUUAGUUUGAUCUUUUGCUUAGAUGAAUAAAAGUUUAGUUUGAUCCUUUCUGUUCGAGAGUUUGCUUAGUGAUCUACCCUUGUAAUCAUGUGCGAGAUAUAUAAUAAAGUUUAGUUUGAGUUUUUUCUUUCUUUAUUUUCAUGUUGCAAAUAAAAAGAAAGGGAGUAAAUGAAAGAAACGAAAUAAAUCAAAAAGAUCACAUGCUAGUCUUAUGGUAGGUGAUGACACCACAUAAGGAAAAGUAUAAGUAGAAAAUUUUGUUAGAGAUUGACAGAUAUAGGAUUAGUCAAUGAUGCAACUCGUGAAAGAAUUAAUAAGGGAAGAGAAGAUUCACAUAUAAAUAUACUAUCCUAGAAAUGUUUUGUGAUUGUGAGCCCCCAUCAAAAUAUUAUAUGCCAAGAUUGUUGACGUUGGACAAGGAAGACAACUUAAUGGUUUAUGUUUGUUUAUAUUCACAUAGAAGUCAUAUUGUCAUGGAUCCUUUAACAUGCGGUGCUUGCCCUAUCUUCGCUAGCCAAAAGUUCCGCACUAAGUAGAGAUAAUAUUGUGCAUCCAAAAACCUAACCCAAAUCUUAUUUUCGAGAGUCCACCAUACCUACCUAGGGAUUGAGCAAGAUCCCUGAAGUAAGUCGUCAUCGGUGCAAAAUGGCAAUAAAAAUUGCUUCUAAAGUGUGAGAUCAUUUAGUGUAAGAGAAAUUGAGCGUUGCACGAACUUGUGAUGGUGAAGAAUAAAGGCGACAGACUGCAUAAUAAAGGUCGCUAUCACAAGGGGCAAUGCAACGUGACGUUCUUUUGCAUUAAGGGGUCAAGCGUACAAACAAAUAAGUGCAUGGCAACCUCUGAUUCCCUCUACGAAGGGCCUAUCUUUUAUUUUUAUGUAUUUACUUUCAUGCAAAGAGUCAAAAGUUUUGUCUCUAUUCCUUUUUAUUUCUCCUUUGGCAAGCAUCAUGUGGUGAGGAAAGAUCUAGGCAUAUAUAUCCAUUUGAAUAUAGAUAGAAUGAGUUAUUAUUGUUGACGUCACCCUUGAGGUGAGUACGUUGGGAGGCGAAACUAUAAGCCCCUCUUUCUACGUGUCCGGUUGAAACGUUUUGCUCAUGUGUACGCGGUGAGUGUUAGUAAUCAUGGAAGACUAUACGAUGGUUGAGUAUGUGGACUUGCCUAAAGGCUCCGAUACGUGACCCCUCCUGAAAAGAUGAUGAAUUGUAGUUGCAUAGUUGACUGAGAACAUAGUUUGUUGGUUUCUAAUAGAGUUUUUGCUUUAUACUUCAAUAGUGUGACGAAUUGUCACUUAUUCAUGAGAAGUCUAUGAUAAAAGUUCUAUGAUAAGAGUUUUAUGUUUAAGUUUGUUGCUGUUAUAAUAAUCAACAUGAUGCUUCUAUGCCCGUAUUUUGUUUUUAUCGACACCUCUCUCUCUCUAAGCAUGUGGACAUGUUUUUCGAUUUCGGUUUUCGCUUGAGGACAAGCGAGGUCUAAGCUUGGGGGAGUUGAUACGUCCAUUUUGCAUCAUGUUUUCCUACUGUUAUUUAUGAUGUUUUUAUCCAUAACAAUGCUUUUUGGAGUAAUUCUAAUGCCUUUUCUCUCAUAACAUGCAAUGUAUACACAAACAGGAAGAAUUCCAGCAGCUGGAAAUCUGGACCUGGAAAAGCUACGUCAGGCUACCUAUUCGACACAACUGCAAACAAGCUGAAACUUCACGGAGAUUUUUUAUGGAAUAUAUGAAGAAUAUUGGAGCAAAUAAGUACCAAAGGAGGCCCACCAGGUGGGCACAACCCACUUGGGCGCGCCAGGGAGCCCAUGCACGCCCUGGUGGGUUGUGCUCACCUAGGCCCACCUCUGGUGCGCAUCUUCUGGUAUAUAAGUCAUUUUGACCUAGAAAAAAUAAGGAGAGGACUUUCGGGACGGAGCGCCGCCGUCUCGGGGCGGAACUUGGGCAGGAGCACUUUUGCCCUCCAGCGGAGCGAUUCCGCCGGGGGAACUUCUUUCCCGGAGGGGGAAGUCAUCAUCAUCAUGAUCACCAACAACUCUCCCAUCUUGGGGAGGGCAAUCUCCAUCAACAUCUUCAACAACACCAUCUCAUCUCAAACCCUAGUUCAUCUCUUGUGUUCAAUCUUGUUAUCAGAACUAUAGAUCCGAGGCUAGUACGUGCACGGGCUGCGUGUCAGGUGCCAGAUCUUCCUCGUGUCAUGCGCCAGCCCCUUCUUCUCCAUUGACAUGAAAUAAUGGGUCAUCCAUAUCAUGAUUUUGAUCAUUUCGGCCACCGUUUUCUCCAGGCACCUGCAUAGGCAUAACACUAGGAAUAGAGGUAGGAAUAUUCUCAAAUUGGUUAGCACAAUUGUUAUCACCCCCUUGAUCAAAAUCCGAAAGAAGAAGUAUUUCUUUUCGAAGAAGGGCACCGACAUUAGGAUGAAGAGACUGAAAAGGGAAGGCCGAUUCAUCAAAGAUGACAUCUCUAGAGAUGUAGACCCUGCUAGUAGAGACGUCAAGGCACUUAACCCCUUUGUGCAUAGGGCUAUAUCCUAGAAAGUCACAUUUUUUUGAACGAAACACAAGCUUGCGUGUAUUAUAUGGCCUAAGAUUCGGCCAACAUGCACAACCAAAAAUGGGAAGAGAUGUGUAAUCUGUGUUGAUGCCAAAAAGACGUGUUGUAGGAUUCUCAAAUUUGAUGCUUUUGCUAGGAUGAAUAUUAAUAAGAUAUGUGGCGGUGAGAAGGGCUUCAUCCCAGAAUUUGAGAGGCAUGGAUGCAUGUGCUAACAAGGCGAGUCCUACUUCAACAACAUGACAGUGUUUUCGUUCAGCGGAGCCAUUUUGUUGGUGAGCAUGUGGACAAGAGACAUGAUGUGAAAUUCCUAUUUUUUGAAAAAAAGAAUUGAGUAUCUUAUACUCACCACCCAAGUCAGUUUGCAUAGCAAGGAUUUUGGAGUUAAGUUUGCGUUCAACAAGAUUAUGGAAAUUCCUAAAGACAUGAAAUACAUGGGAUCGUUUCUUUAGGAAAUAAAUCCAAGUAAACUUACUAUAAUCAUCAAUGAAGCUUACAUAAUAUGAGAAUCUACCAACUGAUGUUGGAGCUGGUCCCCAUACAUCUGAAAAAAUAAGUUGCAAUGGAGCAGUGGAUACACUGGUAGAGAUAGGAUAUGGUAAGACUACAAAAAAAAGACACAUCCGUGACAUUUUGGGCCGAACAAAAUUUUUUUGUGUCAUACAUAUGACACUUCUAUGACGAUAAUUGUGACAAAACCCGGUAUCAUCAUAGAUGUGGUGGCUCCUACUUCUAUGACAAAAAAUCAUGACAGAAAAUGGGCUUUUCGUCCUGGGCGGGCCGGAGACGCAGCUGCAUGACAUUCUUUGGGCCGUCCAUGACGAAAAAACCGUGGUAGAAGCGAGAGGAAAAUUUCGGGGAGUUCCUGGUUACGGUGGGAGGUGGGGGGCCGAGCGAUGCGCGUUUCUCUCGUACACGUACGCGCGUGUGUGCAAGGCGUUGGCUCUAACUAAACCCGAGCGAGGCGUAAGGCUCUAACAAAACCCGAGCGAUUGCACUGCAGGCUACGCGUUACUGAACCCGAGCGAUCGAUCGAUGGCUGUUAACUGAACCCGAUCANNNNNNNNNNNNNNNNNNNNNNNNNNNNNNNNNNNNNNNNNNNNNNNNNNNNNNNNNNNNNNNNNNNNNNNNNNNNNNNNNNNNNNNNNNNNNNNNNNNNNNNNNNNNNNNNNNNNNNNNNNNNNNNNNNNNNNNNNNNNNNNNNNNNNNNNNNNNNNNNNNNNNNNNNNNNNNNNNNNNNNNNNNNNNNNNNNNNNNNNNNNNNNNNNNNNNNNNNNNNNNNNNNNNNNNNNNNNNNNNNNNNNNNNNNNNNNNNNNNNNNNNNNNNNNNNNNNNNNNNNNNNNNNNNNNNNNNNNNNNNNNNNNNNNNNNNNNNNNNNNNNNNNNNNNNNNNNNNNNNNNNNNNNNNNNCUGGAUGUACAGGACCCCGUGGUGUGGUGGAGGGCUGGAUGAACAGUAGACGGUGGAGGGGUGCCCGUGGAGGGGUGGUUGAACAAGACCCCGUGGUGUGGAGGGCUGGAUGAACAGUAGACGGUGGAGGGGUGCCCGUGGAGGGGUGGUUGAACAGUAGCCGGUGGAGUAGCGCGCGGUGGAGGCUAGAUGAACAGGAGCCCGUGGAGGCUGGAGGAGGUCGACGGUAGCCCGUGGAGGCUGGAGGAGGUCGACGGUGGAGAUGAACAGUAUCCCGUGGAGUCCCGUUUUGCGGUACGCCACAGCCCUCCCGAUGAACAGGACCCCCGUUUUGACCGUAGGAGGUCCGUUUCGUCCGUUUUGCGGUACGCCACACCCCUCCCGAUCAACAGGACCCCCGUUUCGACCGUAGGAGGUCCGUUUCGUCCGUUUCGCUGUAUGCCACACCCNNNNNNNNNNNNNNNNNNNNNNNNNNNNNNNNNNNNNNNNNNNNNNNNNNNNNNNNNNNNNNNNNNNNNNNNNNNNNNNNNNNNNNNNNNNNNNNNNNNNNNNNNNNNNNNNNNNNNNNNNNNNNNNNNNNNNNNNNNNNNNNNNNNNNNNNNNNNNNNNNNNNNNNNNNNNNNNNNNNNNNNAUAGGAGGUCCGUUUCGUCCGUUUUGCGGUAUGCCACACCCCUCCCGAUCAACAGGACCCCCGUUUCGACCGUAGGAGGUCCGUUUCCUCCGUUUUGCGGUACGCCACACUCCUCCCAAUCAACAGGACCCCCGUUUCGAUCGUAGGAGGUCCGUUUCCUCCGUUUUGCGGUACGCCACACCCCUCCCCACGAACACGACGCAUCCCGUUGCCUCCCCAUGAACAUGACGCAUUUCGUUGCCUCCCCAUGAACACGAUGACGACGCUGUUUCUCCGUUCCGACCCAGCCAUGUACACGAGCCCUCGCGGUACGUAUGCGCGAGUAGGCGUUUGAGACCCUUCCCGUAUGUACGUACGUGGCCGUAUUUUCUUUCUUGCACCCUGGCCGCUGUACGUACGUGUACAUGCUACGUGCGCGCCUCUACUACGACACGUACGCGCCUCUACUACAACACGUGCACGCCUCUACAUCGACCAGUAUAUAUGUACGUACACGUUCGCGACCAGAAUGACAACGGUACGUACGCUUCGACCAGGUGGGUCCCGACUGUCAGGCACUUCCUUUCCUGCGAAGAUGUAGCUGGUGGGUCCCAGCAGUCAGGGGGGCGAAUCAUNNNNNNNNNNNNNNNNNNNNNNNNNNNNNNNNNNNNNNNNNNNNNNNNNNNNNNNNNNNNNNNNNNNNNNNNNNNNNNNNNNNNNNNNNNNNNNNNNNNNNNNNNNNNNNNNNNNNNNNNNNNNNNNNNNNNNNNNNNNNNNNNNNNNNNNNNNNNNNNNNNNNNNNNNNNNNNNNNNNNNNNNNNNNNNNNNNNNNNNNNNNNNNNNNNNNNNNNNUUUUUUGCCCGGACGCACUUCCUUGCAUGCGAAGAUGUAGCUGGUGGGUCCCAGUAGUUAGGGGGGCGAAUCGUUUUUUUGCCCGGACGCACUUCCUUCCGUGCAAAGGUGUAGCUGGUGGGUCCCAGUAGUCAGGGGGGAAACAUUUUUUUUCACGAAAUACGGUGGCCCGUCCGGUGGGUCCCUGCUGUCAGGUGGAGGAAUCAUUAUUUUCCACAUAAUAAGGAGGCACUUCCUUGCUGCCACCGUGGACCCAGCUGUCAGCCUCUCCACGUAUAGUACUCUUCCGAUAGAAGUCGGUCGUUCACCACGUUGACCACGCCGCGCCGAGAGCACCCGGGCGGUAGACGACGGCGAGGCCUAGGAAGGGGACGACGCGGAGCCGGUGAAGACGCGGCAGUGGAUGCCCACGCGGAGAGGAGUAUGAGGGCUCACUCGUUCGGCUGCGGUAAGAGGCUGCCGUCGCCGCAAGGCCUAGCCAGCGUUGGGAAUAGUAGGGGGCGGUGAGGCAUCCGCGGCAGCACAGCCGGGCACGGGAGGCAGGAGCAGGCGGCACGACCGGCGCUGCUUUGGGCGGCUGGAGCAAGAAGACCAGAGGUUGAAGAAGCACUACGGCCGUUGGAUGGACAUCGUACGGUCACUGGAGCUAGAAUCGUUCAUAUUGACUAAGUUGACAAAGCCCUCCGUCCCCGUCAACUUAGUAGGCCCACAAGUCAGCCUCCCACCAAGGUGGGUCCCAGCUAGCAGGGGGAGUAUUCAUUUUUUUGUGCGUAAUAAGGAGGCACUUCCGGUGGGUCCGAGCUGACAGCGGGGGGAACAUUUUUUUCGUGAAAUACGGUGGCCCGUCCGGUGGGUCCCAGCAGUCAGGGGGGAAAUGUUUUUUUCACGAAGUAAGGUGGCCCAUCCGGUGGGUCCCCACUGUCAGGUGGAGGAAUAAUUAUUUUGCGCAUAAUAAGGAGGCACUUCCUUGCGGCCGCCGUGGACCCAGCUGUCAGCCUCUCCACGUACAGUACUCUUCCGAUAGAAGUCGGUCGUUCACCACGUUGACCACGCCACGCCGAGAGCACCAGGGCGGUGGACGACGGCGAGGCCUAGGAAGGGGACGAUGUGGAGCCGGGGAAGACGCAGCAGUGGAAGCCCGCGCGGAGAGGAGUACGAGGGUUCACUGGUUCGGCUGCGGUGUGAGGCUGCCGUCGCCGCAGAAUAACAGGGGGUGUGGGUGAGUAGAGGGAUGGCCUGGCCAGCGUUGGGCGUAGUAUGGGGGCGGUGUGGCCUCCGCGGCAGCACAGCCGGCCACGGGAGGCAGGAGCAGGCGGCAUGACCGGCGCUGCUUUGGGCGGCUGGACCAAGAAGACCAGAGGUUGAAGAAGCACUACGGACGUUGGAUGGACAUCGUACGGUCACUGAAGCUAGAAUCGUUUAUAUUGACUAAGUUGACAAAGCCCUUGGUACGCUCCAACUUAGUAGGCCCACAGGUCAGCCUCCGAAAUGGUGCACCCCAGAUGUCAGGGGGAGGAAUCAUUUUUUGGGCGGCCGAAGCUAAGAAUAUCCAAGAUUGAAGAAGAAGCACGACAUCCGUUGCAUAGACAUCCAACGGCCACUGCUGCUAGAACCGUGUGUUGACUAUAAUAAGUUGACAAAGCCUUGCAUACGCGUCAACUUAUUUUUUUAGGGGACGCGUCACUUAGUAGGCCCACAAGUAUGUGGCAGCGAACUUAUAGCCCAUUUGUGUUUUGUAAGAAUGUACAGCCCAUUUUUGAAUUCUAAUGGAAUUUACAACAGCCCAUUUACAAUUUGUUAAAAGUACAGCCCAUUUUCUAGCUAGGACAACGAUUAAUAAUUUCAACCAACCGUUGAAGACAGAAUUCAAUAAAAUUUCCCACAUUUUGAUGGGAUCCGAAAUAUUUUUAUCCUGAAAUUUCUAGUCAGAUUAAAUAUAAAUUUGUAUUACGUAAAAAUCCAACGAAACAUUGCGCGCGCAACAAUGAAAAAUUAAGAUUUUCAAAAUCCAUAAAUAAUAUUUUAUAAACUAAUUUCGUGUUUGGUGCAUUUUUUUAUAGUUACUGCCUAGUUUUUAUAAUUAGAUCCCAUUUAUUAUUUUUUAAAGCCCAUUUUCUUGUUAAGCCUAAUGCAUCCCUCCUAGGAAAGAUUUGCAGCCCAGUGGGGCGGAGAAUAACAAGUUGACCUUGCCUGGGUAUUCCUCAAAAAGACGUAUAGCUGGGCUAGCCAUUUUCAUCUUGAAAAAAUUAGUAUCUGGGCUGGAUAUCUGGCUUGGGCUAGACAGGCCACAACCCGCCGAGUUAAUACCCUGCUCUCCUCUGAACAACAACGAAAUCAUCGCCAAGAAAAACUUUGCAGUGCUCACGCCUGAAAAACACAAAUACUGCUCGAGCUGCUUGGUCCCAGCUGUCGGCCGCACCUUGUGCAAUUCUCUCGUUUAUAUUGACUACAUAGGUUGACAAUGGUGUGGGACCGCAAUGUCAGGAAACCAGGAGAAAGCAAAAAAAAUAUAGUUGUACAUAAUAAGGAGGCACUUGCGUACGUACGGCUAUGGCCCUAGUGGGUCCCUAGUGUCAUCUAGUCAAAAUAAAGUCAUCUCCUGAAUCCUCAUGUUCGUUGACGAUGUUAACAAUGCUCGGCGCCACAGCGAGCGCAACAACUCGAAGGACAACGGAGAGGGCCUCGCGGGCCCUACGGAUGGUCUGAUACAACGCUCGCUGCUCAUUCAGGAAGCCAGGACCAUCGGACACCUAUGAGCACCUUCGAGAAACUAAGACGACAUGAAACGGUAAGGCCGCGCUUGGGAGCUCUGGUUUAUUUCAAACCGGUAUUAACAUACAAGUGUAAUUUACUCUUCAUCGGAAACAACGCGUAAAAUACAGGCGUAAUGAAACCGAGGGCCCGAGGUCUGUAAGUAAAACCGGCGGGUUACGCGUGUAAUUUGAGAGACCAGUGUAUAUUUUACGAGCACUGCUAUAUGGACGACAUUACCAGACGAUACAUGCACGACGUGUGUGUCAUGCCAUCCAUGGGCAAGGCUGAAACAGCAGCUAACGGCUGGAUUAGCAAUCGUCCGAGUGUCGUUCAGCGUUUUUAUCGUGUGUGAAGUACUUUCGAUAUUUUACUAGUCGAAAUCGACCAACCAAGCGCCUUCGCCCGAGACCAUCUGCUUUAAUUUACAAGCGUCAGUUUUACAAGCGGUUUUGGUUGGAAAACAACGAUCCAAUCACGGCCUAAUAUCAUGAGUUGGUCGGAAGAUCAUAUGGUUUCACGUCUAACCUACCCGACUUGUAUAGGCUAUGAAUGAAACAUCAGACGAUGAACUUCUUAAGCACGGAAACAACAGAAGAGGAUGAUCUUCUUAACAAGCAAAUCACUGGCAUUAGAUCGACAUGCAAAACAAUACGAAGCAUUAUUCUCAGGAGGCACGGUGAACAGCUCGUGAUGCCGCAUGCCACAACAUUCCAAGCUCAACUUUGCAAUCAAACACAAGCCCUGGCAUUACAUAGACAAUAUUCAGAACAAACUCUUAACAUAGGAAUAUCUCAGCAGAGUAACUAUUUACUUCUAAACUGAACACAUGGAUAGGAAAAAACACUCGACGUUGCUCACAGCAAGGGCGUCCCACUCAAAAUUAUCAAAUGCAUGUCUUCUGGAUAACAUCAAUGAGAAAAUUUUGACAAGGUUUUCCAAUUCCAAUAUAUUAAACUAACGUCUUCUUACUAACAUCAAUGAUUAAACUUUGACAAGAUUUUCCCAUUCAAAAUAUGUAAUGCCUAUGAUCGUGGAGUCCUGUGUAGCUUCUUGUACUUGUUUGGGCACUUUUUGCCCAGGGCACUCCACAUGUUGUUAAAUUGCCAAUGGUCUCUGCAGACUAGUCAUGUCACCGGUGUCUAAUAAUACUCUGUAAAGCUUCUCGGUCAUUCCUUCUGUAAUGUAGCGCAAACAAUGACUGCUUCUUUCUGCAAAGUGGAACGACCAACUAGACCCAGUAAUGCAGCAGUUUGCCUUGGACACAUUGGCUCCUUUUGUGCAGUUCAACUAAAAUCAAAGUCGGAAUAAAACCGAGCGUUAAUUUUGAUAUCCCUGUAAGCAACAAUAGGUAUAAGGGAAACAAUUACUGAGGAAAUAACGGUUGAUGACUUGUACUCCCAGAAGAAAAGCAUCUACUAAUCUACAUUAUCUUAAUGGGAAACAAAGCAGGAGAGUAGCAAUUCUCCAUUAGUGUGAUUCAUUCAUAUUGACUGAGACAUUUUCUUAACAACGCCUUGUUUCAACAUGUAUAAAGAACGACAAAGCAGAAAAGUACCAUUCCUAAAACAAUGCAACUGAUUCAUUUUAACAGAGACAUUAUCUUAACAAUACCUUGGUUAAACCUGUAGAAAGAACUACAAAGCAGGAUAGUACCAUUCCUAACAAGUGUUGCAGUUUUGAACUAAGAUUCAGUAGUUAAUUAAUUCUGAGAGUGGCAUUGCUUAAUUUUACCAGCGGCAUUAGAUUAACGAAAAGCAUAAACAGUUCAAGGGGAGAGUGGGCGCAACAAUAGUAUGUGCUUCCAUCUACUUAUAAAUGGGGUGAUGCAGAGUUUGUUGUAACAAAUCAACAAGCAUCAUGUCUGGGUUGGUCCCAUUUUUGUUCCCUACUUAAUGGGAAAAGACAGCAAUACAAUAGCUUCAAUUCAACAUUUAUUUAAAACAGUACCAAUACAAGUAGCACAACAUCUCAAAGCACACUGCACAAUCAUGUGGAUGAAGGCCCGUACUAACCUUUCAUGAGACGGACAAGAUAAAAUAUGAAUCUGCCAACACGAAUAGGAAAUCCAAUCUAGUUUUGUGCAGUUGCACUGAAAUCAAGCAAAGUGUUUCACGUAGCGAAGCAAAAUGUCGCAAUAGCAACAAGUUGAAUAGAUAUCCAUGUUUAAACAGAGGCAAAAAAGGAAUCAAUUACUGGCUAAUAAAGGAGGAUGAAACAUGCGGCCACAAAAAUGGUAAUCCCGCCAAUCCCUAACAAGUGUUGCAGUUUUGAAAUAAGAUUCAGUAGUUAAUUCCGAGAGUGGCAUCAAUUACUGGCUUAUAAUGGGGGUGAUGCUGAAUUUGUUGUAACAAAGCAACAAGCAUCAUGUCUGGGUUGGUCCCAUUUUUGUUCACUACUUAAUGGGAAAAGACAGCAAUACAAUAGCUUCAAUUCAACAUUUAUUUAAAACAGUACCAAAACAAGUAGCACAACAUCUCAAAGCACACUGCACAUCAUGUGGUUGAGACCAAGAUUUGAAACAACUCGCCACGAAGACUGGAAACAAAUCUCGAUCUCCUUUUGUGCAGUUCCACCAAAAUUAAGCAAAGUCACCAGUGUGACAUUCAAGUUGAACUGCACAAAACACUCUUAAAACAUAAGUGUUUCGAGUAGCGAAGCAAAAUGUUGCAAUAGCAACAAGUUGAAUCGAUAGGCCUAUUUUAACAGAGGCAAAAAAGGAAACAAUUACUUGCCGAUAAAGGAGGAUGAAACAAACGGUGACAGAAAGAAGCAUCUAACUUAUCUUGGAUGGAAAACAAAGUAGGACAAUAGCAUUUCUAAAACGGUUGCAUUGAUUCAUAUUAACAGAGACAUUCUCUUGAAACAACAUUCGUUAAAAAAUGUAAUUUACUUUUAACUGUGGCAUUGCUUCAAUUUUCGGCGGCAUUCUUAGAUUAACAACAGCAAAAUAGCUGUAUGGGACAUGCCAGCACCAUGUGCAUCCACACGUAUAAAUGGGUGAUGCAGAGUAUGUAGCCAAGCAGCAUAUAUGCGCUGGUCCCAUAUUUAUUCUCUUUGAACAUUCUUCCUAUGUGAGGGCAGCAAAUCUAGUGCUGCACAAACUACCCGACCCCCCAGUUUCUUUCCCUUUUCAACAAAGAGAUCGGUUCCUUACAGAUGUGUGUACUGGGUUACCCCCUUUUUCCCUUUUCGACCUACAAAGCGGCUGGAUAGCCAGUCUAUACUACUUUCUGCCCCUCCUUUCCUCAUUGAACCACAUCCUAGAUUCUUGGGCCAGCCCACCGCACCCUUCUUUCCUCUUUGAACCAAGACCUAGAUUCGACUACAGAUCGAAAAAGAUCCACAUGCAGCUAGAGCAACGACUGUUUCAAAUAAACUUAUACCUUAGGGUCGUCGGGAUGUGGCAAGGCGUGCGGCGGGAGGCCGGAUCUGCCCACACUACGUACGGCAGCAAGGAAGAAGGGGUCGGUGGCCCUCCCGCACAGGCGCUGGGUGAAAGAGAACAGCGCAACCGGCAGUGGAUUGCCUCCCUCGCCGAAGGCGAUAGAGUGGACGCUGAACCUCCUCCCCUUCCCGGUGUGACGGGAUACGGACGCCUCCUUCACCAGCUGUGAGGGGGGAGAGAGAGACAAGAGGCCAACGCAGUCUUAUUUAGAUCUGGUGAAGAGAGGGUGAGUGACUGUGAAUAUAGCAAACCCUAGCAAAUGAACGCUGAGCCUCCAGCGUGUAACAUAUAUGGAGAGGGUGAGAGAGCGAGACGCGAGAAACUCUAUCAAACAAGAGGCUAUAAUGGAGUAAAAAAAUAUCUCCAUAGCAGUGGUUUUAAAUAGAAUACGUGUGUUCCCGGAAAAAAGAAAUGAAAACCGGCGGACAAUUUUUUAAGGGUCUGUCUAGGACACAUCUAGAUGUGACAUAGUUAUGUCACAUCUAAGUUGAUGUCCACUCUGUUUGUGGUCUAUUUUUUUCCUAGUUUUUUUUGUUUCUUGUUGCUACAUUAUAUACUUGUGGGAGCUUAGAUGUGAUAUCCUUAAAUAACAUCUAGAUGUGAAUUAGACAAACUGAUUUUCUAACAUACGAAGAAAGAAAACUCCAUCAAAAACAUGCCCCCGCUUCCAGGUCGCGAGAGUCGUCGCGCACACACACAUAGACAUAGACAUGCAUAUCCAUGUUUAUGUAAAAUUCCAUUUCCAUCUCCAUCUCCAAUCAUAUUUCUCCAACUGGCACAUUAUUUAUGUUGUUAAUUAUAUACGCAGCAAUAUUAACGUACAUCAUCUCUUGUUUGCGCAUGUCCGGACCGCUGCCACGUCCGGUCCUGGCCAACCCGAACCCUCUUCAUCACCGACGCGUGCUUCCCGCCCGAAACGGUCAGUGCCGCAUUCAUGCCCGGCCAGAGCGGACGCGACCUCUCACUGGCGCCAGCAUUGAAGCGGCGCACCGGCCGAGAGAGCGUCGCCCGCACCGCUUCCAGGUUCACGCGGCUGCUCCGCGUUCAAAGGUCGCAAUAGCCGGCUACAACAUGCAUGUAAAAAGUUCUUGGGAGUCCGUGCUACAGCUAGCUGUCCUCCCCCAACUCGUCAAUCUCUUCCAGUAGUGCUAGUACUCCAUGGUGCGAUCCAUCGACAAGCAGGCGGGAAAGUUAUCGUAUACUCGGUUUGCGGUGAGUGGCAUGCCGAGCGACCGUGUGGGGUCGAGCCGUGGAGGAGGGUGAGACACGAACACGACAGACGUGAUUUAAACGUUGGUUUUGGUCGAUGGCGAGAUCCAAUGAAACGAAACGUUGGUUUCUCUCCGUUUCCAUUUUUUCUCCGGAAAAACGGAAACUUUCCACUCCAUUUUCAUUCCUAUUCCAAGGUUGCCCCGUUACAACAUUCCAUCAAAUACAAAGGAAAACUAACACGCAUGCUGACGCAUCUCAAUGAUUCACAGAUCAUAGCCAAUAUUUACUUCGCAACUAAAGAAAAAAGUUGUGAGAGCGUGUACGAAAGAAAAACUACUGAUGGGGUCACUACGACUUAAACCCUAAACCCUAAACAUGAUUUAAUUUCCUGGCCAGGUAGAACCUGUCCAAGGAAAGACGGCUGGCACCCUCAGAUCAUACGAUGCUUUUGUGCAGUUCCACUAAAAUCGACCUGAGCAUCCCUGAUGGCAAAGAUAUUGAAGAAGUGUGAUUAGAAUAAUAGUACUGGCACUAGUUCAUGAGACAUAAACUCAUCAGAAGUAGAAGCCGGUAGAAGUAGAGAAAGAUCGACAUGGAGAUUGAGCUACGGCAGUGGAGCAAGCCGGCUCCAGAAGGAAGAUGGACUACCUGGGACGUCGGGCUGUAGCUAGAAGGGCGGUUGGGACGCGGCAUCGGCCCAUACCGCGGUGACCCCCGAUUGGGAUGCACCGACUGUGGGUUUUCUCCCUCGCCGAUGUCGACCGCGUCUACGUAGAACAUUGUUCCCUUCCCCCAGCUGCGAGAUCAGGCCCGUCGUUCUAUGCUUGUGAAGAGAGCAACCUAAGGAAGCAGGCUUGUAGCUUAGGCUCCUGCUAGUGUAUAUAUAGUGGUUUUCAUUUUCUCUCCAUAUCAACCAUUUUAUAUUGUGUACGUGUCAUUCAAGAGUGAAAUGAUGGUUGCUUCUUCCGACUAACUUACUGUGUGAUUUGACUGCUCCUUAGUGGCCCCUACACGUACUCCCCCUACGUGUAUGCAACAGUCACACGUACACAUGGACGCAAAAACGCGCGCGACGCCCUAAUGCAUGCAUGUCCGAGCACACGACGGAACACACACGGUCACGCUCAAGUGCUCAACCUACACGUAGACAUGUGAGGUUGAAGGACGGGAGAAGCUUGCGCGCGGUGGCUCACAGGACAAGGAGAAACUUUUGACUAAUGCAAGCUCUCCCUCGCUCAAGCGGUGGACGUGCAACAGUUAAUUCGGUGUCAGAUUGCCAGAAGCAUACACUAUACUACUAGUGCUAUAAUUGUUCGACUUCCCGAAUAGGCGAACAGCCAAGCGCAAAGUUUACUAGUACUACUACUAUAGUCUAUAAAGGUACGUACUACUAUACCAGUACUAGGAACCGGAUGGAGGAGCGUCUGCACUCUUAUUAUAAUUUUAAAAUGUGAUAAAGCAAUCUUCAACACAAUUGGUUCUCUUCGAGGGUUCUCGCAUGUGAUAAUGGAAGUUGAUUGCAUGGAACACUUGCCCCAAUUCUCACUUAAUUCUGGCUCAUAUCCUGUUACAAAUAGUAGCGCUCAGUAAUAUUUCCUCUUUUUUUGUUAUUCAGCAUGUAAACAGGUCAGCAAACCUUGCAGCGCAUCUUCGUGCGAACCAUGCUUGCUGCACUUUGAAUGUGGCCAAGAGCUGGCUUGAUGAAACACCUCGCUUCCUACUUAUUUUUUUGCGGGGUAGCUCACUUCCUAGUGACCAGUGUCUUGGCUGAUCGUCCUAAGAAUGCUUAUAUAUGAAUAAAGCUCUCUCAUUUACCCGCAAAAAGAUUAAGCCAUAUUAACCGGAAAGGAGGGAGUAUGGACUAGCACUACUUUUUGAUGUGUCCCGUCAACUCGCAGAAUGAGGAGAAGCUUGCAGGACAAGGUGAAGCUCGCUUACGCCGUUUGACUAAUGCAACAUACCCUCGGUGGACAUGCAUCAGUCCAUUCGGUGUCAGAUUGUCAGAGGCAUACACUGUAGUACCCAACAUGCGGAGUACCAUCAUUGUUCGACUUCACGAAGAGGCGAAGAGCCAAGCGCAGUAGUACGAGUAGUACUACUACUAGAGCCGCAUGGUGGAGCGUCUGUACUCUUAUUUUUUAUCUCUGAUAAAGUACACGUUUAUUCCGGAGAAGGGCGGAAAACGGCAGCCCAACAUGUAAUGAAUGGUAUCGAUCAACCAACCAUGCUCGAAUAUAUCUUGGCCUCCGUGCGAGCCCGUCUGUGUGUUCUCGCUCCUCGUCUCUCUCAAGGAACGCGGGUUGGCUCUUUGCCGUCAAUUGAGAUCGGUUUGCUCACACUCCUAUCCCACAUGUCAGUGAUAUGCCAAGAGGAGGUGCGGUGACCGACUGGCCAUACGCAUACUUGGUUUUGCACCUUCAUACUACUCCUCCCUCCGUCAUAGUUUACAGGGUGCGCUUCAUUAUGAUGCAUUUCUCUCAAUGCAUUUCCACCACCAGAGAGACUUUAGACGCGUUUGGUUUAAUGAUCAAUUAAUUAGGGCGUGGUAACCACAAUCAAGUCCACAAUUUUCUCUCCAUGUACUGUACUACUACGGAGUGGAGUAAGUGCAUGCAUGUGUGUACCCGGGGUGGAAGCACUGCAUGCAUGUGUGUACACAUUAUUCCCUCUAGUAAUAGACGCCGUGCUAUACUACCAAUGCUAUUUUUCAGGCCGAUCGCUAGUCGCCUUGGUCCCACAGAUUUUUUUCUUUUUUCUGAAGUCCGCUGUAUAAACAGUGACAGAUGGAGUAGUAUGAGCAGAUUCAAAGAAGAGUGUAUUGAUGGUUACUUCUUCAGAGCAACUUACAGUGGGAAAGGUGGGGCUUAUGAUUUGACUGCUCAUUACUCACUAUUAAUGCGGCGCAACGACCGGGCUGAGUCUCCCAUGCGGUUGUGCACUACCCCCUCGGUUCUUAAAUAUACUCCGGAGUAUUUGUCUUUCUAGAUUUCAACGAGUGACUACUCAAAUAUUUGUCUUUUUAGAGAUUUCAAAUGGACUGGCACAUACGGAUGUAUAUAGACAUAUUUUAGGGUGUAGAUUCACUCAUUUUGCUCCGUAUGUAGUCACUUGUUGAAAUCUCUAGAAAGAUGAAUAGAAUAUUUAGGAACGGAGGGAGUACACAUACGAAGCAAAAUGAGUGAAUCUACACUCUAAAAUAUGCCCGUUUGAAAUUUGUAAAAAGACAAAUAUUUAGGAACGAAGGAGUAUAAUUUUGUGCAUGGCACAUGGACCCGGAUGAUGAAGAGGCUUCUGGCAAUGCUAUCAAGCUUCCAUCAUUUGUUUACAUAAUUGACGUACUAUACAAAUAAUUUUCCAGCGACAUGAAAUUGUACAAUGGUGUGAGCUUUCAGCUUUUGUUUCGUGUGUCUUGCCAUCGAUGCUCUUUCGGAAACAAUAAAAAACUAACUUCCUUGCUAAUGCAUGUCAAUUAUUAGCAGAUCAGAGCUAAUAAUUACAUCACAACUGAAGAUAGAGUUGUGAGAAUGUGUUAAAUUAAAAUUGAUCCAUGCUUUCAUUGGCAGCAACGUCCCCCCAGUUCUGUCUAAAUCAACAAGGCAUGUUGGGAAAAAGUAGCUGUCUGGAGCUUGCAACAUUCCGAUCAUUUUGUGCAGUUCCACUAAAAUAGAGAUGAGCGUCCCUAUUCCAAAGAUAUUAAGUGUGAUUACGAUAAUAGAGGACUGCUGAUGAAACAAUAAACACAGAAAUAGAAGCCGGUCACCUUUGCAGUCUCUCUUAAGACUAACUAGCUGGAGAAGAUUAGGCUCGGAGUUGGAUGAGGAGGAUAGAGCAAAACCAAUCUCCCAUUGUGCAUUUGCACUGAAAUGUAGAGACGUUGCCCGUGUGACAUUUUAGUACAACUGCACAAAACACUCUUAAGGAAAAAGAGAUUUGUGCAGUUCACCAAAAGGUCGCAAUAGCAACGAGUAGAAAGGAAACAAUUUCUGGCCAAUAACAGUUGAUGACACAUGCGACGACAAAAAAGAAGCAUAUUCCUUGUCCUAAGGGAAGAUAACAACAUGGUUGUCUUUGUCUAAAACGGUGUGAGGACGAGAAUGCAAUAUGGAAAGUACGCCGGACGAGCUACAUUUUGGGCAAUGAACUAUGGAAGAUCCACAUGCAGCGACGUGGGAAGACGGGCAGUGGAGCAAGGCCGGAGGGGAUACCUGGAGGUCGUCGAGAUGUAACUAGGUGAGCGGCGGCGGGCGGAAUCUGCGAGCAGGUGGUGUAGGCCCUGCCGCGCCGGAGCUUGGUCAGAGAGAACGGCGUGUAUCGCAGAUCGGGACGUGCUGCCUCGGCGCCGUCAAACGGAGAAACAAUGCACUUCCUCCCUUUCCCCCGGCGGACGGGAUGCGGCCGGAUCAGUGACCAACGAUGAGAGAGAGAGAGGCCACCGCACUCCCUUUCCCCCGGCGGACGGGAUGCGGCCGAAUUAGUGACCAACGGUGAGAGAGAGAGAGAGGCCACCGCAGCCUUGUGUGAGAUACUCUGAAGACCGACAAACCAGGCAGGCAGGCUCCAUUGUAUAUAGUGAGCGGACUACCUUUUUCUCCAUAAAAAUUGUUUUAUAUUCUGUGUACGUGGCAUUGAGCGCUAUAACUUUAUUUAAAAAAAUAACGCGGCAACGCGUCAAGUCGAACUUUGUUUCAUGCACGCAUGGUACACGACCUCCCUAGGUAAACAACCGCUACAGGCGUUCAAAUUAGCACAUGGGCUGCCAUUUCUUAAAGAAAUGAGCUCCACCGUGUACCCGCGCGGGUGUGGCUGGGCACGAAGCGUGAGUACGUGCACGGUGCACCUAUUCUCUUCUUGUAUACGUACACCACUUACGUUGGGUUGUGUGAGAGAGAUACNNNNNNNNNNNNNNNNNNNNNNNNNNNNNNNNNNNNNNNNNNNNNNNNNNNNNNNNNNNNNNNNNNNNNNNNNNNNNNNNNNNNNNNNNNNNNNNNNNNNNNNNNNNNNNNNNNNNNNNGGGGGGGUCAAUCAAAAAAUGUAACAUAUGCAAUGUGUGUGAAAUAGAGUCCUGGAUAUAACAUAUAUAUAGAGGGGGCGAUCCACGAGAAGAGAGUGGAGGUAUCAUCGGCUUGAGGUGUCCAUAGAAUCGAAGAGAGGGAUGAUGUGUGUGUGUGUGUGCGCGCGCGAUCGAUAAAGAGUGCCAUCGAAUUUGUGUGUGCCCACAUCAAAGAUAUAGAGUGGCUGGCCUACUCGAACAUGAGAUGGGACAUGUGCAGUUUGUCUUUGUGGCAUGGAUACCUACCUGCAGCGCUCGACUAUCGGUGUGUGGUGGGGGAAGAGGGAGGCCCAAUUAACUAUAGAGGUAUAAUGGCUGGUAUAUGUGUGGAGGAGGAGAGAGGCCUACCUCAUGUAUUAAGGAGAUCGAUCUGCCUCAUGUAUUAAGGGAGAUCGAUCGGCAUCCAUGCAUAUGUGCAGGAGAGGAAUAAGGUUGGGAGAUAGACAGAGCUAGAGUGUUGGAGGGGGUGGUAGUGGAGUUGCUUCUAACAAAUGGUGGGAUAGGCUUGCUAGACAAACGGAGGGCAUGCCCGCAAUAUCAAUAAGAGAGGAGAUGGCUGCUUGUUGUCUGUGCACGUGCGUGUGAGAGACGGGUCAGGAGGCAUGCACGAAUGAUGAGGGGGGACGAUGUGGCUGUGGUAAGCAGACGUAACUACAUAGGAAGAUCAAUCGCCCUUUGUNNNNNNNNNNNNNNNNNNNNNNNNNNNNNNNNNNNNNNNNNNNNNNNNNNNNNNNNNNNNNNNNNNNNNNNNNNNNNNNNNNNNNNNNNNNNNNNNNNNNNNNNNNNNNNNNNNNNNNNNNNNNNNNNNNNNNNNNNNNNNNNNNNNNNNNNNNNNNNNNNNNNNNNNNNNNNNNNNNNNNNNNNNNNNNNNNNNNNNNNNNNNNNNNNNNNNNNNNNNNNNNNNNNNNNNNNNNNNNNNNNNNNNNNNNNNNNNNNNNNNNNNNNNNNNNNNNNNNNNNNNNNNNNNNNNNNNNNNNNNNNNNNNNNNNNNNNNNNNNNNNNNNNNNNNNNNNNNNNNNNNNNNNNNNNNNNNNNNNNNNNNNNNNNNNNNNNNNNNNNNNNNNNNNNNNNNNNNNNNNNNNNNNNNNNNNNNNNNNNNNNNNNNNNNNNNNNGUAGUUAAAGUCGAUCUAGGUAUAUGUUGGGAGAUCGAUCGGUAUACAUGCAUGUGUGUGUUAGAAGCAAAUGAGGCACGAGGAGAAGGAUAGAGAGAGAGGGAUGCAUGUAGGAGGUGGUACGAGAGGCAUACUAUAUCGAGGGGGGAGGAGUGUGCGAGUACGAGAACGAUGAAAAGAGUGGUGGGAGUGAGGCAUGGACGGUGAAAAGAGAAGAGGGGAAGCUUGUGUUUGUGCUAGGCACACCUAGCUAGAGAGGCAUAUCGAUCGAUGUGUGACGUAAAGAAGGAGCUGGGGGGCCUACACACACCGUGGCUGAACGACCUAAAGUGAAAAGACGAAUUUGCGCGAUGGAGCUAGAGAAUGCUGAGGGAGGGUGAGAGGGAUGCGGGCGUGUGCAUGCACAAGAGAAAGUUAGCGCUAGCUACAAAGAUAAGAGGGUUGUGUGGGUGUAAAAGAUGAAUAGAUAUCAUAUAUACUUCAUUAUAAAAAGCGAAUUCGGAUAUUUGAAGAAUUUAUCAUAGUGUUUCAAACCGAUGCAUGUGUGAAUAUAUAUAACGGUGAUACACAUGGUGUGGUUAUGAACAUGUUAUACUACAUUUAAUAUAUUUUAUCUCUACUCUUGUAAAAAACGGAGUUGUUGAUGAUGGUGUGCAUGCCAUCCUGCAUUAUAGGCCGUCCGAUUUAUAUCUGGCGGUUAGCAAGGAAACUAUGAUGGUUGAAGUUGGCAACAAUCAUGAUUGUAGAUUCUUAUUGAAAUAGAGAAACGAAUUCAAAUUUAGUUCGAAUUGCAGUGGUAGUAUAGACAUUUGGAAUGCACUAAAAUGUUGGUAUGAGUAGGUUACAUGCAUUAUACAGCAAGCGAAAAAAUUUAAUCGGACAUAACAUGGAUUCAUACUCCCUCCUUCCAUCUAUAUAGGGCGUAAUGAGAUUUUUAAGAUCGCCUUUGACUAUUGACAAGAUUAAUAGUACAUGACAUGCACAAUGUGAAAAUUAUAUCAUUGAAAGAACCUUUCACAGACGAAUUUAACGGUGUGCUUUGUGUAAGUUGCAUGUCGUAUAUCAUUGCUCUAAUAUUUGGUCAAAGUUAGCAUCGAAAAAUGCAUUAGGCCCUAUAUAGAUGGAAGGAGGGAGUAGCUUUGAAUAGCAUUUGUAUAGUAAAACGGGGCAAGACUCUCUUUGUGUGGUGUGAAUAGUUUUAUUUUUUUCGUUUUCUUUUUGGUUGAGGGAAGUGCGAAUUGAUUUGGUACAUACAAGUACAAUAUUACUACACACGUUAGGCUUGUCCCUAAAAUUCAUCCUGCGUCUUGUUAUAUCCCGAAAAUUAAGAUAUCGUGCUCCCAAAACUGGCGCCUUGCUAUCCCGAAAUUACAACGCGCGCGAAAACUCCCUCCAGCUGCCAAAUCCCGACACACGAAAUACCCCUUCUAACCCUGAGCCGAAAGGGCGGCUAGUUCAAAUCGGUGGGGCGUACUUUUGAAACACACCCUACAUUUUGGACAAGCGCGUCCCUAAGUCAUGCUUCACCCCCUCCCAUCGCCCCCUUUUCGCCAUUCGAAAUCCCAAGCCGCCAUAACCUCUUCGCUCCAGCCGCGAAACCCCACCCUCCUCCGUCCGCCACGUCACCGCUGCCCAGCCGGAGCCUCUUCCCCGACGACGUUGUCCACUUCAACAGCUCGACGUCCCUCGUCCACCUCCCCGGACGAGGAUCUGUCGUCCAUCUCGCCGUCCCGCCGGUUCAGCCGCCCCGUCCUCCACCUCCAAGGAGCUGCUCCGACGAUCGCCUCGUCUAUCGCGGCUGCUCCAUCCCCACAGCGCCGCCUUAACCUGCUCCACCGGAACCGCAGCAUCCUCACAGACUCCUCGGACGAAGCCGAGGCCUACUCGGUGCCACCAAAGAGGUUGUACACUCAUCGCAUCACACCUUCUCCUUAACUCGACCUCCUGGCGCCGACGGUGCUCCAUCCCGCACCCAUGGAGCGGCUACCUUGAAGCCGGCGCCGGGGGCGACAUCUCCAUGGCGGCUCUCCCCCAGUGCGAGGCCCCUUCGGCGGCGGUGUCCAUACCAGCCGGAUCUGCUGCUGCUGCUCCGGCUCGUUCGCUCGCUCGCGCUGCUGCUGCUGCUCCGGCUCUCGCUCGAUCGCUCGCUCGCCCAGCUACUGCUGCUGCUCUCCCCCUCGCUUGUGCUGCUACUCUGCUCCGAUUAAGCCACACUUCAGUCGACUGAAUCGACUUUUGGGUCAGUCAAUUAUCAGGGGUUGGGGGGGCUCGCCGGAGUUAAGGAAGAACCACCCGCAGCGGGGAUGGGGGCUCGCCGGAGAGGUACCCCACUAUCUAUCUUAGGGUUCAGGGUGGGGGAGGGGGCCUAGAGGGCUGGCCGGGGCGGCGGUGGCGAGUUGUUUCGGGGCGGCGAGGCGGCGCUGGGGCCGGCGGUUCGGCCAGUGGUGGCUGGCGGCUCAGGGGGGUGCAGGUUGAAGAUGAACUGCAGGCCCUCCCUAAACUACAUGUCAAGUGCCUCUCUGCUACCAUUGCGUUCAGUUUCGACAGUAGCAUUCAGAUUCCACAGUAAAUUUCAGUUCGACAGUUAAGUUCAGAGUCAACCGUUUUUACCUCAUCUGUUGUAGUCAGGUGGUUUUUGGUGAUGUUAAUUUUACAUCCAUUUUACAUCAUCUAUUGGAGAUGCUAUCAGAAUCCCACUUGAGAUUGAUGAUGUCUGUCUUGUGCUGCUUCAGCCUUGACAUCUUACGGCUCACCAGAGCUGCUCUAACGACAGAACGAUCCAUCACAACAGAGCAGUGCCCUGGACACCGUCUACAGAUUCCUCAGAUCUUCCUCCACACCUCCGACAGCCACCUCUGCGUCAACUGCUUCAGCGACCAACCCAAUGAUGCUGAGGUCGACACGGCUACGGCAAAGAGGCUGUACACUUGUUGCAUCACUUAUUACUAUACAUUCACGUCGAUCCAUUGGGGCUAUUUUGGUUCAACAGAAAAACGUCGAUCCACUGGUUGUUACUAUCACUCUUAAUUUCUGCAUGCUCUCCUUACAUAAUCUCACCAUAUUUUUUUCGUAUGCAUGUUAGAUAUUGUACACAGUCAUGCUGAACAUGUAGAGAAAAAGAGAAGAGUUUUGUACGGAAAUACAAUGUCAUGCAGACAUCGCUCCAUGGUGGGUUCAAUGGCAAACCCUCCCCACCCCUCUCCAGAUUGUAAUCCAGAGGAAGAUAUCUGUUCUGAGGCAGAUUCAGACGCCGCUGACCACUCCUAUUUACCCCCCAAGGUGUUUGCUCUACCUUGGCAUGAUGAUGUUAGUCAGAUCAUGCAUAUGUUGCCUUGCAGUGCCUACUUUUGACAUCAUGUAUGUCAUCUGCUUAGUUUAGACAUGUUCUGUAAUGCCACCUGUUUAGUUUCUAUAUCAUAUAUGGGAAUUAUGCAGUCUCAUGUCUUUUAGCCAGCCAUAAUAUAUGUGAAAUGUGCAAUGCCAUCCUGUUUAACCAGGUAUCAUAUAUUUGAAUGAUAUCUUGCCCAUCCUUUUCUUCAUUACAUUUACAUUUGUCGACAAUGUUUGUAUAUUAAACUACUCUUCCUGUGAAUCAGCCAUUUGGGUGGGAGAUGGAAUAAUCUGGAGUGAAAACAAGGCCUUCAGAGCAGACAGUGUACCUGUCGAAGCAGAUCUCUUGUUGGGUCCCGAUAGCUCCUCAGAGAUGGAUUUAGAGACAGAUGACCAGUCCUAUUCCCCCACUGAGGUGUAUGCUCUAACUUGGCACAGUUAUACUGCUCAUAUCAUGCAUACGGUGUCUUGCAUUGCAUAGUUUAGACAUCAUAUACACAAUAUUCAACACCAUGUUCUUAGUUCAGACAUCAUAUCGAAUGCCCUCUGUUAAGGAUAUAAAUCACAUAUGUGAAUUAAAUGAUGCGAUCCUGAUUAUUUAGAUAACAUGUAGGUGAAUUAUGUCAUGCGAUCCUGUUUAGUUAUUCAUCAUAUCUUUGAAUUAUGUUAUGCUAUGCUAUCCAGUUUAGAUAGACAUCAUAUAUGUGAAAUUAUGUCAUGCUAUCCGUUUUAGUUAAACAAUAUACAUGUCAACUAUUUCAUGCCCUCUUUUUUCCACACUAUCUAUUGCAUCUGUCUCUCAUACAAUGUCUGUACAUUCAACUAUGUUUCCUGUUUAUCAGCCAUUUGAAUUGGAGCGGGUGAUGCCAGUAUCUAGCGGACUAAAAACACGGUCUUCAAAUAAAACAGUGCUACCUCUUGGUGGAGAUAGCACCCCGGUUGUACACGCACAAGAACCAGCCCUACCACACAUAACCCAAACUCUCGCAGGUUGUACCCCUACUGCGAUGGACAGAGAACCAGCUUCACCCAAUCUAACCCCAACCCCAGCCGAUAGUAACCCAAUUCCUGUUGACACAGCACCAUCUCCACCACAGAGCUCCCAAACAAGAGCAGUUAGUAAGGCAGCUCCAGUGCCCAAAGGGCCAGUACUAUCACGGCGAACCCCAACUCCACCAGUUAGUACGCCUAUUCCUGUGGAGGAAGCACAACCAGCUAGUCGUAGUUUAGCAUCUAUCGCAUUUGAUGUUGUUAAAUCGUAUGUGCGUAUCUUCCCAUCUUGGAAAUAUUAUACUGAAGAUGAAGGAAAAUGCCAGUUGCAGGUGUUUGUCCAGGAGUUAUGUGUAAGUAAGGUUAUUCAUGGCAAUUACUUUGCUUCGUCCCAUACAUCCUACCUCCAUGAUGGUUAUAAUACAACAAAUUUUCCCAUUUUUCUCUAUAGAGAAGGACCGAUUUGGAAACUCAACAUGAGCUAACCUGUGCUAAUACCUCUGCUAUCUUCAAGAAUGCUUGGUGGCAGUAUCAGAAUUACCUGAAGAAAACGUACUUCACCGGCAAAGAAACUCAUCAAAUUCCCUUACGUUCUCCUGAGACACAUUUACUGGACGAUGACUGGGAACGCCUUGUUCUGUACUGGUCCCGAACCAAGAAUGUGGUAAGGUCUAUGAGCUCAUUUUCUUUUUUUAAGUAUUAUAUUCUUGCGUCUUACUGUACUCUGUUCAUGUAGAACAAGUGCCUAAACCUGAAGAACAACUAUUCUAAUUUAAGAUUCCAUUGCUAUCAUAGUUCAAAAAAGCGCAAGGCGUUAAUUGUGCGUUUUGCCACCGCCUUGCGCUUUACUGGCCAAAGCGCAUGCUUAUGCGCAGUUAUGCACAGAUUAUGCAUAGUUAUGCGCAAUGUGUUUUGCCAACGCCUAGAGCCUAGGCGCGCCUUUUUUAACUAUGAUUGCUUUGCUCUUGUAUCACUGUAUUUACUCAUACAAACUUAUUUUUAAACUAAAGGAUCCAAUCGAAACUCCAAUGGCACAGCAGGUAUGUUCACGCAUGUUUCUUUAACAGGUUUGCUCUUAUCAAUAGCUCUGUUGAUUUCAAUUUCAAUUGUGUAUACAAUUGACUUUCAUAUCAUGCACAUUCCUAGCAUCAUAACAGAGCCAAUAGUGUUGUUGUACAUGUAGACCCGUGGUACCCAUCUAAAAUCUUGUUGUGCCGUGUAGUUUCCCAAGCUUUGUAUUCUUUCAUUGCUGCUUUUCUUGAACUGAUAUGAUUUGAACCGUGUCUCUAUUUUGAUUUGGCAAGACAAUGCAGUGACCAUAGGACAUAGAUAUAUGUUUGUUUGAUGCUUUUAUUAUGUACUAGUACUUGGCAAUAGAAGACUUGGUAGUUUAAUCCUGUCCACCUUACUAAUGAACUGGCUCACCUAAAUGAGUUUCAUAUACUAGUACAUGCUAAACUUGUUAUGUGUCUGCUUGUUUCUUCUUUUAGAAUGCUGACACAAUAUUGGGGAAGAGUGCCUUAUUAAGCAAUGGUAAAGGAAGUAAUGCAGAUAAGGUUCAGGAUAGUGACACAUCCUUGUUGGAAUCCUACAAAGCUGAUAAAACAGCUAAGGAAGACUAUCUUGAAGACAGCAAGACAACCCCAAAGUCCUGUCUUGGUUUAGUGUUCGAGUUACUGGCCACUACCGCUUGCACAAGCUAUUCAAACUCACUGUCUGAAUCAGUUCGGUUUCUUGAGUCUCAACUACAAGCUGAAAGACAUCGAUCAGCUGUGCUGCGACAAGAAGCAGAAGGACCGCGGAAGUCCCUGGAGCAUUCAGAUGCAUACUUUCUGGUGCAACAGCAAGCGUUGGAGGAUUUUAGCGCCAAACAGGACAAAGCUAAUCAGCUUGCUAAGCUUAUUGCCAGCAUGGUGGAUACCCAGGAUAACGUUUCUUGAGCUCUUCUGAAGUUGUUUCAGUUAUGCUCUUGUUUUGCUGCGGCGUUUAUUUGCACUGGUGGCCAAUUUUGACGGCCAGUGUAUGUAAUGUGCUGCUUUGUUCCCUAUAUUUGCACUGGUGGCGAACUUUGAUGCCCAGUGGAUGUAAUAUGUGUAAUAGCGGUAAUAGGCUAGCGUUAAUUGCUUGCUUAUUUAUUUCCUUAUUGUCUUGUUUAGUUGUUUGCUUGUAGUCACUGCAGUUCUUUUUCUGUUUUUUUCUAGUGGCCACAAUAGCCUAUUUUUGGUAACUAGGCCAAAAUACUCAUGGCAACACACGGACUGUUGUAACCAUGGGCCUCCGGCAGGCCGUAUGAUCCAUGGGCCUUCGUCUGGCCGUAGGAUACAUCGGCCUUCUAUACGGGCCUUAGGGUCCAUGGGCCUUCUACGGGCCAUAGGGUUCAUGGGCCUUCUAUGGGCCGUACGAUCCAUGGGCCUUCUAUGGGCCGUACUAUCCAUGGGCCUCAUAUGGGCCAUAGGAUCCAUGGGCCUUCUACGGGGCGUAUCAUCAUUUCGCCAAUCAUGGGCCGUACUAUUCGUGGACCAUAAUGGGCCGUUAAUAGGUCGUAUUUGAUAACUCUAUGAAAACAACCCAACGGGUUUUUUUUGACAUGAAAACGGCCCAACAUAUUAACGGUCCGCAAACGGGCCGACUGUAACGAUGGGCUGAAUUUGGCCCACAAGCAGAAAAUGACAGUAAUGGGCCGUAUGUAACCGAAUGCUGCAAAUGAGCCCAAGAAUCAAUGGCCCCUGGGAAGGCCAAAAGAAAACUUGGGAUGGAAACGGCCCAAUGGAAUAACGGGCCGUUAAUGGGCAUAAAGUGAUACACUGUUCAUUACGGGCCAGUUUCACCAUGGGCCGUUAAUGGGCCAAGAGUUACAAAGGUCCUCAUAUGGGCCGAAAGAAGUCAUGGUCCACACAUGGGCCGGAAGUUAAAAUGGGCUGAAUCAUAUUGGACGGCCCAGAUGACGCUACUGGGCCUAAUUCGGAUAGGGCGUAACGAGCCCUGGGUUGGCGGGCUGUAAAUGGGCUAUAUGCGAACAGGCCGUUAACAGGCUUUCCGUGGGCCGGCCCGCCACCUUUUGACCAAGUCAAACGGGCCGGCCUUUUUGCAGGAAUGGGCCUCUGUUGGGCUGUGCCAUGUGUCGCCGUAUCAUAGGCGCCUUCGGUCCAAUGAGCGGAUGACAUCUGUCCCAACGGUGAGCCGACACGUGUUUCCUCCAGCCAAUGAUGAUUUUACACAUGGAAAAUCCCCAUUGGUCGGGGCUGUUAGCGGGUUAUCGGAUCCAAAACCCGACCCGAUAGCUUAACGGCGUUUCGUUACGGUGGAUGCCACGUGUCGGUCACCCUUGACGAAAGCACUUCUGUGACGCGCGAUUUAUCGUCAUGGAAGUGGACACUUCCGUGAUGAUAAUUUUGGGAAUGUCAUGGAACACUUCUACGACAGCACAGGUAUGACUAUCUUGAUUCUGUCAUAAAAUUGUCAUGGAUGUACAUGCAUGACAAAAAAUGCGACCUACUGUGACAAACACGUAUCAUCACGGAAGUGUAUUUUUUUGUAGUGUAAUCGAUCACUCUUCUUGUUGACACGCAUCACAAACUGACUCAACACUAGACUCAUAAGGAAGUUUAUUUCUACUAAGAACAUGUUGAACGAUAGUUGAAGAAGGAUGACCCAAGCGAUGAUGCCACUUUUUCGAAGAUGGUUUGGUGACACUCCAUGCUUGUUUAUUGGACCAUCAUGAAGAAACUGAUGAUAUGAGUGGGUAGAGGCCUCCCUCACAUUUUCCUCUAAGAAUGACUCCUCAUUGCUAAGUCCUUUACCACAAAAGAAUAAGGAUAGAAUAUUAUGAGAACUUGGUUAUCAAGAGUAAAAUGAUGAACUGAGACAAGAUUUUUUGAUGCAUGAGGAACAUGUAAGACAUUAUUGAGAUGCAAUUUUUUCUUAAGGGUUUUAACAAUUGAGUUACCAAUGUGAGCAAUUUCCAUACCCGUUCCACUUGCCGUGUGCACUUGGUCACCUCCGUGGUAUCUUUUCGCAUCGUCAACUUGUCAAGUUCCCCCGUGAUAUGCUCGGUUGCGCCGGAAUCGGCGUACCAAUUUGUGUCAAUACUGUAGGAGUUGGUGAUGAGGUUGACCUUCUUCUUUUCUUCAUGGUCCUCAUCAUAGCGGUGCCAGCAGGCCCUUGCACCUCCAGCGUGAUAUUUGUAGCAAAUUUGGCACUUGGGAUAAUCACCUUCAUGUUGUUGUUGUUGCUGCUGUGGAGGUUAUCGCUACUGGCGUUGCUGAUAGCCGCAUCCACUACCACGAGAAGGAGAGGGAGAGGCACGAUCGCUGCUGCGGCCGUGCCCUUUGUUCCCUCGCUCGCGACCUCCUCUACCGUGGGCCUGGCCCAUGACAUGUAUACAUGGCAUUUGCAGAUGAUCGGAAGCCUGAUGGUCCAUCACCCAACAUCUCCAUCCUUUGAUCGAAAGCUGAAAUCUAUGAGAAAAGAUCAUCAACAGUGAUUUAGUUUUUGAUGGCACCGAUUGCUGCAACGAUGGGAUCGUAGUCCCGAUCAAGGCCGACUAGGAUGUGGAUGACCGGUAGCUGCAAGCUCAUCUCCGAGGCUCUUCAUCUUGGCAAUGAAGGAGUUGCUUGACAUGUUUCCCUUCUUGGUGUUGGAGAUGGAAAUUCUCAGAUUUGUUAUCCAAGAUUGGGACUACGCGGAAAAUAGUGUGGUAAGAGUUGUCCAUAGAUCAUGAGUACUUUCCUAACCAAUGAUCCGUGCCAAGAUUUCAGGGGUGAGCGAAUUCAACAGGUAGCUCAGAACCUAUUGAUCUUUCGCUAGCCACGGGCCAUAUAGAGGGUUUUGCCCGAUGGACGUGGUCUUGUCCGCCUUCGCGACCUCCACCGUUCUUGGCGGUGCGACAUCUGUGCCGUAGAGGAGGCCAGUUACUUGCGCACCUUGUAGCGCUGGCAUCACCUGCGCUUUCCAGAGAAGGUAAUUCCCUCUUGCGAGCUUUGCUGUAGGAGGAACUCUAAGGUUGAGGGCGACGACGCUAGAAAUAGCCAUGGCGAUAGGGUUUGGGUUUCUGGCGUUGAUAGGGUUUGGGUUUCUGUUUGCUGGAUGAUGGGAUCGCUAGAUGAUGGGAAGAGGUUAGGCUCUAAAUACCAUGUUAGAAUUGAUGUAAGCAUUCCUACUCUCCUCGAGGGUGAGCCGCAUAUGUUUAUUUAUUGAGGCAGAACCUUGCCAUGAAGUACAAGAGAUGGAUUAGGAAUCCAGCUAUUACAAGGAGAUAGAAGUAGAUACGUGAUAGAAGAGAUUGAGAUAGUUAACAUUACAUGGAGAAUAUUUCUUAAACUCUAACAGGCCGCCCACUUGGCGUCCGUACUCUUUUUGAUUUGGGUCGGCAGUGCGCCUCACGCGCUGACCUAUUUGCUGGCGUGGCCGACUGGCCGCUCCUUUUCAACAAAUAUGCACACAUUUUGCAUUAUUUCACAAGCAAACAUAUAAAAAAUAGCAUAGUUUCACAAACCAAAUAAAGCACAGUUUCAAAACCAAAUAAAUUAAGCAUAUUUUUACAAGCCGAAUAAAAAUUAAAUUGUCUCAAAUACAUGUGAAAAGAAGAUACAUCUAUUGGUUACCAACAUGAGCCCACAUAUGCUCAACCAAAUCAUUUUGCACCUGCAUGUGAGUUUCCCAGUCACGCAAUUCAUGAUAAAAUUGGGUGAACUGUUCAAAAGUUUGCGCUCCUCCAUGCUCAGGCACAACAUUCUCACCCUGAAACUGAAAACCUUGAUCUUAGAUACGUUCCGGGCGUUCAUCUUCUACAAUCAUAUUGUGCAUGAUCACACAAGCUGUCAUCACCUCCCACAGCUUCUUGGUGCUUCAAGUCCUAGCAGGAUACCGAAAAAUGCCCUGUCGAGAUUGCAAAACACCAAAGGCAUGCUCGACGUCCUUCCUAGCACUCUCUUGCUCUUGGGCAAGUCUUUUCCUCUUUUCUCCGACAAGGUGGGGGAUUGUCUUCAUAAUAGUGGUCCACUGAGGAUAGAUACCUUCAACUAGGUAGUAUCCUUUUCGAAGUUGUGGCCGUUGAUGGUAACAUUCACCGGCGGGCUGUUGCCUUCGGCAAGUCUUGCAAACACCGGCGAGAGUUGAAGUACGCUGAUACCAUUGUGCGAUCCGAGCAUGCCGAAGGCAAAGUGCCAGAUCCAGAGGUCUUGUGAGUCCACGGCCUCAAGUAUGACAGUGCAAGCCCUGACAUGGCCCUUAUAUUGCCCUUGCCAAGAAGAAGGGUGGUUCUUCCACUCCCAGUGCAUGCAGUCUAUGCUGCCAAGGAUCCCCGGGAAGCCCUUGCCGGCAUUCAUCGCCAACAAGUGGGGUGUAUCUUGAGGAGUCGCUCUCUCAAGUACUCAGGGCCAAACACAGCAAUCACAGCCUUGCAGAACUUGUAAAUGGAGUCUAGGCAUGUAGACUCACUCAUACGGACGUACACAUCAAUGAGAUUAUUGGGCACUCCGUAUGACAGCAUCCAGAUGGCUGCAGUGCAUUUAUGAUAAGAUGAGAAGCCAAUCUUUCCAAGGGCAUCCUCUUUGCGCUCAAAAUAGUUAUCGUAUCCGACCACCCCCUCUCUAAUACGGUUGAAAAGAUGCCUACUCAUAUGGAGACGCAGCCGGAAUUUCUGAUGUUUGAACUAUUGGAAAUAUGCCCUAGAGGCAAUAAUAAAAUGGUUAUUAUUAUAUUUCCUUGUUCAUGAUAAUUGUCUAUUGUUCAUGCUAUAAUUGUGUUAUCCGGAAAUCGUAAUACAUGUGUGAACACAUAGACCAUAACAUGUCCCUAGUGAGCCUCUAGUUGACUAGCUCGUUGAUCAAUAGAUGGUUACAGUUUCCUGACCAUGGACAUUGGAUGUCAUUGAUAACAGGAUCACAUCAUUAGGAGAAUGAUGUGAUGGACAAGACCCAAUCCUAAGCAUAGCACAAGAUCGUGUAGUUCGUCUGCUAAAGCUUUUCUAAUGUCAAGUAUCCUUUCCUUAGACCAUGAGAUCGUGCAACUCCCGGAUACCGUAAGGGUACUUUGGGUGUGCCAAACGUCACAACAUAACUGGGUGGCUAUAAAGGUACACUACGGGUAUCCCCGAAAGUAUCUGUUGGGUUGGCACGAAUCGAGACUAGGAUUUGUCACUCCGUAUGACGGAGAGGUAUCUCUGGGCCCACUCGGUAGGACAUCAUCAUAAUGAGCUCAAUGUGAUCAAGGAGUUGUUCACAGGAUGAUGUGUUACGGGAACGAGUAAAGAGACUUGCCUUAACGAGAUUGAACAAGGUAUCGGUAUACCGACGAUCGAAUCUCGGGCAAGUAUCGCACCGAUAAACAAAGGGAAUUGUAUACGGGAUUGAUUGAAUCCUCGACAUCGUGGUUCAUCCGAUGAGAUUAUCGUGGAGCAUGUGGGAGCCAACAUGGGUAUCCAGAUCCCGCUGUUGGUUAUUGACUGGAGAGUUGUCUCGGUCAUGUCUACGUGUCUCCCGAACCCGUAGGGUCUACACACUUAAGGUUCGGUGACGCUAGAGUUGUAGAGAUAUUAUUAUGUAGUUAACCGAAAGUUGUUCGGAGUCCCGGAUGAGAUCCCGGACGUCAUGAGGAGUUCCGGAAUGGUCCGGAGGUAAAGAUUUAUAUAUAGGAAGUCCAGUUUCGGCCACCGGGAGAGUUUCGGGGGUCACCGGUAUUGUACCGGGACCACCGGAAGGGUCCCGGGGGUCCAUCGGGUGGGGCAACCUAUCCCGGAGGGCCCCAUGGGCUGAAGUGGCGUGGGAACCAGCCCCUAGUGGGCUGGUGCACCCCACCCAAGGGCCCAAGGCGCCUAGGGUUGGAAACCCUAGGGGGCAUGCGCCCCCUGGUUGGAAACCCUAAGGGGGCCGUUGCCCCCCGAGGGGCCGCCGCGCCCCCCUCUAGAUGGGAUCUCCAAGGUGGGCAUGUGCCCCCCUAGCCCCUAUAUAUAGUGGAGGGGAGGGAGGGCAGCCACACCCUAAGCCCUGGCGCCUCCCUCUCCCUCCCGUGACACCUCUUCCUCCUCCAGUAGUGCUUGGCGAAGCCCUGCUGGAAUCCCGCUGCUUCCACCACCACGCCGUCGUGCUGCUGGAUCUCCAUCAACUUCUCCUUCCCCGUUGCUGGAUCAAGAAGGAGGAGACGUCUCCGCUCUGUACGUGUGUUGAACGCGGAGGUGCCGUCCCUUCGGCACUAGGAUCAUCGGUGAUUUGGAUCACGACGAGUACGAGUCCAUCAACCCCGUUCUCUUGAACGCUUCCGCUCGCGAUCUACAAGGGUAUGUAGAUGCAUGCCUCUCUCUCUCUCUCGUUGCUAGAUGACUCCAUAGAUUGAUCUUGGUGAUGCGUAGAAAAUUUUAUAUUUCUGUUAUGAUCCCCAACAUGAACAACGGGUUGGUUGUGUCAAAGCAGUCCAUCCAAAGAAGGAAAUGUCCGCUAUCUCAAUUGCAUUUCAACGUUGGAAGGUGUCCCGGGAUCGAGCCACAGAACAACGGCCGCUAGCUAUUAAGGUGGUGAUGGACCAACACGGCAACCAAGAUCUCCUGCUCAUCAUUGGACGAGGAAUUAUUGGAGUCGCAAAGGAAACUGUGGAAAAAGAACUCGUCGGUAGAGUCCAUUUUGUACCUUGGCAAACUGUGGAACAACUUGCGGGAGUCGACGAUGGAACUGGCCGGCGAAGAGACGCGCGCCUCCCUUGGACGCGUUCGAUGAGCGUGCCGGCAUCAGAACAAAGGAGCUGGCCGGGGCGGCGACGUGGCUUCCUGCUCGCGGCAGCGUCGGGAGGUGGGGUGGGAAGCUUCGGUGCCGUGCCGGCAAGAUGGUGGUGGCGGUGACCUGGGAGGUGGAGGCAUUGGGGGAGGUGUGUCGGCACCGGCUGCUGGCAACGGCAUCGGAAAUGGGUGGCAGCGGCGAUGCGACGGGGAUGGGCGAGGGUUUGCUGUCGAUAUGGGGUGGGAGAGGAUGGUCAAUAUGUCACCGACUAGCGGACCAGGGGAAGUAGUUGGCACGCGGCGCACGUCCGUCUGAUGUCUGCCCCGACGCAAAUCAGGCUCAAAAUUGGGCGAGGAAUGGGUCGGUAGGCGGACGAAAAGCGGACGCGCGUCCGUUUGUGUCAGCGCGUUGGGCCGACUUUUCUGCCCGCUGUGAUCCAAACAGACGCGCGCGGAUGAAAUGGGUCGCCGCUUUGGAGUUGCUCUUAGAGAGUCUUUUUUUCCAAGCCCUUGCUCCAGGUUUUCCCUCUUUUGUCGGUCAUUUUAAUGGGCGUUUACUUUUUGGUUUUCUGAUAUAAGCUCGGUUUGCAUCGCCUGCUGCCGCCGUCGACUCCCGUGUGCCUCUACUCCAACACCGGCGAGACCGGCUGGGUCAUUCACCGACCCAAUGGCCUCACACAAUAGGCGGCCCUAACGGCCGUCGGCCAUCCGCCCAUUCUACUUGCCCGUCGCACUGCAUCGUCCGUCGCUGCCCUGCUCCGACCAGGACCUCUCCAUCACCACCCGCUCCGCCGUGUCUGCACGGCCGCCCUACGGUCUGCCUCGCUGGACAUGUCUCCUACUACAUCGGGCCGGUUGAGUUAGGUUUGUCAGCUGCCUCGAGCUCGGGCACCACUACUACACAUUGGUCGCUCGGGCCUCGCUGCCCGGGUGCUGGUCCUGACGCGCUCGUCCGCACGUCGUCCCAUGCCAUCCCUCAUUGCCGGCUUGAUCUCGGACUCUGCCGCCACCCUGCCUCCACCAAACGCCGUCCCCCACCUCGCGCGCUAUCGCCUUGAUCACCCGCUCGGUGCCACAAUCCGCGUCAUCUACGCCGUGCGACCGACCCUGGCACGGCAACGGGCUGCCGCUACGUUGCUUCACCGUGCCGCCAAUGGGUGGUUCUCCUCGCGGCUGCAUCGACUCACGCGCCGCCGCUACGUCACCCCUUCACGCCAUAGUGCCACGAUACGCGGUCCCCGAUGCCUCCCGAAGGUCAUCCUUGUGGUUGCAUUGACCCGGGUUCCGCCGCCGCGUCGCCCCUUCGGGCCGUAGCGCCGCGACCCGUGGUCCUCACCGCCGCCCAGAGGUCUUCCCCCUGUCGCCCCGACCCGUCUGCUGCCAUCGCAUCGCCCUUCAGGCCGUGGCGCCGCAGCCCGCGGUCCAGCACCGUCCAUGCGCGUCGACUUCCCGUGUAUGCACCACAGCGCAUCCAUUGGCGCAGGACCGCCACCGUCCGCACUGGUCUUCAUCACGUUGCAGGUUUCCUCGCCUACUUUGAGCAUCGCCACCGCACUCCUAACCUAGCCGCCGCCGCCGCUCUUCUUCGGUCGCCACCGCCGCCACCCCCGUGGCCGCUCCUCCGCCCGUCCACCUCCUUCAUCUUCCUCCAACACCAGCUAAUCGCUAGCAUCGCUGUCAUCUUCUCCGACCACUUGGUCUACUCCGACCACUUCGUGUACUCCGACCAUCAUUUGUGACAUCUAAAAGCACAAGUGCUCCCUGGGUGAUUUUGGUAAUUAAUGUCAACAUAUCUCUUGUUGGACUAAUACCUUUACCUGGUGUAUUUCAGAUCAGUUCAACAAUGGCGUGGCAUGGACAAGAGGAUGUGGCUCCUUCAAAAUGCUAAGGACAAAGAUUGGCAAAGGCUCAAGACUCUUCAUUUACAUUUUAGUGACCCAAGAUCACAUUGAGUCCAUAGGAAAGCCAAUACUAUUAAAAGGGGAUGAGGUGUUGCUUAAUGGUCUACUUGCUCAAUGUGCUUAGUGGUAUUGCUCCAAAACCCUCAGCCACUUUCUCAUUUCCAUAGAUGUCCAAAACCUAAAGUCAAACUCGGCCUCACCGAUUUGAUCUAUCCGGCGCCACCGAGUUCAUUUGACCUAGCCACUGCCAAAAACCCUAGACAGUUUGGUCGCAUCGAUAUGGAUCUCGGUCUCACCGAGAUGGCCUUGCAUUUUCACUGUGACAUGUUUCACUCUUUAGGUCUCACCGAGUCAGUGAAAUCGGUCACACCGAGUCUGCUUGUUAUUCACUCUGUUGCUUAUUACUUCACUUCGGUCCCGCCGAGUUGAGGUAAUUGGUCACAUCGAGUUGCUGUUUUCCCUAGCCCUUGCACAUCAGUCACACCGAGUUGUUCCCGUCGAUCCCACCGAAACUCCUAACGUUCACAUUUUGAACUAAAUCGGUCUCACCGAGUUGGGUCAAAUGCGUGUAACGGUUUGAUUUUGUGUGGAGGCUAUAUAUACCCCACCACCCCUUCUCCAUUCAAGAGAGAGCCAUCAGAAUGUGCCUACACUUCCACUACUCAUUUUCUGGGAGAGAACCACCUACUCAUGUGUUAAGACCAAGAUAUUCCAAUCCUACCACAAGAAUAUUGAUCUCUAGCCUUCCCCAAGUGGCUUUCCACUCAAAUCAUCUUUCCACCAUAGCCAAAUCUGUGUGAGAGAGUUGAGUGUUGGGGAGACUAUCAUUUGAAGCACAAGAGCAAGGAGUUCGUCAUCAACACACUAUCUAUUACCUUUUGGAGAGUGGUGUCUCCUAGAUUGGUUAGGUGUCACUUGGGAGCCUCCGACAAGAUUGUGGAGUUGAACCAAGGAGUUUGUAAGGGCAAAGAGAUCGCCUACUUUAUCAAGAUCUACCCGAGUGAGGCAAGUCCUUCGUGGGCGAUGGCCAUGGUGGGAUAGACAAGGUUGCUUCUUUACGGACCCUUCGUGGGUGGAGCCCUCCAUGGACUCGCGCAACCGUUACCCUUCGUGUGGGUGGAAGUCUCCAUCAACGUGGUCGUAUGAUAGCACCACCUAUCGGAACCACGCCAAAAAUCUCCGUGUCUACAUUGCGUUUGCACACUCCUAUCCCAUCCCUUUACUUUCGUGCUACUAGCAUGCUUUACUCUUUCCGCUGCUUAUACUCUUGCCAUGCUUGCUUGAAAUGUAUUGUGAAUGCUUAAACAUGUGCUAAAAUUUCACCUCAACUUGAGGAACUUAAAAACUGCUACUUUUUGUUGUUGAGGGUCUAUCUAGACACCUCUUCUCGGUCCUUUCAAUUGGUAUCAGAGCAUUGGUCUCCAUUGCUUUGGUUUAAUCACCAUUGGAGGAAGAUGGAUGAGUUUAUGAUUGGGAGUAUUAGACAUAGAGUGCCUAUGCUUGAUGGAGAGUUCUAUAGUGCUUGAGAUGCUUGAGAGUUUCAAUGAAUAUCAUUUAAACAAUUAUAUUACUAGCCGUUGUGUGACUCCUAUUGAUCCCUUGCAUCCUACCCCCAAUGAGUAUCUUGACAUGACCCACAAUCUUAGAGCCAUUGAUCUUAUCAUAAGAGGAUUGCCUAGAAAUUUGCUUGUGUGCUUGCCUACAUUUGAAUGUGCCUAUACCAUAUGGAGAUACCUUGAGGAGCACUUUACAAACUAUUCCUUGAAAAAUCUAGAUGAGAUUCUUCAAAAGCCCAUUGGCGUUUCAUAAAAUGAAUCCUAGUGAUCCUAAAUUUGGUGAUUGUCUAUUUUAGCUUCGUGACCUCAUGCGUGCCAACGAAGACAUUGGAGUCAUUAGUAGCAUCAUUUCUCAAGUCAUUAGAAUUCAUAGAGAUGCACAUUGUCAUGGUCAUAAAUCUAAUGAAUUACUCUCUCUAGGUGAUGAUCAAUCACAAGACAAUGUUGAACAUGGGUAUUAUGCAUGAUGAGGAUGAUGAUAGUAACUUUGAUCUUCAUGAGUCAAUGAGACAUUUUGGUCUUAUGGCUAACCUUCGUGGUUACAUGGCCGGAGGAAAGGAAUGGGUUCUUGAUAGUGGAUGUACCGAUCACAUGACCGGAGACAAGGAUAUGUUUCGAGAGCUUGCUGAAAAUGAUUGUCCCCGAAAGUAUGUCACCUUUGGUGAUAACUCAAAGGGUAAGGUGGUUGACCUUGAUAAGGUGGCCAUCUCACAUGACAGUUCUAUCCAAAAUAUUAUUCUUUUGAAUCUCUUGGAUACAAUUUACUUUCCGUGUCUAGACAUUGUUGAUUUCACUAAAAGAGAUCAACCUAGAACUUGCUUAAUUGCUAAAUCUUCUAAAGGUUGGUUGUGGCAUAGAAGGUUAGGUCACGUGGGCAUGCGAAAUCUUGAUAAGAUUAUUAAAGGUGAUCAUAUCCUUGGUGUUAAAGAUGUUAUAUUUGACAAGGAUAGACUUUGCAGUGCUUGUCAAGCAGGAAAACAAGUUGGAGGAAGUCAUCCCGUGAAGAACAUCAUGACCACGAGAAGACCACUUGAGCUACUUCAUAUGGAUCUUUUCAGUCCCAACGCUUACAAGAGUCUCGAUGGUAACUUAUUCAGAUUGGUCAUUGUUGAUGAUUUUUCAAGAUUUACGUGGGUGUUCUUUCUUGAUGAUAAAUUGCAGGUCCAGAAGAUCUUCUAGAACUUUGCUAGGAAGGCCCAAAAUCAAUUUGAAGUUAAGAUCAAGAAAGUUCGGAGAGACAACGGAACGGAGUUCAAGAAUGCCAAUGUGGAUACCUUUCUUGAUGAAGAAGGGAUUUCACAUGAGUUCUCGGCUACAUACACACACACCUCAACAAAAUGGAGUUGUUGAGAGGAAGAACCAGACACUUAUUGAGAUGGCAAGAACGAUGCUCGAUGAAUACAAGACGCCAAAACACUUUUGGCAGAAGUGGUUGAGAUAGCUUGUCAUGCAACAAAUCAAGUAUAUCUUCACAAGCUUCUCUGCAAGACGGCAUACGAGCUUCUCACUGGCAACAAACCCCAAGUUGGAUACUUUUGAGUAUUUGGCUCAAAGUGUUACAUUCUUGAUAAGCAUCAUCAUUCGAAGUUGGCCCCUAAAUCUCAUGAAGGUUUCCUACUCGGUUAUGGCUCGAACUCUCACACUUACCGUGUCUACAACAAUUUCACCCGAAAGGUUGAAGAGAUGGUAGAUGUGAAGUUUGAUGAAUCUAACGGCUCUCAAGUAGAGCAACUACCAAUUGAUGUAGGGGAUAAAGAUCCCUUGGAAGCAAUUCAAGACUUGUCUAUUGGCAAGAUUCGCCCAACGGAGGUGAAGAAGAGUACCUCAUCCGUUCAAGUGGAAGCCUCAACUUCACGACAAGGUGAACCACAAGUUGACUUGGAGGCAUCCACAAGUGGAACACGUCAAGAUGAAGGAAACGAGGAAGUACAACAAGAUGAACCUCAUCAACCUCCCUCUCCACCCCCACAAUAGAACAACAAUGCCAACAACAAUGAAGAAGGACAAGAAGAAGAAGAAGAGGAUGUUCCACCCCGACCCAAACAAAAUCUCUCACGAGUUAGAACAAGAGUCUGAAGAGACCAUCCCGUCGAACAAAUCUUUGAUGAUAUUCAAACCAGGAGAAUUAAUCGCUCUAAAACUCGUUUGGCUAACUUUUGUGAACAUUACUCAUUCAUUUCUAGUAUUGUACCUAUGAAGGUAGAAUAAGCUCUUGAUGAUACGGAUUGGGUGAAUGCCAUGCAUGAAGAGCUACACAAUUUCGAGAGGAAUGAAGUGUGGACAUUGGUUGAAAAGCCGGACGACAACCAAAAUGUCAUUGGAACCAAGUGGGUGUUUCGGAAUAAGCAAGAUGAGGAUACACAAGUUGUACGCAACAAGGCCUGUCUCGUCGCCCAAGGCUACACUCAAGUCGAAGGUAUGGACUAUGGUGAGACAUAUGCCCCCGUUGCUAGACUUGAGUCCAUACGCAUCUUACUUGCUUAUGCCAAUCAUCAUGAUAUCACUUUAUACCAAAUGGACAUUAAAAGUGCUUUUCUAAACGAUGAAAUUGAGGAGGAAGUCUAUGUUAAACAACCUCCCGGCUUUGUUAAUCCUAAGAAACCUAAUCUUGUUUACAAAAUUCACAAAGCUCUUUAUGGUCUUAAACAAGCUCCUAGAGCAUGGUAUAAAUGCUUGGCCAAGUUCCUUAUUGAAAAAUGGUCUGAAAUUGGAAAAAUUGAUUCUACACUUUUUACUAAAAGGGUUAAUGGUGAAUUAUUUGUGUGCCAAAUUUAUGUGGAUGAUAACAUAUUUGGUACGACUAACCCUCAUUUUAGUGAAAAGUUUGGAAGGCUAAUGUCGGAGAAGUUUGAGAUGUCUAUGAUGAGUGAACUCAAAUUCUUUCUUGGGUUGCAAAUCAAGCAAACUAAGGAAGGUACCUUUGUUUCUAAAAAAAGUAUACCAAGGACUUAUUCUAGAAGUUCAACAUGCAAGAAAGCAAAGGUGUGAAAACACCCAUGCCUACUAGUGGACAUCUUGACUUGACUAAGGCUGGCAAACCAGUUGACCAAAAGGUUUACCGCUCUAUGAUUGGUUCAUUGUUAUAUCUAUCUGCCUCCCGUCCCGAUAUUAUGCUAAAUGUGUGCAUGUGUGCACGAUAUCAAGCGGCCGCUAAAGAAUGCCAUCUUAAGGCUGUGAAAAGGAUAGUGAGAUAUUUAAUUCAUACACCAAACUUUGGCAUUUGGUAUCCUAAGAGGCCUUCUUUUGAUCUUGUUGGCUACUCUAAUUCGGACUAUGCCGAUGACAAGGUUCAUAGAAUGUCCACUUCGGGUACUUGUCAAUUUCUUGGUUGUCGGGGGUGUCGUGCGACAUAUGCCAAAGGAUGGCUUAUCAUGGAGGGGGCUAAUAAGACGUCGCCGGUGCCAGGAAGCGGGAUGAGGCAUAGACAUGUACACCGACGAACUUUACCCAGGUUCGGGGCUCUCCUAGGAGAUAACACCCCUAGUCCUACUCUGCGGGCUCUCCGCAUGCUCACUAUGUCAACAAGUGGCUACAAGUUGCUCCAUGAGCUGUUUUUCUAGAGGAGGAAGAAGGGCAGGGCUAGCUCUCUCCUCUCUCUAUAUGUGUGUGUGUUAUCUAAAAGUCUGAACCCUUUGCAUGGGUGCCCUAGGGGUUUUAUAUAGGCCUACCCCCAGGGGUACAAAGGUAAUCUGGCCGGGUGUAGGACCCGGUUGUCAGUGUCUCUCGUCGCCGGCUUCUCUGCUGGCUGGUGGGCCCGCCGCCUGGUGGGCCCCGUCGACUGUCUCGUACUUGGCCGACACGCCGCGCCCGCCGCUUGCGGGUUUGGCCGGCUGCUCAACACUGUAGCGAUGCUGGUAAUGAUGCGUUCUUUGUCGGGGUGACGCAUGGCUACAGUACCGCCGCCUGGCGGGCGAUCACUGUAGCCAUCCUCCAUCUCUUCUGAUUAAUGGUGCACGGACUUUGAGGGAGAGGGAGGGCCGCCUGGUGGCGGUCGGCCUCCCCUCAUGCCGACUGGUCCAGGCUCGCCGCCUUCUGGCUUCUCACUGACAAGUAAGGCCCACAGCCUGUGGGCCAUACCGACAGCCCGUAGUGGAGGCAUGGCCUUCUCUACCAUGGGUGAUGUCAUGGGCAGAGAGGCAACAGUGUUGCGCCGGACGGGAGAUCCUCGUCUGGUACGGUGCAUUGUGGCCACUCUUGGCCCUGGAUUUGGGGGUGGUAGGGCGCGCUGUAGCCACACCCCGUCUCAUCGUAUUUACGUGGUUGCAGACUCUGAGGACGCCUAGGGCCGACUGCUAGGAGCCGGCCUCUCUGGAGGCCGCCUGCUAGGAGCCGACCCACCUCGUGGCCGCCUGAUGGGCCUUGCCGUAUCCUGGCAGCCGGCCGCUUGGACCAGCCGGCCGCGAGCAGGCGGCGCUUGUCUCUUUGAAUCUUGAGGGGGCAGCCGGCCCCGAUGUCUUGAAGCGCCAUGGGGGUUCGAUGAGGCUACCCAUGGCCAAUUACUCCCACAGUAGUCCCCGAAGCUGGUGAGGCUCCGUUGCUGAAGAAAGGAAGGAGUCUCGGCAGCUUCCUACUCUGAGUACCCCAUUGGAUCUUGCUCCGUCCGUCUUCUGGAGCACCGACUCCCAGGAGCCGGCCACGGCCUGUCAAGCCGUCUGGUGAAUUUGAAACAUCAUGGCGGGAGCCAGGUGGAGUGCUAGCAAAGCAUCUAGGCUGGCCGCCCGCCGCUCACACGCCAUGCGACGCUUACCAGACGGGCCGGCCUAUCAACCCACGCGCGCGACGGGACGUUGCUGCAGGCGGGAUGCGCGCGGAUCUGCUGCGGCCGAGGUGGGCGUUUGGGAUCCUGCGCGCCAUUACCAAGCGCCGUUAUUAUGCGGUAAACGCGGGGUCGUGGGUUCGUAGGUGCAGUUAAUCCCACGAUCCCAUGCCCCGCCCCCUCGGCUUCGCAGCCAGGGGCUAUAAGCAGGGGGAGGAGGUGAGCGACAGACGCACGCGCGCCCUCGUCUCCUUCGCCAUUUCUUGCCUCUUCUUCUUCUUCGCCGCCGCCGCACUCUGCGCUCCAACGAAGUGCUGCCGCGGCUCACCGUCAUCGUCAAGCUUUUCCUUCCCGAGCCUUCUCCGCUCCGCUGCGGGCUCGCGCCUUUGCCGCCGCACCUCGCCGUCGUCGAGCUUGAGCUCUUAUGGCAUGCUCCGGCGACUGGGACGGCUCCAACGUCCAUGAGGACCACCUCACCUUCCUUCGCGACACGCGGCGGCUGCCCGGCAUGGGCUACGUCGAGGUACGCGUGCCGCCUGCGAACGAGAUCUCCCCGGCGCCGGAGGAGGGCGAGCGCGUCACCUUCCGCCCGCACUUCCUCCGCGGAUUUGGCCUGCCAGCGAGCGGCUUUCUCCGCUCCUUCUUGAACUUCUACCGACUCCAGCCGAACCACCUCACACCUAACAUGGUGGUGCUGCUGUCGGCCUUCGUCACUCUUUGCGAUGGUUAUCUUGGCAUCCUCCCCACCAUUGAGCUCUGGGGGGCCUUCUUCUACACCAAGCUCGGCACCGCCGUCAAGGACGUGGCGGCCCAGUGCGGAGCUUUCGUCGCGGUGCGGCGUCCGGGUGCCAAGAACGCCUUCCCAGCCAUCAGCUUGAUACAGUCGGUCAAGCUAUGGCAAAUGUCGUACUUUUAUGCCAAGAACGUCAACCCGGCGCUUGACUUUGUCAACCUGCCGCCUUAUGUGGCCGGUCCGCCUGCCGAGCCCCGCGUCAAUUGGAACUACAAGCCAAAGCCGCUGGCGGCCGCCGCCUCCGCCGCCAUCGCCCGCGUCAAGGUGAUGACGGAGUCGGAAGGCCUCAAAGCGUCCGACUUGCUGGUCACCUUCGUGGUGCGCCAGGUUCUUCCGCUUCAAGGCCGGCCUCACAUGAUGAGCCAGAUGAGCGGGCAUCGCAACCCAUGCCGGAUGUGCACCAAGGAGAUGCCGACUGCGGAGGUGGCUCUCCUGGUGAACGAGAUCACGGACUGCAAACUCGCAGAGAAGGAGUGGCGGUUCGGCAAGCGGCCGUAUUCCCGCGCAGAUCCGCCACCUGUGGCGAGCUCUUGAUUCUUUUCUUUCCCUCUUGCCGGGCUCUGUCUUGCCGGGUUCUGUCUUGCCGCCUGACCAGUUCGACCAUGAUGCAGAUCCUCUUCUCCCAGCCGACGGCCGACGUCGACUACAUGCCGGACUGGGCCGUGAGCAACGUGGAGGACCCCGACUUGGGGGAAGCCGCCCUGGAGGACGACGCCACAGGCGGUAGUGGCGCGGCAGGCGGCUCCGAAGGACGAGGCGGGGUAGAAGACUGGCCGGAUGAUGAUGAUGAUGAGGAGGAGGUGCCGCGCCGCCCGUCGACUACCGACAGGUGGGUCCGACCUCCUCAGCCGUACCAAUCGCUCCAGGUGGUGGGUCGAAGCGCCGAGGCGAGCUGCUAUUCGGUAGCCACCCCAAGAAGCCCAAGCACACGUCCGUUGCGACCAAGUUCCAGAAGGCCCCCAAGCAGCCUCCGGUGGUGUCGGCGUAAGUGGUUGCCUUUUUACUCUUUUUUCCGGUCGACUCCUUCUGAAUCUCUUUUUAUCUCUCUUGAAUAGGGCUCCGCUCUCUCUUGAGCGGUCGGCCUCAGCUUCCGUGAUCGGGACGGCGGAAGGUUCCGCCAACACCCGUCGUAUAGACCCGGCCGCCGAUCUCCAGGAGGCGCAGGAGAGGAACGCACGGGAAGUGUGGGAAGAGCUAGAAGCCGCCGCCAAGAAGGCGGAGGUAGACAAGGCAGCCGCAGCCAAGGCGGCGCAAGAGGACGCGAACGCCGUGACCAAGGCCCAAGCCGAUGCCGUGGCAAAGAAACGAGCAGAGGAUGCCGCGCGCCACCAGACCCCGCAGCUCGUCAUCCGCUUGUGCUCUACGCCACCAGCACCAGAGAUCCCGGCGCUAGCUGGAGGAGCCGGCGAUGAGCGGCCGGUCAUGGAGAAGGAAGGCGGAGAUGCCGUCUUGCCCGAGAUGGGGGUGCCUCCGCAACCACCGACUGCAGACGCGCAGAGCAGCCGGCCGGCUGCCCCAUUGGUGUCACUAGUUGGAGGCGAGCUGGGGAUGGGCUCGGCUCCCACGGCCCGCACUCCAGUGCGUCGCCGUGUGGAGAAGGCGGCAUUGGCACCGAGGUCGAUGGAGGUCAGGAGUGCCAGUUCGUCGAUCCCUGAUGCCGAAGCCACCUGUCGGGUGGUUGGUGCGACAUAUGCCAAGGGAUGGCUUAUCAUUGUGGGAGCCAAUAAGACGUCGCCGGUGCCUGGAAACGGGAUGAGGUGAAGACAUGCACGCCGGCGGAUCUUACCCAGGUUCGGGGCUCUCCGAGGAGAUAACACCCCUAGUCCUGCUCUGCGGGGUCUCCGCAUGAUCACUAGACCGAUGAAAGGUAGCUACAAUCGCUCCUAGAGCUGUUGAGUUCAAGGGAGAAGAAGAACAAGGCUAGCUCUUGCUUCUCUCUAUCUAUGGUGUGUGUUCUAUGCUAAGAAGGCAACUCUAUGCUCAGAGGCCAACUAUGCUUGGGAGCGAACCCUUUGCAUGGGUGCUCCGGGGGGUUUAUAUAGGCCUACCCCCGGGGGUACAAUGGUAAUCCGACUGGGCUCUGGUCCCUGCCGUCAGUGCCUACGCUCGCCGGCUUCUCCGCCGGCUGUUGGGUCCCGCCGGCUGGUGGGUCCCGCCGGCUGCCGGCUACUUGGUCGACAGGCCGGCCCCACCGCCUAGGGUCUUGUCGGCGGCUGCUUACUAUAGCCGCGCCUCUGAUGACGAGGGCUUUGUCGAGGUAAGCGUGGCUACAGUGGGCCGCCUCGGGGGCUCUCACUGUAGCCUUACCUCGUCUUGUCUCCUUAAUGGGGCUCCUGCUUCGAGGAAGGGAGUAGCCGGCUUCUGGAGGCCGGCUGCGCUCUUGGCCAACUAGGAAAGGCCAGGCCGCCUUCACGCCUCUCUCUGGCUGAAGGGGCCCGCCGCCCGCGGGCCGUACGGGAGUCGGUCGUGGGUGACGUCGAGCCUAGCAUGGCUACAGUGCCGAGCCGCACGGGAGACGGCCGUCCCGUACGGCCUCCUGUAGCCAUGCCCGCCUCGGGCUUCGGGGGUAGUGGGCCGCACUGUGGCCACACCCCGUCAUAUCGCCGUUAUGUGGGAACAGCUUUGGCGGUAGUGAUCUUGGCCGGCUCCUAGGAGUCGGCGUCCUUCUCGGCCGGCUUCUUGGACUCGGCCACCCCGUAGUCAUCCCGGGGAGGGGUCGUUUGAGGCUGGGUCGCCUUCCGGGAGUUGGCUUCAGAAGUAGCCGGCCAGGGAAGGCGGCCCAAAUGCUUGGAGUGCUUGAAGGCCCAAAGGCCUGAUAUUUUUUCUGAAGAACCAGGGCUAGUCGGUUUGGCUACCCGUGGCCAUUUCCUCCGACAGUAGUCCCCGAAGCUGAUUGGGCUUCGAGGUGGAGUAGGGGUUGAGAAGCUCGAUCAGCUUCCUAUCGUGACAAGCCGGCAGCUGGGAGCCGGCCUUGAUCAGGUGCGCCGCCUGAGUCGAAAUCUUCUGGAGUCGGAGGGCGGGAGCCCGCUGGCACGUGCACCGGGCCGCGGUCCGGCCACGGGCCGUCGGCGAACCACGUGGCCGGAAAGCCUGCCAGCCCACGCGCGUGACGGGACGUCGCCGCAGGGAGGGGGCCCGCCACGUCCGCGCCCCGGCCCAGGCGCGGAUCCUUUGUAUCCCGAAACCGCCCGCACGUUUCGUGCGGCAGUUUCGGCUCGCAUUUAUGCGCAAUAAUCGCGAGACGUGGGGGGAGUGGGCAUAGUUAAUCCCACGUCCCCCCCCCACGUCCGGCCUCUUCGGCCUCGUGAGGCUAUAAGUAGGGGGAGGUGGAGGGCGGCAGGCCCUCGCACGCUCCUCCUACUUCCAUCGUCUUCUUCCUCUCGCCAGUUCUUGAGACAGCGCCUCGCCGCCGCUCCCUUCCACCGCACGCUCCUCCGCCGCCGUGCUAGCUUUCGCCAUGCCUCCCACCGUAGAGCAGCUUGGCGGGGAUUGCGACAGCUCCAACGUCCAUGAGGACCACGUCGACUUCCUCCGCGACACGCGGCGGCUGCCCAGCGCGGACAAAGUGGAGGUCCGCCUCGCGCCGGCGAAGGAAAUCAGGCCGGAGCUGCAGGAGGGCGAGCGGGUGGUCUUCCGCUCGCACUUCUUGCGCGGCUUCGGCCUGCCAGUGAGCGCCUUCUUCCGCUCCUGGCUCGAAUUCUAUCAGCUCCAGCUGCACCAUCUCACCCCCAAUGCGGUGGUGCUGCUGUCCGCCUUCGUCACCCUGUGCGAGGGCUAUCUCGGUGUCCUCCCCACCCUUGAGCUCUGGGGGGAGUUCUUCCAGUCGAUGCUGGGCACGUGUAGUAAGGGCGUGCCGGCUCAUACUGGCGCCUUCAUCGCGUCGCGGAGAUCGGGCGCCGACAACCCCUUCCCCGUCAUCACGCUGAUCCAAUUGGUGAAGAAGUGGCAGAAGUCCUACUUCUACGUGCGGAACAUCGCUACACGGGGCGACUACAUCAACCUGCCGGCUUACGUAGCCGGUCCACCGGCGGGCAGGCUGCCACAGUGGUCCUUCCGGGCGGUGACGCUGUCGCCGGCUGGAAACGCCGCCAUCGCCCGACUGCGGGUGAUGGUCCAGUCGGAGGGCCUAACAGGGCCCGAUCUUCUGGCCGCGUUCGUCACGCGCCGGGUUCUUCCGCUCCAGAGCCGGCCGCAUCUGAUCUGUCAGAUGAGCGGCCAGCUCGAUCCGAGCCGAAUGUGCACCAAGGAGAUGCCGCGCGCGGAGGUCGCCUACAUGGGGAACUACCUCGCCAACUGCAAACUCACCGAAGAGUGGCAGUUCGGCAAGGAGCCCUAUAGCCGAGCCAAUCCUCCGCCUACCGUAUGCUCCCCUUGUCUCUUUUUCUAUCUCUUUGAUUUGUUGCCGAGUAUCUCUUGGCCGACUCUGAUUUAGUCGGCUUGUUCUUCGACAGAGCCCUCUGCUGCGGCCGGCCGGCGGGUCAGACGCGGAGCGCCGCUUCGUCCCCGACCGGACCGAACACGACCUGGAGGACCCCGACUUGGGGGCGGUCCAUAUGGACGACGACGUCGAGCCAGGCGGUGGCCAAGCCGGCGGCGAAGCAGGCGGCUCCGGGUUCACUGCUACCUUUGACUACUGGCCGGACGAGGAUGAAGCCGAAGCCGUCCCGCGCCGCCAGCCGGCAUCUGGACGGGCUCCUCCGCCGCGCAGCCUGCUCGGGGCGGAGGGCAGAAGCGUCGCGCCGCCCAGGGUCUAUUCGGCAGCCGAACGAAGAAGCCCAGGGGCGGAGCGGCAGCCACCAGGCGGGAAGAGGCGGCCGCGAAGGCGGCUCGCUUCCGCAAGGUGGUGAAGCAACCGCAGACCAUGUCGGCGUAAGUCCGAAUCUUUCUUUGUGUAUUCUCUUUCUUUCUUUUCUUUCUUUGGUGGUUCUUGAACUCUCGUCUUUUUCUUCAACGAUCAGAGCUCUGUUGUCACUUGAGUGGGCGGCUGCCGGCUCCGUCGUCGAGUCGCCAAGGGGCUCUGGGAGCACCACCCGCCGCGUGGACCCCCGCGCCGACCUCCAGGAGGCGACGGAAAGGAACGCGCGGGAGGUGCGGGAGGAGCAGGAGGCACGGGAGGCGGAGGCACGGAAGGCAGCCGCCGCCCAGGCGGCUUAGGAGGAGGAGGCGGCGAAGGCACUCGCUGAGGCCGCAGCCAGGGCCCAGGCAGAGGCUGAGGCCGCGGCGGCGGCAGGGGAGGUUUUGAUGGUCACCCCCCUACGCGUCAUGGUGCCUGGGGAUGUGGAGCCCUCGCCAGGGGGAGCCAGCGGCUCCCAGCCGGGGCUGGGAGGAAGCGGCGACGACGUCAUCAUUUUGGAGAAGGGGCCGGAGCCGACCCCGCCAACUGGGGCGACCCAAGGCGGCCGGCCUGAUCCGCGGCCUACACAGUCGGUGGAGGGCGAGCCGGCCGCGAGGGCUGAGGUGGCGGUCCGGGUGCCGCCGAGCCGGCGCGCGGGGAAGGCCGCGUCGGAGCCGCAGAAGGCCGCGUCGGAGCCACAGCCAGCCGUGGGCUCUAGCUCGUCGGCCCGAGAUGCGGAGGCGGCCAGCGCUACCUCGGGGUGGACACCAGGCGGAGGGACGGCCGUGGUGAACGUGGCUGCGCAAGACGUCCGGACCCGGCUCCAAAGCCAAGCCGCGGCGCUGAGGCAGUUCACCGACGAGUUCCUCGCAACGCGGGCGGCCAUCCGGGUUAGUAUUUCCAUCUUGUUUCUUCUUGAACUUGAUUUCACCUCUUGAUCUUGAUUUCUUCCGUGGGGGCGCGUCAGCGCACCCACUGGGUGUAGUCCCCGAGUUCCGAGUCGGCUGCUGAGGAGGCGGCUUGGAACUUCUUGGAGGUUUUGUCUUUGCUUUUUUUGUUCUCACUUCGGUCUUCUGUCCAUCUUGCAGGACUACCACAACCUUCGAGCGGCCGCCUUCAACUCCCAGGCUCGGGAGCUGACUCAGAAGACCGCCGACCUUACUGAGAGCCGAGGUAAGUGACUUGAUCUUUAUCUCAUGUGGGGGCGCGUCAGCGCACCCACUGGGUGUAGUCCCCGAGAUUCGGGCCGACUGCUGAGCAGACGGGUCGGAUCUUCCUUGACGAUUUCUUACUGUUCUUCUUCUUAUUCCGACUUUGCAGCGGCCAACGCCAGUCUGAGGGCAUAGCUGGGGGAGUCCCAGACUACUCUUCGUGCCAAGGAUGCCGAGCUCGCCGCCUUGGUGCAGGAGCGCGACCGCCUGGUCAAGAAGCUGGCCGACCAGGAGGAAGGCCACAAGGCGGCGCUGAAGGCUGCGCAGGAUCGCGAAGCCACUCUCCAGGCCGAGUUCGAGACGGAGGCGGCUGGCUGGGCUGAGGCCAGGAAGACUCUGGUCUCUAUCUACGGCCAGAUCGAAGAUCUGGUUGACGGUAAGCCGCCUACCUCUCCGUCCUUUCUUGCCGUCUGCCACUUUGGCUUGCUUUCUGAUUUUGGUGUUCUUCUCUUCCUUUCUUCUUCGCGCAGAGUAUUUCCCUGGCUAUUCGACUGCCGCCAACCAGCCCAUCGAGGCCCGUCGCCAAGCGAAAAGGUAGGCUGGCUUCGAGAUCUCGCCAACUGCGGGCCGCUCGCUGGAGGAACAGCUCCUGGCGAUCCAGGCUCGCAUCCAGCCGGCUCACCGGCUGCUCCGCCGGCUUCAGCGUGCCGGGUCACAGGUCUUGGCCGCCCUCUGGCCCGGCCAAGUGGUCCCUCGCACCCCUAGUCGGACUGCCGACUGGCUGGAGGUGGCAGUCGGCCACUUCGAGGCUUGGAAGGCGUCGGCGGCUCGCUCCGGUGCCGGGCGGGAGCUGGAGUUUGUCAAGGCCUGGUAUCCCGGCCUGAGCCUGGACCAGCUGGCUACCUGGCGGCAGCAAGCCGACGCGAAGCUGGAGCCGGCGCGGCCGGCCAUCAUUCGGCGGGCUUCGGCGAUCGCCGACUACACCGACACCAGCGUCUUCGCCCCCGAGGUAGACGAUAAUGGAGUCGCCCAGCCGGAGGAGUGGUUCGGGCUGGACCCGGAGCAUGGCGAAGAGUCGGCGGAGGAGAUCGACUCCAGCGACGAGGGUGAAGAAGUGGAGGAGGAGGGUGAGGACGCCGAGCCGGCUGGUGGAGCAGCCGGCCAGCCUCAGCCUGACCGUACCUCCAGCACCACGUGACGCGCGAGUGCGUCGCCUGCCGUAGGUGGUGGUCAAGCCGAGACCCGCUAGGCGGCCACUCCUUCAGCCGGCGAGGCCGCCUUCACCGACCAGCUCGGCCUUCAUGUCGUGCCCCGUCUACCGCCUUUUGCUUUUCUGCUUUGUUACUCUUUAGAACAAUGUUUGGUUAAAUUCGCACAAUUCCACCCACUGGGUGUAUUCGAACUUAUGUCAGUUGCCGGCCUGUUGGCGGCUUUUAUGUAUAUAACUUGUUCAUUCGGCCUUUCCUUGUGCUUUGCUCUUUGUCCUUUUGCUUUUUCCUUUGACGCCCUCCCUUGGUUGCCGCCUCCCCGGUCAAACAGUUGCUCUGCAAUCUGUAGCCGGGGAGUGCCUGGCCGACUGGGGAGGGGAAAGUACUUUAGCUCUGCUGGACUAAAGCUAAGUUUUUUAGGAAGUCGGCCAGCCGGCUGCUUUGACAGCCGGCAGGCAUGUUUGGAGGCCGUCUCUUUGCUAUAUAGGUUAGUUGUUCCUUAGCCAUUUUUUGUGUGGGCAUCCUUUCUGUCUUCUCUCUUGCUAGUCGGACAGUUAGUUCUUUGAGCUGCGACUUUCAACAAGAGAGGACUCGGGAGCCGGCGCACUACUUUUCUGACUUUAGGAAAAACUUUCGAUAUAGCUCAAGGCGGCCAGUUCCCGGGCCGACUAGUCGAACCCGGUGCCGGACAAAAAUUCAAAAUGUAAUAAUACAUUCAUGGAUAUGACACUCGUCAUUCAUAGAUAAAUAAAGGGCAGUCCCCGAGUACUGUUCGGGGGGCCUGUUGGUUUGUACUUAAUACAAAAGGGGAGCGUGAUACAUACUGCUUUUCAGCUGUAAAAUCGUCUUAGGAGGUUUGCAUUCCAUGGUCGCUCCGACUCCUUGCCGGAGUCGUCUCUCUUGCGUGCUCUUGGUUUUUGCGCGUCGAUCAAGUAGUAGGAGUCGUUGCCGAGUGCCUUGCUGACGACGAAGGGGCCUUCCCAAGGGGCCGAGAGCUUGUGCUGGCCGGUUGUUCGCUGGAUCAGCCGGAGCACAAGGUCGCCCUCUUGGAAGGAUCUUGGCUUGACCUUGCAGUUGUAGUAGCGGCGCAGCCCUUGCUGGUAGAUGGCGGACCGGCUGAGUGCCAACAGCCGACCUUCUUCCAGUAGGUCCACGCCGUCUUCUCUUGCUUCUUUGGCCUCCUCCUCCGUGUACAUGGUGAUCCGAGGCGAGUCGAACUCGAUGUCUGUUGGGAUGACAGCCUCGGCACCGUACACGAGGAAGAAUGGAGUGAAGCCGGUUGACUAUUGGGUGUAGUGCGCAGACUCCAGAGGACAGCCGGCAGCUCUUCGAGCCAGCAGCCGGCCGAUCGCUCCAGUGGUACAACCAGUCGGGGCUUGAUGCCGGAGAGGAUGAGUCCAUUUGCUCACUCGACCUGGCUGUUUGACUGCGGGUGGGCAACGGACGCUAAGUCCAGUCGGAUGCCCUGCGUCGCGCAGAAACGUGCCAGUGCUCCUUUGGCGAAGUUCAUGCCGUUGUCGGUGAUGAUGCUGUGCGGCACGCCGUACCGAGUAGUGAUGUCGGUGAUGAAUGUCACGGCAGUCGGCCCAUUCAGCUUCUUAAUCGGCUUGGCUUUGAUCCACUUUGUGAACUUGUCCACAGCAACGAGUAGAUGUGUCAGGCCGCCGUGGGCUGUCUUGAAAGGGCCCACCAUGUCCAGUCCCCAGACGGCAAAAGGCCAAGUGAGGGGAAUGGUCUUGAGUGCAGAAGCCGGCAGGUGUUGCUUGGAACUAAAAACUUGGCAUCCUCUGUAGCUCUUGACUAUUUCUUUGGCAUCCUCCAAGGCAGUCGGCCAGAAGAAACCAUGGCGGAAAGCCUUGGCCACAAGGGAUCUUGAGGCUGCGUGGUGGCCGCAUUCGCCUUGGUGGAUGUCUUUGAGGAUUGCCACUCCUUUUUCUGGCUCGACACAACGCUGGAAGACUCCAGUGACGCUGCGCUUCACAAGCUCUCUGUUGAUGAUUGUAUAUGUUGCGGCUCGUCGUUGCACUAGUCUUGCUGAGAUCUCAUCAGCCGGCAGCUCUCUGCUGACUAGGAACUUGAGGAUGGGCUGAGCCCAUGAGGGAGCUGUGACUUCUUCUUCUGUUAAUGUAGCCACCAUGACUCGGGUGGGUGGGUUGGGUGAGUCGGCCACCGCUUCUUGUGUCGUUGCAGUCCCCGGGCCGACUGCUGCAGUCCCCGAGCCGGGUUCUGAAGUCCCCGUGCCGGGUGCGACUACGGCAGUCCCCGGGCCAGUCGUCGAAGUCCCCGUGCCGCCUACGGGAUUUCUCCAGUCGGAUCCGGCUGUAUCUGGCGCAGGCGGUACGAAAAUGGAAUCCGACUCUGGAGACGGCUUGAUGGACGGCUUGAGGAGGCGCUGGAGGGAGACGCCAGUCGGUAUGGCUUGUCGGGUGGAGCCGAUCCGUGCUAGGGCAUCUGCUUGGUCGUUGUCGCCCCUUGGCACGUGACGGAACUCGCACCCUUCGAAGUAUCCGCUUAUCUGCUGGACGAGGAAACGGUAGCUCGCCAUGUUCGCGUCCUUGGCGUCCCAGUCCCCAGAUGAUUGCUAGACCACCAAGUCUGAGUCGCCGUAGCACCGGAUCCUGCGUAUGCCGAGUUCUUUGGCUAGCCGGAGCCCGUGUACGAGCGCCUCGUACUCGGCGACGUUGUUGGAGGCGGCGAAGUGGAUCUGUAGCGUCUACUUGAGUUGUCGCCUUUGGGAGAGGUGAGGACGAUGCUGGCUCCCAAGCCGGUGCGCAUCCUGGACCCGUCAAAGUGCAUCCGCCAAUGGGUAGAGUCGGGAGCCGGCGGUAGGUACUGGGUUUCGGCCCAGUCGACGAGGAAGUCGGCCAAUGCUUGCGACUUGAUGGCAGUGCGGGGUUGAUAGAAGAUCGUGUAGGGCGCCAAGGCAAUGGCCCAUUUGGCCACCCGGCCGGAUGCAUCCCGGCUGCCUAUGAUCUCGGCGAGCGGGGCAGUGCACACGACCGUGAUGGGGUGCUCUUGGAAGUAGGGCUUCAUUUUCUUGGCAGCGAAGUACACCCCAUAGCACAUCUUCUGGUAGUGCGGGUAGUUUUGCUUUGAGCUGGAUAGUACUUCGCUGAGAUAGUAGACCAGCCUCUGGACUAGCUGGGCUCGGCCUUCUUCCGGGCGCUGGACCACAACAACAGUGCUGACGACUCGGCUAGUCGCGGCGAUGUAGAGGAGCAUGGGCUCCUUCUCAGUCGGCACAGCCAGGACAGGCGGAGUGGUCAGCAUUUUCUUCAACUCGUGGAAGGCUUGGUCGGCUUGAUCAUUCCACUCAAAGUGAGUGGACUUCCUCAUGAGUCGGUAUAGGGGGAGGGCCUUCUCUCCUAGUCGGCUGAUAAAACGAUUCAGGGAGGCUAAGCAGCCAGUGAACUUCUGCACAUCUCGCAGCUUGGUGGGAAUCUCCAUCCUCUCGAUGGCCUUGGUCUUGACGGGGUUGCACUCAAUGCCGCGUUCGGAUACCAGGAAGCCUAGCAGCUGGCCGGCUGGCACUCCGAACACGCACUUCUCGGGAUUGAGCUUGAUCUGGAAUCGGCGCAAGUUAGCGAAUGUUUCUUUCAGGUCUUCCAGCAAGGUACCGCGCUUCUCUGUCUUCACCACAAUGUCGUCUACAUAGACGUGGGCAUUUCUGCCGAGUUGUUUCAAGAGACAUUUCUGCAUGCAACGCUGAAAAGUGGCACCGGCAUUUCUCAAGCCGAAUGUCAUUGUCAGGUAGCAGAAAGCUCCAAAGGGUGUGAUGAAGGCAGUCUUUAGGCGGUCAGCCGGGUCCAACUUGAUCUGAUGAUACCCUGAGUAUGCAUCCAAAAAACUUAACAGCUCGCAUCCGGCUGCGGAGUCUAUCACUUGGUCAAUCCGUGGCAGAGCAAACGGAUCCUUUGCGCAUGCCUUGUUCAGACUAGUGUAGUCUAUACACAUACGCCACUUGUUAUUCUUCUUCAGAACCAGAACUGGGUUGGCAAGCCACUCUGGAAAGAACACUUCCAUGAUAAAGCCGGCGGCAAGGAGCCGGGCUAUCUCUUCUCCCACAAUUCUUCGCUUCUCUUCUGAUAGUCGGCGGAGGGGUUGCUUGACCGGCUUCGCAUCGGCUCGGACAUGUAAUUUGUGCUCGGCGAAAUCCUUCGGGACACCCGGCAUGUCCUUUGGGGACCAUGCAAAGAUGUCUCGAUUCUCACGGAGGAAGUCGACGAGCUCGCCUUCCUAUUUACUGUCCAAGUUCGCCCCAAUCACAGCAAACCUCUCCGGGUUUUCCGGGUCCAGAGGUAUCUUCUUCGUCUCUUUGGCAGGCUGGAAGGAGCCCUGCGCAUCACAAUCCUUGGGGUUGGGGGACAAGGCCGGCUGCUUGCCGGCCAUGGCCACAACCCGUUCCAACAUCUUCUUCUCUUCUGCCACCACGAGGGACUCGCCCAGCCGGCUGCUGGCCAUGGCACACUCGAUGGACUUCUUGUAGUCGCCGGCUACCGUGAUGAUCCCAUUCAAGCUCGGCAUCUUCAUCUUUAGGUAGGCGUAGUGGGGCACAGCCAUGAACUUGGCCAAAGCAGGUCGGCCAAGCAGUGCAUGAUAGGGGCUCUCCAAAUCCACUACCUCGAACCAUAUUGCUUCCCGGCGAAAAUGAUCUUUGUCUCCGAAGAGAACAUCCAUUUUGAUCUUGCCGAUUGGAGAGCAAGACAGGCCGGGUACGAUACCAUGGAAGACAGUGCGGCUCGGCAUGAGCUGCUUCGCUUUGAUGUUCAGCUUCUCCAUGGUAUCGCGGUACAGUAUGUUGAUACUGCUUCCGCCGUCUAUCAGGACGCGGGAAAAUCUGGCAGCUCGCCUCUCCGUCGCGAGGGUGACGUCCAAGACCAUUGCAUAGGAGCCAGGAGAAGGCAUCACCUCUGGGUGGUCGGCCUGGCUCCAGCUGAUUGGCUUUUCUAACCAGUGCAUGAACUCGGGGGGCGCUGGUGGCGACUGCGUUCACUUCUUGAUGCUGCCGGCGUCGGCUGCGCUUGUCGUCGGCUUCACUGGUGAAGACGACGUAGGCGGCGUGCUCUUCGGGGAAUUCGUCUUGGAUGGCGCCGACCGCCGGCCCAGCCGCCGGCUGCUGGGGAGCUGGAGGCGGCGGGCCGGGAGGCGGAGGCGGCAACAUCCCUUCGCCCUUGGUGAUGCGGGUGAGCCAGUGGCAUUUCCGGGUUGUGUGGUUGGACGGCUUCGCGCCGCUGUGGAACUUGCAAGGGGCGUCAAGUGCUUGCUCGUAGGAGAAAGACGGCUGCCAGGGCGGCCGGCCACCCUUCUUCUUGGGAGCGGGCCGCUCUUCGGGCUGCUCGUCUUCAACUGUGGCCACCUGCCGACUGGAGGAAGUCGGCAUGGGGCCCUUGCGCUUGUGGUCGUUCUGGUAGGGGCGCCGAUUAGGGUCGCGAGCGGGCGUCUUGGGAGCCAGAGCAAUUACUUUUCCCGAGGCGUCCACUCGGAGCUCGGUCUUCAUUGAGGAGUCGGCGGUGGCGUAUUUGUCGGCGGUGACCAGCAACUCAUCGAGGGUAGCCGGCUCGUCGCAGAGGAGUCGGUGCUUGAGGAGGGUGCCCUCUCGGCACCCGGCGGUGGAGUACUCGAUGGCCUGGACCUCGUGCACUCCCUCGCAGGAGUUGCGGAGCUCGGCCCAUCGCGUGAGAUAGUCACGGGUCGACUCGUUGGGCCCCUGGACGCAGAGGGAGAGCUGGCGAGGCUUGGGAGGCCGCUUGUAGGUGCUGGUGAAGUUGCGGACGAAGAUUUCGGUGAAGUCCAGCCAACUGUUGAUGCUGUAGGGCUUGAGGCUGUUGAGCCAUGUGCGUGCCGUGCCUUGCAGCAUCAGGGGGACAUACUUCACGGCGACGCGCCGAUUGCCGUUGGCAAUGCUGACGGCCGUGGAGUAGUCGAUGAGCCAAUCUUCUGGCUUCACUGAGCCGUUGUACUUGGGCGUGUCUCUGGGGAGCGAGAACCCUUUGGGGAAGGGCUCGUCGCGGAUGCGGGGGCCAAAGCAUGGCGGGCCGACAUCGUCGUCUUCUUCUAACGCCAAGGAUCGAGCAAGGCGGUCGAUCUUGUGGCGGGCGUCACGCUCGCCGACUCCUUCUCGGCGGCCGAGUCGGUCACCAAGAGUCGGAUGUGUGAUGGGCGGCGGAGUGAGGCGUAUUUCUCUUGGAGGAGGGGGAGGAGGCAGGUUUCCUUGGUGCUCUACUGCUCGAGGGCGGCCCUCCGCGUCGCGCUGGAUGGUGAUGCGAGUCCGGCUUCGGCUGGCAGCCGGCUCCUUGUCUUUCUUCUGGCAUGCGCCGCUCGCAGUCGGCGAGCGGGACGUCGCGGCGUGCUCCCGGCGCGGGGGAUGACUAUCAGCACGGGCGCCGGCUUCGUGCCGUUCUGCAGCCGCGUCGAUCAGCUGCUGGAUCCGUCUUGUCAUGUAGGGGAGCUCGUCGGCUCCCAGCCCAUUGAGCUCCUCUGCAGCCGCCUGAGCGGCUCGCAGAUUCUCGAGCGGGGUGGCGUAGACAGGGCGAUCUGUGCCCAGCAUGCUGGCGACGGCCGCGCCGCGCUUCUGGACGAAGCCGGCUCGGCUCGGGCCGCUAGGCGGCGGCGUACCGAAGGCGGCGCGGUCGACUUCGCGCUGGUGGGCCUCGGUGAGGCGUCUCAUCGAGGCUAUCUUCUGGCCCUCCGCGAUGAGGGCAAGGCGGCGUGCCUCCAGGGUCUCGGCGUCGGCAUCGGCCGGGAUGGGGACGGAGAGGUCGUGCAUCGCCGCUUGCUGAGCGUCGCGGGCAUUCUCGCCCGAGUUGGAGACGUGGCUGAUGACCAGCACUUCGGUGACAGUGCUGCUGCCGCUGUCAGCUCGAGGGAGGGGGUCGUCGAAGACCACCACGUCGGAGGGGUAGGCGUCAAGCGAUGCAGUGUCGGAGUCGACGAGCAUCGGGUCGGUGGAGCCGACCGACUCCACAUCUGCAGCAGGCUCGCUUGAGACGUGAAGCUGGUCGAGGAGGCUGACGAGGCGGCUCUCGGGGUAGUCGGUGCCUGCGUCGGACGCAGGCUCGUCGGAGAUGCGAGUCUCGCCGAACAGAUCCGCGAGGCGGCUCGCUGCGCAGGUGUCGUCGACGCCUUGCAGCGCGUCAAGGCAAACGCCAUUGGGCGCAGCAGGCUGGCUGCGCUCGCGGGGGAGGAAGAGGGUUCCCGUCCAGAACAGGUCUCCGGACGACGGUGCACCUGGCCCCACGGUGGGCGCCAAAUGUCGAGUGGUUGGUGCGACAUAUGCCAAGGGAUGGCUUAUCAUUGUGGGAGCCAAUAAGACGUCGCCGGUGCCUGGAAACGGGAUGAGGCGAAGACAUGCACGCUGGCGGAUCUUACCCAGGUUCGGGGCUCUCCGAGGAGAUAACACCCCUAGUCCUGCUCUGCGGGGUCUCCGCAUGAUCACUAGACCGAUGAAAGGUAGCUACAAUCGCUCCUAGAGCUGUUGAGUUCAAGGGAGAAGAAGAACAAGGCUAGCUCUUGCUUCUCUCUAUCUAUGGUGUGUGUGCUAUGCUAAGAAGGCAACUCUAUGCUCAGAGGCCAACUAUGCUUGGGAGCGAACCCUUUGCAUGGGUGCUCCGGGGGGUUUAUAUAGGCCUACCCCCGGGGGUACAAUGGUAAUCCGACUGGGCUCUGGUCCCUGCUGUCAGUGCCUACGCUCGCCGGCUUCUCCGCCGGCUGGUGGGUCACGCCGGCUGGUGGGUCCCGCCGGCUGCCGGCUACUUGGUCGACAGGCCGGCCCCACCGCCUAGGGUCUUGUCGGCGGCUGCUUACUGUAGCCGCGCCUCUGAUGACGAGGGCUUUGUCGAGGUAAGCGUGGUUACAGUGGGCCGCCCCGGGGGCUCUCACUGUAGCCUUACCUCGUCUUGUCUCCUUAAUGGGGCUCCUACUUCGAGGAAGGGAGUAGCCGGCUUCUGGAGGCCGGCUGCGCUCUUGGCCGACUGGGAAAGGCCAGGCCGCCUUCACGCCUCUCUCUGGCUGAAGGGGCCCGCCGCCCGCGGGCCGUACGGGAGUCGGUUGUGGGUGACGUCGAGCCUAGCAUGGCUACAGUGCCGAGCCGCACGGGAGACGGCCGUCCCGUACGGCCUCCUGUAGCCAUGCCCGCCUCGGGCUUCGGGGGUAGUGGGCCGCACUGUGGCCACACCCCGUCAUGUCGCCGUUAUGUGGGAACAGCUUUGGUGGUUGUGAUCUUGGCCGGCUCCUAGGAGUCGGCGUCCUUCUCGGCCGGCUUCUUGGUCUCGGCCACCCCGUAGUCAUCCCGGGGAGGGGUCGUUUGAGGCUGGGUCGCCUUCCGGGAGUUGGCUUCAGAAGUAGCCGGCCAGGGAAGGCGGCCCAAAUGCUUGGAGUGCUUGAAGGCCCAAAGGCCUGAUAAUUUUUCUGAAGAACCAGGGCUAGUCGGUUUGGCUACCCGUGGCCAUUUCCUCCGACACCACCAGUGUUGCGCCGACGGAGUGGGUGUACCGGGGUGGGACGAGCGCCUUGAUCAAGGCAGCAUAGGAUGUCCAGGCCGAUUUCAAGGCCGAAGCCGCCACCCUUCCGCAAUGUAUGAAGGCGUUUGUGAAGACGCGGGCCGCCGUUCGGGUACAUAACUUGCUUCUUGCUUUUGAUUCUUCUAAUCUUCGGUGGGGGCGCGCUAGCGCACCCACUGGGUGUAGCCCCCGAGUUCUGGGCCGGAUGCUGAGCAGGCGGCCUGGAACUUCAUAGUGGGUUCUGAGCUCUGACUUACUUCUCUUUAUGUUGCUUUGUUGCAGGACUACCACAAUGUCUGCGCGGCCACCUUCAACGCCCAUGUCCGGGAGAUGGACCGAUGGACCGCCGACUUGACGGAAAUCCGGAGUAAGCAUUCCAUCUUCUCUCUCUGCGGAGGCGCGUCAGCGCACACGCGGGGUUUAGUCCCCGAGAUACGAGCAGUCUGGCCGGAUCUCCCGGUAAUUACUUUCCUUCCUUCUUGAUUGUUGACAUCUUUUCUUUCUUGUCUUUGCAGAAGCCAACGCCGCCUUGCAGCAGCAACUGGGCGAAGUCAACACCGCGCUGCGUGCCAAGGAGGAUGAGUGCAACAGGGCGGCCCAGGAGCACGACUGCCUGGCCAAGGAACUGGCAGAUCAGGCGGAACUUCACAAGGCGGCCCUGAAGCAGGCGGAGGACAACGAAGCCACACUACUAGUAAAGGGCCUGCUAGUGGCGCACCUGUUUUGGCUACUAAUGGCGCACUACAGGUGCGCCACUAGCAUCGCGCCAUUAGAAUUUUUUACUAAUGGCGCACCACACUAGUAUACUAAUGGUGCACCAGGGAGUGCGCCAUUAGUAUAUCCCAUGGUGCGCCAUUACUAUCUGACUUAGUAAUGGCGCACCACAUAGAAGUGCGCCAUUACUAACAAUUAUUUUCAAAAAAAAUUCAUAAUUUUUUUUCGUUUUUUUUCUUUAUCUCGGGUCACUAUGGCUUAAUCUCAAGCCAAUAUUAUCUGACUUAGUAAUGGCGCACCACAUAGAAGUGCGCCAUUACUAACAAAUUUUUUCAAUUUUUUUUUCAAUUUUUUCUUAAAAUUUCACAAUUUUUUUUCAUUUUUUUUCUUUAUCUCGGGUCACUAUGGCUUAAUCUCAAGCUAAUAUGCUUAAUCUCAAGUCAAAUCGCACUCCGUGGUCAAACUUCCCGAAAGGUCACCCAUCCUCACACUACUCCAGCCCGAGCACGCUUAACUUCGGAGUUCUAUCCAACCCCAGCACCAGCUCACUUCACAGGCACUUGUUGAUAUAUCUAUCAUAUCAACCCUAUUAAACCUUGUUGAUGUCUAGGACUUUGUUCAUGUUCAUGAGUGUGAUGAAAUUUUGAAAAAAUAUUUCAAACUUCCCGGUCAUAUUAUGUAUCAUAUUUUGAAAAAAAAUUCCAAAAAAAAGUUUUUUUGAAACCAAUUUUUUUCUAUUACUAGUGGCGCACCUAGCAAAUGGUGCGCCACUAGUAAGUUUGAAUUUUUUUUCAUUUCCCCCCCUCUAGAUCUUAAAAGCCCCGUAUCUUUCGUUCUGUUAGGUUUUUGGGGAUUUUGAAGAUGUUGAACAUGGUUCCCCCAGUUCAAAUCGUAUGUAACUUUUCGAGUAGAUGAUUUUUCAUAUAAAAAACUUUUUAAUCCGAGUUCGUAUGCAAAAGUUAUGCCCAUUUUACAAAUUCCAGAGAGAUUUUGCAAAUAAAGUCGAAAUUCAUAUUUGUAAAUUUUCCUAACAACUAGACCACAUAUCACAUGGGAAACUUAUUUUAUUUUUUUGACAUUUCCAUCAUUUUCUUUNNNNNNNNNNNNNNNNNNNNNNNNNNNNNNNNNNNNNNNNNNNNNNNNNNNNNNNNNNNNNNNNNNNNNNNNNNNNNNNNNNNNNNNNNNNNNNNNNNNNNNNNNNNNNNNNNNNNNNNNNNNNNNNNNNNNNNNNNNNNNNNNNNNNNNNNNNNNNNNNNNNNNNNNNNNNNNNNNNNNNNNNNNNNNNNNNNNNNNNNNNNNNNNNNNNNNNNNNNNNNNNNNNNNNNNNNNNNNNNNNNNNNNNNNNNNNNNNNNNNNNNNNNNNNNNNNNNNNNNNNNNNNNNNNNNNNNNNNNNNNNNNNNNNNNNNNNNNNNNNNNNNNNNNNNNNNUAGUAGUGGCGCACCGGGGGUGUGGUGCGCCAUUACUAGUUAAAACUUGUAAUGGCGCACUGUCCCCUCGGUGCGCCAUUACUAUUUUUGAAAAAAAAUAAAAAUAAAUUUGUUAGUAGUGGCGCACCGAGGGUGUGGUGCGCCAUUACUAGUUUUGAAAAAAAAAAUAAAAAAAAUUGUUAGUAGUGGCGCACCGUGGAUGUGGUGCACCAUUAGUAUUUGGACACUAAUGGCAUACCAACACAUGGUGUGCCAUUAGUAUAUAGUAGUGGCGCACCACAUGUGUGGUGCGCCAUUAGUGUCCAUAUUAUCUAUAGCCCUUUUCCUAGUAGUGACAGGCUCCUGGCUGAGUUUGAGACCGAGCGCUCGGUUGGCCAGAGACGGAGGAGCCGUUGAACGCCGGCUACCGCGGGAUUGAAGACAUGGUCGAUGGUAAGUUAUCUUUCUUUUUCUUUCAGCUGCCGGCUAUCAAGCGAGCCUACUUCUAGCUUCUGAUUUCUGACUUUUGUUUCUGCUUGUGCAGACUUCUUUCCUGGCCACUCCGUCGCCGCCAACAAAGCCAUUGAGGCUCGCCGCGAGGAGCGAUGGGCGGGAGGCGCGGAGAUUGCCGCCAAUGCCCCUCGGACCCUCGCCGAGGAGCUUCUUCGCAUUCAAGCUCGUCUUCGGCCGGCUCAUCGGAUGCUCCGCCGGCUGCAGUGUGUUGGGGCUUAGGCGAUCUCCGCCCUCUGGGCGGACAGGCAAGCUCCACGCACCCCCAGUCGGAUUGCCGACUGGUUGGAAGUGGCUGCCGGCCGGCUUGAGGCAUGGAAGGGCUCUGCAACCCGAGCAAGAGCGUGGUGGGCCUUGGAGUUCGCCAAGGCGUGGUAUCCUGGGCUAGAUCUAGCCCAGUUGGCCACGUUUCGGCAGGAAAUCAGCGCCGAAUUGGUGGCGGUGGAGCGCGAUCUCACUCUUCGCGCAGCAGCGAUCGCUGAGUACACCAACACCGGUGUCUUCGUUCCUGAGCUGAACAAGAACGGCGCCGAGGCGCCACCGGAAUGGUUUGAACUGAACCUGGAUGAUGUCGAAGCCUCGGCAGAGGACAUCACCUCCAGCGACAAAGGGGAAGACGAGGAAGACGAGGAUGAUGAAGACGGCACGCCGGAGGUCGGAGUGGAUGGCCAACCUCAGCUCGACCGUGCCUCCAGCAAUGAGCCGCGUGCGAGCGCACCGACUGUAGCUGAUGGCGACCAAGCAGAGACUCACCAGCCGGCCACUCCACCAUCUGGCGCUCCCGACUCCACCAACCCGCCGGACACGCCUACUGGUCCUUUGGUCUAGGCUGCCAAUUUAUCUUAGCUUUUCCUGCUUAGUAGUCUCCUCAACAAACUUUGUUAAAUUUGCACAAUUCCACCUGCGGGGUGUAUUUAAACUUCAUUGAAAGUUGGCCGAGGGCCUUUCGGUAUGUAAUUUAUUUCUCGCACAAACUGUGCUUUUGCCGAGUUCCGACUUUUCUUGCUUUUUGUUCCUUAGCUUUUUCCUUUGCCGCCCUCCCUUAGUUGCCUUCUUGCUAGCCGGACAGCCGCUCUGCGUCUGCGGCCUGGUCAAGUACUUCACCAUUUGGGAGGACAUGUACUUUGGCCGACUGGAACAUUGCAAGCUAAGUAGGAAGCCGGCCGGCCGGCUGCUCAGUAGCCGGUCGGUGAGGUGAGGAGCCGGCUUGUCCUAUGUCAAUGUUUUGGUCCUUACCAUUUUUCAUGUGAGCACUGUUUCCUGCCUUUAGCUCUUGCCAAUCGAACAGCCGCUCUACAAGCUACGGCUUGUGGCAAGAGAGGGCUUAGGUGCUGACACAUUACUUGUCCGACCGCGGGAAACACCGACAUAGCACAAGGCGGCACGCCCCCGGGCCGACUGGUCGAACCCGGUGCCAGGCGGAGGAACGCAAUAACACAUUCAUAGGCAUAAUACUUAUCAUAUAGAUAAAAGGGUAGCCCCUAAGUGCUCCUCGAGGUGACCCGGAGUCUUCGUACUAAACCAACUGUAAAAUCUUCGCAGAAGAUUUGCGUUCCAUGGGCGCUCCGACUCCUUCCCCGAAUCAUAUCUCCUGCGUGUUGUGGGCUUCCGCGCAUCGAUGAGGUAGUAGGAGUCGUUGCCCAAUGCUUUGCUGAUGAUGAAAGGGCCUUCCCAAGGGGCCGAGAGCUUGUGCUGGCCGGCUGUUCCCUGGAUCAGCCGGAGCACAAGGUCUCCCUCUUGGAAGGAUCUUGGCUUGACCUUCCGACUAUGGUAGCGGCGUAGAAUCUGCUGGUAGAUGGUGGACCGGCUGAGUGCCAACAGCCGGCCCUCUUCCAACAGAUCGAGGCCGUCUUCUCAUGCUUCCUUUGCUUCCGCCUCGGUGUACAUGGUGACGCGAGGUGAGUCAAACUCGAUGUCAGUUGGGAUGACAGCCUCAGCACCAUACACGAGGAAGAAGGGUGUAAAGCCGGUUGACUUGUUCGGAGAGGUGCGCAGACUCCAGAGGACGGCCGAUAGCUCGUUGAGCCAGCAGCUGGCCGAAUGCUCCAGACGCUCGACCAGUCGGGGCUUGAUGCAGGAUAAAAUGAGGACGUUUGCUCGUUCAACCUGGCCGUUUGACAGUGGGUGGGCAACGAACGCUAAGUCCAGUUGGAUGCCCUGCGUCGCACAGAAACGGGCCAAGGCGCCUUUGGCCAAAUUUGUGCCAUUGUCGGUGAUGAUGCUGUGUGGUAUGCCAUACCGUGUGGUGAUAUCUGUGAUGAAAGUCACAGCAAUCGGACCGUUCAACCUCUUGAUUGGCUUUGCUUCAAUCCACUUGGUGAAUUUGUCCACGGCGACGAGCAGAUGUGUCAUGCCGCCGCGUGCUCUCUUGAACGGUCCCACCAUGUCCAGUCCCCAGACGGCGAAGGACCAGGCCAGGGGAAUGGUCUUGAGUGCAGAAGCCGGCAAAUGUUGCUUGGAGCUGAAUUUCUGGCAUCCCUUGCAUCUCUUGACCAAGUCUUUGGCAUCGUCUAGAGCAGUCGGCCAGAAGAAACCAUGGCGGAAAGCUUUGGCAACAAGUGAUCUUGAGGCCGCGUGGUGGCCACACUCGCCUUGAUGGAUAUCUUUGAGGAUUGCUUGGCCCUUCUCCGGUUCUACAUAGUGCUGGUACACACCAGUGACACUGCGCCUCACGAGUUCUCGAUUUACUAUCGUGUAGGCUCCAGCUCGUCGCUGCACUUGCCGGGCCGAGAUCUCAUCGGCCGGCAGCUCUCUAUUCACUAGAAACUUGAGGAUGGGCUCUGCCCAUGAUGGUGCUUGAAUUUCUUCUACAGCCACUACAGCCACUUGUACUAGGGCGGCUGCGCUAGGAGGUGGCGUGUCGGAGUUGGUUGCUGCUUGGAGCAUCGUUGAAGUCUCCGGGCCGACUGCUACAGCCCUCGGGCCAGGUGCGACUGCUGCAGUCCUCGAGCCUCUUGGUGAAGUUCCCGGGCUGACUGCUGCAGUCCCCGGGCCGGGUUGUGAAGUCCCCGGGCCGGGUGCGAUUGCUGCAGUCCCUGUGCCGCCUGCCGAGGUCCCAGUGCCGGCUGCUGCGGCCCUCGAGUCGGAUGCGUCUGCUUCGGGAGGAGUCGUCACAAAGAUGGACUCAGAUUCUGGAGAGGGCUUGAUUGACAGCUUGCAGAGGCACUGAAGGGAAACGCCGGCUGGUAUUGCUUGACGGGUGGAGCCGAUCCGUGCCAAGGCGUCAGCCUGCUCGUUGUCGUUUGGUGGCACGUGAAGGAACUCACAGCCUUCAAAGUAUCCGCUGAGCUGCUGGACGAGGAAGCGGUAGCUCGCCAUGUUUGCAUCCUUGGUGUCCCAGUCACCAGACGACUGCUGGACCACCAAGUCUGAGUCGUCGUAGCAUAGAAUCCGGCGGAAGCCGAGCUCUUUGGCUAGCCGGAGUCCGUGUACGAGUGCCUCGUACUCGGCCACGUUAUUGGAGGCGGCAAAGUGAAUUUGCAGUGUGUAUCUGAGCUUGUCGCCUUUGGGAGAGGUGAGGACAAUGCCGGCCCCAAGCCGGUGCGCAUCUUUGAGCCAUCAAAGUGCAUCCGCCAAUGAGUGAGUCCGGAGCUGGCGGUAGGUACUGGGUCUCGGCCCAGUCGACGAUGAAGUCGGCUAGUGCUUGGGACUUGAUGGUGGUGCGUGGCUGGUAGAAGAUGGUGUAGGGAGCCAACUCAAUGGCCCAUUUGGCCACUCGGCCAGAUGCAUCUCUACUGCCAAUGAUCUCAGCAAUUAGGCCAGUGUAGACAACCAAGAUUGGGUGUUCUUGGAAAUAUGGCUUCAGCUUCUUGGCGGCAAAAUGCACGCUGUAGCACAUCUUCUGGUAGUGAAAGUAGUUCUGCUUCAAGGUUGACAAUACUUCACUCAAAUAGUACGCAGGCCUCUGGACCGGCUGUGCCUUGCCGUCCUCUGGGCGCUCCACUACUAGGACAGUGCUCACCACUCGGCUGGUGGCGGCGAUGUAGAGGUACAUGGGCUCUUUGACAAUCGGAGCUGCCAGGACAGGCUGCAUGGUCAACAUCUUUUUUAACUGGAGAAAAGCUUCAUCCGCCUUGUCAUUCCACUCGAAAUGAGUGGUCUUCUUCAUGAGCUGGUAUAGAGGAAGAGCCUUCUCACCCAGCCGACUGAUGAAGCGGCUGACGGAUGCCAAACAGCCGGUGAACUUCUAGACGUCUCUCAGUCAGGUGGGCUUCUACAUCCUAUCGAUGGCCUUGAUCUUCACAGGGUUGCACCCAAUGCCGCGUUCCGAGACCAGGAAGCCAAGGAGCCGGCCAGCUGGUACUCCGAACACGCAAUUCUCCGGGUUGAGCUUGAUCUGAAACUAGCACAAAUUUUCAAAAGUUUCCUUGAUAUCUUCCAACAGGGUACCACGCUUCUUCGUCUUCACCACAAUGUCGUCUACAUAGACGUGGGCACUUCUGCAGAGUUGCUUGAGGAGACACUCAUGCAUGCAAUGCUAGAACGUGGCACCGACAUUUCUCAAGCCGAAUGUCAUGGUCAGGUAGCAGAAGGCUCCAAAUGGUGUGAUGAAGGCGGUCUUCAGGAGGUCUGCUGGGUUCAACUUGAUCUGGUGGUAACCUGAGUAGGCAUCCAAGAAACUCAACAGCUCGCAUCCGGCUGUGGAGUCUACCACUUGGUCAAUCCGUGGUAAGGCAAACAGAUCCUUGGGGCAGGCCUUGUUGAGACUGGUGUAAUCAAUGCACAUGCGCCACUUCUUGUUCUUCUUUAGCACAAGGACUGGGUUGGCAAGCCAUUCUGGAAAGAAUACUUCCAUAAUAAAGCCGGCUGCCAGGAGUCGAGCUAUCUCUUCACCAACAAUUCUUCUCUUCUCCUCCGACAGUCGGCGGAGGGGCUGUCUGACUGGUUUGGCGUCUGCUCUAACAUGUAGCUUGUGCUCGGCGAAAUCCGUCGGAACACCUGGCAUGUCUUUGGGAGACCAUGCGAUGAUGCCCCGAUUCUCACGGAGGAAAUCGAUGAGCUCGCUUUCCUAUUUGCUAUCAAGGUUGGUACCUAUGAUACCAUGCCUCUCCGAGUGCUCAGGGUCCAAGGGGAUCUUCUUUGUUUCUUUGGCCGGCUUGAAGGAGCCCUCAGUCUCUGAUUCUUUGGGUUCUGGCGACAGGUCCGGCUGCUUGCCGGCCAUGGCCACCACCCGGUCCAGGAGCUUCUUCUCAGCCGCAAUCACGAGGGACUUGGCCGGCCGUCUGCUGGCUGCAGCACAGGCGGAUGACUUCUCAUAGUCUCCAUUGAUCGUGAUAAUGCCCUUGCUCCCUGGCAUCUUCAUCUUGAGGUAGGCAUAAUGAGGCACUGCCAUAAACUUGCCUAGAGCAGGCCGGCCUAGGAGCACAUGGUAAGGACUCUCCAGGUCAACCACCUCAAACCAAAUCGCUUCUUGGCGGAAAUGAUCCUUGUCUCCAAAAAGGACAUCUAUCUUGACUUUGCCGAUUGGUGAGCAGGACAAGCCGGGCACAAUGCCAUGAAACACAGUCCGACUGGGCAGCAUCAGCUUCUCUUUGAUCUUCAACUUCUCCAUGGUGUCACGGUAAAGGAUGUUGAUACUGCUACCGCCAUCUAUCAGAAUCCGGGAGAAACGACUAGCUCGCCUCUCUGUUGCAAGGGUUGCAUCCAACACCAGGGCAUAGGAACCCGGGGAGGGCAUCACUUCCGGGUGGUCAUCUCGGCUCCAGCUGAUAGGCCUCUCAGACAAGUGCAUAAACUCCGGGGCCGCCAUAGCAACGGUGUUCACUUCACGAUGCUGCUGAUGCCUACUGUGUCUGUCGCUGGGCAUACUGGUGAAGACAACGUAGGCACCAUGCUCUUCAGGGUAAUCAUCUUGGACCGCACUGACUGCUGGACGGGCAGCCGGCUGGUGGGGAGGCGGAGCGGGCGGGCCAGCAGGCGGAGGGGGCAGUCCUUCUCCCUUGGCAAUGCGGACGAGCCAAAGGCACUUCCGAGUUGUAUGGUUGGACGGCUUCGAACCGCUGUGGAACUUGCAAGGGGCAUCGAGGGUCUGCUCAAAGGAGAAAGCAGGCAACCAAACUGGCUUGCCAUCCUUCUGGCGCUUGGGGAGGGGUUGUCCUUCAGGUUGCUGGUCCUCAACUGUCGCCACCUGCCGGCUGGUGGAAGCUGGCUGCGGAGCCUUGCGUUUGUUGUCGUUCGGCUGCUGGCACCGACUGUUCUCUCCAGCCGACGUUCGAGGAGCCAGAGGGAGCACCUUCCCAGAAGUGUCCACUCGGAGCUGCGACUUCAUGGAGGAAUCGGCAGUGGCCGGCAUAUUGGUCUGCUAUGAUCAACAGUUCGUCGAGUGUGGCCGGCUCGUCAUAGAGGAGUCGGUGCUUGAGAAAGGUGCCCUCUCGGCACCCGACAGUGAAGUACUCGAUAGCUUGGACCUCAUGCACCCCGUCGCAGGAGUUGCGCAGUUCAGCCCACCGCAUCAGGUAGUCGCGGGUGGACUCAUUGGGGCCUUGGACGCACAGCGAGAGCUGGUGUGGCUUGGGAGGCCGCUUGUAGGUGCUGGUGAAGUUGCGGACGAAGUCUUCGGUGAAAUCUACCCAACUGUUGAUGCUGCGGGGCUUCAGGCUGUUCAGCCAUGUCCGGGCCGCGCCCUGGAGCAUGAGUGGAACGUACUUCACGGAAACACGCUUGUUGCCAUUUGCAAUGCUGACUGCGGUGGAGUAGUCAAACAACCAGUCCUCCGGCUUCACAGAGCCGUUGUACUUGGGCGUGUCUCGUGGGAGCGUGAACCCUUUGGGGAAGGGCUCAUCGCGGAUGCGGGGGCCGAAACAAGGCAGGCCCAGCGUGUCUUCUUCUUCUAGCGCCAGGGAUCGAUUGAGACGGUCGAUCCGGUGGCGGGCAUCAUUCUCUCCGAUUCCUUCUCGGGGGCCCAGUCGGUCACCGAGAGUUGGGCGGUCAACAGGCGGCAGGGAAGCACACCUCUCCCUCCGAGAUGGAGGAGGAGGCGGACAGUCGUCCCGUCGUUUCACUGCACGAGGGCGACCGUCUUGGUCGCGCUCGAUGGUGACGUGUGUCCGGCUACGGCUUGCAGCCGGCUCCUUGUCACGCUCGUCGCGGACGCCGCCUGUUGGCGUCUGGGAGGUCGCGCCUUGCUCUUGACGAGGCGGCGGGUUCUCAACCCGCUGGUCGGGAUCUUCGGCGCAACAGCCGGCUUCUUGGUGCGCUGCAGCCGCGUCAAUGAGCUGCUGAACACGCUCAGUCAUGUAGCGACGCUCGUCGCCCUCAAGGUGGUCCAGCUCAUCUGCUGCCGCCUGAGCAGCUCGUAUGUUUUCCAUCGGUGUGGCAUAGACAGGGCAGUCUGCCCCGAACAUGUUGGCGAUGGCAGCGCCGCACUGCCGGACCGUGCCAAUGCAGCUGGGACCGCAGGCAACCGGCGUGCCGCUAACAGCAUGGUCGAUCUCGCGCUAGUAGGCUUCUGAGAGGCAUCUCAUGGUGGCCAGCUUCUUGGCGCUUUCGACGACCAAGACGCGGCGGGCUUCCAGCGUCUCGGCGUCAGCAUCUUCUAGGAUGGCCGCUGAGAGCUCGCAGCGCUGCCUGGAGGGGGUCUUGGGCAUCCCCACCAGAGGCUCCGCCGUGGCUGAUGACGAGCACCUCCGUGACGGUGCUGCCGCCACUAUCGGCGCGAGGGAGCGGGUCGUCGAUGACCACCACGUUGGUGGGGAAGGCGUCGAGCGAUGUCAUGUCGGAGUCGACAAGCAUCGGGUCGGUGGAGCCGAUCGACUCCAGGUCAAAGGCUGGCUCCUAGGCGAUGUCGAACUUGCCAAGGAGGUCGACCAGGCAGCUCUCGGAGCUGGCUGCUCCCGCGUCGGGCGCGGGAUCGUCGGGGAGGCGGAUCUCGCCUAUGAGGUCAGCGAGGCAGCUCGCCGCACUAACAAGCUCAGCGUCAUGCAGCGCGCCGGUGUCGACGCCAUCAGGCGUGCCGGGCUAGCUGCGCUUGCUAGGGAAGAACAAAGUUCUCGUCCAGAACAGAUCUCCGGACAAUGGUGCACCUAGCCCCAUAGUGGGCACCAACUGUCGGGGGUGUCGUGCGACAUAUGCCAAAGGAUGGCUUAUCAUGGAGAGGGCUAAUAAGACGUCGCCGGUGCCAGGAAGCAGGAUGAGGCGUGGACAUGUACGCCGGUGAACUUUACCCAGGUCCGGGGCUCUCCUAGGAGAUAACACCUCUAGUCCUGCUCUGUGGGGUCUCCGCAUGCUCAUUAUGUUAACAAGUAGCUACAAGUUGCUCCUUGAGCUGUUUUUCUAGAGGAGGAAGAAGGGCAGGGCUAGCUCUCUCCUCUCUCUAUAUGUGUGUGUUAUCUAAAAGUCUGAACCCUUUGCAUGGGUGCCCUAGGGGGUUUAUAUAGGUCUACCCCCAGGGGUACAAAGGUAAUCCGGUCCGGUGUAGGACCCGGUUGUCAGUGUCUCGGGUCGCUGUCUUCUCUUCUGGCUGGUGGGCCUGCCGCCUGGUGGGCCCCAUCGACUGUCUCAUACUUGGCCGACAGGCCGCGCCCGCUGCUAGCGGGUUUGGCCGGCUGCUCAACACUGUAGCGAUGCUGGUAAUGAUGCGUUCUUUAUCGGGGGGAGGCGUGGCUACAGUACCGCCGCCUGGCGGGCAAUCUCUUUAGCCAUCCUCCAUCUCUUCUGAUUAAUGUCGCACGGACUUUGAGGGAGAGGGAGGGCCACCUGGUGGCGGUCGGCCUCCCCUCACGCCGACUGGUCCGGGCUCGCCGCCUUCUAGCUUCUCACUGACAGGUAAGGCCCACAGCCUGUGGGCCGUACCGACAGCCCAUAGUGGAGGCAUGGCCUUCUCUGCCAUGGGUGAUGUCAUGGGUGGAGUGGCAACAGUGUUGCGUCGGACUGGAGAUCCUCGUCUGGUACGGUGCACUGUGGCCACGCUUGGCCCUGUAUUUGGGGCUGGCAGGGUGCGCUGUAGCCACACCCGUCUCAUCAUAUUUACGUGGGUGCAGAUUCUGAGGACGCCUAGGGCCGACUGCUAGGAGCCGGCCUCUCUGGAGGCCCCCUGCUAGGAGCCGGCCCACCUCGUGGCCGCCUGAUGGGCCUUGCCGUCUCCUGGUAGCCGUCCGCUUGGACCAGCCGGGCACGAGGAGGAGGCGCUUGUCUCUUUGAAUCUUGAGGGGCAGCCGACUCCAAUGUCUUGAAGCGCCAUGGGGGGUUGAUGAGGCUACCCGUGGCCAAUUACUCCGACAUUGGUAGAUCUUGUAUCUUGGUCCUCCAAGAAACAAAACUCGGUAUCCUUAUCCACCGCCGAAGCGGAAUACAUUGCCACCGGAUCAUGUUGUGCUCAAUUACUUUGGAUGACCCAAACUCUUAAGAAUUAUGGGUUAUAUGUGAAACAUGUUCCAUUGCUAUGUGAUAAUGAGAGUGCUAUUAAGAUUGCUCAUAAUCCCGUACAACAUUCUUGAUGUAAGCAUAUUGAAGUUCGUCAUCAUUUCAUUCGAGAUCAUGUUGCUAAAGGAGACAUCAAUCUUAAGCAUGUUUGUAACGAUAAGCAAUUGGCGGAUAUUUUUACCAAAACGCUUGAUGAGAAAGUAUUUUGCCGUUUGAGAGGUGAAUUGAAUAUCAUUGAUGCCUCAAACUUGGUGUAGAAACUCCAUUUGGAUACAUGCAAGGCAUGAGCCUUUUAUGACUAAUCCUUGAUAUUUCUCUUAUGAUGAUGAUCAUAUGUCUAGGAUCUAUACUUGUUCCUUUGCAUGUUAUCUAACCCUUCUAGAUACUUGCAUGAGCCCAAAUCUAUGAGAUUGCAAGUCACUCACAUCUUAAGCAAUCUCUACAUCACCAAGUUUCUACUAUAUUGUGGUUGAAUACAAGGAAGCAUGAAUCCACUCAACAUAUCCUUUGACAAUUUCUAUAUAUCAAAUUUCAUUUGGUAUCAAGUUUCACGAUUGUCAAUUUGGAUACACAAGUGCUUUUCCUUGGAAGACUAACCCAUGUAGGAAGAUGAACUCAAACUACAAGUGGUGCUCCAAACACUUGAUGAACUACAUCAACCUUGAGCAUCCAACACAAGUUCAACUACAUGGUCAAGAUCAACACCACCCAAGGUUUGUCACUCCUUAGAGAAGCUUUGACCCAAGUCAUGGGUCGAAGCAACUCAACGAGAUCAGAAUACAUCAAAAUGCUUAAAUGAAAAAUGGUAACCCCAUUUUGAGCUUAAACAAUGAGUAUGACCUACGAUCAAGUGAUAUCACUUGACUCCUCAGUCAAUACACUCUAACAUAGGUUACUUUGUCACCGACCCCUUCUAGAUGAAGUUCUCUAGUGUUUCCUUGUUCACUUACUUUAUCUAGAUCUCUUUCUUUGUAUGCUUUCUCAGUUGUUUCUGUGUCAAAUUCAUUGCAAUUUUUUAUAAUACCUUGCAAAUCUUUGCGAGAUUUAAUUUGCCAAGUGAGCUGAGUUGACAAAAUUUUCUUCUACAUUGAACUUGGCCUCACCGAUCCAAGCCUAUCGGCUAGACUGAUCUACAAGAAUAUCUUGUAGAUAGUUCAUUGGUACAACCGACGUGGACUAACCCGGUCUGACCGAUUUGCAUCAUCCAUGAUGCUGCCAACCCGAUGUCACCGAUUAAAACGGAUCGGCGUUACCGACUUCAUUGCUAAGAAAACAUUUUUCCCUUGCAUAUUUUAUUUCUUCUCCGGCUCCACUCGAUGAUUCUUAUCCUCUACUCGCAACUUAAUUUACAUGUUGCUUUGUAAUGUGUCUCAAGGAUCAAACCUAUUUGACUCAUGCUCUAGAGGUUUCCUUCUUGCAAAUUGAUGUCAAAGGGGAAGAGAGAGCAACAUCAAACCUUAUCACAUGGGAGAUAGAGUACAUCCUAACUCUUCCAGAUGCCAGCAAAACAAGAGGAGAGAAAUCACAUGUCUUUAAGAGGGGAAAGACAUGUCAAUGUUUGGUUUAUGGUUUCAGUGCUUUAAUUUUUCUUGCUCUGAUUUUCUCUUACCCUACCUUCUCCCAUUAUCCAAUAUCAGAUUCAGGGGGAGAAAGAGUCCAUAUCUAGGGAAGAAAACCUUUGGAAUUCAUUGCGUAUCUUUAAUCUUUGGGGACAUGUCUAUAUACUAAUGAAGUACUAAGUACUCACCCAUUUCAUGUCAUCCCAGUCUUGGUACUCAUGCAGUUUCCUGAAAUUGCUUUAAUUAGAGUGUUCUUGUGUUAUCUAGCCCUGUUUUCUCAAGUUCACAUCUUCCAAAGCUAGCUCAAGACCACAAGGUAAGUAUAUGCAUCACACUCAUGUGCAUGAUGAUCACUUGCUGCUGCACAUAUUGUUUGCAAGAAGAAUUCAUGAACAUGAAGGUACACUUCAUGUUAUCUACAUCAUUUGCUCUGAUGCAUAUAGCCAAGAUACAUGUAACUCAUUGCUUGCUCUGUCAUGAUUAUGCAUUCACACGUUCUUAUAUUCCAUCUUUACAUGAUUACAUACAUGUAGGGGGAGCCUAUGCAUGUUACAUGUCCUUCCAAAGCUUUAGUUGUUACUCUUCAUAUCUUUUAUCUGAAGCUUUGAUGUAUGUUGUCAUCAAUUACCAAAAAAGGGGAGAUUGAAAGCACAAGUGCUCCCUGGGUGAUUUUAGUAAUUAAUGUCAACAUAUCUCUUGUUGGACUAAUACCUUUACCUAGUGUAUUUCAGAUCAGUUCAACAAUGGCGUGGCAUGGACAAGAGGAUGUGGAACUACUUCAAAAUGCUAAGGACAAAGAUUGGCAAAGGCCCAAGACUGUUCAUUUACAUUUUAGUGAUCCAAGAUCACAUUGAGUCCAUAGGAAAGCCAAUACUAUUAAAAGGGGAUGAGGUGUUGCUUAAUGGCCUACCUGCUCAAAGUGCUUAGUGAUAUUGCUCCAAAACCCUCAGCCACUUUCUCAUUUCCACAUAUGUCCAAAAUCUAAAGUCAAACUCGGCCUCACCGAUUUGAUCUAUCCAGCACCACCGAGUUCAGUUGACCUAGCCACUGCCAGAAACCCUAGAUAGUUCGGCCACACCAAUAUGGAUCUCGGUCUCACCGAGAUGGCCUUGCAUUUUCACUGUGACAUGUUUCACUCUUUCGGUCUCACAGAGUCAGUGAAAUCAGUCACACCGAGUCUACUUGUCAUUUGCUCCGUUGCUUAUUACUUCACUUCGGUCCCACCGAGUUGAGGUAAUCGGUCACACCGAGUUGAUAUUUUCCCUAGCCCUUGCACAUUGGUCACACCGAGUUGUUCUAGUCGGUCCCACCGAAACUCCUAACGUUCUCAUUUUGAAUUAAAUUGGUCUCAUGGAGUUCUUCUAUUCAGUCUGACCGAGUUGGGUCAAAUGUGUGUAAUGGUUGGAUUUUGUGUGGAGGCUAUAUAUACCCCCUCCACCCCUUCUCCAUUCAAGAGAGAGCCAUCAAAACAUGCCUACACUUCCACUACUCAUUUUCUGAGAGAGAACCACCUACUCAUGUGUUGAGACCAAGAUAUUCCAAUCCUACCACAAUAAUCUUGAUCUCUAGCCUUCCCCAAGUUACUUUCCACUCAAAUCAUCUUUCCGCCAUAGCCAAAUCUGUGAGAGAGAGUUGAGUGUUGGGGAGACUAUCAUUUGAAGAACAAGAGCAAGGAGUUCAUCAUGAACACACCAUCUAUUAACUUUUGGAGAGUAGUGUCUCCUAGGUUGGUUAGGUGUCACUUGGGAGCCUCCGACAAGAUUGUGGAGUUGAACCAAGGAGUUUGUUAGGGCAAGGAGAUCGCCUACUUCGUGAAGAUCUACCCGAGUGAGGCAAGUCCUUAGUGGGCGAUGGCCAUGGUGGGAUAAACAAGGUUGCUUCUUCGUGGACCCUUCGUGGGUGGAGCCCCCCGUGGACUCGCGCAACCGUUACACCGGGUUAGUCCACACAACGCAAAGAAAAGAGAAUCUGUCCAAAAAAGAACAGUCUAUUGCAAUCUGAAAACUUCGUAUAAUUUAGUAACUCCAAAAAUUCUGAGAAAUUAGGACGAUGUAGGUAAUUUGUAUAUCAAUAUUUUGUAAAAAUUCAGAAGCUUUCGUCGCUUGUGUGAUUUUCGAAAAUUAUUAUACUGGAAGCAAAAGUUUCUGUUUUCCAACAAGAUCAAAUCAACUAUCACCAUACAUAUUCCCAAAGGCUUUGCUUGGCCCAAACACUAAAUAAAAAAUAAAAAACACAAUCAUAAAACAGGCAUAAUUGUGCAAAAACUCAAGAAUAGAAAUAAAAAGGCAAAAAUAAAAUUUAUUCAUUGGGUUGCCUCCCAACAAGCGCUAUCGUUUGAUGCCCCUAGCUAGGCAUAAUGCAUAGAUUCAAGUAUUGUCAACCUUAUUUCUAGAUCCAUAGGAUGCCCUCAUGAUUGAUUAUUAUGGUGGCUUGAUUCUUGUUCUAGGGAAGUGUUCCAUACCCUUCCUUAGUUUGAAAUUGGAAUUGCCUUGUUUCAUAUCAACUACGGCACCUAUAGUGCGUAAAUACAGUCUACCAAGUAUAAUUGGACAAGACGGAUUACAAUCAAUAUCAAGAACAAUAAAAUCUAUGGGCACAUAAUUCCUAUUUGCAAGAAUAAUAACAUCAUUAAUUCUUCCCAUAGGAUUUUUAAUAGUAGAAUCUGCCAAGUGAAAAUUUAAAUAACACUCUUCCAUAUCGGUAAGACCAAGCACAUCACAAAGAGAUUUCGGAAUUGUGGAAACACUAGCACCCAAAUCACACAAAGCAAAACUCUCAUAAUUUUUAAUCUUGACUUUAAUGGUGGGUUCCAUUCAUCAUGUAAUUUUCUAGGAAUUGAGAUCUCUAAUUCCAAUUUUCUUCCGAAGCUUUCAUCAUGGCAUCUACGGUAUGUUUAGUAAAAGCUUUAUUUUGUUCAUAAGCAUGGGGUGAAUUUAUCAUGGAUUGCAAAAAAUAAAUAGAAUCAAUCAAAGAGCAAUUUAUCAUAAUUAAAGUCUUUGUAAUCCAAAAGAGUGGGCACAUCACUAGUUAAAGUUUUGACCUCUCCAAACCCACUUUUAUCAAUUUAUUCAUCAAGAUUUUCACCCUCCAAAUUAUCGGGGCACCUUCUAACUAAAGUUGACUCUUCUUCAGUCCCUUUAUCAUCAAUUUUAAUCUUACUAAACAAAGAAUCAAUAGAAGAAACACCAAUCACUUUAAGAUCUUCAUCAUUUUUAUCUUCUAACGAGAUUGGUUUGGCAGCCAUUUGAUUGACUAGGGUAGGUUGUGCAUCAGAAAUAUUUCCUAGAAAACUUUCAACAAAAGCAUAUUUAGAUUGGAGAUUACAAACUUCUCUACUAAUAUCAUCAAGUUGUUUUGUUAUAGCAUCCAGCACAACAGAGUGUUCCUUAAGUUCCUCGGUAAAAUAUCUAUUGUGCUAAAAUUGUGUAGUCAUUUAUUCCUUAGUACUUUUUUUGAUCUCAAGCAAAAUAUUGGGAUAAUGAACAUCAUAAUAAUUUCUUUGAGGCAUCAUGACUACGCAACCAAGAACGCACACAAAAACAGAUCUGACGAGAAAAGUGCGAACGAAAAAGAGGGCGAAUAAAACGGCAAAUUUUUGUGAAGUGGGGGAGAUGAAAAUGAGAGGCAAAUGGCAAAUAAUGUAAAUUGCAAGGAGAUGAGAUUUGUGAUUAGGAACCUAAUAGAUGUUGAUGAUGUCUCCCCGGCAAUGGUGCCAGAAAUCCUUUCUUCAUGGCUCCUGUCCGCGUCAGUAUUUUCCCCGAAGAGGAAGAGGCGAUGCAGCACAACUACGGUAGGUAUUUCCCUGAGUGAUGAGACCAAGAUUAUCGAACCAGUCGGAGAACCAAGUGGCACUAUGUAAACGGUACCUGCACACAAAGAACAAAUACUUACAACCCGACACGUAAGAUGGGUUGUCAAUCCCUCCCGAGUAAAAGAUAGAUUGGUUUGUAGUAGAUUGGAUAAAUAGAUCUGACGGAAAUGCGAAAUAAAAUAAAUAGAAAAAAUUGCAGCAAGGUAUUUUUGGGGUUUUGAAAUAAUAGAUCUGAAAAUAAAAGUGGCAAAUAAUAGAUCGGAAAACAAAUAUGAUAAAGAAUAGACCUGGGGGCCGUAUAUUUCACUAGUGGCUUCUCUCUAGAAAAAUAGCAUACGACGGGUAAACAAAGUACUGUUGGGAAAUUGAUAGAACUUCAAAUAAUCAUGACAAUAUCCAGAAAAUGAUCAUUACAUAGGCAUCACGUCUAAGAUUAGUAGACCGACUCCUGCCUGCAUCUACAACUAUUACUCCGCACAUGGACCGCUAUCCAUCAUGCAUCUAGUGUAUUAAGUUCAUGGAAAAACGGAGUAAUGCAAUAAGAAUGAUGACAUGAUGUAGACAAGAUCUAUUCAUGUAGGAAUAGACCCCAUCUUGUUCUACUUAAUAGCAACUAUCAAUACGUGUCUUGCUGCCCCUUCUAUCACUGGGAAAGAACACCGAACGACCAAACCCAUCACAAAGCACCUCUUCCAAUGGCAAGAAAAAUUGAUCUAGUCGGCCUAACUAAACCAACGGUUCGAAGAAGAAAUACGAGGCUAUAAGUAAUCAUGCAUAUAAGAUACCAAAACUCAGAUAACUUUCAUGGAUAAAAUAGAUCUGAUCGUAAACUCAAAGUUCAUAAGAUCCCAACAAACACACCGCAAAAAUAGUUACGUCAAAUAGAUCUCCAAGAGACCAUUGUAUUGAGAAUCAAAAGAGAGAGAGGAAGCCAUCUAGCUAGUAACUACGGAACCGUAGGUCUACAAUGAACUACUCACGCAACAUCGGAGAGGCACCAAAUGAGGAUGAUGAAUCCCUCGGUGAUGGUGUCUACAUUGGAUCUAGUGGUUCUGGAACUUGCGGUGGUUGGAAUUGUGUUUUGUCGACUCCCCUAGGGUUUUUGGAUUUUUAGGGUAUUUAUAUAGCGAAGAGGCGGUGCGGGAGGCGGCCGAGGUGGGCACAACCCACCAGGGCGCGCCUGGGCCCCCAGGCGCGCCCAGGUGGGUUGUACUCCCCUCGGAGCCCCCCUCUAGUACUUCUUUGGCCCAACAUGUGUCUUCUGGUCCAGAAAAAAUCUCCGAAAAGUUUCACUACGUUUGGACUCUAUUUGGUAAUGAUUUCCUGCGAAGUAAAAAAGAAGAAAAAAUCAGGAACUGGAACUAGGCACUAUGUCAAUAGGUUAGUCCAAAAAAUGAUAUAAAGUUCCUAUAAAAUGAUUGUAAAACAUCCAAGAAUGAUGGUAUAACAACAUGUAACAAUAAAAAAUUAUAGAUAUGUUGGAGAUGUAUCAGACAACAGUACCUAAAGUUUGUGAUUUGCUUAUUAUAAGUGCAUCUAGUGCCACCCCUAGUUGGUUUUGGAGUAUUGACGACAAACGUGGUUGAGAGACUAAUGUGUUUUUAAGAUUCAUAGGAGAACACAAGUAGAAGUCCCUAUUGAUCCGGUUUCCCCAUCGUAGAUGACCCCUAAAAAUGUAUGGAGACAUUAAAGACUUGGGUGGUUCGCGAAGACAUUCACAUCAAAGAUAAUGAUGUGUGAAGACAUUUGCUUGAAGACAAUGGAGUGCGAAGACAUAUGGCGCAUUUGGUUCCGCUAUGUAACAUAUUGAGUUUUUGGGUAUCGGAAAGCUCCGCUUCCGAUUGCAUCUACGAAAUACAUGCACUGUAUGGUUGGUGUGGCCGCGUCCCGGUUUUCAAAUCAGCUUGGGUUGGAGCGUUUUCGAUUUUGUGAACCGGUGUAUCGUAAAACACUGCUAUGGAAGACGGAGUGGUGAAAACAAACGCCGGAUACCAUUUCGGAAAGCCUCGGUAUCGGAAGCCGCCACUUUUUCCGCCAACCAAACGUGUUGAUAGUUUCUUUCGUAGUUUCAUUUUCUUCUUUCUUGAGUCAUAGGAACCACCGAACUGUUAAGCGCGGUUGAAGUGAAUAAAGUCAGAAAACUAACGUGAUACUCAACCCGAAUCCUAUGUCUUCGAGCGAAGACAAUGAGAGAAACUCUUCUCCUGAGUUGGAUAAGUCAGAUUUACUUGUAGCCCAUGUCAAGUUGCCGCGUGUGUUUGAAAUCCGACUGUUCAACACGUGUUGGUCCCUCAAUGACCCAGGGUCAUUUCAGAACAAAUCAUGUCGGGUUGCCCCUGGCUAUAAAUAGCCACCCCUUCCACCAUAAAUUGGCGUCUACUCCGAGUUAAGAGUUUGGCUCUUGUCAUUUGAGAGCAACCCACCUCCAAAGCCUUUGAGAAAGAAUCCUUGCGAGGACAAACCCAAACACCUAGAGCCCAAAGAAUGUUUAGGCAUCACUUAAGUCUUUUUAUUCCAUGUGAUCCGAAGACUUAUUACACUUGAAGACCGUGAUCUUCCAUUUGGUUAGGUGUCGCAUUCUGAGGAUCCAAGAGUCAUUGUGGAUCAUCGGUGAACGAAGCCUGUGAAGGUUUGGAAGUCUACCUUGAAGACUUACCUGAGUGAUUGGGCAACGACAAAGUGACCUUAGCUCAAGGGAAUAAGGUGAGGACGUGGUCUUCUGAGUUCAAUCUCGGCCUCCCUAACCAGACGUACAAUUUUCACAGCAACUAGAACUGGUCUACCAAAUCCUUGUCUUCGUCAAGCAACUGGUUCUAUCACUUCAACCCUUACUUACUAUUUAGCUUUGUGAAGUCAUUACUUGCCUCCUCUAGUUGAAUACAUUGUGAAAAGACAUUCUCUCUGGUCGCUUAUUUGGCUUCAUACUGUCUUCCUAUUCAGAUCCUGUCUACCUAGCUGCUAUUUGUCUUCGUGCUUUCUCUAUACUGUUUCUUUGACUUUGGCAUGGCUAGUGUAGUUUAUCUUCUGCUGCAUCAUGUUUAGGUGUUAUUUGACUGUCUGUCUUUGAAGACUUUCAUAAAAAUCGCCUAUUCACCCCCUCUAGUCGAUAACUACCACUUUCAAUUGGUAUUAGAGCAAGGUGCUCCGCUGUUCUGUGUGAUUUGGUUUAACCACCUGUAGUUUUAGCUAUGUUGAUUGCAAGGAUAAUCAAGGUCUCCGCUGCGUGCCCUGUCUUGGAUGGCACUUAUUACCCCUACUGGAAGAAUAAGAUGCGCAUGCAUAUUGAAGCCAUUGACAACAACCUUUGCUAAGUCGUCAAGACUGGUGUUCCCAAAGUCGGUGAAGGUGUCACCGCUGCUGAUGUUAAGAGGUUCGCACAAUUGGACUCGACCGCCAAACAUCAUCUGUGGUCAUCUGACCAAAGGAUAGUAUAGCCGUGUGAGUGCUCUGGAAUCUGCGAAGCUAGUCUGGGACUAGCUGUCCAAGGUCAACGAAGGCGUCUCAACUCAAAGAGACUCGAGAAUCGAUGUUCUUUGCAAUCUCUUCAACCACAUAAAGAGACAUGACAAUAAGAAUGUCCAAAUCACCUUUGACCAUCUUACUGAUAUCACCAAUGAGCUUUGUGCUCUUAGUGCCACUAAGAUCACGAAGCAUGAAGUCCCGAAGAAGCUAUUGAGAUCACUUGACAGCUCAUUUGACACCCUAUCACUUAUGAUCCAAGAACGUCCAGACUUCAAGGACCUUGACUCGUCUAAUAUACUUGAGAGGCUCAAUACACAUGAGUUUUAGCUAUCUGAGAAGAGAGAUAUCUAUGGCCCUAACUAUGGGCGAUUCCGUGCUUUGGAGGCAAAGGUUGUUUCCUCAUCUGAAGACUCAGACUGCAGUUCUGGUGAUCCUAAAGAUCUUGGCAAGGAGCUUGUAGUGUUUGUGAGAAAAUUUCAAAAGUUCUGCAAGAAGAAUUGCUUCGGAAAGUCUUCAAAAUCCAUCUCCAAGAAUGCUGAGGCUUCCACUCCUGACUACAAGAAGUGAACCUGCCACAAAUGCAAGAAACCAAGCCAUUACAUAUCUGAAUGUCCUCAAUGGGAAAAGAAAGCGAAGAAGAAGAAGAAUACCAAGGAAUAUGACUCUGAUGAAAAGAAGAAGAAGAAAUCCUCAAAGUCUUCAUCUCACAAGAAGAGUUCAUCGGGCAAGCCUCGUGCUUUCAUCAUCAAGGAAAUGGAUUUAGAGGAGGAGUCUGCUUCUGAGGAGGCGGAGGUGGAUUCGAAGGAGGAGUCUGAUUCAGGUGUUAUAAGCCUGGCUCUAGCUUCUGCAUUCGUUGCCAAGUCCAUCUUCAGUAGUGAAGACAUUGGUCAUGUCGCCAACGUUGAAGCCAAUGAUGACAACGACUCUGCUCCUACCUACUGCUUCAUGGAUAGAGGUGCAAUGGUAAACUCACGUGAUGCUUACUUUCAGACCUCUAGUGAAGAUGACUCUGAAUGUGAAUCCAAACCCAGCUAUAAGACACUUGCUAAAAUUCCAACUGAGCAACAAACUGCUAUGGAAAAGAUUCAAAAACUGUUAGACAAAAGCGAUGCCAUAUUGGACGAUAAUCGAACUCAGUCCUUAAUCGAAGACAUAAAAAAUCUUCGAGUUAAGUAUGAGGAACUUGAAAGUCAUCAUGAAACCCUCUCAGCUGAUCGUGAGAAGGUUUCCUGUGAUUAUCUUCAAAGGAAGCAAGAUCAAGAAAAACUGAGAGCGUCUCAUGAUGUUCUUCAAAAGGAAAACGAUUCAAUACUCGCUCAACAAAUCAGUUCCGCUCAGGAAGAAUUUGUGCCACCUUGCCUAAAAUGUCUUGAGCGUGAUAAUGCUAUCUCUACUACUGAAUGUUCAAAUGCUUCUUGAAAGUCCUAGUUAUCAACUAGAGGGGGGUGAAUAGGCAAUUUUUAAGAAAUCUUCAAGACAGGCAAUGUCUUCGAAGAUAGACAACCGAACAAGACCUACAAAGUAUGCAACAGAAUAUAAACUAUGCUAGCCAUGCCAUACACUACUGCAGGAUGCUGCUAACGCGACACUAUGAUCAGAGACCCUUGGACGAAACUGUGUGCUAUGCAAUAAUCGCAAACAGUGGUGUAAAAAAACCAUCAAAAAGGUGCGGAACGUUUGCGAUGACAGAUGCAUCAAACAACGUUUAGAUUUUAGUUGCAUGUGUGAUUCAGGGCAGACGGUUCAGUUCAAUUAACCGUUUCUGAUGAGGAGGAACAAAAGAAACGGGCAGCAAGAUGAAGGUGUGUGCGAUGUAUAAGCAUACGGUUCACUCGGAUGAACUGCUUUCAAAUUGCUUUGCCAUAUGCUCUUCCAAUACAAAGUUUGGCAUUUUUGGAGGCACUUCCAUUCCACAGUACCACCCGGCUCUGAUAAUCAUACCAUUCAUCUUUCCUAAUUAAAUGCGUGUUCAACCUUAGUAUCUUCAGCACCUUUGCUCUGGCAAGAAAGAACCUGGCGAGUGUAAUCUCCGGUGGGGUCCCUCGGUAGGAUUUCAAAGUAAUAUUUGAGAGAUGCAGAUCCAGGCAUUUGAUGUGAUUGUCGUUAUAAACAUCUUCCACCAGCCUAAUAUGCACUGCAAAAGAAGAGAACGUGUUAGUGCCUACAUGUAGUUUUGAACACUGCUACACGCCCAUUUCAUUUGCCGGAUUUGUAAAAUGCACUAACAUGCCAUCUUCGAUCUGGCAUGAUUAACAUGGGCAUUUGAUUACAAUCUAGAAACAUGUAGCCUUCUUCACAUGAGGUUGGAUUGGAGGAAAAAUUCCCUAAGAAAACUAGUACAGAUGAAUCCAAAGGAGAAAUGCUUAUGGAUGAUUGUAACCAUAUGAAUGAAGCAACCAAUAUGGGGUGGGGUUGUAUGUCCUAAAAUCCUCCAAAAUUCCUUCAGAAAUCGUAGUACAUUAUCAUUGUAAACUUGGGAAAAGGUGCAAAAAAUUGAACUCCAUUAUGGUUAACAUUUAACAGGAAAGGAACAUCACCUCGAUAUACAGCUUCUUCAGGCACGGAAAGCAUCUCAUGCAACUGAAAACGUGGUCCAGGUUGGGGACGACAGAUUCUAGUGCCAAGACCUUCACUGUGCCCAGAGUUUGGUUGAAGCUUCGCUGGAUGACAGACGAACAUACAUCUUCAAAACUAGAAAUAACGUUGAUAUCAAGAAGGAGAGGUAUAUAAGGCGACCGUUGUACCUGAAAGUUGUAGUAUUUGACAGACGAGUAGCCCACCACUUUCAAUUUCGGCGCAGAAAUGACAUUGAUUCUUGUUGGACCUUGUUGAUCAAUUAGAAGUGAUCUCUCAAGUGAAGGUAUGUCCUGGAUGACCAUAUUGUGGUCCACCUUUUGUGAUCUCUCGUUGCAGCACCAGCAACACACAUAAAUAGUGUGGAGAGUCCUGGAGGUGAUGUGCAAGGUACUCGAGUAAUUCAUCACCUGAAGACGUAGGAACUCGAGUGCAGUACAGCCGCGUAGCAGGCGCUCCAUGUCAUCCUUUGGGAUGCGGGCAGCGACGAGCUCGAGGUGCUUCAGUCGUGGUAGAAAAAGAGCGGGCACGUCAUUAAGGGGGGAUGGCAGUUCAUGAACUUGGCGAGGCGCAGCGUGGGAGCGAAGCGGAGCACGGACGUUGGCAGCAGGCUCAUAUGACCAUCAUUAUAACUUAGCUUCUCGAGCUGAUCUAUGGCGCGGGAUCGGAACCACUCAUCAAGCUUGGCUCGCUCCUUGCCAUUGGAACGGAACUUGCCUGCGCUAAGGCCUUUGAUUGGGCCACGAUGACUGACGAGGAUCUGGGAGAACGCAUCCAAGCUUUAGCGAUAGCCAUGGCAGAGCUUGUGGGCGUGGAGGAGGUCGAUAGGGGUGCGGAGCUAUAGGGUGUGCCACCGCCGGGAAACGGCGGCUGUCCUCGCCCGAUUUUUGAUUGGGAGGAGGGAUAUGAUGACUAUCAACAUAUCAUCGGGGAGGUUGUUGAUGAAGUCUAGGCCUGCUGGAGUCGCUUGCAGUUCUUUCUCGACCAGCCUCCGCUUGUUGGCAGCCUCGUUCUCCACCUCGUCAGCGGGGACGGAAACCUCUGUCUCCAUAUUCACACCGUGCUCCGGUGCUUUAGCGGCCCCGGCGUCGCCACUCCCUCCGAUGGGGCGCUUCGGCGGCAUCCUCAUACACUGACGGCUUUGAGGACUCAGAGCAGCGUCAAUGAUGCGGGCGGAGAGAGAGGAAUUUUGUGUGUGGUGAGGAUGGUGGGGUGCGAGCGCUCGGCGGCGCCAUUAAUAUAGAUCAGUGGGAGUGAGGCGGGCGGCGGUCCAAGGCUAUCUCGCUUCCCGGUGAGAACGACUGCUUAAUCUCUAGUAUGAAUGAAAUCUAUGCUUAAUUACUGAAUUUUAGUUGCAAAAAAUAGAUAGUGAUAUUGAUUUUUAGCUGCAUAUUUUGACAAAUCGCAGUGUCUCUUGGCUUAGCGCCGAAGUUUGGCUUUAAUUUGCAUACCGUAAUCUGAACCGUUUGCGUUGAAGAGAUUCACAGAUCCUCCGUUGAACAGCUUGUACGCUUCCCGGUGAGCCUGCGCACCGGACUACGCUCGCUCGCCUCCCGUUUAGUCAAGUAGCUGUCCACACGGCACCUCCUAUAGCCAUUAAAACCAAGACACGUGGUGUCACGUGAAUGGUUAACCGAACGCACACGGUUUGAAUUAUACAAACGAUUGAGAUAUUAAAGUGGCAGCUAUUUUGUUUCAAAAUGCCUUUGUUGGCUGUCAUUAUUCGAGUGUGCCUUGUCUCAAAAUGGACACGAAAAAUACCACAGCAUGUCGGGUGCCCUUCCAUGAUAGCAUGCCAAGUUUCAUGAAUUUCAGAUGAGUUUUUGAUUUACUAGAAUUUAAAAACAAAGUAUCUCAACGUUUUGCCGGCAAUCAAUGGUGCCCUGGUGUUUGAAAUUCAUUCCCAUUUCUUGCAUGGGACCUAAGCAUGCACCCAAGGACACAGAUUUGAUUUUUCAACCAAUUUAUAUGCACUGGAGCAUGCGCAUGUAGUUCAAAUUUGAAUUAUGCACAUAAAUGCAUUGAAAACUCACUUAAUGCAUAAAAAUGUCCAAACGAACCCCAAAAAAUCACAAAAAUUCACACAACACUCUUGUUGUUCUAUGUUGACACGGGAAAUUUUUUGAAAGCAAUAAGAGGCAAUGGAUAUCGUUUCGUCCCCAAAGGUGGGACGUUCCCUACCGAAAACCAACAUGCUUGUUGUGAGAAUUUACGGUUUGUGAGAAGCAUAUACCAAAACCUGCCCCAAAUGGGACAAAUUUUUUACCACAGCAUGUUGAUGCCGCUCCAUGAUGGCAUGCCAAGUUUCAUGAAUUUUAGAUGAGUUUUGGAUUUACUAGAAUUUAAAAACCAGGCAUCUCAAUGUUUUGCCGUCAAUCAACGGUGCCAUGGUGUUUGAAAUUCAUUCCCAUUUCUUGCAUGAGACCUAAGCAUGCACCCAAAAACAAAGAUUUCAUUUUUCAAUGAAUUUAUAUGCACUGGAGCAUGUGCAUGUAGUUCAAAUUUGAAUUAUGCACAGAAAUGCAUUGGAAACUCACUUAAUGCAUAAAAAUGUCCAAACGAACCCUGAAUAUUUCCAAUUCUUUUAUGAUCACUGCAGAUAAAAGGUCUAGAAAUUCAAACACCGUCCAUGGCCGCUGUGACCCCAUUAUGUAAUUCAAAUCAAGACAAAAAAUCAAGUAGAUCCCACAUAGUUUAUUAUAACCAACCGUGUGAGAUGCAGCACAAAAUAUCUUUGGACCGUGACUGAAUAAGGGACCGUGGCUGAUGACACUUUGCGCGCCAGUUUUUUGGCUGAAGCGAUUCAAAAUUUUCGGCUUCCGCGGUAAUAUCUACCUCCCCGCCCCUCCCCCUUACCAAAAGCCACAUUUCGUCACAUCCCUAGCUUCUGGCAAUGCACUAGGCUAGCUUCAUGUGUGCAUCAUGUUUAAUAUUUGAAAGAAACUUGAAAUGGGGAUGUCCAAACCCUAGCAUUAAAUCAACUCAACUAGGAUGGAUUAAAAUCUUUUCAAUAAACCCAAAAUGUCCCUAAGAAAAGUUCAUGAUUUCUGGUUAAGGUGGAAACCUCUGCCAAAAAUGAUGAAUAUAUUCUUAGCUCAUUUUUGGAUUUUUGAAUUAAAUCAUAUUUUAUUUGACUUUGGGCAUUUAAAUACUAUAAAUAUUUAAGUGCUCAAAUGAUUCUGAAACUAAAUGUGGGUCACUGGAAUAAUCCAGAGAGAGUCCACAAAUUAUUUCAGGAGUUUCCGAAAUGGGUUAGUAUUGUUACUAAUUCAAAACAGAGGAAAAGAAAUAGAAAACAGAAACAAAUGAGAGAGAGAGAAGUGCUUACCUGUGCAGCCCACCAGAGCCGGCCCAGCUCCUGUGCUGGUCCAGCACUGUGCGGCCCAGCCCACCGCAGCCGCCACCGUCUUCAACCUCCUGCCAGUAGGCAGGAGGGCGUGUGCCCGACGCGCGCGUGCACGCGCCGGCCACCUCCUGCUUGCCGUUUCCUCCUCGACGCGCCUGGAGACGCCACGACACCCCCCGGACCUCCUUCACUCUUCCCUGCGCUCUUCCCCUCCCUUGCUGCAUUCUCUCUCACCCACCCGAACGUGUUCGUCGCCGCCGCUCGCCACCACCGCGGCCAUCGCCUCCCCCUCGCCAAUCCGACAUGCCCAGGAGCUCCGCCACCGUCGCCUACGUCUCUCUGUCGACUCACGCGACGCCAAACGCCCCGAAGCACCGCCCCCGACCUCGUCUUCGUCGUUCGGCCGCCGAGAUCGCCGGCGACCUCCCGUCUUCAUCAGCUCCUCCCCGACCUCGCCGACCCGCUCGUCGUGACCGUGGUGAGCUGCUGCCCGUUUCCCCCCUCUCCAUUCUCUUCCUCGCAUGCCGUAGCGGCCGCACCAAGCUCGACCGCACCCGCCGCCGCUUGCGCCCGCUGCCGACGCGGCCCCGGCUACCAAACAGCCCGGGCGUCGUGUCCAACAUGCUCGCCGCCUCGCGUAGUUGUUGUAGGUGCCAUGAACGCGCUGCCAGGGCCACUGCAGCCCCGUAGCCACAAACACCCGAACGCCAGCGCCACCCCGAGCUCGUAUCCGGAGAGCUCCGGCCGCCCUAGCUGCUGCUACUAGCUGCAACGGGCGCAGGUGAGCCCCAGCUCCUCGUAGCCGCUCUCCGCCGUCCAAACGGUCAUCGGAACAGCGAGCCCGAGCCCUCCGCCGCGUCUGCUGCCGCCGGCGGCUUAAUGCCGGCAUGUUAGGCCUAUUGACCAGGGGUUUGACCUUCCCUGGGUCAUUAACAUGUGGGGCCAGCUCCUGCUAAUUUCCUAAAUUAGGUUUAACUAAAAUAGGAUUAGCCCCUGUGACACUGACACGCGGGCCCCACCGGCCAGGUUUGACCUCGACCGCCCAGUUGACUUGCUGACGUCACUAUGACGUAAUGCUGACGCUAUAAAUCAUUUUCUGGUUUUAUUAUUAUUCAGGAAAUUCUAGAAAAUCCUAUAAACUUCUAAAAAUCAUAGAAAAUAAUCUAUAGCUCAGAAUGAAAAGAUUUAUAUAUGAAAAAUGAUCAGAAAAAUCCAAUCUAUCCAUCUGUACUAGUUUCAUGCAUGUUAGAGAAACCUAACCUUGCUGUUUAGAUGAAACAAGAUAAUGCACUUAUAUGACUCUAUAAAAUGGGUUUGCAUUUGAAUCUUUGGUUCAAAUGAAAUCAUCUCAAUCUGUUCUAGCUUGCAUUAGCCCAAAACACAUUCAUAUUGCCAUGUCAUCAUCAUGGAUCAUAUUGUGCAUUGCAUUGAUUGUAUUUCUUCUCUGUUGCCGGUAUUUGUCCCCUCUCGAUAGACGAUGUUCCGACGUUGUGAUCGUUGACACUAAUGAAGACUCAAUGCUAUCUUCAGAAGUGCCAGGCAAGCAAAACCCCCUUGUUCAUUCCGAUACAAACCCACUCUCUCGCUUCUGCUCUCUUUUACUGCAUUAGGACAACAACGAUUCAACUGUACAUGCUGCGGUAGUUGAACCCCUUUCCUCUGCAUGACCUGUCAUUGCCACAGUAAAUAGAUGAAACCCACUAGCAUGAGUAGGAGUUGUUUGAGCCCUAUUGUGCCUACUCAUUCAUGCUUGUUUGUCAUGCCUGCUAUUGCUUAGAGUUGUGUCAGGUCUGAUUCAUCGGGGAUGGAUUGGAAUGUGGUGAACAUGUCCUACUGUUGAGAGCUAAGUGUGUGAACACGAUUUGGUAAAGGUAGCGGUGAGAGGCCAUGUAGGAGUACAUGGUGGGUUGUCUCAUUGAAACCGUCCUCAGGAACUGAGUUCUGUGUUUGUGAUCCAUGAAUAGUUACUACCACACAUUGGGUUCCGGUAACUCGACCCCUCUCGACUUAUUAAUCAACCUGAUCUCUGUCCAAGAGUUGCAACUAGUUUCUGGUGUUUGUAGGUUGUGUUAGUAGUCUACCAAGUGGUACCCGGUACAGGUGGGCUUGGGACAGACUAGGCACCGUGGCACGGUGUACCAAGCGUAGAUCCAUCCGUCGAGGUGGGCUUGGGAACCCUGCACACAUCGUUUGGGGCCGUGAGCGACACCUCGGCCGGAUCUCCUUGCGGAUGGAACCUGAAUAGGCGAUAAACCUGAACGAGAGACUUGUGUGGUUAGUCAGGUCGUGGCCGACUCCCUCGCCAGGCUUCCGCUUGAAGGUUGCCGAGGUACACGACGUGUACAUGGUGGUAAGUGGCGAGAGCGUGUGUGAAGAAGUACACCCCUGCAGGGUUAAGAUCAUCUAUUCGAAUAGCCGUGUCCGCGGUAAAGGACUUCUGGGUUGCCUGUACAGUUCAUAGACAGGUGAAAGUGGAUACUCUAAAAUGCGCAAGAUAAGCGUGAGUGCUAUGGAUGGCGUUCUCGUAGGGAGACGGGAGCGGAUCCAUAGUGGAGUAUUGAUAUGGUGAAUAUGUGGACUCGUGUGUGCCACCUCAAAAGAGUUACUUGCAGUCGUAGUUAGGAUAGCCACCGAGUCAAAGCUGGCUUGCUGCAGUUAAACUCCACCACCCCCUUUGUUGAUACCGAUGCAUAUGUAGAUAGUUCUGAUGUAAGUCUUGCUGGGUACAUUUGUACUCACGUUUGCUUAUUUUAUGUUUUGCAGAGAGACGUCAGUCUCGCUAGUAGUUCCGUGUGGACUUCGACGUUUAGCUUGAUACCUCAGCUACGAUCUUGUGCCCUCGGCCGGAUCUUGUAGAUAGUUAGGCUUCUCAGCCUUUUUCAUUUGUAGAUGUCUGUACUCAGACAUGUUAAGCUUCUGCAUGUGUUUGACUUGUAUGCUCUGAAUGUUGGGGUCAUAAGACCCAUGUUUGUAAUAUCUGGCUCUUCGGAGCCUAAUGAAUAAAUACUCUGAGUCGUAGAGUUUUGUUGUGAUGCCAUGUUGUAUUUGCACAUAUCGAGCAUAUUGUGUGUAUGAUUGAAAUGCUUGGUAUGUGUGGGAUCUGACAACCUAGUUGUUUAUCCUUGGUAGCCUCUCCUAUGGGGAAAUGUAGUCUUGUGCUUCCACGAGCCAUAGUAGUCCGCUACAGCCCGGUUCACCGGAGUCCUGCUAGCCCAGCACUACUGCUCCGGAACACUUGACUGGCCAGCAUGUGAUUCACUUCGUUCCUGUGUCUGUCCCUUCGGGGAAAUGUCACGCGGUGACAUCCGGAGUCCUGCCUAGCCUGCUACAGCCCGGGUUCCCGGAGUCCUGUUAGCCCAGUGCUACAGCCCGGAUUCGCACGCUGCUGACCGACAUGCUCGAUGUUGAUUCAUGUAUGCCUGUCCCCGUAAGUUAGUGCCACUUUGGGUUCACGACUAGCCAUGUCGGCCCGGGUUCUCUGUCAUAUGGAUGCUAGCGACACUAUCAUAUACGUGAGCCAAAAGGCGCAAAGGGUCCCGGGCCAUGGUAAGGCGACACCCGUGGGAAUACCGUGCGUGAGGCCGCAAAGUGAUAUGAGGUGUUACAGGCUAGAUCGGUGUGACUUAGAAUCGGGGUCCUGACAGCUUUGGUAUCAGAGCCUGACUACCUGUAGGAUUACCAAGCCAAACUGGUCGAAGUUGAGUCUAGAAAUGCUUAAGUUAUGUAAGGGAAUUGAUUGUGGAAGGGAAUGUAAGGCUCUUUUUACUCCUUUACCUUAUGCGCUUCUGAUCUGAGUCACCCUCUUCUCUUCUACGGGGAUUAAGAACUAGGCUUCUCAUCUUUCUAUUAGGAUCACGUGUUACUAAUCCGUAGACUCAUAGGAUUGAUGGAUUUAAGCCUCAGUUCAGUUCCUACUACUUCCGUAUGUUGACCAUUGAUCCCAGAAGUUUAUAUUGUGAUGUGAGUGGUUAUGCCACCAUUUUGUAGGAUGUCUCAAAUCUUUUUGAGCAUUUACAGUCGUUAUGCUAUCCGAGUCACCCCAGGUUUCUAAACAGUCUGAUGCAUUUGCAAAUCCCUUCCUCCCGUACCUGAUAUCCUUUUGGGCCGGAUUAAGCACACUAAUCGGCCUGUUGAGGUACUCCAUUGAUUCGACAUAUAUGUUGGAGCUAUUAUUAUGACCCUAGGUGUCAUAGAGGACCACUAAGUAAUCUAGCAAUGCUUUGUAUCCCCAGUGUGAUGAUUCUGGCCAUUAUUCUCGAAAGCAUCCCGUGAUGCCAUUUAGUUAGUAGGCAUUCUAUUCUGGGUUCUUGAGCCCGAGAUUCACUCUACUCAUUCAUGUUGGUAGUGUUUGCUAGUUCCUUUAGGAUAUUAGUAACCUUUGCGAUAGUCCUCGAGGUCCGUGGUAUAUCCUUCUUCCGAAUACCAUGAACUGCUUAUGGCAGAAGUUCUCUUGAACCAAAGGACCACAAUCAGAGUGCUCUUGACGGGCUCUCCAUAAUUGUGACUCUGCCAGUUCUACCUUUCUGCAUGGGUUAUCCGAAAGAAAUAUGUUGAACUCGUUCGACAAGCUAAUCUAUGCACACACAACUCAGAAAAUCGUAUGUUUCUUUGAGUUGUCCCUCUUUAGUUGUUUUCUGACCUUCGUCUAUCAAUUGAUAGUCAAGAGUAUGUGUCCAUUCGUUCAUCGAUGCCUAUUAUUCUUGUGGUCCGUCAAGCCAUUCUAUUCCGGAAUGACUAGGAGAAACAAACUCCGGUACCUCGUCCAUAUCUAGGAUUGGGUCAAAGUAGUUGUAUUCCACAGAUCAAAAUGCCAAUCCAGUUUUUGUUCUGCUCUACCUUGGAGUGUUACCAUCUUUAUGUCAAGAGUGUCAUGAGAAUUGCACCACCUCUUAUGAAUUCUUGAUUACGUGAUACUCCUCGCCAUCAUCGUUCAUUCCUCGGUCCCCGUGCUAUUAUAACCGGAAUACCGACCAGCGAAUUGUGAUGUGUGAAAUCAAUACUCCAAGCAACUCCGUUGCUUGGUAGUUGAAGGACAAUAAUUUCAUCCUUAGCGUGUUGGUUACUGAAUCACAUCCUAAGGUUGAUCGUGCUACCCAGUCCUUAUUUUUGGUGCACUCUUCAAUCAAUGAGUUAGGAUUUUCUCAAACCCUUGCUCAGUUGAUCAUAUCGUCUUGCCCUGAAAAGCAAGAUUGUUCUCGAGCUUAGUAACAUAUCGGUGGUUCGUGAUUUUCCGAAUAUUUUCUCAGAAGUAUCACCAGGUUGCCACCUGACCGCUAUGUUGAGCUCAUGAUUAAAUGGUUUUCCUAUAAACCACUCUUUCUCCAAGAAUCUGUGUUGGAUACCUUGAACUAGUUGGUUAAGCCAAACAACAACUUGGAGAGUUGGAAGAUAAAAGCUUAUCUGACUUAGUUCAUCACUAAGGGAUAUCUUUUUGUGUGUGUGUUGAAGAAAGAUGAUAUCUUCAUUGAUUGAUCCUUGUGAUCAAUUGUUGGAUCUACUGUCUUGUCAAUACUUUGAUUUGAGUGUGGGCUAUCGUCAAAUCAAAUCAGAACCAACGAUGUUCGUAAUGUUGUCUUACUCGUGGUUGAUUCCUCAAGCAUACACCAUUAUAUCUUUUGGUCUGACCAAUGCUAUCUUCGUGUUCACUUAAUUGUGGAAUUCCAUCUAUAUGGGAGCCUGGAUAAAUUGUUGCUGAGCCCAUCGGCAACAUUUUUAUCUCCUUCAUGAUUCAUAAUGAACAUAUAAGCUAGUGUUGGGAACUUUUUGAAAGCAUUUUCUUCGUGCUAGCUCAUGAAGUAUAUGUUUGGAUGAAAGAAGUGACUUCGUCUAAGCUCAUGUGCAUUAGUUGUAAGUUGCCGCCGUGAGUUCGAGAAAGAUUGUUUUUGUUUCCUUUGGUACCAUCCCAAGUCAAUCAUGCACGUGCAAAGUAUUCUGUGGUAUGAUAGACUGAUCAUCUUCAUUCCAUAUGCAUCCCUAGCAUACCAAGCCACUGGUUGAUUUGUUCAAGAUAAAGGAGUCUGUUCUAAGGUGAAUUCUUUGGACUUCCACGCGUGGAGACUUCGAUGUCAUUAAUGAUGGUUCCCCACCUGUACUCGGUAGUGUUGUAUUGUAAGACUACUCUGUGGUCAUGCUUGUCUUGGACAACAUGUUCACAUGUGUGUAGCAGAACCAGCUCAUGUUUUGGAGCUUGCUAUCGUAGUUCAUCUCCCGAGAGUCUCGCAACGUUAUCUCGUCGACUUGUGUUGCAACUCUUCUUUUCAGACAUGUGAGUCUGAAGUAUCCUGUUUCUAACCAGAUCUGAAUCUCAGGCAGAUAUGAUGGCUGGAACAUUCCAACAUUUGCAUUUUGUUCCUGGCUUGCACCGUCUUUGUGCCAUUUCACUAUGGGCUGCCUCCUCAGUAAUUCUCAUUCGGGAUCAUCUUCAAAAGAGGUCCUACCAUGGGUCCCAUCCAAUUUCGAUGAUAGGCAGAAAUCAUCCAUCACGUUGUCUUCAAUAAGGUAGUCCACAUCUUUCGUUCUAGUCCGAGUAUGUCAUCCUUUCGAACUCCUUCAAAUGAUCGUUUGUGAUUGCCUUAGGCUGGUAUAAAGAGUUCCAAUGAUCUCAGUAUCACAAGUAAUUGUUUUGCCACUUGAGGUAAUAAUUCUACGAGUCACCUUCCCCAAGGUGCCCCGUUAUCGAAUCAUGGCAAUUUUCCUCGCUACUUUGAAACCCUCGUCAAAUUGUUUCUUCCGUCCCUCCUGAUGCAUGUUUUGCCUCUUAGCUCCAGAGAUGUUUCUAUGUCUCAUUCCGUGAAUUGAUCUUGUGAUCAUUAAAAUGAUCCUAAGUUGCUCGAAUCUCAGAAAGAUCGAUUCUUCUAAAAUUCUCUCUCUCUACUCGUUGUUAUGUUGGAUGUAGUUCUCAAAGCAAGACGUCGAGAUCAAGGUGAUGCAAUGAAUCAACAUCUUCGAGAAGAACAAUUGGAUCGUGAAGAUUAUGUUAGUUUGCGUUCCCCUUUCAUCUUACCCUACGCUUGAAUCUCGGGACGAGAUUCUUGUUUAGUGGGGGUGAGUUGUCACAUCCCUAGCUUCUGGCAAUGCACUAGGCUAGCUUCCUGUGUGCAUCAUGUUUAAUAUUUGAAAGAAACUUGAAAUGGGGAUGUUCAAACCCUAGCAUUAAAUCAACUCAACUAGGAGGGAUUAAAAUCUUUUCAAUAAACCCAAAAUGUCCGUAAGAAAAGUUCAUGAUUUCUGGUUAAGGUGGAAACCUCUUCCAAAAAUGAUGAAUAUAUUCUUAGAUCAUUUUUGGAUUUUUGAAUUAAAUCAUAUUUUAUUUGACUUUGGGCAUUUAAAUACUAUAAAUAUUUAAGUGCUCAAAUGAUUCUGAAACUAAAUGUGGGUCACUGGAGUAAUCCAGAGAGAGUCCACAAAUUAUUUCAGGAGUUUCCGAAAUGGGUUAGUAUUGUUACUAAUUCAAAACAGAGGAAAAGAAAUAGAAAACAGAAACAAAUGAGAGAGAGAGAAGUGCUUACCUGUGCAGCCCACCAGACCAGCCCACCAGAGCCGGUCCAGCUCCUGUGCUGGUCCAGCACUGUGCGGCCCAGCCCACCGCAGCCGCCACCGUCUUCAACCUCCUGCCAGUAGGCAGGAGGGCGUGUGCCCGACGCGCGCGUGCACGCGCCGGCCACCUCCUGUUUGCCGUUUCCUCCUCGACGCGCCUGGAGACGCCACGACACCCCCGCGGACCUCCCUCACUCUUCCCUGCGCUCUUCCCCUCCCUUGCUGCCCUCUCUCUCACCCACCCGAACGGGUUCGUCGCAGCCGCUCGCCACCACCGCGACCAUCGCCUCCCCCUCACCUCUCCGACAUGCCCAGGAGCUCCGCCACCGUCGCCUAUAUCUCUCUGUCGACUCACGCGACGCCAAACGCCCCGAAGCGCCGCCCCCGACCUCGUCUUCGUCGUUCGGCCGCCGAGAUCGCCGGCGACCUCCCGUCUUCAUCAGCUCCUCCCCGACCUCGCCGACCCGCUCGUCGUGGCCGUGGUGAGCUGCUGGCCGUUUCCCCCCUCUCCGUUCUCUUCCUCGCAUGCCAUAGCGACCGCACCAAUCUCGACCGCACCCGCCGCCGACGUGGCCCCGGCUACCAAACAGGCCGGGCGUCGUGUCCAACAUGCUCGCCACCUCGCGUAGUUGCUAUAGGUGCCAUGAACGUGCUGCCACGGCCACUGCAGCCCCGUAGCCUCAAACACCCGAAUGCUAGGGCCGCCCCGAGCUCGUUUCCGGUGAGCUCCGGCCGCCCUAGCUGCUAGCUGCAACGGGCGCAGGUGAGCCCCAGCUCCCCGUAGCCGCUCUCCGCCGUCCAAACGAUCGUCGGAACAGCGAGCCCGAGCCCUCCGCCGCGUCUGCUGCCGCCGGCGGCUUAACGCCGGCAUGUUAGGCCUGUUGACCAGGGGUUUGACCUUCCCUGGGUCAUCGAGAUGUGGGGCCAGCUCCUGCUAAUUUCCUAAAUUAGGUUUAACUAAAAUAGGAUUAGCCCCUGUGACACUGACACGCGGGCCCCACCGUCCAGGUUUGACCUGGAUCGCCCAGUUGACUUGCUGACGUCACUGUGACGUAAUGCUGACGCUAUAAAUCAUUUUCUGGAUUUAUUCUUAUUCAGGAAAUUCCAGAAAAUCCUAUAAACUUCUAAAAAUCAUAGAAAAUAAUCUAUAGCUCAGAAUGAAAAGAUUUAUAUAUGAAAAAUGAUCAGAAAAAUCCAGUCUAUCCAUCUGUACUGGUUUCAUGCAUGUUAGAGCAACCUAACCUUGCUGUUUAGAUGAAACAAGAUAAUGCACUUAUAUGACUCUAUAAAAUGGGUUUGCAUUUGAAUCUUUGGUUCAAAUGAACUCAUCUCAAUCUGUUCUAGCUUGCAUUAGCCGAAAACACAUUCAUAUUGCCAUGUCAUGAUCAUGCAUCGUAUUGUGCAUUGCAUUGAUUGUAUUUCUUCUCUGUUGCCGGUAUUUUUCCCCUCUCGGUAGACGAUGUUCCGACGUUGUGAUCGUUGACACUAAUGAAGACUCAAUGCUAUCUUCAGAAGUGCCAGGCAAGCAAAACCCCCUUGUUCAUUCCGAUACAAACCCACUCUCUCGCUUCUGCUCUCUUUUACUGCAUUAGGACAACAACGAUUCAACUGUUACAUGCUGCGGUAGUUGAACGCCUUUCCUCUGCAUGACCUGUCAUUGCCACAGUAAAUAGAUGAAACCCACUAGCAUGAAUAGGAGUUGUUUGAGCCCUAUUGUGCCUACUCAUUCAUGCUUGUUUGUCAUGCCUGCUAUUGCUUAGAGUUGUGUCAGGUCUGAUUCAUCGGGGAUGGAUUGGGAUGUGGUGAACAUGUCCUACUGUUGAGAGCUAAGUGUGUGAACACGAUUUGGUAAAGGUAGCGGUGAGAGGCCAUGUAGGAGUACAUGGUGGGUUGUCUCAUUGAAACCGUCCUCAGGAACUGAGUUCUGUGUUUGUGAUCCAUGAACAGUUACUACCACACAUUGGGUUCCGGUAACUCGACCCCUCUCGACUUAUUAAUCAACCUGGUCUCUAUCCAGGAGUUGCAACUAGUUUCUGGUGUUUGUAGCUUGUGUUAGUAGUCUACCAAGUGGUACCCGGUACAGGUGGGCUUGGGACAGACUAGGCACCGUGGCACGGUGUACCAAGCGUAGAUCCAUCCGUCGAGGUGGGCUUGGGAACCCUGCACACAUCGUUUCGGGCCGUUAGCGACACCCCGGCCGGAUCUCCUUGCGGAUGGAACCCGAAUAGGCGAUAAACCUGGACGAGAGACUUGUGUGGUUAGUCAAGUCGUGGCCGACAACCUCGCCAGGCUUCCGCUUGAAGGUUGCCGAGGUACACGACGUGUACAUGGUGGUAAGUGGCGAGAGCGUUUGUGAAGAAGUACACCCCUGCAGGGUUAAGAUCAUCUAUUCGAAUAGCCGUGUCCGCGGUAAAGGACUUCUGGGUUGCCUGUACAGUUCAUAGACAAGUGAAAGUGGAUACUCUAAAAUGCGCAAGAUAAGCGUGAGUGCUAUGGAUGGCGUUCUCGUAGGGAGACGGGAGCGGAUCCAUAGUGGAGUAUUGAUAUGGUGAAUAUGUGCACUCGUGUGCGCCACCUCAAAAGAGUUACUUGCAGUCGUAGUUAGGAUAGCCACCGAGUCAAAGCUGGCUUGCUGCAGUUAAACUCCACCACCCCCUUUGUUGAUACCGAUGCAUAUGUAGAUAGUUCUGAUGUAAGUAUUGCUGGGUACAUUUGUACUCACGUUUGCUUAUUUUAUGUUUUGCAGAGAGACGUCAGUCUUGCUAGUAGUUCCGUGUGGAAUUCGACGUUUAGCUUGAUACCUCAGCUACGAUCUUGUGCCCUCGGCAGGAUCUUGUAGAUAGUCAGGCUUCUCAGCCUUUUUCAUUUGUAGAUGUCUGUACUCAGACAUGUUAAGCUUCCGCAUGUGUUUGACUUGUAUGCUCUGAAUGUUGGGUCAUAAGACCCAUGUUUGUAAUAUCUGGCUCUUCGGAGCCUAAUGAAUAAAUACUCUGAGUCGUAGAGUUUUGUUGUGAUGCCAUGUUGUAUUUGCACAUAUCGAGCAUAUUGUGUGUAUGAUUGAAAUGCUUGGUAUGUGUGGGAUCCGACAACCUAGUUGUUUAUCCUUGGUAGCCUCUCCUAUGGGGAAAUGUAGUCUUGUGCUUCCAUGAGCCAUGGUAGUCCGCUACAGCCCGGUUCACCGGAGUCCUGCUAGCCCAGCACUACUGCUCCGGAACACUUGACUGGCCGGCAUGUGAUUCACUACGUUCCUGUGUCUAUCCCUUCGGGGAAAUGUCACGCGGUGACAUCCGGAGUCCUGCCUAGCCUGCUACAGCCCGGGUUCCCGGAGUCCUGUUAGCCCAGUGCUACAGCCCGGAUUCGCACGCUGCUGACCGACAUGCUCGAUGUUGAUUCAUGUAUGCCUGUCCCCGUAAGUUAGUGCCACUUUGGGUUCACGACUAGCCAUGUCGGCCCGGGUUCUCUGUCAUAUGGAUGCUAGCGACACUAUCAUAUACGUGAGCCAAAAGGCGCAAACGGUCCGGGGCCAUGGUAAGGCGACACCCAUGGGAAUACCGUGCGUGAGGCCGCAAGGUGAUAUGAGGUGUUACAGGCUAGAUCGGUGUGACUUAGAAUCGGGGUCCUGACACAUUUCCCCUAUUUCUGCCUUCCUUUCCAAGUUGAAACCUUCACUCCUUGCUUUCAGCGCCACCGCGUCCUCGCAACCGACCCUCCUUCACGCUCCUUGGCCUCGCCUAUCCAGGCAUGUAAUCCACACCCGACCCCCAUCCUCCUCCUUCCACAUCCCACAUGCCCCGACUGCCGGCGCGAGCGCGACACCUUCCACCCAAAUCACUGACCCCUCCACCAAAUAAGCGUCGGCCUAAGCCAUGGUGCACGCAGUAUAGCCAGGACCUCAAGGAGCAUUUGGCAGCAGAGAAGCAAAUCAUGGCCGCACGCGCGGACGAGGUCCCGAUGGCUGCCAUUCAUGCCGAUCCCAGAUCUUGGAGGAGCACCUCUUCGUCGAGGCCACCGUUGACGCCUCGCGCGCCAACGCCACGACGUGGUUGGCUGCUUUAACAACAGUUCGUGGCGUUUUCUCGAGGCCACCGUCGGUGCCUUCGACGAAGACUACGAGGUGUUUUCUCAGCGUGCACAUGCUUACCUCAUCUCGAGAGCCAGCAGGUUGUUGCCCGGGGCGGCUCAGGAAACUCAUCACUACAACGAGGGCACCCACGAUGAGGAGGCCUCGCCCUCUUCCAAGUCCAAGGAGCCAAUCGUCAUUGAUAUCUCCGAUAAUGAGGAGUAGCUUGUAUUAUUAGCUCACUAUAAGGACCCAUGUUAAGUUUGCUAGCUACUGCCUUUCCUUAACAAAUUCUAGUGAAUUUUGCUAUCUACUUUUACCAUGCAAUCUUCUGCUGUAGUGUAUAUGUUCUAUAUGUCGUGCAAUGUGGUGUUCAAUUAACUUCUUGGUUCAAUUCUACAAAUGUGAUGUUCAAUUCUUUAGGGUGCAAUAUUUCCAAGUUGUUAAGCAUGCUUGGUUUGGUUAACUGUCUGAUCUUCUAUUAGGAGUAUGUUAUAUUGUUCAAUUGGUGUUUAGUUAACUGAUUGGUUCAUUUGUUGUGGCUUGGUUCACUUGUUGUGGUGUUUAGUUAACUGCUUGGUUCAAUUCUGUAAUGCGAUGUUCAAUUGGUAUGGCUGCAUUCUGUUAUUGUAUACCAUGUGAGGAAUAAAUCGAAUUUGGUUGUACUAAAUACAUGAGAAACAAAUACAAUUGCUAUAUUUCCAAGUUGUUAAGCAUGCUUGGUUUGGUUAACUGUCUGAUCUUCUAUUAGGAGUAUGUUAUAUUGUGCAAUGUGGUGCUCAGUUAACGUUUGGUUCACUUGUUGUGGUGUUUAGUUAACUGCUUGCUUCAAUUCUGCAAUGCGAUGUUCAAUUGUUGUGGCUGCAUUCUCUUAUUGUAUACCAUGUGAGGAAUAAAUCGAAUUUGGCUGUACUAAAUACAUGAGAAACAAAUACAAUUGCUAUAUUUCCAAGUUGUUAAGCAUGCUUGGUUUGGUUAACUGGCUGAUCUUCUAUUAGGAGUAUGUUAUAUUGCAAUGUGGUGCUCAGUUAACGUUUGGUUCAUUUGUUGUGGUGUUUAGUUAACUGCUUGGUUCAAUUCUGCAAUGCGAUGUUCAAUUGUUGUGGCUGCAUUCUGUUAUUGUAUACCAUGUGAGGAAUAAAUCAAAUUUGGCUGCACUUAAUACAUGAGAAACAUAUACAAGUGCUAUAUUUCCUAGUUCUCAAUCAUGCUUGGUUUGGAUAAAUGGGUUUUCCAUGUGGCUUGAAUUAAUCUGAUGAAUCUGCAAAGGUUUACAAGAUGCUACUAACUAUUAUACUUGCCUUUUUGCAUUCCUUUGCCCCAUUUCCAAUAUAGAGAAGAUAUUUAUUCACAUCCUUGUUUUUAGGCUUAACUGAUGAUUACCUCUCAAACCACCUCUGUGGUCAGGAGGCGAGGAAAGUUUUCAUACAACACCCACGGUUCAAUAUUGAAGUGUUCCUGAAGAGGUCAAAGGAUGGACGGUCAAUCAUCCAUAGGCACUGGCCUAAACUUGCAAAGACCUUCAACGUGAAUGAAGGCUCAAUAUUCGCCUUCCGCCUCGGCAGUUUUCUAGAUGAGAUGCAUCUCUCUAUGUGCCGUCUAUGAUGCUAAUUUCGAAAGGUUCUAGAUGUUGCAUGUGAAACUUGCUGCUGGUGCAGUUGUGUAAUGGGGUAGCUGAGUGCUGAAGCUAUAUCAUGUUGUACUCUGAUGUAUUUCAAUUAUCAAAUCCUGCUUCCUUAAUAUGGAAAUGGAAUAUAUUAUGUGCUUAAUAUGAAUGUCAAUUAGACUAGUAAAUGGGUUAUUAAAAAUAGGUUAAUUAGCCCACUAAUUGGCCAAUUAGCUUGCUAAUUGGGUUUUCCUAUUGCAAAUGGUUAAUGAGAAACCACCGUGGGCGAUGACCUCAGGCAACACACAAAGUUUCUAGGAAUAAACCGUGUUGGAUCAAUGAACAAUCACACACGACAUUCUCUUCAAAAUUAUUUUCGUUACGCCACCUUGCGCAAACGUUUUCCUUGUAGUGACUGUGUGGGAUGUAUAUACGAACGGAAACGUUUAGUGGUGACUGACUGUGUGGGAUGUACUUACGACCGGAAAUGAUUUCGCCUGUAUAAUUGUAUUUUUUUGAGCACUACUGUACGUAUUUCUGUAUUUGAGUGCUCGCCGGUCGCACGACCUCAUUUUGCCGAGCGUGUGUGCUAGGAGGGAAUAUCCCCAACGGUUUCUGGGUCGUGUGGGAAGGACCCCCCUAUCGCCCACACUCACUUGGCGACGGUUCCGAAUGCCAUCGCAGAAAGGGGUUAAAAACUGUUUGUUUAGGACCGACGCGUACCAGUGAUUGUCAAGGAAUAGUACAGGGUAAGUAGGAAGACAAAUAGCAGCUAGGUAGUUUGGAUCGGAAUAGGAAGACAGUAUGAAGCCAAAUAUGAAAUCAGAGAGAAUGUCUUCACACAAUGAAGUCAAACAGAGCAGGCAAGCAAUGACUUCAUGAGACUGAACUGUAAGUAAAGGAGUGAAGAGAUAGAACCAGUUGCUUGGCAAAGACAAGGAUUUGGUAGACAAGUUCCAUUUGUUGUGACAACUGUACGUCUAGUUAGGGAGGCUGAGAUUGAACUCAGAAGACCACAUCUUCACUUUAUUCCCCUUGAGCUAAGGUCACUUAGUCCUCGCCCAAUCACUCAGGUAAGUCUUCAAGGUAGACUUGCAAACCUUUACAUACUUCAUUCACCGACGAUCAACAAUGACUCUUGGAUCCUCAUAACGCGACGCCUAACCGACUGGAAGAUCACAAUCUUCAAGUGUAAUAAGUCUCCAGAUCACACACAUAGAAAGACUUCGGUGAUGCCAAACACUCUUUGGGUUCUGGGUGUUUUGGGCUUUGUCCUCGCAAGGAUUCUCUCUCAAAAGCUUCGGAGGUGGGUUGUUCUCAGACGACAAAAGCUGUGCACUAACUCUGAGCCACCAAUUUAUGGUGUAGGGGGUGGGAUAUUUAUGGCCUGGAGGCAACCCGACAUGCUUUGUCCGUAAUGACCAUGGGUCACUAAGGAAUCGACACAUGUCCAACAGUCGGAUUUCAAACACACGCGGCAGCUUGACUUGGGCUAAAAGUAAAGCUGACUUAUCCAACUCUAGAGAAGAUUUUCUCUCAUUUUCUUCACUCGAAGACAUAAGAUUUUGGUUGAGCAUCACGUCAGUUUUCUGACUUUGUUCACUUGAACCCUACUUGACAGUUCAGUGGUUCCUAUGACUCAAGAAAGAAGAAAAUGAAACUACGGAAGAAACUAUGUCUUCACACUCCAUUGUCUUCAAGCGAAUUUCUUCACACGUCAUUUUCCUCGACAUGAAAGUCUUUGAGAACUACCAUUGUCUUCAUAAAUUUUUAGGGGUCAUCUUCGAUGGGUAAUAUGAAUCAAUAGGGACUUCUACCUGUGUCCUCCUAUGAAUCUCACAAACACAUUAGUCUGUCAACCACGUUUGUCGUCAAUACUCCAAAACCAACUAGGGGUGGCACUAGAUGCACUUACAGUUCUGAAGUUGCAAUAUCUUCAACUGCUAAUGUGGUAGCUAACCCCUCUUCUGAGGAUGCCACUACUAUUGUUGAUGAGAAUGCCAGCUUGAAGACAUUGCUUGAAACAAGCAUGUACAAAAUCCUCAAAGGGCAUCAGACUCUGAACCGAAACACUAGGAAAGAGGGUGUUGGUUUCGAGAGGAAAAUGAAUGUUGAUGGUUCCUCCUAGAAGCCUGAGCAGUACCCCAACACCACAUGGGUUGCUACAAAGGGCCCUUCAGUGGACCCAUCCACCUUAUCUGGCUUUAACUGUGCUAAUCCUAUCAUCAUUGAUGAGUCAAUUUACUCUAACUAUAGACUGUUCAAAAAAUGGUGAAGUGUUUACCAGGUUUAUCGGAACUAACUACAGAAAUGGGUCCCUUAUGAAGAAGAUCUGGGUUCCCAAAAGUCGUCUUGAGGAACUUAUCGUGAAUGUCAACAUGACGCCACCAGGGAAGAAGAAAACCCCCAGACCAAAGGCUUCAUAUGGUGCAAAGGCUUCAUACAGACCAAAGACCUCAGAUGUCACCCUAACGCCAAUGUUUUGCAGGGAAACUACCACCAGGCUUAUGAAUAUGAGCAUGUUUCUUUGAAGCGCUAUGUUCACAAAUCAAAUCACUUUUUUGCUUAUUCAUUUGAGUACUAUUCACCUCCUGUGAAACUAUUUAAUAGGGCUUCAAAGCCAAAAUUCUUAGAUGCUGCACUUAGACUCAUUGCUUCUAACCCACCCCUCAAGAUGUGGGUUUUUAAGAAGAAUUAACUUCUCUAGCAGGGUCGGGUCUCCAGCCAAAAAUCACUGACUUCUUAAGACAAUGCUGGGGACCUGAAAACUCUUGUUGGGUGCACGAUAAAAUGUCAAAAUAGUCUUACCAUUUAUUUCGCCAUUGUUUUCUUGAUGACCGUCCUUUCAUAUCCUCAACUAUGCUUACCUAUGAUGAAUGUCUCUAUCGAUACAUGUUUGUUCUUCACAACACUCUUGGUGAAGACUAUCCUACUAACUGCUCUGUAGGGUACAACUCUGAAAGCCACUGAAUGGAUCAUGGACAAUGGCUGCACUAACCACAUGACUGGUGAUCGAAGUCUUCUCAUGGACACUACUCUGCGACCAUCAAAAGUCAUAUCACAUUUGAUGACACUUGUAAAAGCAAGGAAUUUGGUCUAGGUAGGGUUGCUAUCUCAAAGGAUCAACACAUGGAUAAAGUGAUGGUUCUUGAAUCCCUUGGAUACAACCUAAUGUCAGUCUCAAUGCUUUGUAAUCUUGAUAUGAUUGUGAUAUUUGGAAAAUAUUAAUGUCUUGUGCUAAUGUCUUCUAACAAAUCUCAAGUAUUCGAAGGCUAUCGAAGAGGUGAUUUGUAUAUGAUAGAUUUCUCAGUGGAACCAUAGCUUGCCGUACGGCUUCUAGCAAAAGCUUCAGAGUGCUGGCUUUGGCAUCGAAGGCUAGGACAUGCGGGCAUGAAGAACUUGCACACUCUUGUGAAGAAGAAGCACAUCAUUGGCAUCGAGGGCGUCAAGUUCAAGAAGGAUCAUUUGUUUGGUGCUUGCGAAGCUGGGAAGAUGACUAGGGCAAAAGAUCCCUCGAAGACAAUCAUGAUGACUUCACAUCCCUUCGAGUUUCUACACAUGGACUUAUUUGGUCCUACUCACUACUCUACCCUUACUACCACUGUACAUUUUAUGGCUUCGUAAUUGUUGAUGAUUACUCUAGAUAUACUUGGGUGCACAUAAUGCUCUACAAGAUUGAAGUGUAGGAUGUCUUUGGCCGAUUCACCAAUCAUGCCAUGACCAAUUAUGGCAUCAAGAUCUAGCACAUCAGGAGUGACAAUGGCGCCGAGUUAAAUAACACCAGCCUCGACACUUAUCUUGAUACUCUUGGCAUCACUCAUGACUUAUCUGCUCCAUACACACCUCAGCAGAAUGGUGCCGUGGAGCACGAGAAUAGAAAUAUUAUUGAGAUGGCCUACACGCUGCUUGAUGAAUACAAGACUCCAAGAAAGUUCUGGCCUGAAGCCAUUGAUAUUGCAUGCCACAUCGUGAACAGAUUAUAUCUUCAUAAGUUCUUCAAGAAAACAUCUUAUGAAAUGCUCACUGGUAAGAAGCCAAAUGUAAGUUAUUUCAAAGUCUUCGAUGCUAGGUGUUGGAUCAAGGACCCACAUCACACUUCCAAAUUUUCACCGAAAGCACAUGAGGGUUUUAUGCUUGGUUACGGAAAGGAUUCGCACACCUACAGGGUCUUCAACCUCUUUCACUAUAAAGUGGUUAAAAAUGUAAAUGUGUGAUACAUCUCCAAUGUAUCUAUAAUUUUUGAUUGUUCCAUGUUGUUAUAUUAUCAUUCUUGGAUGUUUUACAAUCAUUUUACAGCAAUUUUAAAUCAUUUUUGGGACUAACACAUUGACAUAGUGCCUAGUGCCACUUGCAGUUUUUUGCUUGUUUUUUUACUUUGAAGAAUAUCCCUAUCAAACGGAGUCCAAACGCAGCAAAACUUAUUGGAGAUUUUUUCUGGACCAGAAGACAACUUGGGAGCCAAGGAAGCACCUGGGGGGAGGAUCGUGGGGCCCACAAGACACUAGGGUGCACCCUGAUGGGUUGUGGGGCCCACGGGGGUCUCCUCCAUCGCCUCUCAGCUCUAUAAAUACCCAAAUAUUCCAGAAACCCUAGGGGAGUCGAUGAAACACAAUUGCAGCUGCCGCAAGUUCUAAAACCACGAGAUCCAAUCUAGAGCCAUAUUCUGACACUCUGCCGGAGGGGAACACAAUCACAGAGGGGUUCAUCAUCCUCAUUGGUCCUCCUCCAAUGAUGGGUGAGUAGUUCACUGAUGUUGCUUGUAGCUACGUUGGUAUUUCCCCAAAGAGGAAGGGAUGAUGAAGCACAUCGGCAGUAGGUAUUUCCCUCAGAUAUGAAACCAAGGUUAUCGAACCAGUAGGAGAACCAAGCAACACAACAUAAACAGCCCCUGCACACGGAUAACAAAUCCUAGCAACCCGACGUGUUAAAGGGGUUGUCAAUGCCUUCCGGGGUACGGCGCCUCAAGAUAGGCAAAUGGACGUGAGAUAAAUUUGUAGUAGAUUGAUAGAUCGAAUGCCAAAAAAUAGAAAUAAAACGCAGCAAGGUAUUUUUGUUUUAAUAGAUAUGAAAAUAAAUGCAAAGGAAAAGUAGAUCACAAAGGCAAAUAUAUGAGAAAGAGACCCGUGGGCCGUAGGUUUCACUAGUGGCUUCUCUCAAGAAAAAUAGCAAACGGUGGGUGAACAAAUUACUGUUGGGCAAUUGAUAGAACUUCAAAUGCUCAUGGAUAUCCAGGCAAUGAUCAUUACAUAGGCAUCACGUCCGAGAUUAGUAGACCGACUCCUGCCUGCAUCUACUACUAUUACUCCACACAUCAACCGCUAUCCAGCAUGCAUCUAGUGUAUUAAGUUCAUGGAAAAACAGAGUAAUGCAAUAAGAACGAUGACAUGAUGUAGACAAGAUAUAUCUAUGUAGAGAUAGACCCCAUCGUUUUGUCCUUAGUAGCAACGAUGCAUACGUGUCGGUUCCCCUUCUGUCACUGGGACCAAGCACCGUAAUAUCGAACCCACUAGAAAGCAACUCUUCCCAUUGCAAGAUAAAAAGAUAAAGUUGGCCAAACGAAACCCAAAUAUCGGAGAAGAAAUACGGGGCUAUAAGCAAUCAUGCAUAUAGCAGAUCAAAGAAACUCAAAUAACUUUCAUGGAUAUAAAAAGAUAGAUCUGAUCAUAAACUCAAAGUUCAUCGAUCCCAACAAACACACCGCAAAAGAGUUACAUCAUAUGGAUCUCCAAGAGACCAUUGUAUUGAGAAUUCAGAGAGAGAGAGAGAUGAAGCCAUCUAGCUACUAACUACGUACCUGAAGGUCUACAAAGAACUACUCACGCAUCAUCGGAGAGGCAUCAAUGGAGGUGGUGAACCCCAUCCGAGAUGGUGUCUAGAUUGGAUCUGGUGGUUCUGGACUCUUUGGCGGCUGGAUCAAUAUUUCGUCGACUCCCUAGGGUUUUGGUAAUAUUGGGGUAUUUGUAGAGCAAAGAGGCGGUCCGGGGGCACCCGAGGUAGGCACAACCCACCAGGGCGUGCCUGGGCCUGCUGGCGCGCCCUGGUGGGUUGUGCUCUCCUCGGAGCACCCCCCCAGGCGCAGCGAGGGCCCAUUAUGUUCCUUCUGGUCCAAAAAAUUCUCUGUGGAGUUUCGUUGCGUUUGGACUCCGUUUGAUAUUGAUUUCGUGCGAUGUAAAAAACAUGCAGAAAACAGCAACUGGCACUUGGCACUAUGUCAAUAGGUUAGUACCGAAAAAUGAUAUAAAAUGACUAUAAAAUGAUUAUAAAACAUUCAAGAUUGAUAAUAUAACAGCGUGGAACAAUAAAAAAUUAUAGAUACGUUGGAGAUGUAUCAGCAUCCCCAAGCUUAACUCCUACUCGUCCUCGAGUAGGUAAGUGAUAAAAACAGAAUUUUUGAUGUGGAAUGCUGCGUAACAUUUCAUAUCAUAUUCUUUUCUUUGUAGCAUGGACAUUUGGACUUUUAUGUGAUUCAAAGCAAUAGUCUAGUUUUGACAUGAUAAUUUAAAUACUCAAGCAUAUCAACAAGCAACCAUGUCUUUCAAAAUAUCAAAGCUAAAAUAAGUUAUCCCUAGCCCAUCAUGCUCAACCAUUUAUCCAUUCAUGAAACACACUCGCGCAUUUGCUACACCCAAUACUUAAGUACGAUCAUAUUUACUCCUAGUUGGUGCUUAUGUAAGAGAAGAUGGAGAUUCAAAUUCAAAAAUAAAAAUUGCAUAAUGUAAAUGAAAGGCCCUUCACAGAGGGAAGUAGGGAUUUGUAGAGGUGCAAGAGCUCAAAGCGAAAAACUUAGAGAUAAAAACAUUUUGGGAGGUAUGACCAUCCCACCAACGAAAACGACUUAGAGUUCCCAACACUUUCCAUGCUAGAUAUAUCAUAGGCGGUUCCCAAACAGAAAAUAAAGUUUAUUCCUUUUUCAACCAUACUUUCACUUUCCAUGGCUAGCCGUAUCCACGGUUGCCCCCCAUACCAACACUUUCCAUGGAAUUUAUUUUUUGACAACAUAAAGUAAAUUCAUUUUUUCAUUUCGGGACUGGGCAUCCCUAAUACCUUUACCUUAUUCUCGUGCAAUGACAAGCGAAUAAACACUCAUCAUGAGAAUAACACAUCUAGCAUCGAAAAUAUUAGGCACCCCUCGCCGUUCCGCGAGGGAAACGAACACACAAAAGAGAAGUUUAUUUUGAAAAUUAGAGAUGGCACAUGAAAAUUUGCUUAGAACGGCAAAAGAAUACCGCAUAUAGGUAGAUAUAGUGGACUCAUGUGGCAAAACUGGUUUAAAGGGUUUUGGAUGCACAAGUAGAGAUCAUACUUAGAGCAAAAUGAAGGCUAGCAAAAGAUUGAGAAGCGACCAACCAAGAAACGGAUAAUCUCAUAAGCAAGCAUUAAGCAUAAUUAACACCGAAUAAUGCAACAUAAGUACGAUACAAUUUCAUUGCAUGACUAUUAACUUUCGUGCUUGCAUAGGGAAUCACAAACCUUAACACCAAUAUUCUUACUAAAGCAUAAUUACUCAUCAACAUAUCACAUCAUCAUAUCUCAAAACUAUUACUAAGAAUCAAGUUUAUUUUGUCCAAUGGUCUUCAUGAGAGUUUUUAUUAUAUCGUUCUUCGAUAUCUAUCACUUUGGGACUAAUUUUCAUGUGUUGCUUUUCACAAGCUCAAACAAAUAUAAGUGAAGAUCAUGAGCAUAUUUUUUAUUUCUCUCAAAAUAAUUUAAGUGAAGAAAGAGAGAAUUUCUUGAAAAUUUUACUAACUAUCAAAUAAAUCUAAGUGGAGCAAGAGAGCAUUUCUUCAAAAAUACAAAAGCACACUCUGCUCAAAAAGAUAUAAGUGAAGCACUAGAGCAAGUCCAUAGCUCAUAAAUUUUUUAAGUGAAGCAUAAAGAGCAAUUCUAACAAGUCAUGAAAUAAUUUUGGCUCUCCCAAAUAAGUGUGUCUAGCAAGGGAUCAAGACAUAAAACACAAAAUAAAACAUGCAAAGACACAUAUCAUACAGGACGCUCCAAGAAAAACACAUAUCAUGUGACGAAUAAAAAUAUUGCUUCGAGUAAAAUACCGAUGGUCGUUAGAAGAAAGAGGGGAUGCCACUCAGGGGCAUCCCCAAGCUUAGUUGGUUGCUCAUUUUUGGAUAAUACCUUGGGAUGUUGGGGCAUCCCCAAUCUUAGGCUCUUCUACUCCUUAUUCCUUCAUCCAUCGUAAGAUAACCCAAAACUUGAAAACUUCAAUCACACAAAACUCAACAAAACCUUCGUGAGAUCCGUUAGUAUAAGAAAGCAAAUCACUACUAUAAGUACUGUAUCAAACCAAUUCAUAUUUUUUUAGCAUUAUAUCUACUAUAUUCCAACUUUUCUAUGGAAAAAAACCAUCAAAAACCAUGGAGCCAUCAGAAUAAGCACACAACGCAAAGAAAACAGAAUCUAUCAAAACAGAACAGUCUGUAGCAAUCUGACUAUUUCGAAUACUUCUGUAACUCGGUAACAAAAAAACGAUGACCUUGGUAAUUUUUAUAUUAAUCUUCUACAAAAAGAAUUGGCAUUUUAUCACGCUCUGGUAAAAAAUAAGAAUUGUUUUCCUGAGCGCAAAGUUUCUGUGUUUUUCAGCAAGAUCGUACAACUAUCACCCAAGAAGAUCCUAUUGGUUCUACUUGGCACAAACACUAAAUAAAACACAAAAAACACAAUCAUAACAGUAGCAUAAUUGUGCGAACACUCAAGAACAGAAAGCAAAAAGUAAAAAUAAAUUUUAUUCAUUGGGUUGCCUCCCAACAAGCGCUAUAGUUUUACGCCCUUAGCUAGGCAUAAAGCAAGGAUCUAAGUUUUGUCAUGUUUGGUUCGAGAUCCAUAAGAUGCCCUCAUGAUUGAUUCAUAUGGUGGCCUAAUUCUUGUUCUAGGGAAGUGUUCCAUACCCUUCCUCAAAGGAAAUUGGAACUUAAUAUUGCCUUCUUUCAUAUCAAUCACGGCACCGGUAGUGCGUGAAAACGGUCUACCAAGAAUAAUUGGACAAGACGGAUUUGCAAUCAAUAUCAAGAACAAUAAAAUCUAUGGGCACAUAAUUCCUAUUUGCAAUAAUAAGAACAUCAUUAAUUCUUCCCAUAGGCUUUUAAAUAGUAGAAUCCGCCAAGUGCAAAUUUAAAGAGCAUUCUUCAAGAUCGGUAAGACCAAGCACAUCACAUAAAGAUUUCGGAAUUGUAGAAACACUAGUACCCAGGUCACACAAAGAAAAACACUCAUAAUUUUUAAUCUUGACUCUGAUAGUAGGUUCCCAUUCAUCAUGCAAUUUUCUAGGAAUUGACACUUCUAAUUCCAAUUUUUCUUCAAAAGCUUUCAUCAUAGCAUCAACAAUAUGUUUAGUAAAAGCUUUAUUUUCUUCAUAAGCAUGGGGUGAAUUUAUCAUGGAUUGCAAAAAAGAAAUACAAUCAAUCAAAGAGAAAAUAUCAUAAUUAAAGUCUUUGUAAUCCAAAAGAGUGGGCACAUCACUAGCUAAAGUUUUGACCUCUUCAAACCCACUUUCAUCAAUUUUCUCAACAAAAUUUUCACCCUCUGAAAUAUUGGAACGCCUUCUACCUAAAGUUGACUCUUCUCCAGUCCCUUUUUCAUCAAUAUUAACUUUACUAAACAAGGAAUCAAUAGAAGAAACACCAAUCAUUUUAAGAUUUUCAUCACUUUUGCGAAAAAAUCACUAGAAAACGCUUUUUCUAAAAAUUCUCUUUUAGCUCUAAGCAUAGCGGUUCUUUCAUUACUUUCAUCCAUAGAAACAUAAAUAGCUUUAAUUGAUUCAUCUACUUUAGACAAAAAAUCAUCUUGAGAUUUUCCACAUCAUGAGCAAUUCUAUAACACUUCUAGACAAAUCAUCAAUCUUACUCAACAUUUCUUCUAUGGAAGUGUUGAAAACUUUUUGCGUGUUGAUAAAUUAUUUAAUAUUAUUCUCAAGAUCAGAGCUAUUCCUAUUAUUAUUAUAAGAUUGAUUUCCAUAGGAUUAAAAUUACCUCUAUAAGCAUUGUUGUUGAAAUUAUUUCGAGAGAUAAAAUUCACAUCUAUGGCAUCACUAUUUUGCUCAAUCAAAGUAGACAAAGGCAUAUCAUUAAAAUCUAUAGGAUCACUUUUACUAGCAAACAAUUUCAUAAGAGCAUCAACUUUUUCACUCAAAGAAGAAAUUUCUUCAACCGAAUUAUUUUUUUUACUAGUAGGAGCCCUUUCGAUAUGCCAUUGUGAAUAAUUUGCCAUGAUAUUAUCAAGCAAUUUGGUGGCUUCACCCGAAGUAAUUUCCAUAAAAGCACCACCCGCGGGGAAUCUAGAAGAUUACGAGAUACAAAAUUCAAACCCGCAUAAUGUUUUUGUAUAAUCAGCCAAAGAUUUAACCAAUGAGUUGGGCAAUUCCUUAGCAUCAUUUUCAUACUUUCCCAAGAUUGUGCAACAUGCUCAUGUUCAAGUUGCUUGAAAUUCAUGAUUUGGAUUCUAAGGGAAAUAAUUUUUGCGGGAGGAAAAUACUUAGUGAUAAAAGCAUCUUUGCACUUAUUCCAAGUAUCGAUACUAUUGCGAGGCAAAGAAGAGAACCAAAUUUUUGCAGAAUCACGCAAAUAAAACAAAAAUAAUUUCAUCUUCACGACAUCAAUGUCCACAUCUUUUUUCUUUUGCAUAGCACAUAAUUCCACGAAGGUAUUAAGAUGGGACGCGGCAUCCUCGUUAGAAGUACCGGAAAAUUGAUCUUUCAUAACAAGAUUCAGCAAAGCAGUAUUAAUAUCACAUGACUCCGCACUAGUGGCGGGAGGAGCAAUCGAAGUGCCGAUAAAAUCAUUGUUGUUGGUAUUUGAGAAAUCACAUAACUUGGUGUUCUCUUGAAUCAUGAUGACUACAUAACAAGAUUGCACUCAAAAAUAGAUCCGGCAAGAAAGCGACGAACGAGAAAGAGAGGCGAAUAAAACGGCAAAUUUUUGUGAAGUGGGGGAGAGGAAAACGAGGGGAAAAUGGCAAAUAAUGUAAAUCGCGAGGAGAUGAGAUUUGUGAUUAGGAACCUGGUAUAUGUUGAAGAUGCUCCCCAGCAACGACGCCAGAAAUUCCUUUUGAUGUCGCUUGAAGCUACGUCAGUAUUUCCCAAAAGAGGAAGGGAUGAUGCAGCACAGCGGCGGUAGGUAUUUCCCUCAGAUAUGAAACCAUGGUUAUCAAACCAGUAGGAGAACCAAGCAACACAACGUAAGCAGCCCCUACACACAGAUAACAAAUCCUCGCAACCCGACACUUAAAGGGGUUGCCAAUCCCUUUCGGGAUACGGCACCUCAAGAUAGGCAAACAGACGUGAGAUAAAUUUGUAGUAGGUUGAUAGAUCGAACGCCAAACAAAAUAAAUAGAAAUAAAACACAGCAAGGUAUUUUUAUAUUUUUGUUUAAUAGAUAUAAAAAUAAAUGCAUAGAAAAAGUAGAUCGCAAAGGCAAAUAUAUGAGAAAGAGACUCGGGGGCCGUAGGUUUCACUAGUGGCUUCUCUCGAGAAAAAUAGCAAACGGUGGGUGAACAAAUUACUGUUGGGCAAUUGACAGAACUUCAAAUAAUCAUGAUGAUAUCCAGGCAAUGAUCAUUACAUAGGCAUCACAUCCAAGAUUAGUAGACCGACUCCUGCUUGCAUCUACUACUAUUACUCCACACAUCGACCGCUAUCCAGCAUGCAUCUAGUGUAUUAAGUUCAUGGAAAAAACGGAGUAAUGCAAUAAGAACGAUGACAUGAUGUAGACAAGAUCUAUCUAUGUAGAGAUAGACCCCAUCGUUUUAUCCUUAGUAGCAACGAUACAUACGUGUCGGUUCCCCUUUUGUCACUGGGAUCAAGCACUGUAAGAUCGAACCCACUACAAAGCACCUCUUCCCAUUGCAAGAUAAAUAGAUCAAGUUGGCCAAAGAAAAGCCAAAUAUCGGGGAAGAAAUACGAGGCUAUAAGCAAUCAUGCAUAUAAGAGAUCAAAGAAACUCAAAUAACUUUCAUGGAUAUAAAAAAGAUAGAUUUGAUCAUAAACUCAAAGUUCAUCGAUCCCAACAAACACACCGCAUAAGAGUUACAUCAUAUGGAUCUCCAAGAGACCAUUGUAUUGAGAAUUCAGAGAGAGAUAUAUGAUGCCAUCUAGCUACUAAAUACGGACCCGAAGCUCUACAAAGAACUACUCACGCAUCAUCGGAGAUGCACCAAUGGAGGUGGUGAACCCCAUCAGAGCUGGUAUCUAGAUUGGAUCUGGUGGUUCUGGACUCUGCGGUGGCUGGAUCAUUUCGUCGACUCCUUAGGGUUUUGGGAAUAUUGGGGUAUUUAUAGAGCAAAGCGGUGGUCCGGCGGGCACCCGAGGUGGGCACAACCCACCAGGGCGUGCCUGGGCCUCCUGGCGCGCCCUGGUGGGUUGUGCUCUCCUCGGAGCACCCCCAGGCAUAGCCAGGGCCCAUUAUGUUCCUUCUGGUUCGAAAAAAAUCUCCAUGGAGUUUUGUUGCGUUUGGACUCCGUCUAAUAUUGAUUUCUUGCGAUGUAAAAAACAUGCAGAAAAUAGCAACUGGCACUUGGCACUAUGUCAAUAGGUUAGUACCAAAAAAUAAUAUAAAAUUACUAUAAAAUGAUUGUAAAACAUUCAAGAUUGAUAAUAUAACAGCAUGGAACAAUCAAAAAAUAAUGAUACAUUGGAGACGUAUCAUUCACCAUAGACCUACGGGUCCGUAGGCAAUAGCUAGAUGGCUUGUUCUCUCUUUUCGAUUCUUAAUACAAUGGUUUCUUGGAGAUCUAUUUGAUGUAAUGACUUUUGUGGUGUGUUUGUUGGGAUCUGAUGAAGUUCGAUUUUAUGAUUAGUUCAAUAUCCAUGAAUAUUAUUUGAGUCUUCUUUGAUCUCUUAUAUGCAUGAUUAUUUAUAGCCUCGUACUUCUUCUUUGAAUCUUUGGUUUAGUUAGGCCAACUAGAUCGAUUUUUCUUGCAAUGGGAAGAGGUUCUUUGUGAUGGGUUCGAUCUUACGGUGUCCUCACCCAGUGACAGAAGGGGUAGCGAUGCAUGUGUGUAUCAUUGCUAUUAAGGAUAACAAGAUGGGGUUUAUUCCUACAUGAAUAGAUCUUGUCUACAUCAUGUCAUCAUUCUUAUUGCAUUACUCCGUUUCUCCAUUAACUUAAUACACUAGAUGCAUGCUGGAUAGUGUUCAUUGUGUGGAGUAAUAGUAGUAGAUGUAGAAUCAUUUCGGUCUACUAAUCUUGGAUGUGAUGCCUAUAUUCAUAAUCAUUGCAUUGGAUAUAGUCAUAAUUAGUUGCUCUUCUAUCAAUUGCCCAACUGUAAUUUGUUUACCCACUGUAUGCUAUUUUCUCGAGAGAAGCCACUAGUGAAAUAUAUGCCCCCGGGUCUAUAUUUUAUGAUAUUGCUUUCGGAUCUAUCUUUUAUCGUAUUUGUUUUCAGAUCUUUGUUGUGUUGUUUCUUUAUUUAUUUUAUUUUGCGUUUUACUCAGAUCUCUUUAUCCAAUCUCAUACAAACCAAUCUAUCUUUUUACCAUGGAGGGAUUGACAGCCCCUCUUACGCGUCGGGUUGCAAGUAUUUGUUCUUUGUAUGCAUGUACCGUUUACGUAGUGUUGCUUGGUUCUCCUACUGGAUUGAUAUCUUGGUUUCACAACUAAGGGAAAUACUUACCGUAGCUAUGAUGCAUCAUCCCUUCCUCUUGGGGGAAAUACUGACGCAGUUUCAAGCCACGUCAAUGUGCGGUUCGAUGAGACUAACGGCUCGCAAAGAGAGCACCUACCAAAUGUGCUAAAUGAAGUUCUAGCUAAUGAAGCCAUCAAGCUAAUGGGUACUGGGGAAAUCUUACCCAUUGAGGAACAAGGACAUGAUGAAGUUGUGAUUCCUGCUCCUAUUCAGCGUGAAGACAUUGCCGAGUCUGAAGAUAAUGCUAAAAACGAAGACAAUGAUCAGCACAGCAAAGUCUUCGCCCAGUUCAUCCUCGUGUUGCCAAUGAAAGUUCGGAUUGAGAAGAUAAUUGAUAUCAUCAAUGCACCUAGACCAUUUACUCAAUCAAGAGCUAUACAACUAGCUAACUUUUGUGGGCACUUUGCAUUCGUCUCCAUAUCUGAACCCAGAAGGUUGUGAAGCUUUGAUGGAACCAGAAUGGAUUCAAGCUAUGCAAGAAGAGCUUCAACAAUUUGAGCCCAAUAAUGUCUGGGAGCUUGUCAAAUGUCCUGACGCUCGCAAGCACAAUAUUAUUGGCACCAAAUGGAUCUACCGCAACAAACAAGAUAAAUUUGGUCAAGUUGUCAGAAACAAAGCUCGUCUCAGUGCACAAGGUUACACACAAGUAGGGGGAAUUGAAUUCGAUGAAACCUUUGCUCUUGUGGCCAGACUUAAAUCCAUCCACAUACUGCUAGCCUAUGCAAAUCACAAUGAUAUCCUUCUGUACGAAAUGGAUGUGAAGAGCGCUUUCCUCAAAGAAAAAAUUGAAGAAGAACUCUAUGUUGCUCAACCACCUGGUUUUGAAGAUUCAAAGCAUCCUGACAUGGUCUACAAGCUCAACAAGGCACUGUAUGGCUUCAAACAAGCUCCUCGUGCUUGGUAUGACACACUCAAAGAAUCCUGAAGAGCAAAGGCUUCAAACCUGGUUCUCUGGAUACCACUCUCUUUCACAAAGACAUAUGAUGAAGAACUAUUUGUUUGCCAAAUCUACGUGGAUGACAUUAUCUUCAGCUGCACUUACAAAAGAUAUAGUGAUGAGUUCAGUCACAUGAUGCAAGAGCAAUAUCAGAUGUCUGUGAUGGGGCAGCUAAAAUUCUUUCUCGGUCUUCAAAUCCGUCAGCAAAGUAAUGGCAUCUUCAUAUCUCAAGAAAAGUAUCUCAAAGAUUGUCUGAAGAUGUUUGGAAUGCAAGAUUGCAAGGGCUACAAGAAGCCUAUGCCAUCACUACAAAAAAAGACACAUCCGUGACAUUAUGGGCCGAACGAUUUUUUUCCUAUCAUGCUUAUGACACUUUUAUGAUGAUAAUUGUGAAAAAAACACGUAUCAUCAUAGAUGUGGUGGGCUCCUACUUCUCUGAUAAAAAAAUCAUGACAUAAAUUUGGCUUUUCAUCCUGGGCGGGCCGGAGACACACCUGCAUGACAUUCUUUGGGCCGUCCAUGACAGAAAAAUCAUGGUAGAAGCGAGAGCGAGGAAAAAUAUCAGGGAGUUCCCAGUUAUGGUGGGUGGUCGGGGUCGAGCGAUGCACUAUCAUUUGCGUGUUUCUGUUGUACGCGCGUGUGUGUGAGGGCGUUGGCUAACUGAACCCGAGCGAUCGCACUAGCUACAUUACUUGACCCAAUGGAGAGAUUGAUCCCUUGGCUGUUAACUGAACCCGAGCGAUUCAUUCACUGCUGACUGAAACCAAUCGCGAUUCUUUCGCUGCUCCUGCUAACUAAACCCGAGCGAUCCAUCGCUGCUGCUGCUUACUGAAGCUGAUCGAGCCCCCAUGCGAGACGUAGCUAGCCGGUGUUGGGUUGCCUCUUGAUGAACAGUGAACGUUGCUACUGUGCGUGCGGCUCGUAGAAUGAGUCAAGACGUGGUGAGUUGAGCCGGUUGGUCGGCUCUGGAUCAAUAGUUCUCGAUGGGGGUUGGAUGAAUAGGACCCCGUGGUAGUAGGCAGUUGCCGCUCGAUGAACAGGACCCCGAGGACGCCCCCACACCCCAGCCGGUUGGGGGUGGAUGAACAGUGCCCCGUGGAUGCUCUAUGAACAGUAGAUGGUGGAGCCUGGAAGACAACAGUGGAUGAAUAGUACCCCGUGGAGGCUGGAACGAGAGGCAGUAGCUAGAUGGUGGAUGAAUAGUAGCCCGUGGAGUCCCGUUUUGCGGUAAGCCACACCCCUCGCAAUGAAUAGGAGCCUGUUUCGACCGUAGGCGGUUGAAGAGAAGUCCGUUUCCUCCGUUUUGUGGUACGACAGACCCCUCCCGAUCAACAUGACCCCAUUUCGGCUGUAGGCGGUUGAACAUAAGUCUGUUUCCUCCAUUUUGCGGUACGCCAGACUCCUCCCGAUCAAUAGGACCCCGUUUCGACCGUACGCGGUCAAAUAAAAGCUCGCUUCCUCCGAUUUAUGGUACGCCAGGACCGGUUUUAGUUGUUUCGUCCAAGCGAUUCGCUCCCGAUGAACAACACGUGUUCUGACCUAGUGGCUAUGCUUCCGAGGAACAGGAUGCGUUACGACCCAGUCGCUUGGCUCUUGAUGUCGCUUGAACUAUGUCGGUAUUUCCCCAAAGAGGAAGGGAUGAUGCAGCACAGCUACGGUAGGUAUUUCCCUCAGUUAUGAAACCAAGGUAUCAAUCAAGUAGGAGAACCAAACAACACUAAGUAAAUGGUACCUGCACACAAAGAACAAAUACUUGCAACCCGACGCGUAAGAGGGGUUGUCAAUCCCUCCACGGUAAAAAUAUAGAUAAAUUUGUAUUUCAUCAGGAGCCAAUCGGCUUGGCCGGAAGCAAAAGCUAUAUUCGAAGGGGCCCCUAUUUUCAUGCAGGAAAGUCAUUUCGAUCCAAUCCAUUCUUGGGGUCCGAAAAAGACACUGGAUAUGUCAGUGACUUUGCACAACAAAGUGUUCUCCGAGGGCAUGGAAUGUACCAUUUUUUGUUCUGAAUCUUUACCGUAAUGUCUAUGUUGGAUUCUCUAGUCGAAAUACAGGAAAACUCCAUCAAAUUCUUUAUGGAAACAGAGUUUGGUGAAUUCUCCCCGGAACUGGAAGAUCAUUUCGAGAUCUUCGAGCAUAUUCGACGGUUCAAUGAGACUAUUGUCACUUCGGCCAAUAAAAAAGAUGAGACUUUAAUACUGUGGAGCGGUUUUUUGCUAAACGAUGAAGGUGAAACUAAGUAAGAUGUCGGAGAAGCAAUGAAAUAUACGAGAUCACAAACGUAGAUUGCUCGCGCCUAAAUAUGAAUUGAGAUGAAAGCUUUCAAAUUUGGUAACCCGAUCUUCCGUCUGAUAUGCGGGAAAAACAUCAUUAUAAGUUGUCCAAGUUGCCAAGAAAGAGUUCAAUGGCACGAGUAAGAAACCGAGGUAUUUCGCAGGUCGCGCUUGUUCCGUAGUUGAGUUCUUUUUCAUUUCUCGUAUCGUUUUUCGUGGAUUAGCAUCUCGAGGUUCUUUGAUGGGCAUAAAUAAAUCGUCUUGGUAGCAACCACCAAACCAAUAGAACAAAGGUUAGCUCUGCAGCUAGUCCACAAGCAAGGGUUGUAGGUCCAUUACCAUCUGGCUCCCGACCGAAACUAACGGAGUCAUCCAAACGCUCGGAUCGGAGAUGCUAACGGGAUAAGAAUCGAAGUGGGGGACCUCUCUACUGCACCUGUCUCCCCAGACAUAGACUACGUACAUUGUAGUACUCUUGGAAAGAGAGAAGAUCACCGCGUGAACAAAAUCCAAAGUAACGAAUGUCACUCCCGAGGGAUCGACCCCUAUCAUACAUGAAAUUUUGCAUAGAAUGAUUGUUCAUGUUCACGCCGGAGUGCUGAGGUUGUUCUCACCAUUGAAGUCAGAGUCUGGGUGUGUUUUUCUUACUAAUACACAGAGGGUUCCGAAUGAUAAAGACCAAUCAAAAACUUCUUUGUUUCAUUGGUAGAACCCACGCCAACUCUUUUAUCUAUAUAAUAGAGAGAUCUUUUGAUAGUCUCACUUCUAUCAAUGCAUUGAAAGAAAUAUACCUUCCUAUUUGUUUGUCCUAAUGAGACAAAAAGGAUCCUCCUUCUUUACCACUUUAGGGGAUGCGGGUGAAGGGGGGUUUACAUACAACCAGGGCAAAGUGGUUUAUGAUUGAAUCUUAGAGGCAUUCUUAUCAUUUGGUAGAUCCAAAUCCAUGGCAAAUUUCGGGUUCACUAGGAGGUUUGGCAACCACCGUAGGAGGUGGGAUGUACAUGCACUCAUUUCAAGGGGGUGCAACACUUCUCAGUUUGGGCCUAAUAUUUGUCCUUUAUACCAUGUUCGUAUGGUGGCGAGAUGUCUACGUAAAUCUACAAAAGUUGUACAAUUAGGACCUCGAUAUGGUUCUAUUCUCUUCAUAGUCUCAGAGGUCAUGUCCCUUUUUGCUUUUUUGGGCUUCUUCUCAUUCUUCUUUAGCACCUAUGGUAGAGAUUAGAGGUAUUUGUCCCCCAAAAGGGAUUGGGGUUUUAGAUCCUUGGGAAAUCCCUCUUCUUAAUACCCCUAUUCUACCUUCAUCCGGAGCUGCCGUAACUUGGGCUCAUCAUGCUAUACCCGCGAGGAAGGGAAAACAAGCAGUUUACGCUUUAGUAGCAACUGUUUCACUGGCUCUAGUAUCCACUGGCUUUGAAGGAAUGGAAUAUUACCAAGCACCCUCCACUAUUUCAGAUAAUAUUUAUGGUUCUACCUUUUUCUUAGCAACUGGCUUUCAUGGGUUUCAUGUGAUUAUAGGUACUCUUUUCUUGAUCGUAUGUGGUAUUCGCCAAUAUCUUGGUCAUCUGACCAAGAAGCAUCACGUUGGCUUUGAAGCAGCUGCAUGGUACUGGCAUUUUGUUGACGUGGUUCGGUUAUUCCCAUUUGUCUCUAUCUAUUGGUGGGGAGGUAUAUGAAAGAAGGGAACGAAUAAUUGGACUGAGGAAUAAAAGCUCGAAGACAAAGAGAACUCCUCCGGGUACUCAAGAUAUUGUGUUUUGAGAGGUAUAGAUUGUAGAUUCCAGCCAAGAAGACCAGGAAAAGAUAAGGAUAAAGAAAAAUGUUCUCAUUUUUAAAUAAAUUGAAAUUCAUUGAAGACCCCUCAGUUUUUGAAAAGAUACCUUCCUCAGAUCAAGAGGAUUGUAAAGUGAAAAUACGAAAAAUGGUUCAUUCGUUAUUAGGAACCUCGUUUACAAAGUUACAUAAAGAUAUCGUCAUAAAUUUCAUAUUCAAAAUCUGGGGAGAAGGGGCCGGCUGAUCUCUGUCUGGAUUUAAUCACAAACAGGUACCAUUAUGAGAGGUUCAUUCGGGCUGUUGCUCAUAUACAACAAGUGCAACAGAUCCAGAAUGCAGCGGAGAAGCUGAAGCAAGCUUCUGUGUGGAAAGAGCAAGCAACAAUGGCAAAAAAGGCCCGUGAUGAUGCCGAAGCAAAUUUUGCGGAAGCAUCAAAUUAUUAUCAACAAGCCACUGCAGAAGCGGACGAAGCCACUGCUCUAGUCGCUCUUAAUAGGCCCUUGGAAGAAGCUCUCCAUAUCUCACUCCCUAUGCGUUUUUUCUUUUUGAUUUGCCUCGUGAUUUUUGUUCUUUCAAGUUCCAUUUUGUAUUUUUGGUCAUUUAAAAAAUAAGUUCGUUUCAUAUAGUUGUUUUUGUGUAGUGAUCUCUGUUCAUGGAGAUGACGAGGCCACUGAUACCCUAUGUGGAUAGGUGGGAUAGAAGAGUGGGCAUGUGGGCUUCUAUCAAAAGAUACCGCUAUCGCUACGCUCAUAUACGUCAAGGAAAGGAAGGGAGCGGAAAGAUGCGUUAAUGUUUCCACCUACUCUCUUUUAUAGCACAAGGGUGAGUUAAGUAUAGGGAUGAUCCACUCGUCGUAAUAGCGGCACGUUAGAACAUUAUCUACAUGUUUCCUUUUCUUGCUCAUGGCACAUGCCUAUCGUAAAACAUACCUACCGGGAGAAAAGUAUGAGUUUGUGAGCAUGCCAUUCCCUUUGAUCAUGCACUCAUUUACUAGAUAUUCAGGAACCUUAUUUUGACUUUACUAGCUUACUUUACUAGUAGAGUAGCAGGCCUUUGCUUCUGAACGACCUUACAAAAUGGAUCAACUAGAAAUGAAUUGGUGUCAUAAACGAAUUUCUCUAACCGUAGUAGUAAAUAGUGUGACACCAAGCAAUCGAUCAAAGCCAACUCAAGUUGUAUGGAAGGUGGACAGUCGAAUUACCCAACUGAAAUGAAGAAAGCCAUCCGCAUAGACGGAGUCCAGUUGUAUAGUUCAGGCUACGGAAGAAGACAUGAUGCCAUUUCUCUUAUCGAUACAGGAAAAUGAGCUAUUAGUAGAAACUACCUGGAAUUCUCGUGAACCAUCCAAGAGUAACCGCGCACCCGAGGUGUUCAAAGCCCCUUAGCAAUGGGAACGAAAUACUGUAUUAAUAGAGUGUUUGUGAAAGGAAAUUCCUGAAAUGAUGUAUCAUCGAAAUGGUUCAUUUCAAAAUGUUACCGCAUCACCGGUAGGAUUUCCAGCUUUCUCGAUGGUAGGUUUAGGUAUUUUUCUAGCGAAGUAAGGGACCAAGGAAGGAAUUUGUAGCCCAGAACCUUAAGCAGGAGCUCAUAACAUAUACGAAUGGAAGGAUUCCAGCUAUUGUUUCCUACCCCAAUAGUAAGUCUCGGAAAAAGACUCCUUCUCGAAAGAUAUAGGCAGUCAUCGCAUUAUCUACUUGAUUAUGAUAUGGAUUUGGAUCCAACGGAUAAUGCAAAUCGAAAAGUCAAGCCCGCCUAAAAAUGAAAGUGAAAUUUCAGUACGAAUUGGUAGAGCAAGAGCAGCUAGUUUAGAAGGAAAAGAAAAAGGGCGCCUGCUCAGUGGUAAGUUAGGUCAUUCCUUUCUGGCUAUCAGAAAAGAGUAUGAUCGAGGGUCCCAUAAGGCAAAGGGAAGGUGCUCCCCCGACCUACUACCCUCGGAGAGAUUCCUACGGUUUUCUUUUAAAAAAUAAUACAUAGGUGUGAAAGUUGUAUGAAUAUGGGGUUCGAAGUCGCCUAAAAGAACCUUUCUCAUUCGCAAAGCUAAACAAAGUAGAGAAAAGGGGGUCAUCCCAUCAUCCAGACUGAGCAUCAAGCCAGCCAAGAAGUCAAAGCGAAGAAGGAGUGACUCGCAUGAGUCAACACUUACUACUCAGGUCCGGUAUAUAUAUAUAUCUCAAAUUAGAAUAUAGAAAUGUUAAUGUUAUGAUUUCAGUAUUGUUGAAACUGGCUUUCACAUGAAUAACCCCUUUUGUUAUUCUACGUGCACUAUUCGUAAACUAAAACGGGCAUUCCUACACAAACUAAUAGGCACUUUCUUUCGUGAACCUAUUUUGGUAUAGCUCUGCUAAUAUUUGAUGGCCAUUUGUACUUGUGAAAAUAGAUAGAGCCAUCUCGCGCAUCACUGCUUACUUGUGAUCUAGAUCUGCAUCCUGAUAAGGUGCAUCCCAUUAAAUGAUCUUAUGUAAAACUUAUCAUCACAGAUAAUAAACAUGGUAGAGUUUUGAAAAGUACAACUCGAUCUUUCACCUCAGCUUAUGGUGGUGACUUUACCUAUUUAGGAAUUUCUAUAUGUCAUCAUACAUUUUAGGAUCAUAACCAUCAUCAUCUUGUAAAGUUUCUAUGGUGAAAGCUGUAAGCGGCUGACCCUGACGAUUGCACCAAGACUGGUAUGAGGGUCCUUCGGUAAUCAAAAUUAUAGAGGCCAAAUUUGCUAAUGUACGUGCAAAAGAAGAGCUAUAGGAAGUAGCAAGGAAUCCCACAUGAACCAUAAGCUAGAAUACUGGUAUCAAGAGAUGUUAUUACAGGUACAACCCUAUUUUUGUCACUUUAUAUAGGCAUUCGAGGUUUCAUAGACAAAGGUUAGAUAGAUGGAAAAAACUAGGUUAGAUAGUAAGAACUUGGUAAUUGAGGGUUGGCCAAAGCAGGAUCUAUGGUUCAGUUGCUUUCUUCUCCUGAUUUUUUGAUCCAAAUCCUAUUUCAUUGAUUUUCUGAUUGGAAUUCCAGAAGGAAAACUAGGAGAAAUUGACCUGAAAUGAUUAUCCCAUUUCUUGCUUUCCCAACCGGAAGAGCAAACUAGUAGCAAAGGAUAUGUUAUUUUGGAGUUCUUUCCCAACCUUCAUUCAAUUAUCCGGGCGGCCCUUUGGCUUGAAGAAGACCGCUUUACCUCUUUUUCCCUGGCACCCAACAUAAGUAUAGGGCGCCCUGAGGGUAGACCCAGCAAUUUGUCAAUCUAUACAUAGCAUAAGUUAUAGGUCGGCUAGGUCAAUCAGUUGAGGGAAGGCCGAAGUAGUUCUGGUUUCGAAAAUCAAGGAAGAUAAGCUAUGGUGUCCUAUAAUCCUCUCCCCUGAAGGGUUGUUAGAUUACCAAGUCCGCAAGGAAUGGGAAAUAUGACUUUAAAUCAAUGCAACUAAGGGCUGAUUAACCUAAAGAAAAGAGUGCAUGCAUCAAAAAACUCUUUUAUUUGAUUCCAAUUCUCGUAUCAAUAAGAUCAUAUCGCGAUCCAUCUAUGAAAGAUCUCUAUUGCAUCAAUAAAACAAACCCCUAUACAUAUAUCCCUUUUUGGUAUAGAAAGUUCCAGCCAAUUCCAAUAGCUUGUGAUAGAGUCAAGGGUGCGAUUACCCUGGAAUCUCAUCUCACACUUUCGGGAAGCUCGAUAGUGUCGUAUUCCACUCGUAUGCUCUCGUUAUGUAAUAGAAUACCUUUUAAUGUUCAUCAAGUGAACGUAGCCCUUUCGUAGUCUAUGCCCCUUUACUCUUAAGUGGAGGAAUCCCCUGAAAGCCGGUGAUCGAGUGAGUUUUUUCCAGGAAGCUAGUUCUUUAGGGCUUAAAUGCACCGCUUGUCGGCUGUGAAAGGUAUACCUUUCCUUUCCCACCUGUUUUCGGUGCCUUCUUUAUGCUCUUUCCUAAGGAAGUAAGAGGAAGAGUGAGGGUCGAUAGGCAAAGAAUGGCUUGAAUGAAAGCUGGAGUGGCACAAGACAGAUGUGAAGGCAAAGGGAAUAGCUCAUAUGGAAAGAAACAUAUAUAGUCAAUGAAAUUCUAAAGAUAGCCAUAAUAAGUGAUAUGGUAAAAGAUUCUGAAUGAAUGAAUAGAAUCUAAUAACAUUGGGUUCCCAUGAAACAAUGGGAUUGGAGGAGUAGUUCCCCUCUAGCCAAUCCUAAAAGUUCUUCUGCCUUCGAUCCCAUGGUAAGCCUUUCAAGUUUCCAGCCAGUAGAAAAGAAAUUCAGUAAGUAAUAGAAACGGGAUGGCCAUCAUAAAAAGGAAAUCUCAAUUAAUACUUAUUUUUGGAAAGAGAGGUUAAGUUAUAUGAGACUAAGGCAAGAAGACAAAAAGACGUUCAUGUUACCAAUUCUGUCUCGUCUGAUCUUUUAUUGGUUUUGUUUUUUCUCUCGUGCCCUUCUGGGCGGCAGAAAGAACUGAUGUAGGGGUUGCCGCUCCUUAGUUCAUCUCUCGGUAGAACAAGGUACCUAUGCGGUGGGUUCGACUCCUACAGGACCGUACAUUUCCCAUCGAUUUGGUACUUUUCUUGAUUCAGAGUUCUUGUUGUCCAUUAUGGAUUCUUUAGCGAUGUAAAGCCAUCAAGCAGUAGACUAGCAAGGUUUUUUUUCUCGGUUUACGUUCUUGAAUCAGUUAAUGAGAGUAAGGGCUAGUGAUCCAUCUAAUCACUAAAGUUGGGGCAUCUUUCUUUUUGUAGUAAGCAACUCUAUUGAGAAUCUAGUUUCUUGAUCGAAGUAAAGAAGAAUUGUAGUUCCUCUUUAGGCGAGCUACUUCGUUCCUAUUCUCCGAUUCUGAAUAGGAGAAGGUUGUAAUGAACCCAAAAUACUUCGCCAAGGUUCAACCGUUUUGCUAUAGUUUUCUUCCAAUUUCUUUUAAGGAAUUCUGAUCAACAGAAAAAAAUGUGGGUGUAGAUGUUGCUUCGGCUUCUGUUUCUAGCUCUGCUUGAGCUGCUUCGUCUGUUUCUCUUGAUGUGGGUGUAGGUCUUUUGAGAUUGUAACACCCGGAGAAUCAUGCUACAGUAAUCCCCUGUUGAUGGUGCCAUGUCAUCACUCUUAUUGUUGCUAAUCCUCAUUUGCUUUCAAACACAAUUCAACUUCAAAUCUAAUUUAUAGUCAAAAUUCAGAAACUUCUCAAACAUGAAGACUAAAAUGUUCAUCGUGUGGAAAGUGUUCUUUUGGUAAUAUUAGUAGUGAACCAACAUUUUUGCAAAGUGUCUAAUUGGCCUAAAAUAUUUAAAACAGUGGCUAAAUCAUUCAUUUAAAUGCUUUUUAAUUUGUAAACAAACUCUAAAAUAAUUUAUUUUAGUGCCAAAUUAAUUGUGGAAGUGGUCUAACUAUUAACACUAUUUUAGGGCUAGUGUUAUUUUUAUAAAUCCUAAAAAUAAAUAAAAUUCAUAGAGAAAACAGCAAGUAUUUAAAACAAAAGGAAGUGGGAGGGGGAGCCGAGCUCGGGAUCGAGCAAGAGGAGAGGGGAUAGGUGGAUCUGGGGGAGNNNNNNNNNNNNNNNNNNNNNNNNNNNNNNNNNNNNNNNNNNNNNNNNNNNNNNNNNNNNNNNNNNNNNNNNNNNNNNNNNNNNNNNNNNNNNNNNNNNNNNNNNNNNNNNNNNNNNNNNNNNNNNNNNNNNNNNNNNNNNNNNNNNNNNNNNNNNNNNNNNNNNNNNNNNNNNNNNNNNNNNNNNNNNNNNNNNNNNNNNNNNNNNNNNNNNNNNNNNNNNNNNNNNNNNNNNNNNNNNNNNNNNNNNNNNNNNNNNNNNNNNNNNNNNNNNNNNNNNNNNNNNNNNNNNNNNNNNNNNNNNNNNNNNNNNNNNNNNNNNNNNNNNNNNNNNNNAGGGGAUCCUUAUCCCCUCAUUGCAGAAGCGCGAGGUGAUGAGUGGGUUCGACGGCGACCACGGGCGCGGGUCGGUCAAACAGGAUAAGGGGGAAGACAACAGGGGAGGGGGAGUGGGCUGGCUGGGGGUGGGCCGACGGCCAGCUGGGCCGUUUGGCCUAGUGGGGGGUCCGUUUCUUUUUUUUUGCCUUUUCCUUUUGUUUUAAAUACUUGCUGUUUUCUCUAUGAAUUUUUUUUUUAGGAUUUAGAAAAAUAACACUAAUUAGUUAAGCUAAAUAGUCACUAACAUGUGGGGCCCAGCUGCUAAUUAACCAUGUUUAAUUAAAAUAACGCACUGUUAGCCCUCUCUGUAUGACAUGUGGGACCCACUGGUUAGGUUUGACCUGGUCAGCCACCCUGCUGACUGCUGAUGUCACUGUGACGUCAUGUUGACGCAAUAAACCUUUCUGUUAUUUAUUUAAUUCCAGAAAAUGUUUAAAACUUUCAAAAUUCAUAGAAAUUAAACCGUAACUCGGAUGAAAAUGUUUUCUACCUGAAAGUUGCGCAGAAAAAUCCAAUGAAUCCGAAUACGCGGUCCGUUCAUCUGUCACAUCCCUCUAGCAUGCUGAACAUGGAACCGUCCCCCUCUUUUCAUUUGUCCGGAAAACACCAAACGCCAGGAAAACCCCUCCGGAUGUUUUCCCUCUCCAUUUGCAACGUGUAGUAUUGCGUUAGGUCAUCCCUGGCACCGCGAAUUGCCAUGUCUUACUUUUUGAUGCUUUUGAUUGCUCUAUUAUUUAUUGUGUUCCCCCUCCGUUAUUUCUUUUCCGAUAGACACCGAGAUCGAUGUUGUCCCUGUGAUCGACUACGUCACCAACGACACUUCUUCCUUUUCAGCAGAGCUUCCAGGCAAGCCCCCCCUUUGAUCAUCCCGAUAUUGCCCAUUCCAUUCUCUCAUGCUUGCAUUAGAUUUUGCUACUCUAAUUGAUUGCUCCUAUUCUGAUGCAUAGCCUGCUUUCGUAACCUCCUUAUUGAUACCUACCUACUUAUCCUAAACUCCUUAGGAUAGGUUGGUUAGUGAUCCAUCAGUGACCCCCACCUUGUCCUUGUUGCCCCUGCUUCAUCAUCGUAGACCCGAUCAACGGGAUCGAACACCAGGCCCCGGCACCGCACAUCACUUUCCCCUUAGUUGCUCAACACUACUGGGUUACUGUCGAGUGCCGAGGGUGAGACCUCAUCAGCACGUCUGAUGUUCACCCUGUAGUGUAGCUAUUCGGUCGUGGUCAUCGAGGGUGAUUCCGCCAUAACCACUUCCGAUACGACUCUGUCAUGCAACCCCUCAAGUGUGAACCUCGAGGGUGGUUCCUCUUACGUUCACAUUGAUGAUUACAUCGAGUGGAAUCCAUCGAGGAUGGUUCCUCAGGGUUCCCCUUGGUGUUAGACACACGGUUACUAUGGUUACUAUGACUUUACCCUGAACCAGGUUACUAAAGACGGGUCGGCCCUGGGGGUCCCCGCGCGAGCUUAAUUACGAGUGAUGUGGAGUCGGGUUGACCUGGAAGGUGCCCGCGAGAUACUUACGAGGCGUGGCCGGGCAUUCUUAGCCCUUGCCGCAAGUCCUCGAGACAGGGCGACGGGGUCACAUCUUUCGUGAGUCUCUGCUUAUUACCGCGCGCUCCUAAUCCACUAUGAUUUGGAUAUUUGAUCCGAGGGGCCUCUGGCCUGAUAGCACUAACCAUCACGUGGGCAUAGUAUGGCGUUCUGCGUCGUAUGCAUCAGCCGAAGCUUAAUAGACAUCAGCGACUGAGCGGCGUGCGCCGGGUUCGAUUGGAAAGCACCUGCCUUUUUUAAGGAGGUAGCUAAGUCUGCUCACCGGCCGGCCGUGUUCGCAACGUGCAGGAGUUCCCAGGGCGAUGGCCCAUGACCCCUGGGGGCAUAGGUUUAGUCCGGCGUGCUGACCUCUCUAUUAAGCCUAGGUUGGGUUGCGGCGUAUUGUUUGGCCGAGGCCGGGAGUGACCCAGGAAAGUGUCCCAGAGCGUUGAUACAACAACAUAAAUAUGACUUAUGUUAUACUACUCUAAUCCCUCCUGUUGCUGCAAGAUGGUGGUUUCCAGAAGAUGCUAGUCUUCGAUAGGACUAGCUUCCCCCCUCUUAUUCUGGUGUUCUGCAGUUCAGUCCACAUAUACUACCCCUUUUCAUUGACACCAAUGCAUAUGUAGUGUAGAUCCUUGCUUGCGAGUACUUUGGAUGAGUACUCACGGUUGCUUUGCUCCCUCUUUUCCCCUUUUCCAUUCUUCUCGGAUGUCGCAACCAGAUGGUGGAGCCCAGGAUCCAGACGCCACCACCGACAACUACUACUACCCCGAGGGUGCUUACUACUAUGACCAGGAGUAGUUAGGACGCUCCCAGGCAGGAGGCCUUGCCUCUUGGUUCGUGUUGCUUUUGUGCUAGCCGUCUUAAGGCAUCCUUGUUUAACUUAUGUCCGUACUCGGGUAUCUCUGCUUCCGCUGACUCGUUUGUAUUCAAGCUUAUGUAUUCGAGCCCUCGAGUCCCCUCGCUUGUAAUAUAAAGCUUGUAUUAUUUUAAUUUAUGUCUAGAGUUGUGUUGUGAUAUCUUCCCGUGAGUCCCUGAACUUGGUCGUACACAUUUGCGUGUAUGAUUGAAUCGGGGGCGUCACAAGUUGGUAUCAGAGCCGACUGCCUGUAGGUAGCUCCCUUUCCAACUCCUUGGCCAAAGUUGAGUCUAGUCAUUGAAAAACUUUUACUAACAUGGAUGUGUGGCUUACGGGCCCACGUCACCAUUUGGUGGCAUUAGGAUCUUUUAUUUCUUGUCUAUACUCUGGGACAUUGAUCUCUCGUCUAUUCGGGUUAAACAUUUUACCCACUUCCUCCCGGAGAGCCCCGACAUUAUCGAUGAUCGCUUGCUUCGCUAGAAGAUUCCGCAGAUACUCCCCGUUGUUUCUCGAGACACUGUGCCAACUGCCUUGCAAUUCCUGACCGCCGAUAAUCCCCGUAAAUAACAUCCUUGCCGCUUGUACCUUCAUCCCAGUUGCUCCUAUUAUUAUAGGAUACCCUAGUACUCUCCGUUGUUCCGAAAAUCCUUUGUGCCUUCUGCUUUGCAACUUCUGUUCGCACUAUAGAUAAUUCACUUAACCGGGGUUUGUUCAUCACCAGUUGUUCAAGUGCUUUCCAAAAUACCUGAAAAUGCUAUCUGAUCUUUCAAAAUCCUCUGCAGCCUGUGCUCUUAAUUCUCCUUGCCUGCUUGCAUUAGGAUUAAUUCCAUAUGUCUAGCAAUAUUCUUUAAAAUCCUUUGUGAUUGUUAUUCUGUUCCUAUGGAUUCAGCGUGUGUGCGAAUACUCGAAAUCAUCAAUUAAUCCUUGGAAACUUUCGUUCCGGCUCAGAGAUCCUUCCAGAUAUGAGAUGGUUCUUGCCCAAUCCAGAUUUGAUCGGGUGCACCUCUAAGUCUAUUCAACUUACUCAUCUUUUGAUCAGAGCCUUUGCUUUUGAUCCUUCAUCUUGAAAUCAUAAUUCCUUUGUACCCAAGCAUCGAAUCAUUCAGACGUUUCUAUAAGCCGAUGCCUUUGCAUCCCCUUCUUCAUAUGAUUGAUUACCGAUAAUCACAUCAACUCUGUCGUGUAUCGCCAGAUCCAUUCCUGGGAUGUUAUCCACCAGUGUCCUUCAUGUCCAAAAUCUUGUGAGUUUUUCCCUGAUACAUAAUACCUUCGGUAAAUUAUAUCAUCUGCUUUGACUUCGAUACUCUGCUUUCGAACUCGUAUCUUCUGCUGAUGGUUGUAUAGAUUCAUAAAAAUGCCCCGAUGGGUUGAACUUAUGCCUUCCAUAAUCCGUAUGAACCCGAGAGUUCUCACGAGUCUUAUUAUUCUGGUACUUCGCCAGAUAAAUCUUCUGCACUACAAUUUCUUCGAAAACGAGGAGUGAAUGAAAGGUUAUGCAUUGAAGAAGUGGGAGUCGACCUUGAACCUUUGUGUUCAUGCCCAUGGACCCAAUGUGGAACUUAUCAUGGAAGCUUCUUGUGAUAAUAAUAAUACCCUUGCUAUAAGUUCAUCUGGUAUCUAUGUUUGGUCCUUUGCAACCGUGGUUCUGACCAUGAUUGUUCCCCUUUGAUUCCAUUUCUCGAACAAGUUAAAUCACUUGUCUUCUGCAGAUCAAUGCAUCUCCACAACCUCUAUUUUGAUGUUCCUUCGAGUAUUACCCUCUAGUAUCUCGAAAUUAUCACGAAACUACAUAACUUAUUAUGAGUUCUUCAUCAACUAAUGUCUCUCACCGAUUCCAUUUUUCCACGGGUUCUGAGUUAUUAGUCACUCGAGAACACCGAUAAGUGAAUCGAUUCAGCACUCCGAUUCAAUAACUCUAAGUAAUAUUCGUUGCUUAUGAGCUUAAUAAUCCUUCAAGUUAUUUCUAGCCUGAUCGGCUAUAUCAUUAUCGUGCUAAAUUUUAAUUGUGCUACCUGGUCCUUCUUCCCGGAGCACAAUUCCCGACAAUGAGCUAAGCUUACAUCGAUCUUCCUUGUCUUAUCAUUUUUCGCCUUGAACAACAAGCUUGAUUUCGAGUUUGUGUUGUACCCAUGGUUCCAAUAAUAUUCCGCUUCAUCAUUCCUUUGACUUGAUGUCAUCGUCGAUCGAUUACAUUCUGAGCUGUUCCAGGAUAUCAAUCAAAUUCAUGAUGAGUAAUACCAUCCUUGCCCCCUCGAUGAAUUGUUACUGAGCCCGCCGGCGACAAAAUCAUCUUUUUCUUGCUGAUAUCGUAUGACUUAUUUUAUAAGUUGUUCCGAUGGAUCCUUUGUGUAUCCGAAGUCUGACCUUUCCCUGAUGACCAUGUCAACACUAUCCCGAAGCAUGUGUGUGGUACUCCGAUCAUCAACAAGAACAUUGGGAGCGCAAUGCUAACUAUUCUUGAUCAAUUAUCCAAACACCGUUGUAUGGGUAAACCUCAUAAAUUCCUUGCCCCUUUGUCUAAAUGGUUUAAUACUUGGAGCCCUAUCAUGCUCUGCCUUUCCUUGUGAAAGUUAUACUCUAAUACUUGGGUAUAAACACCUUUCCUUUCCAUUGAUCUGAUUAUCAUACUUAUCACGUUUUCCUUUCCAUUGUUUUGUUUCACCUUUCUUGUAAUCUAACUUGUCUGAGAAGAGAUAAAUCCCUGCUUAAGUACGCACCUCGGUGUAUAAAUCUAUCAGUAAGACCCUGUUACUAUUGUUGAUGACAUUCCGGUAACCACCGAUGGACGAGAACUUUGCCUAUUGGUCUGCCUCGUCUUACGAACAGGAAAAUGGUUCUCUUUGUCCCAUGGCCUUAGUACCAAACUUUGUUGCCAACAUAACUGACAGGCUAUCCUCUGACCUGCCUUGCUAUCAUGACCGUUCAAGAUGCUAGCGCCUUCCUGCUUUUAACCCACAUGGUGAGCCCAUAACCCACAGUUCCACAACAUCGAAACCUGACUCUCCUGUACACUCUUGUUUCUAAGGUUAUUUCUCACGCUUGGCUUCAUAUGAAAAUCCCGAGCCGCCUUCCGAUAGGCGAUCUAUUCUGGUAUCAGACGCAAUACUUAUUCCCAUUGCUCUGAACCCCUUUCACCCCUUCUUUCUGGCAACAAACGAUUGUCUACCAGGUUGAAGCUUCUUAUUGCACCUCACCUUGUUCUCGAUGACUUUCUUGAAUUUCAACUCGAGAGAUGCCUCUAUGCCACGUUCACUGACAUAGUCCCCACGUACCUAUCUUGUGUUGAGCUCCGUCCUUCCCGAGUAUUCCACCUUACUCCACCCCUUAAAUCUCAGGACGAGAUUUCUUGUAGUGUAGGAGAUUUGUAACACCCGGAGAAUCAUGCUACAGUAAUCACCUGUUGAUGGUGCCAUGUCAUCACUCUUAUUGUUGCUAAUUCUCAUUUGCUUUCAAACACAAUUCAACUUCAAAUCUAAAUUAUAGUCAAAAUUCAGAAACUUCUCAAACAUGAAGACUAAAAUGUUCAUCAUGUGGAAAGUGUUCUUUUGGUAAUAUUGGUAGUGAACCAACAUUUUUUCAAAGUGCCUAAUUAGCCUAAAAUAAUUAAAAUAGUGGCUAAAUUAUUCAUUUAAAUGCUUUUUAAUUUGUAAAAAACUCUAAACUAAUUUAUUUUAGUGCCAAAUUAAUUGUGGCAGUGGUCUAACUAUUAACACUAUUUUAGGGCUAGUGAUAUAUUUUAUAAAUCCUAAAAAUAAAUAAAAUUCAUAGAGAAAACAACAACUAUUUAAAAGAAAAGGAAAAGGCAAAACAAAAAAAAGAAACAGACCCCCCACUGGGCCAAACGGCCUAGCUGGCCGUCGGCCCACCCCCAGCCAGCCCACUCCCCCCUGUCGUCUUCCCCCUUCUCCUGUUUGACCGACCCGCGCCCGUGGUCGCCGUCGAACCCGCUCGUCGCCUCGCGCCUCUCCAACGAGGGGAUAAGGAUCCCCUCCCUCCCCGUCGCCUCGAUCCUCUCUCCCCACUCCCACUUGCGCCCCUCCUCCCCCAGAUCCACCUAUCCCCUCUCCUCUCGCUCGAUCCCGAGCUCGGCCGCGCGAGCUCGUCGCCCCCGAUCGCCGUCAACAUGGCCACCGUCCACGUUGCACCUCGCCAACGCGUUCCCGUGCACCGCCGUCAUCGACUACGUCAUAUGCUCUGACCAGCACAAGCCGGGAGCCACCGCAGCGAACCCGGCAACCUCUUCUUCGCCUACGGCCGUCUUCGCCUUCGUCGCCGAUUCAUCGCCGUCGAUCUUCCCCGAGCGCCCUUAAGCACAACUGCAGGCUCACAGUAAGCCCGCACGACAUACCCCUCCCUCUCCCAUGCGUUUCCAUCGCCGUCGCCACCGCUGCCAUCAUCGCCCGAACGCACCUCCGCCGCAUAGCUCGCCGCCAUAGCUAUGGGCAUCGUCAUGCUCACCCGAGCACACAAGCGUGCUCAGGGCUGCUCGCUGAGGCCGCCCGUGACACUUGCUUCCCUCCCCGUGCCCCUUAGCACCUACCUCGACGCGUGCUCGAACGCGUCACCGCCUCCGCUUGCCACUAGCGUGCUUCCAGUGACCAAAUGGUCACGGGCUCGCAACCGUUGGCCUCGCCGCAACGCGUACGCCUUGCCCAGCCUCUCAGUUCGCUUGCUAACGCACCGCAUCGCCUUCGCUGUAGCUCGCCCGAGCGCGUCGCCGCCAGCGAUGCCGUAGCUCCCAGCUCCGGCCACCACCAUUCGACGUGCGGUCGAGUGGUCGUUCGAACGCGGCUAGCCGUGCUCUUCCCUGUGCCCUGUAGGCUUUUUCUGACGACCCCCAUGGUCUCGACGCCGCGUUUCGCCUUGCUGACGUUACUCCGGCGAUGGAGCCAGCGUGGCACGGCCAGGCCCGCCUCUGGGUCACUCCCGUGGGCCCCAGUUGACCAUGUUGACCGUGGUCAACUGUGCUGACUGCGCACAUAGUGUCACUGACACGCAGGCCCCACCGCAUUUUUUGUUAAGUAAACAUUUUUAUAGAUAAAGAUAACUAGUUAAGCUAAAUAGUCACUAACAUGUGGGGCCCAGCUGCUAAUUAACCAUGUUUAAUUAAAAUAACGCAUUGUUAGCCCUCUGUGUAUGACAUGUGGGACCCACUGGUUAGGUUUGACCUGGUCAGCCGCGCUGCUGACUGCUGAUGUCACUGUGACGUCAUGCUGACGCAAUAAAACUUUCUGUUAAUUUAUUUAAUUCCAGAAAAUAUUUUCAUAGAAAUUAAACCGUAACUCGGAUGAAAAUGUUCUCUACAUGAAAGUUGCACAAAAAAUCCAAUGAAUCCGAAUACGCGGUCCGUUCAUCUGUCACAUGCCUCUAGCAUGCUGAACAUGGAACCGUUCCCCUCUUUUCACCUGUCCGGAAAACACCAAACGCCAGGAAAACCCCUCCGGAUGUUUUCCCUCUCCAUUUGGAACGUGUAGUAUUGCGUUAGGUCAUCCAUGGCACCGCGAAUUGCCAUGUCUUUCUUUGUGAUGCUUUUGAUUGCUCUGUUAUUUAUUGUGUUCCCCCUCCGUUAUUUCUUUUCCGCUAGACACCGAGACCGAUGAUGUCUCUGUGAUCGACUACGUCACCAACAACACUUCUUCCUUUUCAGCAGAGCUUCAAGGCAAGCGCCCCCCUUUGAUAAUCCCGAUAUCGCCCAUUCCAUUCUGUUGAGGAUAUAGACCUUAGAGUCACCCGCCAGGAGGGGCCGGGUUACUCAUACAGUCGUUGCCAGAAGCCCGGAGCCAAGCUUGAAGAGAUGGGCCAGAGAUGGGCUAAGACCCGGAUAUGGCUUAAGGCCCGUAGUUACAAUCAUUGUUAUGGUAGAACUUGUAGUGUAAGGCAAGUAUGAUUGAGAGUCUGAGCCGGACACUCUUAUGAGCCGGCCGGGACUCUAAGGGCUGCUGGGCGUCAGCCUCCCUAUAUAAAGGGACGACCCGGCAGCGGUUUAGGGACAAGAACAAUCUCAUCGAGAGCCGGGCAUAGCAGUUUAGCUCCCUGGUGAUCGUAACCCUAAUCAAUACCACCUCAAACUGGACGUAGGCUUUUACCUUCACCGUAAGGGGCCGAACCAGUAUAAACCCUCGUGUUCCUUGUCCCGCAUUAACCCCUUCAAGAUUCCUAGUUGCGAUGGCUCCACGACUAAGUCCUAGCUCGAGGACAUCUGCCGUGACAAUUCCACGACAGUUGGCGCCCACCGUGGGGCCAGUGCAUGGUGGAUUUGAGUUCUUGAAGGGCAGCUUCGAAGGGCUCAAGGGAUACGCUGUGGGCCGGAUGACCAAGAGUUGUCGCGGCAAGCUCUACAUCGACGAUGCAAACUGGGGCCCCGACGCCGGCUCAAUUGAGUACGGGUACCGGGUCCCCUUCGGCGGAAUUCACGUUUUCAUUGGCAAGAUUGGUGAGCCGGGCCCCGAGCCGGGUCUCUGCGCUGAUCUCAUCGAGAUGGCUCAGCUUGCACGACCCGCCCGGGCCCGGCCUGCCUUAAGGCAUGCUUUUGUGGGGUGUAUCCAUGGAGGACUCUCCGAUCGAUCUGGAUCUGGUGAUGAGACGGCCGCCGGCUCUGACGGCGAGUCGGCCACCGAUGAGUCAAACUCGUUGUACCGACUUCAAGAUGGCAGGCUCAUGGGUUGUUCCGAUGGUGACAGUAUUCCGGACCUUUUUGAGCCGCCAAGUCAGGUUGGAGUUUUUAUGGCUGGUGCGCAGCCUGUUCAGAACCCCGCUGCUAGAGCGGGAAACCCAGUGCCUUCUCCGGCUCAGGUGCUAAUGGAUCUCACGGACAAGAUGACGGCCCUGUUAACCGCCACGGUUGACCCGGCAGAUCAAGCUCAGCAUGAUGCGGAGGUGGCGCAGUUAAAAUUGGAUCUAGUAAAGGCUAAGGAGGAUCUUGCAGCGGAAGGGAUCAGGCUGGCUGCGGAGAGGGCGACUCUCGAUGCCCAAACUCAGCUGAUCCACGCGUAGUCCUUCCAACUCACGAUGGAUCAGAACGCGGCCAAUGAGGUCAUGAGAAAGAGGCAUCAAAAGACCCAAUCUCGACUCCCUCCGGUUUACGAUCCACGCAACCUCUUCAACACGCCAGGAGCGGGGUCUAGUAACCCGCCAGGGGUCAUAGCGCCCGGGUCUGGACCCCUUAUUCAGCCACGAGUGAUGGGGCCUCCCCAGGUGCCCCCUGCCCCGCCUCAGUAUGUGCCAAUACCCCCGGGUCAUUAUAAUAACCCGCUGGAGAACAUGGUCGCUGCGGCAGCACGGCUGGCGGCUCUCCCAGGUGACGGCGACUCUCCGACGGCUAUUGAGACCCGCCGGGUCAGGGAACUCCUUCAGACAGCACUAGCGCAGCAAGAGGCGUACUCCUAUAGCCGGGACAUGAUCCACUCGACCCCUCGUCCAGGCCAGAGCCCGAGUUACAGCCGGCACAUGGUCUCAGCAACCGGCUCAAGUAACGUUCGACGCCAUGACCCGCCCCCUGGACAUGGCCCGGCUCAUAAUGGAGCCUUUUACGCAGCAGACCAGGACAAAGCACGGCAAGAGGCGGAGCAAGUGCCUCAAUUGACGGCUUACCAGACCCCCCGGCUUAUUCGACGACUUCGUUGAUGUGGGUAUCCCUACCAGGACCGGGGGCGUCCCUUGUUUAGUGCUAGCUAUCCGUAAUGAACGUUUACCUGAGGACUUCAAGGGCCCUAGGAAGGUGCCUAACUACACAGCUGACUUACAACCCGCAGCCUGGAUUGGGAGUUAUGAGAUGGCUAUGGAGCUGCUGGAGGUCAGUGAGGCGGCCAUGGCCAAGUAUUUCACCAUGAUGUUAGAUGGAACUGCCCGCACUUGGUUGAAAGGGCUACCACCGAAUUCCAUUGGGUCUUGGGCUGAGCUGAAGGCCCGGUUCAUCCAAAACUUCAAAGAUACCUGUAGGCAGUCUAUGUCAAUUGUGGAUUUGACUAACUGUAAGCAGCAGGAGGGUGAAUCCACGACCCAUUGGGUUCGCCGGGUUAAGGAGAUCAUACAUUCAUCAGAUAAGAUGGAUGCCGGCUCUGCAGUCUUAAUGUUGGAACAUAAUUGUCGCUUCUUGCCCCUGAAGAUGAAACUCGGGCGGCUUAAGCGCGACUGCAGUGAUAUGGGUACACUAAUGGCGGCUCUUGUCAAGUACGCCGAUUCCGAUGGUACCAAGGAUCCCCCUUCAGAUGAUGAAAGGACAGGGAAGGGAAAGAAGAACGGCAAUGGCAAGGGUCCUCAGUUUAACCCGGGGAACCAAGGAGGAGGCAAGCGCAAGGCCGAUGGCAGCCUAGAGUUUGUAGCCAACGCCAACUCCCAAGGUAAUAACCAGCGACGCAAGGGGAGGCCCCCUCCCCGAGGCGGCGGGUCAGGUCCGACGCUGGAGCAGCUGUUGAAUGAACCUUGUCCAAGGUAUGGCUCUAGAGAGAAGCCAGCGACUCAUCUGUGGAAGGAUUGCGCAACCAUGAAGGCCUUUAAGAAUUACAAUGGCCCGGACGGCGGCUCAGGCGCUGGCGGCUUUCAUGGCCCGGGCGGCGGCUCAAAUACCGGUCCUCAGAACGGUCAAGGGGGCUUUAAUCAACAGUCUGGCCAGGGUCAUCAACAGCAGCAGGGGGGUUAUCAGACCAAUCCAAAGCAGCUUAGCGGUGGACAGUAUCAUGUGUUUACCACUAGUCUGUGCAAGCGAGAUCAGAUGCUUCACAAGAGGGCUGUGAAUGUUGUUGAGCCGGCGGUCCCACGCUACUUGCGGUGGUCUGAGCAGCCUAUAGUGUGGAGUAGGGAGGAUCACCCUCCCCGGGUGGAUAACCCGGGCCACUUGGCCUUAGUGGUGGCUCCUCAGGUGGGAGGAUAUAAGUUUACAAAGGUGCUCAUGGAUGGAGGCAGCAGCAUCAACAUCCUCUAUUAUGAGACUUUUCGCCGUAUGGGGUUGGUUGAUAAGAACCUCGGCCAGUCAAACACUAUCUUCCAUGGUGUGGUGCCUGGUAAGUCGGCUUAUCCAGUCGGCAAGAUCGAAUUGGAAGUGGCUUUUGGUGAUGAGAACAACUACAGGGUGGAGAAAUUGACCUUUGAGGUGGUCAAGAUAAGAAGUCCAUACCAUGCUAUAUUUGGACGGCCGGCUUACUCCAAGUUCAUGGCACGGCCGUGUUAUGUGUACUUACAGCUCAAGAUGCCAGGUCACAAUGGGACCAUUACGAUUCACGGCAGCCGGAAAGUGGCUCUGGAGUGUGAGGAAGGCAAUGCGGCUUAUGCAGAAUCUGUUUGUGCUACAGAGGAAUUGAAGUUUUACAAGGACAAUGUUGACCCAACAGAUAUGACCUCUCUGAAAAAGCCUACUACGGAGAAUGAGCCGGCGAUGAAAUUUAAGUCGGCUGAUGAAACUAAACUUGUUGAUUUUGUUCCAGGUGACUCAUCUCAGCAGUUUAGCAUCAGUGCAAAUCUGGAUCCAAAAUAGGAAAGCGCGCUCCUCGAGUUCAUCCGUGAGAAUAGGGACAUCUUCGCGUGGAAACCUUCUGACAUGCCAGGUGUACCUAGAGAACUCGCUGAGCAUACUCUCAAUGUCGAUCCGAAAUUUAAGCUGGUCAGACAGUUCCUUCGGCGGUUUAAUGAAGAGAGGCGGAAGGCCAUUGGUGAAGAGGUGGCCCGGCUCUUGGCGGCCGGGUUUAUCGUUGAAGUCUUUCACCCAGAGUGGUUAGCUAACCCGGUGCUCGUACUCAAGAAGAAUGACACUUGGCAAAUGUGUGUGGACUACACGGACUUAAACAAGGCGUGUCCGGCUGAUCCUUUUGCCCUCCCCCGUAUUGAUCAAAUCAUUGAUGCUACGGCAGGUUGUGCACGUUUAAGUUUCUUGGAUGCUUAUUCCGGUUAUCAUCAAAUUAAAAUGGCAGUUAAGGACCAGGAGAAGACGGCGUUCAUCACUCCCUUUGGAGCCUUCUGCUAUGUGUCUAUGCCCUUUGGACUCAAGUGUGCACAGGCGACUUACCAGCGUUGUGUACAGAACUGUCUUCACAAACAGAUUGGGCGCAAUGUUCACGCUUACGUGGACGAUAUUGUGGUUAAGUCCAUAAAGGAGGAAACCCUGAUAGAUGAUUUAAGGGAAACCUUUGAUAAUCUCCGGGUCUAUAAGAUGAUGCUUAACCCGGCCAAGUGUGUCUUUGGUGUUCCUGCAGGCAAAAUCUUGGGUUUCUUGGUUUCUAACAGGGGCAUUGAGGCUAACCCGGAGAAGAUCAAGGCCAUCACCUCCCUGGCUAAGCCGGCGUGUAUAAAUGACGUUCAGCGCUUGGCGGGUCGCAUCGCUGCUUUAAGCCGGUUUAUAAGCCGUUUGGGUGAGAAGGCCAUGCCCUUAUAUCAGUUGAUGAAGAAAACUGAUAAUUUUAUCUGGAAUGAUGCAGCUAAUACCGCCUUUGAGGAUUUGAAGAAGCAGCUGGCAGAGCCCCUGAUCCUUGCUGCUCCGGUUGAUAAGGAGCCCUUACUACUGUAUGUGGCAGCAAACGCACGAGCCAUCAGUGUGGCUAUUGUGGUGGAGCGCAAGGAGGAGGGUAAGGAGCAUCCGGUUCAGCGGCCGGUUUAUUAUGUCAGCGAAGUGCUCAUUGAGUCCAAGCAGCGGUACCCGCAUUGGCAGAAGCUGGUAUAUGGUGUGUUCAUGGCGAGCCGGAAACUUAAGCAUUAUUUUCAGGGUCAUCCCAUCACUGUGGUCAGUUCUGCCCCUCUUGGUGAUAUCAUUCAAAACAGAGAGGCCACAGGGCGAAUUGCUAAGUGGGCUAUAGAACUUGGACCUCAUGGUCUCAAAUAUGUGCCACGUACUGCUGUUAAAUCUCAGGCCUUGGUGGAUUUCAUCAAUGAUUGGACAGAGACACAAGUGCCUGAGCCAAAGCCGGAUAACACAUAUUGGACUAUUCACUUCGAUGGGUCCAGGCAGUUGGAGGGCUCGUGGGCUGGCGUUGUAUUGGCUUCCCCUAAAGGUGAUAAGUUCCAUUAUGUGCUGCAGUUGAUGUUUCCUUGCACUAACAAUGCGGCUGAGUACGAGGCCUUGCUCCACGGUCUUCGGAUGGCUAAGGAGAUGAGCUUGAGCCGGGUAAGGUGCUUCGGUGACUCAGACUUGGUGGCUCAACAAGUAUCAGGAAAAUGUGACUCUAAGGACCCUCUAAUGGCAGCUUAUCGCCGCGAAGUUGAUGCCAUUGCUAGGCACUUUCAGGGCUACCAAGUAGAGCACAUUGAUCGCAGGAAGAAUGAGGCGGCUGAUGCUCUAAGCCGGCUAGGCUCUCAGCGAAAGCCGGUGCCGCCUAACACUUUCCUGGACGUCCUGUAUAGCCCUUCGGUUAAGUUGCCUACGGAGGAAGACUUGGCUGUCCCUGACCCGGAGGCGCGACUGGUGGCGGCUCUCCAUAUCAUACCAGACUGGACAAUGCCAUAUCUGGCUUACAUAACCCGGGGCGAGUUGCCUGAGGAUGAAACUUUGGCCAGGCAAAUAACCCGGCGGGCCAAGUCAAUGAUUGUUAUCGAUGGCGAGUUGCAUCAUUGCAGUGUUACAGGAGCAUUUCAGCGUUGUGUCUCCCCUGAGGAAGGUCAGGAGAUCUUGCGGGAGAUCCAUGAAGGGGAUUGUGGCCAUCACGCCGGCUCAAAGUCCCCUGUGGCCAAGGCUUUUCGUCAUGGUUUUUAUUGGUUGACGGCUCAUGCUGAUGCAGAGGACUUGGUCAGUAAAUGUGAUGGUUGCCAAAGGUUCUCACGACGGGCUCAUGUACCUGCUCAGGAGCUGAGGAUGAUCCCAAUCACUUGGCCCUUUGCGGUCUGGGGGCUUCAUAUGGUUGGGCCUUUUAAAAGGUCCAAGGAUAAGAAGACCCACCUCUUGGUGGCAGUUGAUAAAUUCACAAAGUGGGUGGAAGCUGAGCCAGUUAGUAAGUGCGAUGCAGCCACGGCGGUUCAAUUUAUGAAAAAGGUGAUUUUCCGCUUUGGCUUUCCGCACAGCAUUAUAACUGACAAUGGCACCAAUCUCUCCAAAGGCUCCAUGGAAGAGUUUUGUCAACGAGAGAAUAUCCAACUUGAUGUUUCCUCAGUGGCUCAUCCUCAAUCCAAUGGUCAAGCUGAGAGAGCUAACCAGGAGAUUCUGAAGGGCAUCAAGCCCCGGCUUUUGGUCCCUUUGCAACGGACGCCGGGUUGUUGGGUGGAGGAAUUGCCCUCCGUCUUAUGGAGCAUCAACACUACUCCUAACAGGUCUACAGGCUUCACGCCUUUCUUCAUGGUUUAUGGAGCAGAAGCAGUCCUCCCCAGUGACAUCCGUCACGACUCACCUCGCGUGGCGGCUUAUGUUGAGACAGAUAAUGAACAGGCACGCCAAGAUGCUCUUGACUUGUUGGACGAACAGCGUGAUGUGGCAGCAGCCCGUUCAGCAAUUUACCAACAAGACCUGCACCGUUAUCAUAGCCGCCGGGUCAAAUCCCGGGUCUUCUAGGAAGGCGAUCUCGUGCUCCGGCUCAUCCAGGAUCAAACAGAUGCACACAAGUUAUCCCCACCUUGGGAAGGGCCCUUUGUGGUCAGCAAGAACUUGCACAACGGGUCAUAUUACCUCAUUGACAUUCGGGAGCACAAAGAUUCACGUAAGUCGGAGGAAGAGACCCGUCGGCCGUGGAACAUAGCUCAGCUUCGGCCUUACUACACUUGAGCUACCGGCUCUCGUGGUGUACAUAUUUCUCUCAGCCAUGUAUAUAUUAUGAUAAGCAAUAAAGCAGGACCUCUGUCCUUUUUUCUCCUCCAAAUACGCACGUGUUGUUCUUAUUGCAAGAUUACAUGAUGAUUUAAAGGAGGAUCCAGUUUAUGAUCGUAUUCGAAUCUAGCCGUAAACAACAACAUCACUUGGUGGCUUCCUGUUCAAACAUGGGUCGUAUUCGAACCAAAGAGAACAUAGUUGUCGAUACCCAUUUGAUUGGCGAAGUGCCGAGCUCAUUGGGAGGUUACCUUUGGUCAUAUUUGAAUCAUAGUUUAACCCCUCUGAGAACCGAUGUGGAUCGUAUUCGAAUCAGCGUCGUUAAACAAAUCUUAAAAUCACUUGGGGGCUUCCUGUUCAAACAUGGGUCGUAUUCGAACCAAAGAGAAAAUAGUUGUCGGUACCCUCUUGAUUGGCAUCGCCACACCCACUGGGGGCUAUGUGAUCGUAUCCGAACCUUAGCUUAACCCCUUUGGGCCGGGUCUCUGGUCGUAUUCGAACCGGAAGCCCCUAAGUUCCUCUGCUUUAUCACAAGUUUACUCUGAUUAUGUCAAGGUGUGUACGACCGGGUCUCACUUUGCCGGCUUAACUUUGGUUUAUAGUGUUAGUCGAACGCCAUGGGUGUCAUUAUGACAGGUAAAUCGGAGUUAAGAUACCAACCUUGUUACCCGGGUUAUCUAAACCGGAAGUAUGCUUACAGGCCGCUAAAUGUGUUAUUACGGCUGUGUUAAGGAUAUAAUUGAGGACCAGUCUUUUUUGAUUCAUAUUCCGGGUUAUCUAUCCAAAACACCUGAUUCUCAGGGCGGUAAGCCGCCUUGAGACUUGUGAUUUGCCUUUCUAUGCAGGAUACUUAAAGGCACCUCUUUGAGGUUGAGAAAAACAAAGGGAUGGUUAUAACCCGGAGAAACAUCAAAGAGACAACUUCAAAGGACUUUCGCAUUCAAUACGUGCAUGAUGGCACGGCAGAGAUGAACUGUUGCACCUACUCUAUUACAAAAACUCAUCAAGUCUAAAACGGGUGGAGCAUUGUUUGGUAAACCGCCAGCCGAGUCACGAUGCCCGCUGAGUUGAAGUCUCCGGCUCGUUCCUGUCUUCUCCUCCGGCUGAUCCCAAGACCUGGAAGGUUGAUGACUUCCAGUCGAUGCCGCUGAGAGCUUCGAAUUGGGCUUCCUCGUCAAUUAACCCAGCCGGGUCAAUCUCCGGGGCGAAGGUGUGCUGACGAGUCGGAGGGAUCAGGUUGAGGGCUUCAUAACAAGGGGUUGGAAUCCUCUGAUUCUCCGCAUCAUAACUCGGCUGGUACUUGGUCAGAUCCGUGUCAUUCCCGAUAAGGGUGGCCACCGGGCGCACAGCCUUCACGCACGCUGCGAAGUCCUUCUGAUCGAAAGCUGAGCCGUCUUCCUUCAGGCUUGGAUAGCUAAGGGCGAUGUCCGCCGGGUCUACUCCGGCAGGAAUGCCUUGGCCCGGCUCAGCGCGGCGAUUGCUCCGGCUCUCGCAGAGGCCCGUCGUAGCUCUUGGAUCCGCUGAGGCAAAACGGCGAGCCGGCGCAGGACUUCUGCCAGGUGAGUCGGCACCUCGUUGGAUAGGGCCACCACAGCUAAGGCACGCUGUGACCCGGUGCAGAGCUGCUCCACCAGGGUAUACACGGCCUUUAGCUUGGUGACCACGCUCUGGUUGAGGUUGGCACUUCUGGGACCUGUUUAACAGAAUCAGAUAAGCCGGUGAUAAGGAUGAAUCAUGAGAAGUAAACACUCUACACUUGAUGAAAACCGGUGAGGCGACUUACCAAAGAUGGCGGCCACCAUUUGGGAAACCUGGCGCUUUAGGCCGGAGAGCUCGGCGGUCUUCUCAGAGAGAGCUUUCUCCGCCUGUUCCGCCCGGGUCACCAGUGCGGCAUUCUCCUCGGCCCAGGCUUUCCGCUCAGCAUCAAAUUCUGUCUUCAGCUUCUCUUGAGCGGCGAUGCUGGAUUCAAACUUGGCGUUUGCCUUCCGGGUCUCCAUCUCCUCUGUCUUCAGCCGGUUCUUGAGAUCCUCAAGGUCCGCCUCUAGUUUCUUGCUAACAACCUGCAUAAAUUUCCGGGUUAUUAACAGUCAUUAUAUAAGUCCCAAGCGUUUUCCAAGCAAAGACACUUGGCACUUGGGGGCUAAUGCAUAUUGAACGUAUCUAUUUACAUACUGCCGGCACAAUUGAGUAAGCCAGAACCUAUGUCUACAACAUAUUCAAUCAUAAGUCGUCGACUUGGGAGCUAGCAUGGCAAAGGUAACUAUGCAGUAAGUGAGAAGACAGCAGAAGGAUACCUCAGAUUUUUGCUGGAUCUGGUUUACCAUGGCGACCUUAGUGUCCCGGCUCUUGUGUACUUGACUGAUGUAGCCAGAGACGAGCUCUCCAAUGCUCAGGUUGGUGUAGUUGGAGAGGUCCAGAUUCGCCCGGUGAGGCUGCAGCAACUCCCCCUUAGCGGAGCACUUGGCCAGCACGGUCGGUCUCCCCGGCUCAACAAACUCCGUCCGGGUGAUUACCACGUCCGGGUCGUCGGCUGGUGGAGCUGAGCCGGAGGCCUCCGGGUUAACCGAAGCUUCGUUCGUUGCCUUGGUAGUUGGGGCAGUGGCCUCAGGUGCCGUGUCCAUUGGAGUGGUGACUUCGGGGGCGGAGGCUGCUGGCGGUUCUUGAGCCGUCACUUCCGUUUCAGGCAAAUCCGGCACUCCGGCUGAUCUGGUCUUCUUCGCUCUUUUGGUGAGUUUUGCCUGGGCACUGAAAGGACAGAAGUGUUAAGCACACAAAGGGUAAGUAAAGACAAGUACAAUAUGAGAUGGUUGUCAUUACCCGGGCGCGGUCUUGAAAGUCGGAAGAUUCGACUGCAUAGAGUCGCCCGAAGAAGGGGAGGUCUCCUGAUAAUUGGAGUCAGAAGAAUUAAGUGGCUGACAGAUAAUACCCCCCCAACGGAUGAAAGGGGUACAAGUGGGACAAAACCUCAGUUCGGCGCUUCCUUGUUGCGUCGGGUAACCCGGCGGAGAGGUCGGUGUCCUUGUUGGUCCGGGUGUGACGCCGGCUUUCAUGAACCUGUCGCUUCAAAAUAAAUUGAGGGUCUUGAUAAGCUAAAGGAUGUGAAAAGCUUACUUUCCGGGUUACCCUUCGGACUUUCAGCUGUGGCAAGGGCUCCGAGUCGGAGGAAAGUGACAUUACCUCUUCAACCACCGGGUUACUGGCGCCGGUGUCAUCCUGUCAAUGAGCAAGUGUUGAUAAGGCGGACAGCAACAAACAACAAAUACAGCAAGAACUAAAAGGCUUAGGGGUUACCUCUUACUCGGAGCUGUCGCUUAAUUGCAUCAGCUCCGAAGCAGUAGGCCUGCUUCCUUUUUUGCGAGGGGCGGCUUUCUUGGCGGCUUUCUUCGCCUUCCUGGCCUUCUUGGCCGCCUCAUGGUCAUAUUUGACCCGCCAGAACUUAUCAUCAGCCUGAAAAAUACAAUGAUGAAUUCUUAAAACGGUUCAGAUGAAGGUUAUAUGCAGAAGAAGAUAAAAAGUUAAAGUCAGCGGCUUACCGCUGGUGUUGGGUUGGUCUUGCAGAAGGGGGCUAACCCGGUCCUUCCGCAGUCUUCUAGGCUCUCGUUUAAAAGAGCCUUGGUUUCCUCCUCUGCAACGUCUUCUGGAAGAUCAUUGCGGCUAUGUCUCUGCGGGUCAUCCUUUCGCCCUGUGUACUCGCACAUUAAGCCGGGGCGGCGGCUCAAUGGGAUCACCCGCCAUGAGAUCCAGACCCGGACCAGGUCGAUUCCGUUCAGACCAUUGCCCAGGAGAGCUUUGAUCUUGUUGAUAGUGGGGAGCAGAGGCUGGCGCUCCGCUUGAGUCAGCUUGUCCGACAAUGGGUGAGUCGGCUCCAGACGUGUUGGGCGAAAGCCGGGCAGCGGGCUUUCAUCAGCCGGGGACGUAUCUUGGCAGUAGAACCAAGUCAUGUUCCAGUCCUUGGGGUGGCUUGGCGGCUCUGCGUAAGGGAAAAGACAGUCCCUACGCCGCUGGAUGGAGAUACCACCUAAUUCCAGACUUGGCCCAUUGGCGCACUCGUUCUGGCGGUUUAAGUAAAAAAGCUCUCUGAAGAGCAGCAGACUAGGUUCUUCUCCAAGGUAAACCUCACAGAAGACUUGAAAAUUGCAGAUGUUGGACACUGAGUUGGCUCCUAUGUCUUGAGGCCGCAAGUCGAAGAAGUUGAGCACGUCCCUAAAAAACUUUGAGCCGGGCGGUGCGAAGCCCCGGCUCAUAUGAUCCGCGAAAAUCACUACCUCCCCGUCCUUUGGCUGUGGUCUCUCUUCUGACGGGUCAGGGGCACGGUAGGACAUGACUUCCUUCUUGGGCAGAUAUGCGGACUUAAAAAAAUUUGCUAGGGUCUCGUUGGUGACAUUGGACCUCAUCCAGUUGCAAGUAAUGGGAGCUUUGGGAGGCAUGGUGAAAAUCGGCAGACUAUGACAAAAAGAAAAAACGUCCGGGUUAAUCAUAAGCCGGAGGUGAUCUACAGUUCAAAGCUAAGAUGGCGGCUUAUGAAGGGGACUAAUGGUAUAUACUUAAGUACAGCAGGUUAUUUAAGCCGCAGGGCCAUUCAGAAUAAGAUGGUUAUCUACGGCCUUAUGACAGUUAAGCCGGAGGAUUUUACGAAGCAUGGUUUUCUUUAAACCGGAGGAUUCUACAGCGCGUGGUUUCUUUAAACCGGAAUUGUAAGCCGCCAAGAUUCAAUGGCCGCAGUUUUUACUAAGUGUGGUAAAAACAGGUUUCACAUAUCGCAGUAAAAAUUUUGGAUCAAAAUGGUCGGGUGAAAUGAAAAUUUUCUAGACCUAGAAACAGACGAGCGGAUGUUCUUGAGAUCGAACGAAGCCUUUAUGCGGUGGAAAGAGAUCUACUGGCAUUUGAAAUGAGUCCUAAACAACCGCCGCACUAGUUCUAUACAAGGCUAAAGAUCAAAUAGGGGCAGUAACUAUGAGAACUACCGAAGCUUGCGAACAAUGGCGAAGAACACGGACGAACUAUUUGAACCCUACCGCAGAUCUGUUCUAGCAGGGCAGAGGAGACUCACCGGAGGUGGAGAAGAGCGGAGGUUGCCGCCGUUUGUCUGGUCCGAGUCAAGGUGAUGCAGCGGCCAAAGUUGACGAAGACCAGGGGCGCGACGGUGGAGGCAGUAGCAGAGCUCGGGCUGAGGAGCGAUGGCACGAGGAAGAAGAUGGAGAGGAAGUGGCUGAGAGCCCGUCGGGCGGGCCUAUUUAUAAGGCAAGUUCAUAAGUGGGCGCGAGAUUCAAGGAGACCACGGCGUGGUUAUCUCCCCAUGAAACGCCUCGAUUUUUGGGAUGACAGUAAAGAGAAAGAUCCGUUGCAGAUCUGGCGGAGUAAAAAAGGACUUAAUGGAGGAUGACGUCACGACCGAUUAUCCGGAGUCUAGAGGAUGACGUCACGCCGGGUUAUGGCCUUCACAUGAAUGGUAAGCCGGAGAUUUUUUCUGUCGGAAGAGUUGAAGAUUGACAUGAGCCGGCUCAAAUCAAUCUGGGGCCUAAUGUUGAGGAUAUAGACCUUAGAGUCACCCGCCAGGAGGGGCCGCGUUACUCAUACAGUCGUUACCAGAAGCCCGGAGCCAAGCUUGAAGAGAUGGGCCAGAGAUGGGCUAAGACCCGGAUAUGGCUUAAGGCCCGUAGUUACAAUCAUUGUUAUGGUAGAACUUGUAGUGUAAGGCAAGUAUGAUUGAGAGUCCGAGCCGGACACUCUUAUGAGCCGGCCGGGACUCUAAGGGCUGCUGGGCGUCAGCCUCCCUAUAUAAAGGGACGACCCGGCAGCGGUUUAGGGACAAGAACAAUCUCAUCGAGAGCCGGGCAUAGCAGUUUAGCUCCCUGGUGAUCGUAACCCUAAUCAAUACCACCUCAAACUGGACGUAGGCUUUUACCUUCACCGUAAGGGGCCGAACCAGUAUAAACCCUCGUGUUCCUUGUCCCGCAUUAACCCCUUCAAGCUUCCUAGUUGCGAUGGCUCCACGACUAAGUCCUAGCUCGAGGACAUCUGCCGUGACAAUUCCACGACACAUUCUCUCAUGCUUGCAUUAUAUUUUGCUACUGUAAUUGAUUGCUCCUAUUCUGAUGCAUAGCCUGCUUUUGUAACCUCCUUAGUGUUACCUACCUGCUUAACCUAAACUGCUUAGUAUAGGUUGGUUAGUGAUCCAUCAGUGACCCCCACCUUGUCCUUGUUGCCCCUGCUUCAUCAUCGAAGACCCGAUCAACGGGAUCGAAGACCAGGCCACGGCACCGCACACCACUUUCCCCUUAGUUGCUCGACACUACUGGGUUACUGUCGAGUGCCGAGGGUGAGACCUCAACAGCACUUGUGAUGUUAACCCUGUAGUGUAGCUAUUCGGUCGUGGUCAUCGAGGGUGAUUCCACCUUAACCACUUCCUAUACGUCUCUGUCGUGCAACCCAUCAUGUGUGAACCUCGAGGGUGGUUCCUCUUACGUUCACCUUGAUGAGUACAUCGAGUGGAAUCCAUCGAGGGUGGUUCAUCUGGGUUCCCCUUGGUGUUAGACACACGGUUACUAUGGUUACUAUGACUUUACCCUGAAUCAGGUUACUAAAGAUGGGUCAGCCCUGAGGGGUACCCGCGCGAGCUUAAUUAUGAGUGAUGUGGAGUCGGGUUAUUCUGGAAGGUGCCCGCGAUAUACUUACGAGGCCUGGCCGGGAAUUCUUGGCCCUUGCCGCAAGUCCUCGAGACGGGGCGACGGGGUUACAUCUUUUGUGAGUCUCUGCUUGUUACCGCGCGCUCCUAAUCCACUAUGAUUUGGAUAUUUGAUCCGAGGGGCCUCUGGCCUGAUAGCACUAACCAUCACGUGGGCAUAGUAUGGGCGUUCUGCGUCGUAUGCAUCAUCCGAAGCUUAAUAGACGUCAGCGACUGAGCGGCGCGCGCCGGGUUGGACUGGUAAGCACCUGCCUUUUUUAAGGAGGUAGCUAGGUCUGCUCACCGGCCGCGUUCGCAACGUGCAGGAGUUCCCGGGGCGAUGGCCCAUGACCCCUGGGGGCAUAGGUUUAGUCCGGCGUGCUGACUUCUCUAUUAAGCCUAGGUUGGGUUGCGGCGUAUUGUUUGGCCGAGGCCGGGCGUGACCCAGGAAAGUGUGUUCGGCCGGAGUUAAUCGAGCGUGGUGGGUAAGUUGGUGCACCCAUGCAGGGAAGAAUACAUCUAUCGAUAGCCUGUCCUACAAUAAUGGACACUUGGAGUUGUAUCAUGAUCGAUACAACUAGAACUAGAUGCUGAGGCAUGAUUUGGAUAUGUUGCUUCGGGAGUCGAGAAAGGAUCCCACAGCGUUGAUACAACAACAUAAAUAUGACUUAUGCUAUACUAUUCUAAUCCCUCCUAUUGCUGCAAGAUGGUGGUUUCCAGAAGAUGCUAGUCUUCGAUAGGACUAGCUUCCCCCCUCUUAUUCUGGCAUUCUGCAGUUCAGUUCACAGAUACUACCCCUUUUCAUUGACACCGAUGCAUAUAUAGUGUAAAUCCUUGCUUGCGAGUACUUUGGAUGAGUAAUCACGGUUGCUUUGCUCCCUCUUUUCCCCUUUUCCAUUCUUCUCGGAUGUCGCAACCAGAUGGUGGAGCCCAGGAUCCAGACGCCACCACUGACAACUACUACUACCCUGAGGGUGCUUACUACUACGACCGGGAGUAGUUAGGAGGCUCCUAGGCAGGAGGCCUUGCCUCUUCGAUCAUGUUGCUUUUGUGCUAGCCUUCUUAAGGCAUCCUUGUUUAACUUUUGUCUGUUCUCAGAUAUUGCUGCUUCCACUGACUCGUUUGUAGUCAAGCUUAUGUAUUCGAGCCCUCGAGGCCCCUGGCUUGUAAUAUAAAGCUGGUAUUAUUUUAAUUUGUGUCUAGAGUUGUGUUGUGAUAUCUUCCGGUGAGUCCCUGAUUUUGAUCGUACACAUUUGCGUGUAUGAUUAGUGUGUGAUUGAAUCGGGGGCAUCACAGAGAUCUCUUCUCUCACAUUCGGAGCACAGUUGGUCCUCAAUUUGAAAACCGACAAAGGUGACAUCUUCCUUAUUCACGCCUUGAUGCACCUUUGUUCAUGUUCACUCUCGCCUGAGAGCAGUGCAUCGAUACAACAGAGUUCUUAUUCUUACCCUUCAAAAGAUCAGGAAAGGUCAUUCUAGGCUCUUUAUCAGAUGUCUCAUUCCAUCAUUUACCUUGUGCCUGCAGGGGAACGUAGCAUGCAAUUUCAAAAAAAAUCCUACGCCCACGCAAGAUCUAUCUAGGAGAUGCAUAGCAACAAGAAUGGGAGAGUGUUUCCACGUACCCUCGUAUACCGAAAGCAGAAGCAUUUGAAAACGCGGUUGAUGUAGUCGAGCUUCUUCUCGUUCUGACCGAUGAAGCACCAAAUCUACGACACCUCCGAGUUCUACACAUGUUCAGCUGGAUGACGUCCCUCGAACUCUUGAUCCAGCAAAGUGUCGAGGGAGAGUUCCGUCAGCAUGACAGCAUGGUGACGGUGAAGGUGAAGUGAUCCGCGCAGGGCUUCGCCUAAGUACUACGUGAAUAUGACCGGACGCGUAAACUAUGGAGGGGGCGCUGCACACGGCUAACAAUGUUUGUUGUGUGUUCUAGCGGUGCCCCCCCACACAUAUAUAUAGGUUGGAGGGGAGGAGAGGCAGACAAGGGGGCACCCCAAGUAGGAGGAAUCCUACUUGGGGUCCUCCCAAUUUGGCCUUCCCCCUUUCCUAUUCCUAUUCCGAGUAGGAAGGGAAGAGGGGGAAAGGGGAAUCCUAUUCCCUUUUUCCUUUCCUUCUUCCCCUUUCUUUCUCCAAUUUGGCCAGCCCAUAUGGGGGGCACACCAGCCCCUUAGUGGAUGGUGUGUUUCCCCUCUUGGCCCAUUAGGCCCAUAUAGCUUGCUGGGGUUUGCCCGGAAACCCUUCCCGUGACCCGAUACGUACCCGGUACCCCCAGAACACUUCCGGUGUUCGAAUAGUAUCGUCCUAUAUAUGAAUCUAUACCUGUCGACCAUUUCGAGACUCCUCGUCAUUUCCGUGAUCUCAUCCGGGACUCCGAACAACAUUCGGUCACCAAAUCACAUAACUCAUAUAAUACAAAUCGUCAUCGAACGUUAAGUGUGCGGACCCUACGGGUUCGAGAAAUAUGUAGACAUGACUGAGACGCCUCUCCGGUCAAUAAACAAUAGCAAAACCUAGAUGCUCAUAUUGGUUCCUACAUAUUCUACGAAGAUCUUUAUCGGUCAAAUCGUAAUGACAACAUACGUCAUUCCCUUUGUCAUCGGUAUGUUACUUGCCCGAGAUUCGAUCGUCGGUAUCUCCAUACCUAGUUCAAUCUCAUUACCAGCAAGUCUCCUUACUCGUUCCAUAAUGCAUCAUCCCGAAGCUAACUCAUUAGUCACAUUGCUUGCAAGGAUUAUCAUGGUGUGCAUUACCGAGAGGGCCCAGAGAUACCUCCCCGAUACUCAGAGUGACAAAUCUUAAUCUCGAUCUAUGCCAACCCAACAAACACCUUCGGAGAUACCUGUAGAGCAUAUUUAUAAUCACCCAGUUACGUCGUGACAUUUGAUAGCACACAAGGUAUUCCUCCGGUAUCCGGGAGUUGCAUAAUCUCAUAGUCAAAGGAAUAUGUAUAGUCAUGAAGAAAGCAAUAGCAAUAAAACUUAACGAUCAUUACGCUAAGCUAAUGGAUGGGUGUUGUCUAUCACAUCAAUCUCCUAAUGAUGUGAUCCUAUUCAUCAAAUGACAACACGUUUCUAUGGUUAGGAAACUUAACCAUCUUUGAUUAACGAGCUAGUCUAGUAGAGGCUUACUAGGCACACAGUGUUUUGUUUAUGUAUCCACACAUGUAUCAAGUUUUCGGUUAAUACAAUUCUAGCAUGAAUAAUAAACUUUUAUCAUGAUAUAAGGAAACAUAAAAUAGCAACUUUAUUAUUGCCUCUAGGGCAUUUUUUCUUCAGUCUCCCACUUGCACUAGAGUCAAUAAUCUAGUUCACAUCGCCAUGUGAUUUAACACCAAUAGUUCACAUCUUUAUGUGAUUAACACCCACAUUUCACAUCGCCAUGUGACCAACACCCAAAUGGUUUAAUAGAGUCAAUAAUCUAGUUCACAUCGCUAUGUGAUUAACACCCAAAAGUACAAAGGUGUGAUCAUGUUUUGCUUGUGAGAGAAGGUUAGUCAACGGGUCUGACACAUUCAGAUCCAUAUGUAUUUUGCAAAUUUCUAUGUCUACAAUGCUCUGCAUCGAGCUACUCUUGCUAAUUUCUCCCACUUUCAAUAUGUAUCCAGAUCGAGACUGAGAGUCAUCCAGAUCGGUGUCAAAGCUUUCAUCGACGUAACUCUUUACAACGAACUCUUUAUCACCUCCAUAACCGAGAAAAAUUUCCUUAGUCCUCUUUGGGCACCUAAGGAUAAUUUUGACUGUUGUCGAGUGAUCGACUCUUGGAUCAAUGUUGUACCACUUGCCAAACUCAUGGCAAGGUACACAAUAGGUCUGGUAUACAGUAUGGCAUACUUUAUAGAACCUAUGGUUGAGGCAUAGGGAAUGGCUUUCAUUCUUUCUCUAUCUUCUGCCAUGGUCGGGUUUUGAGUCUUACUCAACUUCAUACCUUAUAACUCAGGCAAGAACUCCUUCUUUGAGUGAUCCAUUUUGAACUCCUUCCAAAUCUUAUCAAGGUAUGCACUCAUCAAAAGUCUUAUCAAGCGUCUUGAUCUAUCUCUAUAGAACAUGAUGCCCAAUAUGUAAGCAGCUUCACUGAGGCCCUUCUUUUGAAAAACUCCUUUCAAACACUCCUUUAUGCUUUCCAGAAAAUUCUACAUCAUUUCCAAUCAACAAUAUGUCAUUCACAUAUAAUUAUCAGAAAGGUUGUAGUUCUCCCACUCACUUUCUUGUAAAUAUAGGCUUCUCCGAAAGCCUGUAUAAAACCUUAUGCUUUGAUCACCUCAACAAAGCAUACAUUCAAACUCCGAGAUGCUUGCACCAGUCCAUAGAUGGAUCGUUGCAGCUUGCACACUUUGUUAGCACCUUUAGGAUUGACAAAACCUUCUAGUUGUAUCAUAUACAACUCUUCUUUAAUAAAUCCAUUUAAGGAAUGCAGUUUUGACAUCCAUUUGCCAGAUUUUAUAAAAUGCGGCAAUUGCUAACAUGAUUCACACAGACUUAAGCAUCGAUACGAGUUAGAAAAUCUCAUCAUAGUCAACACCUUGAACUUGUCGAAAACCCUGUUGCGACAAUUCGAGCUUUGUAGGUAGUACCAUCAGCGUCGGUCUUCCUCUUGAAGAUCCAUUUAUUCUUAAUGGCUUGCUGAUCAUCGGGAAAGUCAACCAAAGUCCAUACUUUGUUCUCACACAUGAAUCCCGUCUCAGAUUUCAUGGUCUCAAGCCAUUUUGCGGAAUCUGUGCUCAUCAUCGCUUCCUCAUAGUUUGCAGGUUCGUCAUUGUCUAGUAACAUGACUUCCAGAACAGGAUUACCGUACCACUCAGGCACGGAACAUGCUCUGGUUGACCUACGAGGUUCGGUAGUAACUUGAUCUGAAGUUUCAUGAUCAUUAUCAUUAGCUUCCUCUCUAGUUGGUGUAGGCAUCACUGGAACUGAUUUCUGUCAUGAGCUACUUUCCAAUUCGAGAGAAGGUACAAUUACCUCAUCAAGUUCUAUUUUCCCUCCCACUCACUUCUUUUGAGAGAAACUCCUUCUCUAGAAAGAAUCCAUUCUUAGUAACAAAUAUCUUGCCUUCGGAUCUGUGAUAGAAGGUGUACCCAACAAUUUCUUUUGGGUAUCCUAUGAAGACACACUUCUCCGAUUUGGGUUCAUGCUUAUCAGGCUGAAGCUUUUUCACAUAAGCAUCGUAACCCCAAACUUUAAGAAACGACAGCUUAGGUUUCUUGCCAAACCACAGUUCAGAUGGUGUCAUCUCAACGGAUUUAGAUGGUGCCCUAUUUAACGUGAAUGCAGUUGUCUCUAAUGCAUAACCCCAAAACGAUAGUGGAAAAUCGGUAAGAGACAUCAUAUAUUGCACAAUAUCUAAUAAAUGCGGUUACGACAUUCGGACACACCAUUAUGUUGUGGUGUUCCAGGUGGCGUGAGUUGUGAAACUAUUCCACAUUGUUUUAAAUGAAGGCCAAACUCGUAACUCAAAUAUUCGCCUCCGCGAUCAGAUCAUAGAAACUUUAUUUUCUUGUUAUGAUGAUUCUCAACUUCACUCUAAAAUUCUUUGAACUUUUCAAAUGUUUCAGACUUGUGUUUCAUUAAGUAGAUAUACCCAUGUCUUCUUAAAUCAUCUGUGAAGGUCAGAAAAUAACGAUAUCUGCCGCGAGCCUCAACACUCAUCGGACCACAUACAUCGGUAUGUAUUAUUUCCAAGAAGAGUGGCUCACUCCAUUGUUCUGGAGAACGGAGUUUUAGUUAUCUUGCCGAUGAGGCAUGGUUCGCAAGCAUCAAAUGAUCCAUAAUGAAGUGAUUCCAAAAGUCCAUCCGCAUGGAGUUUCUUCAUGCGUUUUACACCAAUAUGACCUAAAUGGCAGUGCCACAAAUAUGUUGCACUAUCAUUAUCAACUUUGCAUCUUUUGGCAUCAAUAUUUUGAAUAUGUGUAUCACCACAAUCGAGAUUCAGUAAACCAUUCAUACUAGGUGUAUGACCAUAGAAGGUUUUAUUCAUGUAAACAGAACAACAAUUAUUCUCUGACUUAAAUGAAUAACCAUAUUGCAAUAAACAUGAUCUAAUCAUAUUCAUGCUCAACACAAACACCAUAUAACAUUUAUUUAGGUUCAACACUAAUCCCGAAGGUAGAUUUUCAUAUCAACCUUGGAAUCACAUCCAACACACAUCAUCACCUAACCCUUAACUAGUCUCUGUUCAUUCUGCAACUCCUGUUUUGAGUUACUAAUCUUAGCAACUGAACCGGUAUCAACUACCCAUGAGCGACUAUGAACACUUGUAAGGUACACAUCAAUAAUUUGUAUAUCAAAUAUACAUUUGUUCACCUUGCCAUCCUUCUUAUCCGCCAAGUAUUUGGGGCAGUUCCGCUUCUAGUGACCAUUCCCUUUGCAGUAUAAGCACUUAGUUUCAGGCUUAGGUCGAGUUUUGGGCUUCUUCACGGGAGUGAAAACUUGUUUGCCAUUCUUCUUGAAGUUCCCUGUCUAUCCCUUGCCAUUUUCUUGCAACUAGUGGUCUUGAUAACCAUCAACAUUUGAUGCUCUUUCUUGAUUUCUACCUUCAUUGAUUUCAGCAUCGCAAAGAGCUUGGGAAUCAUUUUCGUCAUCCCUCGCAUAUUAUAGUUCAUCACGAAGUUCUAGUAACUUGGUGAUAGUGACUAGAGAACUCUGUCAAUCACUAUCUUAUCUCGAAGAUUAACUCCCACUUGAUUCAAGUGAUUGUAGUACCCAGACAUUCUGAGUACAUGCUCAUUGGCUGAGCCAUUCUCCUCCAUCUUGUUGGCAAAGUACUUGUCAGAGGUCUCAUACCUCUCGACAUGUAGCGAUCCGACCUCAGACGGUCAAAUCUCUGUGCAUGAGUGUCAUCCCCGGAUCGGUAAUGCUGACACACACAGUACUCGAGGAUUUAUAACAGAGUUCAAUCACACACUUAUUACAUCGAAUGUCUCAAAAGAGAACUUAUUACAAUAAUAUGGCUGAAGGCCAUCUAAAUGAGAUAACAGCGGAAGCUUCGAAGGUAAAUGAGUCCAUCAACUCCAACGGCAUAGCUGAGUGCACGACAACGACCUAGCGCACCCUAAUCUUCGUCUGAAAACUCUGCAACAUAAUACGUUGCAGCCUAUGUAGGUCGGCACAUGGAAUAUGCUGGCAAAAUAACACUAUAGAGCAAAGAACAGAUAACAACUAUCACUACAUGCAUAUAUGGCUGGUGGAGGCUCUAUGGUUAUAAUUUUGCGUAAAGCCAGUUUUUCCCUACUACAAAGGAAUAUAUUUUAUUUACUACAAAGUUUGUACAAAACAUUGAGAAUGGUAACCCCAUCUCAAUCCCAAAUUAAUAAUCAACAACCCCAUAAGUUAUUUAAGUAAAGUGAUGAGAUCAACACAAUAAUUCAAGCACCAGAUACUCAAGAUGUCCAUAACCGGGGACACGGCUAAUCAUGAUUAGUUUGUACACUCUGUAGAGGUUUGCGCACUUUUCCCCACAAGACUCGAUCUCCUCCGUUUGAUUUCUCGCACUACAUGUUGUUUGAGAGAGGGAUGACCGAGACACAGUCUUCCAGAAGCAUUAACUCGUUACGACGGGUAGACAGUACCACCUUGUCGGUGUACAAAAGAAGGGGCGCACCUUUGUACCCCUUUACCUGUGCACGGACAGUCAGAGCCACGCCCGCGGCCGCACCAAGCAGAACAGGGGAGGUGAACCGAGGUAAAACCGAAGCCCAAGACAGCCGAAGCAAUGCCAAGGCCAAGAACAAAGCAAAGUGGCGAAGCAGGUUCCCCCGGCAAGAUCCUUGCCCGGGGCAGCCUCAGUAGCCCCGGCAAGACUCUUGUCGGGGCGGCCCGCCCAAACAGCGGAGUGAGCCACCCUCGAGCCCACGGGUUCCAACUCAACCAACCACGUUGGAACUAGGGCUCGGGAGGCACCUCCAUGGUGUCAUGCAGAUCUUUGUCAAGCCCAAGGAAUAUUCAAGAUCAGAUGAGGAUUAAGAGACAACGGUCCUCGGCAAGGUCCUUGCCGAGGAGAGCCACGAGACCCCCGGCAAGAUCCUUGCCAGGGACGACAGCACGCCACGGCAAGACCCUUGCCGGGCCACCCGGCAAGGCCCUCACCAAGGGCGUCAGCGGGGCCACAUCCAAAACCGCACCAGCCAAGUCUCCACCGCCGUUCGCAUGCAGCUGCCAGCCCAACCAGCUGGGCAGGCACCUGCGUGGCAACAUGCAGCUCCCAGGCCAACUCAUGAAGCACCUGCAUGGCGGCAUGCAGAUCUUCGUGAAGACCCUAUCACCGCGCCAGCUCAGCUGGGGGCUGCGCCGGGGGCUGCUGUCCGGGCUGCUCAACACCACCAGUGGCGCCCUUGAAGUACCAGCCGGGGGCUGGCCGCCCGCCGAGGUCUUGGACCUCUACACCCUCUGGGCCAGCGUCUAUGUGUCCCUGCAAAGAUGAAAACGAGUCAAGACAAGCAACACAGAUUGAGGAGACAGAGACAACGGGAAAGAGCAAGAUACUUACUCAUCGUCCACCUCCUCCUCUGUUGUUUUCCUCUUCCUCCUCGGGCUGAGGAAUCCGAAGUCAAAGGUGACCCCCACGUCGGCGUGCGCCGGAGGAGGGGAGGAGGGCGGAGUCCGGGCGCGCUUGGGCGAAGAGGAGGCAAAUGCUCUCUUCUUCGCCGCCGCGGCCUUCACCACUUUCUUCACCGCCGCGGCCCUCGUUUGACGCGCGGACUCCUCCAGAGACUUUGGCCGCCGUGCGGCCCUGACGGGCCGUACCGGCUCGCCAGAAGUGGCCCGCCGUAGGACUCGCCCUCUUCCCGUGGCCGGAGGGUCAACAGCCCCGGCCUCUUCCUCCGACGACUUGUCAGCCGAAUCUUCAACCAGAGGAGCCUCGGUGCCGGCGCUGCUGGCCUCCCCGGCGGCCGCCGCCCACCGGGUGAGCUCCUCCUCCUCCGCGGCCGUCGCAGCCUUGACCUCCACACCACCAGUGCUGCCGGCCUCCUCGGCAAGUUGCGCCUCCCUCACCCUGGUGGCGAUGUAGUCCAGUUCCGCCUGGGAGGUGUCCUCGACGAGCAGCCGCUCGGCGUCGGCGUUGACGUAUCCCUCAUGCAGAGUGUCGAAAAAACUGCCGCACCUGGAUGUCCUCCGGCUCGACCCAGCUUGGGUCAGGGCCAUGCGCGUUGCAGUCCGGCAUCAUGGCGAUGAUGUCGGUCUGGCACUAAUUAUUGCACAGCGGGACCACUCCUACCGGCAACUCGAACAAAGGCCCCUUGACGACCUUGCCGGCCUUCGCGGCAGCCCUCGCGACCUUGCCGGUCCGCUCGACCUCGCCGUCGCGGCCCACAUCAAGCUGGAAGAGUCACUGGCAGAAAUGGGCAUGCCCCAUCACUGUGAAAUUGUGGUCGAGGCCGGGGCGAAGCCGCAUGAUGUCGGCGGGGUUCGUGAAGAGCCAGGUCGGCCUCCCCUUGUUGUGCACUGGAGCGAUCCGGCGGUGGAUGAAGUCCGCCCUGAUCAUCUCAAAUGUGAGCCUGGCCUCGGUGAGCCAAAGGAUCCUGGUGGUGGCGAUCGUGAGCUUCUCGUCGUCGGCAUCGACGUCGCUCCAAUCGCUUCUGCGGACCGGCGGCGCCCGACGAACUUCGCAGAAUGCCGGCGGGUCCUUUUCUUCAAUCCAGUACCACCAGCCCCGCCACUCUUCCCACCUCUCCUUCAUGGCACCAUCCGGGUAUGCUCCCUUGGAUCUUGGGAUCCAAGUGACACAACCGGAGAUGGCGCCCCCCGUUUGAAUCCGAGGGAAGAAGUAGUGGCGGAAAAGCGCCGUGUUGGGAUGCACCCGGGCGAAACCUUCACAGAGGUGCGCGAAAAGGGCCAUGCACGCCACCGUGUUUGGGGUAAAAUCCAAGAGGCGGAAGCCAAAGGUAUGCAUGAUGUCGCUAAAGAAAUCGGAGAAGGGAGGACAGAGCCCGCAGGAGAAAUAGUCGACAAAGAAAGGCUACCGAUCCGGGGCAGCCUCGGCGUAGUUGGCGGGGAUGACGCGCGUGGCUAGGUGCCCUGUCUUCUCUCCCCUCGUCUUCACCCCCCACAGGGGCUUGAAGGCUUCCCGGAGCUCGAACAAUUCAACCGUCGAGGGGAAGUAGGCGGACUGCAUCCGCUGCACCGCCAGCGCACUCUCCGACGGCUCCGCCGCUCUAGCAUCCUUGGCCACUCCCUUGCCCUUGGUGGAUUUUGGCGCCAUGGCGGUUGGGGGAAGGGGGCAAGGGGCAAAGGAUGGCGGGAACACGACGGCGGCGAGCAAGAGCGAAACUUAAGGAAGAAGAGGUAGACGAAUGGAGGUUUCUGAGAUUGCGAUUGCGCGGAGGGUAAAGGGAACAGUGCGCUCGCGGUUAUCCCUUUUUAUGGGGAAGGUGCGGGUCGCGCUGCCCAUUUACAGUGAUGUGACGCAAGCGUGCGGUAACCGCCCCACGCAUGCCGACCACGUCACGCGCACCCCUCAACGUCGCGCAUUCAACGCGGGUCGUGGGGAGCGCAGCGCGCGAAAAGUUUUACCGCGGUAAAAACUGCCCCGCCUGCCCGCGCAUCGUUUUGGGCCUGGCCCAACAACGUGUCGCGCUUAUGUGUGGCCCAGGCCCGGGGGCUCCUGUCGGUGUACAAAAGAAGGGGCGCACCUUUGUACCCCUUUACCUGUGCACGGAUAGUCAGAGCCACGCCCGCGGCCGCACCAAGCAUAACAGGGGAGGUGAACCGAGGUAAAACUGAAGCCCAAGAUAGCUGAAGCAACGCCAAGGCCAAGAACACAAAGAAGUAGAGAGGCGAAGUAGGUUCCCCCGGCAAGAUCCUUGCCGGGGGCAGCCUCAGCGGCCCCGGCAAGACCCUUGCCGGGGUGGCCCACCCACACCAGCGGAGUGAGCCACCCUCGAGCCCACGGGUUCCAACUCAACCAACCAUGUUGGAACUAGGGCUUGGGAGGCACCUCCAUGGUGGCAUGCAGAUCUUUGUCAAGACCAAGGAAUUUUCAAGAUCAGAUGAGGAUUAAGAGACAACGGUCCUCGGCAGGGUCCUUGCCGAGGAGGGCCACGAAACCCCCGGCAAGAUCCUUGCCGGGGACGAUAGCACGCCAUGGCAAGACCCUUGCUGGGCCACCCGGCAAGGCCCUCACCAAGGGCGUCAGCGGGGCCACAUCCAGAACCGCACCAGCCAAGUCUCCACCGCCGUUCGCAUGCAGCUGCCAGCCCAACCAGCUGGGCAGGCACCUGCGUGGCAACAUGCAACUCCCAGGCCAACUCAUCAAGCGCCUGCGUGGCGGCAUGCAGAUCUUCGUGAAGACCCUAUCACCGCGCCACCUCAGCUGCCUGCUUGCCCACAUAGCGCCGCACGCAUCCCUGGCCAGGGCGCGUGUUGAUGAAAGGAGGAGCGGCGACGGACGGGACGGGCCUCGCUCCCAUCCCCGAUAAAGCUAGGGGACACCUCAGCGGCACAUUAAAUGCGUCUUGUCCUGUAAUACGAACGAUAAGCUCGUAGCACUAUACGCCUUUCCACCUCCUGUGUGCCACUGUGGCAGCCCCUUUCUACUAUAAAAGGAGGCUCAUGGCAUACUGGAAAAGGAUUCGGCUCUCUGGAACCACGCACCCACCAUAGCAAGUUCGAGAGCUCAAGAACUCUCGGAAAUACAUCCAACAAAGCAGGACUAGGGUUUGACGCAUCCUCGCGGCCCGAACCUGGGUAAACGAUCCUUGUGCAGAUUACUAAUCCUGCUCUUCUCACAACCCUGCGCCCCGGCAACCGUAGUAGGGAUUCUUGUGAUCCCAUAGGUGUCGUUCCACACCGACACACCUACAUCCCCUACAUCUGCUAGUCUACCACUGUAAGAGGUCACACAACUUACUCAACUAUGCCAGAGCCCAUAAUGGCUUGUGGCUGCAAACGGAAGUUUCCAGUAUGAAUAACAUAAUGAUCCCUUUGAGCCUGGGUGGGAAACCAUAUGAUGAUCACACGGGUUCCCCGGGAUCUCCUUGGACAACACUGGAUUCCCUAGGUGCCGACAAGCCAAUCCACCCAGAUGUGUAUUAAAGUAGCCACCUUAAGUUAAACCUUAGUUAACAAAGAUCUCUCACAUCUUUCAUGAAUUCCCUCAAACCAAUCCACGUUUACGAGCGUAGCAUAGCUACCUCAUCAACUACUUCCCAAAACCCACAUGUUAUCAGUCCUACUCAUGCAAUGUUUCAGGGUUGAAACUAAUGCUUAAAAACUGGGUAAUAAAGGGGUAUGAUCAAAGUGUUACUUGCCAUGCUGACGAUCAGAAAACCCUAGUGAUUCGUAGUAGCACGCUUCGCACUCCGGAAACUCUAUCGUGAACAAACAAUAGCAUACAUAAGCACUCAAGCAUAAGAUGCAAGGGUAAAACUCAAGAGAAAGGAUCCAAACUGAAAGUUCAACUGAAGACCUUCGAUUUGCAAAAAGAAUCAAUCGAAUCGGAGCUGCGAAACUGAACCUGCGAUCAAAAGAAGUACGAAUUCAAAUCUGCUUGAAACCAAAUUUUAAUUUAUCAAAAUCAUGUUCAAGUUGAUUAACUGGAAAGAGGGGAACAAGACGAAGAUUUUGGCGUUGGUUUCACUGGAUUUGGAAAAACGAGUAAAAAGUAGCGAGGGUUUGAAUUUCAGGGACUAAUCUGUGAUAAAAGUAUUCGCGGAUAGGUCCCUGGACGAAAAAUAAAAUAAAAAGAAAAACCUAACGAAUGAACGUUCACUAACAGAUCUAAACGAAUGAAUUCGUUUGUUAACCGAAACUAUCGAUGAACGUUCGUUAAUUAACGAACUAAAUAAAUGAACCCGAUCCAACGGAAUAAACCGAAAAAAACGAAAGAAAACCGAGCGGAUUUUUCCGGUUUUCGAAAAAAACGCGGCGAUGAGAUCCGAUCGACGCCGGCGUCGGGCGAGGCGGCGACGGCAGCUGGCAGUUUUAUUUAAAUAAAAUUUCGCCUGAAAGAAAAUUCCUAAUAAAAUAUAUAAAAAAUUCUAAAAAUACUAGAAACAAUUUUCGCCAUCCAAACCUAAUAUUUAGGACAAGGUGAACGUUUUUCUGGCCUAAAAUGCAAUUUUCAGAAAUGCAUAUUUUCUCUAAAUCAAAUAAAAUACAAUUAAAAUAAUAAUUUGGUUUUAAAAUUUCUUCUUCAAUAGUCCUCUCCUUUGAAGAAGUCAUUUUAUCUCCUCUCAUUUAUUUUUAUUAUUGGAAAAUAAUUGGAGAGAAAAAUAUUAAAAUCAAAUUGAUCCACUUUUCAGGUUUGAGAAAAAAUUCAAAUAUGAAAAUCUCUGAAAUCUCCAACUCUCUCCUUGGGUCCUCGAGUUGCAUAAGAUUUCUAGGACCACAACCAAAAUGCAAAUAAAAUAUGAUAUGCAUAUGACGACCUAUGUAUAACAUCCAAAUUGAAAAUUGGGAUGUUACAAACCUACCCCCCUUAAGAUGAAUCCUGUCCUGGAGAUUCGGGUUAGCUAGAAAAUAGGUGUUGUGGUCUUUCCGUAGGUCUUCCUCUCGCUCCCAGGUGGCUUCCUCCUCGGUAUGGUGGCUGCACUGAACUUUGCAAAACUUAAUAACCUUGCUGCGUGUAACUCGGCUGGCAAACUCAAGAAUCUUGACGGGUUUCUCCUCGUAGGUUAGGUCACUCUCCAUCUAAAUUGCUUCGAGGGGCAUUGUAUCUCUCAGAGGAAUAUCGGCCAUCUCUGCAUGGCACUUCUUCAACUGGGAAACGUGAAGCACAUGAUGAAUUCCUGACAAUCCUUCGGGUAACUCCAACUUGUAGGCCACCUCUCAUAUGUUCCAGAACUCGGUAUGUUCCUACAAAUCUCGGAGCUAACAUUCCUUAACUCCAAAACAUUUAACUCCUCGAAGUGGUGACACACGAAGAUAUGCUCUGCCUCUGACUUUGCAGACUACCUCCUUGCAUUUACUAUCGACAUAACUCUUCUGCCUGGACUGAGCUACCUUCAGUCUAUCCCGAAUAAACUUAACCUUCUCUUCAGAUUCCUUGAUUAAAUCCGGUCCAAACAACUGACGGUCUCCAACUUCAUCCCACAUCAACGGUGUCAUGCACCUUCUUCCAUACAAAGCUUCGAAAGGGGCCAUCUUCAAACUAGCCUGGUAACUGUUGUUGUAUGAGAACCCUGCGUAAGGCAAAUUAUCAUCCCAAGUGGAUCCAUAAUCUAGCGCACAAGCUCUCAACAUGACCUCUAGAAUCUGAUUGACUCUCUCGGUCUGUCCAUCUGUCUGCGGAUGAAAGCCUGUACUGAACUCAAGCCUGGUACCCAAAGUCUUGUACAGCUGAUUCCAAAAUUUCUAGGUAAACUGGGUUCCUCUAUCUGAUAGGAUGGUCCUCGGAACUCCAUGCAGACAUACGAUCCUGGUCACAUAUAUCUUGGCCAACUUCGCGCUCGUAUAAGUGGUUUUUACGGGGAUAAAGUGAGCCACUUUGGUCAAGCGAUCAACUACUACCUAGAUAGAAUCAUAUCCCAAUCGUGUCCUGGGUAAUUUGGUGAUGAAAUCCAUGCCAAGUUUGUCCAACUUCCAUUGGGUAUCGGCAUAGGCUAGAGUAAUCCUGCUGGCUUCUGAUGUUCUGCCUUCACUCUCUGGCAUACAUUACAUACUGCUACAUACUCGGCAAUAUCCUUCUUCAUACCUGUCCACCAGAAACGUUCCUUCAAAUCCAAAUACAUCUUGGUGUUUCUGGGGUGAAUCGAGUAUGGCGAGUCAUGAGCUUCCUGAAGUAUUAACUUCCUGAUCUUUGUAUUAUUGGGCACAUAUACACGAUCCUCAAACCAUAAAGUUUCGUGUUCAUCCUCACGAAAACCCCUGGUUUUUCCUUUGCUCAUCUUCUCCUUUAUCUCAGCAAUUUCCUUAUCAUCCUUUUGAGCUUCUCGAAUCUUUCCCAAUAAUGUGGAUUGAACCUCCAUUGUUGCAACAAAACCUCUUGAAACUAUCUCCAAACGAAGUUCCUUGAGCUCGGCGACUAACUCCUGCGGUAAUCCUCCGCUUACGAGGGUAUUUACAUAACUCUUGCGACCCAAAGCGUCUACUACGACAUUGGCCUUUCCUGGAUGAUAAUGCAACUUCAUAUCAUAAUCCUUUAUGAGCUCCAACCAUCUCCUCUGCCUGAGAUUCAGCUUCUUCUGCGUGAAGAUAUACUUUAGACUCUUGCGAUCCAUGUAUACAUCACAACGGUUUCCAAUAAGAAAGUGUCUCCAGGUCUUGAGCGCAUGCACUACGGCUGCUAACUCCAAAUCAUGCGUGGCAUAAUUCAAUUCAUGCGGUCGAAUCUGACAUGAGGUAUAUCAAACAACUCUUCCAUCUUGCAUAAGUACGCCUCCAAGUCCCGAGCGAGAAGUGUCGCAAUACACUUGGAAAUCCUUGCGUAUAUCCGGAAGAAUCAGCACUGGGGCUGUAACUAAACGUUUCUUCAACUCCUGAAAAUUGGCCUCACAUUCCUUGGUCCAUUUGAACUUGGUGUCCUUCUUCAACAACUCCGUCAUGGGUUUCGUAAUCUUGGAAAAAUUCUCAAUGAACCUCAUGUAGUAUCCUGCGAGUCCCAGAAUACUGCGGAUCUCUCCAAUUGAGGUGGGUGCGAACCACACAGUGAUAGAUUGAACCUUGGUAGGGUCUACUGCAAUACCUUCUCCUGAUAUAACAUGUCCAAGAAGUCCAACUUCCUUCAACCAAAACUCACAUUUGCAGAGUUUGGCGUAUAGCUGAUGUUCCCUGAGCUUCUCGAGAACUAGUCGCAAUGUUCCUUGCGUUCCUCUUCAUUCUUCGAGUAUACCAAUAUAUCAUCAAUGAACACCAGAACAAACUUAUCCAAGAAUUCCAUGUACACCUUGUUCAUCAUAAUCAUGAAAUAGGCAGGGGCGUUAGUCAAUCCAAAAGACAUAACCGUGUACUCAUAUAGCCCGUGCCUUGUGGUAAAAGCUGUCUUAGGUAUAUCCUGUUCUCGGAUCUUCAGCUGGUUGUUGGUGUACAAAAGUAGGGGUCCUAUUUGUACCCCUUUACUUGUGCGCGGGCAGCUGCAGCCCCACCUGAUGCCACGCUUUACGGGGCAGAGGAAGCAAAGUCACAAGAUGGGUGAAGCAAUGCCAAGACAGAGACAUGAAGAGCAGAAGGGCAAGGUGAGUUCCCCCGGCAAGGCCCUUGGCGGGGCGGCCACCACAGCCCCGGCAAGAACCUUGCCGGGGCAACUUGCCUGGCGCCAACAGGGCUGCCACCCUUGAGCCUGAGAGUUCCAAACGCCCUCAACCACAUUGGAACCAAAGCUCGGGAGGCGCCUCCGUGGUGGCAUGCAGAUCUUUGUGAAGACCAGAAGCACACAAGACUAGAUGAUAACCAGAAGACGACGAUCCUUGGCAAGAUCCUCACCGGGAUACCCACGAAACCCCCGGCAAGACCCUUGCCGGGGACGACCACGAUGCCGUGGCGAGACCCUUGCCGGGGCCCCGGCAAAACUCUUGCCGAAAACAUCCGCGGGGUCGCAGCCCGGCCCGCACCCACCAAGACUCCACCGCCGUUCCCAUGCAGCUGCCAGCCCUCCAACUAGGCGAGCACCUGUGUGGAAACGUGCGGCCUCUAGGCCAACUCAGCAAGCACAUGCGUGGUGGCAUGUAGAUCUUCGUGAAGACUCUACCACCGCAUCAACUCAGCAGCCAGCCAGCCAGCGUGGCACUACACGCCUCGUUAGCUCGGACGCGCGUCGAAGCCAGGCGAAGCGGCGACAGUUGGGACGAGCUUCCUUGUUGUCCCCGAUAAAGUAAGAAGGGCACAUCGGCAGCGCAGUAAAUGUGUUUGUCCUACGGUGCCAGAGGAUAGACUUGACCACUGUAUAGCUUUCCACCUCCUGUGUGCCAGUGUGGCAGCCCCUUUGUCUAUAAAAGGAGGCCCGCGGCAUACCGAGAGGGGAUUCGGAGUUUUUGGACCCUGCACGCCUUGUAGUUAGUCCAAGAACACUAGAUAAACAUAAACCAGUAGGAGUAGGGUAUUACGCAUCGCAUCCGGCCCGAACCUGGAUAGUCCCCCUGUGUUGUUCUUCUAAUCCCGCUCUUCCCACAGCCCCGCGCCCGCCAACCGUAGAAAACGGGAUUCUUCAUGGUCCCAUAGGUGUCGUAUCCCCCGACAUCUUUGGCGCGCCAGGUAGGGGGCGCAAGCUGUCAGAAAUCCGGUUUUGAAGCCGACGCCUCGACUUCAUCAUCACGAUGGCCCCCAAGAAGAUGGGGAUGAUGGCGAUCGGAUCGCCCGAAGCAGGCCCAUCUGCACCAGCGCGAGCGGGCGAUGGGGUGGCCACGGAUGGCGCCGGAGGCGCCGCACGUGAGCAUCCACGACACUCUGGCACCCGGAGCCGGGUGAGCUACGUUGUGCGGGCCCAAGAUGACGGGCCACACGCGGCUGGGUCCGGGGAUGGUGCCGUGCUACCCAUGGGCGGCGCGGCAACCUCUACGGGGCCCCAGCUGGCACCUGCGCGGCGGCCUUCUCAGGCCACGCGUGAUGAGCAACACCGCGAUGCCGGAGCCCCAGGGCACCGCCGCGAAAAGAGUCCUAUGCGCCACUCGCAAGACGCAGCAGGCCGAUGAGCGUGCUCGAACGCUGGCGGAAGCGACGUGCGACCGCGAGACCGUGACAGAUCCCCUUCUGACCUAGUUAGAAGCCGGAGCGCGUCACGGUCUACGCAAGUCUCGCCGCCACCCAUGCCAGCGGAAGCACUGGCGCGCGUGCAACUGCUCCUCGACUUCCCCCCUGCUGCGGAGAAGCUCAAUGAGUGGAGGGCCACCAUUCGAAGCCUUGUCAGCUUUGCCAACAAGGAUGAGCCGCUCCCGAUAGGACCCUCACGCCGGCGUUCUGUCGAGCCGGUGCAUGCCGGCGGUGGGGGGACUAGAGACGCCGUGACUACGGUGCACUCCCCUCCCCCAUGGCCAUGACAGCAGCCACCGGCCCGCCUAGUCGACACCUGUGACAACGUUUCCACGGCGUCGUCCGAGCCGCGAACCCACUACUAUCAGCAUCGAGUUCUUCGAGAAUGAGCCCAAGGAGACGCUCCGACUACCAUUGAGCGGCGGCGGGAAGCGCGCCAUCAGUCAGAUCGGCAUGUGGGGCUUGCUAUGGACCACCCAGCGUCGGGGGCCCCUGGUGGUCUGCCUUACGAGGUGGGCUCUCCGGCCUUUACCCGGGAGCUGCGGCAGUUCCAGUGGCCCUCCCACCGCACGUUCAAGCCUGAUGUUGGGGAAAAGUACAACGGCAAGACUCACCCGUCGGAGUUCCUCGGCAUCUACACCAUCGUAAUGCAGGCCGCUGGGGCUCGCGACAAUUAGGUGCUCGCCAACUACUUUCCGUUGGCACUUAAGCCAAACGUCAUGUCGUGGUUGAUGCACCUGCCGGUGGAUUCCAUCUCUUCCUGGUCGGACAUGUGCCACGAGUUUGUUGGCGCCUUUACCGGAGGCCACCAGGCUCCUGGCUAGGAAAGUGACUUGCCUGUCAUCCCCCAGAAGGAUGGUGAGUCCCUGCGUAAGUACAUACAGAGGUUCAGCCGUGUGUAUUACACCAUCCCAGAUGUUCAUCCUGCCGCUGUCAUCACUGCGUUCCACCAGAACGUAUGCAACCGCAAGAUGCGUGAAGAGCUGGCAAUGAACAAGGUCAGGGACAUGGCCGAACAUUAUGUUCUGGCUGAUAGGUGUGCUCGGGCUAAGUAAGGAAGGAAGUACCCCGGCGAAGAUGCCGCCGCGGAAACCGACUCCACGGAUGAACACGCCACCGCCCCGGCGAAGAAGGGUCGGCGCCGCAAUAGGAAGCGUAAGGGCAAGACUGUACUUGCCGUUGAGGGAUCCGGCGACCUCGGCUCCGCAAAGAAGGCCAAGGCUGAUGACCCCGCCAAGGAGAUUGCCGGGUGCAUAGCCUGCCGGGCCUUGACGGCCGCCGACAAGCCAGGAGGCUCCGACAAGCAGUACUGGAAGAUCCACCGCACCAAGGACCACGACCUCCAGAACUGCCGACAAGUUGAGUUGCUUGCGGAGAAGCAAAAAGCUGAGUAUGAGAGGCGGGACAAGCAGAAGGGUGAGGAUGGUGCCGAGGGGUCCGACAAGAAUCAUGGCGGCCAAGGAGGUCGCCGCGGCAAAGAUAACCAACAAGAGAGGUGUCACGACCGGUUUUUCAAUAAAAUAAUUAUUGAGAGACCAAUCCCUUUUACGGACCAGCGAGGAAGAAUUCCUUCUCACUGGUAGACAAUAUCUUGGUCAUAGAAGAAAAAUACCAGGAGUACUAAAUAUAAUACAAGGUUGAGCAGAGACUGCCCAACAAUUUAUUACAUGCACGCCGCUAAAACAAGACGGCGGGUAGGGUGGCAAACUACUAACUCACGAUAAUAACGGUGGUGGAAAUAUCAUCGCGAAGCGAGUGAUAUGAUUCCAGAAGACUACAACUCUUCGAGCGUCGGAGUGAGGCUCGAGAAGACUUAUAGCGGUUGGCGGAAGCGUAUACAAUACAAGUGACCAAUAUCCGGGAUCGCGCAGGACUGACUGGGACUCCUCUAGGCAUCGGACGCGCUAUCAAACUCUUCAUCCAAGAGAUCGCCUUCGUCAACAUCUGGCCAAAUCAACAAGCCAGGUGAGUACUAUGAAAGUACUCGCAAGACGGUUCGGACAUAAGGUAUAACAAAUGUAAACAUGAAGCACAUGAACAAGUUAACCAGUGCGAUCAGACAUAGAGAUAAUAAAUACUAGGUGCCAAGCGAGGGUCUGAAUGACGCCUUGAGCGGAAACUGCAGAAUAGUAAUACUGGUGCCAAACGAGUGUCUGAAAGACUCCUCGAGCGGAAAAUGCGGAAUAAUAAUACAGGUGCCAAACGAGUGUCUGAAAGACUCCUCGAGCGGAAAAUGCGGAAUAAUAAUGCGGGUGCCAAACGAGUGUCUGAAAGACUCCUCGAGCGGAAAAUGCGGAAUAAUAAUGCCACAGUCGGGCGUCGAGGCGACACUACAUAAAGGGCUUGCAACAGAAAAUAAAGACAGUGCAUGCCACAGUCGGACGUCUGUGCGACAUCACAUAAAGGGCUCAUAUUUAAAGUAAGAAACAAGUACACGCCACAGUCGGACGUCUGCGCGACGUCACAUAAAGGGCUUAUAUCAUAGCUCAGUAAUACAAUCGUUCGGGAACAUAAAUUAUCACAAGCAUGCGACAAAUAUAAAGUUAGUCCAUCCACAGGAAUAACCAUAAAACUGGAUUUACCACUUGAGCUUGUUCACCGGGGACAAGUUUUUCACACGGAUAGAUAUGGAUAUAAUGUUUACACUACUUGAUCAUGGAUACGAUGAUUUGGAAAGAAUUGACUCUGCAGAGUUUGUACUUAACCACAGCCAACGGACUUCAGUAGUCACGGGGACUAGUUCCGUCUACGGUGUUUUGGAAGAAACACGUCUAACCAGUACACAUCCAAUUCAACCAUCCGAAGCCAGGGAUCACCCUCGGCAACAUUCAAGAAAAACCUUGAGACGGGGAGGCUACAACCUCGCGUAGCAUGGGAUCAAAUUUCUAUACGCACGCUCUAAGGGGGUGCCCCCCUCUCGGUCCCAACCGGAAACACCCAUGCCCCCUGACCGGAUGACUGGCUUUAAUCCUGGGCCAAGGUACAAUCAUCCCGGCCUCUCUGUUUGGUGUGUACACGGAAAGAGGUUACCAACUUACUAAACCGCAUCCUGGCAAUGAGACAUGUGGUAGCACGAAAAGGGGAAAGAACGGUAACGGGGCUCCAACCACGUUAACGUCGGAGAAAGUCGCAUGACGCAAGGCUGGUAUGCUACAACAGUACCACCUUGCUGCCCUUCAUGUCACCACAUGAUUAGGUCAUCUCUCAUCAGAGAUCAUCGCAACCUUGGAACAUGCGGGAAGAGAACGAUAACGUGGCUCCAACCACGUUAACGUCGGAGAAAGUCGGAUGAUGCAAGGCUGGUAUGCUACAACAGUACCACCCUGCUGCCCUUCAUGUCACCACAUGAUUAGGCCAUCUCUCAUCAGAGAUCAUCGCGACUUUGGAACAACCGGGUCGUUGCCUUACAAGCAACGAGGUAUUUACCGACACUCAUAUGCCACGCACAACCUUUCAAGCGAACAUGCAAAAACACUCAUCAUAUCAAUGUUCAAACAUGCUUGCCUGGUUCGGAGAAGUCAGAUUCUAGCUCGGCGAAGUUCGCGGCUCCUUCACCUCUUCCGGAACCUACGGCAAUCACGAAACGGGUACUAACGUGAAAACCAACACUUGCACAGAAACUUUUCCAAAUAAUUUUCAAAUAAAUCCCAUAAAAAAAACUAGAAAAAUUUGAAGAUUGUCAGAAAAAGAAUCACUCAAAAAUACCUUUUUAUUAAAGAGUUAUAAAGGUUUCUGUCCAGGGACUUAUCUGUAAUGAAACAGAAAAGUUCCAGGGUUUUAACUGAGAAAUCAGAAAACGCUUAGGUUGGGAAUGUGUAAGCGCAAAGGAGAAAACGUAUUUGCCCGAAGGCGCCAACAGAAAACGGUUCGGAGGAGAAUAGAAUAGAGGCUGACAGGCGGGGUCCACCUGUCAGGUUUAAAAAGCUCGCCGGCGCCCGAAGACUGCGGUGGACGCCGGCGUCGAACCACAGCGGGUUAGGAGAAACGGAGGGUACCAAGAGCUUCAGCGUCUUCUUCCGCGUCAGUGGGUGGUGGACUCGUCCAACGGGGAGCACCACAUCGACGGCGACACUAUCUCCGGCGGACGGCGGCUCGGGUGAGGAUGGGGAACUCCGGUGGAGGGCUGCAAACUACGAAUUGAGGCGCGGGUCAGAACGAGGGAUGCAAGGUGAAGCUACUGGCAAGAGAAUGGAGGCGGAGGAGCGCACAUGGGGGCGAAUCGGGCUGGAUCCCGUGGCGGGUCGCGGCGGCCGGAGUCCAGGAAGGAGACCUCCUCGGGGCUCUACCAGUGGCUAGGCUUGCUCUAGGGGAGUGCAGGGAUGGUGGGUGCUCGAGUUGAAGCUCGGGGCCUCUAUUUAUAGGCAGAUCGAUGGGGUGGCCGUGAACGGAGAAUCUCCGGCGAGCGAUUACGGCGGAGCAGUGGAUCGGCAGGAGGUUUGAGUGGCCAGGCAGCAUCAGUGGAGGUUACUGGAGUCGUUUCACAGCUAAACGGGGUCGGUCUUGGCGUAAUGGCGUCGGUCCACGGUGAGGUGACCGCACGGGCUCAACGGCGGCAGAGAGCGCGCUCCGCGCCCUGCGGUUCACGACGAGAGCGGCAGCGCGUUCGGGGGAGUGGAAGGCCACGCGGAGAGCUCCGGUGGUUUGGGCGGCGCUGGGUGGCAUCGUCGGCGCCGUGUCUCCCGCUGGCGUCCGCAAAGCCGCCGCUGGCGUCGGUCACGGGGCGACGCACCUUCUGCUGCUCGUCGCCGACGCCUGCAAGGCGCCAGGCGUUCGUGCGGUGCAGGAACAAGAGGGCGGGGACGAGGAGCAAGGCGACGCGGUGGUACUGGCGAGAUCGAUGUCCUUCUCUGAAGAAAACGACAGCAAGCCACUGACUGAAUCUCUGAAUUUUUCUGAACUUGAUACAGACAGUGCACUACAGGUGUUCGACAGGAGGAUUUUGCAAUGAGAUAAAUUUUUCUGGAGCUGUAACUUGGUGAGGUGACCACUCAAUGCACCCAGAGGCUGUCUGAUUUUACAUUGAAUUUUUGGAGAAGGUUUUGAAUGAAUUUCACCAAAUUUGACAAAUCUGGUCCAAACUUGCAGCAGGUGUAGUUUGAAAAUUUUGAACUGAAGACCAGUGGAUCUUCAUGGUUCUUGGUUGAGGGUUCAAAGGACUAGGAGGGGAAAAAGGUUUGGGGGCAAAAAUCAAGACAGAAAGUGGAGUUCCUUUGCAAAUCUCCAAGUGCUAGGAAAGAAGGCAGAAAUUUAUUUGAAUAGAAUAUAAAUGGAAAUAAUCACAUGGGGAGGUUCAACUUGCUGGAUUUUAUGCAAAUCAUGAUCCAAAGGUGAGGAAAGGGUUAGGAGAGGGGAUUUGCACUAAGGCUAUGGCAAGAAGGAAUUGUUGAAAGUGGCAAAGGAUUUUCCAAAAGCCAUAGUGCAAAUUUCAAGGAGAUUUUCAAAAGUCAUUUCCCAAGUGAAAAUAUUUUGUCUUGAGUCCAAAAUGAAAAGCAAGAAUUUCCAAGACCAAAGACAGAUCUUGGGUGAAUCCAAAUAAAACUUUUGCCAUAAAAAAAUAUAUUUGAGAGUGAGAGUUCUCUUGAAGAAAAUUUUUAAAUCACCUCCCUCAAGUCAAAUAAAAUCAUUUGAAAAAUCCAAAUAAAAACUUGGGUGUCACAAGAGGCCCGCUCGGGGCCGCGACAAGAAGGAGGAAGAUGAUGAUCAUGACGAGGUCGACGAGUCCGGCGAGCACGAGUUCUAGAAGGCUAUAGAGGCCACGUGCGUCGAUGGUGGCGUGAUAAUCCCCAAGUGCAGGGAAUCAUCAUAGCAAUUCCAAAAGGUGGAAGUGAUAAGUAUGGAGUGUCGAACCCACAAGGAGCUAAAGGUAAGAUCAAUAUUCUCUGAAGUCCUAUCUGCCACUGAUACGACUCUACAUACACCGAACGUUUGCUUCCAACUAGAAACGAGAAAUAAAACUACGUUGUGGGUAUGAAGACGGUAACUUUGCAUGAUAUCGGAGAGCUAAAAUAUAAAAGUAGGUGCUGUUAUCAUAAAGUUAGAAUAUAUUACUAAAUAUUAUAAAUAGCGAGUGUGGAAUAAUGAUGGAUCGGUGUGCGGAAUUAUCCUAGGCAAUUGUUAACAAGAAUGGUAGUCGUCAUUGCAAUUUCAUAUGAGGGAGAGGCAUAAGCUAACAUACUUUCUCUUCUUGGAUCAUAUGCACUUAUGAUUGGAACUCUAGCAAGCAUCCGCAACUACUAAAGAUCAUUAAGGUAAAACCCAACCAUAGCAUUAAAGCAUCAAGUCCUCUUUAUCCCAUACGCAACAACCCCCUUGCUCAGAUUUAUGCUUCUGUCACUCAAGCAACCCACUAUAAGCGAAUCAUAAACGUACUGCAACACCCUACAGCGGGAAUCCCUCACGCUUGCACGACACGGAGGGCACAAUAGGACAGGACCAAAAUAAAACAUACAACUCGUACCAAUCUAGAUCAUCAAUCAACCCAAAGAUAAAGGAUAUCUACUCAAAACAUCAUAAGAUGGCAACACAUCAUUGGAUCAUAAUAUGUGGCAUAAAGCACCAUGUUCAAGUAGGGAUUACAGCGGGGUGCGGGAGAGUGGACCGCGUAAAAUAGAUGAGGAUGGUGAUAUGAUGGUGAUGUUGAUGAAGACGAUCACCGCGGCUGAUUCCCCUCCCGAUGGCACUCCGAUGCCACCAAGAGAGAGGACGAAAGGUUCUCCCCCUUGUGUUUCCUCCUCCAUGGCCUCCCCCUAGAUGGGGAGAAGUUCUCCCUCUGGUCCUUGGCCUUCAUGGCGAUGAUGGCCCCUCCGGGAUCCUCCUCCAUGGCCUCCGGUGAUGAUGGCCCCCUCCGGCAGGGUGCCAGAGAGGGCCUAGAUUGAUUUCUCGUGGCUACAGAGGCUUGCGGCGGUGGAACUUCCGAUAUCGGUUAAUUUCUGGGGGUUUCUGUAUUUAUAGGAAUUUUUUGCGUUGGUUUCACGUCAGGGGGGUCUCCAAGUCGUCCACGAGGCAGGGGCCCAUGCUUAGGGGGGGUGUGCGCGCCCCCCACCCUCAUGGACAGCCCGGGACUCUACUGGCCCAGGGGCUUCUUUUGGUCCAUAAAAAAUCAACAAAAAAUUGGCACGUCAAUUGGACUCCGUUUGAUAUUCCUUUUCUGUAAAACUCAAAAAACAAGGAAAAAAUAGAAACUGGCACUGGGCUCUAGGUUAAUAGGUUAGUCCCAAAAAUCAUAUAAGAUAGCAUAUAAAUGCAUAUGAAACAUCUAAGAUGGAUAAUAUAAUAGCAUGAAUACUUCAUAAAUUAUAGAUAGGUUGGAGACGUAUAAGCAUCCCCAAGCUUAAUUCAUGCUCGUCCUCGAUAAAACUUUUCUAGCAUCAUUAUAUGUGAAUGCUAGCAGGUGCACAAGUUUGAUCAAUGAUAAUUUUAAUCACCUUUUCUAGCAUCAUUAUAUGUCAUAACAGUAGCUCAUCUCAUAAAACUUUUCAUGAUCAAGUAACAAGCUAUUCACAUGUUAAAGUAUAGAUCAUACACUUUCUUGAAAACUAACAAACAAUGCUCUUAGUCAUCAAACAAUUGCAAUUCAUCUUAUUUUCGGGAAGGGUCUAUGUCAGAGCUUUGAUUUAGCAAACUCCACAUACUCAACUAUCAUUUAAUCUUUCGCAAUUGCUAACACUCACGUGAUAUUUAUGGGUUCAAAGUUUUAAUCGGACAUAGAGAAAGAUAGGGGCUUAUUGAUUCGCCUCCCAACCUUUUACCUCAAGGGUAAUGUCAGCAAUAAUAAUUCAUGAUAACUUACAUCCAAUUGGAUAUAUAUAUAUACAUAUAUAUAUAUAUAUAUAUCAGGAUCUUUCCAACACAAUGUGCUUGCUAAAGGAUAAAAUGUAAAAAGAAAAGGUGAAGAUCACCAUGACUCUUGCAUAAGGUAGAAGAUAAAAGUAAAAGAUAGGCCCUUCGCAGAGGGAAGCAGAGGUUGUCAUGUGCUUUUAAGGUUGGAUGCACAAAAUCUUAAUGCAAAAGAAUGUCACUUUAUAUUGCCUCUUGUGAUAGAGACCUUUAUUAUGCAGUCUGUCGCUUUUAUUUCUUCCCUAUCACAAGUUCGUAUAAAGCUUAUUUUCUUCGCACUAAUAGAUCAUACAUAUUUAGAGGGCAAUUUUUAUUGCAUGCACUGAUGACAACUUACUUGAAGGAUCUUACUCAAUCCAUAGGUAGGUAUGGUGGACUGUCAUGGCAAAACUAGUUUAAGGGAUAUUUGGAAGCACAAGUAGUAUCUCUACUAGGUGCAAAGAAUUUGGCUAGCAUGAGGGAGAAAGGCAAGCUCAGCAUGUUGGAUGAUCCAUGACAAUAUAUUUUAUUUCGGAUAUAAGAAAACAUAACCCAGUACGGUGCCUUCCUUGUCCAACAUCAUCCUUUCAGCAUGUCGUAUUUUAAUGAGUGCUCACAAUUACAAAAUAUGUCAAAGAUAGUAUAUUUAUAUGUGAAAUCUCUCUUCCUUCAAUAUUCUUUCAUGAAUUGUUCAAGUGACCAAUUCUGAGUUUGCUAACCUUCAAUAAGUUUACUACCUAUACUUAUUAUGUCUGAAGUCAUUACUCCCCAUGUUAUAAGCAUAUGAAACAUAUAUAAAUUCAGAUUUGUGAUAUUCAAUUCAUUCAACCAUUUACUCAUAGGAUAUACGUGAAGCACGUGAGUAAAUGACAAACUACUCCAAAAAUAUAUAAGUGAAGAACACUGAGUAGGCAAAUAAUUAACUAGCCAAGGGAGGAUUCUAUUUCAUUCAAUAUUUCAGAUCCAAUGAUUUUAUUCAAACAGCAAGUAAAAAUGAAAAUACGCUCCAAGCAAAACACAUAUCAUGUAACGAAUAAAAAUAUAGCUCCGAGUAAGGUAUACCGAUAGUUUUGAAGACGAAAGAGGGGACGCCUUCCGGGGCAUCCCCAAGCUUAGGCACUUGAGUCUUCCUUGAAUAUUACCUUGGGCUGCCUUGGGCAUCCCCAAGCUUAGGGUCUUUCCACUCCUUAUUCUCUCAUAUUGAUAUCUCACCCAAAGCUUGAAAACUUCAAUCACACAAAACUUAACGAAACUUUGUGAGAUAGGUUACUAUGAUAAAGAGUAAACCAUUCACUUUGAUACUGUAAAAGACAAGGUUCAUAAUUGUUCCCACACAAUGCCUACUGUACCAUAUCAUUUCUACAAUUUAUAUUGAGAAAUAUAAGCCAUAGAAACUAGAAAACAAGCAAACUAUGUAAUGAAAACAGAAUCUGUCAGAAACAGAACAGUCUGUAAUGAUCUGAACAGAAACCAUACUUCUGCUACUCCAAAAAUUAUGAAAUAAACUGGCGGACGUGAGGAAUUUGUCUAUUAAUAUUAUUCAAAAAGAAUCAACUCAAAAGCACUCUUCUGUAAAAACAAUGACAGCUAAUCUCGUGAGCGCAAAGUUUCUGUUUUUUUACAUCAAGAUCACAUUAACUUUCACCCAAGUCUUCCCAAAGGUCUUACUUGGCACUUUAUUGAAACAAAAGCUAUAAAACAAGAUUACUAAAGUAGCUUAAUCAUGUAAACACACAGAAACAGUAAGGGUAAAUAUUGAGUAGUCUCCCAACAAGCGCUUUUCUUUAAUGCCUUUUAGCUAGGCGUGAUGAUUUCAAUGAUGCUCACAUAAAAGAUAAGGAUUGAAACAUAAAGAGAGCAUCAUGAAGAAUAUGACUAGCACAUUUAAAUCUAACCCACUUCCUAUGACUAGGGAUUUUGUGAGCACACAAUUUAUAGGAACAAGAAUCAGCUAGCAUAGGAAGGCAAAACAAGUAUAACUUCAAAACUUUAAGCACAUAGAGAGGAAACUUGAUAUUAUUGCAACUCCUACAAGCAUAUAUUCCUCCCUCAUAAUAAUUUUCAGUAGCAUCAUGAAUGAAUUCAACAAUAUAACCAUCACAUAAAUCAUUCUUUUCAUGAUCUACAAGAAUAGAAAUUUUUCUACUCCCCACAUAAGCAAAAUUCUUCUAAUUCGGAAUAGUGGGAUCACUAAUUCCUAAAGUUGACACUUUUCCAAACCCGCUUUAGAUGAUAGUAUUAUUCGUACUCCAAAAGAUAUAAUUGAGGUUCAUGGAGAAUUCUUUAAUUAAUAUAUACUAACAAAUAUCCAAGCUCAAAAUAUAUAAGUGAAGCACACGAAGCAUUCUAUAAAACCAUACUCAAAUGAUUUAAGUGAAGCACAAAGAGCGAUUCUAUAAAAUCAUACUUAAAAGAUAUAAGUGAACAACAUGAAGUAUUCUAUAAAUCAAUGAGGGGCUAUCUCAUACUAUCUUGGUUCUUAAAGGAAAAAAAACAUGAAGGACACAAAUCAUGUGAACAAAACAAAAACCGAGGUAUACCGAUAUUUGUUGAAGAAGAUAGAUGGGAUGCCAACCGGGGAAUCCCCAAGCUUAGAUGCUUGAGUAUCCUUGGAUAAUUUACUUGGGGUGCCUUGGGCAUCCCCAAGUUUGAAUUCUUGCCUCUCUUUAUUCUUCUCACAUCAGUAACUCCUCGUUCUUCGAACACUUCAUCCACACAAAACUUUAAUAAAAACUUUGUGAGAUCCGUUAGUGUAAUAAAGCAAACUACCACUUUAAGUUACUGUAAUUAACUCAUUAUUUAUUUAUAUUGGUGUUGAACCUACUGUAUUCAAACUUCUCUAUGGUCCAUACCCCCCGAUACUAGCCAUAGAUUCAUCAAAACAAGCAAACAACACGCGAAAAACAGAAUCUGUCAAAAACAGGACAGUCUGUAGUAAUCUGGAAGUUUAGUAAACUUCUGUAACUCCUAAAAUUAUUCAUUAAAUUUUAAAAUUUUAAAAAUUUGUACAUAAGUAAUGUGCAAAAAAUUUCAGACCCAUUUGACCUUCCAGUAAAAAAAUGUAAAUUCACGCACUACAGACAAAGUUUCUGUUUUUGUUCUGCACAUAGUAAACAAGCAAUCUAAUCAUCCUAAAACCAAAGCUUGGCACAUUAUUUUUAUAAAACAAUGGAUAUAUACAAGGGGAUAAUUAUUUACAGAGAAACUUCCAUGAAAAAUUCUACAUUGUUUCCGUGAGCAUGAACACAAGUGCUCAAGGUCGACCCUCACUUCUUCAAUGCAAAACUUUCCAAUCACUUCUUUUUUUGAAAAAAAAAUUAAGCAUGAGAGGCAAGUAACUUUUUUUUUUGUAUUUUCAUUCUUUAAUUUUUUUGUAUGUUUCACCCACAACUAAACAUAAACAAAAAGGUAAAACAAAAUCUACUUAGUGAAGAAAGCAAACAAGCGCACACGAGAAUAUCAACCCCACACUAUUGCUCCUCGGCAAUGGCGCCAGAAAAGAGCUUGAUAAUCCCGAAGUGCAGGGAAUCAUUGUAGCAAUUCCCAAAGGUGGAAUUGAUAAGUAUGGAGUGUCGAACCCACAAGGAGCUAAAGGUAAGAUCAAUAUUCUCUCAAGUCCUAUCUGCCACUGAUACGACUCUACGUACACCGAACGUUUUCUUCCAACUAGAAACGAGAAAUAAAACUACGUUGUGGGUAUGAAGAGGAUAACUUUGCAUGAUAUCGGAGAGCUAAAAUAUAAAAGUAGGUGCUGUUAUCAUAAAGUUAGAAUAUAUUACUAAAAAUUAUAAAUAGCGAGUGUGGAAUAAUGAUGGAUCGGUGUGCGGAAUUAUCCUAGGCAAUUGUUACAAGACCGGUAGUCGUCAUUGCAAUUUCAUAUGAGGGAGAGGCAUAAGCUAACAUACUUUCUCUUCUUGGAUCAUAUGCACUUAUGACUGGAAGUCUAGCAAGCAUCCGCAACUACUAAAGAUCAUUAAGGUAAAACCCAACCAUAGCAUUAAAGCAUCAAGUCCCCUUUAUCCCAUACGCAACAACCCCCUUACUCAGGUUUAUGCUUCUAUCACUCAAGCAACCCACUAUAAGCGAAUCAUAAACGUAUUGCAACACCCUAUAGCGGGAAUCCCUCACGCUAGCGCGACAUGGAGGUCACAAUAGGACAGCACCAGAAUAAAACAUACAACUUGUACCAAUCUAGAUCAUCAAUCAACCCAAAGACAAAGGAUAUCUACUCAAAACAUCAUAAGAUGGCAACACAUCAUUGGACCAUAAUAUGUGGCAUAAAGCACCAUGUUCAAGUAGGGAUUACAGCGGGGUUCGGGAGAGUGGACCGCGUAAAAAAGAUGAGGAUGGUGAUAUGAUGGUGAUGUUGAUGAAGACGAUCACCACGGCGAUGAUUCCCCUCCCGAUGGCACUCCGACGCCACCAAGAGAGAGGAGGAGAGGUUCUCCCCCUUGUGCUUCCUCCUCCAUGGCCUCCCCCUAGAUGGGGAGAAGUUCUCCCUCUGGUCCUUGGCCUUCAUGGCAAUGAUGGCCCCUCCGGGAUCCUCCUCCAUGGCCUCCGAUGAUGAUGACCCCAUCCGGCAGGGUGCCAGAGAGGGCCUAGAUUGAUUUCUCGUGGCUACAAAGGUUUGCGGCGGCGGAACUUCCGAUCUCGGUUAAUUUCUGGGGGCUUCUGUAUUUAUAGGAAUUUUUGGCGUUGGUUUCAUGUCAGGGGGGUCUCCGAGUGGUCCACGAGGCAGGGGCCCACGCCCAGGGCGGGUAGGCGCGCCGCCCACCCUCGUGGACAGCCCGGGACACUUCUGGCCCAACUCUUUUGCUCCAAGGGCUUCUUUUGGUCCAUAAAAAUCAACAAAAAUUGGCACGGCAAUUGGACUCCGUUUGAUAUUCCUUUUCUAUAAAACUCAAAAACAAGGAAAAAACAGAAACAGACACUGGACUCUAGGUUAAUAGGUUAGUCUCAAAAAUCAUAUAAAAUAGCAUAUAAAUGCAUAUAAAACAUCUAAGAUGGAUAAUAUAAUAGCAUGAAUACUUCAUAAAUUAUAGAUACGUUGGAGACGUAUCAUGGCGCCUCGCUGCACACCUCUCACCGCCAACUGAAGCAGUGGGCGCGUGAGGUCACUGCGGCGGAGCCACUGAAGCCACUGAAGUGGUCCCGCACACCCAUUGUUUUCGACACCGAGGACCAGCCUGACCGCAUGACUGCGGUCGGGUGUCUGCCAUUGUUGGUUUCCCCAACAAUACGAACCUCAAGGUGACGAAGAUACUGGUCGAUGGUGGGGCCGGUCUGAACUUGAUCUCGCCCGCUGUGAUCAAGAUGCUGGAGAUUCCUGAUGGAGACCUCAAGGAGACGGGCACGUUUCAAGGGGUCAACCCGGGAAGGAGCCAGCCUAAAGGUAAAAUCACGCUGCCCAUUACAUUUGGGGGCAAGCUGAACUUUAGGACGGAGAAAAUCGUCUUUGAUGUCGCCGAGAUGCCCUUGCCAUACAAUGGGAUCCUUGGCCGCCCAGCACUGGCCAAGUUCAUGGCGGCGUCCCACUACGCCUACAACACGCUGAAGAUGCCGCGGCCGCUGAUCAUCAUCAUCGUCCCCUCCGGCAAGAAAGAUGCGCUCAUCUGCACCGAUCAACUCUACUGAGAGGCGGUUGCAGCAACUGCCGUCAAGGCACUUGCUCCUGCCGCUGAAGCUCCAGGGAGGAAGAAGGCCGGCGAGACCUCUUCCGGCAAGACCUCUUCCGGCAAGACCUCUUGCACCCACCCCGGCAAGCGCACCUCUUCAGAGUGCUGUGCUCCUAUUGAGGACGUGCCAGAGAGCUCCACUGGCAAGAGCAAGAAGUCCAAGGCUGCACCACCAGAAACCAAGAAGGUGCCCAUCAAGGAGGAGAGCACGGGCAGGGCUUUCACCAUAAGCUCCAACCUUGACAGCAAAUAGGAAAGCGCACUCGUCGCCUUCCUGUAGGCGAAUGUCGAUGUGUUUGCAUGGCAAGCAUCCAACAUCCCCGCUGUUCCCAGGGAGGUGAUUGAGCACCAUCUUGCUGUCUGUCCUCAUGCGCGGCCCGUCAAGCAGAAGGUCAGGAAGCAAGCUUUGGAGCGACAAGAGUUCAUCAUAGAAGAGAUCAUGAAGUUGGAGGUGGCAGGCCUGGUCAGAGGAGUACUCCACCCCACGUGGUUGGCCAAUCCGCUGGUGGUGCGUAAGGCAAAAGGGAAGUGGAGACUGUGUAUUGACUACACAGAUAUCAAUAAAGCUUGUCCAAAGGAUCCUUUCCCCCUGCCACGCAUCGACCAGAUUGUAGACUCCACUGCCGGGUGUGACCUGCUGUCAUUCCUUGACGCCUAUUCCGGAUACCACCAGAUCUUCAUGAUGAAAGAAGACGAAGAGAAGACCGUGUUCAUCACCCCAUGUGGUACGUACUGCUUUGUACGGAUGCCUUUCGGGUUGAAGAGCGCUAGUUCGACGUUUGCCCGAGCGGUCCAAAUUGGUUUUGAGCCCCAACUGCAUAGAAAUAUGGAUGACAUAGUGCUCAAAACCAAGGACAGGGCCACGCUUGUACAAGACAUAGAAGAAACAUUUGCAAAUCUGUGCAAGAUCAACCUCAAGCUCAACACAGAGAAGUGUGUGUUCGGUGUCCCGUCUGGCAAACUUCUUGGGCUCUUUGUGUCUCAGCACGGAAUCGAAGCAAAUCCCAACAAGAUCAAGGCGAUCGAGCAGGUUGAAGCACUGAAGCGGGUCAAAGACGUCCGUAGGCUCGCCGGCUGCAUUGUCGCCCUGAGUAGGUUCAUCUCCAAAUCUGCUGAGCGCGCCCUCCCCUUUUUCAAAGUCCUGAAAAAGGCGGGUCCAGUAAAGUGGACUCCGGAGGCAGAGGCUGCGCUGCAAGAUUUGAAGAGGUAUCUCUCCUCCACGCCGAUACUAGUCGCGCCCAAACCACAAGCGCCGUUGCUGCUAUACUUGGCAGCAACGAAUCAAGUGGUCAGUGCCAUGCUGGUGGCGUAGAGGGAACUUGAGGAAGAGGCAGCAGUAGCAACGGAGUCAUUGGGUGGCGAGCCGGGGCCCUCCCCGGCAGUGUCUGCCGCCUGCAAGGCGGAACCCCCGGCGAGGCCCGGUCCCGGCAAGGCGGAGUCUGCGCAGAUAGGGGAAGUUGAACAGAAGAAGAAGAUGGUGCGGCACCCAGUUUAUUUUGUUAGCUCCCUCUUGCAGGGGGCUAGGUCAAGAUAUUCUGGUAUGCAUAAGCUACUUUUCGGCCUCCUCAUGGCCAUGAGAAAGUUGCGCCACUAUUUCCAAGCACAUGAGAUCACCAUUGUGACACGCCUCCCGUUGCGACGGAUCUUGCACAACCCGGAUGCGACUAGGAGGAUAAUGGAGUGGGCAUGGGAGGUGUCAAGCUUUGGCCUCCAGUUUGAGAGUACUUCGACGAUCAAGAACCGAGCCUUGGCAGAGUUCAUAGCAGAAUGGACAGUAACGCCCGAUGAAGAAGUUCAAGAGACCACCCUUACCAGCAAGGAAAUGUGCCGCAAUUGGAUUAUGUACUUUGAUGGAGCUUUCUCACUACAAGGUGCUGGUGCCGGCGUACUACUCGUCGCACCCACCAGAGAACACCUCAAGUAUGUGGUGCAGAUGCAUUUUCCCCGGGAAGAAUCGACGAACAACACGGCGGAGUACGAGGGAUUGCUCGCCGGUCUCAGGAUCGCGGCAGACCUUGGAAUCAGGAAGCUCGUCAUCAGAGGUGAUUCGCAGCUCGUCAUCAAGCAAGUCAACAAGGAGUACCAGAGCCCGUUGAUGGAAGCCUAUGUGGAUGAAGUGAGGAAGUUGGAAGAGCGUUUUGACGGACUACAAGCAGAGCAUGUCCCCCGAGCGAAAAACAACAUUGCCGACUACCUGUCAAAACACGCUACCCUCAAGUUGCCUGUGGAACCAGGUACCUAUGUGCUUCAAUUAACUCAGCCAUCCGUUGAACCAUCAGCGGGGCAGAACAAACGAAGGAAGGUGGGCCCCGGCAAGUACUUUCCUGCUGAGCUCCUAGGAGCCGCCGGCAAAGGACGUUGCCGGGAGUCCCAAGCUUGCCGGAGAGCAGCAACCCUUGGCAGGGCCUCACGCCCUAGCCAUAGAAGCAGCUACCCUCACGGCUGAAGAUGAGCCUUUAGAUAUUGCCGUCGAGCCCCAGGCUCCAGCAUGGGCGCAGCGCACUGUCGGGUGGUAGGUGCGACAUAUGCCAACGGGUGGCUUAUCAUUGUGGGAGCCAGUAAAACAUCGCCGGUGCCUGGAAACGGGAUGAGGCAAAGACAUGCACGCCGGCGGAUCUUACCCAGGUUCGGGGCUCUCCGUGGAGAUAACACCCCUAGUCCUACUCUGCGGGGUCUCCGCAUGAUCACUAGAUCAAUACAAGUAGCUACAAGCGCUCCUUGAGCUGUUUGGCUAGAGGAAGAGGAAGGACAAGGCUAGCUCUCCUUUUCUCUCUAGGUGGUGUGUGAAAUUCUAUGAGAUCAACCCUUUGCAUGGGUGCCCUGGGGGGUUUAUAUAGGCCUACAGUGGUAAUCUGGCUGGGCCUGGGUCGCAGCCGUCAGUGUCUAUGCUCGCCGGCUUCUCCGCCGGUCAUUGGGGCCCGCCGGCUGCCGGCCUCUUGGCCGGCAGGCCGGCCCCACCGCUUGGGGGCUUUGUCGGCGGCUAGUUAGUGUUGCCUCACCUCUGAUGACGAGGGCUUCGUCGAGGUAAGCGUGGCUACAGUGUCGCCGCCUUGCGAGCUCUCACUAUAGCCUUACCUUGUCUUGUCUCCUUAAUGAGGCACAUGCUUCGAGGGAGGGAGGCCGCCGGCUAUUGGGAGCCGGCCACACUCCUGGCCGAUUAGAAGGGGCCAGGCCGCCUUCUGGUGUCUCUCUUGCAAAGGGGCCCGCUGCCCACAGGCCGUACUGGCGCCUGUCGUGGGUGACAACGAGGCCAACAUGGCUACAGUGCCGCGCCGGACGGGGGAUGGCUUGCCCGUGCGGCGCCCUGUGGCCAUGCCUGUUCCGGGAUUCGGGGGUAGUGGGUUGUACUGCGGCCACACCCCAUCCUAUCGCCGUGCUGUGGGUACAGUAUUAGUGGGUGCAGUCUUGACCGGCUUCUGGGAGCCGGCUUUCUUCGCGGCCGGCUUAUGGGAGUCGGCUUUCUUCAUGGCCGGCUUCUGGGAGUCGGUCCUCUUGGGGCCGGCUCCCUGGAGUCGGCUAUCUCGUAUCUUUCUUGGAGGAGGUUUCUGAGGCUGGGUCGCCUUCUGGGGGUCGGCCCUCGGCCGGGGGAAGGCGAUCCUAUGCUUUGUAUGCUUGAAGGCUUGAAUGGCCUGGUAAUUUUUCGAAGAGCCAGGGGGAGUCGGUUAGGCUACCCGUGGCCAUUUACUCCGACACCCACCGUCCGUUUCCUCCAAACAGGAGAGCUCCCCGAGGAGCAGGAAGAAGCAGAAAAAGUAGCCCGUCGGUCCGACAUGUACCAGUUUGUGGAUGAUGCCCUCUAUAGAAGGAGACCGAACGGUGUGAAAUUGCAGUGCAUCCCUCGGGAGGACGGACUGAGGCUGUUGGUAGAGAUACAUGGAGGCAUGUGUGGCCCCCACAUAGGGUCGAGGGCUCUUGCUGGCAAAGCAUUCCGACAAGGUUUCUGCUGGCCCACCGCCCUCUAGGAUGCAACUGCACUAGUAACCAAGUGUGAAGCAUGCCAGUUCCAUUCAAAGAAGCUUCAUCAACCAGCCCAAGCUCUUCAGACAAUCCCUCUUUCCUGACCAUUUUCGGUCUGGGGGCUCGACAUACUGGGCCCCUUUCCCCGUGCUGUCGGGGGCUUUGAGUACUUGUACGUCGCAAUCGACAAAUUCACAAAGUGGCCGGAAGUGGAGCGAGUGAGAAAGGUGACAACACAAUCAGCCGUCAAGUUAUUCAAGGGACUAGUCUGCCGUUUCGGUGUACCGAAUAGAAUCAUCACCGACAACGGCACAUAGUUCACGAGCCGCACCUUCAUGCAGUACACUCAAGACCUCAGCAGCAAGGUGUGUUUCGCUUCUGUUUCCCAUCCCAGAAGUAACGGCCAAGCUGAGAGGGCAAAUGCGGAAGUGCUGUGAGGCCUCAAGACCAGAACUUUUGACAAGUUGCACAAGUGCGGAAGGCGCUGGAUUGAUGAGUUGCCAACGCUUCUUUGGUCAAUUAGAACGACACCAAAUCGAGCCACUGGCCAGACACCCUUUGCCCUGGUAUACGGGGCAGAAGCAGUUCUCCCUACUGAACUCACAUAUAGGUCACCUCAAGUGCUCGCUUAUGAGGAGCUUGAGCAAGAGCAGUUGCACCAAGAUGAUGCGACGCUCCUUGAGGAAGAUCGUCUUCGGGCUGCUGUGCCGGCCGCCCACUACCAGCAAGCCUUGCGCCGCCAUCAUAGCCGCAAGGUUCACACCCAGAGCUUUGAGGAAGGCGACCUUGUUCUUCGGCGGAUUCAAUCCACCAAGAAUUCAAACAAGUUGACGCCAAAGUGGGAAGGCCCUUAUCGGGUAAUAUGAGUCACCAGGCCUGGCGCAGUCCGCCUGGAGACCGAGGAUGGCAUUCCAGUGAGCAACUCCUGGAAUAUCAAACAUCUUUGCAAGUUUUACCCCUAAGGCGCGGUUGCCGGGAGCCCCGGCAACACCCGUUGUGUACUAGCCUUGCUGGCAAGGCAUGUAACCCUAUGUACGGAGCCAGGCGCAGACCCUGUGCGUAGUCAGGGAAAAGGAAUCCCUUUGUAUGUAUAGUUUCCUGUUGAUUUCCAUGUUUAUGUGUAUACAUAUAUGCAUGCUUGUCCAGGGUACUGUACUGCUUUUUCAUUCCAGUAAAUGUUAGUAAACCAUCGAGGUUCCAUGCUCUUGCCCUCUCUUCUUUCCAGCUAUGGCAAGGACGCAUGAUCCCGCCAAGGACCCGGCUCCGGCAAGAAGUUGAGAAGACCACCCGGCAUGGCGAUUAGAAUUCAUAACAUGUGACUUGUGCAUUAGAAAACCUCGCCACUCUUCUUUAAAGACUCGGGGGCUCCCAUUUCUGACCCGAACACUGCUUCGGUCAGAGUGGCCGUGGUGACCCUUGUCAAAAAGAGGAGGACAGGGGGCUGGGCCCUUUGUCUGUAACCCGGUAGAUAUGAUUCUCCGGCAGGCAAGAGGCUCCGGCAAGGUGGCUUGCUGGAAGGACUCGUUUAUUUACACUAAGGAGGCAUUUCGCCUCCGCACGAACAUACACGUGCACGAGUUCCCAGCAAGGCUAGACUUUUUCAUUAAUAUGCUGAUGCAAGUACAAAGGUUACAGGACACAAGCAUGGGCUCGAGAGAUUAUAUUAUCUAGAAAUUAAGAUUCGGCAAGUGCCUACAAUUUAAAAAGAAAGAUAGGAUCCCUGUGAUCUCCGUUCUUGCCCCAUUCCUCCUAGGUGCGGCAGAUAAAGCCAAAAAGGAAGAACACGCCGAUGGAGAGCUUGACGAGGAAGACCCUCGGCAGGGCGCAGAGCCGAGGGAGGAGGGCGGCACGGUCAGUCGGAGUCGGAGUCAGCAUCCUCCCGCUUGACACCCUCGUUGUCGAUGUCGCUGUCCUCCUCGUCACUACCACUCGAGGAGGAGGUUUCACCGUUGGAGGAGCUCUCCACGCAACACAUUAGGCGAGUUACCAAGAGCAUGAAGACCUUGACGUAGCGCAGGCCAUUCUCCAUCAACUUAAAUUGGAGAACGAGCCCCUCCGACCGGCUAUGGGCGCGAGCGAAGGUCUUCCACCCACAGAGGAGGUACAUGACAUGAGGGGCGGGGAAGUCGACAUCGACCCGUAUGCUGCCAUUCCCGCAUCCCCUCAUAUGUAGCCUCAAGACCUGAGCCGGGUCAAGCUCCAUCUCCCGAGCGAACGGAGUGGGGAGACGAAGACGACUGCGCACCGGCCCGCGCAGCCUGAUGUAGAACUCGCGGGGCUGGUCUCCGACAUGGCCUUCCAUUGGAGGAGGGGCCGCUGGCGGAGGCGAGGCCGGUGCGCUGCCCCGUCCUCCUCUUCCCCGAGCGCCACGGCGGCCUCGGCCUCGCCCCCUUCUUCUUCCUCUCACGGCCGGCUCCGCCGCCACGAGUUCUUGGGAAGGAAGGGCGUGCUAGCAAGCAGAGACCCUCGUCGCCGCCGUCGAAGCACCGGCACGCCCUGUUGCCAUGGCGAAGGGAAGAAAGGGAUCAAGGUGGAGGGAGAUGAACAUUGAAGGAUUGAAGGACGCUGUCCCCCACCCCCCUCUUAUUAUAAAAGGGCGGGGCCUAGGCACGGCCGCCCCACUCAACCAAUCCGGCCGCCAAGGGGCGCAGGGAAUCGGGACCGACCCGCUGCUCCAAUAAGUGACGGCCCGGUUUCCCGCCUCGACAUUAUGGCCCGCGCCCUUCGCGUCCACCACCUGCCUCCUAGGGGCAUGAAGGACACGUGGCGAACGAACCGGAAUCAAGAAGACAACUGAAGCGAUAGUAUUCUACCCCGUGACCGUGGGGCGCGGGCGCCUUGAAGGCCGCGACCCGAGUCCUCUUAGUAAAUGAGUCGCGCCCCUGCGUUUUCCUCCUUUUAUGGGGAAGGCGCGGGCCGCCUCUCUACCAUUCACCACGAUGUGACGCAUGCGUACGGGAACCGCCCCAUGCAUGACCCCCACGGCACGCACGACCCCCGCGUCGCGCAUUCAACGCGGGUCGUGGGGAAGCGCAGCGGGCGAGGGAGUUACUGCAGUAAAAACUCUGCCGCAUGCGCGCCCGCGCACCAUUCUGGGCCUGGCCCAAUAACGCCCCACGCUUAUAUGUGGCCCAGGCCCGGGGGCUACUGUUGGUGUACAAAAGUAGGGGUCCUAUUUGUACCCCUUUACUUAUGCGCGGGCAGUUGCAGCCCCACCUGAGGCCACGCUUGGCGGGGCAGAGGAAGCAAAGACACAAGAUGGGCGAAGCAACGCCAAGCGAGAGACACGAAGAGUAGAAGGGCGAGGUGAGUUCCCCCAGCAAGGCCCUUGCCGGGGCGGCCUCCACAGCCCCGGCAAGAACCUUGCUGGGGCAAAUUGCCCGGCACCAACAGGACUGCCACCCUUGGGCCUGAGAGUUCCAAACGCCCUCAACCACAUUGGAACCAAAUCUCGGGAGGCGCCUCCGUGGUGGCAUGCAGAUCUUUCUAAAGACCAGAAGCACACAAGACUAGAUGAUAACCAGAAGACGAUGAUCCUCGGCAAGAUCCUUGCCGGGGAUACCCACGAAACCCCCAGCAAGACCCUUGCCGGGGACGACCACGAUGCCAUGGCAAGACCCUUGCCGGGGCCCCGGCAAAACUCUUGCCGAAGACAUCUGCAGGGUCGCAGCCCGGCCCGCACCCACCAAGACUCCACCGCGUUCCCAUGCAGCUACCAGCCCUCCAACUAGGCGAGCACCUGCGUGGCGAUGUGCGGCCUCUAGGCCAACUCAGCAAGCACCUGCCUGGUGGCUUGCAGAUCUUCGCGAAGACUCUGCCACUGCAUCAACUCAGCAGCCAGCCAACCAGCGUGGCACUACACGCCUUGUCAGCUCAGACGCGCGUCGAAGCCAGGCGAAGCGGCGACAGUUGGGACGAGCUUCCUUGCCGUCCCCGAUAAAGCAAGAAGGGCACGUCAGCAGCGCAUUAAAUGCGUUUGUCCUACGGUGCCAGAGGAUAGACUCGACCACUGUAUAGCGUUUCACCUCCUGUGUGCCACUGUGGCAGCCCCUUUGUCUAUUAAAGGAGGCCCGCAGCGUACUGAGAGGGGAUUCAGACUUUUUGGACCCUGCACGCCUUGUAGCUAGUCCAAGAACACAAGAUAAACAAAAACCAGCAGGAGUAGGGUAUUACGCAUUGCAUGCGGCCCGGAUCUGGAUAACCCCCUGCCUUGUUCUUCUAAUCCCGCUCUUCCCAUAGCCCCACGCCCACCAACCGUAGCAAAAGGGAUUCUUCGUGGUCCCAUAGGUGUCGUAUCCCCCAACAAUGGUGGUAUCCUGAUCGAAGAUCGAUCUUGGAGAAUACUUUAGCUCCUUGCAGCUGGUCAAACAUAUCGUUGAUCAUCGGUAGUGGGUACUUGUUCUUGAUCGUCACUUCAUUCAUGCCUGAUAAUCAACAAUCAUUCUCAAAGAUCCAUACUUCUUCUCAACUAAGAGCACUGGGGCUCCCCACGGUGAUGAACUUGGUCGGAUAUAACCUUUCUACAAUAACUCCUUAAUCCGCAUCUUAAUUUCCUCCAGAUCAUUUGCGGGUAUCUGAUACGGUCUCUUCGAUAUUGGUCCGGUGCCUGGCAACAACUCUAUCAAAAACUCUAUAUCUCGAUCUGGCGGCAUGCCUGGUAGUUCCUAUGGAAAUACAUCCGGGUAAUCCUUCACAACAGGCAGUUCUUCCUGAACAACUCCCGAGAGGGAAUUUACUUGGGUCCUCCUUGGCGCAUGCCUAGAUACAUACUUGAUCCUCUUUCCCUCCGGGGUGGUGAGUAAAAUUGACUUGCUAGCACAGUUGAUGUUUCCUCCAUACUUCGAUAUCCAAUCCAUGCCUAGUAUUAUAUCCAAUCCUUGUGACCCCAAAAUUAUUAGGUCUAAGGGGAAAACAUGGCUACCAAUGGUUAAGGGUAACCGAUCACACCAUCGGUUGGCCAUAUACUCUGCUCCUCGCGAGCUUACUAGCAUGGGUAACCUAAGGGCUAUGGUUGGCAACUUAAACUUGUCCACAAAUCCCCUUGAUAUGUAUGAAAGCGAUGCACCACUGUCAAAAAGAACGAGAGCGGUAAAUGACUUAAUCAAAAACUUACCAAUCACUGCGUCAGGCUAAUCUUGAACUUCCUCCAUGUUGAUGUGGUUCACCCGACCUCUGGUGAAGGGAUUGGGCUUCUUCCCAGAGUUUCCAUUUCCAUUGCCAUUCUUCAACUCAGAACAAUCAUUGGCGUAAUGUCCAGUCUUCCCGCACUUGUAACAGGUGACAUGACCCAGGUCCUUCUUAGCGGGUGUUGCUGGGUUGGAACGGUUCUGGUUGUUGUUUCCUCAAUUCCCAUUUCCAUUCUUAGGGCCACUAUGAUUAUGUGAGCUUCCUCCAAUGUGACUGUGGCCUCCAUGGUUAUGGUCGGCAUAUCCUCCCGAGUUAGGUGUAAACCGAGGCUUCUACUGAGCUCCAGAAUUAUACUUCCCCUGUCCAAACUCUCUUUUGCGGCUCUCUAUCUGCAGUUACUUGCCUUCUAUCAUAAGAGCCCUGUCUACCAACUCCUGGUAGUUAGCAAAUUUUGCCACCAUCAACUGCAUAAUUAGCUCAUCAUUCAGCCCUUCCAUAAACUUCUCCUGCUUUGCGGCAUCUGUGGCCACAUUAUCUGGGGCAUAACGAGCUAACUUACUGAACUCAUCCACAUACUGCGCAAUAGUACGAUUUCCCUGGUGUAGGUUGCAAAACUCACGCUUCUUCGUACUCAUUGCUCCAGUUGAGACAUGUGAUGUGCGGAAAGCUUGCUGAAACAGAUCCCAAGUGACAUUUGCUAUGGGGAAAGUGAAUGUGUAAUUCUCCCACCAUGAGGCUGCAGGUCCAUCCAGUUGAUGUGCGGCAAAGCGCACCUUCUCAGCAUCUGUGCAACCUGUGAUGGUCAGCUCCCUUCUAAUCCUGCGGAGCCAGUCAUCAGCAACAAUCGGCUCGGUGCUACUGGAAAACCCCGGCAGAUUCAAAUUUAGAAAACGGGCUAAGUUCUCAACUGGAGGUGGUGGCGGUGGGUUGUUGUUGUUGCCUUGGUUCUGGACUAGUAGCUGCAUCAAGGCAUUCUGCUGUUGGAUCAAUUGAGGGAGCUCCGGUGGGAAGACAAAUCCGGGGUCACGUCUCGGAGGCAUCUGAUAGGUUUAGAGGGGCGAGAAUAGAAUAGAGUGUGGUCUAAGGAGAAAUCACUACCCAUAUGCACAUGAGACAAACACAUUCAUUUCACACCACUCAAUUCAAACAAGGGCAUACAAACGAUCUAAUCUACCGUUAUAAAAUACUCGGACUAUUACUAUAUACAUGGGGGAAUACUACUGAUAAUUUGGUGGUCGACUUGAAAUUUUGAUCAGUGGAAGACUCCAUGAUAUCUGCUCCAGCUUCGUCUUCAUAAUCAUCAUCACUAUCGGGGUCGGAGUCGGUGUCGUCGAUGAUGAUGUAGUCUUCGGGAUGAUUGUCCUCUUUAGGUGCGGGGUCUCCCAUGAAUAUUCCUAGCUUCUUCUUCAUGUCUUCAUUCUUCUAAUCACUUUCUUCAUGUCUAGCAUGCCGGCGCACAUCUGGUUCUCCUGACGACGAAUGUGCUGGUUUAACUACUGGAUGUAGGCUGCAAUGGAUUUAUCCCUCCUGGUGCAAAUCAUCUCCCAUUUCUCAUCUCGGCGUCCACAUAUCUGGUAGAUGGUGUCCUUAAGAUCCUUGUGGUAUACCUCGCCGAUGCGUCCCAUGGCGAUGUGGGCUAUCAUGCUCUUUCCUAGACUCCAGGUUGGUGCAUCAAAGGAAAACUCUAUGGGCUCAGUAACUGGUAUGAAUGUCCUUCCUGGAACAUGAACUCGAAUCAUCCAAUGCUCCUCUUCUGGUAAAGUGGCGGUGUAGGUCCCGGUGAAGCUUGGUAUUCCGAUGUUCAGGUACCUAGUGGCUUCCUUCAAGUGUCGUCCAAAAGGUGUGUCUUCAUCCGGUUGAGCAAACGUGUUCCUUGGGUCCACCAUCUAUAGAGUAGAGAAUGGAGAAGAGCCAGAAAUGAGUAGAGGAGAGUGUCCUAUGGCUUCUAUUAAUGGUCGCGUCCUACAGUCAGCGUGUGCUCUGAUACCAUCUUGUAGCGAUCCGACCUCAGACGGUCAAAUCUCUGUGCAUAAGUGUCAUCCCUGGAUCGGUAAUGCUGACACACACAGUACUCGAGGAUUUAGAACAGAGUUCAAUCACACACUUAUUACAUCGAAUAUCUCAAAAGAGAACUUAUUACAAUAAAUGGCUGAAGGCCAUCUAACUAUGAUAACAACGAAAGCUUCGAAGGUAAAUGAGUCCAUCAACUCCAACGGCAUAGCUGAGUGCACGAAAAUGACCUAGCGCAUCCUAUUCUUCGUCUGAAAACUCUGCAACAUAAUACGUUGCAGCCUGUGUAGGUCAAUACAUGGAAUAUGCUGGCAAAAUAACACUAUAGAGCAAAGAACAGAUAACAACUAUCACUACAUGCAUAUAUGGCUGGUGGAGGCUCUAUGGUUAUCAUUUUGUGUAAAGCCAGUUUUUCCCUACUGCAAAGGAAUAUGACCUAGCGCACCCUACUCUUCGUCUGAAAACUCUGCAACAUAAUACGUUGCAGCCUGUGUAGGUCAGCACAUGGAAUAUGCUGGCAAAAUAACACUAUAGAGCAAAUAACAGAUAACAACUAUCACUACAUGCAUAUAUGGCUGGUGGAGGCUCUAUGGUUAUCAUUUUGCGUAAAGCCAGUUUUUCCCUAGUGCAAAGGAAUAUUUUUUUGAAUAUUUACUGUAGGGUAAAAACCCCACAGUCCUUUAUUGCCUCAACCAAACAAAACCAAACUGUAGAGUGGUUACAAUAUUUACAGGCCUAAGCUAAAAAGAAAGAAAGCUUACUUUACAUGAGGGAGUUAACCCAAUCAACAAGUCUAGUCCUAAGGGUAUCCUUGAGUCUAUGAGACAAUAGAAGGAUAUCAUGAAUAAAAUUACAUCUCCAUGCAGCAAAAGUAGCCCUCGUCCCCCUCAAGGUUCGUCCAUUCCUCAGAAUCCAAAUAUUCCAAGCAGCUGUGAGCAUCACUACAAGGAAGAAUGGGUGGCCAAAACUUUGCCUUGCUUGGGAGAUGCACUGUUGAAUAUUUGACCCAUGGUUCCAAUCCACUUGCAAAUAAUUCCAGACCCUGCAACUGAAAUUGCAUUCAAAGAAAAGAUGUGCUCUGUCCUCAUAGACAAACGCAUUGCAGAUGACACAUAAAUUAUCAUCCACAGGGGACCUCCAGUGCCUUCUGACUAACAUGUCCUUAGUAUCGAGCCUGUCAAAGAAAAGAAGCCAGCCAAAGACCUUAAUUUUCAUAGUACACCUGCUAUGCCACAACCACUUGCAAGGUUGGAUAGUUGGAAGGUGUGAAUGCAUGAUCACAUAGAAGCCCUUACCCAAAAACUGUCCAGAUUUGAUAGGCCAGAGCCAUACAUCAGGCAGGGUGGGUCUCUCUGAAGAUUAAAUAACCAUCCUUCCAAAAGUUCCAGUUCUGCUGCUGCAUCCUGUGAGAUUGGCAGAUGGAACAUGGAAAACAAAUCCUGGUUUUGUAUGAAGUCUCUGACAGAGAGCUUGUCAUCCAGAACAAAAGAGGAUAAUCUUGGAAGCCUCAAGUUCAAUGGUCUGGAAGAACCUCCCACAUGCCAUGCAUCAAGCCAAAAGAGAGCAGAAUCACCCAUGUUAAUUUGCACUGUGGUAAUUGAUCUAUAAUGAUCAGCAAGCUUGAGGAUAUCCUUCCACCAAAAGGAGCCAGUGAGUAAAGUUGCAUGGGGCACCACUCCAUCAUAAUAACUGUCCCAAAUCAACUGAACCCAUGGAACUUGCUGUUUAUUAUAGAAUUUAUGCAGAUGUUUGAGAAGUAGGCCUUGAUUCUGAAUUGCCAGGUUAAGAAUACCUAGACCUCCCUUGUCCUUAGGUCUACAAACUAAAUCCCAAGCAGCCAAAGAUUGCUUAGGAGCAUCAGAAUUUCCUCUCCAAAUGCACUGUUUGAAGAUCCUGUCUAACUGUUUAAUUAUGCCAGGAGGAAUAUGAAGGCUGCAGAGGAACUAUAUGGGCAUUGAGGUGAGGACAGAUGUGAGCAAUUGCAACUUGGAUCCUUGAUUAAGCAUAGCAGAGCUAACUGAUAGUCUCCUUUCAACACUGUCCACCAGAGGCAUUAAAUCAACUAUCUUAGGUCUGGUAGUACCAAGAGGCAGGCCCAGAUAUGUGAAAGGUAGCUGUUCCAACCUACAACCCAAAAUAUUGGAUAAUCUAGGUGCCUCAUCUUGCUCCAAAUUGAUUGGAAUCAUUGAGGACUUGCGAAAAUUCACUUUGAGCCCAGUUGAUUAUUGAAAAAUAUGAAGCAUGUUCUUGAGAGCAACCAACUAAUCCUCCACUGCAGAGAGGACAAUAAUUGUAUCAUCAGCAUACUGGAUAAUAGGAAAGUCAGGAUCAUGAGAAGGUAUUGGCAGUGUCAAAACACCCCUAGCCAGCAUAUCAUUGACCAUAGAUUGGAGAAGAUCAGCAGCAAUAACAAACAGAAGUGGGGAGAGUGGGUCCCCCUGCCUGACCCCACAUUUGCACUUGAACAUUUUACCAGGCACCCCAUUGAGAAGAACAGAUGAAGAUCCAGAAGAGAGGAUCUCUUUAAUCCAGGCAAUCCACUUUGCAUCAAAACCUUUUUGCUGGAGAAUCUGCAGAAUAAGCUCAUGCUCCAUAGUAUCAAAGGCUUUUGCAAAGUCCAGCUUCAGAAUGAUGAUAGGCCCCCUGACUGCUUACACUGGUGGAUGUAUUCAAAAGCCCAGGCCAGGCAGUCCUGGAUGGCUCUGCUCUUCAAAAAUCCAUAUUGUUUUUUGUGAAUACAUCUAAGAAUCACCUUCUGUAACCUAUUUGCCAAUAACUUAGUGAGGAACUUGAGACAUGUUUUGGUCAGAGAAAUUGGCCUAAAAUCCUCAGGUCCCUCGGGAGAUAGCAUCUUUGGUAUGAGGGUGAUGAGAGAGCCAUUGAUAUUCUCCAGGGAAAGUCUCCCAUCAAAAAAAUCCUGAAUGAGUUUCAAAAAAUCCUUCUCAAUGAUGGGCCAACACUUCCUGACAAAAAGGCCAUUAAAGCCGUCAGGCCCAGGAGCUCGAUCAAUAGGCAAAUCCUCCAAAACAGACUUGAUUUCGUCAGCAGAAAAAAGUUCAAACAAACUAUGCAAACCAGCCACAGGGUGAAUGAGGUUGGGCAAAUCAAAGCCCAUGUCAAUGCCUUGGGCCUGGCCCAUUCUACUUUUAAAAGAUGACCAGAGAAUUCCAGCCAUUUGUGAGUGAUCAGAAACUGGAUCACCACCAGCCACUGAAAGACUGGCAAUGGCAUUUCUGCGAAAACGUUCAGAGGCCAUGGCAUGAAAAAACUUUGAAUUCUCCUCCCCAACCUUAAUAUAGCGUAUCAUGCACCUCUGCUUCCAAUAAAUAUAGUGAAUUCUAAGCAAAUUCUCAUGAUGAAGCUUAACAAUCUUCCGAAAAUUAAAUUCAGGCAUGGUGAGAGGCUGAAUUUCUUCCAAGCCAUCAAAGAACAGAAUCACCUUACUACAGUCCAAGGUGAGCCGUUUAAGAUACAAUAGGUUCUUACUCCAGGCUUUAAGAGCAUGACGCAAAUGCUUGAACUUGGUGGACAAAACUGCAGACGCAGACAGACCAGCAAAGACAGGUUGCUGCCAAGAGUUCCUGACACAAUCCAUAAACCCUGGCAUAUCCACCCAAAAAUUCUCAAACCUAAAAACCGUUGCCUUGGGUAUAGUUGUGUCAAUAGAGACCACACAAGGGACAUGAUCGGAGGAGGUUUUUGCCAAGGGCAACACAACUGUAUUAGGGUAGAAAGAAAUCCUGUAAGAGGUUGUGAAAAAACAGUCCAGCUGCUCUAACAAUGGUUGCUCUAGCAUAUUGGACCAAGUAAAGCUCCUUCCCUUCAAAGGAAGUUCGAGCAGACCCAAGUGUCCAAUAAUAUCAUUAAACGGAAAGAUGUCAUUAACAUCACCCCCCGGUCUGUUGUUGUUGUCCAAGGAAUGAAUUAAAUUGAAAUCUCCUAGGAAUAAUCAAUUUUCAUUAGUGGGGAUUUGAAGAUGAUGUAGCCAACUAACAAAAUCGUCUCGAAGGGGACCAUCACAAGGUCCAUAGACUGACACUAGAGUCCAUCUCUCUGCAUUAUGAACAGAUUGAUACGAAACCACAAUGCCAAAGCUCUAUAUCUGAACCAGAGUUCCAUUGAAAAUUACUGAAUUCCAGACAACCUAAAUACCACCAGAGGCACCAACUGACGGGGCAAACACAAAGGUGUCAAAAUGUCGAGGGCAGAAAGCUCUGAUUUUUCGUAUAUCGAAAUUAUCACACUUCGUCUCUUGCAGGCCCAGGAUAGAGCAUUGACUUUCCUCGAUCAUAGCUCUCACAUCUCUCUAACGAGCCUCGGAAUUCAAACCACGCACAUUCCAGCACAGAACAAGCCAAUUACAAUAAGUCGUACUAUCCAUAACAAACACGUCAGAAUAAAAUAAGAAUUGCUAAGCCUAACCUAGCAAUAUCCAGGGCCACAGCCGCCCAAGCCAAAAGCGCAACCAGAGUAACAAGUUCAGAUAAACCAACGUCACUAACAAAAGAAAAACUAAGCCAGGCAACACGCCUCUGGCACCGAUCAUGCAGCCUAACAUCACUCAUCAUCAGGAACCGAGCUUCAGGAGGAGUUCUUUGGGGAAGCCGUAAGCUUCUCCCGCGUCAACUGAUCUUCAGGGAUACCCAGGCGAGCGCCAACUUCCUGCAGAUCAACAAUUGGAGUCGGUGGAGGUAGCGCGCGCGUGGCAUCUUCAUAUUUAGGUGCAUCCACCACCUUUGCUUUUUUAGCCCGUGGACGCCUCAAUGGUGUUGCCUUGACGAUGAUUGCAGAAGAUGGUUUAUACCCAGUGGCCUUGGCCGCACUACGAGUCAUGCGCCGGCCCGAGAAAUCUGGAGUUGGAACCAUGGCAACAGAGGAUCGACGACCACGCCGGGCUUCACGUCCACGCUUUCCCAACACUGCAGGUAAAACUGAUGUGAACUAGAAAUCCUCAUCUUAGUGGCGUGACUGGACAUCAUCAAUAGGUAGCAACUGUGACCCGUCAGCAGCAUCAACAGGCUCAGUAAGAAUCGCCUCCAUAAUCACCGAAGAGCCAGGCUUGGCUGGACCGGCAAGCUGUCGCAGAUAAGCAAAUUUGUUCCCAAAGUGAUCGGGCCAGAAGCAUGAAGUGAGACAAGACGACCAUUGCUAAUUCAUUUGUGAAACUGGCACAGUUCUGAUGAGAAAUUCAGGCCACAAGGACAGAAAAGACCUCUCCCAGAUGAGAUGAGUAGGCAGCACAGGGCCAUACACAACUAUGACGAUGCCAAGCUGGAUUGGAUCUAAAUUUCCCCCAGGUUGUUGCGCCAUCAGAGGGUUAAUGGGCUGCUGGACUUCUUCCAAAUCCAUGUCAUUGUCCGAGUCAAGGGAUGGAUUAAGAACCAUCGAGUUCUGUUCAGGGGCCUCGUUCUGCUGAUCAACAGGUUCAUCGACAUGUUGCUGUGGUGGUUGCUGAACUUGUUCCUCCCAAGGGCCCCAUCCAGCAGCAUUAUUCUCAUUUUCACCCCAGCCCCCAGCGUUAUGAUUAUCAUUGUGGCCGGGUGGCACUGCAUUCCAACCGAGUGCUGGAUACGGUGGCAUGGCCCAAAAGGGCUGUGGGGGGUUAACUCUAGGCAUGGGGUGCGGAUUACCAUCCAGAGGCAUUGGGUCCUCAUCCGUAGGUAUCAUUGCCUCGGCAAAUUCUUCGGUGAGAAUGAAGCAACCCGCAGUCCAAGAAACCACAGUUCCUCCCCAAGUAGCGAAGUCAUGAAAUACAACAGAUCGUGGAACCAGAGCAUUAUCAGGAAACGAAGCUCUAACCAGGGAUCGAACAAGACGGCGAUCCGUUUGAUUCCAAUAAUGAAACUGCCCAAAGGUUCCUACUACAUCCGCCAAACACUUUGUAUUGGGAUAGUCCAGGGGCACUCCGUUGAAAAUCAACCAGCCAGUGCGAUGGCCAUGAAUGGCUCUGAAACCUUCUCCUUGGUUAUGUGGAAUAAACCUGACAAAGAAUUCAUGCCCAUCCUCAUCUAGACCGAGUGGAAAAGGUGGAUGCUGAGUAAAAGAACCCCUCACUACUGGAUCUUCCAUCUCAAAAAGCCCGACCCCUUGAAACCAUGUCUAAGCAGAUAACACUGGGAUAUGCAUAGUCUGAACGAGAAAACCAAGAACCUGCUGCCGACGGAUAGCAACCAGAUGCGCUAGUGGUAAAGGCUCGACGAUGGCCACCAUAUAUUGCUCAUUCGAGCGGGGAGGUGCAACAGCCAAUGUGUAGAAGGUCCUUGGAAGGCGAUCCUACCCCCNNNNNNNNNNNNNNNNNNNNNNNNNNNNNNNNNNNNNNNNNNNNNNNNNNNNNNNNNNNNNNNNNNNNNNNNNNNNNNNNNNNNNNNNNNNNNNNNNNNNNNNNNNNNNNNNNNNNNNNNNNNNNNNNNNNNNNNNNNNNNNNNNNNNNNNNNNNNNNNNNNNNNNNNNNNNNNNNNNNNNNNNNNNNNNNNNNNNNNNNNNNNNNNNNNNNNNNNNNNNNNNNNNNNNNNNNNNNNNNNNNNNNNNNNNNNNNNNNNNNNNNNNNNNNNNNNNNNNNNNNNNNNNNNNNNNNNNNACCGAUGAGGGUCGAUCGCAUAAACCGCCAUUGGCGACGGCGGCUGUGCUUCUGCAGCGUCAGUGGAAGCAGGGACGGCAGAUGGCAAUGGCAAGCUUGGUGGCGAUGGGUGGGAGGUGGGUGAUUGGGGGUUUUUUGGGGGAUGGAGGCGUCUGGUCUGGGGAAAGCGAAGAGGACAAGGGGCUGUCUUUCGUGGCGCGAGCUCCAAAGCCUUUGGAUGGGACUUUUGGCACCCAGAGGGAGGAAUCGGGUGGUUGGCCGGUGCAAUCCCGUUUAAUGUGAUGAGACCGGAAACAAUUCCUACACCGAAUCCGGUUAGUGCAGGUCAUUGUCUGGUGGCCCAUACCCAGGCAAUGUUGGCAGUCCCAAAACUUAGCAGCCAAAUUCUCGAUCAUGUCGUCAAAGCUCUGUAAAUCGCUGACAAUAUCCUGUGGUGAUGGGGGCAACUGCUCGAAAACUGGAGAGUCUCCAUGGGCUGGGCUGUCAUCCUCAUCAUCAGAGAUUACAAUGGGCUGAGGAAAAAGGAUACGGGCCUCCAAGCCACGCCCAUGUCUAACCGAAGGUGGAGAAUCGGGGAUGUCCACAAAAUCUGAUCCAACGAAUUUCGAACCAGCGGGAGAUCCGGACUUGCCGCCAACAGACACCGGAUAUUCGGGGGAAGAUUGAAACGAACCAAACAAGUUCACCGGAGACGACGAGGCAGCCGUCUCCAUCACCGGAGAAAGCGACGAAGUGUUGAUGGCUUCAUGAGAUGAUACAUUGUAACCAGCUUCUACAAACAGUCAACACCUCUGUUGACGAAGGAUGAUAACUAUAACCUAUACGAGCAGGAUAAUUGAUGAACGUAGCAAAACGUAGAUUUUUCUUAGGAUGGCCAGAGGAGUUAGAAUGCAAUGAAGAUUUAGAAGGACCAUGUUGCAUAGCCUGCAUCCCAAGAGUAACUCUAUGUUUGGUUGGACUAACUAAGGUCCACUCCUGCUGACAUUCAGCCUACCAGAGGCGAAAUUCUUUUUCCCAAUCGGGGCCUCCAUGCCCCCAGAGAUGAAAAUAACACUUGAAUUGAUUGCAAACAAAGCUACAUUGAUGCAAAAUGAAAAAUCCCACUUGUUCGCAAGAAACCGUGAAUGAAAAAACCCGAUCAGUGAGGUGUGAUACCUUGAGUUGAGAGUAAUAUCCAGCAAUGGCAGAUUCCAGGGCAAGGCCAACAUUAUCCUCAUCCAAGCGGAAAGAGUGUCGGGCAAACGAAACCACCAUCGUGAAGUGUCCCGAGUCAGAGGUCGGGUGCACAGAUCUGUUGAACGUGCGCUUGAUGUCAUCUGCCAAGUCCAUCCCCGGGCCGAAAUCCAAGCCCAAAGAGAUGGAAGCGUGUACCGCCAUGAAGAAGACAACCAGUGGAGAAAGGAAGGUGCGCCGGAGAGAAUGAGUCGAUCAGAUGUGAGAACCCACGAUCAGGUGGGCUAGACGCCGGCGUGGUGGGUGGCUAGGGUUAAGGCGGUGGUGGGGCGGUGGUGGGAGCCAUCGUCAUAGCUCAUCGAUGAAUAUAUUUUAUUUAACUACAAAGUUUGUUCAAAACAUUGAGAAUGGUAACCCCAUCUCAAUCCCAAAUUAAUAAUCAAUAACCCCACAAAUUAAUUAAGUAAAGUGAUGAGAUCAACAAAAUAAUUCAAGCACCAGAUACUCAAGAUGUCCAUAUGUAACGCCCCGGAUGCGAUGCGCCAGGUGCCAUCCAGUUAUUCGUCGUUGUUGCCAUGUCAUUUGCUUGCGUGUUGCAUUUUGCCAUGUCAUCAUCUACAUUUCAUCAGCAUGUUUUUCAAAACUUGCAUCCAGUCUUUUUCCCCGUUGCCCGUUUCGUGUUCCAAUACCCCCACACGCGCCCGUCGCCCCUCUCAGACCUUGUUUCGUGAGCGGGAGAAAAACGUUCUUAGAAUGGCCCGAGAUUUGCCGAGUGGCCUUGGCAUAUCACCAGCAGACCGCACGUCAAAUUUCGUUCCGUUUGGAGGUCGUUUGAUGCCCCAACGGUUAACCGCGUCCCCCGAAAGCCCCUCUUGUCUUGCAGCCCAACACCCCUCCAAUUCAGCCCACUAGCCCAUCCAAAACCCCUCCAUGCCCUCGGUCGUGGCCCGCUCGGCCCACUCGGCGCGCAGCAUAUNNNNNNNNNNNNNNNNNNNNNNNNNNNNNNNNNNNNNNNNNNNNNNNNNNNNNNNNNNNNNNNNNNNNNNNNNNNNNNNNNNNNNNNNNNNNNNNNNNNNNNNNNNNNNNNNNNNNNNNNNNNNNNNNNNNNNNNNNNNNNNNNNNNNNNNNNNNNNNNNNNNNNNNNNNNNNNNNNNNNNNNNNNNNNNNNNNNNNNNNNNNNNNNNNNNNNNNNNNNNNNNNNNNNNNNNNNNNNNNNNNNNNNNNNNNNNNNNNNNNNNNNNNNNNNNNNNNNNNNNNNNNNNNNNNNNNNNNNNNNNNNNNNNNNNNNNNNNNNNNNNNNNNNNNNNNNNNNNNNNNNNNNNNNNNNNNNNNNNNNNNNNNNNNNNNNNNNNNNNNNNNNNNNNNNNNNNNNNNGCCGCCACCUCGCGCCGGCGCCCCGCUCCGCCCAGUCGCCUCCCGCGCCCGUCCAGUCGCCGCCUCUCCGGUGCGCCGCCCGCCGCCGCCGCGUAUCUCCUCCGCCGCCCCGCGCCUCCCUUCGUCACGCCCCGCGCCUCCCGCCGCCGUCGACCGGCCCCGUCGCCGCCAUCUCCGGGGACUUCGCCGUCGUCGGCCGCCGCCCCGCCCCAGAUCCGGUCGGGUGGGAUGAGAUCCACCCGACCACCGAUCCAAACGCGCGUCCCCGCCCCGGAUCUCUCCAUCCCGCAUGGCUCCGUCCCGAUUUCGCGGGCUGAGAAUUCUUCUAAGUCCCUAAAUAUUUACAUAUUAUGUUGCCCUAUUCAUCAUGCCAUAACUUCGUGCUCGAUACUCCGAUUCAUGCAUGUAAUAUAUCUAAAUGUUCAUUGUGAGAUGAUCUUAAUUUCGUUCCACUGUGACAUGUUUUUUUGAGUCCAUCUUGAUGCCCUAAUCAUCGUUGCAAGACUGCUAUGUGAUGUUGUCUGCUGUAGUUUAACAGAUCUUGCUCAUUUAUCAUUUUUGUAUCUUUUUGUGUGAUUUUAUUUUGAGCAUGAUGUAUACACGUGUUAUGGGAUACGAUAUUCCGUGUUUGCUGUGGUGCAAUCCAAUCUUCAUGAUAUACCAUGUGAUGAUUGUUAAAAGCUUGCAAAGUAGCCUCCGUGAUGUUGCUGAUUUCUGUGAGUCAUUUCUGCAAAGUCUGUAGCUGUAACAUUGUGAUGCCUUGUAAACCUGCUGCCACUAGUCAUUCUAUGCAUAUUCUGGAGAUGUUUAGUAAGGAUGUUUUGUUAUACAUAUUAUGAUCUUUCCAUCCAUGCCCUUGUUUGCAUUCAUAGCCUUCUGUAGCUUGUUGAUAUCAUGCUCCAAACUUGCUAAAUAAUGUUGCUGUCAGCCUGUUAACAUGAAGUUCGUUAUUGCCAUAUGUUUUUCUAGUGAUCCAUGUACCCUAUGACUAUUCUAUUGCCAUACUUAGCUUCAUAUAUAUGCCAUCUUACUGUUGGUUACCUUGUCAUGCCAUGUAUUGCUCUAUGGUGAGUGGUUCAAGCUCACCAACAUGCCAAGUCUGAAUCUGUCAUAUUACUUGUUAUGUAUACAUGGGUGCCAUCAUAUCUUCUGUGCCUUUUUGGCUCGUGGUCAGUAAGGGACUUUUGUUCUAUGCAAUUAUUAUAUUCAUUCCAUGCCUUUGUUUUCUAUGAUCUGUUCCUGUAGCAUGUUGUUUGAUAGCUCUAAACUUUGCAACCUGAUGUAAUUUCUGCCAUGCACAGUGAUUUCUGCCAAGUCUGUGAAACUGUUAUUAUUUGCAAUCUUGCCAUGUCCUUUUUAGCAUGUUAUAAUGUUUUCUGGAUAUAGAUCAGUGUUCAUGUUUUGUAAUGCUUUAUCUGUAAUUCAUGUCCAUGCCUUUUGUUUUUAUGUUGCGGUACUGUAGCAUAUUUUCAUGAUGCUUGCAAAAUGCCUAGUUGCUGUUUUGGACAGAUUGUUGCUAUAUCUUGUUUGGAGAGUAUGUGUUGCACCGUUGCUCCGUUUUGAGUGUGCUCUAUAUGAAACUUGCUUAGUUUUGCAUGUAGUUUCAUAUUACCUUGUUGCAUCCUUGUUUUGAGGUGUUUGCUUGAUGUUUGAAUGCAUUUUGCAUCAAUGCUAUGUUUAACUUGGUUUGCUCAUAUCUUCUAGGCCGUAGCUCCGAACUAAAUGAACUUUAUAUGUAACUCGACUAGAAUUUCGUGUAGAUCAUCUUGGUGCAUCUUAACUUGUUGUUUAACCACUUGAACAUAAGGCUUAUUCAGAUCUGGACCAAUUUCGAAAUUUGCAUAUGAGGACUUACCAGAUUUGUUAUAUGUUGUUUCCGGCCUCAUUUAAACUUGCCUUGAUGUGUUGCUUUUCUAUGCAUCAUCUCUUACCAUGAGUAGCUUCAUGUAGCCGUGUCAUGUAUCAUACUUGGUUGAGCAUCAUGCCUUGUUCAUCUGUGGUGUGUUUACCAUGUUGUGUGCUUCUUCUCGAUAGUUCCCGUUUCGUUGCGAUCGUGAGGAUUCGUUCGUCUACGCGUGUUUCGUCUUCGUGGCUUCAUCUUCUUCAUGGACUCGUUCUUCUUCCUAGCGGGAUUUCAGGCAAGAUGACCGUCACCUUGGAUCUCACUACUAUCAUUGCUAUGCUAGUUGCUUCGUUCUACCGCUAUGCUGCAUCACCUACCACUUGCUAUCAAGCCUCCCAAAUUGCCAUGAACCUCUAACCUUUGUCACCCUUCCUAGCAAACCGUUGUUUGGCUAUGUUACCGCUUUGCUCGGCCCCUCUUAUAGCGUUGCUAGUUGCAGGUGAAGAUGAAGGUUGUUCCAUGUUGGAACAUGGAUAUCAUGAACUUAUUGGGAUAUCACAAUAUCUCUUAUAUUAUUAAUGCAUCUAUAUACUUGGUAAAGGGUGGAAGGCUCGGCCUUAUGCCUGGUGUUUUGUUCCACUCUUGCCGCCCUAGUUUCCGUCAUACCGGUGUUAUGUUCCUUGAUUUUGCGUCCCUUACGCGGUUGGGUGAUUUAUGGGACCCCCUUGACAGUUCGCUUUGAAUAAAACUCCUCCAGCAAGGCCCAACCUUGGUUUUACAUUUGCCUCACCUAGCCUUUUUCCCUUGGGUUUCCGGAGCCUGAGGGUCAUCUUUAUUUACCCCCCCGGGCCAGUGCUCCUUCGAGUGCUGGUCCAAACCAAGCGAUGUCCGGCGCCCCCUAGGCAACCAGGGUCUAUGCCAACCCGACGUCUGGCUCAUCCGGUGUGCCCUGAGAACGAGAUAUGUGCAGCUCCUAUCGGGAUUUGUCGGCACAUCCGGGCGGCUUUGCUGGUCUUGUUUUAACAUUGUCGAAAUGUCUUGUAACUGGGAUUCCAAGACUAAUCGGGUCUUCCCGAGAGAAGGAAUAUCCUUCGUUGACCGUGAGAGCUUAUAAUGGGCUAAGUUGGGACACCCCUGCAGGGUAUUAUCUUUCGAAAGCCGUGCACGCGGUUAUGUGGCAGAUGGGAAUUUGUUAAUAUCGGUUGUAGAGAACUUGACACUUGACUUAAUUAAAACACGUCAACCGCGUGUGUAGCCGUGAUGGUCUCUUCUCGGCGGAGUCCGAGAAGUGAACACGGUUUUGGGUUAUGUUUGACGUAAGUAGGAGUUCAGGAUCACUUUUUGAUCAUUGCUAGCUUCACGACCGUUCCGUUGCUUCUCUUCUCACUCUUAUUUGCGUAUGUUAGCCACCAUACAUGCUUAGUCGCUGCUGUAACCUCACCACUUUACCCCUUCCGUACACAUUAAGCUUUGCCAGUCUUGAUACCCAUAGUAAUGGGAUUUCUGAGUCCUCGUGGCUCACAGAUUACUACAACCCCAGUUGCAGGUACAGGUUUUGCGAUGAUCAUGACGCGAGAGCGAUGUUUCUUGAUUUGGAGUUCUUCUUCUGCUUCUUCUUCGCUCAGGGGAUAGGUUCCAGGUCGGCAGCCUGGGCUAGCAGGGUGGAUGUCGUUUGAGUUUCUGUUUGUGUUUCAUCCGUAGUCGGAUGUUGAUCUUAUGUAUGAUGUAUCGGUGUAUUCUUGGGGCGUUUGUGCCUUUUGUAUGUUCUCCCCAUCUAUUAUGUAAUGUUGAUGUAAUGAUAUCCACCUUGCAAAAGCGUCUUCAGGAUGCGCUUCUAUCCUUGGAGGGACCUUCGAGUUCCUUUAGGAUAGGGUCGCAUCUUGGGCGUGACACCAUAACACUAUGGGAAACAGGUAAUUUGCUGUCAGGGGAAGGCUUUGCCGUAAGCUUUUCCUCAGGCCAGACGACAAAGACCAAUUUUGCCAUUAGCUGCAGACGGCAAAGCAAAACUCACGGUAAAAUAGACUUUGUCGUCUUCCAAAAAAAUACAGACGGCAAAGAGCAAACUUUGUCGUCUGCCUACAACAUAACAGACGGCAAAGAACUUUGCCGUCUAUUACUUUGUAGGCAGAUGGCAAAGUGAGCUGUUUGCCGUCUGUAUUAUUUUCUGACAGACGGCAAAGAGAAAACACACCACGCGGAUCGAUCACGCGGAUCGGUGAGGUGGCAAGAUCUAAAACACAGAUCCAAUUCAACUGCAUCAGUCGGACCUACCCGCACACCCACCCACGAGUCAUGUGCCACCCACCUACCAGUACUGGCCCCACCCACGUGCACGACCCGCCCCACCCACGCGCUCGUGUCCUCUAUCUCUCCUUCACCGAGAGCACCCUCGUCCCACCUCUCCCGAGCAGAAGCACGAGCAGCCGCACGACGCCCCAUCGCCCGUCGUCCACGAGCAGCCUCGUGAUGCCGGCCCCGUCUCCCUUGCCCCCGGAGCAGCCGCACGCUGCCGGCCUUGUCUCCCGUCGUCGGCCCCGUCUCCCUCGCCCCCGGAGCAGCCGCACGGUGCCGGCCUCGUCCCCCAUCGCUGGCCCCGUCCCCCUCGCCCCCGGAGCAGCCGCCGGAGCAGGAGGCCACGGCGGCAUCCUCCUCCUCCUCGCCGCGAGGUCCUCCUCUUCCUCCGUACCCGCGACCCAAUGCCUCCUCCCGAUCUCCUCUGCUCGUCAACCGCCGCUUCCAUUCGAUCCGCCCACGUUGAAAGAGCUCACCGCCGCGGGAGCAGGAGGCCGUCGUGGGAUCCUCCUUCUCCUCCACGCCACAGGAUCCUCCUCCCUGACCUUGAACCCGUGCUUCCUCCUGAUCUCGAGCACCCCUGCUCAUCAAUCAUCGCCGCCCUUCGACCUGGCCGCGCUGCAGCUUCGUCAAGAGCUCACCGGAGCUACCCUGCAGUACCCCUUUCUCUUUCCGUCUCCCUCGCCCUCCAUCUGCCCCUCUGCCAUGAUAAAAUCUUCCCAAGACCACCGUCCGCCGCCUUGAGCUCGACGCUCACGCACGGAUGUAACCGCCGGCAAGGGCUAGUGUGUCCUUUUUUGUGAAAUAUUGUAGUUUUUACGUGUGCUGAUUCGUUCAUUUGUUCGUCAUGUAAAUGGGAAACUUCAUAUUGUAAAUAGUGUAUUUCUGUGUAAAUACUGUGAUGAUGGAUAUAUUAUGCAAAUAGAGUAUUCGUGUCUUGUAAAAUCUUUUCUGUUGUCAUACAUUCUUGAACUGUAGAUGGUGAAAUCGCUGUGAUUUUUUUGUCUACGCCAUCGAGCAACUACAACCUCUGCACCUCGACUGGUGGUUCAUAUUUUUUAAAUGAAAUAAUUUUCUUUGCCGUCUGGGGUGUAUGAGGCAGAUGGCAAAGAUAGAGUCUGGCUGACAGCAAAGCUGUCUUUCUUUGCCGUAUGCUAUUAUUUGGUUGACGGCAAAGAUGAAGUUUUGCUGACGGCAAAGAUUUUUUCGUCUUCCCGAUAAAAUGCUGAUGGCAAAGAACUCUUUGCCGACUUAUCUUUGCCGUCUAACAUUGCCGUCUGCUGACUGACGGCAAAAUCUUUGCCGUCUGUUUUUAGGCCUUUGCCGUCUGUAAUCCACAGACGGCAAAUUACAUGAUUCCUGUAGUGUAACCGGGACACGGCUAAUCAUGAUUAGUUUGUACACUCUGCAGAUGUUUGCGCACUUUUCCCCACAAGACUCGAUCUCCUCUGUUUGAUUUCUCACACAACAUGUCGUUUGAUAGACGGAUGACCGAGACACAGUCUUCCAGAAGCAUUAACUCGUUACGACGGGUAGAUAGUACCACCUACAUUCCCGACAUCUGCUAGUCUACCACUGUAAGAGGUCACACAACUUACUCAACCAGAGCCCAUAAUGGCUUGUGGCUGCACACGGAAGUUUCCAGCAUGAAUAACAUUAUGAUCACUUUGAGCCUGGGUGGCAAACCAUAGGAUGAUCACACGGGUUCCCUGGGAUCUCCUUGGACAACACUGGAUUCCCUAGGUGCCCACAAACCAAUCCACCUAGAUGUGUAUUAAAGUAUCCACCUUAAGUUAAACCUUAGUUAACAAAGAUCUCUCACAUAUUUCAUGAAUUCUCUCACACCAAUCCACGUCUACGAGCAUAGCAUAGCAAUAUAAGCAUACGUAGAAGUACCCAGGGUUUGAUAUAACACAAUAGGUGCUACCUCAUCAACUACUUCCCAAAACCCACAUGUUAUCAAUCCUACUCAUGCAAUCUCUGAGGGUUGAAAUUAAUGAAUAAAAACUGGGUAAUAAAGGGUAUGAUCAAAGUGUUAUUUGCCUUGCUGACGAUCUGAAAACCCUAGUGAUUCGUAGUAGCACGCUUCGCACUCCGGAAACUCUAUCGUGAACAAACAAUAGCAUACAUAAGCACUCAAGCAUAAGAUGCAAGGGUAAAACUCAAGAGAAAAGAUCCAAACUGAAAUUUCAACUGAAGAGCUUCGAUUUGCAAGAAAAAUUAAUCAAAUCGGAGCUACGAAACUCAAACUGCGAUCCAGAGAAGUAUGAAUUCAAAUCUUCUUGAAACCAAAUUUUAAUUUGUCAAAAUCAUGUUCAAGUUGAUUAACUAGAAAGAGGGGAACAAGAAGAAAUUUUUUGCGUUGGUUUCACUGGAUUUGGACAAAUGAGUAAAAAGUAGCGUUGGUUUGAUGUUUAGGGACUAAUCUCUGAUAAAAGUAUUCGUGGAUAGGUCCCUAGCCGAAAAAUAAAAUAAAAAGAAAAAUCUAACGAACGAACGUUCGCUGACAGAUCUAAACGAACGAAUUCGUUCAUUAACCAAAACUAAUCGAUGAACGUUCGUUAAUUAACGAACUAAAUAGAUAAAACCGAUCCAACGGAAUAAACCGAAAAAACGAAAGAAAACCGAGCAAAUUUUUGCGGUUUUUACUGGUUUUCGAAAAAAAAUCGGCGACGAGAUCCGACCGACGGCAGCGUCGGGCGAGGCAGCGAUGGUGGGGCACGGCGCGGGCGGCGGGAUGUGGCGCGGGGCGGCGGCGGCUUGCGGUAGAGGCUUAUAAAGGCCGGGGGCGAGGCGGCUUGGGGAGGGGGUCGCCGGGAGGAGGAGUUCUCCCCGGACUCGGCUGCGGCGGCGUGCGCCGGCUGGACUCCCGCCCGGAGGCGGUCGGGGCGAGGCGGUGAGCUGCGGCGGCGGCCUGGCUCGCCCGAAAGAAAAAUCGUAAUAAAAUAUAUUGAAAAAUCUAAAACUACCAGAAACAAUUUUCACCGUCCAAACCUAAUAUUUAGGACAAGGUGAACAUUUUUCUGGCCUAAAAUGCAAUUUUCAAAAAUGCAUAUUUUUCUCUAAUUCAAAUAAAAUAGCAAAUAAAAUACAAUUAAAAUAAUAAUUUUAAUUUAAAAUUUCUUCUCCAAUAUUCCUCUCCUUUGAAGAAGUCAUUUUAUCUCCUCUCAUUUAUUUUUAUUAUUGGAAAUAAUUGGAGAGAAAAAUAUUAAAAUCAAAUUGAUCCUCUUUUCAAAUUUGAGAAAAAAAUCAAAUAUGAAAAUCUGUGAAAUCUCCAACUCUCUCCUUGGGUCCUUGAGUUACUUAAGAUUUCUAGGAUCAGAACCAAAAUGCAAAUAAAAUAUGAUAUGCAUAUGAUGACCUAUGUAUAACAUCCAAAUUGAAAAUUCGGAUGUUACACGCCAUGGGCAUGAGUCUGAAAUACCAAUUUCAACUCUUGGAACAUCUUAUAUGCUCCUGUCAUUCAAAACAUUUUUUAAGUCCCGGUUCUAAACCGUAAAGCAUGGUGCACUAAACUAUCAAGUAGUCAUCAUACCGAGCUUGUCAAAUGUUCAUAACGUCUGCAUCUGCUCCUGCAAUAGGUAUGUCACCUAGCGGUGCAUCAAGGACAUAAUUCUUUUGUGCAACAAUGAGGAUAAUCCUCAGAUCACGGACCCAGUCCGCAUCAUUGCUACUAUCAUCUUUAACUUAGUAUUCUCUAGGAACAUAUCAAAAAUAAAACAGGAGAGCUAUACGCGAGCUAUUGAUCUACAACAUAGAUAUGCAAAUACUAUCAGGACUAAGUUCAUGAUAAAUGAGGUUCAAUUAAUCAUAUUACUUAAGAACUCCGACUUAGAUAGACAUCCCUCGAGUCAUGUAAAUGAUCACAUGAUCCAUAUCAACUAAACCAUGUCCGAUCAUCACGUGAAAUGGAGUAGUUUUCAAUGGUGAACAUCUCUAUGUUGAUCAUAUCUACUAUAUGAUUCACGUUCGACCUUUCGGUCUCCAGUGUUCCGAGGCCAUGUUUGUACAUGCUAGGCUCGUCAAGUUUAACCCGAGUAUUCCGCACAUGCAAAACCGUCUUGCACCCCGUUGUAUGUUAAUGUAGAGCUUAUCACACCCGAUCAUCACGUGGUGUCUCAGCACGACGAACUGUCGCAACGGUGCAUACUCAGGGAGAACACUGCAUACUUAGGGAUAACACUUAUACCUUGAAAUUUUAGUGAGGGAUCAUCUUAUAAUUCUACCGCCGUACUAAGAAAAAUAAGAUGCAUUAAAGAUAAACAUCACAUGCAAUCAAUAAAUGUGACAUGAUAUGGCCAUCAUCAUCUUGUGCCUUUGAUCUCCAUCUCCAAAGCACCGUCAUGAUCUCCAUCCUCACCGGCUUGACACCUUGAUCUUCAUCGCAGCGUCAUGGUCAUCUCGCCAACUAUUGCUUCUACAACUAUCGCUAACGCAUAGUGAUAAAGUAAAGCAAUUACAUGGCGUUUGCAUUUCAUACAAUAAAGCGACAACCAUAAGGCUCCUGCCAGUUGCCGAUAACUUUUACAAAACAUGAUCAUCUCAUACAAUAACGUAUAUCACAUCAUGUCUUGACCAUAUCACAUCACAACAUGCCCUACAAAAAGAAGUUAGACGUCCUCUACUUUGUUGUUGCAAGUAUGUGGCUGCUACGGGCUUCUAGUAAGAACCAUUCUUACCUACACAUCAAAACCACAACGGUGAUUUAUCAAGUUUGUUGUUUUAACCUUCAACAAGGAUCGGCCGCAGUCAAAUUCGAUUCAACUAAAGUUGGAGAAACGGACACCCGCCGGCCACCUUUAUGCAAAACUAGUUGCAUGUCUGUCGGUGGAACCGGUCUCAUGAACGUGGUCAUGUAAGGUUCGUCUGGGCCGCUUCUGUUGGAAAUAUGCCCUAGAGGCAAUAAUAAAUUGGUUAUUAUUAUAUUUCCUUGUUCAUGAUAAUCGUUUAUUAUCCAUGCUAAAAUUGUAUUGAUAGGAAACUCAGAUACAUGUGUGGAUACAUAGACAACACCAUGUCCCUAGUAAGCCUCUAGUUGACUAGCUCGUUGAUCAAUAGAUGGUUACGGUUUCCUGACCAUGGACAUUGGAUGUCGUUGAUAACAGGAUCACAUCAUUAGGAGAAUGAUGUGAUGGACAAGACCCAAUCCUAAGCCUAGCACAAGAUCGUGUAGUUCGUUUGCUCAGAGCUUUUCUAAUGUCAAGUAUCAUUUCCUUAGACCAUGAGAUUGUGCAACUCCCGGAUACCGUAAGAAUGCUUUGGGUGUACCAAACGUCACAACAUAACUGGGUGGCUAUAAAGGUGCACUACAGGUAUCUCCGAAAGUGUCUGUUGGGUUGGCACGAAUCGCGACUGGGAUUUGUCACUCCGUGUAAACGGAGAGGUAUCUCUGGGCCCACUCGGUAGGACAUCAUCAUAAUGUGCACAAUGUGACCAAGGAGUUGAUCAUGGGAUGAUGUGUUAUGGAACGAGAAAAGAGACUUGCCGGUAACGAGAUUGAACAAGGUAUCGGGAUACCGACGAUCGAAUCUCGGGCAAGUACCAUACCGAUAGACAAAGGGAAUUGGGUACAGGAUUGAUUGAAUCCUCGACAUCGUGGUUCAUCCGAUGAGAUCAUCGAGGAGCAUGUGGGAGCCAACAUGGGUAUCCGGAUCCCGCUGUUGGUUAUUGACCGGAGAGUCGUCUCGGUCAUGUCUGCAUGUCUCCCGAACCCGUAGGGUCUACACACUUAAGGUUCGGUGACACUAGGGCUAUAGAGAUAUUAGUAUGCGGUAACCCGAAAGUUGUUCGGAGUCCCGGAUGAGAUCCCGGACGUCACGAGGAGUUCCGGAAUGGUCCGGAGGUAAAAAUUUAUAUAUGGGAAGUCUUAUUUUGGUCACUGGAAAAGUUUCGCACUUUAUCAGUAUUGUACCGGGAGUGCCGAAAGGGGUCCGGGGGUCCACCAGCCCCGGGGGGCCACAUGGGCUGUAGGGGGUGCGCCUUGGCCUAUAUGGGCCAAGGGCACCAGCCCCAAGAGGCCCAUGCGCCAAGAAAUAAGAAAAAAAAGGGAGAGUCCUAAAGGGGGAAGGCACCUCCGAGGUGCCUUGGGGGGGAAGGACUCCUCCCUGGCCGCACCCUUCCUUGGAGGAAGGGCCAAGGCUGCGCCCCCCCUCUCCCUUGGCCCUAUAUAUAGUGGGCGGAAGGGAGGGCAGCAAUACCUAAGCCCUGGCGCCUCCCUCUCCCUCCCGUGACACAUCUCCCUCCUCCCGCAGCGCUUGGCGAAGCCCUGUUGGAAUCCCGCUACUUCCACCACCACGCCGUCCUGCUGCUGGAUCUCCAUCAACCUCUCCUCCCCCUUGCUGGAUCAAGAAGGAGGAGACGUCGCUGCUCCGUAUGUGUGUUGAACGCGGAGGUGCCGUCCGUUCGGCGCUAGGAUCAUCGGUGAUUUGGAUCACGACGAGUACGACUCCAUCAACCCCGUUCUCUUGAACGCUUCCGCUCGCGAUCUACAAGGGUAUGUAGAUGCACUACUUCCCUCUCGUUGCUAGUAAACUCCAUAGAUUGUUCUUGGUGAUGCGUAGAAAAUUUUAAAUUUCUGCUACGUUACCCAACAGUGGCAUCAUGAGCUAGGUCUAUGCUUAGUUUCUAUGCACGAGUAUAACACAAAGUAGUUGUGGGCGUCGAUUUUGUCAAUUUACUUGCCGUUACUAGUCUUAUCUUGAUUCGGCGGCAUCGUGGGAUGAAGCGGCCCGGACCGACCUUACACGUACUCUUACGUGAGACAGGUUCCACCGACUGACAUGCACUAGUUGCAUAAGGUGGCUAGCGGGUGUCUGUCUCUCCCACUUUAGUCGAAAAGGAUUCGAUGAAAAGGGUCCUUAUGAAGGGUAAAUAGAAAUUGGCAUAUCACGUUGUGGUUUUACGUAGGUAAGAAACGUUCUUGCUAGAAACCUAUACAAGCCACGUAAAAACUUGCAACAGCAAUUAGAGGACGUGUAACUUGUUUUUGCAGCAUGUGCUAUGUGAUGUGAUAUGGCCAGAAGAUGUGAUGAAUGAUAUAUGUGAUGUAUGAGAUUGAUCAUAUUCUUGUAAUAGGAAUCACGACUUGCAUGUCGAUGAGUAUGACAACCGGCAGGAGCCAUAGGAGUAGUCUUUAUUUUUGUAUGACCUGCGUGUCAUUGAAUAACGCCAUGAAAAUUACUUUACUUUAUUGCUAAGCGCGUUAGCCAUAGAAGUAGAAGUAAUCGUUGGCGUGACAACUUCAUGAAGACACAAUGAUGGAGAUCAUGAUGAUGGAGAUCAUGGUGUCAUGCCGGUGACAAAGAUGAUCAUGGUGCCCCGAAGAUGGAGAUCAAAGGAGCAAAAUGAUAUUGGCCAUAUCAUGUCACUAUUUGAUUGCAUGUGAUGUUUAUCAUGUUAUGCAUCUUAUUUGCUUGAACGACAGUAGCUUAAAUAAGAUGAUCCCUCACUAAAAUUUCAAGAGACAUGUUCCCCCUAACUGUGCACCAUUGCGAAGGUUCGUUGUUUCGAAGCACCACGUGAUGAUCGGGUGUGAUAGAUUCUAACGUUCGAAUACAACGGGUGUUGACGAGCCUAGCAUGUACAGACAUGGCCUCGGAACACAUGCAAAACACUUAGGUUGACUUGACGAGCCUAGCAUGUACAGACAUGGCCUCGGAACACAAGAGACCGAAAGGUUGAGCAUGAGUCGUAUAGAAGAUACGAUCAACAUGGAGAUGUUCACCGAUGAUGACUAGUCCAUCUCACGUGAUGAUCGGACACGGCCUAGUUUGACUCGGAUCAUGUAUCACUUAGAUGACUAGAGGGAUGUCUAUCUGAGUGGGAGUUCAAUAAUCAGAUGAACUUCAUUAUCAUGAACAUAGUCAAAAGGUCUUUACAAAUUAUGUCAUACGCUUUAGUUCUACUGUUUAAGAUAUGUUCCUAGAGAAAUUUUAGUUGAAAGUUGGUAGUAGCAAUUAUGCGGACUGGGUCCGUAAACUGAGGAUUGUCCUCAUUGCUGCACAGAAGGCUUAUGUCCUUAAUGCACCGCUCGGUGUGCUGAACCUCAGCGUCGUCUGUAGAUGUUGUGAAACACCUGGCAUACACGUUUUGAUGACUACGUGAUAGUUCAGUGCGUAAUGCUAACGGUUUAGAAUUGUGGCACCAAAGACGUUUUUGAAACGUCGCAGAACAUAUGAGAUGUUCCGAAGACUGAAAUUGGGAUUUCAGACUAGUGCCCACGUGAAGAGGUAUGAGACCUCUGACAAGUUUCUUAAGCCUGAAGACUAAGGGAGAAAAGCUCAAUCGUUGAGCAUGUGCUCAGAUUGUCUGAGUGCCACAAUCGCUGGAAUCGAGUGGGAGUUUAUCUCCCAGAUGAGAUAGUUAUGGUUCUCCAUAGUCACUGCCACCAAGCUAGUAGAGCUUCGUGAUGAACUAUAACAUAUCAAGGAUAGAUGAUGAUCCUUGAGCAACUCGCGAUGUUUGACACCGCGAAAGUAGAAUUCAAGAAGGAGCAUCAAUUGUUGAUGGUUAGUAAAACCACUAGUUUCUAGAAGGGCAAGGGCAAAGGGGAUACUUCAUGAAACAGCAAAUCAUUUGCUGCUCUAGUGAAGAAUCCCAAGGUUGAACCCAAACCCGAGACUAAGUGCUUCUGUAAUGAGGGGAACGGUCACUGAAGCGGAACUACCCCAGAUACUUGGUAGAUGAGAAGGCGGGCAAGGUCGACAGAAGUAUAUUGGAUAUACGUUAUAUGAAUGUGUACUUUACUAGUACUCCUAGCAGCACCAGGGUAUUAGAUACUGGUUCGGUUGCUAAGUGUUAGUAACUCGAAAUAAAAGCUGCGGAAUAAACGGAGACUAGCUAAAGGUGAGAUGAUGAUAUGUGUUGGAAGUGUUUCCAAGGUUGAUGUGAUCAUGCAUCGCAUGCUCCCUCUACCAUCGAGAUUUGGUGUUUGCGUUCAGCAUGAUUGGAUUAUGUUUAUCGCAAUACGGUUAUUCAUUUAAGGAGAAUAAUGGUUACUCUGUUUAUUUGAAUAAUACCUUCAAUGGUCUUGCACCUAAAAUGAAUCUCGAUCGUAGUGAUACACAUGUUCGUGCCAAAAGAUAUAAAAUAGUAAUGAUAGUUCCACAUACUUGUGGCACUGCCAUUUGAGUCAUAUUGGUAUAGAACGCAUGAAGAAGCUCCAUGUGGAUGGAUCUUUGGACUCACUCGUUUUUGAAAAGAUUGAGACAUGCGAACCAUGUCUAUUGGUAUAUAUGCAUGAAGAAACUCCAUGCAGAUGGAUCGUUUGGACUCACUUGAUUUUGAAUCACUUGAGACAUGCAAAUCAUACCACAUGGGCAAGAUGACUGAAAGGCCUCGUUUUCAGUAAGAUGGAACAAGAGAGCAACUUGUUGGAAGUAAUACAUUUGAUGUGUGCAGUCCAAUGAGUGCUGAGGCACGCAGUGGAUAUCGAUAUGUUCUUACUUCACAGAUGAUUUGAGUAGAUGCUGAGAAUAUUUACUUGAUGAAACACAAGUCUGAAUUAUUGAAAGGUUCAAGUAAUUUCAGAGUGAAGUUGAAGAUCGUCGUGACAAGAGGAUAAAAUGUCUAUGAUAUGAUCAUAGAGAUAUCUGAGUUACGAGUUUGGCACACAAUUAAGACAUUGUGGAAAGUGUUUCACAAUUAAUACCGCCUGGAACACCACAGUGUGAUGGUGUGUCCGAACAUCAUAACUGCACCCUAUUGGAUAUGGUGCAUGCCAUGAUGUCUCUUAUCGAAUUACCACUAUCGUUUAUGGGUUAGGCAUUAGAGAUAACCGCAUUCACUUUAAAAGGGGCACCACGCAAUUCCGUUGAGACGACACCGUUUAGAUAAACCUAAGUUGUCGUUUCUUAAAAGUUUGGGGCUGCGAUGCUUAUGUGAAAAUUUUUCAAGCUGAUAAGCUCGAACCCAAAGCGGAUAAAUGCAUCUUCAUAGAAAACCCAAAACAGUUGGGUAUACCUCCUAUUUCAGAUCUGGAAGCAAAAGUAAUUGCUUCUAGAAACGAGUCCUUUCUCGAGGAAAUGUUUCUCUCGAAAGAAUUGAGUGGGAGGAUGGUGGAGACUUGAUAAGGUUAUUGAACCGUCACUUCAACUAGUGUGUAGCAGGGCACAGGAAGUUGUUCCUAUGGCACCUACACCAAUUGAACUGGAAGCUUAUGAUAGUGAUCAUGAAACUUCGGAUCAAGUCACUACCAAACCUCAUAGGUCGACAAGGAUAUGUACUACUCCUGAGUGGUACGGUAAUCCUGUCUUAGAUAUCGUGUUGUUAGACAAGACUGGACCUACAAGCUAUGCAGAAGCGAUGGUGGGCCCAUAUUCCGACAAAUGGUUAGAAGCCAUGAAAUCCGAGAUAGGAUCCAUGUAUCAAAACAAAGCAUGUACUUUGGUGAACUUGCCCGAUGAUCGGCAAGCCAUUGAGAUAAAUGGAUCUUUAAGAAGAAGACGGACAUGGACGGUAAUGUUACCGUCUAUGAAGCUCGACUUGUGGCAAAGGGUAUUUUCACAAGUUCAAGGAGUUGACUACGAUGAGAUUUUCUCAUCCGUAGCAAUGCUUAAGUCCGUCGGAAUCAUGUUAGCAUUAGCUGCAUUUAUGGAAUCUGGCAGAUGGAAGUCAAAACAAGUUUCCUUACGAGUUUUCGCAAGGAAAGGUUGUAUGUGAUACAAUCAGAGAGGUUUUGUCGAUCCUAAGGAUGCUAAUAGGUAUGCUAGCUCCAGCGAUCCUUCCAUGGACUAGAGCAAGCAUCUCGGAGUCAGAAUAUACGCUUUGAUGGAGUGAUCAAAGUUUUUGGGUUUAUACAAAGUUUGUUAGAAACUUGUAUUUACAAUAAAGUGAGUGGGAGCGCUACAACGUUUCUGAUAAGUAUAUGUGAAUGACAUAUUGUUGAUCCGAAAUGAUGUAAUAUUUCUGGAAAGCAGAAAGGGUUGUUUGAAAGGAGUUUUUCAAAGGAAGACCUGGAUAAAGCUGCUUACAUAUUGGGCAUCAAGAUCUAUAGAGAUAGAUCAAGACGCCUGAUGAUACUUUCAAAGAACGCACACCUUGACAUGAUUUUGAAAGAUUUCAAAAUAGAUCAGCAAAGAAGGAGUUCUUGGCUGUGUUACAAGGUGUGAAUAUUGAGUAAGACUCAAGACCUGACCACAGCAAAAGAGAGAGAAAGGACAAAGGUCGUCCCCUAUGCUUCAGACGUAGGCUCUACAGUAUGCUAUGCUGUGUAUUGCACAUGAAGUGUGCCUUGCCAUGAGUUGGUCAAGGGGUACAAUAGUGAUCCGGGAAUGGAUCACAUGACAUCGGUCGAACUUAUCCUUAGUAUCUACUGGACUAAGGAAUUUUCUCGAUUAUGGAGGUGAAAAGGAGUUCGUCGUAAAGGGUUACAUCGAUGCGAACUUUGACACUAAUCCGGAUGACUCUGAGUAGUAAACCGGAUUCGUAUAGUAGAGCAGAUACUUGAAAUGUCUCCAAGUAGCGCGUGGUAGCAUCCACAAGAUGACACAGAUAUUCGUAAAGCUCACACGGAUCUGAAAGGUUCAGACCCGUUGACUACAACCUCUCUCACAAGCAUAACAUGAUCAUACCAGAACUCAUUGAGUGUUAAUCACAUAGUGAUGUGAACUAGAUUGUUGACUCUAGUAAACUCUUUGGAUGUUAGUCACAUGGUGAUGUGACCUAUGAGUGUUAAUCACAUGGUGAUGUGAACUAGAUUAUUGACUCUAGUGCAAGUGGGAGACUGUUGGAAAUAUGCCCCAGAGGCAAUAAUAAAUUGGUUAUUAUUAUAUUUCCUUGUUCAUGAUAAUCGUUUAUUAUCCAUGCUAAAAUUGUAUUGAUAGGAAACUCAGAUACAUGUGUGGAUACAUAGACAACACCAUGUCCCUAGUAAGCCUCUAGUUGACUAGCUCGUUGAUCAAUAGAUGGUUACGGUUUCCUGACCAUGGACAUUUGAUGUCGUUGAUAACGGGAUCACAUCAUUAGGAGAAUGAUGUGAUGGACAAGACCCAAUCCUAAGCCUAGCACAAGAUCGUGUAGUUCGUUUGCUCAGAGCUUUUCUAAUGUCAAGUAUCAUUUCCUUAGACCAUGAGAUUGUGCAACUCCCGGAUACCGUAAGAAUGCUUUGGGUGUACCAAACGUCACAACGUAACUGGGUGGCUAUAAAGGUGCACUACAGGUAUCUCCGAAAGUGUCUGUUGGGUUGGCACGAAUCGAGACUGGGAUUUGUCACUCCGUGUAAACGGAGAGGUAUCUCUGGGCCCACUCGGUAGGACAUCAUCAUAAUGUGCACAAUGUGACCAAGGAGUUGAUCAUGGGAUGAUGUGUUACGGAACGAGUAAAGAGACUUGCCGGUAACGAGAUUGAACAAGGUAUCGGGAUACCGACGAUCGAAUCUCGGGCAAGUACCAUACCGAUAGACAAAGCGAAUUGGGUACGGGAUUGAUUGAAUCCUCGACAUCGUGGUUCAUCCGAUGAGAUCAUCGAGGAGCAUGUGGGAGCCAACAUGGGUAUCCAGAUCCCGCUGUUGGUUAUUGACCGGAGAGUCGUCUCGGUCAUGUCUGCAUGUCUCCCGAACCCGUAGGGUCUACACACUUAAGGUUCGGUGACGCUAGGGUUAUAGAGAUAUUAGUAUGCGGUAACCCGAAAGUUGUUCGGAGUCCCGGAUGAGAUCCCGGACGUCACGAGGAGUUCCGGCAUGGUCCGGAGGUAAAAAUUUAUAUAUGGGAAGUCUUAUUUUGGUCGCCGGGAAAGUUUCGCACUUUAUCGGUAUUGUACCGGGAGUGCCGAAAGGGGUCUGGGGGUCCACCUAGGGGGUCCACCAGCCCCGGGGGGCACAUGGGCUGUAGGGGGUGCGCCUUGGCCUAUAUGGUCCAAGGGAACCAGCCCCAAGAGGCCCAUGCGCCAAGAAAUAAGAAAAAAAGGGAGAGUCCUAAAGGGGGAAGGCACCUCCGAGGUGCCUUGGGGGCGAAGGACUCCUCCCUGGCCGCACCCUUCCUUGGAGGAAGGGCCAAGGCUGCGCCCCCCCCCUCUCCCUUGGCCCUAUAUAUAGUGGGGUGAAGGGAGGGCAGCAAUACCUAAGCCCUGGCGCCUCCCUCUCCCUCCCGUGACACAUCUCCCUCCUCCCGCAGCGCUUGGCGAAGCCCUGUUGGAAUCCCGCUACUUCCACCAUCACGCCGUCGUGCUGCUGGAUCUCCAUCAACCUCUACUCCCCCCUUGCUGGAUCAAGAAGGAGGAGACGUCGCUGCUCCGUACGUGUGUUGAACGCGGAGGUGCCGUCCGUUCGGCGCUAGGAUCAUCGGUGAUUUGGAUCACGACGAGUACGACUCCAUCAACCCCGUUCUCUUGAACGCUUCCGCUCGCGAUCUACAAGGGUAUGUAGAUGCACUACUUCCCUCUCAUUGCUAGUAAACUCCAUAGAUUGAUCUUGGUGAUGCGUAGAAAAUUUUGAAUUUCUGCUACGUUACCCAACAGCUUCAUCCAACAAUACCGCCGAAUCAAAAUAAGACAUUGGUGGUAAGAAGUAUGACGAUCAUGCAAGAUCUAUCUAGGAGAUGCCACUGUAGGGGAACGUAGCAUGCAAUUUCAAAAAAUUCCCUACGCUCAUACAAGAUCUAUCUAGGUGAUGCAUAGCAAUGAGAGGGGGAGAGUGUUUCCUUUUACCCUCGUAGACCGAAAGCGGAAGUGUUUGACAACGCGGGUGUUGUAGUCGAAGUUCUUCUCAUUCUGACCGAUCAAGCACCGAACGUACGACACCUCCUAGUUUUGCACACAUUCAGCUCGAUGACGUCCCUCGAACUCUUGAUCCAGCAAAGUGUCAAGGGAGAGUUCCGUCAGCAUGAUGGCAUGGUGACGGUGAUGGUGACGUGAUCCACGCAGGGCUUCGCCUAAGCUCUACGUGAAUAUGACCGGAGGCGUAAACUGUGGAGGGGGGCGCCGCACACGGCUAACAAUGUUUGUUGUGUGUUCUAGCGGUGCCCCUCACAUAUAUAUAGGUUGGAGGGGAGGAGAGGCAGCCAAGGGGGCGCCCCAAGUAGGAGGAAUCCUACUUGGGGUCCUCCCAUUCAGCCUCCCCCCUUUCCUAUUCCUAUUCGGAGUAGGAAGGGAAGAGGGGGAAGGGGGAAUCCUAUUCCCUUUUUCCUUUCCUUCUUCCCCUUUAUUUCUCCAAUUUGGCCUACCCAUAUGGGGGGCACACCAGCCCCUUAGUGGAUGGUGUGGUUCCCCUCUUGGCCCAUUAGGCCCAUAUAGCUUGCCGGGCGUUGCCCGGAACCCCUUCCGGUAACCCGAUCGUACCCGGUACCCCCAGAACAUUUCCGGUGUUCGAAUACUAUCGUCCUAUAUAUGAAUCUUUACCUCUCGACCAUUUCGAGACUCCUCGUCAUGUCCGGAUCUCAUCCAGGACUCCGAACAACAUUCGGUCACCAAAUCACAUAACUCAUAUAAUACAAAUCAUCAUCGAACGUUAAGCGUGCGGACCCUAAGGGUUCGAGAACUAUGUAGACAUGACUGAGACACCUCUUCGGUCAAUAACCAAUAGUGGAACCUGGAUGCUCAUAUUGGGUCCUACAUAUUCUACGAAGAUCUUUAUCGGUCAAACCGCAAUGACGACAUACAUCAUUCCCUUUGUCAUCGGUAUGUUACUUGCCUAAGAUUUGAUCGUCGGUAUCUUCCUACCUAGUUCAAUCUUGUUACCGGCUACUCUCUUUACUCGUUCCGUAAUGCAUCAUCCCGCAACUAAUUAGUCACAUUGCUUGCAAGGCUUAUCAUGAUGUGCAUUUCCGAGAGGGCCCAGAGAUACCUCUCUGAUACUCGGAGUGACAAAUCCUAAUCUCAAUCUAUGCCAACCCAACAAACACCUUCGGAGAUACCUGUAUAGCAUCUUUAUAAUCACCCAGUUAUGUUGUGAUGUUUGAUAGCACACAAGGUAUUCCUCUAGUAUCCGGGAGUUGCAUAAUCUCAUAGUCAAAGGAAUAUGCAUAAGUCAUGAAGAAAGCAAUAGCAAUAAAACUUAGUGAUCAUUAUGCUAAGCUAACAGAUGGGUCUUGUCCAUCACAUCAUUCUCCUAAUGAUGUGAUCUCGUUCAUCAAAUGACAACACAUGUAUAUGGUUAGGAAACUUAACCAUCUUUGAUUAGCGAGCUAGUCUAGUAGAGGCUUACUAGGGACACAUUGUUUUGUCUACAUAUCCACACAUGUAUCAAGUUUCUGGUUAAUACAAUUCUAGCAUGAAUAAUAAACAUUUAUCAUGAUAUAAGGAAAUAUAAAAUAGCAACUUUAUAAUUUCCUCUAGGGCAUAUUUCCUUCAGUGCCAUGCAUGAUUUCUAGAUCGAUUGAAUGAUCAAUUCGAACUUUAGGAACGUAGUCCCUAUGGCCACACAAGAAAAGGUUCAUUGUUUUAUUUGAAGUAGUGAAACUAAUCAACCAAGCGAAGCAAAAGAGAUACAAGUAGUGAAUAUUAUUAACAGAUUGGAAUGCUAUUAAGCAUAACGAGAUGCUAGCUCACGUUGGCAUCUUUCAACCUUUCGGAUAACUUCUCUCCAUACUAACCAGGAAGAGCAGGGAGGUUUUACUACCAUUAGCGAGUAGUUCCCUCUCCAUUUUGCAAUACAAAUAUAAGAUCACUAUUAUUACGAGUGGUGAAAGCGAAAGCAAUAGUCGCGUACUGGAAUCCCAGUAAAGAAGAGUGAUUUUCAUCAGAAAGAACAAAAGCUGGAGGAAUGCGAUCCAGAGAAAAACGGAAACAUUGCACUUUUUUUGGUUUGCAAGUAGUUUAAGAGGGAAUCCACUCCCAAAAGAGAAAGAGUUCAGCUGCCCCGAUUUCGCGAAGGGUAAGAAGAAAAUAAGAAGUCUCUUCAGUAGUGAGGAGCACAAUGAUUUGUGCUCUAAGCAAUAGAGGUCAAAGGUUCUACUAAAACGGGGCAAUGAGAUAACAGCUUGAAAUAAUAGGAGAGAACUGGUAGCUUCAUGUUGGGAUGAACUGAAACAUCUUAGCCGUAAAAAACCUUCCCUUUUCAAGUCUUUGAUAUCCCUCUCGCUCUACCCAACUAUCUAUAAUGGGGCAGAGAAGGAUAAGCAAAGUAGGCGCAUGAAUAUUUAUUAAUUAAGAGUUUUUGAGACUUCAUUCUCUUUUUAGUUUUGACUCUGGGUCCGGUCAAGGUUGACGCGGAGGAUAGGGAUGGGAAAAGAAGCCCUAGCUUUGGGAAAGACCGGAUCAUAACAUGAAUUUCAGGGCAUACUUAUUAGAUGUAGAUCUAGGUACUCUUUCUUCCCCAGAUGGGGAAUGGGCCAAGCCGGUCCGUUUUUGGCUCUGAAAGUGCAUUUGCUAGUUCGAGAGAAGCUGAAUCCGGGUGAAAAUGGGAUUCAAAAUGAUUCUUACCUUUCGUAGCAUGCUGCACAGACUCACUUGGUAAAUAGCCUUCCCUAAAAGAUGCAAGGUGCUCACACAUGAAAUUCCCUUUUUAAGGAUAUCCUAUUUGACUUUUAUGCAAUACUUGGGCAAAGCCAUCGAGACUAUAUCCAUCACCAGGAAGAAGAGAAGCGAAGCCAUAAUUUCUUUAGGACAAGCCUGAGAUAUCUAGUAUAGUAACAGUGGUCGAAUUGCUGCAUAGCCCCCCCUAAUACGAAUUUGGCAAAUCCUCAUUCUAAAGUUAGCGCACCAUUGAGGUAAGUAAAUAUUAGUAGGCACACAGGCAGCCCGUUGCAAGGAAGGAAAGAGCAAGAGCUAGGGCUGAGUGCUCGAGUUACGGUUGUUGACUCAGAACUGUAAGCCAAAGAAGCAUUCCUGUGACCUGGCCGUAUGAAUGGUUUCUUUUCAAUACCAGAGCUAAAUAAUUAGGCAUCAAAAUUCAAAGAAGAUUUGCCUUCACUUCAACCUUAACCAUUAACCAAAGAUUCAUACCUAUGAAUAUUCCCCUCCUCAUUUGCUGAAGGCACUUCCUACAGCGAACCAUGCAAGGAACAUAUCAAGUAGGCUAGUACCAAUUCCUCCACAUCAACAGCAAAAUAGGCAUAUGAAUCUUAAGUAGCAAAUUCCUUCAUCUCAUAUGAGGUAGGUAAUCUACCAUAAUUUAUUUCCAUUUCCAGGUAAGAUGACCGGAGACGAGUUUAUCAGCACCGAUACCCCCGCGCAUCGUGGCCGGUUCCCUCGGGGGUAGAAACUCAACUUGGAGAAAGAUCCCGUUGAUCUUUGGGUUGGCCCUUGCCUAUUGAAAGUAUGGUGUCUCAUAAAUGCUUUGUUAAUGCCUUUUAUUCGUAGGAUCGGUCCAAAGGGCGGAUGAGUUGACGUUGAUAGACUUGUGCAUGCUCUACCGCUCGUAACCUUUUUUUCUCCCAUCAAUCUAAUCGAGGAGGUAAAGUUUCGAUAGCAGAGCCUCUCGCUUCUGAUUAUCAGUCAUAUCAUCGUCGAGCAGAACGUGUCGGGAAGGAAUCGUCGAGCUCACUGGGCAGAAUGGCGUCCAUGCCAACGACUAAGGAGAAGGGGACCAGUGGCUAUACAGAUUGAUGCCCGAUAAGCCCAGAGAGCCUCAACAAGGCGAUCUGGCCAGUCUCCUCCGACUCAAAAGUGUUUGUGGCUAUGGUAUGGGUCUGGUCUGAAGACCAAUGGGUCAAAAAGGGGAUAUCCUCUUCUUUGGAUACACCAACUAAUGUAGUAGAUUGCAUUCCCGGAGGACACUUUCUACAUUUCGUCGGUACUGGUAACAACGGAUCUUGACCUCGUUUAUUUUUCUUCUAUUCUAAGUUUUGAUUGCACGAGCAGCAUAACAACAUAACAAUUUUGUGUAAGGAAGUAAGGAAAGACUCAUUUCUGAAACUUAAGGACUUAAUUAGCAUGUCGUAUAUAACAGAUAAUGAGUCUCAAAGAGAGUUUCCAAUGGGUUACAUCAAGUUCCAUUCCCAGUAUGCGAAAUUAGUAAACACAAAUAUCUAUAUAUAAGAAACUUCUAUUCCAAUCCACAGUCGGUCCAACAAGGCAAUUGUCGUCAACUAGAUCAAUCAGGAAUAAGAAAUAUUUCGUACCCUAUCUAUCAUAUUUGCUUUUCAGUAAAGGGUACACACUACUUUAUUUUUACUUAUUUCAAUUCUCUGUCUUGCUAAACACAAAUCCUUAUUUUCUUGUAUAGAUGAAAUAAAAAUGAGAACUAAGUAGGUUUCGACCCAUUAAAGGAGUCAAUGGCACGCACACAAAGUAGGAGGAAAUGGGUACCCCGCGAGGCUGGUGAAGUCGGCACAAGAAGUAGGCGGAGUAGACGCAGCAUUUGCGGGCUCAAGUGCAGCUAAAUCAUAAUCAAUAUUCCCGUCUGGGGUUGGCGGAGUUGGUAGAAAGCACGGUUGGCGAUAAGAUGGUACUAGUUUCAUUCUUUCUAUUCCAAAAUCCAGUAACCGGAACUGUAAAUCAAACAAUGUAGGCGCACGUUGGCACGGUUCUGUAAAUAAGAGAUGUCUCAUCUGGUUGAGCUGUCGCAAUCAGUAUUUCUCUUCCUUUCUUAGUAGCAGAUCCAACAUGACUGUAUUAAACCUUAAGCAAUCAGGGUUAAGCUAGCUCAUUGCCUGAAAGUGGAGGUCGUAUUAUACACCUUGACCCCCACCUUUUUUGAAUCCUUCCUCCAUAUAUAUUGUUAUAUAAGAUAAGUCCCAUAACUGCCUCAUUCAGAUCGAUCCAGUCACCGCUACGGUCACAUCAAUCCGUUAUGGCUCGGACCCUCUUAGCAGCUGGAUCCUUCAGGAAGCCAUAGUAGGGAUUACGUCAGUACAUUCUUAGGCGAGCGGUGCGUUAUAUCACCCCUAUUUUGUUUUGGACCUUCUUUCUUUAUUAGGCAUGGGACCAAACCAAGGUUGAUCGAAGUUGAACAUUCCUAUGGAACUCCCCUUCAGACGGCUUCUCUGCGCUUGCCCAACACCUUUCGUAUUAUGGACCGGGACUAAUUUCACCCCAUACCAUCGUGAAGUCAUAACUGACUGGAUAACAUUCUCUCAAGGACCUGCAAAACUCUCUAAUGCGGAUGAUCAAAUGUUGCUUCAGAUGUGUAUGAGAAGGAAGAGUCUCACAGGACUCAUAGAUAGAAACCAGCAUAGUCUAUGAAUUAGCAUGAACAGUUUAUUGAACUUGGUUGCACUCGUAAAGCGAGCGUGAAGACAGCUGCGAAAGAAGCCCACAGAACAGAGCGGUUAUUUUUUGUGACUAGCAAGUGGACAGGCUCAGAUGGCGUAGCUGAUGUGUCGUGCUAGGUAUCUUUUAUUGGCCAAGUCAAGCAGGAUAGUCAAGUAAGAAAAUAGACCAUAAGCCAUCCUUUAUCUUUUUUCUAAGAAAGGAACAAUAAAUAGCUCAUAGUUUCCUUGCAACUGCCCUAAGAGUUGUUCUUCUAUCAUCAGCGAGAGUUUACUUUGCUGUCGAUGCAGGCAAUAAUAGAUAGAUUUCUGUACAUAGUUAGGCCCAGGCUAAGAAAUAAAUAAUAAAUGGAUUCCUCCCCCUUUAGCAUAUGCUUAUGUAGCACUCCUAUUUUGAAUAAUUUUAUGGGCAAAUAUUAGAAUAUGCUUUUCUCCAUUUGGAGAUUUAUAUUUUGUCUCCUUAUUUUGGAAAAUAAGUUUUUAAGCAAGUGAGCAAGCCAUACCAUUCAUCCUCCACCUCCUCGUCCAUGAAGUCCGUUGACUUUCUUUUUCUGGUAAAGGCAGCAUAUGCCCUAAGAGCCUAUUUUUCCACAUCAAGAGGAAAGUCCCACACACAACCCUAAAAGAAUAAACUGGAUGGACCCCUAUUCGCACGCCUAUGGACCAAUGGUUCCCAACUAGUAACUAGUGCCCCCCUAUGGAACAGUUCUAUGUAACUCCAACAGAAAAGGGAGACAUAAUAUAAAUGGAAUAUUACGGGCUUGCUCACCCUAAGCAACUAAAGGAAACUCUUAUAGAAAUAUAGGUUUUUCUUCCGCAUAAGAAAGGUCGCUACAUAUCCGAGUACCACUCUAGCGUCAAUGAACAUUAAGUGUGCGACCCAACGGGUUCAAGAAUCAUGUAGACAUGAUUGAGAGUCCUCUCAGGUCAAUAACCAGUAGCGGGACCUGGAUGCCCAUAUUGUUCCCUACAUAUUCAACAAAGAUCUUUAUCGAUUGAACCACGAUGUCAAGGAUUAGGGUAAUCUCGUAUGCAAUUCCCUUUGUUCGGUGAUAAUUCCCUUUGUUCGGUGAUAUGUUACUUGCUCAAGAUUCGAUUGUUCGUAUCUCCAUCCUCUCGGAUUUCGGGUUCCGGCAAAACCCUUGAGGUUCGAACACUGGGGUGUGCACGAAGAUCUCUUCUCCCUCCGGCACUCACCCUCACUGUGAUCUCAAGGCUUGGUGCGUCGAACUGGCAGAACAAAGGGACACAAGAUUUAUACUGGUUCGGGCCACCGAUGUGGCGUAAUACCCUACUCCAGUGUGGUGUGGUGGAUUGCCUCUCGGGCUGAGGAUGAAUAGUUACCAGGGAAGAACAGCCUUCUGAGGAGAGGUGCUCCUGUGCUCGGUGGGUUUGUGAGUUGGCCUUGGUGGAGUGGAUCCAAUCCAAGAUGAGAUGCUUCCUAUGGUGGUGGCUAGUCCUAUUUAUAGAGGCCCUGGUCCUCUUCCCAAAUAUUAGGUAGGAAGGGAUCCCACAGCGGCCAAUUUGAAGGGAGACAACUAGUGCAAGUUAUCCUGACUAAAGGUGGUCUUCGCCUGCCAAAGGCUCUGGUGGUGACACCGUCUUGGGCUCCACGGUGACCUCCGUCCUACCGUCCUACUGGUCUUGGUCUUGUUGCACCAAUAUGGAAACCUUUGCCUGAUGCCUCGGGACUCCUCGCCUGCGCUUGCCUCUUUAGCACCAAAGAGGAAAUGAGGACACUGCGCGCCAUGGCGCCCGCCUGGUCACGGUCAUCAUGGCUUACGUCACAUGAACCUCGCGAGGUGCCCCUUGCCUUGAUCUCUCCGCUCCUCGCGAGCCAGCCUGGUGAGGCCAUUCCCGAGGAGGUCUUGCGUCGUCCGCCUCGUGAGGCUUGGCCCCUUGCAAGGGUCUUGAGUGUUUGCUGGUGAAGAUGGGCCGUACAGGGCCGCUGGUAGAGCCACACCAUGGGCCGUAGGCAGGCAAGUCUGGGGACUCCCGUUCCCAGGACGCCGACAGUAGCCCCCGGGCCCAAGGCGCGCUCGGACUUGGCUUCGAGGCGAAGCCAAGGGGCAAGUGCGGAGCGCCGCGGGCCCCAACAUCCUGCGGCCUUGGCUGAUGCACGACGAUUGAUGGGACGUGGGCAUCUUCGCUUCUCCAUGCAGCAUUGACAACUGCCCGACUUGACGAGUCCCGGCUGCAUGCAGAGAAAAAUCAUCAUUGCCUGUGAUCGUGGGGAUCGCCGGUUAGCCUUCUUCCGCUAUAAAUGAGGAGGGGGCGUAGCCCCCGUCUCUCAUCUCUUCCUGCUCCGCUCGCUUCCUCUCCCUUGCUUCAUUGCUGGUAGCGACACUCAUGGCGCCCGCGAAGAACUUCUCAGCUGCAGAAAAGGGGAAGGCCCACUGGGAGGGGCCCGGCUCAUCGCCGCCCAAGAGGGGACGCGGCCGCCCCCGCAAGCACACCGCGACCCUCGUCCUGGCCCCUCGCGGCCGCGGCGACGCCUCUUCGCGUGGGGGGAGUCACCCGGGUCGUGGCAGCCCCGUCGAUGAAGGGAGGCGCGCCAUGGUCGCGCGGCCUCCCCAGCCGUGCUUCCACUUAGCAGAGGUGCUGCCGGAGUUUGUCGUGUGGUCGGAGAACCCGGCCUGCACCUGGCUUUAGCUCCCACGCUUCUUCACCGGUGAGCUACCGGCCACGGGUCCAGGCGGGCUCUGGCUGCAGGCUGGCGGCUACUGCAGCAAGGCUUCGUCGGUCGCGGUGGAGGUCUCCGUCACGGGCAACGCAGCCUUGGCCCAUGGCUGGCAGACGUUUGCCCGCGCGCGCGGCCUGGGCAGGCGGUGCACCCUCCACUUCAAAUACGACGGCAACGCGACCCUCUACGUGAGGGUAUUCGUAGAAGAUGGCCGUCGCGUCGGGUGCUCCCCGAGGACAACGACGGCGGCGAGGUGCUCGGCCUUGGCGACGGUCGUGAUGAGGGUGAGUAUGGUAUUGCACUCGGCGCUUUCCGCUACUCUUCCUGCAAUGGUGACUCUUCUUCCGGCGAUAGCUCCAGCAGUGGCGGCUACGACCAGCCGCCGCGCCCGCUUCGAGGGUGGCAGCGGGUCAUCUCAUCGCCGUGCCCCAGUGAAGCGCGAGGAGGGGUCUGGCUGAGCCCAGGAGAGCGCCAUGGGCCCAUCCUCGCGAACUGCUACGGGAGCGCGCGCCAAUUUUGUUUCGUUCUUCCUUUUCUUCCUGCAUUAAGAGAGACAAGUAUGAGGCCCCGCAGGGGCGUGCAACGAACCAUGAUUUCCAAGUUGCUAUGCUAUGUUUAUCGUUCAUGUGUCGUGUUGCAGCAUCGACGUCUUAUGUAGGCGUGUAGAAAUAACUUAGCUUGACACGCUCGAAGUAGUUUCCGCCUUGUGAGGCGCGCAUUUCCCGGUACCUGGCGAGGCCUCCUUGGCUUGGGAGGCAUCUAGGAACUGCAAAAAUUCGUUAGGAAACUCUUGUUCUUUCGAGCCCUGCCGAGCCCUAGUUGCAGGCGCAGCCGGCCAUGACCCAGCGCUUCGCAUUGCGGUACCCGAGGGGCACGGAUUGAAAGAGUUGCGCUAGCUUGCAAGCUCGAGCGAGGGUGCCUCGCGAAGAACAGGAAAAACGCUCAUCAGGGCACCUGUCCAGCCCCCUCGCGAGGCAUGCAAGGUAGAGUACGGGUCAAAACAAGGAACCGAGGGCGAAAACGGAGGCAAAAGGAGAUGGAACCAAGCCGACAAGGAACACCAGAAAGCAAAUUUUCAUUAAAGAGGGGCAAACCAACUACGGAAAGCAAAUGAAAAGCCGUGUCCGGCACCUAGUCUAGUCUUCUCACCAGCACGGAGCUAAGUGCUGCCACUAGGACGUGGGAGGGAGCCCCCGAGGCCCGAGGGCGGCACUCCUGAGACUCUAGGGCGUGUACGACCCCACUCAUUAUUCCGUGAGAGUGUCACGAGCGGAGACCUUCACAGGCACUGGGCCUUGAUUUAUAGGCGUCGGGCCUUGCUUCAUGGGUAGAACUUCCGGAGGUGCUGGAUGCUCCAGCCAUUCUGGAUGGGGACCCCGUCCUGCGUCUCCAGGCGCACGGCGCCAGGCCUGGAGACGUGGGCGACCCCAAAUGGGCCCUCCCACAUGGGCGAGAGCUUGUGCAGCCCUUCCCAGGAGAGCACCCGCCCUAGGAAGAGGUCGCCCACCUCGAGUGUCCUGGAGCGGAUGCUGCGGCAGUGAUACCGCCGCAGCUCCUGCUGAUAUCUUGGUACUCGAAGCAUGGCUUCGCGGCGGCGUUCCUCCCCCAGCACAAGGUCCAUCCCCCGCAUGGCGUCCUGCUGCGUCUCAUCAAACGCCAGGACCCGCGUGGAGCGAUGCCUGACCUCAUGUGGGAGAACCGCUUCUGCUCCGUAGACGAGGAAGAACGGGGUCUCGCCCAUUGGCUUGCUGGCGGUGGUGUGGAUGGACCACAACACAGACUGGAGCUCAUCGUGCCAGCCCCUGCCGCAGGCCUUGAUACGUCUCCAACGUAUCUAUAAUUUUUUAUUGUUCCAUCCUAUUAUAUUAUCUGUUUUGGAUGUUUAUGGGCUUUAUUAAACACUUUUAUAUUAUUUUUGGGACUAACCUAUUAACCCAAAGCCCAGUGCCAGUUUCUGUUUUUCCCUUGUUCAGUGUUUCACAGAAAAGGAAUAUCAAACGGAGUCCAAACGUAAUGAAACCUUUGGGAGCGUGAUUUUUGGAACGAACAUGAUCCAGGAGACUUGGAGUUGAAAUAAAGGAAGCUUCGAGGUGGCCAGGAGGUAGGGAGGCACGCCUGCCACCCUGGGCACGCCCCCACCCUCGUGGGCCCCUCGUGGCUCCCCUGAUCAACUUCUUUCGCCUAUAUAUGUCCACAUACCCUAAAAACAUCGAGGAACAUAAUAGAUCGGAAGUUCUGCCGUCGCAAGCCUCUGUAGCCACCAAAAACCAAUCGGGACCCUGUUCCGGCACCCUGCCGGAGGGGGGAACCCUCACCGGUGGCCAUCUUCAUCAUCCCGGCACUCUCCAUGACGAGGAGGGAGUAGUUCACCCUCGGGGCUGAGGGUAUGUACCAGUAGCUAUGUGUUUGAUCUCUCUCUCUCGUGUUCUUGAGGUGAUACGAUCUUGAUGUACCGCGAGCUUUGCUAUUAUAGUUGGAUCUUAUGAUGUUUCUCCCCCUCUACUCUCUUGUAAUGGAUUGAGUUCUCCCUUUGAAGUUUUCUUAUCGGAUAGAGUCUUUAAGUAUUUGAGAACACUUGAUGUAUGUCUUGCCGUGCUUAUCUGUGGUGAAAAUGGGAUAUCACGUGAUCCACUUGAUGUAUGUUUGGGUGAUCAACUUGCGGGUUCCGCCCAUGAACCUAUGCAUAGGGGUUGGCACACGUUUUCGUCUUGACUCUCCGGUAGAAACUUUGGGGCACUCUUUGAAGUACUUUGUGUUGGUUGAAUAGAUGAAUCUGAGAUUGUGUGAUGCAUAUCAUAUAAUCAUACCCACGGAUACUCGAGGUGACAUUGUAGUAUCUAGGUGACAUUAGGGUUUUGGUUGAUUUGUGUCUUAAUGUGUUAUUCUUGUACGAACCCUAUGAUAGAUCGAACGGAAAGAAUAGCUUCGUGUUAUUUUACUACGGACUCUUGAAUAGAUAGAUUAGAAAGGAUAACUUUGAGGUGGUUUUGUACCCUUCCAUAAUCUCUUCGUUUGUUCUCCGCUAUUAGUGACUUUGGAGUGACUCUUUGUUGCAUGUUGAGGGAUUGUUAUAUGAUCCAAUUAUGUUAUUAUUGUUGAGAGAACUUGCACUAGUGAAAGUAUGAACCUUAGGCCUUGUUUCCUAGCAUUGCAAUACCGUUUACGCUCACUUUUAUCGCUAGCUACCUUGCUGUUUUUAUAUUUUCAGAUUACAAAAACCUAUAUCUACCAUCCAUAUUGCACUUGUAUCACCAUCUCUUCGCCGAACUAGUGCACCUAUACAAUUUACCAUUGUAUUGGGUGUGUUGGGGACACAAGAGACUCUUUGUUAUUUCGUUGCAGGGUUGCUUGAGAGAGACCAUCUUUUUAAUAUCUUUCGUGAGAAUGAUGGAAAGGAAAAUUGUGCUCAAGUGCUAGAAGAUGAAGUCUAUAAAAUGUUUGGCACUGAAUCUUUGAAUGAUGAGCAUGAUUGCAAUGUUGUUAGUAUGAAGUCUUUGAAUAUCCAUGGUACUAAUGAUGAUUGCAUUAUUCAUGAUGAAAAUGUUUCCUAUAAGCAUGUCGAUUUCUGUGGAGUGCAUAGAGUUUGCAAAUACAUACCAAAAAGGGAAGAUCGAUUUUGUAAGAGGCAUAAGUGUUUGGAAACUGAAUGGUUGCAAGAAAGGCUAGAUGUUUGUGCUGAAAAUUUAAACUUUCUUAGCCGUACUUUUGAACUUUGCAAUGAACGUGAUCAUUUCAGUACCCAAUGCAAAUUGUUUCAUGAUCGUAUCGUGUCCAAAAAUUGUGAUGACUUGAUUUCCCUUGCACAUCAUAAUGAACUUAGUCUGCUUUUGGGUUAUGAAGAAAUGAAAUGUCAAACUAAGCAUAUUCCAGAAUAUAACCUUGAGAAAUUCCUCGAUAUUGAUCUAGAAGAAAUUUAUAUGUAUUGUGCGGUCAAUUGCAUUGAAAAUCCUUAUAUUGCCAAUUACAUAAAGAAAAGAAAACAAAUAGAAGAUGAAGAGAAUACUAACGAAAGGGAACAGACUUCCCAAUAUUCUCCUAUUAUUUCUUAUGAUGAAUCAGGUAACGAGGAGGAGCCUUCUAUUCAACCAAUCUUAUUAAUAAGGAGCUCCAAAAAGAGGAUUGAACCCACACAUGAUGUGAAGAAGAAAAAUAAAAGACGGAGAAGCAAAGGUAGAAACGUAUCUCUCCCAAAUGAUGUUGCUCCUAUUACUCAUUGUGAUGAUGAUAAUUGAUAUACUAUUGGUGCUAUCCAUACUAUUAAUGAUGAGAGUGAUUAUGCUUAUGAUAUGAAAAGGCCCAAGCUUGGGGAUGCUAUGUUUGAUGAGAAUGACAUGUUUGAGAAUAUAUUUUCUGCAAUUAAUGUUUGUCCCAAGCAUGGGGAUGCUAUGUUUAAUGAAGAUGAUAUUUUUAGCCUCCCAAGUUUUGAUGAGCAAAUUUAUUAUGAUGAUAGCAUGCCUCCUAUUUGUGAUGAUUAUUGUGAUGACACUUAUGCUAUAAAGAGUAGUGAUGAUUCUAUUUAUAAAACUUGUCAUGAUUAUGAUUACCCCUUUUCUGAACAUUACUCUUUUAAUGUGGAAACAAUUUAUAGUAUUCAAGUCUCUUAUGAUACUCCCACUAUUCCGAAUGAGAAGAAUUUUGCUUAUGUGGAGUGUAAUAAAAUUUCUAUGCUUGUAGAUCAUGAAAAGAAUGCUUUAGGUGCUGGUUAUAUUGUUGAAUUAAUUCAUGAUGCUACUGAAAAUUAUUAUUAGGGAGGAACAUAUGCUUGUAGGAAUUGCAAUAAUAACAAGUUUCCUCUCUAUGUGCUUAAAAUCUUGAAGUUAUGCUUGUUUUACCUUCCUAUGCAAGUUGAUUCUUGUUCCCAUAAGUUGUUUGCUCACAAAAUCCCUAUGCAUAGGAAGUGGGGUUAGACUUAAAUGUGCUAGUCAUAUUCUUCAUGAUGCUCUAUUUAUGUUUCAAUUCUUAUCUUUUAUGCGAGCAUCAUUGAAAUCGCCAUGCCUAGCUAGGGGCGUUAAACUUUAGCGCUUGUUGGGAGGCAACCCAAUUUUUUAUUGUUGUUCUUUGCUUUUUGCUCCUGUUUAGUAAUGAAUAAAUCAUCUAGCCUCUGGAUAGAUGUGGUUUUAUGUUUUAAUUAGUGUUUGUGCCAAGUAAGACCUAUAGGAUCUUCUUGGAUGAUAGUUACUUGAUCUUGCUGAAAAUUCAAGAAACUUUCUAGUCACGAAAACAAUUGUUUAAAAUAACCAGAACGUGAUAAAAUACUGAUUCCAAUUGCAGUAGAUCAAUAGUCAAAUUAUAUAGGUCUUCCUAGUUUGGCAGAUUUUUCUGAGUUCCAUAAGUUUGCGUUUGAUACAGAUUACUACCGAUUGUUCUGUUUUUGACAGAUUCUGUUUUCUAUGUGUUGUUUGCUUAUUUUGAUGAAUCUAUGAGUAGUAUCGGAGGGUAUGAACCAUAGAGAAGUUGGAAUACAGUAGAUAUUACACCAAUACAAAUAAAGAAUGAGUUCAUUACAGUACCUUGAAGUGGUGUUUUGCUUUCUUUCGCUAACGGAGCUCACGAGAUCUUCUGUUAAGUUUUGUGUUGUGAAGUUUUCAAGUUUUGGGUAAAGAUUCGAUGGGCUAUGGAAUAAGGAGUGGAAAGAUCCUAAGCUUGGGGAUGCCCAAGGCAACCCAAGGUAAUAUUCAAGGAUAACCAAGAGCCUAAGCUUGGGGAUGCCCCGGUUGGCAUCCCCUCUUUCGUCUUCGUUCAUCGGUAACUUUACUUGGAGCUAUAUUUUUAUUCACCACAUGAUAUGUGUUUUGCUUGGAGCAUCAUUUUAUUUUCUUUUGUUUUGCUUGCUGUUUGAAUAAAAUACCAAGAUCUGAAAUUCUUAAAUGUUAAACAGUCUUCACAUAGUUACAUAAUUAUUCAACUACUCAUUGAUCUUCACUUAUAUCUUUUCGGAGUAGUUUGUCGUUUGCUCUAGUGCUUCACUUAUAUCCUUUUAGAGCACGGCAGUGGCUUUAUUUUGAAGAAAUAUAUGAACUCUCAUGAUUCACUUAUAUUAUGUUGAGAGUCGUUAGAACAGCAUGGUAAUUUUCUUUGGUUAUGAAUUUAGUCCUAAUAUGAUGGGAAUCCAAGAGGGACAUAAUAAAAAUUUACAUAUAAAGUGCAUUGAAUACUAUGAGAAGUUUGAUUCUUUAUGAUUGUUUUGAGAUAUGAAGAUGGUGAUAUUGGAGUCAUGCUAGUUGAGUCAUUGUGAAUUUGAGAGAUACUUGUGUUAAAGUUUGUGAUUCCCGUAGCAUGCACGUAUGGUGAACCGUUAUGUGAUGAAGUCGGAGCAUGAUUUAUUUAUUGAUUGUCUUCCUUAUGAGUGGCGGUCGGGGACGAGCGAUGGUAUUUUCCUACCAAUCUAUCCCCCUAGGAGCAUGCGCAUAGUACUUUGUUUCGAUAACUAAUAGAUUUUUGCAAUAAGUAUGUGAGUUCUUUAUGACUAAUGUUGAGUCCAUGGAUUAUACGCACUCUCACCCUUCCACCAUUGCUAGCCUCUCUAAUACCGUGCACCUUUCGCUGGUAUCAUACACCCACCAUAUACCUUCCUCAAAACAGCCACCAUACCUACCUAUUAUGGCAUUUCCAUAGCCAUUCAGAGAUAUAUUGCCAUGCAACUUACCACCGUUCCGUUUAUUAUGACACGCUCCAUCAUUGUCAUAUUGCUUUGCAUGAUCAUGUAGUUGACAUCGUAUUUGUGGCAAAGCCACCGUUCAUAAUUCUUUCAUACAUGUCACUCUUGAUUCAUUGCACAUCCCGGUACACCGCCGGAGGCAUUCAUAUAGAGUCAUAUUUUUGUUCUAAGUAUUGAGUUGUAAUCCUUGAGUUAUAACUAAAUAAAAGUGUGAUGAUAAUCAUUAUUAGAGCAUUGUCCCAGUGAGGAAAGGAUGAUGGAGACUAUGAUUCCCCCACAAGUUGGGAUGAGACUCUGGACUAAAAUAAAAAAAUGAGGGAAAAAGAGAGAAGGGAUAAUGCUACUAUCCUUUUACAACACUUGUGCUUCAAAGUAGCACCAUGAUCUUCAUGAUAGAGAGUCUCCUAUGUUGUCACUUUCAUAUACUAGUGGGAAUUUGUCAUUAUAGAACUUGGCUUGUAUAUUCCAAUGAUGGGCUUCCUCAAAUUGCCCUAGGUCUUCGUGAGCAAGCGAGUUGGAUGCACACCCACUUAGUUUCUUUUGUUGAGCUUCCAUACACUUAUAGCUCUAGUGCAUCUGUUGCAUGGCAAUCCCUACUCACUCACAUUGGUAUCUAUUGAUGGGCAUCUCCAUAGCCCGUUGAUACGCCUAGUUGAUGUGAGACUAUCUUCUCCUUUUUGUCUUCUCCACAACCACCAUUCUAUUCACCUAUAGUGCUAUCUCCAUGGCUCACGCUCAUGUAUUGUGUGAAAGUUGAAAAGGUUUGAGAACAUCAAAAGUAUGAAACAAUUUCUUGGCUUGUCAUCGGGGUUGUGCAUGAUUUAAAUAUUUUGUGUGAUGAAGAUAGAGCAUAGCCAGACUAUAUGAUUUUGUAGGGAUAACUUUCUUUGGCCAUGUUAUUUUGAGAAGACAUGAUUGCUUUGUUAGUAUGCUUGAAGUAUUAUUGUUUUCAUGUCAAUAUUGAACUAUUAUCUUGAAUCUUAUGGAUCUGAAUAUUCUUGCCACAAUAAAGAUAAUUACAUGGAUAAAUAUGUUAGGUAGCAUUCCACAUCAAAAAUUCUAUUUUUCUCAUUUACCUACUCGAGAACGAGCAGGAAUUGAGCUUGGGGAUGCUGAUACGUCUCCAACGUAUCUAUAAUUUUUGAUUGUUCCAUGCUAUUAUAUUAUCUGUUUUGGAUGUUUAUGGGCUUUAUUAAACACUUUUAUAUUAUUUUUGGGACUAACCUAUUAACACAGAGCCCAGUGCCGGUUUCUGUUUUUUCCCUUGUUUAAGUGUUUCGCAGAAAAGGAAUAUCAAACGGAGUCCAAACGUAAUGAAACCUUUGGGAGCGUGAUUUUUGGAACGAACGUGAUCCAGGAGACUUGCAGUUGAAGUAAAGGAAGCUUCGAGGUGGCCACGAGGUAGGGAGGCGCGCCUACCCCCCUGGGCGCGCCCCCACCCUCAAGGGCCCCUCGUGGCUCCCCUGACCGACUUCUUUCGCCUAUAUAUGUCCACAUACCCAAAAACAUCAAGGAACAUAAUAGAUCGGGAGUUCCGCCGCCGCAAGCCUCUAUAGCCACCAAAAACCAAUCGGGACCCUGUUCCAGCACCCUGCUGGAGGGGGGAACCCUCACCGGUGGCCAUCUUCGUCAUCCCGGCGUGCUCCAUGACGAGGAGGGAGUAGUUCACCCACGGGGCUGAGGGUAUGUACCAGUAGCUAUGUGUUUGAUCUCUCUCUCUCUCUCGUGUUCUUGAGGUGAUACGAUCUUGAUGUACCGCGAGCUUUGCUAUUAUAGUUGGAUCUUAUAAUGUUUCUCCCCCUCUACUCUCUUGUAAUGGAUUGAGUUUUCCCUUUGAAGUUGUCUUAUCGUAUUGAGUCUUUAAGGAUUUGAGAACACUGGAUGUAUGUCUUGUCGUGCUUAUCUGUGGUGACAAUGGGAUAUCACGUGAUCGACUUGAUGUAUGUUUUGGUGAUCAACUUGCGGGUUCCGCCCAUGAACCUAUGCAUAGGGGUUGGCACACGUUUUCGUCUUGACUCUCCGGUAGAAACUUUGGGGCACUCUUUGAAGUACUUUGUGUUGGUUGAAUAGAUGAAUCUGAGAUUGUGUGAUGCAUAUCGUAUAAUCAUACCCACGGAUACUCGAGGUGACAUUGGAGUAUCUAGGUGACAUUAGGGUUUUGGUUGAUUUGUGUCUUAAGGUGUUAUUCUAGUACAAACUCUAUGAUAGAUCGAACGGAAAGAAUAGCUUCGUGUUAUUUUACUAUGGACUCUUGAAUAGAUAGAUCAGAAAUGAUAACUUUGAGGUGGUUUCGUACCGUACCAUAAUCACUUCGUUUGUUCUCCGCUAUUAGUGACUUUGGAGUGACUCUUUGUUGCAUGUUGAGGGAUUGUUAUAUGAUCCAAUUAUGUUAUUAUUGUUGAGAGAACUUGCACUAGUGAAAGUAUGAACCUUAGGCCUUGUUUCCUAGCAUUGCAAUACCGUUUACGCUCACUUUUAUCGCUAUCUACCUUGCUGUUUUUAUAUUUUCAGAUUACAAAAACCUAUAUCUACCAUCCAUAUUGCACUUGUAUCACCAUCUCUUCGCCGAACUAGUGCACCUAUACAAUUUACCAUUGUAUUGGGUGUGUUGGGGACACAAGAGACUCUUUGUUAUCUGGUUGCAGGGUUGCUUGAGAGAGACCAUCUUCAUCCUACGCCUCCCAUGGAUUGAUAAACCUUAGGUCAUCCACUUGAGGCAAAUUUGCUACUGUCCUAUAAACCUCUGCACUUGGAGGCCCAACAACGUCUACAAGAACAAGGUUGCAUAGUAGACAUCAGGCCUCGAGCUUCUUCUUGAAGGUCCUGGUCUUGAGGCCUCUCAGGACCUCCGCGUUGGCGCGUUCGGCUUGACCGUUGCUCCUAGGGUGUGCCACUGAAGCAUAGCAGAUCUGCGUUCAAAUGUUAGCACAAUAUGUCUUGAAUAGAUUGCUAGUGAACUGUGAGCCGUUGUCAGUGAUGAUAUGAUUAGGGACCCCGAACCGGCUUACGAGGCCCUUGAUGAACUUGACCGCAAAUCCGGCCAGGAUGGUGCGAACAGCUUCUACCUCCGCCCAUUUGGUGAAUUUGUCGAUGGCGACGUAGAGGUAGCGGUAGCCCCCAGGCGCUCGAGGGAAGGGGCCCAAGAUAUCCAGUCCCCAGACUGCGAAUGGCCACGAGUGCGGGAUGGUAUGGAGGCCCUGAGCUGGCUAAUGGAUCUCUUUAGCGUGGAAUUGACAGGCCUUGCAGGACUUCACCAGCUCAGUCGCGUCGUUGUGCGCCGUAGGCCACUAGAACCCGCUGCGGAACGCCUUGCCGACGAGGGUUCGUGACGACGAGUGGUGCCACCAGUCUCCGCCGUGUAUGUCAUCUAGCAACUCUUUCCCCUGUUCCCUGGAGAUACAACGCAGGGAAACGUCAUUCGGCCGCUUCCUGUAUAACUCACCGUCCUGGAUGCAGUACGCCGUCGCCUAUCGGGCCACGCACUCCGCGUCCUCCUCUUUCUCCGGCAGCGUCCCCUGCGUCAGGUAUUCCUUGAACUCCUUGGUCCAGCACCCCUCCUGAGGCUCGAGCGCCAAGAGUAGGCGCGCUCCCGAGGUCGGGCCUCAGGCCGGGGCUGUCAAAGCAGGUGGCUGAGGGAGCUCCUCCGGAGGCAGCGCCGGCCUCGAGAGCGGAGGUGCUGCCGACGGCUUGAAGAGCCGCUCCUCGAAGACGCCAGGCUCUUGGGGUAGUCGCUUAGAUGCUCUCUUGGUGAUGUCAUCGGCCUCCUUGUUUGUGUCACGGGGCACGUGCUGCAAUUCUAGGCCCAAGAACUGCUUUUCCAUUUUGCGUACCUCCGCGAGGUAUGCCUCGAUGUGCUCGUCCCUUGGCUCGUAUACCUUGUUGGAGAAGUUGACGAGAAGCUGCGAGUCACCUCUGAUGGUGAGGCGCUUCACCCCCAGGGCCACCGCAGCCUUUAGGCCAGCUAUGAGGCCUUCGUGCUCCACUAUGUUGUUGGAGACCUUCUUGCCUUGCUGGAAGCAGAGCUGCACGGCAUAGUAGAGCUUGUCAUGAGUGGGCGAGAUGAGUACUGCUCCAACCCCCGCGCCCUGGCGCGCAAAUGCGCCAUUGAAAUACAUAACCCAGUCGACUAGCGCUUCACUUCCCGGCGAGAGGGAUCAAUCCUUGCCUGCUUCAAGCCCCGGGGCGUCCGUCCAUUCUGCCACGAAGUUGGCGAGCGCGGCUCCCUUGAUGACCCUGGUUGUGCUGAACUCCAGCUGGAAUGACUGCAGCUCGAUAUUCCACUUGGCGAGUCUUCCUGCAGCGUUGGCGCUCCUGAGUACCCUCUCCAGUGGGUAGGCCGAGACGACCUUGAUUGGGUGACCUUGAAAGUAGUGUCGUAGCUUACGCGAGGCCACCAAGAGCCUGAACAAGAGCUUCUGAGGUAUGGGGUACCGUGCCCUUGCAUCCCGCAGUACCGUGCUGACAAAAUACACUGGGUGCUCGACGAGGGCGGGUGCGUCGACAGGGCCUACGUCUGUCGGAGGUUGAGGCGCCUCCUGAGGCGAUGGAACCCCCGGAGCCUGGUCGCUCAUUGGGGCCUCUGCAGGCCCAAGGUUGCCAUCUUGCUGAGCCUGGUCAUCCAUUGGCGUCGCUGCAGCCCUUGCGGUGCCCUCCGGGUCUUGUAUCGCCCCGGCCGGGGGCGUGGCUCGGCGCGACGAAUCCUUGGCCUAGCGUUCUUCUCGGACCGCCACCAGAGCUGCGCUGGCGGAGUAAGGAGUGGCGGCAAGGUAAAGCACUAGGGGCUCGAGUGGGCGGGGUGGCACCAUCACCGGAGGGCUGGUCAGGUAUCUCUUGAGGUCUUGAAACGCUUGGUCAGCCUCCGGGGUCCACUCAAAUGGGCCCUUCUUCUUCAUCGGCUUGAAGAACGGUAGGGCGCGCUCUCCCAGCUUGGAGAUGAAGCGUCCUAGCAAAGUCACGCAGCCGGCAAGCUUCUACAUCUUCUUGAGGGUUUGCGGUGGGCUCAUGUCUUCGAUCGCCUUGACCUUCUCCGGGUUGGCCUCGAUCCCCCUGUGGGACACAAGGAAGCCCAGCAGCUUGCCGGAGGGGACACCAAAUACACACUUCUUUGGGUUGAGCCGCAAGUCUACCUGGCGCAGGCUCGCGAAGGUCUCCUCCAGGUCCUGAAUCAAAGUCCUCGCUUCCCGAGACUUUACCACAAUGUCGUCGACGUAGGAUUCAGCGUUCCUCCCAAGAUGCUGACCCAGGGCGAUGUGCAUCAGCCGUUGGAAGGUCGCGCCUGCGUUGCGCAGCCCGAACAGCAUGCAAGUGUAGCAGUACACCCUGCACGGGGUCAGGAAGGCCGUCUUCUCCACAUCCUCUACCACCAUCUAGAUCUGGUGAUAGCCCGAAAACGCAUCCAGGAAGCAUAGCAUGUCGCACUCGGUGGUGGAGUCAACGAUCUGGUCGAUGCGUGGAAGCGGGAACAGAUCUUGGGGACAGGCCUUGUUGAGGUUGGUGAAGUCGACACACAUGCGCUCCUUCCCACCUUUCUUUGGCACAACGACGGGGUUCGCCAGCCACUCGGGGUACCGAACCUCGCGAAUGAUACCUGCUGCUCCAUCUUGCGGGUUUCCUUGACGAUGAAGGCUUGCUUCUCCGUGGACUGUCGCCGCGCCUUCUCCUUCACAGGGCGCACAUUGGGGCACACCCUCAAGUGAUGCUCGAUCACCCCUCUUGGGACCCCUGCCAGCUGUUUGGGCUCCCAGGCGAAUACUUCCCUGUUUGCGCGCAAGAACUUCACCAAUGCCUCCUCUUGAUCCCGGUCGAGGUUGGCACCUAUGGUGAAGGUGGCUUCCGAGGACCCAUCUUCCUCGACCGGCACCUGCUUGGUUUUUGCCCGAUCUUGAGUGAACAACUGCUUCUUCUUAGCUGGUGCGGCCUCCUUAACUCAGGAGAUGGCCUCGUCGGCCGGUCAAGCUACCGCGGCGGUUUUGAGGGCAAGCUUGAGCGCUACCAGAGCUUCCUUGGUAUCCCCAACUAUGAUGAGGACGUCCUUGCUCCCGGGCAUAUUCAUGAGGUUGUAGGCCGGAUGUGUUGCCGCCAUAAACUGAGCCAGAGCCGGGUACCUGAGGAUGGCGUUGUAUGAUACGUCUCCAACGUAUCCAUAAUUUAUGAAGUAUUCAUGCUAUUAUAUUAUCCAUCUUGGACGUUUAAUGGGCUUUACUAUGCACUUUUAUAUUACUUUUGGGACUAACCUAUUGACCCAGAGCCCAGUGCUAGUUUCUGUUUUUUCCCUUGUUUCAGUGUUCCGCAGAAAAGGAAUAUCAAACGGAGUCCAAACGGAAUGAAACCUUCGGAAAAGUUAUUUUUGGAAAGAAAGCAAUACGAGAGACUUGGAGUGCAUGUCAGGGGAUCAACAAGGAGAGCACGAGCCAGGGGGGCGCGCCCACCCCCCUGGGCGCGCCCUAAACCCUCGUGGGCCCCUCGUGGCUCCCCUUACCGACUUCUUUCACCUAUAUAUUCCCAUAUACUCUAAAACCUUCGGGGAAAAGAAAAGAUCGGGAGUUCCGGCGCCGCAAGCCUCUGUAGCCACCAAAAACCAAUCGGGACUCUGUUCCGGCACCCUGCCGGAGGGGGAUCCCUCACUGGUGGCCAUCUUCAUCAUCCCGUUGCUCUCCAUGACGAGGAGGGAAUAGUUCACCCUCGGGGCUGAGGGUAUGUACUAGUAGCUAUGUGUUUGAUCUCUCUCUCUCUCGUGUUCUUGAGGUGGUACGAUCUUGAUGUAUCGCGAGCUUUGCUAUUAUAGUUGGAUCUUAUGAUGUUUCUCGCCCUCUACUCUCUUGUGAUGAAUUGAGUUUUCCCCUUGAAGUUGUCUUGUCGGAUUGAGUCUUUAAGGAUUUCAGAACACUUGAUGUAUGUCUUGCUGUGCGUAUUUGUGGUGACAAUGGGAUAUCACGUGAUUCACUUGAUGUAUGUUUUGGUGAUCAACUUGCGGGUUCCGCCCAUGAACCUAUGCAUAGGGGUUGGCACAUGUUUUCGUCUUGACUCUCCGGUAGAAACUUUGGGGCACUCUUUGAAGUUCUUUGUGUUGGUUGAAUAGAUGAAUCUGAGAUUGUGUGAUGCAUAUCGUAUAAUCAUACCUAGGGAUACUUGAGGUGACAUUGGAGUAUCUAGGUGACAUUAGGGUUUUGGUUGAUUUUUAUGUUAAGCUGUUAUUGUAGUACGAACUCUAUGAUAGAUCGAACGGAAAGAAUAGCUUCGUGUUAUUUUACUACGGACUCUUGAAUAGAUCGAUCAGAAAGGAUAACUUCACUACAAAAAAAAGACACAUCCGUAACAUUUUAGCCGAACGAAAUAUUUUUUUGUCAUACAUAUGACACUUCUAUGACGAUAAUUGUGACAAAACCCGGUAUCAUCAUAGAUGUGGUGGGCUCCUACUUCUAUGACAAAAAUGGGCUUUUCGUCCUGGGCGGGCCGGAGACGCACCUGCAUGACAUUCUUUGGGCCGUCCAUGACGGAAAAAACCGUGGUAGAAGCGAGGGCGAGGAAAAUUUCGGGGAGUUCCCGGUUACGGUGGGAGGUCGGGGGCCGAGCGAUGUGUGUUUCUCUCGUACACGUACGCGCGUGUGUGUGAGGCAUUGGCUCUAACUGAACCCGAGCGAGGCGUUGGGCUCUAACUGAACCCGAAUUGCACUGUAGGCUACGCGUUACUGAACCCGAGCGAUCGAUCGAUGGCUGUUAACUAAACCCGAUCGAGCGAUUCCUUCGCUACAGCUGCUAACUGAAGCCGAUCGAUGCAGCCUCUGGAUGAAUAGUGAGCAUUGCUGGGGGGGUUUGGAUGAACGGUUCCCGGUGGGGGUGGAUGAACAGGACCCCGUGGUGUUGCCUCUGGAUGAACAGGACCCCGAUUGAUCGAGCCGGUUGGGGCUGCAUGAACAGGACCCUGUGGAGGGCAGGAUGAACAGGACCACCCCGUGGAGGGCAGAAUGAACAGUAGACGGUGGAGGGCUGGAUGAAUAGUAGCCCGUGGAGGGGUGGUUGAACAGGAGCCCGUGGAGAGGGCUGGUUGAACAGUAGCCGGUGGAGUAGCGCGCGGUGGAGGCUGGAUGAACAGGAGCCCGUGGAUGAACAAUCGCAGGUGGAGGCUGGAGGAGAUCGACGGUGGAUGAACAGUAGCCCGUGGAGGCUGGAGGGGGUCGACGGUGGAGAUGAACAGUAUCCCGUGGAGUCCUGUUUUGCGGUACGCCACACCCAUUCCGAUGAACAGGACCCCCGUUUCGACCGUAGCGCUCCAACACAAGUCCGUUUCCUCCGUUUUGCGGUGCGCCACACCCCUCCCGAUCAACAGGACCCCCGUUUCGACCGUAAGAGGUCCGUUUCCUCCGUUUUGCGGUACGCUAGACCCCUCCCGAUGAAUAGGAUCCCAUUUCAAACGUGGCUGGUCGAACACAAGGCCGUUUCCUCCGUUCUGCGGUACGCUAGGCCUCGUUUCCAUCGGCUAUUCCGUCCAAGCCCUCCCGAUGAACACGACGACGCAUUCCGUUCCGACCCAGCCUGUUGGCUCCCCAUGAACACGACGACGACGCUGUGUCUCCGUUCCGACCUAGCCAUGUACACGAGCCCUAGCCGUACAUAUGCGCGAGUAGGCGUUCGAGACCCUGCCCGUAUGUACGUACGUGGCCGUAUUUUCUUUCUUGCACACUGGCCGCUGUACGUACGUGUACAUGCUACGUGCGCGCCUCUACUAUGACACGUGCGUGCCUCUACAUCCACCAGUAUAUAUGUACGUACACGUUCGUGACCAGAAUGACAACGCUACGUACGCUUCGACCAGGUGGGUCCCGACUGUCAAGCACUUCCUUGCCUGUGAACAUGUUGCUGGUGGGUCCCAGCAGUCAGGGGGCGAAUCGUUUUUAUUGCCCGGACGCACUUCCUUGCGUGCGAAGAUGUAGCUGGUGGGUCCCAGCAGUCAGGGGGAAACGUUUUUUUCGCGAAAUACAGUAGCCCGUCGAGUGGGUCCCAGCUGUCAGGUGGAGGAAUCAUUAUUUUCCGCGUAAUAAGGAGGCACUUCCUUGCUGCGGCCGUGGACCCAGCUGUCCGCCUCUCCACGUACAGUCCACGUCCGAUGGAAGUCGUUCCUUGACCAUGUUGACCACGCCGCGCCGAGAGCACCAGGGCGGUGGACGACGGCGAGGCCUAGGAAGGGGACGAAGGGGAGCCGGGGAAGACGCGGCAAUGGAAGCCCGCGCAGAGAGGAGUACGAGGGUUCACUGGUUCGGCUGCGGUGUGAGGCUGCCGUCGCCGUAGGGCCUGGCCAGCGGUGGGAAUAGUAGGGGGCAGUGAGGCCUCCGCGGCAGCACAGCCGGCCACAGGAGGCAGGAGCAUGCCGCACGACCGGCGCUGCUUUGGGCGGCUGGAGCAAGAAGACCAGAGGUUGAAGAAGCACUACGGCCGUUGGAUGGACAUCGUACGGUCACUGGAGCUAGAAUGGUUCAUAUUGACUAAAGUUGACAAAGGCCCCCGUCCCAGUCAACAUAGUAGGCCCACAAGUCAGCCUCCCACCAUGGUGGGUCCCAGCUAGUAGGGGAGUAUUCAUUUUUUUUGUGCGUAAUAAGGAGGCACUUCCUUGCGUGCAAAGAUAUAGUUGGUGGGUCCGAGCUGUCAGCGGCGGUAACGUUUUUUCGAGAAAUACAGAGGCCCUUUCGGUGGGUCCCUGAUGUCAGGUAGAGGAAUCAUUAUUUUGCGCGUAAUAAGGAGGCAUUUCCUUGCGUGCGGCCGUGGACCCAGCUGUCGGCCUCUCCACGUACAGUCCACUUCAGAUGCAUGUCGGUCGUUGACCAUGUUGACCAGGCCAUGCCGAGAGCACCAGCGCGGUGGACGACGGCGAGGCCUAGGAAGGGAAUGACACGGAGGCAGGGAAGACUCGGCAGUUGUUUCCCACGCGGAGGGGAGUACGACUGUAUGAGGGUUUACUGGUUCGUCUGCCGUCGCCAGAGAAUAACAGCAGGUGUGGGUGAGUAGAGGGAUGGCUAGGCCAGCGAUGGGACUACGAUGGGGCAGUGAGGCCUGCGCGGCGGCAGAGCCGGCCGCGGGGUGGAGGGAGCAGGUAGUCCCACCGGCGCUUGUUUGAGCGGCUGGAGCAGGAAGAGCAGAGAUUGAAGAAGCACGACGGCCGUUGGAUGGCCAUCCAACAGUCACUGCUUGUGCGUCAACCUUUUUUUAGGAAAGCCUCAAAUCUGUGGAAAAUAGCAUACAACCGAUCCGCCAUUAUUUCUAAUAAUUUACAGCCCAUUUGCUAAUUCUGAAGGUUUCUUUUGGAGCCCAUAUUCUUUUUCUUAGCAUUACAGCCCAUAUUGUGGCCACGGUUAAAAAAUUAUACGAAAUGUUGCAUGUUUCGGUGCGGUCCGAACUGUUUUUAAUCCCGAAAUUUCGAGUCACAUUCAAACUGAUUUUAAAAAUAAAUGUAUAUCAAUAUAAAAUCCAACAAAUUGUCCACGCAUAAAAAUUAAUGCAAUUUAAAAUCUUGAAAUGAAAUAAAUAAAUUUGAAAGUAAUUGCUGGUUUGAUGUGUUUUAAAAAUGUACAACCCAUUUCUCAUUACUGAUAGGCCAUUUUCUCGUCCAGCCGAAUGAAGCUCUCCUUGUCUUGAAAGAUUUGCAGCCCAAUAGGCCUGACAAAGCGACUUACUUGGCAAGUCACAAAAAAACUGGGCUAGCCAUUUUCAGAAAGAAAAAAACUACUAGGCUGGUCUGUGGUAAACAUAAAAGAGAAGGCUGUCUAGACAUGCCAGAGUGCCCCGCACAGCCCAGUUGACACCCUGCUUCCGUCUCAAAAACAAAUUAGAUAAAUGCCACAACAAAUAUGGCGAUUCAUAAAAAUUCCACUGCAAUUUCCAAACUUUGAAAAAUGCCACUGCAAUUUUUGCAAACUUUGGAGAACGCCACUGCAAUUUGCAAACUUUGAAAAACGCCACUCCAGACUUCGAAAAAUGCCACUGGGGAUGGCAUGAAAUGGCAUUUUUCAAAGUUUGGAAAUUGCAAUGGAAUUUCUUAGGAACACCAGAUUUGGAGUGGCAUUUAUCAAAUUAACCCAAAACAAAAAUGACUGGGCGAGCUGCUGGGUCCCUGAUGUCAGCCGCUCGUUGUGCAACUCUCUCGUUUAUUGACUACGUUGACAAUUGCAUGGGACCCAGAUGUUAGAAAUCCAUUACGAGGAGCCAUUUUUUUAUUGGAUUGAAAUAAGGAGGCACUUUGCUUGCGUACUGCCAUGACCUUGGCGGGUCCCUGCUGUCAUCCUCUCCGCGUACAAUCAUCUCCUGGUUGUGUACGCGUCAACAUGGUAGGCCCACAAGUCAGCCUCUAAACCCGUGGAGGACAAAUACAACCCAUUAAAAAAAAUAACAGCCCAUUCCAUUUGUUCAAACGGAAAGUUCAACAUUCAGAGCAAAGUAACAGGUCUGAUACACAUAUAGAGUACUGAACUUCCACGUUGACAACCAUCAUAGCCAUGUUAACUAUCUACUUCCACUAAUACUCUAGUAGCAUACAAGUACUAACUAACUCUUAGCUAACUAGACGAUGCCGGCCGCCAUCUGCGGUACACGCUAAACGCCGGCACCGGCAUCCUCCGCCUCGCCUCAGACUUGCCAGAGGUGCGAUAGGGCGCGUUGCUCGCGCGCGUUGGCCCUUUCCAUGCCAGCGUGGUCCAACGAAGCUUCGGCUUCUAAGCGGGAAACCCACUUGACGAGCUGGUAGUAAAAAUCGGCGUCGCGAACGUGUGCGUGCCCGACAGCCUCCAGGGCUAUUUGCCGGGCGCCAGCCUCCACGUAGUCGGCCCACGUGCGGGCACUCUGCUCGCGACUCAGAGCGUCGGUGCGCUGCUGCUCCAUGUCCCGCUGGCGGCACAAAUCGGCGAUACGCUGCUCAUCCGCCAAGCGGUCGCGCUCCAACAACUCCUGCUCCUCCGCCAGGCGGUCGCGCUCCAACAAGUCCUCGAUCUCCACAUUGCCACCUAAAGACCGAUAGAAUGCCUCCUCCCUCCGUCUGCCUUCCGGUGAAAAACCGAACACUAGUUCCGACGGUGACCGCCUCCGGCCACGCCUAUCGCGGACGGGCGGGGGCAUGGCGGACGUGGCGAGAGCGAGGAUAAGUGGCGAGCAACGUCGGGCCGGUGGGGGCUUAUGAGGUUAGGGUGAGUUGGGUCACGGUGCCACCAUAGAAGGCCGAGAAACAGUACUUAUAAGCGAAAGGUAGUGCGACGGUCAUCGGAAUUCAAUGCAUAAUGAAGCAGGCAUGGCUUAGCGCGCUAGCUUGCCGUGGAAAACUAGAGAAACUGAAAUUCUGACUGUGCCGUCCUGUCCCGUCUGUGCUGGGUCGCACGCCGGCCUUACGAUCAAAUGAGUGCACUCGAAUCAUCUCCCUCCUUGUCAAUAAUGAUUCCACGGAUUUAAAAGGCCUGCAACAAUUAAAGCGCAUCUUUUUCGCAUCAGUUAGCUGCCUUAAUUACGGUCGGCUGCAUGCGGGCACUCAAAAUCGCUCGCAGCCAGUACGCAGAGCUGCAUGCAACGAGUCGCAGCCGAGGGCAUUAGUUGAUGAACUUUAGCUGGGAGAUAAGGGCAUUUGCGAACGUUUUUGCUAGCAGUUUCUUUAGAUUCGCAUGGCAUUUUCUUCAGAGCAGCUUGUCAGUUUCUUUAGAGGUAGGCAUUUCUAUUCAAAAAACUGCCCCUUCGGAUCUUGCGUCGCAACUAAAACAGCCAGGAGCGCAUUAGUAGGCUAGCUAGUGAUCGAUCGGUAACUUGUAAACACUGAGCGAACAGAUAUAAGGAACUGUUAAUGCAUCUCAAUGAUUCACAGAUCAUAUACAAAUAUGUAGCUCCAAAAGCAAAGAUCAACCACAACUAAAACCAACUAGUACGAUUCCCAUACAUAAGAUCAACAUGUUAAUGCAUCUCAAUGAUUCACAGAUCAUAUACAAAUAUGUAGCUCCAAAAGCAAAGAUCUAGAAAAAACAUAUGUUCUUCCUACUAACAUGGAUGCUUCUCUUGGCCAACAUUCAGUACAGACUGAAUGACAAAUUUGUUUGUGAAGUCUACAAUUCCUCUUGCAAACGUAAGUGGUUUCACCAACAGCUGGAACCAUGGGAAUGAACCACACAUGAUGGAGGAACAUCCACUGCAAUAUGAUUUGGUCUUCUCUUGAUCACACGGCGAGACUAUUUUCGGAAUACAAACUUUAACUUAGGCAAAAUGAUGCCCAUUGUAUAAUCAGGCCAAAGCAAUGAAGCACCUAGUGUUGGCCAGAAAAUUGCUAUCCCAAUCUUGAUAAUCGAUCAAACAUAAAAACUUGAUCGAAUGAAUCAAGAGAGCAGCCGGAGGAGGAGGUGCCCACUCUUAACCUUUCCUCUUGUCUUCAUAAUUUUUUGUGCAGUUUAACCAAAAUAAAAUGACAUCAGCGCCUUGGCAUUUUGGUGACACUGUACAAAAAAAUUAACUUAUCUCAUGAAAGUGAGGUAUGUAAUCUAUAAGCAUUAACAGUGCAAAAAUCUGAAGGUAGUAACAAGUUUCAUCGUUGGUAUACUGGCUGUGCAACAUCAUUAGAAUGCCUUAGUUGAAAAAUCUUUAAUACAUCCACAAUCAACAGCUAACCCUGAAAUAAUCCAGUGACAUUAAAUGGCAUUGCUUAAAUUUACCGGUGGCAUUAGACUGAGUGUGGCAUUAGUUAAAUGUGGCAUCACUUUAGCAGUAGCAUUGCUUGACUUGACUGCUGGCGUUAUACUAACAGCAAAAAAAGUUAGACUAAGAGCAUGCGAGGCCCAUUCGGACAGUGGGCGCACCAGUACGAUGUACCUCCACGGACGCAUAGAGUGGUGAGGGAGGUAUGGUUGCCUAGAGCAACAAAUAUCCAGGCAGCAUAUGUGGAUUACGUCCCAUUUUUGUUAUGUUUAGCCACCUUUUUCCUAUGUGAGGACAACAAACCGAUCGACCUGGUCAUUCUCUAUUGCGUUGUCAUGCCUUUCUACCCUUCUUCAACCAAGAGACACGAGACUCGUUCCUUAGCUACUGAUUUUCCCCUUCUCAACCUAGAUGCGGGUUCGAUGCCUACUCUCUUGGACAGUACAGCCUCCCUUCCUUUCCUUAUUCAACCCAGACAUGGAUUAGUCUGUAUGAAGUAGGGCUUCCUUUAAUAGUGAAAUUAAGGUUUUCGUCUGCGUGACCAGCAGAGCAGAGGAUAGCAAAUUGGGAAGAUGGUGGAGUGGAAAAAGAUCCACAUGCAGCGACAUGGCAGAUGGGGCAACAGAACAAGGGUAUGGUUCGAAAAGAGGUAGCAUACCUGAGGGUCGGCGGGCGCUAGAUCUGAGAGGACGGCCUUGUCGUCAGUGCGUGACCUCGCUCGCCGACGACGAGUGCAUCAACACUGCACGUCCUUCUCUUCCCCGGCGGAUCUGUGACCACCGGUGAGGAGGGAGAGAGAGGCCGUCUUUUUUAGAUCUGGAGAGAGGGUGAUAGUGUGAGAAGCAAGUGGACAGCUCUUAGCAAGAAAGCUCUGAAGCUCCAGCCUAUAUAUCUUUUUUAUACUACUAGUACUAGAGGUGGAGUAGUGGUAGAGUAGUUUAUAUUUUCUCUGCAAACAGUACCAGUUCUUCAUGCUUCAAAACUGAAAGGCACACCAUUAAAAAAAUAAAGUCGAGAAAUAAUGCGGCACCUCAGGCCAACGCGGCCAGAUCGCAUUUUGCACGAGAAAUUACACACGAUGUUUCGUUGACAUGUGGUCCCGUUCCAACAUGUCAGUGAGACGACGGUGAGUCCUUUUGUACAAUUUCCGAAAGGACAUGUAGGCCGGGGCGCCUCUUCGUGUACCGUGGCAAACUGGCAACCGUCCACCGACUCUUCGCCUUUCCCUCUCGAUUUGGAACUGCUGUCGCACGCUCUUCCUCCCUCCUCCAUUUGCCUUCACCCUUCCUUCUGCCAUUGUUCGAUCGUCUUCUCCCGGGAGGGAAUAAGCCAGAAAUGACCCUGUUAUUCUUGCCCCGAUCUGAAAGAUGACGUGGUGGGGGAACUCAUUGAUCGGUGCGACGUCAUCACCUCGGCUAGCAUGGCAGGUUCAUUCAAGCCCAUUCUCGACUCAACUAAUAACAUCAUUACAAGGAACCCAAGGGUCCAGGAGCGGUUUGAUCUCCCUUAUCUUCUUCGCUAUAAGCCUGUUCGCAUGGGCUCGGACGACGGAGGACUCGCCUUGUGCAUGUUGAUGCCACUUGAUAAUGAUACGUGUGAUGUCAAGAUGCCAUCGCUUAAGGGUAAGUCCUGGGCUGGCACAAAUAGAGAUUGGGUUGUUUAUAUUGGGUACAAUUGCGAGUGGGAACUUGUGAAUGUGUACACUCGUCAGCGGAUUCCACUUCCAAAAAUCUCCGAGUGCCCUGAGGUUGAGCACACAGAUGAUCUAAGUACGUUCAAAUACGAUCAUGGUGACUGUCGUCUAUUGAAGAUAGCAAAUUGUCGAGUUCCCAAGCGCUCUUGGAAUUACAAGAACUAUCAAGUUGUUGCUAUCUUCGACAAGAUUGUAGCCGUCCUUCGUGGUUUGACUGGAUGGAUAUUGCUCAAAAAUCAGUUUCUAUACACGGAUGUGUACUGUGAUGAAAUUGAAUACGAGGAUCUUGUGUUUGCAGCCACCACUCGUGGCACUAUUUUUGCAUGGGAUCCUCGUAGUUUCGGUACGUUUGUCUUCCACCAUAAUUAUAAUUGUUUCAUCCACAUGCAUGCGGGUUAGCAAGUUUCCCUUUACUAAUUAACCUUCUUCUUGUGUUUCCAAGGUCUUGUGAACAUUCCACCACCUAUACUUGAAAAAUUUUAUAACCAAGGGGGAGAUGACGAUGGUGAUGAUCACGAGCAUGAGGACGAGCAGAACUUAUAUACUCAGUGGCGCCUAGCAACUAAUUCCGAUGGAUCACCUCUUAUUGUCUGUAUACAAUGCACUGAGAUUGUUACUACUGAGGGAGCACGUGUUGUCUCCCAUGGUCACCCUCUCCGGACCUAUUCCAACACCCGUUGCAGGGUAUUCGAGAUGGAUAAUAGUGUGCUAGCGCCAACACCUUCUCCCUGGUACAAUAUUUAUAAGCUUCGAGCAAACUCGCUCUUCCUUGGACCAAACUAUCCAAUGAUGGUUAAAGGCGAUCCAGCUGCUGUUGACACAACGUUACUACCAUUUAUGAGAAGCAACUGUAUCUAUUCCUCGGACAUUUCGGUGGUUCCCUACCCUGGUCCUGACAUAUGCCGCUUCAGCCUGGAUGAUCAGUCAUGCGUUGCUCUCGAUAUUGACAAUAGUUGGCCCUUCCCAGAGCACCUAUGGUUCAAAGCAAGCGUUUCCAACGCCGAGGAUUGGUUGAGUUGAAGUUCAUUUCAUUGCUUGUUAUUUGUUGUGUGAUGAAAACUUUAGUAUUUGCUAGAAUGUUUUGUUGGAAAUAAUCUAUAAUCCAACAUGUAUCCUCGUUGUCGUUGUGUGUUGAUGACUUGUUGUAUUUAAUGAAUGGUACAUUUCAGUUGCGAAUGCAUGUCAUAGACACAAUUUAUGAAUGCUUUUCGAGUCACUUCUUGGAGUGUGAGUACCGUAGUAGUAUAGCCAGCAUCCGGUUAGUAUAUGAAGUUGCCACAUCACAUAGAGCCAACCUAAUAUUGGAGUAUGCUAGCCCUCCACCGGCGCGCUGCUUCAAAUGGCGGAGGAAGAGAGAGGUUGCAUCACCUUGUGUCCAGAUCUGAGAUGCCACGUGUACCAGAUGAAUGACUCCAGGUUCGACCACCGUGAUGUUAGGUGCGAGCCCAGGAACACUGUUGCAGAGACCCCCCUCAUAAUUUUCCUACAUUGGUCGUUUGAUUCAUAGGAUAGAAUUCUAUAGGAUUUUUUUGCUAUGUAAUCAUCUUUUAAUUGGCAAUCUAGCAUCCACUCCAACUUUUGUUUCAGUUCCUUUGUUCCUACGAAGAGAGUACUUGCUCUAAAUGAUGUGCCGCUGCAAGAGCCGCCUAUAUUUAUUAACCAUGCUCUAAAAAGGUGGACCAGCUUUGGCUAUAGUAGUACUGUACUAGGUUAGUAGGUGACCUUGCGCUUCGCUCUUCUCCUCUUCCGGAAGUCGAACAAUAAUGAUGGUACUACAGUAGUACUUCUGGAAAUCUGACACCAAAUGAACUGCUGCACGUCCACCGCUUGUAAGCAAAAGUUUCUCCUUGUGCUGCGAGCCACCGCGCACGCGUUGUCGAGGGAGAAGGCGUAGUAAGCAAGCUUCUCAUCGUUCUACGAGUUGACAGGACACAUCAAAGUUAUUUAUUAGUACUCUCUUCAAAAAGGGCCGACCAUGUCCAUGGCUACCAUCCCGUGCUCUGUCAUUGAGUACGUGCACUAUUCACAUAUCUUUUUUUCAUCAUUGAUUUUUUGGUACAUGGAAAUACAUCACCAAAAUUUUGACUAGAAAAGCAAGACCAAAGAAAACAAGAACCACAAGAAUACAUUUUAGAAGAUAUCCAACUUCCAUAACUGCUCCUGUAAGUUGGAUUAGUGCCUUCUCGAUGCAUUCAUUUUGGAUUUACGAAGGCUCGAUCUUGCGUGCUUCUUUCUUCUUCGAGUGUAAAGAAGUAGACGUGCCUAGCCUGUAUUCUAUCAACAAGUGCACUAGUCUCAUCUAUAGCCUCUAUGCUAGCUAAAAGUGCUAGAACAUCUACUAAAUUGUGCUCUAUCAAUAUAUCAUUGUACUCUUCUUCCCAAUACCAAAAUGUGCAUCCAUUGUACACAAUAAAAUUUUAAGUUAGCACAACUAGUCUAAUCCGAGAGCACAACCGAAGAUUUGGUCGAGUUCUUCCUCCUUUUGCCGACACGUGGGUCAUCCAGCAUCCAGGUCGUGUCAUGCAAGAAAAUAGAGUGGUAGGUAAAGCCACGUGAUGUGCAUCUUGGGUUAAACUGUAAAUAGAAUCUUACUACUCUUGAGUAACUCCAAAAGCGGCCAGCGAAGAUCUUUAUUGGAUUUGUUUUUCAUCACCAGCACGUCGAGGUGAAAGAUGUGCAGGUUCAGUGGGUCCUCUUGCGUUUUCACUGACAUGUGGGACCGCAUAUGAGCAAACAGACGAUGGGCUCCGCGCGUCUGCUGGCUGGGUGAGAAGAGAGAUAGAGGAGGGCCGAGCACGGACUCCAGGAAAUUUGUUCUACGUACUCGAUAUAGUGGAGUAACCAGCACCUCGAUAUAGUGAGGUGGCAUGGGCCAUAACUAGCAUUCAUGUCUAGCAGUACGGCACACGCCACCCACACGAGUCCCAUCCGACACCAAUUUUCUUGGAGUCCGUGCUAGCUACAGCCAUCUCUUCUCCCUCCUGUUUUCUCAGCCAUCGCGCGGUGGGCGGGGUGGGGGUUUGCCGAUAGUCGGUUUGCUCAACUGCGGUCCCACUUGUAAGUGAAAAUGCAACACAGCACGCAUUCCCCAUUGAGCGGCGUGCCGGACAAACCGUGUGGGGGUGUGACGCGAACACGGCAGGCUUUUCCUUUUGAACUUGUAACUUGUAAAAUUUGGUUCUGCUCCAUGGGGCGACCGAUAGAUAGAAAUAAUGAUUUUCCCUAGAGUAAUGAGAAGUUUGGUUCUGGCAUGGUUCAUGCAUGGAGUACGUAGGAAAAUUAUGAAGUUGAUGCGAAAGGUAAGAUAAUUACUAGUAGUACCACAUACUACUACAUCGAUUUGAUAGAAAGACAAAGAUACAUACGGAUCCAUCAACGACAUCCUCACGCCCUAGUGCACCGGGUCACCAACCGACGUGUGAGGAGCAGCGGCGUUGGCGGCAAGCUCAACGUGCUUCUUAACAAUGCCGUCCAAGGUUGCCCUGCGGUCCAAGAAGGCCAGCGUCCUACCGUCCUCCUCUUGCAUGUAGUAGUCCUUGUGGACGAUUUGCGCGUAGACGUGGGUCAUUAUGUCGAUGGUGUCUUGCUGCGCCAGGCGCUGCGCGGCGAGCGCGACCUCGAGGCGGACAUUCUCCGGCGCGACGGCGGGCAGUCGCAGGGCCACCAGUGCGUCUAAGAGGUUGUCACCAUAGAGGCCGUUGAGGGUGGCAGGCAUCGCAGAGCCUGGGCGCGUGGGCUGGAGGCGUACGUCAAGGUCGUCCGCGAGCUUCUUGACGACGGUGAACUUGUCGAGGAAGCCGACGAGGACCUCGUCGAACAAGGAGAGGAAGCUGUCAUCCAAGCGGCCCCUCGCCCUGGCGGCCUCAAGCACUACCUAGAGACAUUCCUUGGUGCCAGGAUGCAGGCCGGCGUCGUGGACCAUCUGGCACAGCCGGCUGAUGCUCGCGCUCAUCGCCUCCAUGGGUCUAGCUUCUAGUCAACUGAUCUUGCGAUUGGAGUGAUCACUCUUGCCCUUAGGUGCGUAGGUGCGUAGGAUUUCAUAGAUUGGACUGGCGGGAGCCUUUAUAUGAGAAGUGCAGACUGCGUUGAAUUCACGUGCGUGUUGGCCAUCUACUCCUCGCCCCUCUACUGCACCUGCUUUUGGCUGUAUGACAGGUUGGCCAGCCACCCGUUGGACCCACGUGUCAUACACCCAAAGGCCGGUGCAGUAAGAAGACGGCGAGUCCUUUUGUACAAUUUCCGAAAGGACGUGUAGGCCAGGGCGCCUCUUCGUGUACCGUGGCAAAAUGGCAACCGUCCACCGACUCUUUGCCUUUCCCUCUCGAUUUGGAACUGUUGUCGCACGGUUGAUCGUAUUUGAACGUACGUAGAUCAUCUGUGUGCUCAACCUCAGGGCACUCUACACUGUCGAGGCGUAGACGUGGAUGUGCAGGUCGAUGGUUUCUUGCAUGGCGAGGCGCUGCGCGGCGAGCGCGGCCUCGAGGUGCACAUUCUUCGUCGCGACCUCCGGCACCUGCAGGGCGACCAGGGCUUGAAAGAGUUUGUCACCAUGGAGGCCGAUGAGGGUGGCAGGCAAUAAGGAGCUUGGGCGCGCGGGCUGGAGCAGUACGGCAAGGUCGUCCGCGCGCUUCUUGACGGCGGUGAACUUGCGGAUGGAGUUGACCAUCAUGUCGUCCAUGCGGGAGGCGAAGCCGGCGUCGGCGAGGGCUACGAUGCCUGCGGUCGCCAGCACCGUCUGGAAACGCUGAAUGGUGCGGGGCCGCAGGCCUGCGCCUUGGAUGAUUUGGCACAGCCGACUGCCGCUCGCGUCCAUCGCCUCCAUAGGUGCUUGUGGCUUCUGGUCACUUGGUCUUGGAUUGGAGUGAGCAGUGUUGCGUAGAGACUUGGGAGUAGAUGGAUUGGAGUGGUGGGGCGCCUUUAUUAUAUGAGAGUCCAAACUCUGUUGCAUUCACAUCGUGCUGGCUCUAUUCUGCUUCUCCAAUUAAUUCUCUCUGCAUGUAAUUGAGGAUGCAUCAUUGACUGUUCAAUGUCUCCGGAACCGCUACCCUCUCCCUCCUUGGCAUUCAAGCACCUAUGGACCCGUCGACGAUGAGGUGCCUAUGGUGACUUCGUAAAUUUCUAGAUGAUAGUGUCGUGCGUGUGUGCGUUCAUAGGGGUGAGUGUAUGCGCGUGUAUAUGAGCACUUGCGUCUGUACUGUGUAAAAAAAUGUAAAUGUGUGUCAAAAAGAGACUAGUCAGUAUACUCAAUAUUGUGCACCUCGGAGAGGAAAACGAUAGAACUAGUACGUAUUUAUUUACGGUGCAGAUUCACUCAUUUUGCUCCAUAUGUACUCCGUCUCGGUGUAGUCUAGUCACUUGUUGAAAUCUCUAGAAGGGCAAAUACUCCGUUCUGGUUUACAGGGCUAUACUAGCAAGUAGUUGUACGUACUAGUACAAUAGUGGGCUCACAUAGCAAUUUUAUCUCAUGCAAGAGCCUGGCUAUAUGCGUGCUCCAAUGUUCGCAACUGCAACGUUCGGUUUGUGCUUGGCUCUUCGCCUCUUCGAGAAGGCGAACAAUGAUGUUACUACUACUGCUUCUACAGUGUCGAAUCCACUGCUGCAUGUCCGUCCACUGCGAGCGGGACGGAUAGCUUGUUGUAGAAGUACUACUAAGCAAAAGCCUGUCCUCGUUUGCGAGCAACCGCGCGCAUGGGUGAGGGAGAAUGCGUGUAGUAAAAUCAAGCUUCUCCUCGUUGUACGAGUUGACGCCACACAUCAUAGCACUGGCCCCACAUGCUUGCCUCUAAACUUGGCUGAAAGACCCGCAGUGUACAAUAUAUUUGCUGCAACCUCUAACAUUUACCCACCACAAAUUAAAAUAUAUGUGGUCGUAUGCAUCGUUCUGAUGUAGAUGCCGGGGAGUCCCCCCUUUUCGAAAAAAACAAAUUAAAAUAUAUAUUCCUGUCUUGACCACAUGAGUGUGCAAACUACAAUCACCAGGGUGUCAGGUAGGGACAGAAGACUAUUUUAAAUUUUUUUUAAAACUUCGAGACGGCCACAUAGCAUGGAGCCGACCCCAACGAUUUUAAGCUUACAGGCACGGUACACGCUAUCCUAGACUAGUCUACACAUGAAACAGCCACACGAGCGUCCGGGCUGCGCUUGGCUCUUCGCCCCUUCGGGAAGUCGAACAAUGAUGGAGUACUACUGCACUGAAGGAGUACUACAGUACGCUUCUGGCCAUCUGACACCGAUUGAACUGCUGCAUGUCCACCGCGUGCGGGAGGGAGAGCAUGUAGCGAAAGCUUUUCCUAGUCUUGCCAGCCACCACACUCAUGGGCGAGGGAGGGACGCUCCUGCCUUUGCGUGUAUGACAGGUGGGCCCGACAGGUGUGUGGCCAACCUGUCAUACAGCCAAAGGCAGGUGCAGUUAAGUCCGCGAGGGAGAGGCUAAUCAAACUUCUCGUUGAUGUACGAGUUGACGCGACACAUCAAAGCACUGCACUCGACAUAUUUCAAUAAUUUAGGUUUACCGAUGCAUUAAUUACAACGCAUGCAUGCAUGCCGUGACUCUCGUUUUGAUACUUGCAUGUGUUUAUUUAAUGCACCUUGAAGUAGUAUAAAAUAUGUGACGGUAAAGCUUUGUAAUACCCCGGCCCAAGUCGAGAGAUGGUUGUGCACGAGGAGGGCGAGAUCAUGCAGACCGAACAGGACCCGACGAUGGAGCUCUCUAAGGUCUCGAUGGACCUCACCGUGCUCCACUGCCCCUUGUGCCUCUGGCCCUUGACGCCUCCAGUGUGUGAGGUUCUAAUAGACCUCGUCCGUUCGGCUGAUAGAGCAAGGUGCAGGUUUCUUGAUUGAUGUGCUGUUCGAUUGAUUUCUGCAGUGCAAGGGAGGGCACCUGGCCUGCGCGGACUGCCGCGUCCUUAUAUAUUCAUCAGUCAUGCUAUAAGUCGCAGUAGAUGCUAUAUAGGUCCGUCGGAUCUUACAUCAAGAUCCGUGCUUUCAGAUUUUCUUUUUUCUCUCUUAAAUCUUAGUCGAGUGAGACAAAGCCACGCCAUUAAACAGAGGCUCGGGCGCCAUUAAUGGAGACCUUGGGAGAGAGGUGGACGUUAGAUGGAGGUCAAAGGGCUCUCCUCCCGAUAAGCACGCGCAGGGGUCUGAUCGCACGCCUCUGGUACUGAAAUAGCUACCCUGCACGGCGCCUCCUAGCUAAUAAAAAAUGGGGACGCGUGGCGGCACGUAAAUGGUACUAGUAAGUAGAACGCCCACGGUUUCAAUAAUACUUGUGUUUCCGAUUGUAACGUGACAGCACUAGUUCCAAAAUGACUUUGUUGAUUGUUAAUGUGUGCGCCUUCCCAAAUCGGACUGCAAAUUUACCACAGCAUGUUGGUGCCAUGUCAUGGCACCAAGCCAAGUUUCAUUAUUUUCAUCGUGUUUUGGAUUUACAGGAAUUAAAAAACUAAGUUUCUCAAUGUUUCCAACCCAGCCACGACGCCCAGAAUUUUGAAUUUCAUUCCCAUUUCUUGCAUGGAACCUAGAAAUUUACCCGAGGACACACAUGUGAUUUUUCAACCAACAUUGGUGCACUGGAACAUGUGCUUGUAUUUCACAUUUGAAUUAUGCACACAAAGGUGACACGUUCCCUCCCAGAACCAUGAGCCUUCUUGAGAGAAGCUCUGAUUUGCAAGAAGCUUAUACCAAAAUUUGUUCCUAUUCGGCCAAUUUUUUUACCACGGCAUGGUACUACCAUGACAUGACACCAUGCCAAGUUUCAUGAUUUUAAAACCAAGUUUCUCAAUGUUCUUGACCGAGCCACGAUGCCCAGAUGUUUGAAUUUUAUUCUCAUUUUUUGCAUGGGACCUACUCCCUCCUUCCAUCUAUAUAGGGCCUAAUGUGUUUUUCAAGACAACCUUUAACUAUUGACAAGAUUAAUAGCACAUGAGAUGUAUACUAUGAAAAUUAUAUUAUUGGAAGCUCCUUUGACAUACAAAUUUGAAGGUAUGCUUUGUGUAAGUUGCAUGUCAUAUAUUAUUGCUCUAACGUUUGGUCAAAGUUAGCCUCGAAAAACGCAUUAGGACCUAUAUAGAUGGAAGGAGGGAGUAGAAAUUCACCCGAUGACACAAAUGUGAUUUUUCAACCAACUUUGGUGCAUGGGAGCAUGUGCUUGUAGUUCAAAUUUGAAUUAUGCACAUUAAAUGACCAAAAACUCAAUUAAUGUGUAAAUAAGGCCAAACGAAGCCGGAAUAAUUCCAAAAUUUAACAGGGCACUCAUGUAGUUUUAUGUUUCCUUUGUAAAUAAACUCAAGGGGGACAACGUAUAUCGUUUCGCACUCAAAGGUUGCACGUUACCUCUCAGAACCAUGAGCCUUCUUGAGAGAAGCUUCGGUUUGCAAGAAGCUUAUACCAAAAUCUGUUCCUAUUCGGCCAAUUUUUUUACAACAACACGGUAGUACCAUGACAUGACAUCCAUGCCAAGUUUCAUGAUUUUCAGACGUGUUUUGGAUUUACAGGAAUUUUAAAACCAAGUUUCUCAAUGUUCUCGGCCGAGCCACGAUGCCCAGAUGUUUUAAUUUUAUUCUCAUUUCUUUCAUGGGACCUAGAAAUUCACCCGAGGACACAAAUGUGAUUUUUCAACCAACUUUGGUGCAGGAGAGCAUGUGCUUGUAGUUCAAAUUUGACUUAUGCACAUUAAAUGACCAGAAACUAAAUUAAUGUAUAAAAAAUGACAAACGAACCCGGAAUAAUUCCAAAAUUUAACAGGGCACUAAUGUAGUUCUAUGUUGCCUUUGUUAAGAAACUCAAGGGGGGGCAGCAUAUAUCGUUUCACACUCAAAGGUGGCACGUUCCCUCUUAGAACCACGAGCUUCCAAAUCGGCCCAAAUUUUUACCACAACAUGUUAGUGCCAUGACAUGACACCAUGCCAAGUUUCAUGAUUUCCAGGCGAGUUUUCGAUUUACAUGAAUUUAAAAUCAAAGUUUCUCGAUGUUCUCGGCCGAGUAAUGACGCCCAGAUGUUUGAAUUUCAUUCUCAUUUCUUCCAUGGGACCUAGAAAUUCAACCAAGGACACACAUGUGAUUUUUCAACCCACUUUGGUGCACCGGAGCAUGUGCAUGCAAUUCAUAUUUAGAUUAUGCACAUUAAAAGUCCAGAAACUCAAUUAAUGUAUUAAGAGAGAUCGAUCCGCAUCCAUGCAUAUGUGCAGGAGAGGAAUAAGGUUGGGAGAGAGACAGAGCUAGAGUGUUGGAGGGGGUGGUAGUGGAGUUGCUUCUAACAAAUGGUGGGAUAGGCUUGCUAGAAAAACGGAGGGCACGCCCGCAAUAUCAAUAAGAGAGGAGAUGGCUGCUUGUUGUCUGUGCACGUGCGUGUGAGAGACAGGUCAGGAGGCAUGCACGAAUGAUGAGGGGGGACGAUGUGGCUGUGGUAAGCAGAUGUAACUACAUAGGAAGAUCAAUCGCCCUUUGUUAGAGAAAGGAGAGAUAUAACUUGUGAGGUACAUCGAUCGAUGGGGGGGUAGUUAAAGUCGAUCUAGGUAUAUGUUGGGAGGUCGAUCGGUAUACAUGCAUGUGUGUGUUAGAAGAAAAUGAGGCACGAGGAGAAGGAUAGAGAGAGGGAUGCAUGUAGGAGGUGGUACGAGAGGCAUACUAUAUCGAGGGGGGAGGAGUGUGCGAGUACGAGAACGAUGAAAAGAGUGGUUGGAGUGAGGCAUGGACGGUGACAAGAGAAGAGGGGAAGCUUGUGUUUGUGCUAGGCACACCUGGCUAGAGAGGCAUAUCGAUCGAUGUGUGCCGUAAAGAAGGAGCUGGGGGGCCUACACACACCGUGGGUGAACGACCUAAAGUGAAAAGACGAAUUUGCGCGAUGGAGCUAGAGAACGCUGAGGGAGGGUGAGAGGGAUGCGGGCGCGUGCAUGCACAAGAGAAAGUUAGCGCUAGCUACAAAGAUAAGAGGGUUGUGUGGGUGUAAAAGACGAAUAGAGAUCAUAUAUACUUCAUUAUAAAAAGCGAAUUUGGAUAUUUGAAAAUUUUAUCAUAGUGUUUCGAACUGACGCAUGUGUGAAUAUAUAUAACGGUGAUACACAUGGUGUGGUUAUGAACAUGUUAUACUACAUUUAAUAUAUUUUAUCUCUACUCUUAUAAAAAAAGGAGUUGUUGAUGAUGGUGUGCCUACCAUCCUGCAUUAUAGGCCGUCCAAUUUAUAUCUGGCGGAUAGCAAGGAAACUAUGAUGGUUGAAGUUGGCAACAAUCAUGAUUGUAGAUUCUUAUUGAAAUAGAGAAAUGAAUUCAAAUUUAGUUCGAAUUGCAGCGGUAGUAUAGACAUUUGGAAUGCACUAAAAUGUUGGUAUGAGUAGGUUACAUGCAUUAUAUAGCAAGCGAAAAAAUUUAAUCGGACAUAACAUGGACUCAUACUCCCUCCUUCCAUCUAUAUAGGGCAUAAUGAGAUUUUUAAGACCGCCUUUGACUAUUGACAAGAUUAAUAGUACAUGACAUGCACAAUGUGAAAAUUAUAUCAUUGAAAGAACCUUUCACAGACGAAUAUAACGGUGUGCUUUGUGUAAGUUGCAUGUCAUAUAUCAUUGCUCUAAUAUUUGGUCAAAGUUAGCAUCGAAAAACGCAUUAGGCCCUAUAUAGAUGGAAGGAGAGAGUAACUUUGAAUAGCAUUUGUAUAGUAAAACGGGGCAAGACUCUCUCUUUGUGUGGUGUGAAUAGUUUUAUUUUUUUCGUUUUCUUUUUGGUUGAGGGAAGUGCGAAUUGAUUUGGUACGUACAAGUACAAUAUUACUACACGUUAGGCUUGUCCCUAAAAUUCAACCCGCGUCUUGUUAUAUCCCGAAAAUUCAGAUAUCGUGCUCCCAAAACUGGCGCCUUCACAACCCGCGCCUUGCUAUCCCGAAAUUACAACGCGCGCGAAAACUCCCUCCAGCUGCCAAAUCCCGACACGCGAAAUCCCCCUUCUAACCCUGAGCCGAAAGGGCCGCUAGUUCAAAUUGGUGGGGGGUACUUUUGUAACACACACUACAUUUUGGACAAGCGCGUCCCUAAGUCAUGCUUCACCCCCUCCCAUCGCCCCCUUUUCGCCAUUCGAAAUCCCAGGCCGCCAUAACCUCUCCGCUCCAGCCGCGAUACCCCACCCUCCUCCGUCCGCCACGUCACCGCUGCCCAGCCGGAGCCUCUUCCCUGACGACAUCGUCCACCACAACAGCUCGACGUCCCUCGUCCACCUCCCCGGAGGAGGAUCCGUCGUCCAUCUCGCCGUCCCGUCGGUUCAGCCGCCCCGUCCUCCACCUCCAAGGAGCUGCUCCGACGAUCGCCUUGUCUAUCGCGGCUACUCCAUCCCCACAGCGCCGCCUUAACCUGCUCCACCGGAACCACAGCAUCCUCAUCGACUCCUCGGACGAAGCCGAGGCCUACUCAGCGCCAUCAAAGAGGUUGUACACUCAUCGCAUCGCACCUUCUCCUUAACUCGACCUCCCGGCGCCGACGGUGCUCCAUCCCGCACCCCCAUGGAGCGGCUACCUUGAAGCCGGCGCCGCGGGCGACAUCUCCACGGCGGCUCUCCCCAGUGUGAGGCCCCUUCGGCGGCAGCGUCCAUACCAGCCGGAUCUGCUGCUGCUGCUCCGGCUCAUGCUCGCUCGCUCGCGUUGCUGCUGCUGCUCCGGCUCUUGCUCGAUCGCUCGCUCGCCCAGCUGCUGCUGCUCUCCCCCUCGCUCGUGCUGCUGCUUUGCUCUGGUUAAGCCACACUUCAAUCGACUGAAUCGACUUUUGGGUCAGUCGAUUUUCAGGGGUUGGGGGGGCUCGCCGGAGUUAAGGAAGAACCACCCGCAGCGGGGACGGGGGCUCGCCGUAGAGGUAUCCCACUAUCUAUCUUAGGGUUCAGGGUGGGGGCCGGGGGCCUAGAGGGCUGGUCGGGGCGGCGGUGGCGAGUUGUUUCGGGGCGGCGAGGCGACGCUGGGGCCGGCGGUUUGGCUGGUGGUGGCUGGCGGCUCAGGGGGGUGCAGGUUGAAGAUGAACUGCAGGCCCUCCCUAAACUACAUGUCAAGUGCCUCUCUGCUACCAUUGCGUUCAGUUUCGACAGUAGCAUUCAGAUUCCACAGUAAAUUUCAGUUUCGACAGUUAAGUUCAGAGUCAAGAGUUUUACCUCAUCUGUUGUAGUCAGGUGGUUUUUGGUGAUGUUAAUUUUACAUCCAUUUUACAUCAUCUAUUGGAGAUGUUAUUAGAAUCCCACUUGAGAUUGACGAUGUAUGUCUUGUGCUGCUUCAGCCUUGAUGUCUUACGGCUCACCGGAGCUGCUCCAACGACAGAACGAUCCAUCACAACAGAGCAGUGCCCUGGACGCCGUCUACAGAUUCCUCAGAUCUUCCUCCACACCUCCGACAGCCACCUCUGCCUCAACUGCUUCAGCGACCAACCCAAUGGUGCUGAGGUCGACACGGCUACGGCAAAGAGGUUGUACACUUGUUGCAUCACUUAUUACUAUACAUUCACGUCGAUCCAUUAGGGCUAUUUUGGUUCAAUGGAAAAACGUCGAUCCACUGGUUGUUACCAUCACUCUAAAUUUCUGCAUGCUCUCCUUACAUAAUCUCACCAUAUUUUUUUCAUAUGCAUGUCAGAUAUUGUACACAGUCAUGCUGAACAUGUAGAGAAAAAGAGAAGAGUUUUGCGCGGCAAUACAAUGUCAUGCAGACAUCGCUCCAUGGUGGGUUCAAUGGCAAACCCUCCCCACCCCUCUCCAGAUUGUAAUCCAGAGGAAGAUAUCUAUUCUGAGGCGGAUUCAGACGCCGCUGACCACUCCUAUUUACCCCCCAAGGUGUUUGCUCUACCUUGGCAUGAUGAUGUUAGUCGUAUCAUGCAUAUGUUGCUUUGCAGUGCCUACUUUUGACAUCAUAUAUGUCAUCUUCUUAGUUUAGACAUGUUCUGUAAUGCCACCUGUUUAGUUACUAUAUCAUAUAUGGGAAUUAUACAGUCUCAUGUCUUUUAGCCAGCCAUAAUAUAUGUGAAAUGUGCAAUGCCAUCCUGUUUAACCAGGCAUCAUAUAUUUGAAUGAUAUCUUGCCCAUCCUUUUCGUCAUUACAUUUCCAUUUGUCGACAAUGUUUGUACAUUAAACUACUCUUCCUGUGAAUCAGCCAUUUGGGUGGGAGAUGGAAAAAUCUGGAGUGAAAACAAGGCCUUCAGAGCAGACAGUGCUACCUGUCGAAGCAGAUCUCUUGUUGGGUCCCGAUAGCUCCUCAGAAAUGGAUUCGGAGAUAGAUGACCAGUCCUAUUCCCCCACUGAGGUGUAUGCUCUAACUUGGCAUGGUUAUACUGCUCAUAUCAUGCAUACGGUGUCUUGCAUUGCAUAGUUUAGACAUCAUAUACACAAUAUUCAACACCAUGUUCUUAGUUCAGACAUCAUAUCGAAUGCCCUCGGUUUAGCAUAUAAAUCACAUAUGUGAAUUAAAUGAUGCGAUCCUGAUUACUUAGAUAACAUGUAGGUGAAUUAUGUCAUGCGAUCCUAUUUAGUUAUUCAUCAUAUCUUUGAAUUAUGUUAUGCUAUGCUAUCCAGUUUAGAUAGACAUCAUAUAUGUGAAAUUAUGUCAUGCUAUCCCUUUUAGUUAAACAAUAUACAUGUCAACUAUUUCAUGCCCUCUUUUUUCCACACUAUCUAUUGCAUCUGUCUCUCAUACAAUGUCUGUACAUUCAACUAUGUUUCUUGUUUAUCAGCCAUUUGAAUUGGAGCGAGUGAUGCCAAUAUCUAGCGGACUAAAAACACGGUCUUCAAAUAAAACAGUGCUACCUCUUGGUGGAGAUAGCACCCCGGUUGUACAUGCACAAGAACCAGCCCUACCACACAUAACCCAAACUCUCGCAGAUUGUACCCCGACUGCGAUGGACAGAGAACCAGCUUCACCCAAUCUAACCCCAACCCCAGCCGAUAGUAACCCAGUUCCUGUUGACACAACACCAUCUCCACCACAGAGCUCCCAAACAAGAGCAGUUUGUAAGGCAGCUCCAGUGCCCAAAGGGUGAGUACUAUCAUGGCGAACAACAACUCCACCAGUUAGUACGCCUAUUCCUGUGGAGGAAGCACAACCAGCUAGUCGUAGUUUAGCAUCUAUCGCAUUUGAUGUUGUUAAAUCGUAUGUGCGUAUCUUCCCAUCUUGGAAAUAUUAUACUGAAGAUGAAGGAAAAUGCCAGUUGCAGGUGUUUGUCCAGGAGUUAUGUGUAAGUAAUGUUAUUCAUGGCAAUUACUUUGUUUCGUCCCAUACAUCCUACCUCCAUGAUGGUUAUAAUACAGCAAAUUUUCCCAUUUUUCUCUAUAGAGAAGGACCGAUUUGGAAACUCAGGAUGAGGUAACCUGUGCUAAUACCUCUGCUAUCUUCAAGAAUGCUUGGUGGCAGUAUCGGAAUUACCUGAAGAAAACAUACUUCACCAGCAAAGAAACUCAUGAAAUUCCCUUACGUUCUCCUGAGACACAUUUACUAGACGAUGACUGGGAACGCCUUGUUCUGUACUGGUCCCGAACCAAGAAUGUGGUAAGGUCUAUGAGCUCAUUUUCAAUUUUUAAGUAUUAUAUUCUUGCGUCUUACUGUACUCUGUUCAUGUAGAACAAGUGCCUAAACCUGAAGAACAAUUGUUCUAAUUUAAGAUUCCAUUGCUAUCAUAGUUCAAAAAAGCGCUAGGCGUUAAUUGUGCGUUUUGCCACCGCCUUGCGCUUUACUGACCAAAGCGCAUGCUUAUGCACAGUUAUGCACAGAUUAUGCGUAGUUAUGCAAUGCGUUUUGCCAACGCCUAGAGCCUAGGCGGGCUUAAGCGCUCGCUUAGGCGCGCCUUUUUUAACUAUGAUUGCCUUGCUCUUGUAUCACUGUAUUUACUCAUACAAACUUAUUUUUAAAUUGAAGGAUCCAAUCGAAACUCCAAUGGCACAGCAGGUAUGUUCACGCAUGUUUCUUUAACAGGUUUGCUCUUAUCAAUAGCUCUGUUGAUUUCAAUUUCAAUUGUGUAUACAGUUGACUUUCAUAUCAUGCACAUUACUAGCAUCACAACAGAGCCAAUAGUGUUGUUGUACAUGUAGACCCGUGGUACCCAUCUGAAAUCUUGUUGUGUCGUGUAGUUUCCCACGCUUUGUAUUCUUUCACUGCUGCUUUGUCUUGAACUGAUAUGAUUUGAACCGUGUCUCUAUUUUGAUUUGGCAAGACAAUGCAGUGACCAUAGGACAUAGAUAUAUGUUUGUUUGAUGCUUUUAUUAUGUACUAGUACUUGGCAAUAGAAGACUUGGUAGUUUAAUCCUGUCCACCUUACUAAUGAACUGGUUCACUGAAAUGAGUUUCAUAUACUAGUACAUGCUAAACUUGUUAUGUGUCUGCUUGUUUCUGCUUUUAGAAUGGUGACAGAAUAUUGGGGAAGAGUGCCUUAUUAAGCAAUGGUAAAUGAAGUAAUGCAGAUAAGGUUCAGGAUAGUGACACAUCCUUGUUGGUCUCCAACAAAGCUGAUAAAACAGCUAAGGAAGACUAUCUUGAAGACAGUGAGACAACCCCAAAGUCCUGUCUUGGUUUAGUGUUCGAGUUACUAGCCACUACCGCUUGCACAAGCUAUUCAAACUCACUGUCUGAAUCAGUUCGGUUUCUUGAGUCUCAACUACAAGCUGAAAGACAUCGAUCAGCUGUGCUGCGACAAGAAGCGGAAGGACUGCGGAAGUCCCUGGAGCAUUCAGAUGCAUACUUUCUGGUGCAACAGCAAGCGUUGGAGGAUUUUAGCGCCAAACAGGACAAAGAUAAUCAGCUUGCUAAGCUUAUUGCCAGCAUGGUGGAUACCCAGGAUAACGUUUCUUGAGCUCUUCUGAAGUUGUUUCAGUUAUGCUCUUGUUUUGCUGCCGCGUUUAUUUGCACUGGUGGCCAAUUUUGACGGCCAGUGUAUGUAAUGUGCUGCUUUGUUCCCUAUAUUUGCACUGGUGGCGAACUUUGAUGCCUAGUGGAUGUAAUAUGUGUAAUAGCGGUAAUAGGCUAGCGUUAAUUGCUUGCUUAUUUAUUUCCUUAUUGUCUUGUUUAGUUGUUUGCUUGUAGUCACUACAGUUCUUUUUCUGUUUUUUCUAGUGGCCACAAUAGCCUAUUUUUGGUAACUAGGCCAAAAUAAUCGUGGCAACACAUGGACUGUUGUAACCAUGGGCCUCUUGCAGGCCGUAUGAUCCAUGGGCCUUCGUCCGGCCGUAGGAUCGAUCGGCCUUCUAUACGGGCCUUAGGGUCCAUGGGCCUUCUAUGGGCCGUAGGGUCCAUGGGCCUUCUACGGGUUGUACGAUCCAUGGGCCUUCUACGGGCCGUACUGUCCAUAGGCCUCAUACGGGCCGUAAGAUCCAUGGGCCUUCUACGGGGCGUAUCAUCAUUUCACCAAUCAUGGGCCGUACUAUUCGUGGACCAUAACGGGCCGUUAAUAGGCCGUAUUUGAUAACUCUAUGAAAACAGCCCAACGGGUUUUUUUACAUGAAAACGGCCCAACGUAUUAACGGUCCACAAACGGGCCGACUGUAACGACGGGCUGAAUUUGGCCCACAAGCAGAAAAUGACAGUAACGGGCCGUAUUUAACCGAAUGUUGCAAAUGAGCCCAAGAAUCAAUGGGCCCUGAGAAGGCCGAAAGAUAACUUGGGCUGGAAACGGCCCAAUGGAAUAACGGGCCGUUAAUGGGUAUAAAGUGAUACACUGUUCAUUACGGGCCAGUUUCACCACGGGCCGUUAAUGGGCCAAGAGUUACAAAGGUCCUCAUAUGGGCCGAAAGAAGUCAUGGGCCACACAUGGGCCGGAAGUUAAAACGGGCUGAAUCAUAUUGGACAGCCCAGAUGACGCUACUGGGCCUAAUUCGGAUAGGGCGUAACGGGCCCCGGGUUAGCGGGCUGUAAAUGGGCUAUAUGCGAAUAGGCCGUUAACAGGCUUUCCGUGGGCCGGCCCGCCACCUUUCGACCAAGUCAAACGGGCCGGCCUUUUCACAGGAAUGGGCCUCUGUUGGGCCGUGCCACGUGUCGCCGUAUCAUAGGCGCCUUCGGUCCAAUGAGCGGAUGACAUCUGUCCCAACGGUGAGCCGACACGUGUUUCCUCCAGCCAAUGAUGAUUUUACACGUGGAAAAUCCCCAUUGGUCGGGGCUGUUAACGGGUUAUCGGAUCCAAAACCCGACCCGAUAGCUUGACGGCGUUCCGUUACGGUGGAUGCCACGUGUCGGUCACCCUUGACGAAAGCACUUCUGUGACGCGCGAUUUAUCGUCAUGGAAGUGGACACUUCCGUGAUGAUAAUUUUGGUAAUGUCAUGGAGCACUUCUACGACAGCACAGGUAUGACUACUUGAUUCUGUCAUAAAUUUGUCAUGGAUGUACAUGCAUGACAAAAAACGCGACAUACUAUGACAAACACGUAUCAUCACGGAAGUGUAUUUUUUUGUAGUGCUUUGAGGUGGUUUCGUACCCUACAAUAAUCUCUUCGUUUGUUCUCCGCUAUUAGUGACUUUGGAGUGACUCUUUGUUGCAUGUUGAGGGAUAGUUAUAUGAUCCAAUUAUGUUAUUAUUGUUGAGAGAACUUGCACUAGUGAAAGUAUGAACCCUAGGCCUUGUUUCAACGCAUUGCAAUACCGUUUGUGCUCACUUUUAUCAUUAGUUAUCUUGUUGUUUUUAUAUUUUCAGAUUACAAAAACCUAUAUCUACCAUCCAUAUUGGACUUGUAUCACCAUCUCUUCCCCGAACUAGUGCACCUAUACAAUUUACCAUUGUAUUGGGUGUGUUGGGGACACAAGAGACUCUUUGUUAUUUGGUUGCAGGGUUGUUUGAGAGAGACCAUAUUCAACCUACGCCUCCCAUGGAUUGAUAAACCUUAGGUCAUCCACUUGAGGGAAAUUUGCUAUUGUCCUACAAACCUCUGCACUUGGAGGCCCAACAAUGCCUGCAAGAAGAAGGUUGUGUAGUAGACAUCAAGCUCUUUUCUGGCGUCGUUGCCGCGGAGGUGAGUGCUUGAAGGUAUAUCUUUAGAUCUUGCAAUUGAAUCUUUUUGUUUCUUGUUUUAUCACUAGUUUAGUUUAUAAAAUAAAAUAAAAAAUGGAAUUGAGUUUGCCUCAUACGCUUCAUCUUUUUAAUAUCUUUCCUGAGUAUGAUGGAAAGGAAAAUUGUGCCAAAAUGUUAGAGAAAGAAUGCAUUAGAAUGUUUGGCACUAAAUCUUUGAAUGAUGAGCACGAUUGCAAUGUUGUUAGUAUGAACUCCUUGAAUAUCCAUAGUACUAAUGAUGAUUGCACUAGUCAUGAUGAAAAUAUCUCUUAUAAGCAUGUCGAUUUUUGUGGAGUGCAUAGAAUUUGCAAAUACAUACCAAAAAGGGAAGAUAGAUUUUGUAAGCAGCAUAAGUACUUAGAAACUAAAUGGUUGCAACAAAGGCUAGAUGUUUGUGCUAAAAAUUUAAAUUUUCUUGGCCGUACUUGUCAACAUUGCAAUGAAAGUGGUCAUUUAACUAUCUGAUGCAAAUUGUUUCAUGAUCUAAUCGUGUCCAAAAAUUGUGAUGACUUGAUUUCCCUUGCCCAUCAUAAUGAACUUAGUUUGCUUAUGGGUUAUGAAGAAAUGAAACGUAUAACUAACUAUCUUCCAGUAUUUGCCCAUGAUAAACUUCUUAAUUUUGAUCUAGAGGAAAUUUAUAUGUAUUGUGCGGUGAAUUGCAUUGAAAAUCCUUAUAUUGCCAAUUACAUAAAAAAAAAGAAAACAAAUAGAGGAUGAAGAGAAUACUAAUGGAAGGGAACAGACUUCCCAAUAUCCUCCUAUUAUUUCUUAUGAUGAAUUAGGUAACGAGGAGGAGCUUUCUAUUCAACCAAUCUCAUCAAUAAGGAGCUCAAAAAAGAGGGAUAAACCCGCACAUGAUGUGAAGAAGAAAAAGAAAAAACGGAGAAGCAAAGGUAAAAAGGUAUCCCUCACAAAUGAUGUUGCUCCUACUACUCAUCGUGAUGAUGAUAAUUGCUAUACUAUUGGUUCUAUCCAUACUAUUAAUGAUGAGAGUGAUUAUUCUUAUGAUAUGAAAAGGCCCAAGCUUGGGGAAGCUAUGUUUGAUGAGAAUGACACAUUUGAGAAUAUAUUUUCUGAAAUUAAUGUUCGUCCCAAGCUUGGUGAUGCUACGUUUAAUGAAGAUGUAAUUUUUAGCCUCCCAAGUUUUGAUAUGCAAAGUUGUUAUGAUGAUAGCAUGCCUUCUACCUACGAUGAUUAUAUUGAUGAAAGUGGGUUUGGAAGAGGGUCAACUUUAGGAAGUAGUGAUCCCACUAUUUUGGAGGAUGUUGAAUCUUAUAAUAUUGAUGAAAGUGGAUUUGGAGAGGUCAUGACUUUAUUUAGUGAUGAAUCCACUAUUUCGGAAGAGGUUUCGAUUGAUUAUGAUGAGAACAAAGUUGCUACUUAUGAUGAUUAUUGUGAUGAAACUUAUGCUAUAAAAAGUAGUGAUGAUUAUAUUUAUAAAACUUGUCAUGAUUAUGAUUACCCUUUUUCUGAACAUUACUCUUUUAAUGUGGAAACAAUUUAUAGUAUUCAAGUCUCUUAUGAUACUCCCACUAUUCUGAAUGAGACGAAUUUUGCUUAUGUGGAGAGUAGUAAAUUUUCUAUGCAAGUAGAUCAUGAAAAGAAUGCUUUAGGUGCUAGUUAUAUUGUUGAAUUCAUUCAUGAUGCUACUGAAAAUUAUUAUGAGGGAGGAAUAUAUGCUUGUAGGAAUUGCAAUAAUAUCAAGUUUCCUCUCUAUGUGCUUAAAGUUUUAAAGUUAUGCUUGUUUUGCCUUCCUAUGCUAGUUGAUUAUUGUUCCCCUAAGUUGUUUGCUCACAAAAUCCCUAUGCAUAGGAAGUGGGUUAGACUUAAAUGUGCUAGUCAUAAUCUUCAUGACGCUCUCUUUAGGUUUCAAUUCUUAUCUUUUAUGUGAGCAUCGUUGAAAUCAUCAUGCCUAGCUAGGGGCGUUAAUCGUUAGCGCUUGUUGGGAGGCAACCCAAUUUUAUUUUAGUUUCUUGCUUUUUGGUUCUGUUUAGGAAUAAAUAGUUCAUCUAGCCUCUAGUUAGAUGUUACUUAUGUUUUAAUUAGUGUUUGUGCCAAGUUAAACCUAUAGGAUCUUCUUGGAUAAUAGUUAUUUGAUCUCGCUGAAAAUUCCAGAAACUUUCUGUUCACGAAAACAAUUGUUAAAACUCACCAGAACGUGAUAAAAUACUUAUUCUAAUUACAGAAGAUCAAUAAACAAAUUAUUUAGGUCGUCCUAUUUUGGUAGAUUUUUCUGAGUUCCAGAAGUUUGAGUUAGUUACAAAUUACUACAGACUGUUCUGUUUUUGACAGAUUCUGUUUUUCGUGUGUUGUUUGCUUAUUUUGAUGAGUCUAUGGUUAGUAAAAUAGUUUAUAAACAAUAGAGAAGUUGGAAUAUAGUAGGUUUAAUACCAAUAUAAAUAAAUAAUGAGUUCAUUACAGUACCUUGAAGUGGUGUUUUGUUUUCCUUCGCUAACGGAGCUCACGAGAUUUUCUGUUAAGUUUUGUGUUGUGAAGUUUUCAAGUUUUGGGUAAAGAUUCGAUGGACUAUUGAAUAAGGAGUGCCAAGAGCCUAAUCUUGGGGAUGCCCAAGGCACCCCAAGGUAAUAUUCAAGGACAACCAAGAGCCUAAGCUUGGGGAUGCCCCGGAAGGCAUCCCCUCUUUCGUCUUCGUUCAUCGGUAACUUUACUUGGAGCUAUAUUUCUAUUCACCACAUGAUAUGUGUUUUGCUUGGAGCGUCAUUUUAUUUUGUUUAGUUUUUCUUGCUGUUUGAAUAAAAUACUAAGACCUGAAAUUAUUAAAUGAGAGGGAGUCUUCACAUAGCUACAUAAUUAUUUAACUACUCAUUGAUCUUCACUUAUAUCUUUUUGGAGUAGUUUGUCAUUUACUCGUGUGCUUCACUUAUAUCCUAUGAGUAAAUGGUUGAAUGAUUUGAAUGUCAUAAAUCUGAAAUUAUAUAUGUUUCAUAUGCCUUUCCCAUGGGGAGUAAUGCCUUCACAUAUAAGAAGUAGAGGUGGUAAAUUCUUUGAAGGUUAGCAAACAUUAUAUUGGUCACUUGAACAAUUCAUGAAAGAAUAUUGAAGGAAGAGAGAUUUCACAUAUAAAUAUACUAUCUUGGACAUCAUCUAUGAUUGUGAUCCCCAUUAAUUAUUUUCAAACCUGAGCAAAUUAGUUGAAGUUGGACAAGGAAGACAACAUAAUGAGUUAUGCUUGGUUAUAUUUGUAUAGAAGUUAUAUUGUUAUGGAUGUUCUGACAUGUGGUGCUUGCUAUUUAGAAUCCUUUGCUAGCCAAAAUAUCUGUACUACGCGGGAAUACUGCUUGUGCAUCCAAAAUCCUUAAACCAAGUUCCUUCCAUGAGUGUCCACCAUAUCUACCUAUAUGCGGUAUUUACCUGCCGUUCCAACUAAAUUUGCAUGUGCCAAACUCUAAACCUUCAAAUAAUAAUCUGUUUUGUUUGCCCGAAUCGCUCAUGUAGCGACUAGGGGCUGUCAGUAUCUUCCAUGCUAGGUGGGUUAUUCUCACGAUGAGUGGACUCCGCUCAUCAUUCACGAGAAAAUGGCUGGUAACUGGGAUGCCCAGUCCUAUGAUCAAUAGAUCAAAAACAAAUUCGCAAAUAAUUUAAACAAAACUCCCCUAGGAAUGUUGAUAGUUGGACGGCACCCGUUGUUUCAGACAAGCCGUGGAGUGUGAAUGUUGGUGGAGGAGGAGUAAAAACUUUACCUUUCUGCGUGGGAACCACCUAUAAUGUAUGUAGUAUGGAAGAUAUUGGGAACUCUUGGUCGUUAUGUUGACAAUGAAACCAUACCUCUCAAAAUUAUUUUCAUCUCUGUGUUAGCUUCGAGCUCUGGCACCUCUGCAAAUCCCUGCUUCCCUCUGCGAAGGGUCUAUCUUUUACUUUUAUGCAAGAGUUAGUAGUAUUCCUUCUCAUUCCAACCUACUCUUUAGUUGGCAAGCAUCAUGUGAUGGAAAGAUCUAAGCAUAUAUGGCAAUUCAAAUAUAUUUGAGCAUGAAUUAUUACUGUUGACAUUACCCUUGAGGUAAAAGGUUGGGAGGCGAAACAUUAAGCCCCUAUCUUUCUCUGUGUUCCAUGAAUACUAUUUGUUCUAAAAAUAUGCUUUGAGUGGUAGCAAUCAUGGAAGACUAUAUGAUAGUUGAGUAUGUGGGAUUUGCUAAAUCAAAGCUCUGACAUAGACUCUUCCUGAAAAUAAGAUGAAUUGUAAUUGUUUGAUGACUAAUAACACAGUUUGUUAGUUUUCAAGAAAGUUUAUGAUCUAUACUUUAACAUGUGAAUAGCUUGUUACUUGAUCAUGAAAAAUUCUAUGAGUUGAGCUACUGUUAUGACAUAUAAUGAUGCUAUAAAAGGUGAUUGAAAUUAUCAUUGAUCAAACUUAUGCACCUGCUAGCAUUCACACUUCAUAAAUUAUUUCUUUUAUCAUUUACCUACUCGAGGACGAGCAGGAAUUAAGCUUGGGGAUGCUGAUACGUCUUGAACGUAUCUAUAAUUUAUGAAGUAUUCAUGCUAUUAUAUUAUCCAUCUCGGAUGUUUAAUGGGCUUUACUAUGCAAUUUUAUAUUACUUUUGGGACUAACCUAUUGACCCAGAGCCCAGUGCCAGUUUCUGUUUUUCCCUUGUUUCAGUGUUUCGCAGAAAAGGAAUAUCAAACGGAGUCCAAAUGGAAUGAAACCUUCGGAAAAGUUAUUUUUGGAAAGAAAGCAAUACGGGAGACUUGGAGUGCACGUCAGGGGAUCAACGAGGAGAGCACGAGGCAGGGGGGCGCGCCCACCCCCUGGGCGCGCCCUCCACCCUCGUGGGCCCCUCGUGGCUCCCCUUACCGACUACUUUUGCCUAUAUAUUUCCCAUGUACCCUAAAACCUUCUAGGAACAGAAUAGAUCGGGAGUUCUGGUGCCACAAGCCUCUGUAGCCACCAAAAACCAAUCGAGACUCUGUUCCGGCACCCUGCCGGAGGGGGAUCCCUCACCGGUGGCCAUCUUCGUCAUCCCGGCGCUUUCCAUGACGAGGAGGGAGUAGUUCACCCUCGGGGCUGAGGGUAUGUACCAAUAGCUAUGUGUUUGAUCUCUCUCUCUCUCAUGUUCUUGAGGUGGUACGAUCUUGAUGUAUCGCGAGCUUUGCUAUUAUAGUUGGAUCUUAUGAUGUUUCUCCCCCUCUACUCUCUUGUGAUGAAUUGAGUUUUCCCCUUGAAGUUGUAUUGUCGGAUUGGGUCUUUAAGGAUUUGAGAACACUUGAUGUAUGUCUUUCCGUGCGUAUCUCUGGUGACAAUGGGAUAUCACGUGAUUCACUUGAUGCAUGUUUUGGUGAUCAACUUGCGGGUUUCGCCCAUGAACCUAUGCAUAGGGGUUGGCACACGUUUUCAUCUUGACUCUCCGGUAGAAACUUUGGGGCACUCUUUGAAGUUCUUUGUGUUGGUUGAAUAGAUGAAUCUGAGAUUGUGUGAUGCAUAUCGUAUAAUCAUACCCACGGAUACUUGAGGUGACAUUGGAGUAUCUAGGUGACAUUAGGGUUUUGGUUGAUUUGUAUCUUAAGGUGUUAUUCUAGUACGAACUCUAUGAUAGAUCGAACGGAAAGAAUAGCUUCGUGUUAUCUUACUACGGACUCUUGAAUAGAUCGAUCAGAAAGGAUAACUUUGAGGUGGUUUCGUACCCUACAAUAAUCUCUCCGUUUGUUCUCCGCUAUUAGUGACUUUGGAGUGACUCUUUGUUGCAUGUUGAGGGAUAGUUAUAUGAUUCAAUUAUGUUAUUAUUGUUGAGAGAACUUGCACUAGUGAAAGUAUGAACCCUAGGCCUUGUUUCAACACAUUGCAAUACCGUUUGUGCUCACUUUUAUCAUUAGUUAUCUUGCUGUUUUUAUAUUUUCAGAUUACAAAAACCUAUAUCUACCAUCCAUAUUGCACUUGUAUCACCAUCUCUUCACCGAACUAGUGCACCUAUACAAUUUACCAUUGUAUUGGGUGUGUUCGGGUUGCAGGGUUGUUUGAGAGAGACCAUCUUCAACCUACGCCUCCCACGGAUUGAUAAACCUUAGGUCAUCCACUUGAGGGAAAUUUGCUACUGUCCUACAAACCUCUGCACUUGGAGGCCCAACAACGUCUACAAGAAGAAGGUUGUGUAGUAGACAUCAUUGUACAAGAGGCCAAUGCGGGCGAUGUCGAAGUCGAUCAGCUCAGUGCGAUAGUUGUCGCGGGUGCCGAAGGCCACGGGAAGACGAAUCUUCCCCAGGGGGCUGGAGGAGCCGCCGCCGACCCCGGAGAAGGGCUUGCUGGGGCGGAGCCGCUCGAGCGGUAUGUGAAGGAGGUUAAAAGCCUCCACGGAGAGAACGUUGAGGCUGGCGCCACCGUUGAUGAGGGUCUUGGUGACGGCUACGCUGCAGAUGGUGAGGGUGCAAAGCAUUGGGAGCACGCCCAAGCGGACAGUGGUGAUAGGAUGAUCCCCCGAGUCGAAGGUCAUGUCGGCCUUGGGCGCCGCCCAACCCGGGGGAGCCCCCUGCCGCGCGGAGGCGGCGCCGAUCUAGCGAAAGAACGACUUGGUGUGACGGUCCGAGGGCGACGCUUGCGAGCCGCCGAGGAGGGCCGCGAUAGCGAGGGGUGCCGGUCCCACGAAGCGCUCAGUGAAGAGAUUGUGCAGCUCCUCCCAAGAUGCCACCGGGGAUCCUGGGAGGUUGAGCAGUCAGGCGCAUGGUGAACCAGUGAGGGCCAUGGGAAGCCAGUUGGCCAUGACCUUGUCGUCGCCCCCAGCCUUCAGGGCGACCUCUUCAUAUGCCAGCAGGAAGGCCGACGGGUCUGCCACGUCGUCAUAAUGCGGCGGCAUCACUGGCUUGAACUUGGGUGGCCACUGCACCUGCCACAAAGCGGGGACUAAGGCUCGGAGCACCCUGGCCCCGCCAUGGGCAUCUGUCAUUGCAGCCGGAAGAGCGACGCCGGGCAUGGGGGCAAGGUGCGCUGAUGGCGGAGCGUGGAUCGAUGGAAGGAAGGCUUCGGCGCACCCCUACCUGGCGCACCAAAUGUCGGAUUUCGGGUUCCGGCAAAACCCUUGAGGUUCGAACACUGGGUGCGCACGAAGAUCUCUCCUCCCUCUGGCACUCACCCUCACCACGAUCUCAAGGCUUGGCGCGUCGAACUCGCAGAACAAAGGGACACACGAUUUAUACUGGUUUGGGCCACUAAUGUGGCGUAAUACCCUACUCAAGUGUGGUGUGGUGGGUUGCCUCUCGAGCUGAGGAUGAAUAGUUACAAGGGAAGAACAGCCUCCUGAGGAGAGGUGCUCUUGUGCUCGGUGGGUUUGUGAGUUGGCCUUGGUGGAGUGGAUCCAAUCCAAGAUGAGAUGCCUCCUAUGGUGGUGGCUAGUCCUAUUUAUAGAGGCCCUGGUCCUCUUCCCAAAUAUUAGGCAGGAAGGGAUCCCACAAUGGCCAAUUUGAAGGGAGACAACUAGUACAAGUUAUCCUGACUAAAGGUGGUCUUUGCCUGCCAAAGGCUCUGGUGGUGACGCCGUCUUGGGCUCCACGGUGACCUCCAUCCUACUGUCCUAUGGGUCUUGGUCUUGUUGCACCGAUAUGGAAACCUUUGCCUCAUGCCUCGGGACUCCUCGCCUGCGCUUGCCUCUUUAGCACCAAAGAGGAAAGGAGGACACUACGCGCGCUGGCGCCGGCCUGGCCACGGUCGUCAUGGCUUAUGUCACAGGAACCUCGCGAGGUGCCCCUUGCCUUGAUCUCUCCUCUCCUCGCGAACCAGCCUGGUCAGGCCACUCCUGAGGAGGUCUUGUGUCGUCCGCCUCGCGAGUCUUGGCCCCUCACGAGGGUCUUGAGUGUUUGCUGGUGAAGAUGGGCCGUACAGGGCCGCUGGUGGAGCCACGCCGUGGGCCGCAGGAAGGCAAGUCUGGGGACCCCCGUUCCCAGGACGCCGACACAUACCUAGUUCAAUCUCGUUAUUGGCAAGUCUGUUUACUCGUCCCCAUAAUACAAGAUCUCGUGACUAAACUCAUUAGUCACCUGAAGCUCCUUGUCAUGUUGUAUUACCGAGUGGGCCCAGAGAUAUCUCUCCAUCAUACGGAAUGACAAAUCCCAGUUUCGGUCCAUGCAACCCAACAGAGACCAUUGGAGAUACCUGUAGAGCACCUUUAUGAUCACCCAGUUAUGAAGUGGCAUUUGAUAGCACACAAGGCAUUCCUCCGAUAUCUGGGAGUAGCAUGAUCUCAUGGUCGAAGGAACAGAUACUUGACAUGUAGAAUGCUAUAUAGUAAAACUAAGUGAUACGAUCUUAUGCUAAGCGUAUAAUUGGUUCUUGUCCAUCACAUCAUCUCCUAGUGGUGUGAUCCUGUAUCAAAUGGUAACUCAUGUCUAUGGUUAGGAAACCAUAACCAUCUUUGAUCAAUGAGCUAGUCUAGUAGAGGCUUACUAGGGACAAGGUGUAGUUUAUGUAUUCACACAUGUAUUUAAGUUUCCGGUUAAUAUAAUUCUAGCAUGAAUAAUAAACAUUUAUCAUGAAUGGGAAAUAUGAUAAUAACCAAUUUAUUAUUGCCUCUAGGGCAUAGUUCCAACAAUAUGGGCAACCAAUGUCGGUGCUAAAACCAGCGGAUCUCGGGUAGGGUGUCCCGAGCUGUACGUCUAGGAACAAUGGUAACAGAGAAAGAAAGGGGACAAUGUUUACUCAGGUUCGGGCCCUCUCUAAGAGGUAAACCCUACAUCUUGCUUUGAUUAUAUUGAUGUGAUGGAGUAUCGAGUACAAGAUGAUCUACCCCGAUAUCCUAUGAUUGUGUUCUAAGCCCUAAGCCUGUUAAUCGUGUCCCUAAAGACUAAACUCCUUGGCUUAUAUAUGCAUCGGGGGUACCUAGGUUACACACAUGGUCGGUUGUCAAUUAGUUGGCUAUAGAGCAAUCCUUGAAGUGCAUGCCAAGUCUCCGGAGGUUUCCAUCUUGAUCCCGCUGAGGUUCGUAGCUUAAGUACUCCUUCCUUUUAGUGAUCGGCGGGCUAUAAGCCCGACCCAUGGACCGCGGGCCUUAGGUUAGUACCCCUUAGUAUAGGACAACGUCACCCCCAAGUUGUUGGCAUACUAACGGCUUUGGCACCUUCUCAAUUCUCCAUCCGAAGAGAAAGUCAAUACUUACACCUAAAUUAUCACAGCCUCUCGCCUCGCCUCGUAAUUACCCAUAACUACCAUGAAUGUUUACGCUCUAAUAGGUCACACGUUGAAGAAAAACUACCUAUGUGAGCUCUCACCUCUUCCUCUCCACAUUCAAACUCGCACUAAAUCAUAAUGGGUGAUUUCAACAUUAUUAUAUAGGCUUUUGAUAAUAAGCAUGCCUCCUUCCAUAUAAAUGAGCCGACGCGUUUAACAUCACCAUAAAUAAUCUUGCUCUAAUUGAACUUCCCCUUCUAGACAGAUGGUUUACUGGUCGAACAAACGUGACCAACUAACACUAGUGAGAAUGGAUUGUGGAUUCAUAAGCCUAGCAUGGGAUAAAGUUUUCCCAAAGAUUUCCUCGUGAAUUUGUUUUUUCUCUGGCCAUGUGUCACUUCUAACGUCUGUUGGCACACUGGUCCCCCAUCCUAUGCUUUUUGAUUUGGAAACAGUUCAUCUUCCCACCCAUCCUAUGGAUGACUAUCCUACAAUCCUAACUCUCGACCCAGAUAAGUUCAAACUAAGUCCUCUCGCUGGUUGUCGCACUUAAAUGAACCCCAAUCCAUUGUACAACAUUGGAGUAUGAAGAGCAGCAUUUCAACUGUAACCUUGAACUAUCGCUUAAAAAGUCCUUAUUAGGGUUUUCUAGUGUACGGUCAAGUAAAUGUUCAUUUAUUGGUGCAACACGACAAAGUAUAAGCUGCACUUGAUGGAGAUGAAACCGCUCGCUAUGUUCACACCCUUGUGCCUAUCCAUCUCCGCCAUAACAAAUUCACCACUCUUAUUCAUAAAUGGUCAGGAAUUUGCCCUGCAUGUCUCUAAAGAUAAAAUUGUAUCGGAUUUGUACUCCUCCGUGCUUGGAUUUACCUUCAAGCCAACUUGAAAAUUCUCCCACCUUGACCUUUACCCUUCCUAGCCCCCCCCCAAGUUGGUGGCAUCCUAAGGACCUUAGCACUUUCUCAAUUUUCCAUCCUAAGAGGAAGUCAUUGCUUAAACAUAAACAUCCACGAUCUCUUGCCUCGCCUCAGAAUUACUCAUAAAUAUUGCAAACAUUCACACUCCAGCGAAUCACGUGCUAAAGGAAAACUUCCCAUAUGAACUCUCUCCUCUAUCUCUCCACAUCCAAACUCGCACUAAAUUAUAAUGGAAAUUUCAACAUUACGAGAUAGCCCUUUGAUAAUAACAACGGCCCUUCCAUCCAACAAGUGAACUUGUUUAACAACACCAUAAUAAUCUUGAUGUAAUUGAACUUCCCCUUUCGGAGAAAAGGUUUCCGUGGUCGAACAAACAUGACCAACCAACCUACUGAGAACUAAUUGCAUCGUUAUCAAUGUUUUCCUAACCUUGCAUAAACUUUUUUGAAAGGUCCAGUUUCCAUUGGCUCUUCAUUGAUUUAGCAGAAGGGAGGUUACAAAAAGAUGAUUAAGUGAUCGAUACAUAGAGGCAUGGGGGCGAUCCCUCCCUAAUGUGUUAUAUAUAGAACGAUCUCUCACACAAUUUCCCCAAAGGAUAUCUAUAUGCUCUUUGACCCAUCUAGUCUUCAUUGUUCCAUGUCUCCUCGGCAUUCAACUAUCACGUCAUUGAUGCUCGGAUACUUCCAUCUAAAGGUGCAGCUGUUGCGCUCUUGCCAGAUCUGCCAAGCCACUAGGGCAGCCAUGGUUUUGAUGCCCUUUCUUGAACUGGUCGGAGAGGCGGCAAUGAUGUCCCUGAUCACCUUUGUCAUGGUUCUACUGUUGGGGAACGUAAUAAUUUCAAAAAAAUUCCUACGCACACGCAAGAUCAUGGUGAUGCAUAGCAACGAGAGGGAAGAGUGUUGUCCACGUACCCUCGUAGACCGACAGCGGAAGCGUUAUCACAACGCGGUUGAUGUAGUCGUACGUCUUCACGAUCCGACCGAUCAAGUACCGAACGCACGGCACCUCCGAGUUCUACACACGUUCAGCUCGAUGACAUCCCUCGAACUCCGAUCCAGCCGAGUGUUGAGGGAGAGUUUCGUCAGCACGACGGCGUGGUGACGAUGAUGAUGUUCCACCAACGCAGGGCUUCGCCUAAGCUCCGCAACGGUAUUAUCGAGGUGUAAUAUGGUGGAGGGGGGCGCCGCACACGGCUAAGAGAUCUCAAGGAUCAAUUGUUGUGUCUAUGGGGUGCCCCCUGCCCCCGUAUAUAAAGGAGCAAGGGAGGAGGAGGCCGGCCCUAGGAGGGGGCGCACCAAGUGUGGAGUCCUACUAGGACUCCCUAGUCCUAGUAGGAUUCCACCUCCCAUAUGGAAUAGGAAAAGAGGAAGGGAAAAGGAGAAGGAAGGAAGGGGGCACCCCCCUUCCCUAGUCCAAUUCGUACCAGACCAAGGGGAGGGGUGCGGCCACCCUUGAGGCCCUUUUCCUUCUUUCCCGUAUGGCCCAAUAAGGCCCAAUACGUAUUCCCGUAACUCUUCGGUACUCCGAAAAAUACCCGAAUCACUCGGAACCUUUCCGAAGUCCGAAUAUAGUCGUCCAAUAUGUCGAUCUUUAUGUCUCGACCAUUUCGAGACUCCUCGUCAUGUCCCCGAUCUCAUCCGGGACUCCGAACUCCUUCGGUACAUCAACAUACAUAAACUCAUAAUAAAACUGUCAUCGUAACUUUAAGCGUGCGGACCCUACGGGUUCGAGAACUAUGUAGACAUGACCGAGACACGUCUCCGGUCAAUAACCAAUAGCGGGACCUGGAUGCCCAUAUUGGCUCCCACAUAUUCUACGAAGAUCUUUAUCGGUCAGCCCGCAUAACAAUAUACGUUGUUCCCUUUGUCAUCGGUAUGUUACUUGCCCGAGAUUUGAUCGUCGGUAUCUCGAUACCUAGUUCAAUCUCGUUACCGGCAAGUCUCUUUACUCGUUCCGUAACACAUCAUCCCGCAACUAACUCAUUAGUCACAAUGCUUGCAAGGCUUAUAGUGAUGUGCAUUACCGAGUGGGCCCAGAGAUACCUCUCCGACAAUUGGAGUGACAAAUCCUAAUCUCGAAAUACGCCAACCCAACAAGUACCUUUGGAGACACCUGUAGAGCACCUUUAUAAUCACCCAUUUACGUUGUGACGUUUGGUAGCACACAAAGUGUUCCUCCAGUAAACGGGAGUUGCAUAAUCUCAUAGUCAGAGGAACAUGUAUAAGUCAUGAAGAAAGCAAUAGCAACAUACUAAACGAUCGGGUGCUAAGCUAACUGAAUGGGUCAAGUCAAUCACGUUAUUCUCCUAAUGAGGUGAUCUCGUUAAUCAAAUGACAACUUAUGUCUAUGGCUAGGAAACAUAACCAUCUUUGAUUAAUGAGCUAGUCAAGUAGAGGCAUACUAGUGACACUCUAUUUGUCUAUAUAUUCACACAUGUAUUAUGUUUCCGGUUAAUACAAUUCUAGCAUGAAUAAUAAACAUUUAUCAUGAUACAAGGAAAUAAAUAAUACUUUAUUAUUGCCUCUAGGGCAUAUUUCUUUCAGUCUCCCACUUGCACUAGAGUCAAUAAUCUAGUUCACAUCGCCAUGUGAUUUAACAUCAAUAGUUCACAUCACCAUGUGAUUAACACCCAUAGUUCACAUCGUCAUGUGAUCAACACCCAAAGGGUUUACUAGAGUCAGUAAUCUAGUUCACAUCGCUAUGUGAUUAACACCCAAAGAGUACUAAGGUGUGAUCAUGUUUUGCUUGUGAGAUAAUUUUAGUCAACGGGUCUGUCACAUUCAGAUCCGUAAGUAUUUUGCAAAUUUCUAUGUCUACAAUGCUCUGUACGGAGCUACUCUAGCUAAUUGCUCCCACUUUCAAUAUGUAUCUAGACCGAGACUUAGAUUCAUCUAGAUUUAGUGUCAAAACUUGGAUCGACGUAACCCUUUACGACGAACCUUUUGUCACUUCCAUAAUCGAGAAACAUUUCCUUAUUCCACUAAGGAUAAUUUUGACCGCUGUCCAGUGAUCUACUCCUAGAUCACUAUUGUACUCCCUUGCCAAAAUUAGUGUAGGGUAUACAAUAGAUUUGGUACACAGCAUGGCAUACUUUAUAGAACCUAUGGCCAUAGCAUAGGGAAUGACUUUCAUUCUCGUUCUAUCUUCUGCCGUGGUCGGGCUUUGAGUCUUACUCAAUUUCAUACCUUGUAACACAGUCAAGAACUUCUUUCUUUGACUGUUGUAUUUUGAACUACUUCAAAAUCUUAUUAAGGUAUGUACUCAUUGAAAAAACUUAUCAAGCGUCUUGAUCUAUCUCUAUAGAUCUUGAUGCUCAAUAUGUAAGCAGCUUCACCGAGGUCUUUCUUUUGAAAAACUCCUUUCAAACACUCCUUUAUGCUUUGCAAAAUAAUUCUACAUUAUUUCCGAUCAACAAUAUGUCAUUCACAUAUACUUAUCAGAAAUGCUAUAGUGCUCCCACUCACUUUCCUGUAAAUACAGGCUUCACCGCAGGUCUGUAUAAAACUAUAUCCUUUGAUCAACUUAUCAAAGCGUAUAUUCCAACUCCGAGAUGCUUGCACCAGUCCAUAGAUGGAUCGCUGGAGCUUGCAUAUUUUGUUAGCACUUUUAGGAUUGACAAAACCUCCUAGUUGCAUCAUAUACAACUCUUCUUUAAUAAAUCCAUUAAGGAAUGCAGUUUUGUUUAUCCAUUUGCCAGAUUUCAUAAAAUGCGGCAAUUGCUAACAUGAUUCAAACAGACUUAAGCAUAGAUAUGAGUGAGAAACUCUCAUCGUAGUCAACACUUUGAACUUGUCGAAAACCUUUUUGCGACAAUUCUAGCUUUGUAGAUAGUAACACUACUAUCAGCGUCUGUCUUCCUCUUGAAGAUCCAUUUAUUUUUUAUUGCUUGCCGAUCAUCGGGCAAGUCAACCAAAGUCCACACUUUGUUCUCAUAUAUGGAUCUUAUCUCAGAUUUCAUGGCCUCAAGCCAUUUCGUGGAAUCUGGGCUCACCAUCGCUUCUUCAUAGUUCGUAGGUUCGUCAUGGUCUAGUAACAUAACCUCCAGAACAGGAUUACCGUACCACUCUGGUGCAGAUCUUACUUUGGUUUACCUACGAGGUUUGGUAGUAACUUGAUCUGAAGUUACAUGAUCAUCAUCAUUAACUUCCUCACUAAUUGGCGUAGAAGUCACAGGAACAGAUUUCUGUGAUGAACUACUUUCCAAUAAGGGAGCAGGUACAUUUACCUCAUCAAGUUUUACUUUCCUCCCACUCACUUCUUUCGAGAGAAACUCCUUCUCUAGAAAGGAUCCAUACUAAGCAACGAAUGUCUUGCCUUCGGAUCUGUGAUAGAAGGUGUACCCAACUGUCUCCUUUGGGUAUCCUAUGAAGACACAUUUCUCCGAUUUGGGUUUGAGCUUAUCAGGAUGAAACUUUUUCACAUAAGCAUCGCAACCCCAAACUUUAAGAAACGACAACUUUGGUUUCUUGCCAAACCACAGUUCAUAAGGUGUCGUCUCAACGGAUUUUGAUGGUGCCCUAUUUAACGUGAAUGCAGCUGUCUCUAAUGCAUAACCCCAAAAACGAUAGUGGUAGAUCGGUAAGAGACAUCAUAUAUCGCACCAUAUCUAAUAAAGUACGGUUAUGACGUUCGGACACACCAUUACACUGUGGUGUUCCAGGUGGCGUGAGUAGUGAAACUAUUUCACAUUGUUUUAACUGAAGGCCAAACUCGUAACUCAAAUAUUUUACCUCUGCGAUCAUAUCGUAGAAACUUUUAUUUUCUUGUUACGAUGAUUCUCCACUUCACUCUGAAAUUCUUUGAACUUUUCAAAUGUUUCAGACUUUGUGUUUCAUCAAGUAGAUAUACCCAUAUCUGCUCAAAUCAUCUGUGAAGGUCAGAAAAUAAUGAUACCUGCUACGAGCCUCAAUAUUCAUCGGACCACAUACAUCUGUAUGUAUGAUUUCCAACAAAUCUGUUGCUCUCUCCAUAGUUCCGGAGAACGGCGUUUUAGUCAUCUUGCCCAUGAGGCACGGUUCGCAAGCAUCAAGUGAUUCAUAAUCAAGUGAUUCCAAAAUCCCAUCAGUAUGGAGUUUCUUCAUGCGCUUUACACCAAUAUGACCUAAACGGCAGUACCACAAAUAAGUUGCACUAUCAUUAUUAACUUUGCAUCUUUUGGCUUCAAUAUUAUGAAUAUGUGUAUCACUACGAUCGAGAUCCAACAAACCAUUUUCGUUGGUGUGUAUGACCAUAAAGGUUUUAUUCAUGUAAACAGAACAACAAUUGUUCUCUAACUUAAAUGAAUAACCGUAUUGCAAUAAACAUGGUCAGAUCAUAUUCAUGCUCAACGCAAACACCAAAUAACACUUAUUUAGUUUCAACACUAAUCCCGAAAGUACAGGGAGUGUGCGAUGAUGAUCUUAUCAAUCUUGGAACUACUUCCAACACACAUCGUCAACUCGCCUUUUACUAGUCUCUGUUUAUUCUGCAACUCCCGUUUUCGAGUUACUACUCUUUAGCAACUGAACCAGUAUCAAUUACCGAGGGGUUGCUAUAAACACUAGUAAAGUACACAUCAAUAAUCUGUAUAUCAAAUAUACCUUUGUUCAGUUUUACUAGUCUCUGUUUAUUCUGCAACUCCCGUUUCGAGUUACUACUCUUAGCAACUGAACCAGUAUCAAUUACCGAGGGAUUGCUAUAAACCCUAGUAAAGUACACAUCAAUAAUCUGUAUAUCAAAUAUACCUUUGUUCACUUUCCCAUCCUUCUUAUCCACCAAAUAGUUGGGGUAGUUCCGCUUCCAGUGACCAGUCCCUUUGCAGUAGAAGCACUUAGUCUCAGGCUUAGGACCAGACUUAGGCUUCUUCACUUGAGCAGCAACUUGCUUGCCGUUCUUUUUGAAGUUCCCCUUCUUCCCUUUACCCUUUUCUUGAAACUAGUGGUCUCGUCAACUAUCAACACUUGAUGUUUUUCUUGAUUUCUACCUUCGUCGAUUUCAGCAUCACGAAGAGCUCGGGAAUUACUUUCAUCAUCCCUUGCAUACUAUAGUUCAUCACGAAGUUCUACUAACUUGGUGAUGGUGACUAGAGAAUUCUGUUAAUCACUAUUUUAUCUGGAAGAUAAACUCCCACUUGAUUCAAGCGAUUGUAGUACCCAGACAAUCUGAGCACAUGCUCACUAGUUGAGCGAUUCUCCUCCAUCUUUUAGCUAUAGAACUUGUUGGAGAUUUCAUAUCUCUCAACUCGGGUAUUUGCUUGAAAUAUUAACUUCAACUCCUGGAACAUCUCAUAUGGUCCAUGACGUUCAAUACGUCUUUGAAGUCCCGAUUCUAAUCCGUUAAGCAUGGUGCACUAAACUAUCAAGUAGUCAUCAUAUUGAGCUAGCCAAACGUUCAUAACGUCUGCAUCUGCUCCUGCAAUAGGUUUGUCACCUAGCGGUGCAUUAAGGACAUAGUUCUUCUGUGCAGCAAUGAGGAUAAUCCUCAGAUCACGGAUCCAAUCCGCAUCUUUGCUACUAACAUCUUUCAACAUAAUUUUUCUCUAGGAACAUAAAAUAAACACAGGGAAGCAACAACGCGAGCCAUUGAUCUACAACAUAAUUUGCAAAAUACUAUCAGGACUAAGUUCAUGAUAAAUUUAAGUUCAAUUAAUCAUAUUACUUAAGAACUCCCACUUAGAUAGACAUCUCUCUAAUCAUCUAAGUGAUUACGUUAUCCAAAGGAACUAAACCAUGUCCGAUUAACACGUGAGAUGGAGUAGUUUCAAUGGUGAACAUCACUAUGUUGAUCAUAUCUACUAUAUGAUUCACGCUCGACCUUUCGGUCUCUGUGUUCCGAGGCCAUAUCUGUAUAUGCUAGGCUCGUCAAGUUUAACCUGAGUAUUCCGCGUGUGCAACUGUUUUGCACCCGUUGUAUUUGAACGUAGAGCCUAUCACACCCGAUUAACACGUGGUGUCUCAGCACGAAGAACUUUUGCAACGGUGCAUACUCAGGGAGAACACUUUUAUCUUGAAAUUUUAGUGAGAGAUCAUCUUAUAAUGCUACCGUCAAUCAAAGCAAGAUAAGAUGCAUAAAGGAUUAACAUCACAUGCAAUCAAUAUAAGUGAUAUGAUAUGGCCAUCAUCAUCUUGUGCUUGUGAUCUCCAUCUCCGAAGCACCGUGCUUGUGAUCUCCAUCUCCGAAGCACCGUCAUGAUCACCAUCGUCACCGGCGCGACACCUUGAUCUCCAUCGUAGCAUCGUUGUCGUCUCGCCAACUUAUUGCUUUUACGACUAUCGCUACCGCUUAGUGAUAAAGUAAAACUAUUACAUGGCGAUUGUAUCUCAUACAAUAAAGCGACAACCAUAUGGCUCCUGCCAGUUGCCGAUAACUCGGUUACAAAACAUGAUCAUCUCAUACAACACAUUAUAUCACAUCAUGUCUUGACCAUAUCACAUCACAACAUGCCCUGCAAAAACAAGUUAGACGUCCUCUACUUUGUUGUUGCAAGUUUUACGUGGCUGCUACGGGCUUAGCAAGAACCGUUCUUACCUACGCAUCAAAACCACAACGAUAGUUUGUCAAGUUAGUGCUGUUUUAACCUUCGCAAGGACCGGGCGUAGCCACACUCGGUUCAACUAAAGUGAGAGAGACAGACACCCGCCAGUCACCUUUAAGCAACGAGUGCUCCGAACGGUGAAACCUGUCUCGCGUAAGCGUACGCGUAAUGUCGGUCCGGGCCGCUUCAUCUCACAAUACCGCUGAACCAAAGUAUGACAUGCUGGUAAGCAGUAUGACUUAUAUCGCCCACAACUCACUUGUGUUCUACUCGUGCAUAGCAUCAACGCAUAAAACCAGGCUCUGAUACCACUGUUGGGGAACGUAGUAAUUUCAAAAAAAUUCCUACGCACACGCAAGAUCAUGGUGAUGCAUAGCAACGAGAGGGAAGAGUGUUGUCCACGUACCCUCGUAGACCGACAGCGGAAGCGUUAUCACAACGCAGUUGAUGUAGUCGUACGUCUUCACGAUCCGACCGAUCAAGUACCGAACGCACGGCACCUCCGAGUUCUACACACGUUCAGCUCGAUGACAUCCCUCGAACUCCGAUCCAGCCGAGUGUUGAGGGAGAGUUUCGUCAGCACGACGGCGUGGUGACGAUGAUGAUGUUCCACCGACGCAGGGCUUCGCCUAAGCUCCGCAACGGUAUUAUCGAGGUGUAAUAUGGUGGAGGGGGGCGCCGCACACGGCUAAGAGAUCUCAAGUAUCAAUUGUUGUGUCUAUGGGGUGCCCCCUGCCCCCGUAUAUAAAGGAGCAAGGGAGGAGGAGGCCGGCCCUAGGAGGGGGCGCACCAAGUGUGGAGUCCUACUAGGACUCCCUAGUCCUAGUAGGAUUCCACCUCCCAUAUGGAAUAGGAAAAGAGGAAGGGAAAAGGAGAAGGAAGGAAGGGGGCACCCCCCUUCCCUAGUCCAAUUCGGACCAGACCAAGGGGAGGGGUGCGGCCACCCUUGAGGCCCUUUUCCUUCUUUCCCGUAUGGCCCAAUAAGGCCCAAUACGUAUUCCCGUAACUCUUCGGUACUCCGAAAAAUACCCCAAUCACGUCAUUCUCCUAAUGAGGUGAUCUCGUUAAUCAAAUGACAACUUAUGUCUAUGGCUAGGAAACAUAACCAUCUUUGAUUAAUGAGCUAGUCAAGUAGAGGCAUACUAGUGACACUCUGUUUGUCUAUAUAUUCACAAAUGUAUUAUGUUUCCGGUUAAUACAAUUCUAGCAUGAAUAAUAAAAAUUUAUCAUGAUACAAGGAAAUAAAUAAUACUUUAUUAUUGCCUCUAGGGCAUAUUUCCUUCAUCUACACUGCCCCAGUUGAUCUGAGAGAGCGCACUAAAAACAUUCCAUGAUGCCAACAUUGACUAGAUCAUCUUCUAGAUUGAGCACUCCCACAGUAGAUGGUAGGAGGUCUUUGGGUUUCUAUUGUAGAGCUGGCAGAAAUAACUGUUCUCCCAGCACCUCCUCUGCAGCCAAUCAUUGCACAAGAUCUGGUUGUGAUGGAGAAGCAAGAAGAAGAACUUGAUUUUCCUCAGUGCCCAAAUCUUCCAAACCAGCUGCAUGAGCGAGCCUCGUGGUUGGCCUUCGAACUGUAUGUUGUACGCCAUCUUUGCCGUGUACUUGCCGCCCAUCCUCGAGAUUAUCCCGUCCUCUGCUUCUAGCUUCACGUAUGGAGUGCAAGAGCAACAUGAACUGUGGGAUGAUCUCAUUGAUGUUUCCAUGUCUCGGGUAAAGGAUACAUGUAUCUUCAUGUACUGCUUCUGCUAUUGCGCGGUUCUUCCUGGAGGAGUGAUUGUACAACACUGGGAAUCUUUGUGACAGCGGUUGGUCGCAGAGCCUAGUCUAGUUCCAGAAGGAUGCUUUUCUACCGUUUCUAACAAUCACCUUGGUCGCAAAGGUGAACAACGCCCAAUAUUUGUCAUCGCAGGUUGUGCUUGUAUCCACCCACGGUUUGUCGGGAUGUUUCCAGGCCAUCCGUAACCACCGAAGACGGAGGGCACAUGUGCUACUUGUGAGCUACGUUGGGUCUUCCCCAAAGAGGAGGGGAUGAUGCAGUACAAUAUAGCUAAGUAUUUCCCUCAAUUAAGAACCACGGUUAUCAAUCCAGUACGAGAAUCACGCAACACCUCGUUAGUAGUACAUGCACACAAAAUAAUGAAUACUUGCACCCAAUGCGAACAAGGGGUUGUCAAUCCCUUGACGCAAGACUAAUUUUUGUAGUGAUAGAUAGAUAGAUAAAACACAAAAUAAAACAAAUAAAUAAAAAAUUGCAGCAGGGUAUUUUUGGAUUUUAAUAUAUGAUAAAAUUAGACCUGGGGGCCAUAGUUAUCACUAGAGGCUUCUCUCUUGUAAUAGCAUACGGUGGGUAAACAAAUUACUGUUGGGCAAUUGAUAGAAAAGCAAAUAAUCAUGACGAUAUCCAAGUCAAUGAUCAUGUAUAUAGGCAUCAUGUACAAGACAAGUAGACCGAAACAAUUUUGUAUCUACUACUAUUACUCCACACAUCGACCGCUAUCCAGCAUGCAUCUAGAGUAUUAAGUUCAUAAAGAACGGAGUAAUGCCUUAAGCAAGAUGACAUGAUGUAGACAAAGUAAACUCACGCACGAAUAAACCCCAUCAUUUUAUCCUUAAUGGCAACAAUACAAAUACGUGUCAUGUCCCCUUCUGUCAUUGGGAUUGAGCGCCACAAGAUCGAAUCCAUCACAAAGGACUUCUCCCAUUGCAAGAAAAAUCAAUCUAGUUGGCCAAACCAAAUCAAUAGAUCGGAGAGAAAUACAAAGCUAUAAUAAUCAUGCAUAAAAUAAUUCAAAGAAGACUCAAAUAAUAUUCAUGGAUAAUCUGAUCAUAAACUCACAAUUCAUCGGAUCCCAACAAACACACCGCAAAAAGUGAUUAUAUCGAAUAGAACUCCAAGAACAUCAAGCAGAACAUUGUACUGAACAUAAGAGAGAGAGAGAGAGAGAGAGAGAGAGAGAUAGCCAACCCGAAGGUCUGUGGUAAACUACUCACACAUCAUCGGAAGGGUAUCAAGGUCGAUGUAGAACCCCUUCGUGAUUGAUUACCCCUACGGUGGAGUGCCAGCAGAGGCCUCCAGAUGGGAUCUUGCAAGAACAGGAACUUGCGGCGGCGAAAAAAGUGUUUUGGGUGGCUCUCAGUUGGUUUCCUGAUUUUACGGAAUUUAUAGGGGAGGAAUUAGCUCAAACGGACCUCACGGGCCCCACGAGCCACCAGGGCGCGCCUACACCCUGGGCACUAAGUUAAUAGGUUAGUCCCAAAAAAUGAUAAAUAAUUUCUUGUAAUUGUAUAUAAAACAUCCAAGAUUGAUACUAUAAUGGCAUGGAACAAUAAAAAAUUAUAGAUACAUUGGAGAUGUAUCAAGCAUCCCCAUUCUUAAUUCCUACUCAUCCUCGAGUAGGAAACUGACAAAAACAUAACUUUUAAUGUGGAAUGCUACCUAUCAUAUUCAUCAUAUAAUCUUUUAUUUUGUGGCAUGGAUAUUUGGAUUCGAGUGAUUCGAAGAAAUGGUCUAUAGUUUGACAUGAAAACGUAAAUACUCAAGCAUACCAACAAACAACCAUUUCUUUCAAAAUAUCAAAUAAAGAAAGUUAUCCCUAGCCCACUAUGCUCAAUCAUUGAUCCAUUCAUGAAACACACUCAAUAUUAACUACACCCAAUGCACAAGUAUUACAAUAGUGCUCUCUAGUUGGUGCUUUAUAAGAGAAGAUGAAGACUCAAAAUAAAAAUAAAAAUUGCGUAAAAGUCAAGACGAUAGGACCUUCGCAGAGGGAAGUAGAGAUUUACAGAUGUGCGAGAGCUCGAAGUUUAGAAUAGAGAGAUAAAGUUAUUUGAGAGGCAUGCUUUUCCUGUCAACGAAAAUGACCGGGAAUUCCCAAUACCUUCCAUGCUAGACACAUUAUAGGCGGUUCCCAAACAGAAAAUAAAGUUCAUUUCCUUUCCACCAUUCUUUCACAAUCCAUGGCUAGCCGUAUCCAUGGGUGCCUUCCAUACCAACACUUUCCAAGGAAUUUAUUAUUACUAUUCAUUUCUCGACUGGGCAUCGCUAUUACCACCCACUUUCUUAGGCAAUGACAAGUGAAUAAACACUCAUCGUGAGAAUAACCCGCCUAGCAUGGAAAAUAUUGGCCACCCCCUGCUGCUUCAUGAGCGGUACGAGCACCCAAAAUGGAAAAUUAUUUUGAAUGAUUAUAGUUGGCACAUGCAAAAUUACUUGGAACGACAUGUAAAUACCACUUAUAGGUAGGUAUGGUGGACUCAUUUGACACAACUUUGGGUUUGAGGAAUUGGAUGCACAAACAGUAUUCCCGCUUAGUAGAAAUGAAGGCUAGCAAAUAGAUUGAGAAGCGACCAACCAAAAAGCAAAAACGGUCAUAAACAUGCAUUGAACAUAACUAACACUGAAUAAUGCACCAUAAGUAGGAUAUAACUUUGUUGCAUAAAUAUUGACUUUACGUGCAUGCAUAGGGAAUCACGAACCUUAACACCAAUAUUUUUACUACUCCCUCCGUCUCACUUUACAAGUCCUACGCGUAUACCUAGGUUGUAAAUUUUAUCACCAUAAUAUACACUAUAUAACACAAAAAUUAUACCAUUUGAAAAUAGAACAUCUGAAGUUUAUAUUGGUAUAUUUUUUGUAAUAUAUAAUUUGUAUUAAAUUGGUCAAAUUGACGAUCUAGGGGUACGCGCACGCCCUGUAAACUGAGAGAGAGGGAGUAAAGCACAAUUACUCACUAGCAUAACUCACAUAUUAUCAUCUCGAUAUCGCAAAACUAUUGCAAGGAAUCAAACUUAUCAUAUCCAAUGAUCUACAUGAAAGUUUUUAUUAUAUCCGUCUUGAAUAUUCAUCACACACUACUAGGGAAAAAUUUAUACACAAGAACUUACCAGUAGCGCGAGUCAAAAAGAAGCACUACUACUAUUUACGAGAAGCGCUACUACUAUUUACCACUAGCGCUGCAACUAAGUUUAUAGUAGUAGCGCGUCUCGGGAAAGAAGUGCUACUACUACAAUUCCCAUACUAUUCUCGCCAGGCUGCGUAUAGUAGUAGCAUGCUUAUGCAAAGCGCGCUGCUACUAAGAUGGUUGUAGCCGCGUGUUUUACGCGGAAAGCGCUACUGGUAAUGAAAAGAAAAGAAAAUGAAAAACAUAUAGAAAACUAAAUGAAAAUGAAAGAAAUAGAAAAAGGGAAAGGAAAAAAAAGAAAAUAUGAAGAAAAAUAAAUGAAAAAUAAAAAUAAAAGAGAAAGGCGUAGCAACAUCGUGCUUUCAGGACAAGCGCUAUAGCUAACGUAGCACUAGUGCGUUAUUUCAGCCAGCGCUAUAGCUAAGUUAGCUAUAGCUAAUCUAGCAGUAGCGCUUUUCCAGGCCAGCGCUACUGCUAUGUUUGACUUAAUCGCGCGGUCCUUCUUCCCCGCGGCCACUUCCCCCAAAUCCCCCCUCGAUCUGUUGUCGCCGCCGUCGUCACCCUACAUCGCCGUCGGCCGCCGCGUGCUCUCCCGUCGCCCUCUGCGCACCCUCUGCUGCCCUCGGUGGCCGCCGUCGUCGUCGCCCUACAUCGCCGCACUCCGCCGCGUGCCCAAGCCCUGACCCUGACCUCGAUGCCGCGUGCCCCUCCCUCGGUCGCUCCCUAACUCCGCCGGCGCCCGAGGUGAGCACGCCUACACCUCCUCCUCCUCCUCCUCCCCUACAUCUGCCUAGCUAGGGUUCCUAGGGUUCAUCAAAUUUUAGGGUUCAUCUAAUUAGUUAGGGUUCAUCAAAUUAGCUACUAUUUGUAGAUGCUUAAGUAGUUAUAUAGGAUAGUAGUUGUAGAUGCUUAAUUAGUUUUUAGGGCAGUAGUUGUAGAUGCUUAAUUAGUUUUUAGGACAAAUUCCUAGGGUUCAUCAAUGGGUGCUUAAGUAGUUGUAGAUGCUUAAGUACCUAGCUAUGGUUCAUCUAAUUACUUAGUACUUGUAGAUGCUUAAGAACUAGGGCAGUAUGGUUAACUAGAUAUUAAUUAGGGCAGUAGUGUUUAGUUUAGAGAAAAAAUUCAAUAUAGUUUUUUUACUGUUUUCUAGUAAGUGUUUAAUAGAAUUAGUAAGAAAAUUAAUAGAACUAGUUUAUUUUUAGUAAGAAAAUUAAUAGAACUAGUUGAACUAGUUUAUUUUUAGUAAGAACUAGUUUAUUUUUAUUUAUAGUAAGUGUUUACUUGAAUUAAUAGAACUAGUUUAUUUUUAGUAAGAAAAUUUAGGUAUAUGAGAAUUGAUGAUCUAAUUAAAAUUUUACUAUAGAACUAGUUUGUUUUUAGUAAGAAAAUUAAUAGAACUAGUUUAUUUUUAGGUGUAUUUAACAGUAUUUUAGGUUGAUUUGUUUUGAAGUGGACAUGUCAUAUUUUGAACAUGUCACGUUUGUUGUCAUUUUUUUAGUUAAAGCAAUUAUUCCCACAUCGACGUCGACGAUGCCUAUCCCGCAUCCUCGUUGUCGACUCGGCAGAGGAGACCUGCUUGAUCAGAGGGGCCAUGUCUGGGACUGGGCUCCGCCAGGCUGGUACUGGGAGGUGCUACCUUCCGAGGGGCGCAGCUUGGUGAGGAGGCAACCCGUCGUUGACUGAACUUUCUUUGGUGGCGAUCACGUGGGCUAGUGGCGAUGCGGAGGCUUUCGUCCCCCACGGAGGUCGUACGUCACCGUGUCAGCGAGGAGGACAAGCACGUCCGUCGCUACAUGGUUGCGUUGGAGGGCAGGUUCUCUAAUACCUGUCAGGUUCUUUAGGGAUCUCACUGGAGCUAUGAUCCUGUGAUGGAUCCUUCUCUUUGGGUGUCCACCGCCUGCGCCGAUACCCGUCGUUCGCUAGGGUUUUAGCUGUAUUAGUGAUGUUAUAUGUAUGAUACUAUUCGAGAUGUAUUAGUGAUAAUAUUCGACGAUGUAUGGACUCAAAGGAUGAUUUAGUUUUGCUUAUUGAAUGCAUGCUAAUUUGAAUACUUAUUUAUUUUAUGAUUUGUUUUUGCUUAUUGAAUGCUCAAAUUGGAGAAGUACUCCUAUUUUGAAUGCUCCAAUUGGACCCCACUAUGCAAGGCGUAUGCAUUUGAUUAGUUGAUAGCUUAUAGGGUUUUUGUUUUUGCAGAAAUCAAGGAGCCCCUCCAUCAUCCCCGCCGUCGUCCCCGUCACCGACCCCCUCCGACCUCGAGGUGAGACCAGCCAAAUCUCCAUGUCAAUAUGAGUCCUAUAAGAUAUUUUGAAAUGUUUUUGUUCAUAUUUUCAACCAUUCAAAUGAAAUGACCAUCAAGUUUGAAUGUUCAUAUGAUGUGAUAUAAACAUGUAUAUCUUGUGUUGCUCAAAUAGGAUAUGUGUUUACCCAAGUGGCCGGCCAUGUUUGCAGGUUACACCUCCGAGUGGCCUAUGUUUUGCCGGAGUGUUGAUUAAUUUCUGUUCUGGCAAAUUUCAGGCACUCGAUAUGUCUUUUUUAGCAAAGGUCAUGCCGGAUUUUUCUGUGAAAUUUUGGCAUGACUUGUGCUAGAAUAUGUACGAAAUAUCAAGUGGCCUGUAUUUUCUAGAAAGAUAAUUAAACGACAUUUCGGGUUGGCUUUAAGUCUGUCGAGGCUCCAUACAUGACAGUCAACAAAUGAGUGAGUAACGAGCAUCACCGACGAUCAAAAAAUCAGUGAGGGAGUGUGUCCACCAUACAUGAGAGAGGACGAAGAAUCCUGACUGUUGUCGUGGGGGUCGUUUCUCCUUCUUCUCCUUGUGCUAGACCUUUGUUAUACACUAGGGGAAGGAGGAGUAACGACCAUCACCGACGGUCGCAAAUGUCAAAGAGGAAUUAGUGAGGGAGAAUCUCCACCAUAUAUGAGAGGACGAAGAAUCCCGACUGUUGUCGUGGGGGUCGCUUCUCCUUCGUUCCCGUGUGCUAGACAUUUUGGUGUAAUGCACUCGGGGACGAAGGGAGGAGCGACCAUCACCGACGGUUGAAUAUAUACACCACGUGAGCUGAGAGUUAUAAAGAAAAGACUCGGCAGACCGAUAGUCAACCCGUGAUGAAUAAUAAUGAUCUAAUUUAGUUUUUGUAGUACAUAUAUUUAAUUGUACAAGUUUAAUCUUUGAAUUAUGAACAUAGGAAAUGUCGUCAUCAGACGAUGAAAUUCUCCCGGGGGAGUGCGACUGGUGCAACGAUGACCGAGGUCUGUGUGACAGGCCUCACCUGGACGAAGAUCGGCGCUUCAGCAUUAAUCUCCAGGAGACCUUCGAUGUUGAAAUGGUAUGCAACGACGGCAAGUGUUUUUUUCGUAAUGAAGCACGACUUCAACGACUUCAACGUGUAAUUUUCGUCUUUUACAAUUCGACUAGCUUAUCCCAUGCCAUGCAAGAAGCUAUGUCUUGGAGAGGAUGGAUUUUGAAGAUCAUGAAAGUAUGGAAACAAAGAAAAUUCACCUAAGGACCCAUCAUGCUAUGGAUUUUGAAGUAAAUCUAUACAAUUCUGAGAGCGUAACCCAUUUUGGUUGCCCGAAUUGGAAGCACUUUGCAAGAUGUAUGAUUUUCAUGAGGAUAUGCUUAUCACCAUGGAUCUUGGUGAUCCUGACAUCGGCCAAGACAAUAUGGACAUUUGUGUCCUUGUUGAUACGCUUCCAAUUCUACCACUAUGUGAGUUUCUCAAACAUAGUUAUUAAGUAAUUUAUAUUGUUUAUUUGAAAAUAGUUGACAGCUUAUUUCUAUUGACAGCUUAUUUUCAUUCUUCAAAGAAUGUGCGGAAGAUGAUAGACAGAACCUACUACACCAAUGGCUCAGAAUUAACUUAUCAGAAGAAAAAUCAUCUGAUCUCAUUUAUUACUGACAUUGAGAAUUACAAUAUCUAUUAUCAAACUCCUCCACAUUAUGGUCAAUACGUGCCACUAGUGCAUGUGUUGAACUACGGUAACAUCCAUGGAGAUGCCAUGGUAAGAUUUUUUACUAUUACGACAUCCGUGCAUCUUUUGCAUAAAUUCUUCUAAAACUGUACUACAUUGCUAACUACGAAGUUAUUACUAUGUUUUUCAACAGAAAAUCCCGAAGGAUUAUGUGCCUGAUCUGAUGUUUGGGAAAGGUCACCUUGAUGUUUUGACAUACGGCCAGGUCAUCCUACGAAUCACUCCUGUCCAUAUCGGAUUUCUAAAACCAAUGAAGACAUGACAAUCAAAGAUUGGAAAAAUUGUAUGGUCAAUCGUAGGGAGCUACUUGGAAGCAACAUUGUGCGAAGGGCAAGAAUUGGAGACAGGAUCAUCUCCAUUAUCCAUAAUGGAGAGUCAGGUCCUAUCUUGUUUUAUGCUAUUUUACCUAAGAGAGGGUAGUAGGUCCUAUCAGAGAGGAGUAGGUACUAGGUACAAUGUGUUAUUAUGUGCUACAAUGUGUUAGAGUAAAUGAUGAGGAGGAGUUGUGGUUAUGACUAGUGACCAACUUGCUAUAUGAUGUCUCAUUGAUGGAAAUGAUGAUCAUGCGUAGGUGUUAUAUGACAAUUAUGUAUUAUGAUGAUAAGUUGUUAAUGAUAUGAUGAUGAUUUAUUAUAUCAUUGGGUGAAAGAACCGCGGAUUGGUUUCAAGUGGGUGGAUCCAUCCACUUGAAACUAGUCCACGGUUCUUUCACCCAGUGAUGCAAUAACUCAUUAUGAUGUAAAAACAAUCUCUAAAUUUGCUACUGUAUGAAAACUUGUAUAAUAGUGUAUAAAUACGACAUAAAAUGAAAAAUAAAUAUAAUACGCAAUAAUAGUAGUAGCGCGGGUGCAGAGGCGCGCUGCUAGUACUUACUAGUAGCGCGUUAUGAAUAAAGCGCUACUACUAAGUACGUAUAGCAGUAGCGUGUAUUGACCAAUGCUACUGCUAACCUUUAGCUGUAGCACCUUAUCAGUAGCGCGGCACCCCGCGCUACUGAUAGGCCAAAAACCCGCGCUACUGCUAGGCUUUUCCCUAGUUGUGACACCGGGACCAAAUUCAUAUCUUGUGCAAAUUACCAUUACUAUUGUCAACUCUCAAAAAGAUAUAAGUGAAGCAUGAGAGUGCAAAUAUUUCUUUAGAAUAUAAUCACCUCCGUGAUAAAAAAUAUAUAAGUGGAGUACUAGAGCAACUGCCUAGCUCAAAGGAUAUAAGUGAAGCACGUAGAGUAUUCUAACUAAUCACGAAAAAUAUGUGUCCCUCUCAAAUAGGUGUGUACAGCAAAGAUGAUUGUGACAAACUAAAAAUAAAAAAAAGCAAAGACUCAUGUAGUACAUGACGCUCCAAGAAAAACUCAUAUCAUGUGAUGAAUAAAAAUAUAGCUCCAAGUAAUAUUACCGAUGGUCGGUAGAAGAAAGAGGGGAUGCCUUCCAGGGCAUCCCCAAGCUUAGUUGCUUGGGAGUCCUUAAAUAUUACCUUGGGGUGCCUCGGGCAUCCCCAAGAUUAGGCUCUUUCCACUUCUUAUUCCUUCAUCCAUCAUGAUCUCACUCAAAACUUGAAAACUUCAGCACACAAAACUCAACAAAACCUUCAUGAGAUCCGUUAGUAUCAUAAAGCAAAUCACUACUUCAAGUAUGGUUGCAAACCCAUUCAUAUUUUAUUAUUGCAUAUAGUAUUGUAUUCUAACUUCUCCAUGUCUUAUACCCCCCGAUACAAUCCAUAGUUUCAUGAAAACAAGCAAGCAAUGCAACGAAAACAAAAUCUGUCAAAAACACAACAGUACGUAGUAAUCUGAAUAUUGACCAUACUUCUGUAACUCCAAAUAUUCUGAAAAAUUAUUAAAUCGGGGGCAAUUUUUCAAUCAAUCAUGUGUAAAAAAAUUCAUAGCAAAAACAUGUUCCAGUGAAUUUACAAAAUUCCAGAACUAGGCGCAAAAGUUUCUGAUUUCACAAAAUUGAAUCGACUAUCAUCCAAAUCAUCCUAAAGGCUUUACUUGGCACACACACUAAUUAAAACACAAAAAUGCAACCAUAACAGUAGCAUAAUUGUGUGCACAAUCAAAAAACAGAAAAAGAACAAUAGAAUUAAGAUCACUAUUGGGUUGCCUCCCAACUAGUACUAUUGUUUUACGCCCCUAGCUAGGCAUAAUGCAUACUUUCAAGUGUUGUCAUCUUUCAAAUUUAUUCCAUAGGUGGCCCUCAUAAUGGAUUCAUAUGGUGGCUUAAAUUUUUUUCUAGGAAAUUGCUCCAUACCCUUCUUUCAUGGAAGAUAAAGUAGACCCGGGGUCCAUAGUUUUCACUAGAGGCUUCUCUCUUAAAAAUAGCAUACGGUGGGUAAACAAAUUACUAUAGGCAAUUGAUAGAAAAGCAAAUAGUCAUGACGAUAUCCAAGGCAAUGAUCAUGUAUGUAGGCAUCACGUCCGAGAAAAGUAGACCGAAACGAUUCUAAAUCUACUACUAUUAGUCCACACAUUGCCCGCUAUCCAGCAUGCAUCUAGAGUAUUAAGUUCAUAAAGAAUGGAGUGAUACGUCUCCAACGUAUCUAUAAUUUUUGAUUGUUCCAUCCUAUUAUAUUAUCUAUCUUGGAUGUUUUAUAUGCAUUUAUGUGCUAUUUUAUAUGAUUUUUUGGACUAACCUAUUAACCUAGAGCCCAGCGCCAGUUUCAGUUUUUUCCUUGUUUUUGAGUUUCGCAGAAAAGGAAUAUCAAACGGAGUCCAAUUAAGCUAAAAAUUUACGGUGAUUUUUAUGGACCAGAAGAAGCCCCCGAAGCAAAAGAGUUGGGCCAGAAGAGCCAUGAGGCCUCCACAAGGGUGGAGGGUGCCCCUACCCCCUGGGGGCGCCCUCCGUCCUUUUUAUCGCCUCCUGGGCCCCCUUGACUUGUUCCCGACGCCAAAAAUUCAUAUAAAUACAGAAACCCCCAGAAAUAAACCUAGAUCGGGAGUUCCGCCGUCGCAAGCCUCUGUAGCCACCAAAAACCAACUGGGACCCUGUUUCGGUACCCUGCCGGAGGGGGGAAUCAUCACCGGUGGCCAUCUUCAUCAUCCCGGCGCUCUCCAUGACGAGGAGGGAGUAGUUUGAUGAGGACAUGUACCUAGGGUAGGGUCACAGGCCUGACCUAAAUACCCUCCCCAAGGACAUCACCCUAGAACCAGAAGCAUUCGAAGAAGAAUCAUCAUCCACUCGACCAUGAAGCAUUCUACGCGACAGACUUAAAGUCACUCGACCAUGGAGACUAUCACUCGACCGGCAGAAGAUCUAAAGCCACUCCAUACUGCAACGGUCGGUCAUUACGUCGUAGCUUUAAUGGUCAUUAUGUCUCUUUUACUAACAUUACCAGUAAUGCCCUAUCUUAAUGUGCCUUAAACCCUGUGUAAUUGAGGGCCGGAGGGGUCUGGAAAACUCUAUAUAAGCCGCCCCCUCCUCAGUGACAAGGGUUCGCACCCCUUGUAACACACACGCAUAUAAUCCAGUCGACCGGCUCCGGGCUCCGAGACAUAGGGCUGUUACUUCCUCCGAGAAGGGCCUGAACUCGUAAAGCUCGUGCGUACAGCUUCUCCAUAGCUAGGAUCUUGCCUCUACAUACCUACCCCCCUAUUCUACUGUCAGACUUAGAACCACGACAGUUGGCGCCCACCGUGGGGCAGGUGUUUUAGCGACUUGUUGGAGAAGUUGCAAUUUUUCCGAUCCCCAUCAGCAUGGUUUCAGGCGGAGGAUUGGCCGAGGGCCGCGAGAUCCGUUUCGGCACACUCGUGUUCAUCGCCGACGACUCCGCUUGGCUCCAAGAAGCUCUACUCGACGUCGAGGCGCUCCCCGUCCGCUGGGCAACGCACUUUCGCGUGUGCGUCCGUGGCGUCCUCCUGCGGCAGCCGUCGACCCAGUAUCAGUCGGCUCCGGUGGCGUCUUCACUCCCUGCUGCCCGCCGGCACAAGCGUUACGGUCCGUCGAGGCUCCAGCGGUGGGUGAGGCACGCGGUGGCUCGCCAGUCGGCCAUCCCCCAAGUCGCGGGAAUCGAGCCCGACGAAACUCUCUACGGCCUGUUCGACUGGCUCCGUUGAGACCGCAUCCGAGUGCGACAGCAGUGACCUCGCGGUGGAAGUCCUGAUGGUUAACGGACCGCGCAGUCCUCCUGGCUUCCCCCGCAACGACGGUGGUGAUGGCGGAGGCGAUCCGUCGCGCGCCCGCAAGGAGUACCGCCCCGAGCCCCUCUCUUCGCAGCAGAGGGAAGAGCUUCGCCGCCGUAACAUGGAUGCACUUCACACUCCUAUCGUUGGAGAAACCCCCGAGGCUCGGACCUUGAAGGAGGUGUGCUGGCCAACUUGGCUGAGUGCACUCGACUGGAGAAUCUCCAGCAUGCACUCGACGAGCGUGCUCGGCAGCGAAUUCCUGAAUCCAGUCGACGACAACUUUUCCUGCCUCCAACCCAGGUAUAUCGAACUCCGAUCCAGAAUCUCACAGCUGCUGCCCGAAUAGCAGAGUCGAUUCAGCCUUCCCAGUCGGAGGCUGGUAGGGGAUUGAUGCAGAUCUAGGGUUUGCUCCGGGCGGCAGGGGAGCAGAACACAGCAGUGUCACAGUCUCAGAAUAGGAUUCAUAGCAGAUCCGUGGUAGCAGACACAGUCCAGUCGGCUCACAGUCCAAGAUCGCCCCCGAGGCGUGAGGGACGUGGAGACCGACGAGAUCAGUACAGAAACCAUGAGCACAGUAUGAUCACCGACUCGACCACGAUGAUGUCGUCGAGUGCCCACGCCUCCCCCAAGGAGUGGGUCAUACGUGCCUCGGCAGCACGAUGACAGGCGUCCUCACAGUGGUGGGCGAAGGGUUCCAGUUGACCCCCGAGAGCCGGGCUUUGACGCGAGAUCUAUUCUCGUUCAAGGUCUGGUUGACAGGAACAGAGCGCACAGAGAAGGCCACGACAGAGAUUACCCAACUGGCAGCAGAGUGCAUGUUUCAGGUCCCGAGUGUUUCAGUAGAGCCAUCAGGGCUGCAGUGAUUCCUCCCAACUUCAGGUUGGCGACUGGAGUCAGCAAGUUCACUGGUGAGUCCAAGCCUGACACUUGGCUUGAGGACUACCGAGUGGCUGUUCAGAUUGGUGGCGGCAACGAUGAAGUGGCCAUGAAGCACCUUCCUUUGAUGUUGGAAGGCUUGGCCAAGGCGUGGUUGAAUCAGUUAGCACCGGGUAGCAUAUAUAGUUGGGAGGAACUCGCCCGAGUGUUUGUUAGGACCUUUGAAGGUACAUGCAAACGGCCGGCAGGGUUAACAGAGUUGCAGUCCUGUGUGCAGAAACCGAAUCGAACCUUGAGAGACUAUAUGCAGAGAUGGAUCACGUUGCACCACACGGUGGAGAAUGUGUCUGAUCACCAAGCACUUUGUGCCUUCAAGGAAGGCAUCAAGUAUCGAGAAUUGAAUCUAAAGUUCAGUCGGACUGGAGAUAUGUCUCCGGGUCAAAUGAUGGAAAUUGUCACCAAGUAUGCUAAUAGUGAAGAGGAGGAUCGGCUCCGGAGUGGCAAGCACAAAAUAGUCGCCCACGAAACCAGAGGAGGGAACUCCAGUCGGAAGCAGAAGCGCAAAGCCGAGCCAGCUGCUCCCGGAGAAGCCUUAGCCGUGACUCAAGGAAAGUUCAAGGGGAAGCCCAAAGGGCCAUGGAACCCCAAAAAAGUAAAAGAUCAAGAUGGAAAUGAUGUGUUAGAUUUACCAUGCCACAUUCACACCAAAAAAGAUGACGAGGGUAAUCUCAUUUACCCGAAACAUACCACACGACAAUGUCGGCUCCUAAUCCAGCAGUUCCGAGAGAAACAGCCCAAAAAAAAGGAGAAUGAAUCGGACAAAGUUGAGGAUAAGGAAGAGGAUGAUGAUGGUUACCCCCACGUCAAUUCCACUCUGAUGAUUUUUGCUGAUGUUGAGAGCAAGAGUCGACUGAAAGUCAUCAACAGAGAAGUGAACAUGGUCGCUCCGGCGACGCCCAGUUAUUUGAAGUGGUCCCGGACUGCCAUUACAUUCGACCAGUCUGAACACCCGACACACAUAGCCACCCCUGGGAGGCAAGCGUUGGUGGUCGACCCAGUCGUCGAAGGCACUCGGUUGACUAAGGUUCUGAUGGAUGGUGGUAGUGGCCUGAAUAUACUGUAUGCAGAGACCUUGAAAGGAAUGGGCAUUCUGAUGUCCAGACUCUGUGAAAGCAAUAUGAGUUUCCAUGGGGUUAUUCCUGGCAAGAAGGCUAAGUCACUCGGCCAGAUCACCCUCGAUGUGGUUUUCGGUGAUUCCAAGAAUUACCGCAAAGAAAAGUUGACGUUUGAAGUCGUCGAUUUCCAGAGUGCUUAUCAUGCUAUUCUGGGAGGCCGGCUUAUGCACGUUUCAUGGCUCGACCAUGUUACGUUUACCUCAAAUGGAAGAUGCCUGGCACUAAAGGAGUGAUCACUAUCACUGGCAAUCGGAAGAAGGCAGAAGAGUGCUUCCAGAAGGGCUCAAAGAUCGCCGAUGCGCAAAUGGCAGUAGUGGAAUUGCAGGAGUAUCAAAAAAUGCAGAUCCGAGUGAUUUGUUGCGAGCUAAGAAGCCUGCCACGGAUUCAGCGUUUCAGUCGUCUGGUGAAACGAAGCCGGUUCAUAUUCACCCGACCGAUCCCAAUGCUGCUCCGACUCACAUUUCGACAACACUCGACUCCAAAUAGGAAGAAGCGCUCAUCCAGUUCCUCCGUGAGAACUGGGACAUCUUUGCAUGGAAACCUUCUGACAUGCCGGGUGUUCCCAGGGGCCUGGCUGAGCACCGUUUGCGAGUCGACCCAAAAGUGAAACCAGUCAAAGAACAUCUUCGACGGUCCGCCGUACAGAAGAGAAAAGCAAUCGGUGAAGAAAUGGCUUGGCUCCUAGCAGCUGAGUUUAUCCGAGAUUUACCACUCCGAGUGGUUAGCCAAUGUUGUCAUGGUCCCCAAGAAGGACGACUCACUUCGCAUGUGCAUUGACUUCAAGCAUAUCAAUCGAGCCUGCCUGAAAGAUCACUUUCCUCUCCCCCGCAUCGAUCAAAUAGUCGACUCGACUGUAGGGUGUGAGCGCUUGUCCUUUUUGGACGCUUAUUCCGGGUAUCAUUAGAUCCGACUGUAUGGACCCGAUGAGAUAAAAACAGCUUUCAUCACUCCAUUUGGGUGCUUCUGUUAUGUCACGGUGCCAUUCGGCCUGAAGAAUGCUGGAGCCACAUUCAUGAGGAUGAUUCAGAAGUGUUUACUCACUCAAAUCAGUCGGAAUGUGGAAGCAUACAUGGAUGACAUUGUGGUCAAGUCACGUAAAGGUUCCGACCUGUUGGCUGACCUUGCUGAAACUUUUGCCAACCUCAGAAGGUAUGAUAUCAAGCUUAAUCCAUCAAAGUGCACAUUCGGAGUUCCGGGCGGAAAAUUACUCGGCUUCCUCGUUUCCGAACGGGGGAUCGACGCUAAUCCAGAGAAAGUUGGUGCCAUUCUCCGAAUGAAAUGCCCUGUGCGUGUGCACGAUGUCCAAAAGCUUACAGGUUUUUGGCCGCCUUAAGUCGAUUCAUUUCUCGCCUCGGCGAAAAGGCAUUGCCUCUUUACCGACUGAUGAAGAAGUCUGAUAAGUUCGAGUGGACUCCUGAAGCUGAUGCAGCAUUUGCAGAGCUCAAAGCCCUGCUUUCCACCCAGCCGGUGCUUGCUGCCCCAAUCAGCAAAGAGCCUUUACUACUUUACAUUGCAGCCACUGGACAAGUCGUCAGUACAGUACUUACGGUCGAGCGAGAAGAAAAAGGAAAAACUUAUAAAGUUCAGCGCCCAGUAUAUUAUGUUUCUGAAGUUUUGACUCCAUCAAAGGAAAGAUAUCCACAUUAUCAGAAGCUUGUUUAUGGGAUUUAUAUGACCACGAAGAAGGUUGCACAUUAUUUCUCUAACCACUCCAUUACAGUCGUCAGCGACGCUCCAUUACCAGAAAUUCUGAACAACAGAGAUGCAACUGGUCGAGUGGCUAAGUGGGCGAUUGAACUUCUUCCCUUGGAUAUUAAGUUUGAGGCAAAGAAAGCUAUCAAGUCCCAAGCAAUAGCAGAUUUCCUCGCCGAGUGGAUCGAACAGCAGCUGCCGACUCAAGUCCACUCGGAGCACUGGACCAUGUUCUUUGAUGGUUCCAAGAUGUUGAAUGGUUCUGGUGCUGGGGUGGUACUGGUAUCCCCCCGAGGAGACAAGCUCAGAUAUGUUCUCCAGAUUCACUUUGAUUCCUCCAAUAACGAAGCGAAAUAUGAAGCACUCUUAUAUGGGUUACGUAUGGCCAUCUCACUCGGCGUCCGUGCCUCAUGGUCUACGGGGACUCAGAUUUGGUAGUCAAUCAAGUGAUGAAGGAGUGGGAAGUCAGAAGCCCAGCUAUGACUAGUUACUGCAAUGCGGUGAGGAAGUUGGAAAAGAAAUUUGAGGGGUUAGAGCUCCAUCAUAUACCUCGACUGAAAAAUCAAGUAGUCGAUGAUUUGGCAAAGAUAGGUUCCAAGAGGGAAGCCAUUCCCAGCAACGUGUUUUUGGAACACAUUCAUACACCUCCAGUUCAAGAAGAUCCUUUCACUGAAGAGCCCCCGCAGCCUAAGAGUGCCACAGAUCCGACUGAAGUCGAAGUCCCAGCCGUGGUCGACCUGAUCAUGGAGGUUUUGGUCAUCACUCCCGACUGGACAGUGCCAUACAUUGCGUAUAUCCUUAGGAAGGAAAUCCCAGAGGAUGAAGAAGAGGCUCGACAGAUCGUCCGUCGAUCCAAGGCCUUUACUGUGAUAAGAGGACAACUGUUUAGGGAAAGCGUAACCGGAGUCAGCCAGAAAUGCAUAACACCAGAAGAAGGUCGAGUGAUCCUCAACGACAUCCACUCGGGGACCUAUGGUCACCAUGCGUCCUCUCGGACCAUUGUGGCCAAAGCAUACCAAGCUGGAUUUUAUUGGCCACGAGCAAAUGAAAUGGCGAAAGAUAUAGUCGACAAAUGUGAAGGCUGCCAGUUUUACUCCAAUAUGUCCCACAAGCCCGCGUCAGCCCUGAAGACUAUUCCACUCGUCUGGCCUUUGCUAUUUGGGGAUUGGAUAUGGUUGGACCCCUGAGGACUGGUAGGAGCGGCUUCACUCAUGUGCUUGUAGCAGUCGACAAGUUUACCAAAUGGAUUGAAUCCAAGCCUAUCAAGAAUCUUGAAGCCAGUACUGCCGUCAGCUUCAUCAGAGAAUUGACAUUCAGAUAUGGAGUUCCGCACAGCAUCAUCACUGACAACGGGUCGAACUUCGAUUCUGAUGAGUUCAGAGCCUUCUGUGCUUCACAAGGCACACGGGUCGACUAUGCUUCAGUCGCCCACCCCCAGUCGAAUGGACAAGUAGAAAGAGCAAAUGGCUUGAUUCUCAAAGGACUGAAACCCUAACUGAUGCGUGAUCUUAAGCAUGCAACAGGCGCCUGGGUCGAUGAACUUUCGUCAGUUCUUUGGGGAUUGAGGACAAAUCCCAAUCGGUCGACUGGCCGAACUCCAUUCUUCUUGGUUUAUGGAGCUGAAGCUGUUCUACCGAGCGACUUGCUUCACAAUGCACCCCGAGUCGAGCUCUUCUUUGAAGAUGAAGCAGAACAGGCCCGGCAGGACGCGGUCGAUCUCCUAGAGGAGGAAAGAGAGAUGGCCUUAAUACGGUCGACCAUUUAUCAGCAAGACUUGCAUCGAUUCCACGCCAGAAACGUGAGGGGCCGAGCCUUUCAAGAGGGAGACUUGGUUCUUCGAGUGGAUCAGCAGAAACCACACAAGCUCGCCCCUGCUUGGGAAGCUCCCUUCAUUGUCACCAGAGUUCUCCACAAUGGAGCAUACCAUCUUUACAAUGUCGAGCAUCAGAAAGACGAGCCAUGGGCUUGGAACGCGGAACUGCUCCGCCCCUUUUAUACUUAAGUACUCAUUCGGAUGAUAUGUAAUAAGAAAUACCUUUGUAGUUUGUUCGUCAAAGCCAAGAGCUUUACAGUCUUCCUAAAUGGUUGUUGUUGCCUUUGUUUGCGUCUAAAAUCCCCCAGUGGGUGACUUUGCUGCGAAUCCGUUUUGCCUAAGUUUGAAAAAAUCCUACCGAGUGAUGAGCAGACCUCUCACUCGGGGGCUUAGCUGCAGUCCAAUACUCGCCUAAGUUUGAAAAAUCCUACCGAGUGAUGAGCAAGCCUCUCACUCGGGGGCUUAGCUGCAGUCCAGUACUCCCCUAAGUUUGAAAAAAUCCUACCGAGUGAUGGGGAAGCCUCUCACUCGGGGGCUUAGCUGCAGUCCAGUACUCGCCUAAGUUUGAAAAAAUCCUACCGAGUGAUGAGCAAGCCUCUCACUCGGGGGCUUAGCUGCAGUCCAGUACUCGCCUAAGUUUGAAAAAUCCUACCGAGUGAUGAGCAAGCCCCUCACUCGGGGGCUUAGCUGCAGUCCNNNNNNNNNNNNNNNNNNNNNNNNNNNNNNNNNNNNNNNNNNNNNNNNNNNNNNNNNNNNNNNNNNNNNNNNNNNNNNNNNNNNNNNNNNNNNNNNNNNNNNNNNNNNNNNNNNNNNNNNNNNNNNNNNNNNNNNNNNNNNNNNNAUGAUAUAAGGAAAUAAAUAAUAACUUUAUUAUUGCCUCUAGGGCAUAUUUCCUUCACCCACUCGGGGGCUUAGCUGUAGUCCAGUACUCGCCUAAGUUUGAAAAAUCCUACGGAGUGGUGAGCAACCCUCCCACUCGGGGGCUUAGCUGCAGUCCAGUACUCGCCUAAGUUUGAAAAAUCCUACCGAGUGCUGAGCAACCCUCCCACUAAGGGGCUUAGCUGCAGUCCACUACUCGCCUAAGUUUGAAAAAUCCUACCGAGUGGUGAGCAACCCUCCCACUCGGAGGCUUAGCUGCAGUCCAGUACUCGCCUAAGUUUGAAAAAUCNNNNNNNNNNNNNNNNNNNNNNNNNNNNNNNNNNNNNNNNNNNNNNNNNNNNNNNNNNNNNNNNNNNNNNNNNNNNNNNNNNNNNNNNNNNNNNNNNNNNNNNNNNNNNNNNNNNNNNNNNNNNNNNNNNNNNNNNNNNNNNNNNNNNNNNNNNNNNNNNNNNNNNNNNNNNNNNNNNNNNNNNNNNNNNNNNNNNNNNNNNNNNNNNNNNNNNNNNNNNNNNNNNNNNNNNNNNNNNNNNNNNNNNNNNNNNNNNNNNNNGAGCUGCGCCACAAGUACAACUUGCGCUCCAUCCCUAUCCGCAAGGACGGCGAGGUACUGUCGACUGAAACCUUCUCCUUCAGAGUUGCGCCACGAGUACAAUGUGCGCUCCAUCCCUAUCCGCAAGGAUGACGAGGUACAGGUCGACCGAAACCUUCUCCUUCAGAGCUGCGCCACAAGUACAACAUGCGCUCCAUCCCUAUCUGCAAGGACGACGAGGUGCAGGUCGAGUGCAACCUUCUCCUCGGAGCUGCGCCAUAAGUACAAUAGUUGCAUCUCAAGUACAAAGAUUAUUCCAAUUGAAAAGCAAAUUCCACUCGAAGGCAAACACAAGCAUAUUCAGAGAUAAACCAAGUUCAGAUAAAUCCUAAAGUUCCAGACGACGGAUCAAAAGUAUUCGAGCAUCAAGCCCGAAGAAGUUUAACGAUUACACAAUCACUCGGCAUUCCGAGGCAAAUAAAGGUGGAGCAUAAUGUUUCUCAGUCACGCGUCGGGAGAAGGACUAGCUGGGUCGCAGAAACUGUCAAGGUCUAUGUUGUCUGCAAUGCGAGUGGCGGUGUCAAGGAAAGUGUCCAUGAAGGAUUGGAAGGUGUGCCUCUUUGGGUUAGCAACCUUGAGCUCCGCCAGCUUGUCUUCUUUGAUGUCUUUGCAGUGCACUCAGACCAAGGACAACGCGACAUCAGCGCCACAGCGAGCAGAUGACUUCUUCCACUCUUGCACUCGGUCAGGUAUUUGAUUCGGUCGAGCCAUCAGAGACUCGAGGUCUUUAGACAGUUCCGCCUGAGGCCAGAGUUCAGUAUCAACCCGAGUCAUCGCUGCUUUCAGGCGAGCAAGAUAAGCAACCGCGCUGUCCAUGCGAGACUCCAACCACAGCACAUUCAUCGCAACAUCAUCCUUGACUGGACAGUUUAUGGGAUCGAGACCCGUCUUGACCCGCCCAGUUUCCGCUUCAAAGUCUUGGCAAAGCUCUACACAGUUGAGUAAAUGGUGAGUCGACGAUGUAAUCAAGCUUGACAGUCAACCAAAAUAAGUCAGUCAAUCAUCAGUACCUUCAAGUUUAGGACCAGCUUUGUAGCAAGUUGGCCCAUAUAAGACUCCAACUCGCCCUUCUUGGCCUUGAGACUCCCAAGCUCGUCAGUCAGCCUGUCCUUGUCUUUCUUCAGUCGCUCGACCUCCCGAUUGGCGUCAGAAACAACAGUCUUCAGUUUGGAGUUCUCCUCUUCUAACUUGCCGACUGAAGCAAGCUUCUUGUCAGCAAGUGCCAUUUUCUCUCGUGCUUCCUUCUGUGCAGCAGCAAGAUCCAGAUCCUUCUUCUCCAAAGCCUCCUUCAUUUUCUCUAAAGAAAUAGCAUUCUUCAGACGGGCUUGGAGUUGACGGUUUUCACUACAUACAUCUACUCGAGUGGAGUCACUCGGUUCAAAAAAUGGAAAGGAAAAGUGCCAGCAAUGAGAUAGACAGUUGACGAUUGGUUACCUCCCAUGGCAGCUACUUCAUCACGAGCAGUCUUGAGAUUCUUCUUGGCCAAUUCCAGAUCAAGGUUGAGGCUGAUUUGCUGCUUGUUCAUUGUAGAAAGCUGAGCCCCAAGAUCACAAGAUUUCUGCAGUAUAAGCCAUAUCAGUUGACUGAGACAAAAAGACAUCACAGUGAUAGCUACUCUAAGACUAGCACCGAAUCAAACAUUCAACGGCAGUCUCGGGGACUACACCCAGUGGGUGCACUUAGCGUGCCCCCACUGGUUUGAAUAAACACUCGACAUGGUCUGCUCAGCGCAAAAAAAAGCCGUUCUCAGACCAUAGUCGACUGCCCGCAGUCAACCACGGUCUCGGGGACUACACCCAGUGGGUGCACUUAGCGUGCCCCCACUGGUUCUGGUUCCACUCGAACUGGCCCGCCCAGGCCGAGUGAGAAAAUUCAGAUUCUCAGACCACAGUCGACUGCCCACAGUCAACUAUGGUCUCGGGAACUACACCCAGUGGGUGCACUCAGCAUGCCCCCACUCGUUCAAAGACUCAAUCGACUCAAUCCAAGUCGACUCAAAUAGACUUGUGCAACUUUAAAACAGUCACACCCCAGUGAGUGAUCGGAUGAGAAAUAAGAUCAGUCAGAAAUCAACUAACCUGGACAUUGGUCUGCAGAGCAUCGCCGGCAUGGAAGGCCACCUGACUGGCCUCGUGCACCACUUUCAUCUGCCCCAUCACAAGAUUCAACUGAAGAAGAGCUUCCUUGGCGACACUCGGUAGGUCGUCUGGAGUUUGAUACGCAGUGAAAAGCGAUGAUGGCAAAGCAGUCGAAACAGCCACUGGGUCUGAUGCGUGGAGUUGUAAUGAAGCAGCAGGGGUCUGAGCAGCUGAUCCUGAUGGGCAAUCAGUCGACAGCGGGAUAGCGAAAGUGACGUUGGUGCGAGCCGGAUCUGUCGAUCGCUCGACCGUCGUCCCAGGCAUCAGUGUUGACUGAGGAACCUGAACCUCGGGUGCUUUCCCGCUCAGUCCCUUGUCCCUCCUCCUCCUUUCCCUCAGAGGCACUUCUUCUUCAUCGUUUGGGAGCACAACAACGUCCCGUGGUGCUGCAACAAACAGAGAAAGUCAAAGAGGUAGCUGACAAACAAUCCAGCGUCCAAAUAAAUUCGAGUCGGGCAGACUUAGUGGCUUUGAAGGUAGCUGCAUCGUCGGAUCCCUCGUCGUCUGGGGUCUUGUCGAUAUCCAUAUCAGUCACAGCCGAGGCAGGGCUGUAAAGGUUCAUCAUCCACUCGGUCAGUACAAGAGAAUUGGUCAGAACAAGAAAAUACGGGGAGAACAUUUACCCAUAAGCAACAGGAACAUCCAUCUUGAUUCUAGGCAAGGUCUUCCGAGUCUUCUGCACUACAACCUUGGACUGCUUUGGAGCUUUUUCAGUUGGUGCCGGAGAGGACGUCCGAGGACGCUUUGACGACUGCCCGGUCUGAACAGUCGCCUUGUCACGGGCGCUCGCCGGGUCGUGAGUAAGUCUGGAUCGCCUUUCCCUACGAGGAGGAGAGUCGACCUCUUCUUCGUCACUCGGGUCGUCACUCUCCUCGUCCCCCUCUCCAUUGGAGUGCCACUCACCGCUUUCACCUCCGCUUGCCUCCCCCUCCGGGUCCUGCUCCUGCUCUCUGUUGGGCAUCGAAUACAUUUCAGUAAAGGCCUAGAAUAAAACAAGCAAGACGAAGUCAGUCGGUGAAGCAUAAAUAGUUGCAUGUUAAAUCAAGAUGACACUCGGUGAUUCAGAAUCGGACCUUGGUCGAGUGGAGGGAUUCUCCUGGCUCCUCUGGGGUUAUCCUUGUUGCCGGUGAUACACUUCAACCACUUCUCCACCGUAUCCUCGUCGACUUCUUCUGGGUGCACCCGAGUGGAAUCGUCAAUGCCCGAGUACAUCCACAUCGGGUGAUCGCGGGCUUGAAGUGGCUGAAUGCGUCGUCUGAGGAAGACUUCCAGCAGAUCCAUUCCAGUUACACCCUCAUGGAUGAGAUAGACCACUCGCUCAACCAGCACUUGCACCUCCGCUUUCUCCCCUGGAGUCACUUUCAAGGCGGAGGGCUUUUCUACGCGAGCCAUAGAAAAAGGAGGAAGUCCGGUCGACUGACCUGGAGUCGGCUGGUCUUUGCAGUAAAACCAGGUCGACUGCCAUCCUCGUACUGACUCAGGAAGAGUUAUGGCUGGAAAAGAACUUUUACCCCUCAUCUGAAUCCCAAGACCCCCACACAUCUGGAUCACCUGAGUCCUCUUGUCACUCGGGUUAGCCUUUUUGACCGACUGGGAGCGACAUGUGAAAAUGUGCUUGAAGAGACCCCAGUGUGGUCGAUAACCCAAGAAGUUUUCGCACAGAGACACAAAGGCAGCAAGAUAUAUGAUGGUGUUGGGGGAAAAGUGAUGAAGUUGUGCUCCAAAGAAAUUCAAGAAAGCCCGGAAAAAAGAUGCGGAGGCAGAGAAAAUCCACGGUCGAUGUGAGUGGCAAGGAGGACGCACUCACCCUCCCGCGGGCGAGGUUCGGUCUCAUCCUCAGGGAGCCGCGCCGACCCGUGAGGAAUCAGCCCCUCCUCCGCCAGAUCGUCGAGGUCAUCCUGACUGAUCAUCGACCGGAUCCAAUCGCCCUGGAUCCAGCCGCGCGGCAAACCGGACCGCGACAAGGAUCCGCCCCGGCUGGACUUUCUUCCCUUCGCCUUCGUCGUCGCCUUCUUCGCGUGCUCCAAAGCCACCGUCUUUUCUUUCCCCAUCGCCACGGACGGAGCUCGAGCGGGGCGGCGGCGCUGGAGGAGGAGCAGGCGCAGUGGGGAAGAUUGAGAAGAGAGAAGAAGAAUGAGGACGCACUGUUCAAAAACCCCGGUCCGAUGCCUUAUAUGGGGUUGCUUCCGAGUGACUGACCUGUAGGCCCGGGCAAUCUUAUCAAAUCCUGCAACAGUCACGCACGCGAUACGUGGCAAAAAAGGUGGUGCGGGAAUCGAGGCGGCCUUGCCUUAUCCAGCCCGAUUACUGCGGCCUCCUCCGCCCCGCGUGCUUCCCGAAAUUCGAAUCCCGCGAGACCCGCGGGCAGCAGAACAACUUGUCAGACGGAAGAUCUCCUCCACAUUAGCACUCGGACCUCUUCCAGCAAAAGUUCACUCGACAAAACCAGGAAUGGAUCAAGGCGACUAAAAAAGAAGUUGGUGUCACCACCUCGGUUCGUUGAUCCAAAACAAGACACACCCGAAGCGCGAAAAAUGAGUCGGAAGUAUUUUCAACUCCUUCUCCACUCAAACCCUGAUCCAUUCGGGGGCUAAUGAUGAGGACAUGUACCUAGGGUAGGGUCACAGGCCUGACCUAAAUACCCUCCCCAAGGACAUCACCCUAGAACCAGAAGCAUUCGAAGAAGAAUCAUCAUCCACUCGACCAUGAAGCAUUCUACUCGACAGACUUAAAGUCACUCGACCAUGGAGACUAUCACUCGACCGGCAGAAGAUCUAAAGCCACUCCAUACUGCAACGGUCGGUAAUUACGUCGUAGCUUUAAUGGUCAUUAUGUCUCUUUUACUAACGUUACUAGUAACGCCCUGUCUUAAUGUACCUUAAACCCUGUGUAAUUGAGGGCCGGAGGGGUCUGGCAAACUCUAUAUAAGCCGCCCCCCUCCUUAUUGACAAGGGUUCGCACCCCCUGUAAAACACACGCAUAUAAUCCAGUCGGCCGCCUCCGGGCUCCGAGACGUAGGGCUGUUACUUCCUCCGAGAAGGGCCUGAACUCGUAAAACUCGUGCGUACAGCUUCUCCAUAGCUAGGAUCUUGCCUCUACAUACCUACCCCCCUAUUCUACUGUCAGACUUAGAACCACGACAUAGUUUACCCUCGGGGCUGAGGGUAUAUGUACCAGUAGCUAUGUGUUUGAUCUCUCUCUCUCUCGUGUUCUUUGAUAUGGCACGAUCUUGAUGUACCGCGAGCUUUGCUAUUAUAGUUGAAUCAUAUGGUGUUUCUCCCCCUCUACCUUCUUGUAAUGGAUUCAGUUUUCCCUUUGAAGUUAUCUUAUCGGAUUGAGUCUUUAAGGAUUUGAGAACACUUGAUGUAUGUCUUGCAUGUACUUAUCUGUGGUAACAAUGGGAUAUUCACGUGAUCUACUUGAUGUAUGUUUUGGUGAUCAACUUGCGGGUUCUGUGACCUUGUGAACUUAUGCAUAGGGCUUGGCACACGUUUUCGUCUUGACUCUCCGGUAGAAACUUUGGUGCACUCUUUGAAGUUCUUUCUGUUGGUUUGAAUAGAUGAAUCUGAGAUUGUGUGAUGCAUAUCGUAUAAUCAAACCCGCGAAUACUUGUGGUACCAUUGGAGUAUCCAGGUGACAUUAGGGUUUUGGUUGAUGUGUGUCUUAAGGUGUUAUUUUAGUACGAACUCUAGGGCUGUUUGUGACACUUAUAGGAAUAGCCCAAUAGAUCAAUCAGAAAGAAUAACUUUGAGGUGGUUUCGUACCCUAAAGUAAUCUCUUCGUUUAUUCUCCGCUAAUAGUGACUUUGGAGUGACUCUUUGUUGCACGUUGAGGGAUUGUUAUAUGAUCUAAUUAUGUUAUCAUUGUUGAGAGAACUUGCACUAGUGAAAGUAUGAACCCUAGACCUUGUUUCUAAGCAUUGCAAUAUCGUUUUUGCUCACUUUUGUUACUAGUUACCUUGCUGUUUUUGUAUUUUCAGAUUACAAAAACCUAUAUCUACUAUCCAUAUUGCACUUCUAUCACCAUCUCUUUGCCGAACUAGUGCACCUAUACAAUUUACCAUUGUAUUGGGUGUGCUGGGGACACAAGAGACUCUUUGUUAUUUGGUUGCAGGGUUGUUUGAGAGAGACCAUCUUCAUCCUACGCCUCCCACGGAUUGAGAAACCUUAGGUCAUCCACUUGAGGCAAACUUGCUACUGUCCUACAAAACUCUGCGCUUGGAGGCCCAACACGAGUCUACAAGAAGAAGUUUGUGUAGUAGACAUCAAGAUCUUUUCUGGCGCCGUUGCCGGGGAGGCUAGGUAAGCGGCACUCACACCCCCGUCAACGAAGCUCUUUUCUGGCGCCGUUGCCGGGGAGGUUAGUGCUUGAAGGUAUAUCUUUACAUGUUGCAAUCGAAUCUUUUAGUUUCUUGUUUUAUCACUAGUUUAGUCUAUAAAAGAAAACUACAAAAAAUGGAAUUUAGGUUGCCUCAUUUGCUUCAUCUUUUAAAUGUCUUUCGUGAAAAUAAGGAUUCCGGUAAUUGUGCUCAAUUGCUAGAGGAAGAAUGCAAUAAAAUGUUUGGCAUAAAAUCUUUGAAUAAUGAGCAUGAUUGCAAUGUUUUUAGUAUGAAUUCCUUGAAUAUCCAUGAUGCUAAUGAUAUGCAAAGCCACAAGCUUGGGGAUUCUAUGUUUGAUGAAUAUGAUAUUUUUUCGCCGCCAAGUUUUGAUGAGCAAAUUAUUAUGAUGAUAGCAUGCCUCCUAUUUAUGAUGAUUAUAUUGAUGAAAGUGGGUUUGGAAGAGUGUCAACUCUAGGUAAUGAUCCCACUAUUUUGGAGGGUGUUGAAUCUUAUAAUAUUUAUGAAAGUGGAUUUGGAGAGGUCGUGACUUUAUUUAAUGAUGAUUCCACUAUUUUGGAAGAGGUUCCAAUUGAUUAUGAGAAUAAAGUUGCUAUCUAUGAUGAUUAUUGUGAUUACAUGUAUGCUAUAAAGAAUAAUGAUAACCAUGAAACUUGUCAUCAUGAUUUUAAUUUUCAAUUGGAUUAUGCCUCACAUGAUAAUUAUUUUGUUGAGUUUGCUCCCACUAUUCCGAAUGAGAAGAAUUUUGCUUAUGUGGAGAGUAGUAAAAUUUCUAUGCUUGUGGAUCAUGAAAAGAAUGCUUUGUGUCAUAGAUAUAUUGUUGAAUUCAAGAUGCUACUGAAAAUUAUUACGAGGGAGGAAUAUAUGCUUGUAGGAAUUGCAAUAAUAUCAAGUUUCCUCUCUAUGUGUUUAAAAUCUUGAAGUUUUGCUUGUUUUGCUUUCCUAUGCUAGUUGAUUCUUGUACCCAUAAGUUAUUUGCUCACAAAAUCCCUAUGCAUAGGAAGUGUGUUAGACUUAAAUGUGCUAGUCAUAUUCUUCAUGAUACUCUCCUUGCGUUUCAAUUCUUAUCUUUUAUGUGAGCAUCAUUGAAAUCAUCAUGCCUAGCUAGAAAGGCAUUAAAGAAAAGCGCUUGUUGGCAGACAACCCAAUAUUUACCCAUGUUGUUUUUGUGUGGUCACAUGAUUAAGAUACUUUAGUAAUAAUGUUUUAUAGCUUUUGUUUCAAUAAAGUGCCAAGUAAGACCUUUGGGAUGGUGUAUGGUGAUAGUUGAUUUGAUCUUGCUGAAAAACAGAAACUUUUGCGCUCAUUGCCAGAAUUUUAUAAAUUCACAGAAUAUUUCUUUUGAUCUGAAAAUUUUACACAAGAUUGGUAUACAAAUUUCCCAGGUUGUCCUAUUUUUCAGAAUUUUUGGAGUUACAGAAGUAUACAAAGUUUCCAGAUUACUGCAGACUGUUCUAUUUUUGACAGAUUCUGUUUUAAUUGUGUUGUUUACUUAUUUUGAUGAAUCUAUGGGUAGUAUCGGAGGGUAUGAACCAUGGAGAAGUUGGAAUCCAGUAGAUAUAACACCAAUAUAAAUUUAGAAUGAGUUCAUAACAGUACCUAAGUGGUGAUUUGCCUUAUUAUACUAACGGAGCUUACGAGUUUUCUGUUGAGUUUUGUGUUGUGAAUUUUUCAGGUUUUGGGUAAAGUCUUGAUGGACUACGGAAUAAGGAGUGGCAAGAGCCUACGCUUGGGGAUGCCCUAGGCACCCCAAGGUAAUAUUCAAGGACAACCAAGAGCCUAAGAUUGGGGAUGCCCUAGAUGGCAUCCCCUCUUUCGUCUUCGUUCAUCGGUAACCUUACUCGGAGCUAUAUUUUUAUUCACCACAUGGUGUUUUGCUUGGAGCGUCAUUUUAUUUUACUAGGUUUUGCUUGCUGUUUGAAUAAAGUACCUAGGAUCUGGAAUUUUAUUUAUGGUAGAGAGUCUUCACAUAGUCACAUAAUUAUUCGACUACUCGUUGAUCUUCACUUAUAUCUUUUGGAGUAGUUUGUCAUUUUCUCUAGUGCUUCACUUAUAUCUUUUUAGAGCACGGCUGUAGUUUUAUUUUGAAGAAAUUGUUGAACUCUCAUGCUUCACUUAUAUUAUUUUGAGAGUCUCUAAACAGCAUGGUAAUUUGCUUUGGUUAUAAAUUUAGUCCUAAUAUGAUAGACGUCCAAGAGGGGUAUAAAAAAAACUUUCAUAUAAAGUGAAUUGAAUACUAUGAGAAGUUUGAUUCCUUAUGAUUGUUUUGAUAUAUAAAGAUGGUGAUAUUAGAUUCAUGCUAGUGAGUAAUUGUGAAUUUGAGAAAUACUUGUGUUAAGGUUUUUGAGUCCCGUAGCAUGCACGUAUGGUGAACCGUUAUGUAACGAAGUUGGAGCAUGAGGUAUUUAUUGAUUGUCUUCCUUAUGAGUGGCUGUCGGGGACGUGCGAUGGUCUUUUCCUACCAAUCUAUCCCCCUAGGAGCAUGCGCGUAGUACUUUGUUUUGAUAACUAAUAGAGUUUUGCAAUAAGUAUGUGAGUUCUUUAUGACUAAUGUUGAGUCCAUGGAUUAUACGCACUUCCACCCUUCCACCAUUGCUAGCCUCUCUAGUACCGCGCAACUUUCGCCGGUACCUUACACCACCAUAUACCUUCCUCAAAACAGCCACCAUACCUACCUAUUAUGGUAUUUCCAUUGCCAUUCCAAGAUAUAUUGCCAUGCAACUUUCCACCCUUCCGUUUAUUAUGACACGCAUCAUCAUUGUCAUAUUGCUUUGCAUGAUCAUGUAGCUGACAUCAUAUUUGUGGCAAAGCCACCAUUCAUAAUUCUUUCAUACAUGUCACUCUUGAUUCAUUGCACAUCUCGGUGCACCGCCGGAGGCAUUCAUAUAGAGUCAUAUUUUGUUCUAGGUAUCGAGUUGUAAUUCUUGAGUUGUAAGUAAAUAAAAGUGUGAUGAUCUUCAUUGUUAUAGCAUUGUCCCAUGUGAGGAAAGAAUGAUGGAGACUAUGAUUCCCCCACAAGUCGGGAUGAGACUCCAGACGAAAAAUUAAAAAUAAAAAUAAAAAAGAGGCCAAAAAAAUGAGAGAACGCCCAAAUAAAAAAAUAAAAAAAUGAGAGAAAAGAGAGAAGGGGCAAUGCUACUAUCCUUUUACCACACUUGUGCUUCAAAGUAGCACCAUGAUCUUCAUGAUAGAGAGUCUCCUAUGUUGUCACUUUCAUAUACUAGUGGGAAUUUUUCAUUAUAUAACUUGGCUUGUAUAUUCCAAUGAUGGGCUUCCUCAAAUUGCCCUAGGUCUUGGUGAGCAAGCGAGUUGGAUGCACACCCACUUAGUUUCUUUUUGAGCUUUCACACACUUAUAGCUCUAGUGCAUCCGUUGCAUGGCAAUCCCUACUCACUCACAUUGAUAUUUAUUGAUGGGCAUCUCCAUAGCCCGUUGAUACGCGUAGUUGAUGUGAAACUAUCUCCUUCUUUUUGUCUUCUCAACAACCACCAUAUUCUAUUCCUCCUAUAGUGCUAUGUCCAUGGCUCAGGCUCAUCUAUUGCGUGAGAGUUGAAAAAGUUUGAGAACAUCAAAAGUAUGAAACAAUUGCUUGGCUUGUCAUCGGGGUUGUGCAUGAUUUGAAUAUUUUGUGUGAUGUAGAUGGAGCAUGGCCAAACUAUAUGAUUUUGUAGGGAUAGCUUGCUUUGGCCAUGUUAUUUUGAGAAGACAUAAUUGCCUUGUUAGUAUGCUUGAAGUAUUAUAGUUUUUAUGUCAAUAUUAAACUUUUGUUUUGAAUCUUAUGGAUCUGAACAUUCAUGCCACAAUAAAGAAAGAUUACACGGAUAAUAUGUUAGGUAGCAUUCCACAUCAAAAAUUCCAUUUUUAUCAUUUACCUACUCGAGGACGAGCAGGAAUUAAGCUUGAGGAUGCUUGAUACGUCUCCAACGUAUCUAUAAUUUUUGAUUGUUCCAUGCUACUAUAUUAUCUAUCUUGGAUGUUUUAUAUGCAUUUAUAUGCUAUUUUAUAUGAUUUUUGGGACUAACCUAUUAACCUAGAGCCCAGUGCCGGUUUCAGUUUUUUUCCUUGUUUUUGAGUUUCGCAGAAAAGGAAUAUCAAACGGAGUCCAAUUGAGCUGAAAUUUUACGGUGAUUUUUUAUGGACCAGGACAAGCCCCCGAAGCAAAAGAGUUGAGCCAGAAGAGCCACGAGGCCUCCACAAGGGUGGAGGGCGCCCCCUACCCACCUGGGGGCACCCUCUGUCCUUGUCGUCGCCUCAUGGGCCCCCUUGACUUGUUCCCCACGCCAAAAAUUCCUAUAAAUACAGAAACCCCCAGAAAUAAACCUAGAUCGGGAGUUCCACCGUUGCAAGCCUCUGUAGCCACGAAAAGCCAAUCGGGACCCUGUUCUGGCACCCUAUCGGGGGGGAUCAUCACCGGUGGCCAUCUUCAUCAUCCCGGCGCUCUCCAUGACGAGGAGGGAGUAGUUCACCCUCGGGGCUGAGGGUAUAUGUACCAGUAGCUAUGUGUUCGAUCUCGCUCUCUCUCUCUUUCUCAUGUUCUUGAUAUAGCAUGAUCUUGAUGUACCGCGAGCUUUGCUAUUAUAGUUGAAUCAUAUGGUGUUUCUCCCCCUCUACCUUCUUGUAAUGGAUUCAGUUUUCCCUUUGAAGUUAUCUUAUCGGAUUGAGUCUUUAAGGAUUUGAGAACACUUGAUGUAUGUCUUGCAUGUGCUUAUCUGUGGUGAUAAAGGGAUAUUCACGUGAUCUACUUGAUGUAUGUUUUGGUGAUCAACUUUCGGGUUCUGUGACCUUGUGAACUUAUGCAUAGGGGUUGGCACACGUUUUCGUCUUGACUCUCCGGUAGAAACUUUGGGGCACUCUUUGAAGUUCUUUGUGUUGGUUUGAAUAGAUGAAUCUGAGACUGUGUGAUGCAUAUCGUAUAAUCAAACCUGCGGAUACUUGUGGUGACAUUGGAGUAUCUAGGUGACAUUAGGGUUUUGGUUGAUGUGUGUCUUAAGGUGUUAUUUUAGUACGAACUCUAGGGUUGUUUGUGACACUUAUAGGACUAGCCCAAUAGAUCUAUCAGAAAGAAUAACUUUGAGGUGGUUUCGUACCCUAAAGUAAUCUCUUCGUUUAUUCUCCGCUAAUAGUGACUUUGGAGUGACUCUUUGUUGCACGUUGAGGGAUUGUUAUAUGAUCUAAUUAUGUUAUCAUUGUUGAGAGAACUUGCACUAGUGAAAGUAUGAACCCUAGACCUUGUUUCUAAGCAUUGCAAUAUCGUUUUUGCUCACUUUUGUUACUAGUUACCUUGCUGUUUUUGUAUUUUCAUAUUACAAAAACCUAUAUCUACUAUCCAUAUUGCACUUGUAUCAUCAUCUCUUUGCCGAACUAGUGCACCUAUACAAUUUACCAUUGUAUUGGGUGUGUUGGGGACACAAGAGACUCUUUGUUAUUUGGUUGCAGGGUUGUUUGAGAGAGACCAUCUUCAUCCUACGCCUCCCAAGGAUUGACAAACCUUAGGUCAUCCACUUGAGGGAAAUUUUCUACUGUCCUACAAAACUCUGCGCUUGGAGGCCCAACACGAGUCUACAAGAAGAAGGUUGCGUAGUAUACAUCACAGAGUAGCGCCUUCAGCAAGAUGACAUGAUGUAGACAAAGUAAACUCACGCAUGAAUAAACCCCAUCUGUUUAUCCUUAAUGGCAACGAUACAAAUACGUGUCAUGUCCCCUUCUAUUAUUAGGAUUGAGCAUCGCAAGAUCGAACCCAUCACAAAGCACCUCUCCCGUUGCAAGAAAAAUCAAUCUAGUUGGCCAAACCAAAUCAAUAGAUCGGAGAGAAAUACAAAUCUUUAAUAAUCAUGCAAAAAAUGUUUCAGAGAAGACUCAAAUAAUAUUCAUGGAUAAUCUGAUCAUAAACUCACAAUUCAUCAUAUCCCAACAAACACACCGCAAAAAGUGAUUACAUCGAAUAGAACUCUAAGAACAUCGAGGAAAACAUUGUACUGAAGAUCAAAGAGAGAGAGAGAUAGCCAUCUAGCUACUAACUAUGGACCCGUAGGUCAGUCGUAAACUACUCACACAUCAUCGGAAGGGUAGCAAGGUCGAUGUAGAGCCACCCUGUGAUUGAUUCCGCCUCCAGCAGAGUGCCGACGGAGGCCUCCAGAUGGGAUCUUGCAAGAACAGGAACUUACAGCGGCAAAAAAAGUGUUAUGGGUGGCUCUCUUUUGGUUUCCCGAUAUUAGAUAAUUAAUAGAGGCGGAAUUAGGUCAAGCGGAGCCUCGUGGGCCUCACGAACCACCAGGGCGCGCCUACCCCCCUAGGCACACCCUGGUGACUCGUGGGCCCAUGCUUCAUCUUCUAGCCCUGCCCCGAAGCUUCUAAUGUCUCUUUUGUCCAGAAAAAAUCUCCAAAAGGUUUCGUGGCAUUUGGAUUUCGUUUGGUACUCAUAUUCUAAAAAACAAAAAACAGAAAAAAAAAACAACUGGCAUUAGGCACUAAGUUAAUAGGUUAUUCCCAAAAAUGAUAUAUAAUUGCUCGUAAUUGUAUAUAAAGCAUCCAAGAUUGAUACUAUAAUAUCAUGGAACAAUAAAAAAUUAUAGAUAUGUUGGAGAUGUAUCAACGUGUGAAGUGCUCCAUGUAGGGGGUUGCCCAGGCCGCCUCGGUCCAUCGGCGAAGUGACUGACCGCCAAUUGAUCUUGCACUUCCCGUCGAUGAUCUCCUUAUCUUGCGCCCAUAGGAAUCGACGCCGGGCCUUGUCGAUCUACUUGUAGAACUUCUUUAUUUGUAGAACUUCUUUGGUUCCCACAACACCGCGAAUGCAAAGCUGAGCAGCACAGUGAGCACGCACCGCACCAAGGCUCGUCGGCUUGAAAUUGACAUGAGACGCCCUUUCCAUCAUGCCAGCCUCGCUCGGAUGCGAUCUAGGAUGUACUGAAGAUGCACUAGUCUAGUUGAGUGGUAGCAACAGGUAGUCCCAGGUAUCUAAUUGGGAAGCUAACUAAGUUGCCACCGAAACUAUGAAGAACAUGGUCGAGGUCAGUGUUGUCGCAGCAGAUUGGCGCCACCGAGGAUUUUUGUGGGUGCAUGUGCAGUCCAGUCGUGUCGCCGAAGCUCUUGAUGAUAUGCAUGAGUGUAUCGAUCUCUUGGCGCUAUGGGUUUGCAAAAAUGACCUCCUCAUCAGCGUAGAGCGUGACCCUGAGGCGGGCAGUCCACCCCGGCAGAGGGGCAAGGUGCCUAUGCGUGUCGCCGCCUCCGGUAGACGAUGCAAUGGAUCGGUUUCCAAAAAUAAGAGGUUGGGCGACAGGGGGGUCGCCCUGCCUUAGACCUCUUCUAUGGAUGAUUCUCUGCCCUGGGUCGCCAUUGAUCAUGCAUGAGGACGUGGAUGAAGAUAGCAGUAGCGCGAUCCAGUCCCUCCAACGUGCAGGGAAUCCCAUGUGUUGCAUCAAUUCCAUGAUGUACUCCCAUCACACCGUGUCGAAAGCUCUUGCGAUGUCGAGUUUCAAUAGCAGAGCCGGUAUUUUCUUCCUAUGAAACAUUCUGAUGGAGUUUUGCACAUACAGAUAAUUAUCGUGAAUCCCUUUCCGCUUCUGAAAUACACUUUGAGGCGGUGAGAUUAGCUGAUCAAGUGCACAUGUGAGCCUGAUUGAGAGGACCUUGACGAUUAACUUGGCCACUGAGUGGAUCAAACUGAUUGGGCGGAAGUCAGACAUCUGGAUCGCCUCGUUCUUCUUCGGCAACAACACGAUCAAGCCGUGAUUCAGUGCAACAAAAUCACCGUCAUGCACGCAAUAGAGUUUGUCAAACAACCACAUCUGCUUUGAUUGUUUGCCACCAUUCUGUGAAAAGGGUGUCAGAAGCCGUGGGGGCAGGUGCCUUCUCCGCCGACGAGGCGCAAACUGCAGUCCAGAUCUCUUCUUCAGUGAAAGGGUUGUCCAGGCCUCCGUUUUGCAAAUUUAGCAGCCCGAUUUCUACCUACUUGAUCGAACAUUCCCUGCUCUUCUUCUGACCCAUCAGCUUGGAGGACUGCUUGUAGGCGAUCGCGGCCUUGUCCUUGUGAUUUGUUGCAUUUACGUCGUCAUGAUGGAUGCCGUGAAUGAAGUUCUUUCCGCGCCUCAAGUUCACUUUGCCCUGAAAAAAUGCAGUCUUUGCGUCGCCGGCCUUCAGCCAGGUUGUCCUUGCGGCUUGCGGUUUUCUGAUGUGUUCCAGAGCUGCCAGCCCGGCAAUCUUUAGCUUGAGGGUUUUUCUUAGCCAGAAUUCUCUCUGCGUGAGCUAUCUUUUCUCCUGUGCAACAUUCAAGCGAAGCACAACCUGUGAUGCCAAGUGGAACUAUACCUUGGUGUCAAUGAAUAAGGUUUUACUCUAGGUUUUCAUAUCAGCAACCGUUCUUUUCAGCUUGAUUUUGAUUCUGGUGAAUGGGCGGUCAUGAUUUACUGGCCUUCGCCACGCCCUAGCUACUGUCUGCUGGAAGUGGGGAACAUUGUCCAGAAAGAUUCGAACCGGAAGGAGGCUUUCCGGUGGGGCGCAGUAGUGUUUGUCAGAAGAAGUGAGCAAUGGCCAGAGCAAGCAGUUGAGGCCGCCAUCGGGAUGAAAGAGGGAAAUUGAGCCCCCAUUCUAUGUUGGAGAACACCUUGUCGAUGGUACUCCCUCCGUUUUUAUUUACUCCGCAUAUUACUUUUGGUCAAAGUCAGGCUUUAUAAACUUUGACAAAGUUUAUAGACAAAAAUAUUAACAUAUACAAUAACAAAUCAAUACCAUUAGAUUUGUGGAAUGUACUUCCACAUCAUAUAAAUUUUUUUUUUACUCGUUCAUAUAAAUUUGUUAUGCAAAAUAGUUAUAUUCCUUUCUAUAAAUUUGGUCCAACUUUAUAAAAUUUGACUUCAGUCAACUCUAAUAUACGGAGUAAAUAAAAACAAGGGAGUAACAAACUGGAUUCUCCCUUUGGUUGCUCCAGGUGAAAUGUGUGUUCUACAGCCAGCCGAGGAGCGGGCCAGCAGCUGAUUCCCGACCCUCCACGGAUCUUCUGCGCACGCGCUCGGUUACAAGCUGUGCCACAGAAGCAGCCACCGGGCGCAAAGAAUCCUAGGUGGUUUUCGGCGCGUCCGUGGGCUACCGGCGGCUGCCCCCUGGCCCGCUCCUCCUUUUUAUUCCCCGCUCCUCUACACGGGCCAGUGCAAAACCUAGAGUUGACCACAAGAGUCCCCCAGGCAAAAAAAAAAAGAGUUGACAACCAGAGACCGGUGGUCAGGCUUCGCCGAUGGAGAGGGUUGACGGAGGAGCGGGGUUGGGUGCGCGUGGGUCUGCGGGGGCGAUGCUGGGCAUGGAGAUGCACCUCGUCCACCAGCCGCAGCCGCAGAUCCACGCGGCCUCCUCGUUCCAGCAGCCGCCGGAGCACCUCCACCACGCCAACGGCGGCUUCCAGGUCCAGCACCACCAGGCCAUGCCGAUGGGGCAGCAGCACCCGCCACCGUCGUACGGGGCUUACGUGGCGCCGCCAUCGAGGGCGGUCAACGCGCAUGAAGAGGAGGAGAUGGGCAACGGCAUUGGCGCCGUGCAGCAGCCGGGGGCGGGGGCGGCGGGGUGCUCGUGGUCCCGGAUGAAGUGGACGGAUGCGAUGGUGCGCCUGCUCAUCGCGGUGGUGUACAACGCCGGGGAAGACGGGGAGGGCGUGUCUGCAGGAGGCAAGGCCGCGGCGUCGCACUCGCACGGGAAGGCGGUGGCGUCGGCGGCGGCGCAGGGCGGGCACGGGCCGCAGGCUGCGGCGCAGCAGAGGAAGGGUAAGUGGAGGUCCGUGUCCCGGGCGAUGGUGGAGAAAGGCUUCAAGGUGUCGCCGCAGCAAUGCGAGGACAAGUUCAACGACCUCAACAAGCGCUACAAGCGAGUCGUCGACCUGCUCGGCCGCGGCACGGCGUGCGACGUGGUCGCGAACCCCGCUCUGCUCGACACCAUGGGCGAGCUCACAGCCAAGUCCAAGGAGGAGGCGCGCAAGAUGCUCCGCUCCAAGCGCCUCUUCUUCCGCGAGAUGUGCAACUACCACAACCCCGGCGGCACCGCAACAGCCUCGCACGGCACCGAAGGCGGCGCCGCUGCUAACUCGUCUGCCGGCCGCCAGGUGGUGGCGAUGGUGAAUUCCUCCACGCGCUCGGAGGACGACAGCGAGGACGACGUCCUCAGUAGCAAAGAGGCUGAAGAGGAGGAGGACGACUACGACCUGGACGACGUGGAGGAGAAGGCGCCAGGCGGGCACAAGAACAAGCGCCGUCUUGGCGAGAGCAGCGCGGCUGCGGCCGGGGAAGACGGGGAAGAGAACGGGAACAACAAGCCCGCCCGCGGGAGGCCGUGCACCAGCAUGCAGCAGCUGAAGCGCGAGCUGGCCGCGGCGGAGGCCGGCGGCGACCAGCAGCAGCUGCGGCAGUUGGUGCAGCGGCGCGCGCUGGAGCUGGAGAAGCAAGAGCUGGCGUACGAGGUCCAGGAGUUAGCGCUGGAGAAGCACCGCCACAGGUGGGAGCAGUUCAAGGCCAAGAAGGAGUGGAACAUAGAGCAGGAGCGGCAGCGGAUCGAGGGCCUGCGCGUCGACGGCAAGCGCAUGCUGCUCAUGCUCAAGCAGAAGGAGUUCGACCUGGACCACCUCCCGGGCGCCCAGACCCCGCCGCCCGGCGCUGCCUUCCAGCAGCAGCCCGGCUCCAGCCCCUCCACCACAGGGCAGCCCAACUAGCUAGGCAGGACACAGGCAGCCAUGCAGGACACCAUGCAUACAUACAUUUCGCUUUUCCCGUAGGCCACCAUGCAUACUCCAUUUUUCCUUUUCCUUCGCCAGCAUGCAUUACAUUUCGCUUUCGAUUCGUUGUAAUCAGCAGUAGCAGUUGAUGAAUAACCUGUAAGAUGCCUGCCUUGAGUUGAGAAGUUUCAGAAUUCAGA
rnacentral:lncRNA from 1 species